AAUAUCCAUAAUUAGACUGCUAAGCUUAGAAGACCGGGCUCCAAAAGGAUGCCGUGAGAUAUCUGGUAGUUCACUGAUGACAUUGUCAACGUACUAUGAAGUUGAAGGCUGAAGGAUAAAUACUAAGCAUGAAAGCAUGGUCAUGUGAAACUUGGAAUGGUAGAAAUGGAAAGCAGCAUGUGCCUCAGCAGUGCAAUUUUAUCUCUGUGUUUGUCAUGUAUGUGGUUGGGAGUACUGCCUUACAUUUCUAGUGCACCGACAGACACCAUCAAACCUGGGGAAGAGCUUCAAUUUUCAGAAAAAUUACUGGUUUCUGCAAAAGGGACUUUUACUCUAGGAUUCUUCAGCCUGGAAUCUGGCAGUUAUUUAGGAAUAUGGUUCACAAUUGAUGCUCAGAAGGAGAAAGUUUGGGUUGCUAACAGAGACAAGCCUAUAUCCGGUACAGAUGCAAACCUCACACUGGAUGCGGAUGGAAAAUUGAUGAUCAUGCAUAGUGGGGGUGAUCCAAUUGUCCUGAAUUCCAAUCAAGCAGCCAGAAACUCAACAGCUACUCUGCUUGAUUCUGGAAAUUUUGUUUUGGAAGAGUUCAAUUCGGAUAGAUCUGUGAAGGAGAAACUAUGGGAAAGUUUCGAUAAUCCUACAGACACCCUCCUGCCUGGGAUGAAACUAGGCAUCAACUUGAAAACCGGACAAAACUGGUCACUUGCUUCAUGGAUAAACGAACAAGUGCCUGCUCCUGGGACUUUUACUCUGGAAUGGAAUGGCACACAAUUGGUAAUGAAACGCCGAGGGGGCACCUACUGGAGCAGUGGAACCUUGAAAAAUAGGAGCUUUGAGUUCAUUCCUUGGUUGAGCUUUGACACUUGCAAUAACAUCUACAGUUUUAACAGUGUUGCUAAUGAAAACGAGAUUUACUUUAGCUAUUCGGUUCCAGAUGGAGUUGUUUCAGAGUGGGCAUUGAACUCGAGAGGAGGACUUUCUGACACUAAGGCUAUGUUUGGUUCCCAGAAAAUUUGAGGGAAAAUGCGAGGGAAAGAAAAUACAAAGGAAAAGUAGAAGGAAAGAAAAAGUGAAGGAAAAUAAAAAAAUAAAUUAAAAGUUGAUAAAUUAUUUUUUUUGUUACUUCAAACUCAUUUUAUUUAUUUUAACUCAUCAAUAUAAAGAUUAAAUAAUUUAAAAAUACAUAAAUUUUUAAUUAGUUUUAAUUAUAUUUGAUUUUCUUUGAUAUUUUUCAUAGGGCAACCAAACAUGAGAAAAUCAUUUUCUUUAUCAUUUUUUUUCUUUCCUUUGUACUUUCCGGGAACCAAACAUAGCCUAACAGACCUUUAUUUGUGACGGACGAUGUGUGUGAUGGGUUUGAGGAAUAUCCAGGGUGUGCAGUGCAAAACCCACCCACUUGCAGGACUAGAAAAGACGGAUUCAUGAAGCAAUCGGUUCAUAUAUCAGAAUCACCGUCAUCAAUAAAAGAAGAUUCGAGCUUGGGACCUAGUGAUUGUCAGGCCAUAUGCUGGAAUAAUUGUUCUUGUACUGCUUGUAAUACUAUAUACACUAACAGAACUGGAUGUCGGUUUUGGAGUACAAAAUUUACACAAACCUACGCGGGUGAUGCAAAUCGGGAGGCGCUCUAUGUUUUAUCCUCAUCACGAGUUACGGGUAAGUGUCUCUCUGUAUUUUCGUAUUCCUGAAAGUAACCAAGGCAAAGUAGUUGAUGAAUCCAACAUUUUUACUGAAUUUACAACCCUAAUAGGUGAUCAAAAAUUCAAAAUACCAUUAGAGGAGCUAUAUCAAGACCAUAAAAGACCCUCUCUCUUUCACUCAGUUCUGUUCUAAGCCACUAACCACAAAAUUUAUCAAUUUGUAUCUACGCAGGGAACAGUUGGUGGAUAUGGGUCAUUAUUGCAGGAGUGGUACUUGUGGUCCUGUUACUUAUGGGCUUCUUAUACUAUUUAAGGAGAAAAUCCAAAGUUAGUAUUUUAUUUUAACUUUUGCUGAUGAUAGUAAUGCCAUUUGUUAAUGGGUUGGAUAAUUGAACUUGUGACUUCUGGUAUAACAGGGGAGAGAAAAAUGGAGGAAGCUAUGCUGCAUGAAUUGGCAACUUCAAAUAGCUUUAGGCUCUGUUUGGUUCCCGGAAAAUGCUAAGGAAAGGAAAAAAAAUGUAAAGGAAAAUAGUUUUCUUUAGUUUGGAUGACAUGAAAAAUAAGGUGGAAAAAAAAUAUGAAGGAAAGUAUUAAAGAAAAUAUGGUAAUAUUUUCCCUAUUAUUUUCCUUAAAAAAUGACGAGGAAAAUAGGAGAAAAAGAGAAGGGCAAAGGGGGGGAAAAUUUUAUCGGGGGCUCUGUUCACCGCUUCAUCUUUCCUUUCCUCUUUAUCGGUGGCUAUGGCUUCUCACCGUCGUCGACCCUUUCAACGGCCACCACAAUCACUCCUAUCACCUUCCAGGGCCAAAAACGUACUCUUCAGGCACCCGAGUUCCCAUGGAUGAAGUGCGCUCUUCAAAUCAAGUUCUCAUUGAUGAAAUGGAUUCUUCAAAUCCAGUGAAUGUAUUCGGAUCCAUAUCUUCAGAUCAGGUAUGAAUUGAACUCCAAUCCAUCUCAUCUUGUGAAAACCCGGAACCCAAGGUAAUCGUUCUCUCUUGGGUUCUCUGUUUGGGUUUCUAGGUUGUUUUCGCCUUUCCCGUUUCUUAAAUUUCGCCAGAAUUUUUCUAAACUUUCUGGUUUGUUUUUUUCUAGAUUUGAUAUGAUUUUUACCCUUGAUAUUCUGCUAAAUGUUACACCGUUUCUUAAAUCACCUCAAUUGAUAUCAUUCCAAGGGAUUCCUAAAUGACUCUCUGUAUUUCUUGAUUUGCUUACAUUAUGAGUGUAAUUACAGAACUUAAGUUGUACAAUAAGCAUCAAUUGGUAGGCUAUGAUCAUUAUGACUCUCUAGGUUGUGAUUGGGGUUGUGUUUUCAAAUGGGAAGUGGGGAUUGUGAUUGGGGUUGUGUUUUCAAAUGGGAACUGGAAUACUCAGGUUUCAAAUGGCUGACAUAUUCUGGUGCAAUUAAUAACUCGUUAGUAUUAUGGGUGUCUUACUAGGUUUUUACGUCUCCAUUGUUGUAAUACUUGUCAAUUGUGAAGUUGAUCUGAAAUGAGUUAGAAUGGGACUUGACGAGAACUUUUAACAACUGACCAACUUGAUAUUCAACUAAGAGGAGAUGAGGGUAAAUCACAUUUGAUCAAUUAUGAGCUUUGUAAAAUGCAUACCCAAAAAAAUUUACAUUAAAGAUGAAUACCAGAUACUUGUGGCCUCCAAUUUGUAAAUACAGUUAGUGGAGAAUGUUGCUCAUAUCACUUACUUUUCCUCCAAGUUAUGAUUUGUCACAUUUUGAUCCAUAUGCGGAUCAUGUUAUUACCUUUCAUACAAGUAGGUAGUGAGAGAGGGUGGUAAAGAUGCAAUUUUCCUAAAUUAAUGUUUGACAAAGGGGACUGAUCAGUUUAAAUUGAUUGAACCCAGAAAUUUCAUAUUUCAGUCAUUUUGUCUGUUGCUUGAGAAUUGAGAAAACAGUAGACCCAAGUCAGCUAAUGGUCUGCCUCGGACACAGCUAUAGCGCAUUUGCUUAUGAAUCAAACUUAUAUACUGUGCNNNNNNNNNNNNNNNNNNNNNNNNNNNNNNNNNNNNNNNNNNNNNNNNNNNNNNNNNNNNNNNNNNNNNNNNNNNNNNNNNNNNNNNNNNNNNNNNNNNNUAGAUUCAUAUUUGAAUAUAUCUCAUGGUAAUUUUGAAUAUGCAUAUUUUCCCAUGUAAAGAUUCUUAUUGAUAGAACCAUGUUAGUAUUGGCCCUAUUGGGCAAUGAGAUUGGAAUUUUAUUUUAUUAUUCUAUAUCCUCAAAGGAUUGGUUUAGUAUGAGUUCUUAUAUGUAAAAGGGCUCUCUUACCUGGUCAUACACUCAGCAUUAGGCAUUAGGCAUGCUCGAAGGAAUUAAAUCUGAAUUUUAACUGAAAAGAUUCAAAUACAAACAUGGGAUUUUUCUAGAAUUGGAAAGAAAAUUUGUGUGAUUCAUCUGUUAGAUGUUUAUCAAUCUCAAUGAAAAAUAGGAUGGGAAAUCUACAGAAUUUAACAAACAGUUAAGAAUUUAGCACCGACAAUUACAAGGACAACUAGUAAGUAACUUCAUGAUGAAGGAAGAAAUACAGAGUGAAGAUAAGCAUAAAUAGGAAAAGGAAAAAUGAAACUAGAAAAAGCUGUGGAAAAAUUAAUGCUGUUUCCUGCAAUGAAAUACUCUUCUCUUAAUGCUAUUACAGUUGAUUGCUUCUGCUUUCCUUAAUAUUGGUAGAAUUCAGAUAUUGAGUAAUAACUAAAUUCCUUUUGGUUCUGGACACAACAUGGUUGAUUCUGCAAAACAUGCUUAGGAUAUCUCUUAAAGCAUGCUUAGGAUCAGCUUCAAGUUUAUAGGGAUAACAAAAUAUUAACUUUAGGUAAAGAAGUGAAAAAGCAAUCUUAGCAUCCCCCUUCAAGUUUGAAAAUACUAACAUGUUUUACAAUACUAAGUUAAGCAUUUAGGAUGAGUAAUAUUAUUUGUCAUGGUUUAACAUAGUAUAAGAGCUCUGAUUUUUAGUGUCUUCUGUUGUUUUUUUUAUCUUUCUAGUCUAGCAUGAUAUUAGAAUUUUGGGUUUUUAUUAUCUUUAAUCGGGUACCUAUUCAUCUGUUUUGUCUGCUUCUACACUUGAAGAAUUGAUAUUUUUUUUAUUUAUAAAAAUCAGAUUUUGAGAACUUAUCACAAAAAAUAUGAUAUUUUCUAAAAAUACAUUUCAUUCUCAGUUAUUUUAUUUUAAAAUUAUUUUUUUAAAAUAUAAAAAAUAAAUUGAGAACAUUUCAAAUUUUGAGAACUAUUCUUUGAGAGCUUUUUUAAAAAAAAUUGUUCUUUAUGGUGGAGUUUAAGCAGCAUUUAAAGAAAAUGAAAGACAUAAGUAUAAAGAAGCUUUAUAAAAAAAAAUCAAAAAAAUAUUUACUAGUAAUAUGUAAGGUGACCAAAACCAUAAGGCAACCUUGUUAGUUGAUUAAGUUACUAGUAAUCCUCAUGUCCCAUACGUAUACAUACUAUCCCAGUCUUAGUCUCAGUUCUACAUCUUCUUGGUGGUUCAGGAUACUAUCUUUGCAAAAUUAACAUGUGCUUACUUGGAUGCAACAGAGCAGCUUCAUAAGAACAACCACAUGGGGCCAAUAUUGAACCUGACCAGUACAAGCUUAGCUUGAAAUGCUGAGCCAUGUGGUGUCUCCCUUACUUUCCAAUCAUACACCCACUUGGGUCCUACCAUUUCUUCACAUUUCCUCUGUUCGAAAGGACACUGGAAUUAGGCUGCUCUAUGUUCACUUUUGUUUUUCGAAAGUUUCGUGUGAAAAUAUGAUUAAUUUUUUGAUUUGAUCAUAUGAAUCAUCUUCCUCAGUUGUAAAUGAAAUUAUUUUUGCAGAAUCAAAGGUUGGUUCUAUAAAAAUUAAGGCCCAUUCAGUUUAUCUACCAGAAAUACAAAAGAGAUAGAAACAAAAUAAACACCAAAAAUCAAGGCCAUGUUUGGGAUUGCUUCCUAACAUAGUUUUUUUUUUUUUUUUGUUGCAUUUGAACUAAAAUAGAGAUUCAUUUGAACUAAAAUAGUGUAUGGGUUUUCCAUUUCUUUUUACCUAAUUUACUUUUCUAUUAUUUGUGCAGGCAAAGCAAGUUCAUCCUGAUAAAAAUCCGAGUGACCCUUUGGCAGUUGAACGAUCUCAGGUAAGUUCACUUCUUUGUCAUUCAUUCAUCAUCUUCUUCUUAAUGCUCUACUCUCCUUCAUUCAUCCCAAAACCAAGUGGAGGACCAAGUAUUCUUAAGUAAUCAUGCAAAUUUCAGACUGAAUAAUGAACUUGGAAAGAGUUUCGUUUUGUUAUCAUGCUUUAAACUAGACAUUUCAACUCUAGUAAGGUCUGUUUUACCAUAAGUGGUAACUUGUCAUUAAUUUAACUAUCAUAAAUAGUCAUAAUCAAUCUUAGAUUAAGUUAAUUUAACUAUCACAUUUCAAGACUGAAUAAUGACUUUACUAAAUCAUUCCUCUUACUUUGCUAUCAUGUAGACUUAUAAUGAAGAGUGGCAAAGACUUAGAAGAUGGGCUGCAACUCAACUCCACACUGCAUCUUUUGGCUUGGCCUCUCUCUUCUUCUUUUCUCUUUCUUUUCAUAUUUAGCAGGCCAAGUUGAGAAAGACUAACAGGCUCUCGUUUGAAUUUGUGCAUUCCAGAUCUGUAUAAUUCUGGGAGUGAUAUUGAUGAUUUUAGCUCCCAUUGGUGCCCUGAGGCAGAUCAUCCUCCAAGCCAAGACCUUCGAAGUGUUCUCAUGAUGAUCUUCCCAUUGCAAAGAGGAUGGAUUUGAUUGAUUGGCUGAGAAGUUGAAUAAUGGUGCUUGUCCCAAGAGCCAAAUGAAACAGUUGGGUCUCGUCUUAAGAGUUCUAUAGUCUUCUGUUCUUUUUAUUUGCUUGUACAGUGCUCUGUUAAAUAUGUCACAUCAAAUAUUAAACACAAUGAAGCAUAUAAUAAUAUAUCCUCAAGCCUUAUGAUUAAAUGAAAUUAUUAUUAUUAUUAUUAUUAUUAGUAAAUAUGUUAGUUUAUAUCAUCACACUCCAUUUUAAAAUUGAUUUUUACAUUAUAUGAACAUAUUUUAUUUCUAAAUUUUGAUUCCGAAAAUCCUUUUGAAUUUUUUAAGAGCUUUUUAUUAGCUAUAAAUGUUUUCUUGAAAAUAAAAAAUAGUUAUUACUCGUAUAUUUUAUUUGUAUUACAUGAGAAAAAUUUUAUACACAAAUUUUAUAAUUAUUAAUAAAAAAUAAUAGCAGAGACUUUUUAUAAGUAAUGUUUUAUGUCGAAAAAUUUACGUUUUUUAACAGUUUUUUUUAUUGGAUUAAUUUAUUUUAUUAUUUAACAAAUUGAUAACCAUUUAAGAUAAAUUGUUGAUUUUAUUUUCCUUCCAUUUUUCCUUAACUUUUUUUUUUGUGGUUAACCAAACAAAAGAAAAUAAAUUCUUUUUUUUUCCCUUGAAUUUUCCAUAGAUAACCAAACAAGUGAAAAAAAUUAUAUUCAUUUCCUUACCUUUUUCUUUCCUUCCAUUUUUCCUUUCAAUUUUCUUUCUCUCGUAUUUUCCGGGAACCAAACAGAGCCUUAGUGAUUCAAAAGAUGUUGACCAUGAUGGAAAGACGGCUCAUGAUCUCAAACUGUUCAGUUUUGAUUCUAUUGUGGUUGCCUCAAAUAACUUUUCAUCUGAAAAUAAACUUGGAGAGGGCGGAUUUGGCCCAGUUUAUAAGGUAAUUAUAAUUUCAUUAGGCCAUAGCAUGUAAUAGGAAUAGGGCAUUCUUUGUUUAAGUACCCCAAUUAAAGCUUCCUUGUGGAUUAUUUUUGCAGGGGAAAUUACCUGAGGGGCAAGAAAUUGCAGUGAAGAGACUUUCAAGGGGCUCCGGACAAGGAUUGGUGGAGUUCAAGAAUGAGAUUAGACUGAUUGCCAGACUCCAACACAUGAAUCUUGUUAGACUUUUGGGUUGUUGCAUUAAGGGAGAAGAAAAGAUGUUAAUCUAUGAGUUCAUGCCCAACAAAAGCUUGGACUUCUUCCUCUUUGGUUUGAAUACUUCCCUUUUUUAUUCCUUUAAUCUGCUUAACUUUUCCUUAUGUUCUUUAUCCUUUUUUGCUUGAAACAAUUUACUAGUCGUGUUGUGUUCACCCAAAUUUUCAGAUCCUGCUUGAAGAAAGAUAUUGGAUUGGAAAAGACGUCACAAUAUCAUUGAGGGGAUUGCACAAGGACUUCUUUACUUGCAUAAAUAUUCAAGACUAAGAAUUAUUCAUAGAGAUCUAAAAGCAAGUAACAUCCUACUUGAUCAUGACUUGAACCCCAAAAUUUCUGAUUUUGGCAUGGCCAGAACUUUUGGGCGAAAUGCAUCAGAAGCAAAUACAAAUAGGAUUGUUGGAACAUAGUAAGCAUGACUUUUCCUUAUCUACUGCUUCUUUUUCAAUCUAGUGAAUUGAACCUUCUACUAUGGAUGCAGUGGUUACAUGCCCCCUGAGUAUGCCAUGGAAGGAAUUUUCUCAGUAAAAUCAGAUGUUUAUAGCUUUGGGGUGCUACUGUUGGAGAUUGUGAGUGGCCGGAAGAACAAGUGCUUUUAUCAUAAUGAUGGUGCCAUUACCAUAAACCUGGCAGGAUACGUAAGUCCGCUAAAUCUCAUAUUUGUCUCUACAUUAUUAUCAACACCUGGUGUAUCCUUCCAAAUUUUUCAUACUAACCUUGUAAGUAAAUCAACCCUAAAAUGAACUGGAAUCAGGCUUGGGAGCUAUGGAAAGAAGGUACUAGCUUGCAGCUAGUGGAUCCAAUGCUGGAGGAUUUCCACUCAUCAACCCAAAUGUUGAGAUGCAUUCAUAUUGCUCUCUUGUGUGUACAGGAGAGCGCAGCAGAUAGGCCUACAAUGUCAGCUGUUAUCUCCAUGCUCACCAACGAAACUGUGCCCCUACCAAACCCAAAUCUACCCGCAUUUUCCAUUCAUCAUGCAGUGUUAGAGCUAGAUUCACACAAAGGCGGGCCAGAGAGCUGUUCUGGAAGUGUAAACAUUUCAGAGAUGGAAGGUCGGUAAAGAAGAGAAUUUCAAGGGGGGAAAGGGAACCUAGAGAACAGCAGUUUUUGUCCUAACCUAUUAGCUAUUUGUCUAGAUUGAUUCGUAUUGGCAUCAUAUAUUUAUUAUAUAUAGAAUCAACUAGGUUUCCCUCAAGGUAAUCUUUUUUAAAACCUUUUUGAAUUUAUCAGAGCACAAUAGAAGCUGGUUUAGUAUCAUUUGAAACAUAGUUUGAAUCUAUAUUCUGCGGCUCAUUUAUGUUCAGUUAUUCAUUCUCAUUAUUGGGAAGGCAUCGGAUGGACUACGGCAUACGUUGGCAUCAAACAGAUGAUCAAAGCUAUGUUCUACGCCAUACGCAAAGAAGAGUACUCCAGACCACCAAAGUAGAAAGUAGAGAUAAUGUAUGACUGAUCCUCAUUCAAUUUGCAUAUACACCACCGGUUAACCAAACUUCAUCCUCCAUGCUUCAGGUAAUCCAUAGCCAAGUUCUUCUCCCACGCGCUGCAAGAGACGUAGGUCUUCAAAUCGAAAUGUCCACCUUCUCCUAAAGCGCAAGAUUUUAUUGAGAAUCAUCCCUUUCUGGAGGCCAUCUCUACCGCCUCAUCUACGCCAACUCAGAAAUUCAAAUCAUGAAAGGCUGAAAGCCCAUGUUAUGGGUUCCAACAUCCCCACCCCCCCACUUACAAAAUUUGCACACAUACAUAAAAGCUUAUAUAUUCAAGCGACACCUAUCCCCACAUCACCAUGAUGCCAAAGUUAACUCUUUGCCCAUUUCCAGCCAAAAAGGAGACAACCUAUAUAAGGAACUCCUCAUCAGCCAUGGUUUGAAGUAUUGGCAAAGACUGGCACUGCUCAGCCAAGUCGUAUUUGCCUUGACCAUGACCAUGAUCAAUCCAAGAUAAAAUUUGAGAAUUUUACAGUUGAUAAUGACUCGGUUUCAUACUUAAUUCAACCAACUCCAACUCACAACUCUACAACUCUAAUUCAAUGGAAAUAGGAGUAAACAAAAUUUGAGAAUCUCUACAUGUCCAAAAGUGAACACAUCUAAAUUAUCAAACCUAAGCUUUUUAGAGUAAGGGAGGCAAGAAUCACAAACAUGAUUACUAAAGGCAAACAACAUAAAAGGAUAGAAAAGUCAUGCAAUUCUAGUAAGUUUAGGAUGUCAUGAUCCUCAUGUGUUAAUCAAGUGAACAAAUGAGGAAAUGGUACAUCAAAGGCACAUAAGGAUAUAUCCAUUUAAUACCAAUUUUAUCCUCAUCCUCAUGUUUCAAUUUCAACCUCUUAUCAUCCCAAUGAAAUUGCCAUUUUGUGAACCUAUAUUUUUUAUUUAUGUUUCCGGUCAAAUAACAAAAUUUGGACUCUGAAAAAUUUAUUAUGAAAACUAAUUUUUUUAUUCUCUUUUGAGGCUGCCUUUAAUUUUAUUCAUUUUUAAAACAAUAAAGAAAACAAAAUUUAAAAAAUAAAAUCUUGUUUGACUCCAUAGAGGAAAAGCUAGUCUAGAAAUGAGAAUGGAUAUGGAAGCACUCAUCUAAGUUCUCACAUUAUUUGGUCUCUAUUAGUGAGCUAAGACAUGAUCUGAAAUUUGAUUUAGUUUACAUAAUCUUGCAAAAUUAGUUAUAAAUUUUAUUACCAUUAAUACAAAAAAUUUGUCACGAGAUACAAAAAUUUGAUUCAAUUAAUUUUUUUUUUUUAAAAAUCAUUUUAUGAUUUUAGUAAUUAAUAUAAAAAUUAGCAUAUAGACUAAAAAAUAUAAUUUAAUUUAUUUCUUAAAAAAUUAAUAAAUAAAGUAUUUUUCUGAUUUUAUUAAUGUCAAUUUAUAAAGAAUUAAUAUAUAAAAAAAUUUGUGCCACAUAACCUUAAAAAAUUAAUUUAUAAAAUAAGUUUCUCGUUUUUAUUAAUUUACAAAAAGAAAUAAAAAAAAUUCUAAUUUAUUUCACACAAUCUCACCAAAUUAAUUUCCAAAGUGAUUUUCUGAUUUAUUUUAUUAACAUUAAUAUAGAAGGAAAAGUUUAAAUUUAGAUCCAUUCAAUCUUACCAAAUAAAUUUAUAAAGUAAUUUUAUUUUAUUUUUUUCAAAUUUACUAAAAUUAAUAUAUGGAAAAGAAUUGAUUUAGUAUUUAUCAACUUUACAAUUAAUUGGUAAAACAAAUUAUGUCAUUAUCAAUAUGAAUUUAUAAAAGAUUAAUAUAUCAAAUACAAAUAAAAUAAAUAAAUAAAAUUUUGAUUGAAUAUUUAAUAGUUUACAAUUAAAAUUCAAAGUGAACUAUUUAAAAUUCAAAUUCCUCUCUCAUUUUUUAAAUUGAACCAUAAAUGUACAUUGAAAAGUUAAAAUAAAAUAAAAAAUAAAAAAGGGAAAAAUUAAAUAAAUAAAUAUAAUUAAAAUAAAAAUAAAAACAGAAAUAAAUAAACAUGUUUGGGUCAAGAGUGAGUGGACCUACUCUGUAUUGGAGGAAAAUUAAAUGGGCUUAAAUUUGGCCCAAAGUGAAUGUGCCUACAAUGUCAUGGGUUAGGAUAAAUUUGGGUUCUACACAUUUAGACUAUGCUUGCUUCCUAGAAAAGUAGAAAAGUUGGUGGGAAAAAUAAAAGGAAAGAAAAAAGAAAAAGGAAAUAAAAAAAUAAUUUAAAGUCAAUAAUUUUUUUUUAUAUCAUACCUUAAAUUCAAUUCACUUAUUUAGCUAUUCUAUAUAAAGAUUAAAUAAUUUAAAAAUAUGAAAAUUUCUUGCUAAUUUUUAUUACAUUUGACUUUCUUUAUUAUUUUUCAUGUUGAAACCAAAUUAAAAAAAAAAUUUAUAUAUUUUUUUUCCUUUCUAAUUAUUUUUUGGAACAAACCAUAGUCUAACUAUUAUGCAUAUAUUCCUAUAUUAACAACUGGUUGUUUGAGAUAACUUAUUUUAAAAUUUUUCUAAGAGAUGAAGUAAAUGUCAAAAUUUUAAAGGGUAAUAGCUGUUACUUUAACAAUUUGAGGGGCUUUUUUUAAAUAAAAGAAAAAAUUUAUACCGCAACUUUAAAAAAUAAUUCUUAAAAAAUGAUAGUUGGACAAAUAUUGACUGAUUUACGGCACUUUUCGCCACGUGGAAUGUGUCUUUUGAAGAGACAGCUUCCAUAAUUUUCAAAUAUUGAUAUUCACUAGAAGAAUUGAAUUUAAACUAAAGGUGUCUUUCAAAGAGACACCUUCUAGAAUUUCAAAAAAUUAGAUUUAUACUAAAAGUAUCUCUUAAAAAGACAUUUUCCACAAUUCCACAAAAUCUAAUAUAUACUAUAAAUGUCUCUUAAAUUUGAUUUUAUAUUAAAAAAAUUAGAUUUAUACUAAAAAUAUCUCUUCAAGAGACACUUUCCACAAUUUCAUAAAAUUCAAUAUAUAUUAAAAAUGUCUCUAAAAGAAACACCUUUCACAAUUUCACAAGUUUUAAUUUAUACUACAAGUGUCUCUUGGAUUUGAUUUUAUAUUGAAAGAGACACCUUCUGCAAUUCCAAAAAAUUUGGAUUUAUACUAAAAUGUCUCUUAAAGAAACAUUUGCCACAAUUUAAAAAAUUCCAAUAUAUACUAAAGGUGUCUUGAAUUUUAAAUUUCAUCUUCAACAAAUUCAAAAAAUAUUAAUUUAUACUAGAAGUGUUUCUCAAAUUUGAUUUUAUAUAGUUGUCCUUUUAAAAAAUACAUUUAGUAUAUAUUGGAUUUUGUGAAAUUGUAGAAGGUGCCUCUUUAAGAAACACCUUUAAUAUAAAUUCAAAAUUUUUUUGAAUUAUAGAAAGUGUUUACCUUCAAUAUACAAUCAAAAUCAAGAGACACUUGUAAUAUAAAUUAAAAUUUGUGAAAUUGUGGAAGGCGUAGAGUUUAGUAUAAAUUGGACUUUUUUUGGAAUGGUGGAAAUUGUUUUUUCAAGAGAAACCUUCUACUAUAAAUCCAAUUUUGUGGAAUUGUAGAAAGUGUCUCUUGAAGAGACACCUUUAGUUUAAAUUCAAUUAUUUUAAGUAUAUAUCGUAGAUUUAAAAAUUGUAGAAGAUGUCUCUUCAAGAGACACCUUCAAUAUAACAUCAAAUUCAAGAGAUAUGGAAAUAGGUUGCAUCAAAAAAAGUAAAAAUAUGAUAUAGUUUUUUUUCCACACCUCUCCUACAUGUCCAAAAAUGCCAUAAAUUUGGAAUUAUUUUCCAAUUUACGAUAUUUUAGAAAAUAAUUUUUAAAGGGAAAGUUGUGAUUUGGGCUUCCCAUCCCAACAUAAUAGCAUUUUAGAAUCCCAACAAUGGGAAAUAUGAGAAUCAACUUUUAACAUGAAAAGUAUUGUCAUUUUUGUGCACUCUGAGCCAACUCCAUCUUCUGUGCCCAAAUGGCCCCUUUGUUUCUCUAACUUAGCAUCCUCAACAUCAUCUUAACAACCCAAAAUUUCUCUCAUUUUAGUUUAGAAACUCAACUCCAAAACUCCAAGGCAGUGUCAAAACACGUCUUUCAGCUCAUCUAGGAGCCAUGUGAGUAAAAAAGAAUCUAGGAAAACUGAAAUGGAGCUUGGGUGGAGAGAGUAGAAACCUAAAAAAUCAAAACCCUAACCUCCAAACAGGUCCUAGACUUGAAAAUCUGUGUCCAAGAUGGAUCGGCAAGAAAUAACACCAAACAUCUGUUCUAGACCACUAAAUCGGUGAAGCCCUUGAAGAACCGGAGGAAAUAAUGCAAAAAAUGAAACGUAGGAGACUUUUAAAGUAUUGGGUCCCAACGAACCGGUCAAUUGAUCCUAGACCAAUCAUCUUUGGCAUUUUAGUAACUGUACCUUAGGUACUACCUUAAUAGCCUUUAGAUACUAGCUUAAUCUACUUUAGGUACUACCUUAACCUACCUUAGUUAAACCUGCAUCUUACCUGUGUGAAGGCUUAAAAAUUCAUUUGUGGAUAUUAAUUAAUUCAUUUGUGACCCUUAGAGCAUGUCAUUAUGUGAUUAAUUAGUGUGGCCAAUUGGUUCACCUUUGGUAUUUUGGGGACUAUACCUUAGGUACUACCUUAAUAGCCCUUAAGUACUACCUUAAUCGACCUUAGGUACUACCUUAAUAAAAAUUGGGUACUACCUAUUUGAAGCCUCAGAAGUUCAUUUGUAGAUAUUACUUACUUCAUUUGUGACCCUUACAGCAUACCAUAAUAUGAUUAAUUAGUGUGAUUAAUUAGCAUACCAUUAGAACAUGAUCUAAGGGCCAUAAAUGAAUUAAUUAAUAUCCACAAAUGAAGUUUUGAGGCUUCAAAUAGGUAGUACCCAAGUUUUAUUAUGAUAGUACCUAAGGUCAGUUAAGGUAGUACCUAAGGUAGAUUAAGGUGAUACAUAAGGACUAUUAAGGUAGUACCUAAGGUAUAGUUAUCGAAAUAUCAAAGGCGAACCAAUUGACCAUACUAAUUAAUCACAUAAUGGCAUACUCUAAGGGUCACAAAUGAAGUAAUAUCCACAAAUGAAGUUUUGAGGCUUUAGAUAGGUAGUACCCAAUUUUUACUAAGGUAGUACCUAAAGUCAGUUAAGAUAGUACCUAAGGUAGAUUAAGCUAGUACCUAAGGGCUAUUAAGGUAGUACUUAAGGUGCAAUCACCAAAAUACCAAAGGCAAUCGAUCGAGGACUGGUCGACCAGUUUGUCAGAACCCAAUACUUUAAGAGUCUUCCACACUUCAUUUUUUGCACUGUUUUCUUUGGUUUUUCAAGGGCUUCAUCAAUUAAGUGGUCUAGGAGAGAUGUUUGGUGUUAUUUCUUGCUAAUAGAGCUAUCUUGGACACGAAUUUGCGAGUAUAGGACGCAUUUGGAGGUUAAGUGUAGACCCCUCUUAGGCCAAGGGGUAUUGUUGGGCACUUGGUGAGCUAGGCAUUUUAUUUGAGGAUUGGGGAACAACUUUCCAUGAAGAAGCUGCUAAGACAUGUGACAAAAGAUGUGACCACCUUGCCAUGGUGGUGGUUGAAGCAGGUAAGAAAAGAAAACAGAGAAGUACCGUGGAGCUGGGUGACGGGAGACUUUUUGGGGAGUGGUAGUUGUAGGAAAGAAGAAGCAGAGGUUUUGAGAGGAUGUGAGGAAAGAAGGGUUGGGAGAGAAAAAUGGAGGAAGUUUUUUAGAUAGAGGUUUGGAAGGGGGUGUGAGAAAGGAAAAUAGAGCAAGAGAGGUGGAGAGGAAAAACAAAAAGCUGGACUGAGAUGAGGGGAUGAGCCGAGGGAGGGGUGGUCCAUGGGUGCUUCGUUUUGGAAAGAUUGAGAAAGAGUGAGCUAGGUAGAAAAAUAGGGUUGCAAAAACAUGGGAUGAUCGAUUGGUUUUGGAGGAGAAAGGAUAGUUGGACCCACGAGUUUAGGUUCUAAUAUGAAUGACAUAUGUGGAGUGGAUUGGGUGUAUGGAGGUAGUGAUCAUGGUGAUCCAGAUUUAACACAAGCCAUUUCCCACUUGAAAUAGACCACCAAAUUCUCCACCCCCUAGUUGUAUUUGGCCACAUGCAUAAAGAGCUGGCACAUGGAAAUGGCCACAGUAAAAUGAUUGUUGUUGGGAAAGAUGACACCACAUGCCUUUGGUGGGCCAUCCUUGAAGCACAUGCCCUUAUCUUUUUCUUUUUCUUUUUUUUUUAUUCUUUAUCCUCACAUGUCAAAGUUUGAUUUUUGCAAAUUUCUUUUAAAUGAUUUUCAAAAUUCCAGUUUUUCAAAUAAUCUUAUUUCCAUUCCAAUUUGCAAAUUUAAAUUUCAAAAAAAAAAUUCCAUUCUCAAUAAUUUUUCAAAAUUCCAAUUUUUAAAACUUUAAUCUUCGAAUAAUUUUCCAAAAUUCUAAUUUCCAAAUUUAAUUUUUAAAACUUCAAUUUUCAAAUAAUUUUUCAAAAUUCCAUUUUCAAAUCAUUUUCAAAACUCUAAUUUUUAAAUUUCAUUAUCAAAACUUUAAUUUUCAAAUUUAAUUUUCAAAACUCUAAUUUUCAAAACUCCAAUUUUCAAAAAUUCAAUUUUCAAAUAAUUUUAAAAACUCUAGUUUUCUUUUAAAUAAUUUUAAUUUCACUCCAAUUUUCAAAUAUUUUUAAUUCUACAGUUUUUCAUCCUUUAUUAGGGUUUUGGAUAAAAAAUAAUCUCAUUUUUAAUAAACUUGCUACAUUUUCCUUCAGUUAAGCACUUUCACAAAUUUUCUUUGAUUUUCAAAUAAUUUUUGUUUCUCUUGAUUUUAAAUAAGUAUGAAUAUGAUUUUCAUAAUUCAAAAAAAUAAAAUGGAAUUUAUGAGAUUAAUUCAUGCAAAAUCAAUUGGCCUUUGGUAGGAGCCCUACAUAUGAGUUUUUCCUUCUAAUUGUCAAUUGUUAUGCUUAAUGAAUAUUAUUUGAACUUUGUCUUACUUUUUGAUAUGCAUGUGAUAAUUUUAUACUUGAGCUACAUUUGUUUCCGUGAUAGCGCACUAUUUCUUAUUGCUAAGGUACGCUCUCACUCUCACUUUGUUUAUUUAUUCAUUAUCAUGACUUACUUUUAAUCUAUGAUAAUUUUGGUAUCCAUUGAUUUCCUAAUUAAGUAUCACACUUGCUUCAUCUUAUUUAGUAGAAACCCAUUUUUUAGGGACUUAGAGGGGUGCUACAAUCUUUUAACGUACCUUCCCUAUAAGUAACUUGACCCCUGAACCUGACUUUGGUUUUUCACAUACCUGUGUUUCCUUCAGGAGUCACACUUAGUGUUUUUCUUUCUUGUUUUGUUUUUUUCUUUUUUUAAAAAAUAUAAAACAAAAAUAAGUGGUGACUCCAAGUAUUUUCUAAAAAUCAUAAUUUUUCACAAAUAAAUGAAAAGCGAGUGUUGUCAUCGAGUGGGAAUGCAUCGUGCGAAAUGUGGGGUUUGCAUUAGGGUUUCGAUUUUUUUUGGUACUUGCUCUCUCUACUCAAGCUCCAUUUCGUUUUUUCUCAUAUUCUGUUGGACUCCCAUGGCUCCUAGACGAACCAAAAGGCAUGUUUUGACACUGCCUUGGAGUUUUGGAUUUGGAUUUCUAAACUAAAAUUAGAGAAAUUUUGGGUUGUUGGGAGUGAAGAAAGAUGAGAGAAAGCUUCCAAAUGAGAGAGGGUGACCUAGAGGUUGGGAUGAUGCUGAGGAUGUUGAGCUGGAAAAACGGAGGGGCAAUUUAGGCACAAAAGAUGGAGCCGACUCAAAGUACACAAAAAUGAUAAUGCUUUUCAUAUUAAAAGUUGAUUCUCAUAUUUCCUAUUGUUGGGUUUUGAAAAUGCUAUUAUGUUGAGAUGAGAAACCUAAAGUACAACUUUCCCAUUUUUAAAAAGUCCAUACAUUUAUCAAAAAUUCCCAAUUUGAGUUGUAAGACCCAACACUCGAUGGGGAGCAUUAUGAUUAUGAGGAGGUUGCCUUGUUGACAUUGUAAGAUUCUUUCCACUUGACGAGUCACCACUGUCAGCACCAAAGCUCCACCCCCCAAUAAUGCUCAAUUUUUAGGAAAAUUAGGUAAGUAAAUCCUAAAUCAUGCCCUCAUCCUUCAGUGGUUUCUCCUCUUAUUUGCGAAUGGGUUAGAGGUUGGGUUUUUUCUUCUUUAUCUUGUAAUGUGUCUGUUUGGAAGGGCCUUGCUCUUGUAAUGCACACACACACAAAGAAUUAAUAUAUAUAUAUAUAUAUAUAUAUAUAUAUAUAUAUAUAUAUAUAUAUAUAUAUAUAUAUAAAUUGUGCCACAUAACCUUAAAAAAAUAAUUUAUAAAAUAAUUUUCUCGUUUUAUUAAUAUACAAAAAGAAAUAAAAAAAAAUCUAAUUUAUUUCACGCAAUCUCACCAAAUUAAUUUCCAAAGUGAUUUUUUGAUUUUUACAACAUUAAUAUAGAGGUAAAAAUUUUAAUUUUAGAUCCAUUCAAUCUUACCAAAUAAAUUUAUAAAGUAAUUUUCUUUUCCUUUUUUCAAAUUUACUAACAUUAAUAUAUGGAAAAUAAUUGAUUUAUUAUUUAUCAACUUUACAAUUAAUUGGUAAAAAAAUUUACAUCAUUAUCAAUAUAAAUCUAUAAAAGAUUAAAUAUCAAAUAAAAAUAAAAUAAAUAAAUAAAAUUUUGAUUUAAUAUUUAAUAGUUUACAAUUAAAAUUCAAAGUGAACUAUUUAAAAUUCAGAUUGUGCCAUGGGUGAAUGUGCCUACAAUGUCAUGGAUUAGAAUAAAUUUGGGUUCUAUGCAUUUAAACUAUGUUUGAUUCCCGGAAAGUUUAAGGAAAAAUAUAAGGGAAAGAAAAUAGAAAACAAAAGUAGAAGGAAAGAAAAAAGUGAAAUAAAAUAAAAAAUAAAUUAAAAAUUAAUAAAUUAAUUUUAUAUCCUACCUCAAAUUCAAUUCACUUAUUUAUCUCCUUUAUAUAAUGAUUAAAUAAUUUAAAAAUAUAAUUUUUUUUUACUAAUUUUAAUUAUAUUUUACUUUCUUUAUUAUUUUCCAUACUAAAACCAAACAUAGAAAAAUUAUUUGUUUCUUUGCAUUUAUUUUCUUUUCUUAGUACUUUCUAAUAAUCAAACAUAGCCUUAGUAUUAUGCAUAUAUUCUUACACAAACAAUUGGCUAUUUGAGAUAACUUAUUUUUAAAAAUUUCUAAGAGAUGAAGUCAAUAUCAAAAUUUUAAAGGGAUAAUCUUAUUAUUAUAAAUUUUUUUAUUAAAUAUAAAGCUACUUCCAUGAAUAAAAAGAAGAAAAAAAUUAUGAGAAGUAGCUUCAAUUUCUUUCUUUUAUUUUUGUUUUGUUAAGCUUUUUUAAUUUUAAAGUUACCAAUAAAUACAAUAUGUGUUGUACGUGUGAAAAUAAUAACUUAAUGUAUUUAGACCACUUUUAAUAUAUGAAAUUCUACAAUAGGAAUAGGAAUGUAAGUGUGAUUUAUUAGUGGUCCUAAUCGUGUGCGUGCACGGGCGGAGCCGCCUUGUUGUGCCCAGGAGGGGCGGCUUUGGAAAAAAGGAACUUCAUGAGUGCCUACAGCGAGGGUGGGGUAGGCGAUCAGGAUAAGAGCUGGAGCUUGCCUUCAAAAAGAUGGGUCGGCGGUCAAGUUAACAGCUGGAGCUUGUCUUCAAUAAUGGUGGGGUGGAUUCCGUGGAGGCUUUUGCCGAUGUAAAACUACAAGACCUUAAAACCUGUAUAACACUGAUCAAAGUAUUGAAGGCACGCUUGUUUUGUGCCUAAGAAAAAGCAUGGCGUCCUCUCUGUCCUGUCCAGGCAACUCCUUGACCCAGUCAAAAACCCUCUAUGCAAAUCAAAAGGUUAUGUUCAUAUACAGAGAGAAAGAAAGGGAAAUAAAAACGAAGCCUGUUGAACGUCCUUCCACCGGGUCACCUUAUACAAAGAACAUUGCCCACGUGGUCACACGAGUAGGUGAAGGAUGGAUCCAUACAAAGGCAUAUAGAAAAUGAAACUUGGAUUCAAACAAGUCUUUUGAGUUACAACUAAUAUAUGGAAAAGAAUUGAUUUAGUAUUUAUCAACUUUACAAUUAAUUUGUAAAACAAAUUAUGUCAUUAUCAAUAUGAAUUUGUAAAAGAUUAAUAUAUCAAAUACAAAUAAAAUGAAUAAAUAAAAUUUCAAUUCAGUAUUUAAUAGUUUACAAUUAAAAUUCAAAGUGAACUAUUUAAAAUUCAAAUUCCUCUCUCAUUUUUAAAUUGAACUAUAAAUGUACAUUAAAAAGUUUAAAAAUUAAAAUUUAAAAUUAAAUAAAUAAAUAGAAGUAAAAUAAAAAUAAAAACAGAAAUAAAUAUACAUAUUUCGGCUAAGAGUGAGUGGACCUACUCUGUAUCCGAGGAAAAAUAAAUGGGCUUAAAAUUGGCUCAAAGUGAAUGGUCAAGAAUGAAUGUGCCUAUGAUGUCAUGGGUUAGGAUAAAUUUGGGUUCCAUAGAGUAUAUUUGCUUCCCCAAAGUUUGGGGGAAAAUGCGAGGCCAAAAAAUGAAAGAAGAAAAAUGAAAGAAAAAUAAAUAAAGUAAAAAAUAUAUAUUUAAAAUUAAUAAAUUAUUUUUAUAUCUUACCUCAAAUUCAAUUCAUUUAUAUGUCUUUUAUAUAAAUAUUAAAUAAUUUAAAAAUAUAAAAAUUUCUUACUAAUUUUUAUUACAUUUGACUUUUUUAUUAUUAACUAAGCAUAAAAAAAUAAGAAAAAAAUAUAAAAUUAUUUUUUUAAUAUUAUUUUUCUUUUCUUAGUGUUUUUGGAACCACACAUAGUUUUAGUAUAAUGCAUAUAUUCUUACAUAAAUGGUAUCUUAUUUCAUUACUAGUGGGUGGACUUUUGUGGUGACUAGUCAAGUAUACUGAAUCUUACAAUGCCGACCUCGAUAAGGUAACCCCCUCACACUUAGAAUGCUCAAUUUUUAGGAAACUCAAGUAAAUCCUAAAUCAUGUACUCAUCCUUUGGUGAUUUCUCCUCUUACUUGCGAAUGGGUCAGGGGUUCGGUUUUUUCUUCUUUAUCUUGUCAUGUGUCUGUUUGGGAGGGCCUUGCUUUUGUAGUGCACACACAGACAGCAUCAAACCUGGGGAAGGGCUUCAAUUCUCGAAGCUACUGGUUUCGGCACAAGGGACUUUCACACUGGGGUUCUUUAUCUUGGACACCCGCAGUUAUUUAGGAAUCUGGUACACAAGUGAUGUUAACAACAAGAAAGUUUGGGUUGCUAACAGAGACAACCCUAUAUCUGGCACCAACGCAAAUCUCAUGCUGGAUGGCAAUGGAACAUUGAUGAUCAUUCACAGUGGGGGUGAUCCAAUUGUCUUGAAUUCCAAUCAAGCAUCCAGAAACUCCAUAGCUACCUUGCUUGAUUCUGGAAAUUUUGUUGUGUCAGCGUUAAAUUCAGAUGGAUCUGUGAAGCAGACACUAUGGGAAAGUUUCGAUGAUCCUACAGACACGCUCCUGCCUGGGAUGAAACUAGGCAUCAACUUGAAAACCGGGAAAAACUGGUCACUUGCUUCGUGGAUAAACGAACUGAUGGGAUAAACGCAAACAAUGCACAACCAGAUUUUAUCCCCUCUUGUGAGAACCUAAUAGGAAUCAAUUUAAUAGAGUAACAACAAUUCACCCAAUGCAACAAGAAUAUGAAUACCAACAAUUUUUAGCGUGGAAAACCUUCCCAAAUGUGAGAAGUAAAAACCACGGGACCCUUAGGCCACUUAAACCCUCCACUAAUAUAAUCAAUGGGUUACACAAUUCUCUCUAGAUGAAACUAGAGGUUUACAUCAGCCAUAUCUCAAGACAAUUAGUCUUGGCAAAUACAAAACAACUUGCAUAAAACAAUGGAGAGAUCUCACCAAAACAGAGUCACUGUUCCCGGACACAAAUCACCACUGUUCCAAACUCCAAAUCCAAUCUCCACCGUUCAAAAUGAAGAUCAAUGAGUUAAGAACGUGCUAGCCAAAAAUCAUCUCGAUCAGACCACGGAUUAAUCUCGAUCAAGGCUGAAUAUCAGAACUGCCCGGGUGAGAAGAAAUCAGCAACAAAGACGCACUGUUCACGGACUGAAACAACAACCUUCCGAAACUCCAAAUCCGAUCUCCACCGUUCAGAUUAGAGAUCAAUGUGUUGAAAAUCUCUCCUUCAAAUUUCAGGUCGAUCGGACCACACACGAAGCGGGAUCGGCCGUUUGAUGAAAUCUGGACAGUAAAGAGAAGAAAAGAAAUUAGCGUUUUUCUUCUCUCUAACUUCAAAAAAUCAGUGGCUUUGGUCCUUUUUCUCUCCAACUUUCUCUUCUUUUUUCUUCUUACUCUCCUCCUAGGGUUGCAAAGAUGAAGAAGAAGAAGAGAAAAUGGUUUCUUCUUCCCUUUUAUACAUUAAGGCCUAAGAAGCCUUAUAUGUUUGGGCUUUGGGCUUUCCUCCACAAGAAGGAAAUAACCCAACCCAACACGAACAAGUGCCUGAUCCUGGGACUUUCACUCUAGAAUGGAAUGACACACAAUUGGUAAUGAAACGCCGAGGGGACAUCUACUGGAGCAGUGGAAUUCUGAAAGAUCGGAGUUUUGAGUUCAUUCAAACUCACCAUAACAUCUACUAUUUCAUCAGUGUUUGUAAUGACAACGAGAUCUACUUCAGCUAUUCAGUUCAAGACGGAGCUAUUUCAAAGUGGGUAUUGAACUGGAGAGGGGGAUUUUUUGACACUUACGGAACUCUAUUCGUGAAGGAAGACAUGUGUGAUCGUUAUGGCAAAUAUCCAGGGUGUGCAGUGCAAGAGCCACCCACUUGCAGGACUAGAGACUUCCAAUUCAUGAAGCAAUCGGUUCUCAAUUCAGGAUAUCCAUCAUUAAUGAACAUAGAUACGAGCUUGGGCCUUAGUGAUUGUCAGGCUAUAUGCAGGAACAAUUGUUCUUGUACUGCUUGUAAUACUGUAUUCACCAAUGGAACUGGAUGUCAGUUUUGGAGGGAUGAAUUGCCACGAGCCCAAGUGGGUGAUGCAAAUCAGGAGGAGCUCUACGUUUUGUCCUCAUCAGAAGACAUAGGUAAGAGGCUCUAUGUAUUGCAUUCCGAGAAGUAGCCAAAACAAAGUACUUGGUAAAUCUCACAUCUUCAUCGAAUUUACAAUCCUACAAAAAAAGUCCUACUGUAUAAUCGUCUACCAUUAGAGGACCUAUAGCAAAACCAUUAAAGACCCUCUCUCUCUCUCUCUCUCUCUCUCUCGUUCUGCUCUAACAAUAAAAUUUAUUAACUUCUACCUAUGCAGGGAAGCCUUGGUGGAUAUGGAUUAUCAUUCUCGUUGUAGUAGUAUUUCUGUUCAUGUUAGCUGUCUUUUGUUGUUCACAGAGAAACUCCAGAGGUAGUAUUUUAACUUUUGUAGAUAAUAGCAAUGCCAUUUGUUAAUGGGUUGGAUAAUUGGACUUGUGGCUUCUGGUAUAACAGGGAGAGUAAGGAGAGAAGUUCAGUUACAUGAAGUUGGGCCUUCUGGUACAACAGGGGAUAGAGAGGGGAAGAAAGGUCAGCCACGUGAUGUUGUGGUUCCUGGUGGUAAAACAGCGGAUAAAAAAAAGAAGAAAGUUACGUUCCUGUUGCGUACAGACGAGUGACGAGAGGCCUGAAAUCUCAGAUGUUUGCUCCAUGCUUAACAGCAAAACUGGGGACCUACCCAACCCAAAUCCACCCCCAUUUUGCACUUAAGGCGAGCCAGGGAGUUGUUCUGCUCUGCUACUUGAGAGAUGGAAGGCGGGUCAAGAUGAGAUGAGAAUUUGAUUCCCUCGUUGUAAGCUUUUCUUUAUUUACGUUUUGUUAAUUUAUAAUAAGAUGACAACUGAACUGAAGCUAGUUUUGUGAUCAUUUGGAACAUAUUUGUACCCAUGUAUUCUGGAGCUCUAUUUGCCCUUUUGCUCUCCAAAACAUCUUAUGAUAUACGUCUAUCUAUAUCCAUCUCAGCCAAAGUAGGCCAUAUAUAUGUUCUAUAAUUCAUUAUUUGCCAUUGAAUAGAUGAUCAAAACACAAGGUGGCAACAGUGUGCAUGUGAUUUAUGUCUUACAGUCAAGAGGAAAUCUACUCACAGUAAAAUUAUUCAAACAUUACUUAACAUCAACUAAGCAGACUAAAACAUAGAAACAUGAUUUAUAACAUUUGUCACCCGUCACAGAAAGAUAAAUGUCUUCAUGAGGAUGCAUAAUAUAAAUAGCUUGAAGGUUGCUUCCCAAACUUUUAAUACCAGAGCAUGCAUCUAAGCAACAAGCAGAAAACAUCAUCCUAGCCACUCAACAGGCCAGAUUAUCAAUGAAAUCUGAAACUGAGAACCUCGUAGGUAUAACAUCCUUCAACCAGUUAUACUAGGACCUCAAAACCCUUUAUGCAAAUCAAAAGGUUUCAGUUGAUUAUACAUUAUUUUCCUAAACUUCAAUACAUGGGAUAUUCAAAUUAUUAUUUAUGCUAAGGUCUAGUUGUCCAUUUUUGGACAGAUAUGUUCAUAUACAGAGAGAAAGAAAGGGAAAUAAAAACGAAGCCUGUUGAACGUCCUUCCACCCGGUCACCUUAUACAAAGAAGAAACUUGGAUUCAAACAAGUCUUUUGAGUUACAACUUAUACGCAAUGAUCCAAAGUGAUUUUCUGAUUUAUUUUAUUUUAUUUUACUAACAUUACUAUAGAAGGAAAAGUUUUAAUUUUACAUCCAUUCAAUCUUACCAAAUAAAUUUUUAUUUUCAAAUUUACUAAUAAUGGAAAAGAAUUGAUUUAGUAUUUAUCAACUUUACAAUUAAUUUGUAAAACAAAUUAUGUCAUUAUCAAUAUGAAUUUAUAAAAGAUUAAUGUAUCAAAUACAAAUAAAAUGAAUAAAUAAAAUUUCAAUUCAGUAUUUAAUAAUUUACAAUUAAAAUUCAAAUUCCUCUCUCAUUUUGUAAAUUGAACUAUAAAUGUAGAUUGACAAGUUAAAAAAUAAAAAUAAAAAUUAAAUAAACAAAUAGAAGUAAAAUAAAAGUAAAAACAGAAAUAAAUAAACAUAUUUGGGCUAAGAGUGAGUGGACCUACUCUCUAUCCGAGGAAAUAUAAAUGGGCUUAAAAUUGGCUCAAAGUGAAUGUUGAAGAAUGAAUGUGCCUAUGAUGUCCUUAGUUAGGAUAAAUUUGGGUUCCAUAGAGUAUGUUUGCUUCCCCAAAGUUUGGGGGAAAAUGCAAGGCCAAAAAAAUAAAGAAGAAAAAUGAGAGAAAAUAAAAUAAAAUGAAAAUAAUUUUAAAAUUAAUAAAUUAUUUUUAUAUCUUAUUUCAAAUUCAAUUUAUUUAUAUGUAUUUUAUAUAAAGAUUAAAUAAUUUAAAAAUAUGGAAAUUUCUUACUAAUUUUUAUUACAUUUGACUUUUUUUUUUAUUAUUAACCAAACAUAAAAAAAUAAAAAAAAUAAAAAAUUACAUUUUUAAUAUUAUUUUUUUUUCUUAGUGUUUUUUGAACCACACAUAGUUUUAGUAUAAUGCAUAUAUUCUUACAUAAACAGUUGUCUUAUUUUAAAAUUUUUAUACGAGGUGUCAAUGUAAAAAUUUUUAAUGGCAAUACCUUUUACCAAGUUGAGCUGCAAGACCCAACAUUGGAGGGGGAGCAUUCUGAUUGUGAGGGGGUUACCUUACCGAGGUCGGCAUUGUAAGAUUCAGUACACUUGACGGGACACCAUUGCCAACACCAAAGGUCCACCCUUCGGUGAUGCUCAAUUUUUAGCAACCUCAAGUAAGUAAAUCCUAAAUCAUGCCCUCAUCCUUUGGUAGUUUCUCCUCUUAUUUGCGAAUGGGGUCAGGGGUUGGGUUUUUUCUUCUUUAUCUUGUCAUGUGUCUGUUUGGGAGGGCCUUGCUCUUGUAGUGCACAAAGAGACAGCAUCAAACCUGGGGAAAGGAUUCAAUUCACGAAGCUACUGGUUUCGGCACAAAGGACUUUCACACUGGGGUUCUUUAGCUUGGACACCCGCAGUUAUUUAGGAAUCUGGUACACAAGUGAUGUUGACAACAAGAAAGUUUGGGUUGCUAACAGAGACAACCCUAUAUCUGGCACCAAUGCAAAUCUCAUGCUGGAUGGCAAUGGCACAUUGAUGAUCAUUCAUAGUGGGGGUGAUCCAAUUGUCUUGAAUUCCAAUCAAGCAUCCGGAAACUCCAUAGCUACCUUGCUUGAUUCUGGAAAUUUUGUUGUGUCAGCGUUAAAUUCAGAUGGAUCUGCGAAGCAGACACUAUGGGAAAGUUUCGAUGAUCCUACAGACACGCUCCUGCCUGGGAUGAAACUAGGCAUCAACUUGAAAACCAGGCAAAACUGGUCACUUGCUUCGUGGAUAAACGAACAAGUGCCUGAUCCUGGGACUUUCACUCUAGAAUGGAAUGACACACAAUUGGUAACGAAACGCCGAGAAGACAUCUACUGGAGCAGUGGAAUUCUGAAAGAUCAGAGUUUUGAGUUCUUUCAAACUCACCAUAACAUCCACUUUUUCAUCAGUGUUUGUAAUGACAACGAGACCUACUUCAGCUAUUCAGUUCAAGACGGAGCUAUUUCAAAGUGGGUAUUGAACUGGAGAGGGGGAUUUUUUGACACUUACGGAACUCUAUUCGUGAAGGAAGAUAUGUGUGAUCGUUAUGGCAAAUAUCCAGGGUGUGCAGUGCAAGAGCCACCCACUUGCAGGACUAGAGACUUCCAAUUCAUGAAGCAAUCGGUUCUCAAUUCAGGAUAUCCAUCAUUAAUGAACAUAGAUACGAGCUUGGGCCUUAGUGAUUGUCAGGCUAUAUGCAGGAACAAUUGUUCUUGUACUGCUUGUAAUACUGUAUUCACCAAUGGAACUGGAUGUCAGUUUUGGAGGGAUAAAUUGCCACUAGCCCGAGUGGGUGAUGCAAAUCAGGAGGAGCUCUAUGUCUUGUCCUCAUCAAAAGAUACAGGUAAGACUCUCUAUGUAUUGUAUUCCUAAAAGCAACCAAAACAAAGUUCUGGGUAAAUCUUACAUCUUCAUAGAAUUUACAAUCCAAAUACAUGAUCGAAAAUUCAAAAAAAGUCCAACUGUAUAGUUGAUAUUUCAACUCAUCGUCUACCAUUAAAGGAGCUAUAGCAAAACCAUAAAAACCCUCUCUUUCUAUCUUGAGUUCUGCUCUAACAACAAAAUUUAUUAACUUCCAUCUAUGCAGGGAACCAUUUGCAGAAUAUAAGCAUUAUCUGUGGAGUGGUAGGUCUGGUCAUAAUACUUAUCUUCUCUUGUUUACCGAGAAAUUUCAGAGGUAGUUUUUUAACUCUUGUAGAUAAAAUUAAGCAAUGCCAUUUGUUAAUAGGUUGGAUAGUUGAAAUUUUGGCUUUGGUAUAAUAGGGUAUAGAGUAAGGAGGGAAGUUCAGCCACGUGAUGUUGAGGUUUCUGGUGAUAUAACAGGGGAUAGAGAAUUGGAGAAACCUGAGCAGAUUGUACCGAGUGAUUCAGAAGAUAUUGACAGUGUCAAACAGUUCAGUUUAGUUUCUGUUAUGGCUGCCACGAAUAACUUUUCAGAUGAAAAUAAACUUGGAAAGGGUGGUUUUGGUCCUGUCUAUAAGGUAAUUAUAAUUUGAUUAAGCCCAUAGCAUGUAAUAGGACAUUAAUCUUUGUUUAAGUACCCAAUUAAAGUUUCGUUAUGGAUUGUGGAUUAUUUUUGCAGGGGAUACUACCUGGGGGCCAAGAAAUAGCAGUGAAGAGACUUUCAAGGGAUUCUACACAGGGACCAGAGCAGUUCAAUAAUGAAAGACUGAUUGCCAAACAACAACAUAGAAAUCUUGUCAGACUUUUGGGUUACUGCAUGGAGGGAGAAGAAAAGAUGUUAAUCUAUGAGUUCAUGCCCAACAGAAGCUUGGAAGACGUCCUCUUUGGUUUUAAUACCUCCCUUUUUCCUUCCUGUUGUUUGCAUAACUUUUUCCUAUGUUUUUAUGUUUUUUUGCAUAAAACAAUUUACUAGUUGUGUUCACCCAAAUUUUCAGCUCCUGCUGGAAGAAAGAUGUUGGACUGGAAUACGUGGUGCAAAAUAAUUGAGGGGAUUGCACAAGGACUUGAUUACUUGCACAGACAUUCAAUAUUAAACAUGGUUCAUAGAGAUCUAAAAGCAAGUAAUAUCCUACUCGAUCAUGACAUGAACCCCAAAAUUUCUGAUUUUGGCACUGCCAGAAUUUUUGAGCGAAAUGCAUCAGAAGCACAUACUCGUAAACUUGUUGGAACCUUGUAAGUGCCUCGACUCUUGUUUAUUUAUCUGCUUUCUUCUUCAGUCUAAUGGAUUAAUUGACCUUUCUAUUACGGAUGCAGUGGUUACAUGCCACCUGAGUAUGUCCUGGGGGGAGCUUAUUCAGAGAAAACAGAUGUUUAUAGCUUUGGGGUCCUGCUGUUGGAAAUUGUGAGCGGCCAGAGGAUUAUUCCCCCUGAUUCUAAGGGUGACAACUUAAGUCUUAUACGAAAUGUAAGUCCGUCAGAUCUCAUAUUAGUCUCGACAUACAUUAUUAUCAAUACCCAAUGCAUGCUUCCAAAAUUUUCAUACUAGCCUCGUAAGUAAAUGGUCCGUAAAAUGAACUGGGUUCAGGCUUGGAAGUUAUGGGGAGAAGGCAAUAGCUUGAAACUAGUGGAUCCAGCGGUGGUGGGUCCCCACUCAACAACCCAAAUAUUGAAGUGGAUUCGUGUUGCUCUCUUGUGUAUACAGAAGCAUGAAGAGAGGCCUACAAUGUCAGAAGUUUGCUCCAUGCUUAACAGAACGGAGCUACCCAAGCCAAAUCCACCCGCAAUUUUGCGCUCAGAUGAGCCAAGGAGUUGUUCUGAUAUGCAAGUGUAACUACUUGAGAGAUGGAAGGGUAUGCUUUUCUUUAUUUACGUUUUGUUGAUUUAUAUAAGAUGACAACUGAACUGAAGCUGGUUUUAUGAUCAUUUGGAACAUAUUUGUACGCAUGUAUUCUGGAGCUCUAUUUGCCCUUUUUCUCUCCAAAACAUAUUAUGAUAUAUGUCUAUCUAUAUCUUCGUGUCUAUAUAUUUAUCUCAGCCAAAGUAGGUCAUGUAUAUGUUCUAUAAUUCAUUAUUUGCCAUUGAAUAAUGAUCAAAACACAAGGUGGCAACAGUGUGCAUGUUUAUGUCUUAAGAGUCAAGAGGAAAUCUACUCACAGUAAAAUUAUUCAAAUAAACAUGCACACUCACCUGCUUCACAGCUAGCACGCUCACCUGCCUCAUUGCUCCAAGAAGCGCCCAAGUGAUACCUAAUCAGGCAAGUAAAAGAACCCAAUUAAUCCUUUGACGACACAAAGAGGAGCACUCAUACCGACAAACCAGACAAUGAAAGCAAAGAUAAUCUAUGACUUGUUCAACUUGCACAUGUACAAACCAGUUAACCAAACUUCAUCUUCCAUGCUUCAGGUAAUCCUUUUUUUUUUUUCUCUGAUGAGAUGCUUCAGCUAAUCCAUAGCCAAGUUCUUCUCCCACACAUUGCAGGAGAUAUAGGUCUUCAAAUCUGUUGCUAGGAAAUUUCCAACAUACUCAUGAAGCUCAAUAAAACAGAACCAAUAAACAUAAAUUGACGGAUAAAUUCCAAUUUAAGAAAUAAAAUAAAUAAAUAAAUAAAACACUUAAAUAAGAUUUGGAGAUAACUAUUACAUUAUGUUUGGUUCUCAGAAAGUACUAAAGAAAAAAAAAAUAUAAUGAAAUUUGGUUUCAUUAUAAAAUAAAAUAAAUAUCAAAUAUAAUUAAAAUUAGUAAGGAACUUGCAUAUUUUUAAAUUAUUUAAUCUUUGUAUAAAAGUGUUACGUAAGUUAAAUGAGUUUAAAGUGGGAUAUGAAAAUAAUUUAUUGACUUUAAAUUUUUAUUUUUUUUCUCUUUUUUCUUCCUUUUACUUUUUCUCUCUAUUUUAUUUUCUUUGUAUUUUCCCUCAAACUUUCUAAGAAUGAAGCAUAGUCAUAAUGAAGAGUACGAAAACAACAAACACAAAGCCCAAUACGACCCAAUCUCAGGAAAACAAAACCCAUAAAAUUAAAUUAAUAGAUCAAUUAAAGUAAUUUUGAUUUAGGACCCAAAAAAGAAGCCAAAAACCUAAAAUAAGAUAGCAGACUAUAAUUCCUACAUACACACCUUACUUGGAAACAAUCCCUUAAAGUAAAACUAAUAUAUCAAUUCAAUUUAAAUAAACAAAAUCCAAAUUUAAAACAAUUGAAAAAAACUAGAGUAUCACUUUAUACCUUUGAUGCAGUGCAAAAUUUUUGUGUCCGUCUUAGUUUAUGAUAAAUCAGGCAUGCCAUUAAAGCAACUGAAUUGCACAGAAUUUGCUGGGACUAGUUCAGUGCAAACAAAUGCUCAGGUCUAUAGAACGGAUCCCACUCACGCUGCGUCCAUUCCCCAUCAAAUAUAUCACAGUUCGUCAAUGAUUCUGAUCAAUCCUCUUUCCCUUGCUGUGCAAAGAAACUAGUUCCUUCACUUUGGUUCUCCAACAAAGAAGUCAUAACUAAGACACCACAAAGUCAAUAAAGUUGUCUCUCUCCCCAAAACUGCUAUUUCCUGUACAAGGAUUCUUCACAAAAACAAAACCAACAAGUAACCUAACAAAUAUCCAGAUGUCAAACCAAAAAAAAAUUUUGGCAAUGAAUCCAAGUAGAGGUUGGGAUUUUAGAGCAUUAGCAACUACCAUAAACCAUUAAUUGCAACCCAAAAAAUAUUAAAAUUCUGAACAUUAGAACUGAGAAUCCUAUAGGUCUACUCAAGGGAGACUAAAGAGGGGGAAGAAAGUUACCAUAGGUUAAAUGAGGGAGACAAAAAUUUAAAUGCUGAGUUUUUGGUUGAUUUUGUGCAAAAUGAGGAUGUUGAAACUUGUUAUAGAGAAGUAUACACCUUGUGAUAAUCUUUAAAACCAUUAAUUAACAAAAUAUGAUCUGUUUCACAAAUGAAAACUUGUACCUUAUUUCUUUGUACAGACUAAAACCCCAUGGUUCAAUAAGGGUAUCCCACACUACAAGUGUAGAAAAACAAAUAUAAGUUACAUCGUUUUUUCAAAAAAAAAAUAAAAAUUGAUUUAGUCUUUAUAAGAUAUAAAGGCAAAAGCCUCGAAACACUUUCAAUAUGAGCAAAAUAGCAUCUAAUCAACAGGAAAGCAAUGCUCAAGCACUAACCUCAAUAGAUGUCUUUUGACCUUCAUCUAAAAGUGGAAGGAAUAAGGUGAGUUCAUGACUCAGUAGGAAAGUUUAUAACUAUCCUAUGCAUAUCCUUGAAAACCUUGAAUCAAACAUAUAGCGGUAUGCAUGAUAAACACUUUAUAACCAUUAACAAAUAUGCAAUAAUAUCAAACAUGUACACAUGUUGCUAAUGAUUUCAUCUCUGCUUUGCCUCAUUCAUCGUUUCACACAUGAUAAGCUGUUAGCCCCCACCAAUGUACAUAUCAACCAUCAAUGCUCCCAAAGAUAUUCGACCAUAAAUAAUGACUAUUCUAGGACUAUCACCAAAGAAUAAGUCAUAUCCCAUGUCUUUUGGGACUACAACACAAAGGCAAGACCAACCCCAUGUAUUUACGGACUAAAACUCAAGAGUAGGACUAACCCCAUACAUCCACAUCAAAGUGUCUUUCUCGAGGGCUUUAGGGACUUUCACCCAAGGAUCCACGGUCCCAGAUAAACAAUAUAUUGAAAGAUAGUGCCCACAACUUCUCAUAACCACUUCCCACAUAUCAAGUUAUUCUUUGGAUAUUAUCUGUCAUUGUUCCAUAUUGUUCUUGCAAUGUAACCAUACCAUGAACCAUUUUCUCAAUAUUGAACUUGUGAAUCCUCAUACCAAUACAUAUCCAAAUAUCAUUGCAACAUUUAAAACAAUAAACUAAAAACACCAUUGCACAUUAAAGCACUUCAUGAAAUCAUAAUAAAGGUAUGAAAAUUUCCAUAAAUGCUUCAAGAAAUUAAACAAAGAUACACAAGGGAAUGGUAUAAAAUUUCCUACCUUACACCAACUUCUCUUUUGCAAUCCUUCUAUGUGGACACCCUUAGCUAUUACAAGGAACUAAAAUGAAACAACAUAAUUUAGGUUUCCCAACCAUAAAAGUUACACAAUUAAGACUUAUGACAUUUUCCUUAUUGCUAAUUUUAAUAAUUUAAUGCUAAUAACUUUAAUUUCCAUAUUCUCUAAUCAUCAUGCUCAUAGGUUUUCAAAUCAAAUUUAAGGUGAGUUAAACAAUCUGUACUAUGCAUAUUGAUAUUCCCCAAUUAAUUAGGAUAAAUUAAUUAUUUUGAUUUUCCUUAAACCUAUUCCAUUAGCAGGCUCCAAGUGUUCAAAUAAACCUAAUUAAUCACAUGAUUCACUAAUCUAUUUUUCAAUUAAAGCAAACUAAACAAACAAGCAUGUGAUUAUUUCGUCAAAAGAUACUUAAAUUAAAAUACUUAAAACCCUAAUUAACUUUAAUUUAUAAUAAAAACAUGCUUAUAACUAAUUAAACUCAAUUUUUAAACAAACUAUACCAUUAAUUUGUUUUAAAAGAUCAUUUGGAACCCAAAUUUACUAAAAUCACUAACUUUAUCUUUUUCUUUACCUUGAUUUCUUCACUUUCUCUCUUUAGCUUCUCUCUCUAGAGCUGCCAAAUUGCUGCAAAGAUAGGGUUGGAAAUGAGGGCUAGCAGCCCUUAUAAAGUGAUUCCUAAGCUAGCAUGCAUGAGGUGGCAAGUUCUAAGGUUGCCACUAAUUACCAAUUCUCCAAAUUGCAACUUAGUCCCUUUACUUGUGCUAUUUUAUGUUUUGUAGCUACCCAUUAGUCCCUUAAGUUUUCUUAAUUUUGAUUAACCCCCAAGAAGUUAAUACACAUGCUUAAAUUGUUAACUAAUCAUACUUAACCUUAAUCAAAGUUUAAUUCAUAAUUAUAUAAGAUUAGUGUUAAACUAGUUUAAGCCUCUAAUUAAACACGUUUAAAGUUAAGUACUAAGAUAAUCAUUAUUGCUUAUUUAAUUCAUUACUACUAAAUAUUGCAAUAAAAGUAUUUUUUAAAAACAAUGUUAAAAGUUAGACAUGAAAAUAAUUCUACACAAUUCAAGGGAUAUGAUACCUAUACUUGAGGGACUAAAACAAAAAAAAUUACCUUACCCAAUAAAAUGGUACAUGUUUAAUAAUUUAUUUCAAUUUGGACCAUAAUUCUCAUUCAUACGAUAUAUUUAUGUAUAUUUGGAAUCAUGAAUUGUAGGAAUCUUGCUUCAUCCACAACAUAAACAGAUAAUGCCUAAACAUGGUGAUGGUGUUACAAUGCAAAAUUUACAAAUCCCACAUGCAGAUAUCUUUAUUAGACAAUAUCACAAGAUGAAUGCUUAGAUGACUAAUGGCAUGAUAGGCAAAAAAACACACUAUCCAAACGACUUCCUGUGGGAAUCCCUCCCUGAUAAAAUGAGUAUGGAAUGAUAAUCAAAGUUAGAGUGGAGAUUAGAGAAAAUUUUAGUAAACCUAAAGUGGGGACGAGGUCCUACUCCCUUCCCCAACCAAUCUGCCUUGAUUGUUUAUAUAAUAUACAUAAUUUUAUAUUUCAAAAAUUAAGAAAAGAAUUGAAUAUGAAUUCCAAGAUUCGGGAAUAAGCACAGAACCAGGAUUCCCCUAGUGGGAAUUCCAUGCCCUCAAAUGGACAAGGGAUGGGGAGCCCUACCCAACCCUGUCUUUCUUACACCUCUAAUUAGAAAAAUUAGCAAAUUAAAUCCAUAAAGAGAAAUAAAUAAAUAAAUAAUAAGAAGAGGGAGCUAUUCUUCAAACUUUUUUGAGUUUUCCCUUGACAAUGUUGUGAUGAAAAGUCCAAGAAAGCCCAAAGAAAAAGAAUAGAAAUGCUCACCCUUCUCUCAAGUCUCAUCAGUCGGUCCCUACCCAAAAUCUAGCACCAGGCUGUUUUCCAAAGAAAGGCCGAAAAUUCUCCCUUGCCUACUUGAAAUCAAUCUUAAGAGAUUCAUUUAUAAAAAAAAAUGUGGACAAAGGAGAAGUAUGCCCAUACUCUCCAAGCAAUAUCCAUAAUUAGACUAGUAAGUGUAUAAGACUGGGCUCCAAAAGGAUGCUGCGAGAUAUCUGGAAGUUCACCCAUGACAUUUUCAAUGUACUGUGAAGUUGAAGGCUAAAGGAUAAACACAAAGCAUGAAAGCAUAGACAUGCGAAACUUGGAAUAGCAAAAAUGGAAAGUAGCAUGUGCCUUAGCAAUGCGAUUUUGUUUCUGUGUUUUUCAUGUAUGUGAUUGGGAGUACUGCCUUAUAUUUAUAGUGCAUAGAUAAACACCAUCAAACCUGAGGAAGAGCUUCAAUUCUCGUAAAAAUUACUGGUUUUUGCCAAAAGGACUUUACUUUAGGCUUUUUCAGCCUGGAAUCUAGUAGUUAUUUAGGAAUAUGGUUCACUAUUGAUGCUCAGAAGGAGAAAGUUUGGGUUGCUAAUAGAGACAAGCCUAUAUCCCAUACCGAUGCAAACCUCACACUGGAUGCAGAUGGAAAAUUGAUGAUCAAGAAGCUAGGAACUCAACAACUACUUUGCUUGAUUCUGGAAAUUUUGUUUUGGAAAAGUUCAAUUCAGAUGGAUCUAUGAAGAAGGAACUAAGGGAAAGUUUCGAUAAUCUUACAGACACCCUCCUACUUGGGAUGAAACUAGGCAUCAACUUGAAAAUCGGGCGAAACUGGUCAUUUACUUCAUGGAUAAACGAACAAGUGCCUGCUCUUGGGACUUUUACUCUAGAAUGGAAUGGCACACAAUUGGUGAUGAAAUGUCGAGAGGGUACCUACUGAGUAUGGAGCUAUUAGCCGGUGUACAAUUCCAGCUUCUUAACAAAAAACAUUGAACUCUUUUGAGGUAUAUUCACCUCCAUUAUCAGUUCUGAGCACCUUAACCUUCUAGCCACUUUGAGUUUCAACCAUUUUCUUGAAGCCUUUGAACACAGAGAGCACUUGUGAUUUGGUUUUUAGAAAAUAAACCCAAUUAAUUAUACUGAAAUCAUCAAUAAAUAAUGCAAAAUAUACAUUGUUGCUCAAUCAGGUUGUGCUCAUUGGUCCACAAAUAUCUGAAUGAACUAAUUCCAGCUUGUGAGUUGCUCUCUUGGACAUAUUUUGAGAGAAUGAUUUUGUGAUGUUGUUUCCCUAGCUCACAACUUUCACAAGUUUGAGCAUUAACUGUGAUUUCAAGCAUGUCUUCAACCAUACCAGCUUCUUGCAUGAACUUCAGUGACUUCAAGUUGAAAUGACCAUAUCUUUUGUGCCAAACAACACUCUCAUCAAUCUUGGCACUAAAGACAUGAUCUUCAACUAAAUCAAGCUUCAAAUAAAAGCUAUUUCCAUUCAUUUUAAUUUUUGCUAUCUCUGUUCCAUGUACAUCAGUGAUAAAACAAAAAAUUUAUUUAAAAGAGACUGCAUAUCCAUUUCUUAACAUUUGUGUAACACUAAGAAUAUUUUGAUCUAGUUCUAGAAUGUAAAGAACAUUAGUGACAAUUUUUGUACCUCUCUUGGUGUUAAUAGCAAUUGUCCAUUUUCCUUUGGCCUGCACAACUUCACCAUUUCCCAACUUGACCUUUGGUUGAACUGAUUUGUCAAUGGAGGUAAAAAUUGACAAAUGUUUGGUCAUGUGACUAGUGCAGCCAUUGUCAAUGAGUCAAGUAUUUAGUUCAUGAGAACUAAGUGCUUGUGAUGCCAUAAAUAAAUGCUUAUUAACAUUUUUGUCUUCUUCAAUCACAUUUGCAUGUUGUUGUGUUUGUUGUUGAGAUUGUUUUUUCUUGACUCUACAAUACUUCUCACUGUGGCCAAGUUUAUUGCAAAAAUAACAAUUAAAAUGAGGUUUACCUUUGUACCAACAAUCUUUCUCAACAUGGUUGGUUCUGCUACAAUGAGAGCAAGAUGAAAAGUUUCCUUUUCUUGAAGAUCCUUCAGCUUUCCCUUUGUUGUUCUUGAAGAACUUCUUUCCUUAUAGGUUUCCAGAACUCUUUUCCUUAUGAUUCGCUUGAAAAACACCUUUAGUAGCUUCAUCACCUCUCAUUAAGACCCUUUGCUCCUGUGCAUGAGGCUUGCUGGUUAACUCUGCAAUUGUGAGACUUUGCAAGUCACAAGACUCUUCAAUUGCAGAGAUCUUGGCUUCAAACUUUUGAGGCACUGAAACCAUGAUCUUUUCUACCACCUUUUGAUCUAUAAAUGCCUCACCAAGAAACCUCAUUUGGUUUACAACAUCCAUUAACCUGCUAGAAUAAUCUUUCACAGAUUCGUUGUCUUUCAUCUUCAUCAACUCCAACUCUCUCUUCAACGUGAGGAGCCUGACAGUUUUGACUUUGUCAUUGUCCUCAAAUUCACCUUGAAGCUUGUCCCAUACCUAUUUAUGUGUUUCCAAGUCCAUGAUUUUGGUGAAGAUGUGGUCUGCAAGUCCUGAAUGUAGGAAGGUGAUGUGUCUUUCUUGAGUUUUUCCUCCUCAUGUGCUUUCAUCUGAGCAACUGUAGGAUUUGCUCCCAAUGGUGGUGGAUCAGCUUCAAACAUCACAACAUUCCACAAACCUUGAGACCUUAAGUAAAACCUCAUCUUGACAACCCAAAUGUGAUAGUGUUCACCAUUAAACACUAAAACUACAGAGGAAGUACUACUGGAAGUAGACAUGUUUGCACCACAGCUGCCUAAAAAAAAAAAUCACUCAACCUCAUUGUGUUUAGCACUCAAAACACUCAAAGAAACUUUGCCUCACAGCCCAUAGGAACAAAGCUCUGAUACCACUGUCAGAAUCUAUAGAAAAAUAAAUAAAUCAGGAACUAGAACUUGCAGAGAAAAAUAAAUAAUUUGAGAGUUAAGAAUUGAAGGAAGGCACACAUCUAUUUCACAAAUGAGAAUGCCUAUUUAUAGGCUUACAACCAAACAGAAAUUGCAAAAAAAAGUCUCAACUACUAGCACUACUACUAAUUGAAAACAGAAAAUUAUGGAGCAAGAAUCUGAUAUGAAACAACAACAAAGACUAAGUCUAACUAAGACUUUUUUAAACUUCAGAGGCAAACUCUCAUGAGUUUUAAUAGUUCUUUGUGAAUACAUUGCAAUACUUGCUAUUCACAACAAGGGGAUAAACAUAGCAGAAAGAAAUGAAAUAAAAGAUUAGGGGGAGUUCUGAAGAAACAAAAAAUAGUUUGCAAAAUAAACAUGAAUUUCAAUAGAUAAUAAUUGCUCAUAGUGUAUAUAAGCAUCCAGGAACGUCAACAAAAUGCUCAAUGGUUCCAGAAGCAGAAAAAUGGAAGCGAUGGUAAUCUUGCAACAAUUUGGAAUUCAAUAAUUGAACCAUAUGAUAUGAAAAGUCUUUAUCCUACAAAGCAAUAAAGACAAGUUGUACCAAAUACCCGUGGUGCUAAACAUAAUAUCAUCAAGGUUCCAUUAAUAAAAGAACUAGGUCAUAUUUCUUUUCCCAAAAGACCUUGAAUCGAAAACUUCUGACUCUAUAGGGAAAUAAACAAUGAUCCUAGAAAAUAAGAGAUCACCCAACAUAAAAAAUUUAAAAUAAAAUGGUGAGAAGGAAAAAUAAAAUAAAAUAAAAAUAAAAACACACUUGUGGAAGCAUCCCAAAACUAUACGAUUAGAGAAUUACAUAAUAUUCAGAUUGUAUACUGCUUAACAAGAAGGAAUUAUCUAAAUUGGUCACAACUAGUGAGGGCGGUUUUAAAGGGCAAGGGAAAAAUGAAUCAUCUCACUGGAACAAGCCUAAAACUUGAAGAUUUGCUAUUCAUUGUUUGGGACAAAGAAGAUUCUAUGAUUAUGUCAUAGUUAUGGAAUUCAAUGUUACUUGAAAUCAACAGAAGAUGCAAUUUGGGAAACCAUUUGGCAAAGGUACUAAAAAAUACAGGAUGCUGCCUGAAUUUGUGAAUUGAAUAUUAAAAUCUCCAUUACAAAACAGGGUAGCUGAUCGAUUAUUGAGUAUUACAAUGUGAUGAAGAGUCUAUGGCAAGAGGUAGACUAUAAUCAAACAUUCAAAUGAAGUGUUUUCUAUCAUCCAUGCUGAAGAAAGCUGAAAAAGGAUGAUGCUUGAUCCACCACCAGUGGAUGGAACAACCAUGAUUGUAAAGAAACCAAGUGGAGGAGCCAAACCAAAUGGUACGAAUCAGAAUGUUAGCAUGGAGCAAGGAAGACAGGAGUUGAUGAAGAACUUAACAAAGAAGAAACUAUGGUGCUCAUACAGAAAGAAAGCAUGUCACACCAAAGAAAAAUGUGGGAAACUUCAUGGAAAACCACAAGGUCUCAAUCGGGGUGAUGGUAUGAGGAGCUUGUACUUCUUACAUCAUAACUAUUUUUUUCUCUUCAACAGAAAGUACAUCUUCUGACCAUUAGUUUCAUUUUACCUCAUCAAAAUUUCAAAAGCUGAGACCAAAACAACCUCUAAAAGAUGUGUAGCUCUUAGAUCACAAAGAGUCAAAGCGAUAGAAAAUACCUUAAUCCAAAAUCUUAGAGAAUCUUCAACAGAUUUAAAUGGUGGUAGAUGACUAUCUGCAGCACAUACAGCAACAUCAUCACGUUCCGUGCGGGCAAUUGGUCUAGCACCGGGUUUCAAUUCUCUUAUAAAAAAUUCAUUGAAUGCCUACAUAUAAAAGUUAAAAUUCAACUCAUUCAGAAAUUCAACUAUAGUAACUGUUCCAUUUAUAGAAAUGAUACCAAGAUCCAACAAUGGUAAUAACAAUAACCUCACCAUCAACUAAGAAGGUUAAAAACCAACAAAACCACAGGGGAAGUGAUAUUGCUCCAUCUCUGUGCAAAAAUCUACUUUUGUCUUUCAAUUCCAAGCUAAGCAAUGAAAAUUUAUAUGUUCCAUCUUGAGAGGGAAAUGUCCUUGUUAAUGAGGGUAUUAUUGAGUAUUAAUGUUAUUACAAGGGUACAGUAUAUAUAGUUUAUUACUGUAGUUUAUUAUUUUUCUAAUCAAUAAAAACAAGAAGAACAAACACGUUCUCUUCUCUGAUUCCUGUUGUCUAACAAGAUACACAUAAGAUUUAACACAGACAUUAUAAAUCCUUCGGUAAACAUAUCAGUCAGAAAAUUAUUAGCAUGAAGUUGAAAUGAAGGCAGUCUAAUGUGCCAUAGCAAAAUAGAGAUAAUAUAGUCAACAAUCAUUAAACAAGCACAGAAAUGAGAAUUCGUGUGCAUCAGGGGGGAAAAAGUUUGUGAUAUUAGAUACAUUGCACCUUCCCAUGUACAGCGUUCAGAAUGAGCCAUCUAUGAACCCUAAUUAGUGAAAUUGGCUGGGCAGUGUUGCUGUGUGUAAAUUUGACAUGCAGUGAGGGAACAGGAAAGUCCCAUCAGAGCAAAGCUCAAAAAAAGUGUGUCAACCUGUAAUGUGAAUCAUGAGAUGCCAAGAUGAAUUAUAAUUAUUAUUUUAUUAUAGACAAUAUCGUAUAAACUAUUGUAUAUAUGGCAUGCAUACAGGACUUAUAUUGCAUGAUGCUACUGAUGUAUGGAAUCAUAAGUAAGUAUUUCUCUCUUAAUCUUUUUGAGUAAUUAUGUUGUAAGGAUCCAGUUGUGCUAAAGAAUUAUUUCAAACUCAGUUAUCAACCAUUUCCUAAGUAAUUGAAAACAUUUCAUGGAAGUUAUAAAUCAUGGUAACAAGAUUAUAGUUCCUUCAUUAAGAGAAAUUGUCGUGCCUCAAAGAACUUAAUGAACUUAGGUAUAUCUUUAGCAGAUUCAACUGAAUUCAUUCACUUUCCCUGCUUUUCAGAAAUGCUGUACAAAACUUCUUUUGCACCUGCAUCCAAAUGGACAAACAAUUUAAGUUGUGCAAGAAAUUAAAUGCUGAAGGAGAAAAAAAUAAAAGGAGAAAAAAAUUGCAAGUUAUUGAUUACAAUAACAUUAUGUUGAUUUCAGAGAUAGUGCUUAUGGAAAAGCAUAAUGUACAAGUUUAAUUCCUCAUCAUUGUUAAAUAUUGAUUAUUCAUUUCAUAUAUGUUGUUUCCUAAUAGAUAUUUAAAAUGCAUUCAAGGAAAUCUAUUUACAGUUAGAAGAAGAAAAAAACAGCAAAAAAUGUGUAAAAGCAGUGAAGCCUCUAAAACAAUGAACAGUUAAAACUUCAGUCAGAGUACAUGUUAUUGUUAACAAAAAGUCACUAAAAGGUUAGAAUGAAAUGUAUCUCUUUAAACAAAAUGGCACAAGAUCACCAGAAAGGCAGUUGAAACCAAUAAGGAAUGUAUGAGCAAGAUAAAAAAAACAAUAUGAUUGCUUUACAUGGCAUGACCAUAAACACUAUCUAACCAAUGUCUUACUAAUUUUUUUAUCUUUAAGACAUUAAACCUGUCAUUCUGAGCAUAAUGUUUUUAGACAAAGAUGAUUAAAUUAGUCAUCCUUUAAAUGUGUCUGUCUAUUACAGAGAAGUUCUGAUCCUUGCAGCCUCUAAUUGCAUUCCAAAGGAUUAUGAUCCAAGAGAAAAACAAGUAUUUAUAAUUAACAUAAAUUUUUGAAACAACUAGUCAAUAAAUUAGAGUUACAGGGAACACCCCAAGGCAACAAGCUGUUAAUAUGAGAAUAUGGGAGGCUCAAUUCAGAGCUCAGAACUAUUAUUAUAAAAAAAUAUUUUAAAUGAAGCAGGAAUUUCAUUGUAGGAAAAUUAUGGUUGUUGAUGCACAUUCUCUUAAUAACAAUCUUGUUCGGUUGGAUGUACCGUAUGCCAUGACAACAUUAAAAAUCUUCAGCACAAUGUACUUGCAGCAAUGCUUUCCAGCCACAGGAAUCUUUCUAGUUUUGCUAGACAAGUCUCUUGACUACAUCUUUUUUUUUUUGUGUGUGAUGAUCGGUAGCAUUUUUUCUUGAAUACAUCCUUGACAAAGGACAUGUCUAACACAUAUCCAUGGCCGGUUAACAUGUGUGUGCAUAUACCUAUAUAUAAAGGAAACAAGAAAAUCAUUUAUUAAAAAAGUGAGAGUGACUACAUGAAACAGUGAGUAUCCUUCAAGAGAGCUGUCUGAAAAAGAAAAGAAAAAAUAAAACAUUUAUACAUCCCCAAAAGACCUAACAGAAGAACCAAACGAAAGAACCCACAUUGUGAAUGCUUUAGAAUGAAGGGGAGGUCUCCAAUAGAAAACUCAACUACUAUAGCUCCUUCCAGAGCCCGGUGAUUCACUAACUGGUUAACCAACCGAGGAUUCCAACUAAAGAAAUAAGAGCUCAACAAUUUUGCGACUUCAAGCAUGAAAAUGCCCUCUCAGUCCCUGGGUCACUUAAGAAAGACAAUAGCCAAAGGCGCCUGGACCAAAAUAUUAAAAAAAACUCAAUAGUAAAGAUUCACUAAUCCUGCUAGGUAAGUAAGUAUUCCCUCCACAAUGGCAAAAUUGAACCUGCUAGCUUAGAGAAAGCUAUCAACACCUAUGCCUCUAUAGUCUAGGAGAACUCCCCCAAUUCCUAUUUGCACUAGGUUACCUAGAGAACAACAAUCAACAAUAAGUUUGAGGCAACCAAGGAAUGGAACUACCCCCAAUUCAUUUUGGCAAUGUCAUAGAAACAAACAUCUCUUUGAUCCCGCAAAAUCAAACUAAUAGGAUGCAAGAGAAUUCUUUAGUUAUAGAAGCUCAAAUAAAGGAGAGGUCGUAUACAAUCAAAUUAACCAUUAUAAAAAUUUGUUAAAGAAUUUGAAUUAGUCAAGUUAUUUGAAUUCACUUCUGCUUUUGUUAUUUCAGAUUAUGUCGGAUUAGGAUUUUUAUGUUUUUUAAAAUUCAAAUAAGGGCAUAUUGUUUUCUAUAACAAUUCUGUCGUGAUCCUAGGAGUAAUUUCAAGGUUUGGUUGAUAACCCUAACCUAAGUCUAUUUAAAUGUAUUGCCCUAAAAUAAUAAGAUGAUGAUGCAAAUUAGUUUUAUAUGUGCUUUUAUGGUAUCAGAGCCUUGAACUCUGAAAAAUACCUAUGGCAAAAACAACCAUGACAGGGUCCUCACAUCGAGAUGACUCCACAUCUAUGACAUCUGAUCAAUCCCAUGCCGAUUAGUCUGUCACGACAUUUCCUAGCAGGGACAACAACUCACUCCAGAUUACAGCGCACAGGCUGAAGGGCAAAAAUUACCUUCAAUGGUCCCAAUCCGUGAAGAUUGUUAUGCGGUAGAGGCAAAUUUAAGUACCUCACUGAUGAAGCCAAAGCUCCAGCAGCAACUAAUCCAGCAUAUAAAAUUUGGUUUGCUGAAAAUUCUUUAGUGCAUGUCUGGUUAAUUAACUCGAUGGAACCCAAGAUUAGCCGCCGAUAUCUAUUUCUCAAGAAAGCCAAGGAUGUGUGGGAUAUUGCCCAACGAAUGUACUCCGAUCUUGGCAAUGUGUCACAGGUGUUUGAAAUUUGGUCAAAAUUAAAGGAGAUGAAGCAAGGCACCCAGUCGGUUACUCAGUAUUUCACUGACUUGGAGGAUAAGUGAUAAGAAUUGGAUUUGCUUAUUGAUGAAAACUCAGUGUGUGCAACUUGCAAUGUGGAGCAAUAACAAAAUCUUGAGAAUGAACGGGUGUAUGAUUUUCUUGUUGGAUUAAACCGAGAUCUUGAUGAAGUCCGAGGAUGUGUUUUGAGUCAAGUUCCAUUCCCAACAAUUGGAUUUGCUUAUUGAUGAAAACUCAGUGUGUGCCACUUGCAAUGUGAAGCAAUUACAAAAUCUUGAGAAUGAACGGGUGUAUGAUUUUCUUGUUGGAUUAAACCGAGAUCUUGAUGAAGUCCGAGGAUGUGUUUUGAGUCAAGUUCCAUUCCCAACAAUUGGAUUUGCUUAUUGAUGAAAACUCAGUGUGUGCAACUUGCAAUGUGAAGCAAUUACAAAAUCUUGAGAAUGAACGGGUGUAUGAUUUUCUUGUUGGAUUAAACUGAGAUCUUGAUGAAGUCCGAGGAUGUGUUUUGAGUCAAGUUCCAUUCCCAACAAUUGAUGAAGCCUUUUACUGAAGUAGAGAAGAAAAUCGUCGAAAAGUUAUGUUGUCUUAAAGACUGCCGAGUGCACCACCAACAAAUUGAAAGCUCGGCCUUGAUGACCAAAAACAACUUGCAACCAGGAAAGAACAACAACAAUUCAAGAACAUCACGCCGAGGAGAACGAAUGUGGUGUGAUCACUGUAGUCACCAUGGACACACCAUGGAUAUAUGCUGGGAGAUUCAUGGAAAACCUGUAAAUUGGGUUCUCCAGAGAUAGACUGAAGGUCGAGAUUUUCAAGCUCAAUAAAACCAAGACAAGCAAGGAAUAGAUUCUUCAACACAACAUCAAUCUACAAAUUCAUCAAUUCCGUUCAACAAGGUACAACUUGUGCAAUUCUGUCGUCUUCUCAAUCCAUCACCAGCCCCAUCUUUGUCAAUUCCUGAUCUAGGGUCAUGUUCUAUAGCACAAUUUGGUAACCACUUAGCCCUAACAUCUUUGGUUCACUCUAAGGAACCUUGGAUCAUUGAUUCAGAUGCCUCCGACCGUAUGACAGGUGGUUCUCAUUUUUUCCUCUUUUAUAUUUCAUGUCCUAGUUCUAUUAAAAUAAAAAUUGCAGAUGGAUCUUUAUCUUCUGUUGCUGGAAUAGGUUCAAUAAGAGUUUUUAAGCAUUUAAUUCUACACUCAAUCCUUCAUGUUCCUACCUUAAAAUGCAAUUUGUUAUCCAUUAGUAAAAUCACUCGUGAUAAUAAUUGUGUUGCUAACUUUCAUUCUUCAAUGUGUCAAUUUCAGGACCUGUCAAUAGGGAGGACGAUUGGCAAUUCUAGAAUUCAUGAAGGGCUUUAUUAUCUUGAGAACACACACUAUGAGGGUCGACAAGCUUUUGCGUCAAGGGUUACAUCAGUUUCUGUUUUUAGUGCUAAGGAAAUAAUGUUGUGGCAUCAUUGACUUAGUCACCCUAAUUUUUGCAUACUUAAAAACAUUUGUUACCUUCGUUGUUUAAACAUGAAGAUUCUGUUUCUUUCACUUGUGAUAUAUGCCAAUUUGCAAAACAUAAAGUACCAUUUUCUCCAAAACUCUAUACACCCUCAAUGCCUUUUACCUUAAUUCACAGCGAUAUCCGAGGUUCAUCCAAAGUUACCACAAUGCCUGGAAAACGGUGAUUUGUGACAUUUAUUGAUGAUCAUACAAGAUUCACUUGGGUAUAUCUUCUUUGAGAUAAAUCAGAGACUUGUUAAGUGUUCCAAAAUUUCUACAAUAUGGUCCAAACCCAAUUUCAGAAAAAUAUUUGUCUUACGAAGUGACAAUGGGAGAGAAUAGUUUCAAUCUAUCUUGGGAGAUUAUUUAUUGCAUAGGGGAAUUGUUCACCAAAGCUCGUGUGUUGACACCCCACAACAAAAUGGUGUCUCAGAAAGAAAGAAUAUACAUUUAUUGGGUGUGGCUUGUGCUCUUAUGUUUAUAAUGAAUGUUCCCAAAUAUUUGUGGGGGGUGUCAUUUUAAUCGCUGCAUUUCUCAUUAACCACCUACCUAAUCGCACCUUGACCUUUAAAUCCCCACUAUCCAUGCUUUCACACAUGUUCCCACAUCUCAAUAUGCUUACAAAUACCCUUCCACUCAAGACAUUCGGUUGGACUGCAUUUGUCCACAUUCAUUCUCAACACCUAACCAAACUUGAUCCUCGAGCCAUCAAAACAAUCUUUCUUGGUUCUUCUCCAAUCUAAAAAGGGUAUCGGUGUUACUAUCCCCAAACCAAGAAAAUGUUUGUCACCCAAGAUGUCACAUUUUUUUUAAGAAAUCCUGUAUUAUUCACAUACUUUGCUUUAAGGGGAGAAUCGAGACUGAGAAGCUCCUAUGUGGGAUUGGGAUACCGUUGUUUUACUCAUAUCUGAGAUCCCAUUGCAACUUACAAUAUUACCUGAGACUGUGGCUACUCCAUCCAUGAUACCUGAGCUCACCUCAUCUAAAACCUCACCACCAACUGAAACAUUGUCACAGUAUUCACCUACAGUACCAAUCCCAGCAACAAAGGCAAAUCCAACCAUACCAAAUUAGCAAAAGUUAUAGGUUUACUCUCGGAAAAAGAGUUCUCAAGGAAAUAAUCCACUCAUGAGCACUAUGCACUGUCCGAAAUCUGAACUUAUGUUAGGAACUGGGUUUUCAUCCUCAAGUAAUCUUGAAACCAUUUUUGAUAGACUAGAUGAACCUAUUGCACUUAGAAAAGGUGUUAGGUCAUGUACACAACAUCCUAAUUCUAAAUUUGUGUAAUAUGAUAAUCUAUCUCCUUCGUUUCGUGCCUUUACGACAAAUGUUUCUAGAAUUGAUGUUCCUAGGACAAUAGAAGAUGCUUUAGUUGUUCCCAAAUGGAAAAAUGUUGUUCUUAAGGAGAUGUGAGCCCUUGAUAAGAAUGAUACAUGGAGUUUGAUGGAAUUACCACAAGACAAGAGUGUGGUUGGAUGCAAAUGGGUGUUCACUAUUAAAGUGUGACUAGAUGGCUCAAUCGAGAGAUACAAAGCAUGAUUGGUUGCAAAAGGUUUCACACAAACAUAUAGUAUCUAUACUAAGACAUUUCAUCCCAUUGCAAAGCUCAACACAAUUUGUGUCCUAUUAUCACUAACAACAAAUUUAGACUUGCCAUUGUAUCAACUUGAUGUGAAGAAUGCAUUCUUAAAUGGAAAAUUGGAGGAAGAAGUGUAUAUAAGCCUACCACCCGACUUUGAAGAAGAUAAAAAAGGUAAAAUGGUAUGCAAACCAAAGAAGUAUCUAUAUGGUCUCAAGCAAUCUUUGCGUGCAUGGUUUGAAAUAUUCUCAAAAGUGAUCAAGAGUCAUGAAUAUUAACAAGGGCAAACUGAUCAUACUUUGUUUGUCAAAUGCUCAUCCAACAAAAGGGUUACGAUCCUGAUAGUAUAUGUUGAUGACAUAAUACUCAUAAGAGAUUACUUCAAUGAAAUGGAGGUGAUCAAAAGAUUAAUGGCAAUGGAAUUCAAGAUUAAAGAUCUUGGAACUAUGAAAUGGAAUGAAAUUAUUCAAGGAGAACAAUGGAAUGAAAUUACUCAAGGAGGAUAAUGAAAAUUAAAAGAUUUAUCAAAUCCAAAACCAACCAAACCUUUAACAAAUCCUUAAAAAAUUAUACAACCACUACUACAAAAAUUGUAAAUAAUGAUGUUUAAUUCCUUGGCACUUUUAAAAAGUGACAAGGAAUGCAAUGAAUAGUAAUUGUAUAAAAGAAUAAUGGUGUUUUAUAAACAUGGUGUUUUAUGUAAGCGUCAUUGUUGCACUUCAUCAUUCUUGGCAGUUGUAACAAAGUGUCACUGUCUUCUAGUAUUUAUAUGUAGUCAUAUUUCCCCAUUUCUCAAACAUCCCGUCUUGUCUCAACAAACAUCCCGCCUCAUCUCAACAAACCUAGAAAACUAAACCUAAAAUCAUCCCUGAUUUCUUGUCUUCAGCAAACUCGUAGGAGACGCCCAGCUAUCGAACUAUCGAACCAUCAACUACUGACCGGUGAUAAUGAGAGUACCUCAUCGAAGACACCCAAAAACACUUCAUUGUGUUAGGUAAUUUCUAACAGUGGGUAAAAAAACAAUAAUAAUAAUAAUAAUAAUAAUAAUAAAAAGAAAUAGAAUUGGAAUCAUGCAUUUUCAAAGCUUGAACGCAGUCAAUCUAUUAGAGUUUUCAAGAUCUAGUAUUUCUGUUGGAAAAGUUAAUUUUUUUGGUUUGUAGUUGGUUGGUAUUCAGAGUGGCGUAGAGAACUUCAAUGGCUGGAAAUGGAGAAGAGGGGAAAGCCUUGGCUGGUAGCAUUGGUGGUGGUGUCUUUGUUGUUUCAAAAUAUUAGGGUUUCGUUGGUCUCUCAGGAUUGAAGUAAGUAGUUUUUCAUUUCGCGUGUUUGGUUGUAGGGAAAGUGGAUAAAUCAACUACAAAUAUGCAGAAAAUUUGUUUCAAAAUUGAGUUUGGGGCUUUGAAUUUUAAUUUAGUUUAAUGUUUAUUUGGGUAUGUACAGGUUUGGUUUUGUUCCAAUUUCAAAGAGAAAGAGAGUCAUGAGAGAUAUGUUUGGCCUUUGGUGAAUUGGGAUAAUGGGAGCUUCACCUCUGUUCGUGGUUUGAAGUGGAGUGCUCCAAUUGGAAAGCAGCGAUUUUGUGAGUGAUUCUUCCCUAAAAAAACAAUUGUAGAAUAAUUUCUAUUGUGCUUUGGAAUGAAAUGAUUCUUGUUGCUUCUUCUCAGUUGGAGGAGCUUUGCAGCAUCCCUCGUUGAUUGCUCCUUCCCGAGAACGAAAUGAAUGUGUUUGAGGAUGAUUUUGAAACAUGGAGUCCUGAGGGCAGUCCUAGCAGGACUCCAGAGUACAUGCUGGGUGGUCACAACCCUUUGGAGCCCAGAAUAAUCUCAAAUGGAACUAUGGGCCUGAGCACUGAGACACCACUUUUGUGUAGAGUGUUUUCUUAGCAAGGAUUAAUUAAGUGAAAAUUCUGGCAAUAAAGAAAUUGACACUAUUCUAUUUUAGCCACAAUCCAAGUGAUUUUGUUAAAAUGAACACAAAAGUUUCUUGAUGAUAAUCAUGGCAUAACUGUUUGCAGACUGGGUAGAAUUCAACUUUUUACUUGGUUAUAAGUGUCAUUAGCAAGGAGUUUGGUGGAACUUCCUUUAACAUUAUUUCAAUAGAUGUGGUUAUAUGUAGAACAUGGAGUAAAUAAAUUAUCACAUGCCAAUACAAGUUUAGUAUUGAUGGAUACUAUUUGGGUAAUCUGAUGCAAGCUGACAUCCAAGCGACUAGCAAAACCUCUAGCCAUGAGAUAAUGAAGAACUUUAAGUUGACUAGUUUUGGUUUACUACCAAGGCUGAAAUUUUGACCUUUUUUGAAGGCUUGAAAAAGGUCCUUUCCUAGGGGAUGAUAUUUUCCCUUUUGAAAGAUAUUCUUCCAUAGUCAUUUCUUGUGCCCAAUACCAAGAGACAUGACUUCUAGAGCUACAAUCAUUAGAUGAUAGAGAUGUUUGAUUUAUCAAAAAAUAUGGAAAUUUCUUUCUAUUGGAAGCCUAGAUUAGCUAAUCAUGCAAUUAAUGGAACCUACACAUGGAAUUGGGCUAAAAAAAGAUGAUUCACUAAAAAGUUCUAGCUUGUUAGCCUCUGAUUUUUAUUUUUUUUAAUGGGCAAUAAAAGCUUAAACUGCAAUUGCAACUGUUAGGAUAUUCAAUACCUUAUUUGGAGAUUUCAUUUGGUUAAAGCAUUUAAAACUUGAAAAAAUUUUCUUAUAUCUUUCUCCUGAUGGCAAAAUUUGGGCUAAUUUUUUGUGAAUAUAUCAAUGUUUUAUUCCAUUUUUGAGACUUUUUACUUUAUUUGAUCUCGAAUCCUUAAUGAAGUCAAAAGAGUGACAAUUGUGGAUCACUUAGUGUAUGCACGUCUAUAUCAUAAAUUAUAUAUGGCAAUAUGUAGAAAGCAUAUCAAAGAAAUAAAAAUAAACCUUAAAUAUUUUUGGUUUUAUAGGAAUAUUCUAUAUAGGAUAAAUUCUAUAUGGCAAUAUUUUGGUUUUAUUUCCAUUUAAUACAAAAUGGAAUUGACGCCCUAAUAUUUUUUAAUUAAAUAUUCCUAUGUUAUCUUUAUACUAUUUUUAAAUAUUUUUUAUGAAUUAAUUAAAAUAUAUUUCAUUAAUUACAAUAUUUUUUAAUUACUAUAUUUAAUUAAUAAAAUAUUACUAUAUAUACAUUAAUUAAAUAUUUUGAUUCAAUGUAGUACGUUAAAGAAUUGAAUUAAAAUUUAGAUGUUCAUUAAAUUUAGUUUUAUUUUACACUUUUCUUCUUCUACUUUCUAUAUUUUCUAUAAAUUCUAUUUUAAUUUUGGAAAAAAGGAGGGGAAAAAUAUAAUUUUAGUAAAUAUAUUAAUUCUCUAAUCCAAAUAAGUAAAAUCAAUUUAAUAAAUAAAUAUAAUUAUAACACAAAUACUAUUGAAUCUACCUAAAAUAUUUUGAAGGUGGUUUGGAAGCAUUUAUCAUAAUGUUGGAAGUCUUUGGUAAUAAUUGAAAAUGUUUUUGUCAUAAACAUUUAACAUUUGGUAAAUUUUAAUUGUGAUUUUGAAAGUUUGUAUUACCAAAUGAUAAUUUUUGAACUAACUCAUGAAAUAUGCAUUUUUCACAAAUUAUUUUUUGGUAGCCUAUUAUAUAUAUAUAUAUAUGUAUAUUAUAAGGUAUUAAAAUAAUUUACCAAACCAUUUGAAAAUAGAAAAUAGUACAAAUAAAAUUGAUAACACAAAAUUUAAUUAUAACCUAAAAACAAUUUUAGGAUAUUUGGCUCUAAGGGGUAUUUGGGAUAAAUUUCCUGUUACCAUGAUUACUUAGUUUAGAUAUUUAAAAGGUUAAAAUUAUAAUUUCAAAAAAAUUUUAUUAAAAUUUUAAAAUUAUGAAAACCAUGUCCCAUGUUCAUUAUUGUGUGCUCCUAUAUUAUGAUAUAUGGUUUAAAAUUAAUUCUCAGUUUCUCCAUUAGGAUGCACUACUUAUUUAUUUCACAUAGGCAUCUAGAAUUUCUUCACAUUUUAUUUAGAUGUAUAUUAUAUUAUUUUUAUAAUAAAGAGAUUAAAAUUUUAAUCAAACAAAAAAUAUUUUUAUUUUCAUGAUUUUUAUUUUAAAUGAAAAAUAUAUAUGUUAAACCAUAUAUUAUCGCUAUAAUGCUUGUGAAUUCUUCUCAAAAACAGAAAUCUAAAAAAAAAAACCAAAUGCAAAAGUACGGCAUAGAGACAAGUUUAAAUUAUAUAGUUCACAAAAUACCAUUAUAGGCUAAAAUUUAGACAAAAAUAAAAUUAAUUAUUAAAUAUUGAUUGUUUUAUUAUUUGUUUUGUAGGAUAAUUACUUGAUGUGUAUUUAAAAUUAUCAAUUUAGAUUAUUUUGAUUAAAUUUUGUGUGGACCUUUUUGUAGAAGAUGUUGCUCUCUAAGUUGUGAAAAGGCUUUUAAGCCUCCAUGUUAAAUGUUAUAUAUUUAAGAUAAACGUGAUAGAAUGAGAGUUAUGUUGUCUUGUUGUAAUAUUCCAAUUAGUAAUUGUGUUUUAAUUUUACUCAACUAUGCUUUGCAUUAGAGUUCCCGUUCAAGUAUCAUUGUGAGACAAAAGUUUCUGUUAUUACAUAGUAAAAACAUUUUAGUUGUCAAAAGAUGAAAAUGGUUUUAUCUAUGCUAGUUUCACGUUGACAACUUUUAAAUUGUCUACCAUGUGAUAAAGAUCUUUUCUCUACAAAUGAUGCUUGAAUUGUCCGAUUGGAUAGUGUAGGAAAACAUAAUAUCUAUGAAGUUAAUUGCUUGUUCUUAAUUCAUUUUAAAUAAAUUUUGGUACUAUUUCCUCUUAUUCUCUGGGUACAUACUUGGACAAGGUGACAUAUUAUGUCUUGUCCAUUUUGUGUACUUGGAGAACCAUAGGGAAAUGCUGCUGAAUUUUUUUUAAAUUUAAAUUGAGCACAUUGGCAGUUGACACAUAGAGAUUAUGUAUUCCUAUAUAGGAUAGGAACCACUCCCUAAUUUAUGAUGUUGGAGAUGUUAGAUGGCAUAAAAAAUUGCAACAUAGCUUGAAUUGUAUAUGCUAAUAAUAUUAAUAUGCACUUGUUUAAUUGAGGUUAUGCAUCACCUUUAAUGCAAGUACUCAAGGUCAAUAACAUUUAUAGCUUCGUAAUCACUACUACAUAUAACACAUACAAUGACCUUUUGUUUUUUCUUGGCAUUUUUUAAAAUUUUCAAUAAUUAGCGUGUUAUUCCAAUAGUGUAAAUAUAUGUAAAAAGUCAAAAUGAUUAGAAAAUUAAUGCUCACCCUUUUUCUCUUAAAUCUAGCCUCUUAAACAAAUGUUAUAUUAAAUUGAUUAUUGAUUAUUCUUUGAAUAGAAGAAAGAGAGGUUGCUAAACGAAUGACAUAAAAAUUGUCAAUAUUUUCUUCCAUUUGAAGUUUGAUCACUGUUGGAAGUUUGUUAUUAAAAAAUGGACUAUUCAUGGAUCUCAAAGGAUAGAAGAUCGAAAGAGUAUGAGGAUGGGGUAGAACAUUUUAUCACAUUUGCAAUACAAAAUUCUGUAAAUAAAAACUCCAUUAAAUGUCCAUGUUUACAGUGUGGUAAUAUGAUAUUCCAUACUCCUCAAAAGACUAGAGAGCAUAUGUUUUUCCGUGGAAUUGAUCAAAGUUACCAUACAUGGUAUUGGCAUGGAGAGGUAGCUCCAAGUGGACCACCAACUACAAGAGUAGAACAUUACGAUAAAGUUCAAUUUGAUGAUGUGCAUAGUACAAUAGAAAUGGUUCAAGCUACACAGGAGGAUUGUAAAAAUGACCCAGAAUCAUUUCAAAGAUUGCUGAAAGAUGCAAAAAAACCUUUAUAUCCUAGUUGUAGAAACUUUACAAAAUUAUCUGCAUUGAUUAAAUUGUACAACCUAAAAGCACGCUUUGGGUGGUCUGAUAAAAGCUUUUCAAAGCUUUUAGAAAUGCUUGGAAAUAUGUUGCUUGUAAAUAAUGAGUUGCCUUUGUAUAUGUAUGAAGCAAAAAAGAAAUUGAAUACAUUGGGAAUGGAAUAUGAGAAAAUACAUGCAUGUCCCAAUUAUUGUAUCCUUUAUAGGAAUGAGUUUAAAGAUGCAUCGUCAUGUCUUACUUAUGGAACUUCAAGGUGGAAGACAGAUAAAACAGGAACUAAAAAGAGGAAGGGGGUUUCGGAAAAAGUAAUGUGGUAUUUCCCUCCAGUUCCAAGAUUUAGAAGAAUGUUUCAAUCAUUAAAAAUCGCAAAAGAGCUCAUAUGGCAUGCCGAAGAAAGAGAUUUCGAUGGUAAAAUGCGUCAUCCAUCAGAUUCACCAUCAUGGAAGCUAGUUGACCAUAGAUGGCCCGAGUUUUCCUCAGAAUCUAGAAACUUGAGACUUGCCAUUUCAGCAGAUGGCAUAAAUCUUCACAGUUCAUUAUAGUACAUUUUAAUAUCUUAAUAGGUGGCAACAACUAGCUAUACAAAAAUCAUUGAUAGAAGCAUAUUAUGGAAGAAAGCAAUGAAGAAGAAAGAUGGCACUUAUGAUGAAGUUGUCAUACCAGUGGUGGAGAAGAUUGUAAGUAUACAUUUUCUAACAUAUAUUUCAUUUAUUUUAAGACCUUAUUUAUAGUAACCAGUAUGACAUUGAAGUUAAUAACAUCAUUGUGGUUUUAGGACAAGAUGUUGAAAGAGUCAUGAGAAAGGGGUCGAAUUUUUAGUGGUAAUAAUGACAUACUUACAAAAGCAUUGGGCACUCUCGAAUACAGUGGUCGAGUACGGGCUAAAGGCAAGCAUUAUACACCACACCAAUAUUUCCAUUCCAUGGCAAAUAGUGUUAUGCGGGAAUUUAUGAAAGAAUCUCAAGAGCGACAAUCUAAGUUUGAGGCAGAUAUUUUAGCCCAACUUUCUCAGAUGAUGCCUAGCACACUUCAAUAUGAUGUUAGCAGCUCUAAUGUUAAGAAAAAUCAAAUUUUCCUGCCUCAAGCUGUUGAGCAACCUAAGUGUCAAGUUGAUGACCAUGUCCUAAUAGUGCAAAAAGAAAACAAGGUAUGUUGUGAUUAAUAUUAUGUUCUAUAAUUCCUAUGUGAUAACACAUAAAGUUAGAAAUUUCAUUUCAUUCAUCUAGUUGAAACUAUUCAAAUACCAACUCAUUAAGAGACAUUUUCAUCCUUCAAGAAUGAAAGUUAUAGGUUUUAUAUAUAGUUUUUACUUGUCUAGGUUUGUCCCACCUACAUGAUGAAUGAGCUAACUAUGGAAAAAACUUUUCUUAUGGUACAAGCACUAGUUUUUGACAUUUAGGGUUUAUAGGGUUUAAAACCUUUAUGUGAACAAGCAUCAUAUUUGACCUUGAUGAAUCAAUUUUCCUCAACUAACUCUUACGGUCCUAGUAAAAUUCUGAAUUUUCAAUGGUUGCAUAUAAGUAAACAAUCUUGUUUAAUUUUAUAGGUUAGGAAAUGCCAAUUGGCCAUAGGGACAAAGGAAAAUGUAGAUGUAGUUGGCACAAUUAUACUUGAAUGUGGUGUUAACUUCUUAGUUGUUGUGGAUGCUUCUUAAGAGCCAAAUGCACCACUUCCUAUGCCUAUUCCUAACCAAAUUACAACUAUUGGAGAGGCUCUUGUGUAUCAAGUUUUGUGGCCUGUCCAAAUGGUCAGUCUUACUACUCAUCCCAUCGAGGUACAAUUUUUUUUUUUUUUCAAUUUUCAUUAACAGUUUCUUAGUAAUAAUUAUAACUUAUUUUAUCAAGGACAAUAAUUAUAUAUGCAAUCAUACACUUUGUUUUUAGGAUUCAAAGAAAUUUAAGAAACAAAGGAAUAAAGAAACACGAUUAAGUUCUAAGGAUGAGAACCCCGUAGACAUUAAGAACUUUGCUACAUUGGUUGGACUACUACUCAAGGAAGGGAAGGUACAUGCAAUAAACAUCACAAAGGAUGUUUUUGGAGAGUCUUGUAAGAGCUUUCUUAUUAAUUAUGAUAUGGAUAUGAUAAUUUCAUCAACAGAGGUGUCAUCUAAUUGUCUUAUGUUCUAUAUAUGGUGAGGGGACAUUUAUUUUGUUUUUUGUCAUAUAUUUUAGUUGCUUCAUGAUAGUUUAAUUUUUAAUUAUAAUCAUAUUAGGAGAGUUGAAAUGUUAGUUACAUUAAAAUAUUAACUUCUUGUUAACGGUAUGUGAAAUUAAAUUAGGCACUUGCAUAAAAAAAUGGUUGAUGCUAAGAUGGCCGGACAAUUUGCUUUUGUAAAUCCAGCUUUGGUUUCCAAAGCUGGAAUGGGGGAAGCAAGCAAGGAAAAUAGGUAAAGGUUUAUUGCCAAUUGAUUGAUGAAUGCAAAUCAUGCUGACUUUAUUUUCAUUCCAUACAACCCAAGGUACAUUAUAGAACUUAAGUAAGCUAUGUUGGUAAACUUAUCAAAUCAUAAUUAAUAUAUAACUAAAUUUAUGUAAAAUUUUGUAGCUAUCAUUGGGUUUUGGUGGCACUGGAAACAAGGACUAUGAUUGCAUAUUACCUUGACUCAUUGGAAGACCAACCUUCUGAUGAUCUUAAGGAGAUUGUUAAUGUGUAAAUUUUUCUCUCAAUACAAGAGCAUGAAGCAUAAUUGGUAACAAAUAUUAUUUUCUUCAUGUAGGGUCCUUAGAAUUCAUCCACCACAAAAACAUAAAUCAUCAAAGAGGGAGCCUACUUGGGUUGUACUAGGGGUGAGUAAUUCAUAUAAAUUAAGUAAUGCAAUUUUUAAUACCAUUUCUUAAUUUUUAAUUAAGUACAAGAUAUCCUACAACUAACUAUAAAAUUGGUGUAUUCUACAAUGAUUUAUUUUUAUGCAUAAAAUGCCCAAUAGAACCAGGCAGUGUUGAAUGUGGAUAUUAUGUGAUGAGAUAUUAUUGCUGAUCAAGGAUGUCUUACAUCAAAGUUAUGCACUAUUUUAUUAAUUUCCAAUAUAUCAAUUUUUACCUUAUUUUUCAAUGUAAUUGAUUAAAUUGUUUACAUUACUCCUUAAUAGUUUCAUGGAAAAAAAAAUCGUAUAGCAAAGAUGAGUUGAACGAAGUACGAUCAGAAUGGGCAAUGCUGGUCACUUAGUUGAUACUUUCUUUUGUUUGAAGGCUUUGAAGACACUUUUUUGUAUGGAAAUAAAUCAUACUUUUGCCUAAUCCAACUAUCACUUUUGUUGAGGUUAAUAUUUUAUUUUUUUCUCUUUUGAACCAAACUAUGAUUAUAAGUAAAUUGUUUGAUGGAAUCACAACCAAGUUGAUAAUAUUUUCUUUCUAUUGUCAUGAUAUUUCUCUAGUUUCCCAUAACUGAACUAAGUUGUUAAUUGCAUGCAUGACUCACAGGCAUCCAAAGGGAAACUUUUUGAAGCUAAAAGUUGGAAGCUUUUCCAAGUUUCUAAUAGGUCAUGAGCUACUGCCACAAAAAAGGUUUUUUUUCAUAGGGAUAUCAAGUUUAUUAUUUCUUGCUUCCUAUUAAAGAUCUUCUAAAAGGGGAUAUACACUUGGAAUUUUGUUGUUCUCAUGUGAUCAUUUGUUUUCAUUCUCAACUAUAGAAUGUUCUUGUUGGUUCAAAAGGGAACAUGAAGAUUUCUAAUUUUGGCCAUGGUGUUAUACCACAACAUUGUAAGUUACAUCGUCACCCUCAUAAAACAUAAAGAUUUCUUCACAAUAUAAAUUUUUUGUUUCAUUGCUUAACUUAUUUAUUUUUCACUGAAUUUAAAACUACAAGAUGAUGGAUUACUAUAUAUUUAUAUACAACCAAUGGAAGUUCAAAUUACAUUGCUUAAUUAACUUCUAAUUAAGUUUUUUCAAGUGUCAAAAAUGUGGUUUGUAGUUUAAUUUUCAUUUCAUUAAAAUUAACGGUUCUAUUUUUAUCUUUUCAACCAAUUUGUAAACUAGGUAAGUGAUUGAGCGUAGCUCUAGAAGCUGCCAAUGAAGUAUCUCUAUGAACAUGAUCCCCUCAUGAUUUGCAGAAAUUUUAAGACCAACAACAUACUCUUAGAGGUAUGGUCUCUACUACUCAUAAAUUACCAUUAUAUUUUGUUCAUUCAGAAAAUUUAUAUUGGUGAUGAAGUUUUUAUUAUUUUACAUCAUUGGCUUGAUAACCAUGCUUUUAAAAUUUAAUAUACAUGAGAAAUAGCAAUUAAAAAAAUGAAUUCCGGUUUCUCACUUUAUGUGUUUGUAUUAUGGACAUUUUUAAGGUAAAGUUCCUUAAGCUUUACUUUUGUGUAAUGUAUUGAAUGAUAGGCUGGUGUUUGAAUCUCUAUUUAGCUUCAUAGAUAACCUGAAUUUAUUGUUAAAUUUUUAUGCAAUCAUAUCUUUUCCAUAUAGUUGUCACUUUGGUUCACUCACAUAAUUCUAGAUAUUUUCCCAAAUAUGUUUUAUUUUAAAAAAUAUUCAUCAUUAGAAGAUGUUUAUCUACUAUUAAGUUGUAGAUAUUCUUCUCUACAUUUUUUUAUGCAUGCCAAUUUAUUUAUUGUUAAGUUCUGGAAUUCAUAUAGUUGUUGCUAGCCUUGAUAGUGAUAAAUAAGAUGAAUGAUAAGUAUGAUACAAUUGGCCACUAUUUUGGAUGCAAUUCUGUAACGCAUAUCAUAUGGUGGGAAAUGAUAAUUCUUUUAACUUAACAAAAAACUUAGUUGAUAAAGUAUCAUGGUGUGAACCUUAUUUAUUUCAUGUUACUGAUUACUACUCAAAAAGUGCUAAUUGAUAGCCUAUAAUUAAUCCUUUUAAACACUUUUGAGUAGUAGUUCAGGCCUUUUAACUCAAUUGGCAUGUUAAGGACCCUUGAAAGGGAUUUUAAUCACUUUAUGUAAGUUUUGGUGUUUUUGUUAGUAAUUUGAUCACCGAAGCAAGCCAAGACUAAGGAGAGUUAUGAGGAAUCUUGGGCAAAGCUUAGAAGUCAUUUGCCAAGAGUAAAUCCGGAUUGCAAGGAGAAAAAGUAAAGAGAAUCUGCCAUGAAGCAUAUUCUUGAUGACAGUCGUAGCAGCCACUUUUGGAGCACUUUCUGAAGUCCAAUUGAUGCAUGCUAUAUAACAUUUCAAAGCUCAGGAAGUCAACAAUCUAAUGCUUCAAAUGGUACGCAAUUCGGAGUUGAAAUGAAGAAGUUGAAGCCAUUGCAAGCCAAUCACUCCGAGCUGAAGGAAGCAUUUUGCAAAGUGCUGCGAAAUCACCCUUUUGUUGCGAAGUGAUUCCGUAGCCUUUUUGUACAGUAGGGUGUAUUUCCUCCUGAAGAUGCCCGACAUAUACCGCGAGAGGGAAGCUGGGAACCUCAAGGUGGAAGCCAACUUCACAGCCCUACGAAGAUAGCAUGUUGUUGCAAAAUGAUUUCGCAGCCCUCUUGAGUGUCUGCGAAAUCUCGCAGACACCAUUUUCUCUUGCGAAAUGGUUCCUGGAGCCUCCCAAUAUUUGCUACCGACAUUGGGAGAUAUUUUACAUCAGAUUUUUGUUGUCUAAAUCCCAAAAUACUCCUUGUAAGCCACCAAUUACAAGAUUCCUUAGCUUUUAAAUUAGUAAAAAAGAGAAACUAUCUAUGUAAUAAUUAGUUUUAUAUUAUGUUCAUAUAUAUACCUCUCGGGAGCCUGUUCUCAAGGAGAGAUCCUUUUGUAAAAGUUUUGGGUAAGCAAGUAAAGUUCAGUUCUUUGUAUUGCCUUACCUUCUCACUUUGUAUUUUCAUUUUCUUACUAAGUUAUGAACUCUCUGAGGAGUUUUCCCCAGAGAAUGAGUAACUAAACCUCUAAUUCCUUGGAUCUAAGGUUGCCGGGGAAGGUUCCAAGUGCAAGAAUGCAAAGCUUUGUGGUUUUAGCUAGUAAUGAAGAGGAAGUGAAAUCCUUUAAUGAUUUCUAUGUUUUUAGUUAACUUAAAACACCUUAGAGUCACCUGGGCCAACACUUGGUAAGGCAAGUGAUUUCCAACCAUGGAAAUGCACUAGUUUACCCCUUGCGAGCCUCUGGGAGGUGACUUCAAGGUAGGAUUUUCUAGAAUAGCCAACACUUGGUAAGCUUUUGGACUCCUAGGAGACAUCCAUUAGUUAUCUCUUGCGAGCUUUUGACGGGUAAUCCAAGGUUAAAGAUCACCUUGAAUGGUUAAGGCUUAGUGAGAGGCUUAAACCAUUGCAAGUUGCAUCAGUGAGAGAAUUAAAGUGAAAUCUAAUUGAAGGAGUCUCUGUACAACACCGGUUAGAGAAUUGACUAUAUGUUGAAUCUCUAACGCGAGGAAAUGAACCAUCUGACCGGAGCCGUGUCUUUUGCAUGAGGAACCACCCCAGUGAACCUAACUCUCCAAGGAAUGUUUUUCUUCCUAAGUUAUUCCUAUUACUUGUUGUGUUAGUUAGUUUAAGUCUAAACCUUUACCAAUCAAAGUUUGUGUUUUAUUUCUUAAGCUAACCUUGAAAUGAAACAAGACCAAUUCACUUUGAGUUGGUAUCAUUGAUAGCUUGCUAAUCCUUCCCAGUGAACGAUCCUAGAGCCACUAUACUAUAGUAGCUUUUUCUUUGCUACCCUAGUAUAUGGUGUUAUAGGUUAUAAAUUUUGUUGAUUACUCCCUCAAUCAAGGAGCACCAGCUGGACACGAAUCAGCUGACGAAUCAGCUGAGACACCAAUUGGGCACGAAUCAGUUACACCAUAUUCCCAAACCUUCCUUUGUCAAUGUUGCGCAUUCGAUGAGGCCUAUUACUAUUAGAUGAUGCCUAAUUGAAUAUUUUAAUGGACUAUUGAUGUUGAUAUUCUCUUGUCCCAAGCUUGGUUUGUUUUUCUAUUUUCUUUUAGGCUAUACUAAAAACUUAAUGGAUUAUUGAUGUUGAUGUUCUCUUAUCCCGUAUUUGAUUAAUCUCUUGUUUUGUGUUUUAACUAUUGAUAGUAAUUUUGUUGUAAUUAUUCUUAGGGUCACAUAUGUCAAUUGUGAUUACUACUCAAAACAUGCUAUUUUGUAGCUUGUAAUUAGCUCUUUUAAGCACCCUUGAGUAGUAAUUAUUACCUUUUAACUCAAUUGGCAUGUUAGGGACCCUUGCAAUCAUUUCUAAUCAAAUUGUGUUAAUGUAGACCCCCAUUUGGGGCUCAUUUUCUGCAGUUUGCUUUUAGCCAGGUGUCACCAUCUGGGGGAAGCCACGUGUCACAUUUUGACUAGCUGCUAGAGAAUCACAAUAGUGGAGUUGGAGGAGCAAUCAGGGGUUGACACCUAUAAAGGUGAUUCUGAGAAAAUCUGCUAGCCGUUAGUGCAAGCUGAGAGGAGCGUAUGAGGAGGGGGGCAUCUAUCUCAGGCGAGGGAGGAAAGAGCGGUGGGAGAGAGAUAUUUGGGGGGAGCUUUUCAUGCUGGUCAGAGAGAUAUUUUAGAGAGGAAGAGGUUACUCUAAGGUAGGUGAGAGACAUAUCGAUUUAGGAGAGAAAUGAGGGAAGAUCCUUUCAGCUGAGGAAGGUAGCAGGCUGUUUGGUUUGGGAAGGACUUACAGAGGAGUUUAUUCAGCUGCGGGGAAUGAGGACUUUGGGGGGAUUCGGGCAGAGGUGGUUUGCCUUUUGGAGGCUGUUGGUGAGAGAGUUACAGAUAGGUAAGCUUGCUGGCUUCAUCGGCAUUGGAGGAGGAUUUAAAGCGCUUAGAGCUGAACAGAGCCUCACUGGAAAAGGGCACUCUCAGGUAUGAAUGCAACAGGUAUAUUGUUUGAUUUCAGAUCCUUGCUAUCCCUCUACAUUUCUUGUUAAUAUCUGGAUAUUUUUUGGUUUGCUUGGGGUGGAUGAUGAAGGCCACUUGUUGCUUGUUGAUAUAUAAUCUUGAACUCAUGCUUGCCAUUUGUUGAUCUUAAUGUACCUUGUCUCCGUUAUGAAAUACCCAAUAAUCCUUCCAAUAUUUGCAUUUGAUGCUAUUUUUCUCACCUAAGAAGAAGGGUCCACUGAUGAUUCAUGAUGUGAAGCCCCUUUUGAGGACAUUUUUAUUUGUUUCUUCUACGCUCUGUUUUCAUCGCAUUUUUCAUUGUCGAGGCCACUUCUAUUCUUGGAUCUUGUUCAUUAUAUGGACUGAGAGGGGGGUGAAGAACAUGAAGAAGCAGCAAGGUUGAGUAGAAGCUUGGGAAUUCCGAUGAAGCUACUUCAUGAAGCUGCAGGGCAUGUGGUUACAGUGGAGCUCAAGGGUGGAGAACUGUACAGAGGAAGCAUGAUCGAAUGCGAAGACAACUAGAAUUGCCAACUCGAAAACAUCACCUUCACUGCUAAGGAUGAAGAGGUUUCCUAACUUGAGCAUGCCUUUAUCCGUGGUAGCAAAGUCAGGUUCAUGGUCAUUCCAGAUAUGUUAAAGAAUGCUCUUGUUGGAAAUAUAUUCAAGCUCUGGCUCCAUCCGUGGUAGCAAAGUCAGGUUCAUGGUCAUUCCCGAUAUGUUAAAGAAUGCUCCUAUUGGAAAUAUAUUCAAGCUCUGGCUCCUUGGGAUUGAGUGUACCAGGAACAGGUCAUGAUUACUUAGCCUUUGGAGUGUCAAUUUCCAAAGUUCACUGCUCAGUCACAAAUUCUGUGGGAGUUCCUGAAUGCCAUUUGGACAGUGACUUCGAGAAAUCCACUUCUCCCUUCACUGAUGAUUUGAUUCCAUCCAGAGCCUCAGCAGCUGCUUCAGGCAUUGGUCUUGAAUAGUUUCCUGGUCAAAUUAUCAGAGGUGCAAGCCCAUUCAGACUUCUACAAGACCAUACUUCUGAUGACAGUACAGAAAAUGGUGAUGCGCUAUGUGCUGAAGAUGUUAUCCCUGUAAGCGCGUCACCAUCAGUCACAACUGAUACUGGUUUGCAUGGAGAUAUUAAAUAUAAUCUGGACUAUGGUUUAGGAUCUGAGCGCACUUGCAGGACUGAGAGGAGUUUUGAGUGACCUGAAUCACUAGUGGAUGUAAAAGAAGUUAAAACAUCCAUUGCUACCAGAACCACUGAUGAAGAUGUUUUGAUCCAUGAAAAUGAGACACCUAUUUCCCAUGGUGUUUCUGACAGGGAUGGCCAUGAAAAAAGUGCUGGUGGUGGUGUUGAUAUUGUUCCUGAGAGUGGGAAGUCUCAGAAGGAAAUGUCUCCACUGAAAAUCGAUGAGUUUAGGCGGUUGGUCGAAGAAUGUGCUAGUGACAGUGAUUCUGAUGAUUCAUGCUAUGUUAGGAAACAUGGUAAAUCUGGGGGUUUCUGGAGAGGACUAGUCAGUAAUGGCUGAUAUUCCUUUGGUUGACCAAGGGUUUUAUGGGAAUGGCAUCAAUUGUUAUAAGGAGGGGCUCAAAACUAUUGGAGUAAUGUUUGAAUAUGGCGAAGCCUAUGAGUUUAUGGGAAUGCACCUCAUGUCUCUUGCAGCUUUCUCCGCAUUGACUAAAUCCCGUCUCCAGUUGGACCUGUUUUACUUGACCAAGAAUGGAAAGCUGCAUCACCAAUUAGUAGCAUCCCUUCCAUUGACCAAGACCACAACGGCAAGGAAAUCCUUUGUUUCGAAAUGUAACUCCAGAUGCUUGGUACGCUAGUUGGCUUUAACAAAAAUCGCCACUUGGUCGCUAAUCACUUCAAGUCUCAAGCAUGCUCAAUUCAUCCAACAGUUGAGUCUAUUCUUUUGAUAUUUGAAUGCAUGGCAUUUCUGACUGAGCAAUGAUAUAUUAAUUUGUUGAGAUAGACUCAUUUCUCAUGGACUCGACGUACAAUAUUGUGUGGAUGAAUAAUGUGAAAGAAAAUUGAAAGCUCACUGUGAAAUUGCAGUAGAAACUCUAUGGAAUAUGAUGGAGGUGACGACACCAGCUCAGCAUCUUCAGGUCCACUUGAUAGGAGAGGUGCCUGUGAUAAUUGGAAGCAAUACCACAGGUGUCUCAUCUGUUCAGCAAUCUGUGUCUGCAAUUUUUAGUUCCCGUGGCUCCAAGCACCACAAGUGGCCUUAAUAUGGCAGAAACACUAGUUCAGACCCUGCUGGUGCACCCUACAGAAACCCAAAUAUUCCACUUACAUGCAUGAAUUUAUAGUCCCACACUUCCCGCUAAUGAAGUGCAUCAAACACGAGUUCUGCAUGAAGCCAUUGACAUUGCUGGGCAGAUUAUUCUCUGUAAUUUCCUACUUCUUGCGUGUCAUCCUUUUCAUGAAGUCUAUGGAGGAUCCACACCCUGUUUUCGGUGGAGUGCCUGAACUACUUUGACUGGCAAACAGUGAGUCUCAUGCACAGCUUCAAGAAGGCGCAACAACUCAAAUGCAAACAACACUGUUACUGGUGGAGAUCACAAGGAGAAAAAGAAGGGUCCCUCUACUAAAAAUUUAAUGGCAAAGAGAGGUCGCCAGAGGAAGCACAAUGAUACGACGACAUUUGGCCGCUGCGCGUGGGGACUUGGAGGCAGUGGAGCAGAUUCUGGACAAGGUAGAUGCUCAGAUGACGGGGACAUUGAGCUGGGCAGAUUUUGGUGCUAAAGUGGCAGAGAAUCAAAGCUCCAAUUAUGAUCCAGAGGGUGAAUAUGUGAGACAUUGGCUGCCCGAGCUGGCAAGAGUGCCCACUGAGUGGAUUCAUCAUCCUUGGGAUGCUCCCUUUACUGUGCUUAAAUCUAGCAGAGGUAGUUUGGAAUCAUGGGCUGCUCAAGCGAGUUGGGGUUUGCCAUGGCAUUAGUGGGAAUGCUUAUGUGUUUCUCUCACUGUACCGACUGACAUACAAAAUGGAGUUUGUUUUAGUGCCGUGCUGGAUGAGCUUGUUACUAAUGAUGAGAGCUGCCGAAGAUCUUAUUAGAUGGUUGCAUCAGCCAACUUAUCGGAAUCAAAGGUCUAAGUUGUGGUUAAACUAUUUUGAGAUGUAUGGCGGAAAACUCCUUGAUUUUCUCAACGAUAGAAAGAAACUUUGUAUGAGAGAAGAUAGAAGACAACAAGUUUGCAUUGUUGGACUGCAAGAAUUUGAUGUUUUGGAUGCACAGAUUGUGAAAGAGAUCCUUGAGAGAAGUUUCUAUUCUAUGUGGUGGGGUCUCUGUGGAUGAUGAGACGACCUUCAUUGUCAUUUUGAUGAGUCAGCCUGCUGCCCAUCUCAAAUAGCUUAUGGAUCAGAAUCCUAUGAGGUUGUAGCAUAUCUUCCUGAAACUGCCAUAAAAGUGGCCAACUCCACUCUGCAUGGUGCAUGGCCACUUUUAAGCCACAUGUCUUUCUGACUUGGUUUCACCUUUGGUUUUUUUAAAUAAUCCCUCAAAUCCCAAUUUUCAAAUAGUUUUCCAAUUUCUCGAUUUUCAAAUAAUUUUAACUUUUUCAAAUCUUCAUCCUUAGUUUUAGUUUUAUUAUGCCUCAAAAUAUCAAUUCUAAUAAAAUUUGCUUCCACUUUCUAUUCGGCAAGCAAUUUUCAAAUCUUUCAUGAUCUUUUAAAAUGUUUUUAAAAUAAGUAAGAAUUAAAUUCCGUAAUUCCAAGUGAUGGAAUUUAUGGAAUUGAUUCAUGCAAAAUAAAAGGGCUUUGGUGGGGGCCCAACAUCAAAUAAAUUUUCAUCAAAAUAAAAUUGAGUGAAAUGACACAUGUGUUAUUGAUGAUUUUGUAUUCAGUUUAGUGACAUGUAUGCUAUAUCUUGUAAUCAUUGUUUUGUACUAAUCUCAUUUUCUUGAUAGCGCAUAGUGGCUCGCUGCUCAGGUACACACUCAUUCCCACUCUGGUUAGUCUAUAUGCAUUUUCUGACUCUUAUAUGCGCAUGAUUGAUUCGAGUAUUCAUUGAUUUUCUCAUUGAUUUCCAUGUCAGCUUCAUCUCAUUAGUAGAGACCCGACUUUAGGGACUUAGAGGGGUGCUACGGUCUUUACCGUACCUUCCCGAUAAGUAACCUGACCCCCGAACCCGAUCCGGUUUUUCACAGACCACCUUUUCCAAAAUAAGGAGUCACACUUAGGGUUUUUCUUUCUUAUUUUGUUUACCCUUUAAAAAUAAAACAAAAAUAAGUGGCGACUCCAAGUCAUUUUCAAAUAAUCAAUAAAAAUCAAUUUUUCAAAUAAAAAUCGAGCUCUCCAUCGAGUGGGAAACGCAUUGAGCCGAAAUGCGGGGUCCACAGUUAAGUUUUGGUGUUUUGAUAGCUUUUUUAUCACCAAAGCAAAUCUGAGAUCGAGGAUAGUUCUUUGGAAUCCAUACAAGGAGUAUACUCGGACAAGGUGUCCAGAUAUACCAUCGGAAGGCAUCCGGACAACAUAUCCGGAUAGGAUGCUAUCGUUUCAUCCAAACAACAUUCCACUUGGGUAGGAAUUGCACCCGGCUGCCAUGCACUUUCCACUCCCGGAUGUUCACAUCCGAAAUUCUGACGCCGAAUGGGAGAGGAGGCGUUUUAACUUCUCCAGACAGACGUAUCUAGAUCAUUUGAUAGCCGCCUACCCGGAUGGGAGAGCAGCCAUUCUGCACAGUGCAGCGGUGUUCUCCUGAAGCUUCCUUCUAUUUCCGACCGACAUCUUAAGAUAUUUGCCACCGAUAUUUUAGGAUAUUUUGCUUUAGAUAUUUGAUGUCUAAAUCCCCAAACUCUCCUUGUAAUCCACCUAUCAUAGGAUUCCUUAGUUUUUAAGUAAGUAAAAAUGGUGAAUAACCUCAUAUAUAUAGUUUGUAAUUUUCUUGGAAAAAUAUAUCAUCGAUGUAAUAGACAAAAGGAAGAAAUAUAUUGUAGAGAGCACUUGCUAUGUUUUUGCUUAAUAUUUGUUUUCUCAUUAAUUUUCUUUCUAGCCAAACAAGCUUUGAGGAAGUUUCCUCAGAGAAUGAGUGGCUAGACUUUUAGUUCCUUGGAGUUGAGGUUGCUGGGAAAGGUUCCAAGUGCAAGAAUUAGUAGCUUUGUGGUUUUAGUUUUUAAUGAAGAGAAAGUGUAACCUGUUAAUGGUUUUUUUAUCUUUUUAGUUAACUUAAAACACCUUCAAUUCACUUGAGCCAACACUUGGUAAGGCAAGUAAUUUCUAUCUAUGGAGAUGCACUAGUUUACCUCUUGCAAGCUUUUGGGAAGUGACUUGAAGGUAGGAUUUUCUAGAAUUGCCAACACUUGGUAAGCUUUUGGACUCUAAGGAGACAUCCAUUAGUUAUCUCUUGCGAGCUUGAGAAGGGAAGUCCAAAGUUAAAGAUCACCUUGAAUGGAAAAUUCUAUGUGAGAGGCACGAGCCAUUGCAAGUUGCAUCAGUGAGAGGGAAUUAGAGUUUGAACCCAUUAAAGGGAAGUAUCUGUAUAGCACCAGUUAGAGAAUUGACUAUAUGUUAAUUCUCUAAUGUGAGGAAAUGAACCAAAUGACCGGAGCUCUGUUUUUGCAUAAGGAACCUUCCCUGUGAACCUAAACCUCCAAGGAAUGUUUUUCUUCAUAAGUAAUUUCCAUUACUUUCUUUUUGGUUAGUUUAAGACCAAACCCUUUUCACUCAAACAUCUUUACGUUUUCUUUUGAAGCUAACCUUGAAAUGAAAGAGCACCAACUCAGAUUUGAAUUGGUAUUAGUUGAGAGUUGAAAACCCUUCCCAGUGAACGAUCCUAGAGUCACUAUGCUAUAGUAGCUUUGUCUUUGCUACCCUAGUUCAUGGUGUAAUAUGUUAUAGUUUUUGUUGAUUACUCCCUCAAUCAAGGAGCACCAGCUGGACAUGAAUCAACUGAUACACUGACUGGGCAUGAAUCAAAUUGGUAUACACAUUUGUUUUCCUAUUAUAUUUUCAUUGUCAUUUCUUUCUCUCUAUUUCUAGAAGUAUUCACUUACAUAUCUUUUUUUGAAAUUGUAAUUGAUUUUAGUUUUUUGUGCAUGUAGGUCAUCUUUUUGGGAAAUUAACCUUGUAGUUGGAUAAGUUAGCAUGAAGGAGUAUGUUGAAGACCAAAGCACAAUUGGGUUGCAUGUAAAGAAAAAUGGACUAUGUCAAGGGACUAAACUUUAAAGUUAUGACUUCUUUUUUUUGUUAUUUUAAUAUAUUUUAGCUUUUUUGUGUUUCUUGUUUAUGAAAUACAAGUUCUCUAUUUGUGAUUAAAUACUGCAAUUUAGAAAUGUAUUACCAGGUGAAAAAUUAGGUGCAACAACUAAUUUCAUUGGUACAUACUUUUUUUUCUUAUGUGUAUGCAUUAUUUCAAUAGCAGGUGAAAAAUUAGGUGCAACAAUUAUUAAAUUAAAACUAAAUUUAAAAUUAAACAAUUAUCUUCCUUGAUGUUUUUACUAAGUGUCAAGGAAUGAGAGUAACCACCAGUAACAUUUAUAAAACCCAAUAAUGGCACUAAUAAAUGUGUCAAUGUAGUGUGAACAACUAACAAUGAUACUUUUUAAGUGUCAAGGUUCUCUUCAAUGGCGCUUUCUAGAAAUAUCCUUAUAGUUCGAUAUUUGAAACUGCUAAACAAUGACACUUAUAGAAAGUGUCAAGGUUUCUUCUAGUCAACAACGGCGCUUAUAAAAGUGUCAAUGUAGUUUGAUAUAACUAAUGAUGACACUUUUUUUAAGCAUCAAGGUUCUCUUCAAUGGCGCUUUCUAGAAGCGUCAUUGUAGGCAAAUACUUAUUAUGACAGGCUAGUAGAUGACACUUUGGGGAAGCACCAUUGAAUGUAUUUCUCGACACUUAAAAAGCGUCAUGGUUAAUGUUUUUUCUUAUAGUGAACAUACAGAUGGUACUGUUCAAUUAGAAUUUAAUCCAGCUUCAAAAUACUCAUUUACUCAAGAAGUUCUCUCUACAAGACCUUCAACUUCAAGUAAAAAUUUGAAAAGCGUUAAUUUUGCUCCAAAUAUUCCUAUUCCUAUUUAUCAACAACAAGAAUCUCCUCCUAUGUCCCCUACUCAUUUUGAUAUGUGUCAUUCUCAAGUCAAUAUUAUUCAUAAGAAAAAUUAUAAGAGAACUCCUUUUAAGCCAAACAUUGAAUGGAUAAAAUUAGAUUAUUUCUCUCCUUACAAUAAACCUAGAAAUUCUUUAAGAAAACACUAUGAAAAUUAUAUGAAUCAAAAUAAAAUAACAAUUCUUUUUUUCCAUUGGUUUUUCAAACUUUGAAAGAAACGAAAUUAUAACUUUAAGAUGGGAAGAAGGAUAUCAACUAGCAUUGAAAACCUAGAGAAAUAAUUCAAAAAAUAAUUUUAACAAUAACCUCAGAAUUAGGUUCUCAACCACCCCUAAAUAAUCAUUAAUUUAAUUUUGAUAAUAAUUCUAUUUCUGCUUCACCUUUUAAAAUCCCAAGAACAAAAUAUGAAUAAAGUUUCAUAAUUUACAAAGAUAUUAGAUAAGUUCAACAACAAUUAAAUUAUAUAAAUAAUCAUCUUCAACAUAAGAAUCAAUAAACAAAAAAAAAAUUCUCAAUUUUUGUUUUCUUCUACCCCCGGAGGGAGGAUAGGAGAAACAUCAAAAUCGUCAAUUUUUCCUCAACUCUAUCAUUAUCAUCAUCAUCAUCUUCUGUUAAGUUUUUAAACCAAGCUUUCAUUAUUCUUAUAAAUGCUGCUAAAUAAAAAACACAACUCUCUACUCCAACAAAAACAAUGUUAAAAAAAAAUACAACUUAGAUUAGAUAAACUUAGUAUUAAUGGUAUCAAUCAAAAUAUGAAUCAAAUUCAAACCAUAACUAAAGAUAAAUCAAAAUGACUCCAAAUUCAAUAAAUACACCUCCUUUAAUAGUUGAUACAAUAUCUAAUAAUUUUGUAAGUAGAAAAAAUUAUUAUUCAAAGCCUGUUUUUCCUUAUGUACAAUUAGAAGAAAGAAAUUAUCAAUUAGCUGUAAGUUAUAAUGGUAGUAGUUUUUAUUAAUGAAAUAUAAGUGGUACGAGUGAACACCAAAUAAUUAACCUACUUCAUGAAAUGAUGAUGGUUGUUAUGCUUAUAGAACCAAGACUAAUAAUUAUGAUUUUCAUGUUGUGGAUGCCUUAUUAAUAAGGUUCACUAAUUUACUUAAAGGAUGAUGGGAUCAUUAUUUGAGUAAAAAUGAUAGAGAAUAUAUAUUAAAUGUGAAAAAGAUAAUAAUUAAAGAAGAAGGAACAUUAGUCCAAACUUAUGAGAAAGAUGUUGUCAAUACUUUAAUAUUUGCAAUAACAAAACAUUUUAUAGGGGAUUCAGUAUAUUUUCAAGAAAAAACAUUUGAAAUUCUCAAUAAUCUUAGAUGUCCAAAACUUCAAGAUUUCAAGUAGUAUAAAGACAUGUUUUUAGUCAAAGUCAUGGCUAGACCUGAUUGUGGAAGUCAUUAUUGGAAAGAAAAAUUUAUAUUAGGGUUACCCACUUUAUUUGCUGAAAAAGUUAGACAAAGAAUUAGAAAUGUAUAUAAUGAAAGAAUUCCUUAUGAGUCAUUAACAUAUAUAUGGAGAAUUAAUUACCUUUAUCAAUAAUGAAGUUUAUCUUUCUACACUGAUCUCAAACUAAAGAGUCAAAUGAAAAAAGAGAAACAACAUAGUAAGAAAGAGUUAGGAAAAUUUUGCUCAUAUUAUGGGUACAACACUAUAGUAGCCCAUUCAAAAAGGAAAAAUAAACAAAAUAACAUAAAAGGCAAGAAAUCAUCAACUGAGUAAAAAUUCCAAAAGAAAUUUGUAAAAAUACUAAUAGAUCAAAACCUUCUAAUAAAACAACUUUAAAAAAGAAGAUACCAACAUGUUAUAAAUGUGGAAAAGUAGGUCAUUAUUUAAAAGAUUGUCAAUUAGAAAAUAAAAUUAAUUAAUUAGAAAUAAGUGAUUUACUAAAAAAAAAAAUUAUAGGAUUAAUGAUUAGUGAAGAAUAAGACUAUUCAAUUGAAUACUAUGAAGUAGAAGAAGAAAAUCAAAUGUUAAUAAUUCAAGAAACAUCAAUUGAAGAGUCCAGUCAAGAUGAAUCAGAAAAUGAAAAGGAAUGUGAUGAUAUUUGUGUAUGCUCUUAUAAAUCAAUAAAUUUGAUUUCAAAAAAUUCAAAAACUUCCUCGAACAUUUUUAUUCAUAAUCAUCUGUCACUCAUAAAUUCAAUAUAUUUUCAAUUUUGGUAUAUUAAAGAUAGGUUGUUUAGAUAUCUUAAUUAUAUGUCAAAAAAUAUACUAACAUUUAAAAUUUUCUUAUGGAUGGAGCAAGAAUGGAUAAGUGCUAUAGUCAUCAAGGAAUUGCAUUAUGUAUUAAACUUUUGUUUCACUUAGGUUUAGAUAUUCCUAUGUGUGUUUGCCUGAGAGACGCUAUGGCAAUAAAGUUUAUUGAUUCUAUCUUUAGUAUGAUUGAUUUAAACCUUGAAAAUGGUCCUAUUUAUUUUAACUAUUAUCCAAUUUUUUCCAUGAACACAAAUGAUUCAAGUAUUUUAUCAAGGCACACUUACAUUCUUGUCUUUCAAAUGGAAUUUCCCUACACAAGGGAUCAAGUUUUGGACAUGCAUUUUUUAUGUUGCCAUAAUGAGAAGUUAAUUUUACUACACAAUAAAAGGUAAGUCAUAACUUUAAUGUUAACAACUUAACAACAAUAUAACUUAAGGUCCACUUAAGUUAUUAAGUCAUAACUAUUAAGUUUUAUCAAACACCCAAUUCUAUGUUGUAAUUUAAAAGAAUGACAAGAUAAUAAAAACUUAGAUGGACAUUGAAUGCUUUUCUUUUUAUUUUUUAAUUAAUUUUAUUUUAAAAAAUGUAAAAUAUAAAGAUUCUUUAAUAAUGCUUUUAAUUUUUGUAAGCAAUAAAUAUGUUUAUAGUUUUAAUCCUAUAUUUGAGUUUUUUAAACAAAAUAUUAAAAUGUGUGUUGAUAAAGAUGUAAUAAUAUGUAGAAAAUCAAGGGAUAAUUUUCAAUUAUUUCUUCGUAAUUUUUAUUGAUUGUUUUAUCCAUAUAUAGUAACCUUUUAUAAAAUAAUACUCUUAAGAGGAAAAAUUAUUAUCCUAAUGGGGUGAUUGAUUUAUUAACAAAUAAAUAAUUUAUUAAUAAAUAAAUAUUUAUUAAUUUAAAGAUCAUCUUUCUUAUGUAUGGUUGUGGACCCCGCAUUUCAGCUCAUGCGCUUCCACUCGAUGGCGAGCUCGAUUUUAUUUGAAAAAUGAUUUUAUUUAUUAAAAAAUGACUUGGAGUCGCCACUUAUUUUUGUUUUAUUUUUAAAAGGGUAAACAAAAUAAAAAUGAAAAACCGAGUCUGGGUCCGAGGGUCAGGUUACUUAUUGGGAAGGUACGAUAAAAUAAAACAUCUGGUUUGAGGAGGGUAAGUAAGAGAACAACUCAUGGGUAUUUUGGUCCUCCUUUCUUGGACUCAAUGAUCUGGUUUGAGGAUGAGUCAUUGGAAGCUUCAGUAGAAAUGGCCUUCACCUCCACUAGUCCAACUUGCACAUCCAUGGUACCAGCAACAAUGGGCUCCUUUCCAUUGCCACUAGAGCUUCCAUUCACAAUGCUUCCAAUGGAUGAUUGAUUCGCAUGUAACUCCAAAUGGGUCAUUUAAUCAAAAACAUUUAUAAAACCUAUGACCUCAUACUAGUGUAGCAAAGCUACUAUAGUAUAGUGGCUCUAGGGUCGAACUUUGGGAUGGGUUUUCAUUCUACCAGUGAUAUACUCAUGAUUAUGAAUUGAAUUUAAUGAUUUCCUUUAUAAAAAAAAACUUAGAGUUUAAAAGAAAAUAAAAUUUGUUUUGAAAGUGUUUGAAACUAAAUUAACAUAAACUAAUUAAAAAUGGAAGAAGGAAAGUCUCCCGGAGCUCAGGAUUGCUAGGAUCAAGUUUAGAAUGCAAAGUGGAAAAUUCCGGAUUUUUCUCCUCGCAUUGGGGAUUUAACCUAUAGUUAUUUCCCGAACCGGUAUAGGUUUAACAAUGAAGAUUUAAUCCAUAAUAAUCAAUAUAAAUGGUAGUCAAAGUCCAUUAAUGGCUUUAGACACUAUAGGUCUUCACCUUGAACCGCUUUCCAAUGACUCGUACAUGAUAACUAAUGGACUAAUAUGGAUCUAGCAAUAAACAUCCAUAAAGACCUGAAGCUUACCAUGUAUUGGUCAUUNNNNNNNNNNNNNNNNNNNNNNNNNNNNNNNNNNNNNNNNNNNNNNNNNNNNNNNNNNNNNNNNNNNNNNNNNNNNNNNNNNNNNNNNNNNNNNNNNNNNGUCAUUUAAUCAAAAACAUUUAUAAAACCUAUGACCUUAUACUAGUGUAGCAAAGCUACUAUAGUAUAGUGGCUCUAGGGUCGAACUUUGGGAUGGGUUUUCAUUCUACCAGUGAUAUACUCAUGAUUAUGAAUUGAAUUUAAUGAUUUCCUUUAUAAAAAAAAACUUAGAGUUUAAAAGAAAAUAAAAUUUGUUUUGAAAGUGUUUGAAACUAAAUUAACAUAAACUAAUUAAAAAUGGAAGAAGGAAAGUCUCCCGGAGCUCAGGAUUGCUAGGAUCAAGUUUAGAAUGCAAAGUGGAAAAUUCCGGAUUUUUCUCCUCGCAUUGGGGAUUUAACCUAUAGUUAUUUCCCGAACCGGUAUAGGUUUAACAAUGAAGAUUUAAUCCAUAAUAAUCAAUAUAAAUGGUAGUCAAAGUCCAUUAAUGGCUUUAGACACUAUAGGUCUUCACCUUGAACCGCUUUCCAAUGACUCGUACAUGAUAACUAAUGGACUAAUAUGGAUCUAGCAAUAAACAUCCAUAAAGACCUGAAGCUUACCAUGUAUUGGUCAUUCAAAGUGAUUCUAAGGGAUUUAAAGCAAAACUUUAGAUUUAAAAGCCAUUUAUGAAUUCCAACUACCUGAAUUUAAUGCACGAGUGUUUUCCACCUUGCAUCUGGACUUUUCACCUAGCUUCCAUCACUCCAAGAAACCAAAAGUUUAGCCUCUCAUCCUCUGAGAAAACAUCCUCAGAGGUUGUUUGGCUUCCAAGAAAAAGAAAAUAGUAGAAAGAAAAUGGAAAACGAGAGAGCUCUGUAAAAAUUUCUAAGUGUCAAACGUAAUACGUAUAUUUCAUAUCCAAGAGGUAAUUUCCACCCCUUAUAUAGUCUUUACAAAAGCAAAAGCUUGUGAUUGGUUAGUUACAAGGAUAAGAAAGGAAAUUACAUCAAAAAAUACAUAGGAAAAUAUCUAAAGUGGAGUCGGCAAAAACAGAGCAAAAUUUGCACCACGCAAGGGGUGUGCGAAAUUUUCGCACACCAUUCACACAGCUAAGGGGAAUUUCGCACACCUGGAGCAGUUGUCUUCCGAAAGCCAUAUCUUCCUCGUUUCAGCUCCAAAUUAUACACGGUUUGAAGCGUUGGAUUCUUGACUUCCUGAGCUUUGAAAUGGUAUAUAGCAUGUAGAAAAUGGACUUCGGGAAGUGCUCCAAAAGUGCCAACGAAGACUGCAGCUGCUGUCCUCUGUUUUCCUCCUUGCUUCUCUUUGCUUUUCUCCUUUGAUUGGCUUGUCUUAAUGAUCCAAAAAGAUGUCAAAACACUAAAACUAGCCACAAAUAUGAUUAGAAGACAUUGCUAGGUCCUUAACAUGCCAAUUGGACUAAAGAUGGAGAACUACUACACAAAAGUGCUUAAAACAUAAUGCAUUAAAGGUGUAAAAUAGCACUUUUUGGGUAGUAAUCACUCCCCCCAACUGACACAUUGCUAGUCCCUGAGCAAUGAAGGAGAGAAAAAGAAAGAAAAAUAGAUAAUAUAAUAAUUUACAAAAUCAUGCUGAUCACUCCAAAAAAUAACCAAGUGGCAUGAUUGGAUCAAACACUCUCGUGGCAAGUCAAGGAUAUAAAACUCAAUCANNNNNNNNNNNNNNNNNNNNNNNNNNNNNNNNNNNNNNNNNNNNNNNNNNNNNNNNNNNNNNNNNNNNNNNNNNNNNNNNNNNNNNNNNNNNNNNNNNNNNNNNNNNNNNNNNNNNNNNNNNNNNNNNNNNNNNNNNNNNNNNNNNNNNNNNNNNNNNNNNNNNNNNNNNNNNNNNNNNNNNNNNNNNNNNNNNNNNNNNNNNNNNNNNNNNNNNNNNNNNNNNNNNNNNNNNNNNNNNNNNNNNNNNNNNNNNNNNNNNNNNNNNNNNNNNNNNNNNNNNNNNNNNNNNNNNNNNNNNNNNNNNNNNNNNNNNNNNNNNNNNNNNNNNNNNNNNNNNNNNNNNNNNNAAUGAGGUCAAUGGCACCAAGUCGAUAUUUUCCAAAGUUAGGGGGGGUGAGAAAGUUUUCCAUCUUAUAACUGGAAUCUAAUGUGUUCAGUGUGUGAAAAGAUUAGAGUGGAAGACUUAAGCUGNAAAACAAAAGAAGCUUCAACAAUUUAUCAACUUUAAUAAGCAUAAUACAAACUCUGAGACUAUGGCAAUAAGAUAAGAAUUUAAUUUCUCCCAUUUACUUUUGAGAAUUUAUCUUUGAGAAAACAAAGAGAGUUUGCAAAAAAUUUGUUAGCAAAAUAACUUAACAAAUUCAACAAAUUACUUCCUCAACUCUCCCCUCAACUAAGAUGAACAUUGUCCCCAAUGUUCCAAAAGCAAGCGAUAAAAUAAGGGAGGAAGUGAUACCUCCUGAUAGUAAGGGACUCUGAAUGAACAGGAGAAACCACAUGUUGCAUAAGAAAAGGAAAAUCAUAAGAGUGAUGAAAAGAGGAAAUAAAAUGGAAUAGCUAAAAUACACUAAAAGAGAAGAUGUCUAUAUAAACUGAGAAAGUACAAUAUACAAAAUAAACAUGGAAUACAUCCAAUCCCAGUAUAAAAGUGGUCCAAAAUAUAUAAGACAUCCCAAAACGUAGCAUAUAGAUACAAAAAAAGAAGAGGAGUGAUCGUAUGAUCAAGUAGUAGGCUCCUCUGGUGGAUAGGAGGGGUCCUCCGCUGCAACUGUGGAAGGCACCGCUACAGAUGGAGCUGGUGGCACAAGACCGAGGUGCUGCUGAAUCUCACGGAGAAUGAGAGUCUGCUGGUCCUGCUGAGUCUGGAAGUGGUCCAUGCGCUCCAUAAUGGCCGUCUGAGUAGUGGUCAAAGUCUGGAAAGAAGUGAGCAAGGCACGAUACUCUGGACCAGGGAUAGUAAUGGGCGACUCUGAUGUAGGAGGAACAACAGGUGGGGCAUCAGAUGAUGCUGCCUCCGGUACUGGCUGUGGAGGGUCUGUAGUGGACGGAGCAGGAGGGACUUCCCUUGGCUCGGAAAGUUCUGGGGACUGGCGAUGGAGCCAUAUCUGAGUCCAUUGGUCAAGAGAGAAGCUCUCUCGACAAUGGCGGCGGGGCUCUGAACGAGGGUCUGUAGGAAAACCCAUAUGCGCCAAAACAUGGCAUAGCAGCCGAGGGAAAAGUAAAGGAAUGGAGUCUGCCCUCGCAAGAUGCCGCGUAUGCACCUUCUCCUCAAAAUGGAGGAGAGCGGCCAUAAUCAAAUGAUGGGGGCCAAAAUAGUAGCCCUCAGAGAUACGGAAUAAUGCCUCCAUAAUGGCCCCUCGUCUCUGUACUUUAUGCUGAAGAGGAAAAAGAUUGGCGCGAAGCACCACAUCAACUAGAAGCAUCUCUGGGGGAAGCUCUCUCCUCAAAAUGGUCCUCUGGGAAGAUGUCCCUCGAGAUAGGAUACGAACCAUGUCCCACUCAGAAAAUGGGACCCAGCGUCUAAAUGUAGCGGGAUCUACUGGUGCAAAAGGGAUAUGGAAGGCAUCGGCAAUCUGUCUAGCCCCCAAAAUACUCUGGCGUCCAUCAAUGGUAAAAAGGAUCAAGGCAGGUACUGGGACGCCACGAGUAGUCAUAGACUGGUAAAAGUCUAAAGCUACUCGAGGAUAAAAGAACUGGGGCAGAGUCAUAAAGGGUAUAAGAUGGUACCUCUCAAGUAGGCGAUAUGAAUCCCGCAACUCAGGCUGCUGUCGCAUAAGAGAGUGAUCAAAAUAUGCCUCGACAUGAAAGUCUCUCGAUCGGCAAUCUGAAUUGCCCUCAAUGGGCAAGCUGGGUCUACGGCGCCUGGCGGAAGAAGGCUGAUACUGUGAAUCCCGAGGUGCUCUGGAGGAAUCUCCUGGCUUUGAAGUCUUGGCUCUCUUUGUAGGAGGACUCCGAGGCAGAACUUGUGGUGGGGCCACAGACGUGGCAGAUGCUUUCCUCGUAUGGUAUCUGCUCUGAGGGGCAGAAUCAGGUAAAUGUGAGGGUGCAGCUAGUGGGGCCCGCACAGGGGCAGCUCUCUGACUGCUCUGGGGGGCUGUGGUAGAUCCUCCUUGGGUCUUUGGCAUGAUGGAGCGAUNNNNNNNNNNNNNNNNNNNNNNNNNNNNNNNNNNNNNNNNNNNNNNNNNNNNNNNNNNNNNNNNNNNNNNNNNNNNNNNNNNNNNNNNNNNNNNNNNNNNGAGCUUUGAAAUGGUAUAUAGCAUGUAGAAAAUGGACUUCGAGAAGUGCUCCAAAAGUGCCAACGAAGACUGCAGCUGCUGUCCUCUGUUUUCCUCCUUGCUUCUCUUUGCUUUUCUCCUUUGAUUGGCUUGUCUUAAUGAUCCAAAAAGAUGUCAAAACACUAAAACUAGCCACAAAUAUGAUUAGAAGACAUUGCUAGGUCCUUAACAUGCCAAUUGGACUAAAGAUGGAGAACUACUACACAAAAGUGCUUAAAACAUAAUGCAUUAAAGGUGUAAAAUAGCACUUUUUGGGUAGUAAUCACUCCCCCCAACUGACACAUUGCUAGUCCCUGAGCAAUGAAGGAGAGAAAAAGAAAGAAAAAUAGAUAAUAUAAUAAUUUACAAAAUCAUGCUGAUCACUCCAAAAAAUAACCAAGUGGCAUGAUUGGAUCAAACACUCUCGUGGCAAGUCAAGGAUAUAAAACUCAAUCAUCAACACGAGUCAUCAAAUAACUUACUUAUCACAAUAUUCAAAGAGCGGUCAUUAUGCAAAUUUGAGUAUCAAAAUAAUUUCCACUUCCAAAGGAUCAAUUCUUAAUAUUCCACAAAAAUCUAAGUGUUAAGGCGCUUAGUUUCCAAUUAUAGUAUGUCAAACUAUAUUCUCCCCCCAACUAAGGUUUUUCUCCAACUUUAGCAACACUAACUCAUAUAUAAAAGGCUAAGAACACACCUUUCCUUUUUUUUUUUUUUAAGUGUCACUCCACCCAUCCACCCAUGUAACGAGCAGUGAGGUCGGGGAACUCCCAACCAGUAAAGGCUUAGGACACCAGGCUUUAAAGAUUUUCACCAUAUGCCCCUCGGACCUUGCUCGGGUUUCAAAGCAAGUGAAGCAAAAAUUAUUUUCAUAAGACACAUUGGCCUUUAAUAAGGUGUCCCAACACUAAUAGAAUGAGGUCAAUGGCACCAAGUCGAUAAUUUCCAAAGUUUAGGGGGGUGAGAAAGUUUUCCAUCUUAUAACUGGAAUCUAAUGUGUUCAGUGUGUGAAAAGAUUAGAGUGGAAGACUUAAGCUUGAAAACAAAAGAAGCUUCAACAAUUUAUCAACUUUAAUAAGCAUAAUACAAACUCUGAGACUAUGGCAAUAAGAUAAGAAUUUAAUUUCUCCCAUUUACUUUUGAGAAUUUAUCUUUGAGAAAACAAAGAGAGUUUGCAAAAAAUUUGUUAGCAAAAUAACUUAACAAAUUCAACAAAUUACUUCCUCAACUCUCCCCUCAACUAAGAUGAACAUUGUCCCCAAUGUUCCAAAAGCAAGCGAUAAAAUAAGGGAGGAAGUGAUACCUCCUGAUAGUAAGGGACUCUGAAUGAACAGGNNNNNNNNNNNNNNNNNNNNNNNNNNNNNNNNNNNNNNNNNNNNNNNNNNNNNNNNNNNNNNNNNNNNNNNNNNNNNNNNNNNNNNNNNNNNNNNNNNNNNNNNNNNNNNNNNNNNNNNNNNNNNNNNNNNNNNNNNNNNNNNNNNNNNNNNNNNNNNNNNNNNNNNNNNNNNNNNNNNNNNNNNNNNNNNNNNNNNNNNNNNNNNNNNNNNNNNNNNNNNNNNNNNNNNNNNNNNNNNNNNNNNNNNNNNNNNNNNNNNNNNNNNNNNNNNNNNNNNNNNNNNNNNNNNNNNNNNNNNNNNNNNNNNNNNNNNNNNNNNNNNNNNNNNNNNNNNNNNNNNNNNNNNNNNNNNNNNNNNNNNNNNNNNNNNNNNNNNNNNNNNNNNNNNNNNNNNNNNNNNNNNNNNNNNNNNNNNNNNNNNNNNNNNNNNNNNNNNNNNNNNNNNNNNNNNNNNNNNNNNNNNNNNNNNNNNNNNNNNNNNNNNNNNNNNNNNNNNNNNNNNNNNNNNNNNNNNNNNNNNNNNNNNNNNNNNNNNNNNNNNNNNNNNNNNNNNNNNNNNNNNNNNNNNNNNNNNNNNNNNNNNNNNNNNNNNNNNNNNNNNNNNNNNNNNNNNNNNNNNNNNNNNNNNNNNNNNNNNNNNNNNNNNNNNNNNNNNNNNNNNNNNNNNNNNNNNNNNNNNNNNNNNNNNNNNNNNNNNNNNNNNNNNNNNNNNNNNNNNNNNNNNNNNNNNNNNNNNNNNNNNNNNNNNNNNNNNNNNNNNNNNNNNNNNNNNNNNNNNNNNNNNNNNNNNNNNNNNNNNNNNNNNNNNNNNNNNNNNNNNNNNNNNNNNNNNNNNNNNNNNNNNNNNNNNNNNNNNNNNNNNNNNNNNNNNNNNNNNNNNNNNNNNNNNNNNNNNNNNNNNNNNNNNNNNNNNNNNNNNNNNNNNNNNNNNNNNNNNNNNNNNNNNNNNNNNNNNNNNNNNNNNNNNNNNNNNNNNNNNNNNNNNNNNNNNNNNNNNNNNNNNNNNNNNNNNNNNNNNNNNNNNNNNNNNNNNNNNNNNNNNNNNNNNNNNNNNNNNNNNNNNNNNNNNNNNNNNNNNNNNNNNNNNNNNNNNNNNNNNNNNNNNNNNNNNNNNNNNNNNNNNNNNNNNNNNNNNNNNNNNNNNNNNNNNNNNNNNNNNNNNNNNNNNNNNNNNNNNNNNNNNNNNNNNNNNNNNNNNNNNNNNNNNNNNNNNNNNNNNNNNNNNNNNNNNNNNNNNNNNNNNNNNNNNNNNNNNNNNNNNNNNNNNNNNNNNNNNNNNNNNNNNNNNNNNNNNNNNNNNNNNNNNNNNNNNNNNNNNNNNNNNNNNNNNNNNNNNNNNNNNNNNNNNNNNNNNNNNNNNNNNNNNNNNNNNNNNNNNNNNNNNNNNNNNNNNNNNNNNNNNNNNNNNNNNNNNNNNNNNNNNNNNNNNNAAGCCUAAACCAUAAGCAUUCAAGCCAUGGUUUCUUCAUAAAAAAACCCAUUGCCGCCGGCCAUGGGUGCUCCCAAUCUUCAAUUUUCCUCUUGAAAAGCUCCCAAUUUUCAAGCCUUCUCAUCAUGACAAAUCUCUUUCAUACCUAAGCCAGCUUUUCCCACCCUCAAAGACCACAAAUUCUCACCAUCUCAGGGGGGGGUGGUGUGCGAGAUUUUCGCACAGGGGAGGGGGGGUGUGCGAAAUUUUCGCACAGGGUACUAUUCACCCGUGCGUUUGAAGAAUUGGGGCUUGUUUGAGAUGGUGAGAAUUUGUGGCCUUUGAGGGUGGGAAAAGCUGGCUUAGGUAUGAAAAAGAUUUGUCAUGAUGAGAAGGCUUGAAAAUUGGGAGCUUUUCAAGAGGAAAAUUGAAGAUUGGGAGCUCCCAUGGCCGGCGGCAAUGGGUUUUUUAUGAAGAAACCAUGGCUUGAAUGCUUAUGGUUUAGGCUUUGGUUUGGUAAGAACAAGGUUUGGAUUGGAUUGUGGAUGGAUUUAGAGGGUUGGGUGAAGAUUUGAAAGGAUUUUGAUGGUGGAAGGAGAUGAAAUUGCCGAAAAUGGGAAGUGGUGAAUAGUGGAUGCCGUGGCUAUGGAGUGGAGCUAUGGAUAAUAAUGGCUACCAUAGUGGUGCUGAUGAUGAUGGAUGAUGAAGGAAAGGAGCUUUGUGGAUGGAAAUGGGUGAUCGGAAGAGAGGCUUUGAGAGAAUUGAAGAAGAAGCUAAGACUUUGAAGUGGAGAACAAAGCUUUUAAAGAGAAAAAUGAAUUUCGCACAGGGGAAAAUGGUGUGCGAAAUUUUCGCAUACCUGUGAUUCUCCAAGACAGAGAGCAUGGUUUUGAAAAUUGGCGCAAAAAACGAAUUCGCACAAGGUUCGCACAAGGUUCGCAUUCCUGUGAAAUUCGCACAGGGGACCGAGAGCAUGUAAUUUUUGAAAAGUGGUGCAAAAAUGGAAUUCGCACAGGGUAAAUGGUGUGCGAAAUUUUCGCACACCACAAGGGGGUGUGCGAAUUUUGCUGAGCCUUGUCUUAUCUCCCCUGUUUUCCCUUGUUUUCACCAAGACUUCAUUCUUCAAGCCUUCCUACCUACAUGUUAGCACAAAAAACACAAUUCAAACCACAUUAGAAUGAAAUUAAAGUCAAAAAUAGAAAUCAAAACAUGCAUAAACACAAGAAAACACUAGAUUAAACUAAAAUCAACUUAAAAGAAAACAAAAAGAGGAUGAACUUUUUAGUAUUUGGAGAGACUAAGUUCAACCAUGAACCAAGUGUUUUCAUGUUGGAGGUGGAUCAAGGAGGAUGAAUUCCUCCUUGUCUCGGGAAAAAGAUUCAAUAUAGGGUUUGAGACGAUGCCCAUUAACUUUGAAAGUUCGAGUGCUAUUGAAGUUGAGUAGUUCCACUACUCCAUUUGGUUGCACUUCAUGAAUUAUGAAAGGACCCGUCCAUCUUGAUUUCAAUUUUCCCGGAAAAAGAUGAAGCUUAGAGUCAUAAAGCAAGACUCUUUGUCCCUUGGCAAAAUUCUUUUGAUUUACCAAAUGAUCAUGCCAUUUCUUCAACCUCUCCUUUGCAAUUUUUUGAAUUGAGGUAAGCAUCAUUCCUCAUUUCCUCCAAUUCAUUCAAAUCCAAACAUCUUUUCAACCCAGCUCUUGUCAAAUCCAUGUUGAGUUUUUUUAUUGCUCACCAUGCUUUGUAUUCAAUCUCCACUGGAAGAUGGCACGCUUUGCCAUAAACAAGGCGAUAAGGGGACAUUCCAAGAAUGGUCUUGUAAGCGGUCCUAUACGCCCAUAAGGAAUCUAGGAGCUUAAUAGACCAAUCCUUCCUAUUCACAUUCACCACCUUCAUUAAUAUAUUCUUGAUCUCCCGGUUGGCUAACUCAACUUGGCCACUUGUUUGAGGGUGAUAGGGUGUAGCUACCUUGUGCUUAACCCCAUAUUUGGCUAGAAGAGUCUCAAAAGGUUUAUUGCAAAAGUGGGUUCCUCCAUCACUGAUAAUGGCCUUAGGCACUCCAAAUCUUGCAAAGAUGUUGUCCUUGAGGAAUUUAAGAAUCACCUUAUGAUCAUUGCUCCUACAUGGGAUUACUUCUACCCACUUAGAGACAUAAUCCACUCCCACCAAAAUGUAGGAAUGUCCAAAUGACAUUGGAAAUGGUCCCAUGAAGUCUAUCCCCCAAACAUCAAAGACAUCCACUAUCAAAAUGGGAUUCAAGGGCAUCAUAUUUCGGUGUGUUAGCUUACCAAGCCUUUGACACCGAUCACAUCCCUUGCACAUAGAGUGGGCAUCCUUGAAAAGAGAGGGCCACCAAAAACCUGAUUGGAUCACUUUCAUUGCUGUUUUCUGGGAGGCAAAAUGACCUCCACAUGCAUUAUCAUGGCAAUGGGAAAGAAUUCCUAAUUGCUCUUGUUCAGGAACACAUUUCCUUAUGAUUUGAUCCGCACAAUAUUUGAAAAGAAAGGGCUCCUCCCAAUAAUAGGCAUGGAUCUUAGCAAAGAAAUGCCUCUUGUCUUGGGCACUCCACUCACUUGGUACUUCUCCAGUAACCAAGAAAUUUGCAAUGUGAGAAUACCAUGGAGCUACCUCUAUUGACAUGAGAGACUCCUCAGGGAAGUCAUCAUUGAUAGGCAAACCAUGUGAGUCAUGUGAUAUCACAAGUCUUGACAAGUGGUCAGCUACCACAUUUUCUACUCCCUUUUUAUCCCUGAUUUAGAGAUUAAAUUCUUGGAGCAAAAGGAUCCAUCUUAUCAAUCUUGCCUUGGCAUCUUGCUUGGUUAGCAAGUACUUCAAGGCGGAAUGGUCAGUGAACACCACUAUAGAGGACCCUACCAAAUAAGCACGAAACUUAUCCAAGGCAAAAACUACUGCCAACAACUCCUUCUCAGUAGUUGUGUAGUUCCUUUGAGCCUCGUUCAAAGUUUUGCUCGCANNNNNNNNNNNNNNNNNNNNNNNNNNNNNNNNNNNNNNNNNNNNNNNNNNNNNNNNNNNNNNNNNNNNNNNNNNNNNNNNNNNNNNNNNNNNNNNNNNNNNNNNNNNNNNNNNNNNNNNNNNNNNNNNNNNNNNNNNNNNNNNNNNNNNNNNNNNNNNNNNNNNNNNNNNNNNNNNNNNNNNNNNNNNNNNNNNNNNNNNNNNNNNNNNNNNNNNNNNNNNNNNNNNNNNNNNNNNNNNNNNNNNNNNNNNNNNNNNNNNNNNNNNNNNNNNNNNNNNNNNNNNNNNNNNNNNNNNNNNNNNNNNNNNNNNNNNNNNNNNNNNNNNNNNNNNNNNNNNNNNNNNNNNNNNNNNNNNNNNNNNNNNNNNNNNNNNNNNNNNNNNNNNNNNNNNNNNNNNNNNNNNNNNNNNNNNNNNNNNNNNNNNNNNNNNNNNNNNNNNNNNNNNNNNNNNNNNNNNNNNNNNNNNNNNNNNNNNNNNNNNNNNNNNNNNNNNNNNNNNNNNAAACAGUAGAAAGGAUGUCCUGAGACUCUCUCAAGGACUUGGUCCAUGAAAGGCAAAGAAAAAUGGUCCUUCCUAGUCACUGAAUUCAACCUCUAUAGUCUAUACACACCCUCCAUCCUGAGGUAGGAUGUGUAGAGACUUCCUCCCCUUUCUCAUUCUGGACCACAGUGAUUCCAGAUUUCUUUGGGACUACUUGGGUGGGGCUCACCCACAAACUGUCUGAAAUGGGAUAUAUGAUCCCAGCUUGGAGUAGCUUCAGAACUUCACCCCUCACCACCUCUUGCACGUGAGGAUUCAACCUCCUCUGGGGCUGCCUCACUGGUUUUGCAUCAUCCUCCAUAUAGAUAUGGUGGGUGCACACCAAAGGGCUAAUCCCUUUCAGAUCAGAAAUUUUCCAUCCAAUGGCUUUCUUGCAUUUCCUGAGGACUCCCAAAAGAUUAUCCUCUUGAUCAAUAGUAAGAGUUGAAGAAAUCACCACUGGACAUUUCUCAUUUUCCUCCAAAUAUGCAUAUUUCAAAUCAACAGGAAGUGGCUUCAAAACAAGUUUUGGAGGGUCCUCCACAGUUGCUUCUUGUGAGUCUUCCUGGUUGAACACUGGUAAGAUCUCUUCCCGUCUCCUCCAAGGAGACAUGAUGGCUAGAACAUCAGAGGGUUCAGGUAACCCUUCUUCAAACAUUUCAAGGUUUUCACUCAAGCUCUCUUGUAAAUUCUUGUCAUAAUGCUCUUCAACCAAGGUGUUGAUCAAGCACACCUCCUCCAAUCCUUCCUCUUCUUCUGGGUGAAGAUGCCUCUUGCAUAGGUGGAAUAUGUUUAAUUCCAAGGUCAUAUUCCCAAAUGUGAGCUGCAUCACCCCAUUUCUACAAUUGAUAAUGGCAUUGGAGGUAGCUAGGAAAGGUCUCCCAAGGAUGAUUGGUCCAUAGUUUGCUUCCUUCACAAUGGGAUCAGUAUCAAGCACAACAAAAUCCACAGGAUAGUAGAAUUUGUCCACUUGAACUAGAACAUCCUCUAUCACCCCUCUUGGGAUUUUGACUGACCUGUCAGCUAGGGAGAGAGUGAUGGUUGUGGGCUUCAAUCCUCCAAGUCCCAGUUGCUUGUACACAGAGUAUGGGAGCAAAUUCACACUUGCCCCCAAGUCUAGUAAAGCUUUCUCCACAUGUGUCCCUCCAAUGUUGACUGAAAUGGUGGGGCAUCCCGGAUCUUUGUACUUAACUGGAGACUUACUCUGAAUGAUAGCACUUACUUGCUCAGUGAGGAAUGCAUUCUUUGUCACAUGUAACCCUCUCUUGACCGUGCACAAGUCCUUUAGAAACUUUGCAUAUGUGGGGACUUGCUUGAUCAUAUCAAGUAAGGGUAUAUUCACCUUCACUUGUCUCAAGACUUCAAGAAUUUCUGAUGAAUUCUUGAUUUCCUUCUUUCCAUGUAAAGCUUGAGGAAAAGGGGGAGGCAUAUGUUUCUUCAUCAUAUCCUCUUUAAUCACUAUCCUUGGCUCUUCUUCAAUGCUUGAUUUGGAUGCACUUUUCUUCCCACUCUUCUCUUCUUGGUUAUUGCUCUCUUUAACCAAGGUUUUCUUUGACAUGAGUUCUUCAUCUUGCCUUAACUUAGGCAGGGGUUGAUCAACCUCUUUUCCACUCCUUAAAGUGAUCACAGCUUUAACCUCCCUCAACUUUGAAGACUCCCCCUCUUGGGUUUCAACUUCAUGAACACCCUUGGGAUUUUGGCUUGGUUGAGAGGGAAACUUUCCCUUCUCAUUCACAGUGUUGAGGUUGGUAAGCCUAGAGAUGGAGUAUUGAAUAUUAUCUAUCUUCUGAGAUAGAUCAUUUUGCAUCCCCUCCAUUCUCUUAAUUUGAGAACUCUCAACAUUUUCAAUCUUUUGAUGCAAUUGAGAGUUGAUUGCCUUUUGUUCACCCACAAAGUCACCCAUGACUUUACUUAGGUUCACAAUGGCUUGCUCCACUGAAGAGGUUUGUUGAGGUGCUUGGGUUUGGCCUUGUGGUUGGUAUGGAGGUUGUCUUGGUUUCCAAGAAAAAUUUUGGUGGUUUCUCCAGCUUGAAUUAUAGGUGUUUCCAUAAGGUGCAUUGUUGUUAGGCCUAAAUUGCCCCACAACAUUGGCUUGAUCACCUAACAUCUCCCUCACAGCUGGCAUGGUUGGGCACUCAUCUACCACAUGAUCACAUGAUUGGCAAAUGGUGCAUGGCAUGGCAUGGGCUUGGGUUUCGGAAAUGGCUUGGACUUCAUGCAUCUUUUUCAACUCAAGUUCUUCCAAUCUCCUUGCUAUUGUUGCCACUUUAGCUUUCAUGUCCAUGUCUUCACUUAAUACAUACAUUCCACCUUUUGGAUUUUGGGUUGGUUGGAAGGGAGACUUCCCUUUCUCUCUUGAGUUGGGCUCAUCCCAUCCUCUUGACACCUCAGACACAUAACUUAAAAAGUCCAUGGCUUCUUCCGGAUUCUUACUCAUAAAAUCUCCUCCACACAUGGUUUCAAGAAUUUGCUUCAUGGAGGAAGACAUCCCAUCAUAGAAAUAGCUCACCAAGAGCCAUGUAUCAAAGCCAUGAUGAGGACAAGCAUUGAUGGCCUCCAUAUACCUUUCCCAACAUUCAUGGAACUUCUCAUUUUCUUUUGCAGAAAAGUUUGAGAUUUGUCUCUUCAACCCAUUGGUCCUAUGGGUGGGGAAAAAUUUCUUCAAAAAUUCGGCCUGAAGAUCAACCCAAUUCCUUAUGCUCCUUGGCCUUAAAGAAUUAAGCCAUAUUUUUGCCUUGUCCUUCAAAGUGAAAGGGAAUAGCUUGAGUCUCAUCAAGUCUAUUGAAGCUCCUCCCUCUCUAAAGGUAUUGCACACCUCCUCAAACUCCUUGAUGUGGGCAUAUGGAUUCUCACUCUCCAUUCCAUGGAAAAUUGGUAGAAGGGGCACAAUAUGGGGCCUUAUAACCAGCUGCUCAAGAGGAGGUAUGAUACAUGAGGGUGCACUCAUCCUUGGUGGGUGCAUUCUAUCCCUCAUGGAUAAAUAUGCAUUGGGAUUACCCCCUUGACCUUGUUGAGAAUUCUGAUCCUCUGAUGGAGGGUCCAUGAUGUUAACACAAAUAUCCAACUCUGUGUCUUGAGGAUUCUCAAUCCUUACUAAUCUUCUCUCUUGGUCCUGAAUCCAAUAGGGAAUGCAAAAGCUACUACUUACCUGAAAUAAAACAAAAACAACAAAAACAAAAGAAACCUAGAAAAAAAAAAAAUUAAGGUUAGAAAGAAAAUGAAAAUAAACCUAACAAAAAUAAAAUGAAAGGAAAUGUAAUUAGUGAAAAAGGAAUUCACCAAACUUGUGAUGGAAAUCACAAGUAGCCUCUAAAAGGUUGCAUCACUGUAUUGUGGCACCAUCCCCGGCAACGGCGCCAUUUUGAUUCGCAUGUAACUCCAAAUGGGUCAUUUAAUCAAAAACAUUUAUAAAACCUGUGACCUCAUACUAGUGUAGCAAAGCUACUAUAGUAUAGUGGCUCUAGGGUCGAACUCUGGGAUGGGUUUUCAUUCUACCAGUGAUAUACUCAUGAUUAUGAAUUGAAUUUAAUGAUUUCCUUUAUAAAAAAAAACUUAGAGUUUAAAAGAAAAUAAAAUUUGUUUUGAAAGUGUUUGAAACUAAAUUAACAUAAACUAAUUAAAAAUGGAAGAAGGAAAGUCUCCCGGAGCUCAGGAUUGCUAGGAUCAAGUUUAGAAUGCAAAGUGGAAAAUUCCGGAUUUUUCUCCUCGCAUUGGGGAUUUAACCUAUAGUUAUUUCCCGAACCGGUAUAGGUUUAACAAUGAAGAUUUAAUCCAUAAUAAUCAAUAUAAAUGGUAGUCAAAGUCCAUUAAUGGCUUUAGACACUAUAGGUCUUCACCUUGAACCGCUUUCCAAUGACUCGUACAUGAUAACUAAUGGACUAAUAUGGAUCUAGCAAUAAGCAUCCAUAAAGACCUGAAGCUUACCAUGUAUUGGUCAUUCAAAGUGAUUCUAAGGGAUUUAAAGUAAAACUUUAGAUUUAAAAGCCAUUUAUGAAUUCCAACUACCUGAAUUUAAUGCACGAGCGUUUUCCACCUUGCAUCUGGACUUUUCACCUAGCUUCCAUCACUCCAAGAAACCAAAAGUUUAGCCUCUCAUCCUCUGAGAAAACAUCCUCAGAGGUUGUUUGGCUUCCAAGAAAAAGAAAAUAGUAGAAAGAAAAUGGAAAACGAGAGAGCUCUGUAAAAAUUUCUAAGUGUCAAACGUAAUACGUAUAUUUCAUAUCCAAGAGGUAAUUUCCACCCCUUAUAUAGUCUUUACAAAAGCAAAAGCUUGUGAUUGGUUAGUUACAAGGAUAAGAAAGGAAAUUACAUCAAAAAAUACAUAGGAAAAUAUCUAAAGUGGAGUCAGCAAAAACAGAGCAAAAUUUGCACCACGCAAGGGGUGUGCGAAAUUUUCGCACACCUGAAGAAGGUGUGCGAAUUUCGCACACCAUUCGCACAGCUAAGGGGGUGUGCGAAAUUUUCGCACACCUGGAGCAGUUGUCUUCCGAAAGCCAUAUCUUCCUCGUUUCAGCUCCAAAUUAUACACAGUUUAAAGCGUUGGAUUCUUGACUUCCUGAGCUUUGAAAUGGUAUAUAGCAUGUAGAAAAUGGAAUUCGGGAAGUGCUCCAAAAGUGCCAAUGAAGACUGCAGCUGCUGUCCUCUAUUUUCCUCCUUGCUUCUCUUUGCUUUUCUCCUUUGAUUGGCUUGUCUUAAUGAUCCAAAAAGAUGUCAAAACACUAAAACUAGCCACAAAUAUGAUUAGAAGACAUUGCUAGGUCCUUAACAUGCCAAUUGGACUAAAGAUGGAGAACUACUACACAAAAGUGCUUAAAACAUAAUGCAUUAAAGGUGUAAAAUAGCACUUUUUGGGUAGUAAUCAAUGAUGCUGCCAGAUUGGCUUGUUCUUGCUUUAGGGAAAUAGAGACCAGCAGGAAAGAGGAGGAAGGGGGAGAGAGAGAGAAAGGUUGGGUUCGAUGGGUCGUGUGGCCAUACAAAGGUAGGGGGAUGGUGGUGGUUUCAUCAAUGUUCACAAAACUAAUCAUUCUUCACUUGAGGGUGCAUUGAGGAUGACGAUAAUCUUCACCGGAAAAAUAACAAGUAGGACGGUGGUGGAAAAAGAUGCAUGAAGAUAAAAAAGAUUUGAAAGCUAGUGGGAAGUUUCGAGUGGAUUUAACACAUGAACAACAACGUAUCCCUUAUGUAACUCAUGCAAGUGAAACAAGAAUCAAGCAAACAAGACCUUUGAUGGUCAAAACAAGCAUCCACAUAUCAACAAAAAAACAAAACAAACAUCCAUAGAUCAAUAAGAAAUAGGGUAUGAUUGUAAAAAUGGAGAACCUAAAGUGUUAGAGAGUUAAACCUAAGCGAUUUCCCUCGGGCCAAAGUGGCUUCACUUCCAACAAACUCUCUCCUCUGGUAAAAUCUUCUCCUGCCAGCUUCCAAACCCCCCCUCCCCCUCCUCCUCCCUCCCCCUCCUCUUUUGUCUCUAAAAAAAAACGUCUUUUUUUUUUUCCUUUCCUCCGAAAAAAAAUCUCAUUUUUCAAAGCUAUAUCUUUACCUCUCUAUCCCUCAAAAUUGAAAAUCUUUCUCCCACUUCCUCUGUUUUUUUCUCCCCGAAUCUCUCUCUUUUCCCUUUUUUUGCUCUUCCUCUUUCUCUCUCCCUUCUCUUGCCAGAUAUCCUCUCAUGCCCUUUUUUCAAACGUCCCCUUCCAGUCCCAUCUAGCUACCAGAGAAUGGCUCCUUUUUAAGGUGGUUCGAAAAAUAACAAUAUAAAAAAAUAAAAUCUCAACCCCUCCAUUCAAGGGGGUAUACAAAUAUGCCCCUCUUUGGUAGAGUUUACGAGUGUAAGGAAUGUGAACACUGGAGUGAAAAGGAAGUGUGAAAAGUGAAUGAAAUGAAGUGAACUCUACCAAAGAACAAAGAAAGACCCCCGAAAGGUACAAGUAGAACAUAAACUUGCUCAAAUCAAUCAAAAGGCCUCUGAUCCUUAGAGGAAAACAUCCACCAAGGCGCCUCUAAAGCUACCCCAAGGGCUUAGACUCGCUCUAAGAUGUCUCAAAAGUAACUCAAAAAAUCGAUGUCAAAGAUGAGUAAUGGUCGAACCAUCUUCAAGUAUAGGAAAGAAUACACCCAAAGGGGACUGCUCUAUGUGAACUACGUGAGAAUGACAAGUGUAGGGUGCUUAACAACCUGACUGAAGUAUGUGUUGUGAACUCAAAGGACUGUGUCAUGAGUAGUGAAAAGGAAUAUCUGGAAGAUCGAUGACGAAUAGGCGAUAAGCAUAGGGUAACGAGGUGAGAAAAAAAAACCAGGACGAACGCAAAGCCAUGAAGGUAAGAGGUGCAAUGUCAGUGAAUAUGAAUGUCUGGAGCCAUGACUCUGAAUGACAAGGCUGAGGAGAAACGACUUUGAAUGCCAAAAGGAUGAAAGAUGAUGAUUCUAAAUGCCUAAAUGAGUAUGCACGACAGCUGUAAACGCCAAAACUAAAGGAAUAUGGUGACACCAAAUGCCAAGUUGGACGAUGGCUCUGAAUGUCAGGAAUGUUGCUCUGAACAUCGAAAAUGUGGCAACGAAUGCUCGAUCAUGAUAGGAUGAUAGCUCUGAAUGCCAAGCUGUGAAAGAAACAAUGACUCUGAACACUAAACAGUACGAGGAUAGUGACUCUGAAUGCUGAACUGGAGAGAGAUGGUGGCUCUGAACGCUGAACUGAAGAAAAAUGGUGGCUCUAAAUGCCGAACCGAAGAAAGACAUGACGACUCUGAAUGCCGAACUAAAAACAUGGCUUUAAACACCAAAUUAAAAAAACCGAUAACACUGAAUACUAAAGCUUAAAUUGAAUUGACAGCUUUGAACGUUGGAACUGAGAAGCGAUGGUGACUUUGAACGCCAAAACUAAGAAGCAAUGAUGGCUCUGAACGCCGAAAAUGAGAACUAUGAUAGCUCUAAACGUCAAAACUGAGAACGAUGAUGGCUCUGAAUGCCGAACUGAAAAUAGUGAUGGCUCUGAACGCCGAAGCUAAGAAGCGAUGAUGGCUCUGAAUGCCAAAACUGAGAAUGAUGAUGGCUUUGAACACUGAAACUGAGAAUGAUUAUGACUCUGAACGCUGAAACUGAGAAGAACGAUGGCUUUGAACGUCAGAACUGAGAAGCGAUGAUGGCUCUGAACGCCAAAGUAGAGAAGCGAUGAUGCCUUUGAACGCCGAAAUUGAGAAGCGAUGAUAGCUCUGAAUGCCGAAACCGAUAAGCAAUGAUGGCCUUGAAUGCCGAAACUGAGAAGCGAUGGCUCUGAACGCCGGAACUAAGAAGUGAUGAUGGCUUUGAAAGCCAAAACCGAGAAUGAUAAUGGCUCUGAAAGUCAAACUGAAAAUGUUGAUGGCUUUGAAUGCCGAAGCUGAGAAGCGAUGAUGGCUCUGAAUGCCAAAACUGAGAAUGAUGAUGACUUUGAACGCUGAAACUGAGAAGGGAUGGUAGCUUUGAACGCCAAAAAUGAGAACGAUGAUGGCUCUGAAUGCCGAAAAUGAGAACGAUAAUGGCUCUGAAUGCUGAAACUGAGAACGAUGAUGGCUCUAAACGCCGAACUAAAAAUGCUGAUGGCUCUGAACGCUGAAGCUGAGAACGAUGUUGGCUCUGAACACCGAACUGAAAAUGUUGAUGGCUCUAAAUGCCGAAAUUAAGAAUGAAGAUGGCUCUGAACACCGAAAAUGAGAAUGAUGAUGGAUCUGAACGCCGAAUGAUGAGGGCUUUGAAUGCCGAAACUGAGAAUGAUGAUGGCUCUGAACGCCGAGAUUGAAGAUGCAAGGAUAUAAUGAAGGGAGGAUAUGCCCUAGUGUGGUGUGAUACUAUAGCUCUCAGUCCACGAAAAUGGUUUGAAAGAGACUCCAUGAGUCUUAAAAGAUGCUCUGCUAGCGAGUCGGAAUGGUCAAAUCAACUAUAAACAUAGUCUCAUAACUCAUCUAACUAAAACACGAGACUUGAUGAAGUGUCAUAAUAAUCUGGAUGUCUCUGGCUCUAGAUGCUCUACUAGGAGGAUCCAUCUUCGUAUCAAAGGAAUGAUCCACUGGGGAGUCACAAGAGAAUAGUCUGUCAGGGUAACUACUACAAUCUUAAUCUAUUGAAGAGUCAUGGAUAGUAGGGUAGUCAAACCCUUAAGGUCGUGCUUUUGUUGGAGGCUCAUCUCGGCAAAAAUCAUUGAGACUGUGACCAUCAAUGUGAAUAAACAUCCCUUGAUCGAGUAAUGUGGACUGUAACAAAUCUUUGAGAAAACAAUCAUCUCCAUUAUUGAAAAAAGGGGAAUAUGCCCCAGUAUGGCAACUAGGGCAUCCGAUCUGUCUUGAUAACUUGAGAAUGUCUCAAUGGGAACGUAUAGGAGAUCCGACCAAUACUCCAUUGAAAUGACAAUGAGGGAGUCUAUGCAUCUGAGAUAACUACAUACAAGAAUCAUGACAACAUAAAAAAAUAUGGGCCCAACUAAAUGACUCAAGAAAGGCUCCACCAGAGAAUCAAGGCAAAGCGAAGUCAAAUCAUUAACCCAACGUGCAUCUCGUAACUGGGAUGGUCAUGCAAAUCAAUGGAAAUCUAUAAAUCUCAACUGAAAAGGGAAUAUACCCCAAUAUGGCAUCAGAUGUGUGGUAGGUCAGAAAACCAGAUGACACCAAAUCAUCCAUCACCAAGUAUGUAAACCUAGCCAUCCAUAUCCACAGUUGAAUCAGAUCAAUGGAUCAAAGAAGUGUCUCCCAGAAAGAGAAACAUGAUGACACGUAAAUGCCGAAAGGUGUGGGUCUGAUUGAAUGGUUGAAGAAAGGCUCCACUGGGAGAUCAUGAUAAGAUAGCAAGUAGGUCAUCAUCUCGACAUGUAUCUCAUAGGUGGGCAUGAUCAUGCGACUCCAUGAAGAUUUAUAAAUCUCAACCGGAAGGGAAAUAUACCCCAAUAUGGCAUCAGAUAUAUGGUAGGUCAGGAAUCGAGUGACAUGAAAUCAUCCAUCAUCAAAUGUGUGAUCUCCGUAAUCUUCAUCGAACCCAAACGUCAAGGAGAUGUCUCUAAGAAGAAGAAGCAUGAUGAUAUACGAAUAUGGAAAAAUACGGGCCUGACUAGAUGACUGAAGAGAGGCUCCACUAAGGGAUCAUGAUAAAAUAACGAAUACAUCCUCGUCUCGGCGUGUAUCCCGUAAGUGGGAGUGAUCAUGCAACUCCAUGAAGAUCAAUAACUCCCAAUCGAAAUUGAAAUAUGCCCCAGUAUGGCAUCAAAUAUAUGGUAAAUAAAAAAAAAGUCAGGUGACAUCAAAUCGUCCAUCAUCGAAUACAUGAUCUCAGUAAUCCAAAUCCACAUCUGAAUCAGACCCACGUAUCAAAAGAGACGUAUCCCACAGGAGGAGCAUGAUGACAUCUAAAAGCCAAAAAGUGUGAGUCUGACCGAAUGGAUCAAGAAGGGCUCCACUGGGAGAUUAUGAUAAGAUAACAAACAGGUCAUCGUCUUGGUGUGUACCUCGUAAGUGGAGAUAAACAAGCAACUCCAUGAAUAUUUGUAAAUCUCAUCCGAAACGGAAUAUGCCCUAGUAUGGCAUUGAAUGGGUGGUAGAUCAGAAAAAAUCAGGCAACACCAAAUCAUCAAUCAUCAAAUAUGCAAUCCCAAUCAUCCAAACCCACUACUAAAAUGAACCCAAACAUCAAUGCAACGUCCCCCUGAAGAAGAAGCAUGAUGACAUCCAAAUAUCAACCAAAUCUCAAACACCCGUCCAAGUAGGGGUGUCGAGGACGACAUCUGAUCCCAUGGCCUCAGGGUGGUCUUAAAACACGGGAUGUAACAUAGGUUAGGGUGAUAAGGUAAUAGAAAUGAAGGGAAACUAGGCCCAAAUACCCAAUGAUAAAAAACCCAUGCCCUCAUGUAUGAAAUGCAACAUGUACAAAAAAUCCCAUGAGUCAUGGACCCGAGGGUGCCCAAUGUGAAAAUGAUAACAAUAACGAGGCAAAAAAGAAAAUCAAACUGAUAAUGAGAUGUGUAAUGAUGAUGCGAAGAGAGUAACAAACCCGAAAAUGGGUCAUUGUAAGAAAAUGUUAAGGGGUGAAACGCAAUGGAUGAAUUAACAGCAAAUAUAGUGAAGCAAAGAACACGAAGAUAAGUGAUGAUCCGCUUGAAUCCAACAUGAAGUGAAGUCACAUCAUCAAUGAAUGUAAUGAUGGAAAGGACAACGACACAAAUCUCCUAAGAGAGAUGUCAUUCAUUUCACUCUCAAAAUAUACGAAACAUGAAUACAAAUAAUGAAGGGUCUCAGAAAGCUCACAUGCGAGCUCCCAUCAAUAAACAUACUCAAUGAAGUGACCCACAAACAUCAAUAUACACCUCCAAUGAUGGAGAAUACUAUGCACAUACACACAUGUGCUUAUUUUUCUUUUCUUUUCAUUCUUUUUUUUUUCAUUUUUUUUUCAUUUCAUUUUUUUUCACCAUUUCAAUUUUUUUUUUCAUUUUUUCUUACACAUAUACAAAUGCACAUACUCUGAACAUAAAAAAAUGAGCCCCAAAUAUGAUAUCUACAAUGGAUAGACACACUCUCAAAAACUCUCUCUGACAAGAUAACCUUCUCAAACUAAGGAUCUCGGAAUCAGUGUCUGCUGGAUAGAUGGCGAAAAUGAUGUGACUAUCCUUCAUGCAAUGAAUUGAGGAGGAUCACCACUUAGGGUGAAGAGAAUAUGAAGCAAAACAAACAGCAGAUAGAAUAAAGGAGAAGGAAUGAAGAACUUGACCAAUGAGAUGUGAUGAAAUGCAGUAGAGUGAUGGUAGGAAAAAAUAAUGAGAGAAAGAUUCACCUAUAGGUCCAAGACUCAUGAGGCUCCCAAACAAUGCAUGUAUACACUAAAGGGCCCCAAUCCCAAUGUAAAAAUAUGAGCAAGGCAAUAAGAUAGAAAUGCUAUAAUGCACACGCGAGGCUCAAUGGGCUAGCAACGAUCUAUAUAUCAAGAGGGAAUAACAAGGUAUAUGGCUAACUGAAAUGAUGGCCACCCAUCCUACGACCAUGGUCUCAAACAUAGUACCUCUUUAGCUGAUCCACAUUAGUCGACUUUGAGAAUCAGUUUCCAUCUAGAUCCAUCAACCAUGCAAUGCCCUUUGAGGUCAACUCCCUGAUGAAGUAAGGUCUGCUCCAAUUGGGUCUAAACUUCCCUUUGGGAUCUCUGAUCAAUCCUCUAAUGACCUUCAAAACCAAGUCACCUAUCCAUAGUGGUCAGGGCUUGACCUGCUUCUUAAAAGCACAGGUCAUCUUUCUCUGAUAAGCACGAACAUGGUUUGUUGCCCUCAAUCUCCUCUCAUCUAGGAGAUUGAGUUGGUCUAAUCGGGCCUGAACCCAAUCUGCCUCUGGAAUCUACUGCUCCAAUGCUACUCUCAAUGAACACAUCUCAAUCUCAACUGGUAGCAUUACCUCCAUACCAUACAUCAAGGAGUAGGGUGUGGCCCCUAUAGAGGUACGGAAAGAAGUCCGAUAAGCCCACGAUGCAAAUGACAGCUUCUCUUACCAAUCUCAAGAAGUCUCAACCAUCCUCCGCAAGAUCCUCUUAAUAUUCUUAUUCGUAGCCACUAUUGCCCCGUUCGUCUUCGGCCUGUACGCAGACAACCUAUGAUGCCAGAUGUCAUAUCUCUAUACUAAGGUGUCAGUCUCCGCUCUAAAAUGUACUCCUCUAUCUGAAAUCAACUCAUGAGGGACUCCAUAAUGACAUAUAAUGUGCGAUCUGAUGAAACUAGCAACUCCAACUGAUGUCAAUCUUGCAUAUGAAGCAGUCUCCACCCACUUGGUGAAGUAAUUGAUGGCAACCAAGAUGAACUCAUGACCACUGGAAGACUUUGGCAAAAUCUUCCAAUGAUGUCAAUACCCCAUACCGAAAAUGGUCAUGGCAAAGUCAAUGCAUGUAGCUCCAAGGGCGACACAUGAAUGAGGUCCCCAUGUAUCAAACACUCGGGACAUCUCUAAACGAAGUGGCAACAAUCUGUCUUCAUGGUCAACUAGAAAUAGCCAAUCCUCAUGAUCUUAUGGGCCAGCAUAUGUCAUCCCAUAUGUGGUCCGCAGACUCCCGCAUGAACCUCUCUCAUCACUCGAUCGAUAGAGGCGCGGUCUAAGCACAAUAACAACAUCCCAUCAGCUGAUCAUCUAUAUAAUGUCUCACCACAAAUCAUGAAUCAGGUGGCCAAUUGCCUCAAUACUCUCUUAUCCUUGGCCGUGGCGACCUCAGGAUAUACACCAAGUCUCAAAAAGUGAUAUAUGUCAUGGUACAAAGGCAAACCAUCAUCUGGCUUUAUAUCAUCAAAUAGGCAAUAGUAGGCAGGAGCAUAUCUCGACUUGAUCAGUAAAGAGCGAACAAUGUCAUCGAUAAGAAUAUCAAUCAUGGAAGCUAGAGUAGCUAAGGCAUCAGAAAACUGGUUCUGCGGUCUAGGUAGGUGUGUGUAUCUCAAAUCAUCAAAUCUCCCAACCAGUAGCUCCAAGUAUGAGUGGUAAGGCCUAAGCUUCACAUCUCUAGUCUUCCACUCAUCUUGAAUCUGUCUCAAUACCAGACUAAAGUCACCAAACACCUUCAUCUGUCUAAUCCCAAGCUCAAGGGUUGUCUCUAAUCCCAAGAUACAAGCCUCAUACUCAACAAUAUUGUUUGUGGCCGAUGUCGAUUCGAGAAUUCCAAGCAAACAGAUUUAGGAAUAUGAUCACCAUGAGAGAAUAUCAACAAGACGCCUAUCCCAUAUCUGGAAUGGUUGGCUGCACCAUCAAAGUACAUGCGCCAACCUGACAGACUAGUCACAACAGCGACAUCCUCGUCUAGAAAAUCAUCAUCAAUAGCUCUACCAUUGGAAACUAGUAAUGAUGCUAGGUGAUCUACAACAAUGCUCCCCUUGAUGGACUUCUGAGUGACAUAAUCGAUGUCAAACUCAGUCAGAAGCACCAACCAUCUCAUGAGGCAACCGACCAGAGCAGGUCCGUCAAACAAAUAUCUCAGAGGAUCUAGAUGGGAUAUCAAGUGCACUGAAUACUCGGUCAUGUAAUGUCUCAGUCGGUGAGUGGCACAAACCAAUGCUAAAUAGUAGUGCUCAAUCAUGACAUAUCUCGUCUCGUAGUUUAGCAUCCUCUUACUCAAAUAAUAAAUGGCUCACUCCUUGCCCGAAUCAUCGAGCUGAGCUAACAUGUAACCCAAUACUACAUCUAAAACUGAUAGGUAUAGGAGUAGAGGAUGGCCUGGUGUAGGGGGUACUAAGAAUGGAGGUGGUAACAAGUAAUCUCUGAUCCUCUCAAAUGCGCAUUGACACUGAUCAUCCCAAAUAGUAGGUUGAUUCUUUCUCAAGAGUCAAAAAAUGGGUUCACAGAUGUCUAUCAAUCUGGCAAUGAAUCUGUUAAUGUACUAAAGUCUUCCAAAGAAGCCUCUAACCUCUCUCUCUGUCCUCGGUGCAGGCAUGUCAAGUAUGACUAUGAUCUUAUCUGGAUCUACCUCUAUGCCUCUCUCACUAACCAUAUAUCCCAAGAGUUUCCCAAAAGUCACUCCAAAAGUGCACUUCUUGGGAUUCAGUCUCAAUCUGAACUGCCUGAUCCUCUCAAAGAACCUCUCAAGAGUCGCUAGGUGAUUUAAUCUAUCCCAGGAUUUCACUAUCAUGUCGUCUACAUAAACCUCGACAUCCACAUGCAUCAUGUCAUGGAAAAGGGUGGUCGCUGCUCUCUAAUAGGUGGCUCUUACAUUCUUCAAUUCGAAUGGUAUGACUCUAUAGCAAUAAGUACCCCACUUGGUAAUGAAGGACGUCUUCUCCAUGUUCUUUGGAUUCAAUCCAUCCAUAAAGGAAAACAUUGAAUGAAUUGUUGUACUAUCAACUAGCAUGUUGAUGUGUGGGAGAGGAAAAUCAUCCUUAGGACUGGCCUUGUUGAGAUCUCAAAAAUCAACAUAGACUCUCACCUUGCCGUCAUUUUUAGAAAAAUGGACGACAUUGGCCAACCACUCUAGGUACUCGACCACUAACAAAAAUCCUACACUGAGUUGCUUCUGGAUCUCCUCCUUCACCUGCAAACUCCAACGAGGGUGAAAUUGCCUCUACUUUUGCUUAACCGAUCUGACAUGAGGCAGAAAUGGCAAGUAAUGUUGGACUAUGGAUGGAUCAAGGCUCGACAUGUCCUCAUAGGACCAUGCAAAAACAUCCAAAUAUGAUCUAAGCAAUCGAGCGAGGUCAUCCUUCUCAUCUAUAGAUAAAUCCAAUCCAAUCCUCAACUCCCUCGAUUGGUCUGUUGUACCAAAAUCAACAAUCUCAAUGUCUCCUGUGGCAAGUGAAACUCUCUGAUCAAUGGGGUCUGAAUCAGAAGCAGAAAAUGAGUCAUCAUCUAAAUCGAGUUGUGCAAUCUCAUCGUCUAUAUCAAAUAUCUGUGAUGUGAGUGAAGAUGGUGCAGAUAAAGUAAUAUCAUGAGAGACAGACAAAUACUCAUAAAUGCUCAAAUCCAUAAAUAAAGAGUCAUUGAUUCGCGUAUGUAAAUCCAGUCGGGUCAUUUAAUCAAAAACAUUUAUAAAACCUAUGACCUCAUACUAGUGUAGCAAAACUACUAUAGUAUAGUGGCUUUAGGGUCGAACUCUGGGAUGGGUUUUCAUUCUACCAGUGAUAUACUCAUGAUUAGGAAUUGAAUUUAAUGAUUUCCUUUAUAAAAAAUUUAGAGUUUAAAAGAAAAUAAAAUUUGUUUUGAAAGUGUUUGAAACUAAAUUAACAUAAACUAAUUAAAAAUGGAAGAAAGAAAGUCUCCCGGAGCUCAGGAUUGCUAGGAUCAAGUUUAGAAUGCAAAGUGGAAAAUUCCGGAUUUUUCUUCUCGCAUUGGGGAUUUAACCUAUAGUUAUUUCCCGAACCGGUAUAGGUUUAACAAUGAAGAUUUAAUCCAUAAAAAUCAAUAGAAAUGGUAGUCAAGGUCCAUUAAUGGCUUUAGACACUAUGGGUCUUCACCUUGAACCACUUUCCAAUGGCUCGUACAUAAUAACUAAUGGACUGAUAUGGAUCUAGCAAUAAGCAUCCACAGAGACCUGAAGCUUACCAUGUAUUGGCCAUUCAAAGUGAUUCUAAGGGAUUUAAAGCAAAACAUUGGAUUUAAAAGCCAUUUAUGAAUUUCAACUACCUGUAUUUAAGGCAUGAUCGUUUUCCACCUUGCAUAUGGACUUUUCACCUAGCUUCCAUCACUCCAAGAAACCAAAAGUUUAGCCUCUCAUCCUCUGAGAAAACAUCCUCAGAGGUUGUUUGGCUUCCAAGAAAAAGAAAAUAGUAAAUAGAAAAGGGAAAACGAGAGAGCUCUGUAUAUUUUUCUAAGUGUAAAACAUAACACGCGUGAUACCUCCAAGAGGUGAUUUCCACCCCUUAUAUAGUUUUUACAAAAGCAAAGCUUGUGAUUGGCUUGUUACAAGGAGAAGAAAGGAAAUUACAUCAAAAAAUACAAUAGAAAAUAUCUAAAGUGGAGUCGGCAAAAAAAGAGGAAAAUUCGCACCACGCAUGGGGUGUGCGAAUUUUCGCACACCUGAGGUGGGGUGUGCGAGUUUCGCACACCAUUCGCACACCUGGAUCAGUUGUCUUCUGAAGGCCAUAUCUUCCUCGUUUCAGCUCCAAAUCGUACACGGUAUGAAGCAUUGGAUUCUUGACUUCCUGAGCUUUGAAAUGGUAUAUAGCAUGUAAAAAAUGGACUUCGGUAAGUGCUCCAAAAGUGCUAAAGAAGACUGCAGUUGCUGUCCUCUAUUUUCCUCCUUGCUUCUCUUUGCUUCUCUUUGGUUUUCUUUGGUUUUCUCCUUUGGAUGGCUUGUCUUAAUGAUCUAAAAAGAUGUCAAAAACACUAAAACUAGCCACAAAUAUGAUUAGGAGUCAUUGCUAGGUCCUUAACAUGCCAAUUGGAAUAAAGAUGAAGAAUUACUACACAAAAGUGCUUAAAACAUAAUGACUUAAAGGUGUAAAAUAGCACUUUUUGGGUAGUAAUCACUCCCCCCAACUGACACAUUGAUAGUCCCUGAGCAAUGAAGGAGAGAAAAAGAAAGAAAAAUAGAUAAUAAAAUAAUUUACAAAAUCAUGCUGAUCACUCCAAAAAAUAAUCAAGUGGCAUGAUUGGAUCAAACUCUCACAUGGCAAGUCAAGGAUAUAAAACUCAAUCAUCAACAAGAGUUAUCAAAUAACUUACCUAUCACAACUUGCUAAGAACGGGCAUUAUGCAAAUUUGAGUAUCAAAAUAAUUUCCACUCCCAACGGAUCAUUUCUUAAUCUUCCACAAAAAUCUAAGUGUUAAGGUGCUUAGUUUCCAGUUAUAGUAUGUCAAACUAUAUUCUCCCCCCCCAACUAAGGUUUUUCUCUAACUUUAGCAACACUAACUCAUAUAUAAAAGGCUAAGAACGCACCUUUUUUUUUUUUAGAAGGGACUCCACCCAUCCACCCAUGUAACGAGCAGUGAGGUCGGUGACUCCCAACCAGUAAAGGCUUAGGGCACCAGGCUUUAAAGAUUUUCACCAUAUACCCCUCAGACCUUGCUCGGGUUUCAAAGCAAGUGAAGCAAAAAUUAUUCAUAAGACACAUUGGCCUUUUAUAAGGUGUCCCAACACUAAUAGAAUGAAGUCAAUGGCACCAAGUCGAAAAUUUCCUAAGUUUAGGGGGGUGAGAAAGUUUUCCAUCUUAUAACUGGAAUCUAAUGUGUUUAGUGUGUGAAAAGAUUAGAGUGGAAGACUUAAGAUUGAAAUCAAAAGGAUCUUCAACAAUUUAUCAACUUUAAUAAGCAUAAUACAAACUCUGAGACUAUGGCAAUAAGAUAAGAAUUUAAUUUCUUCCAUUUACUUUUGAGAAUUUAUCUUUGAGAAAACAAAGAGAGUUUGCAAAAAAAAAAAAAAAAAAAAAAAAAAAAUUAGCAAAAUAACUUAACCAAAAAUUCAACAAAUUACUUCCUCAACUCUCCCCCCAACUAGAAUGAACAUUGUCCCCAAUGUUCCAAAAACAAGAGAUAAUAAAAGGGAGGAAAUGAUACCUCCUGAUAGUAAGGGAGUCUGAAUGAACAGGAGAAACCACAUGUUGCAUAAGAAAAGAAAAAUCAUAAGAUUGAUGAAUAGAGGAAAUAAAAUGGAAUAGCUAAAAUACACAAAAAAGAAGAUGUCUAUAUAAACUGAGAGAGUACAAUAUACAAGAUAAACAUGAAAUACAUCCAAUCCCAGUAUAAAAGUGGUCCAAAAUAUAUAAGACAUCCAAAAACGUAGCAUAUAGAUACAAAAAAGGUGAGAGGAGUGAUCGUAUGAUCAAGUAGUAGGCUCCUCUGGUGGAUAGGAGGGGUCCUCCGCUGCAACUGUGGAAGGAACCGCUACAGGUGGAGCUGGUGGUGAAAGACCGAGGUGGUGCUGAAUCUCACGGAGAAUGAGAGUCUACUGGUCCUGCUGAAGUUGGAAGUGGUCCAUCCGCUCCAUAGUGGCCGUCUGAGUAGUGGUCAAAGUCUGGAAAGAAGCGAGCAAGACACGAUACUCUGGACUAGGGAUAGUAAUGGGCGGCUCUGAUGUAGGAGGAACAACAGGUGGGGCAUCAGAUGAUGCUGCCUCCGGUACUGGCUGUGGAGGGUCUGAAGUGGACGAAGCAGGAGGGACUUCCCUUGGCUCGGGAAGUUCUGGGGACUGGCGAUGGAGCCAUAUCUGAGUCCAUUGGUCAAGAGAGAAGCUCUCUCGACAAUGGCGGCGGGGCUCUGAACGAGGGUUUGCAGGAAAACCCAUAUGCGCCAAAACAUGGCAUAGCAGCCAAGGGAAAAGUAAAGGCAUGGAGUCUGCCCUCGCAAGACGCCGCGUAUGCACCUUCUCCUCAAAAUGGAGAAGAGCGGCCAUAAUCAAAUGAUGGGGGCCAAAAUAGUAGCACUCAGAGAUACGGAAUAAUGCCUUCAUAAUGGCCCCUCGUCUCUGCACUUUAUGCUGAAGAGGAAAAAGAUUGGCGCGAAGCACCACAUCAACUAGGAGCAUCUUUGGGGGAAACUCUCUCCUCAAAAUGGUCCUCUGGGAAGAUGUCCCUCGAGAUAGGAUACGAACCAUGUCCAACUCAGAAAGUGGGGCCCAACGUCUAAAUGUAGCGAGAUUUGCUGGUGCAAAAGGGAUAUGGAAGGCAUCGGCAAUCUGUCUAGCCCCCAAAAUACCCUGGCAUCCAUCAAUGGUAAAAAGGAUCGAGGCUGGUACCGGGACGCCACGAGUAGUCAUAGACUGGUAAAAGUCUAAAGCUACUCGAGGAUAAAAGAACUGGGGUAGAGUCAUAAAGGGUAUAAGAUGGUACCUCUCAAGUAGGCGGUAUAAAUCCCGCAACUCAGGCUGCUGUCGCAUAAGAGAGUGAUCGAAAUAUGCCUCGACAUGAAAGUAUCUCGAUCGGCAAUCACAGUUGCCCUCAAUGGGCAAGCUGGGUCUAGGGCGCCUGGCGGAAGAAGGCUGAGACUGUGAAUCCCGAGGUGCUCUGGAGGACUCUCCUGGCUCUGAAGUCUUGGCUUUCUUUGUAGGAGGACUCCGAGGUGGAAUUUGUGGAGGGGCCACAGACGUGGCAGAUGCUCUCCUCGUAUGGUAUCUGCUCUGAGGGGCAGAAUCAAGUAAAUGUGAGGGUGCAUCUAGUGGGGCCAGCACAGGGGCGGCUCUCUAACUGCUCUGGGGAGCUAUGGUAGAUCCUCCUCGGGUCUUAGGCAUGAUGAACCGAUGAAAUGAGGCUCAAAGGUUUGGGAUUAGAGAAGGUAGGGAUGGAAAAACUGAAAUUUUCGCACAAGGGGGGGGGGUGUGCGAAAUUUUCGCACAGGGUACUAUUCACCCGUGCAUUUGAAGAAUUGUGGCUUGUUUGAGAUGGUGAAAAUUUGUGGCCUUUGAGGGUGGGAAAAGUUGGCUUAGGUAUGAAAAAGAUUUGUCAUGGUGAAUAGGCUUGGAAAUUGGAGCUUUUCAAGAGGAAAAUUGAAGAUUGGGAGCUCCCACGGCCGGCGGCAAUGGGUUUCUUAUGAAGAAACCAUGGCUUGAAUGCUUAUGGUUUAGGCUUUGGUUUGGUAAGAACAAGGUUUGGGAUUGGAUUGUGGAUGGAUUUAGAGGGUUGGGUGAAGAUUUGAAAGGAUUUUGAUGGUGGAAGGAGGUGAAAUUGCCGAAAAUGGGAAGUGGUGAAUAGUGAAUGCGCGGCUAUGGAAUGGAGCUAUGGAGAUGGGCUGCCAUGGUGUUGUUGAUGAUGAGGAAUGAUGAAGAAGAGGGGCUUUGUGGAUGGAAAUGGGUGAUCGGAAGAGAGGUUUUGAGAGAAUUGAAGAAGAAGCUAAGACUUUGAAGUAGAGAACAUAGCUUUUAAAGAGAAAAAUGAAUUUCGCACAGGGGAAAAUGGUGUGCGAAAUUUUCGCAUACCUGUGAUUCUCCAAGACAGAGAGCAUGGUUUUGAAAAUUUGCGCAAAAAACGAAUUCGCACAGGGUUCGCACAAGGUUCGCAUUCCUGUGAAAUUCGUACAAGGGACCAAGAGCAUGCAAUUUUUGAAAAGUGGUGCAAAAGCAAAUUUGCACAGGGUAAGUGGUGUGCGAAAAUUUCGCACACCACAAGGGGGUGUGCGAAUUUUGCUGAGUCUUGUCUUUUCUCCCCUGUUUUCCCUUGUUUUCACCAAGACUUCAUUCUUCAAGCCUUCAAGCCUUCCUACCUACAUGUUAACAAAAAAAAAAAAAAAAAAAUUUCAAACCACAUUAGAAUGAAAUUAAAGUCAAAAAUAGAAAUCAAAACAUGUAUAAACACAAGAAAACAUUAGAUUAAACUAAAAUCAACUUAAAAGAGAACAAAAAGAGGAUGAACUUUUUAGUCUUUGGAGAGACUAAGUUCAACCAUGAACCAAGUGUUUUCAUGUUGGAGGUGGAUCAAGGAGGAUGAAUUCCUCCUUGUCUCGGGAAAAAGAUUCGAUGUAGGGCUUGAGACGAUGCCCAUUAACUUUGAAAGUUCGAGUGCUAUUGAAGUUGAGUAGUUCCACUACUCCAUUUGGUUGCACUUCAUGAAUUAUGAAAGGACCCGUCCAUCUUGAUUUCAAUUUUCCCGGAAAAAGAUGAAACUUAGAGUCAUAAAGCAAGACUCUUUGCCCCUUGGCAAAAUUCUUCUAAUUUACCAAUUGAUCAUGCCAUUUCUUCAACCUCUCCUUUGCAAUUUUUGAAUUGAGGUAAGCAUCAUUCCUCAUUUCCUCCAAUUCAUUCAAAUCCAAACAUCUUUUCAACCCGGCUCUUGUCAAAUCCAUGUUGAGUUUUUUGAUUGCCCACCAUGCUUUGUAUUCAAUCUCCACUGGAAGAUGGCACGCUUUGCCAUAAACAAGGCGAUAAGGAGACAUUCCAAGAAUGGUCUUGUAAGUGGUCCUAUACGCCCAUAAGGAAUCUAGGAGCUUAAUAGACCAAUCCUUCCUAUUCACAUUCACCACCUUCAUUAAUAUAUUCUUGAUCUCCCGGUUGGCUAACUCAACUUGGCCACUUGUUUGAGGGUGAUAAGGUGUAGCUACCUUGUGCUUAACCCCAUAUUUGGCUAGAGGAGUCUCAAAAGGUUUAUUGCAAAAGUGGGUUCCUCCAUCACUUAUAAUGGCCUUAGGCACUCCAAAUCUUGCAAAGAUGUUAUCCUUGAGGAAUUUAAGAACCACCCUAUGAUCAUUGCUCCUACAUGGGAUUGCUUCAACCCACUUAAAGACAUAAUCCACUCCCACCAAAAUGUAGGAAUGUCCAAAUGACAUUGGAAAUGGUCCCAUGAAGUCUAUCCCCCAAACAUCAAAGACAUCCACUAUCAAAAUGGGGUUCAAGGGCAUCAUAUUUCGGCGUGUAAGCUUACCAAGCCUUUGACACCGAUCACAUCCCUUGCACAUAGAGUGGGCAUCCUUGAAAAAAGAGGGCCACCAAAACCCUGAUUGGAUCACUUUCAUAGCUGUUUUCUGGGAGGCAAAAUGACCUCCACAUGCACUGUCAUGGCAAUGGGAAAGAAUUCCUGAUUGCUCUUGUUCAGGAACACAUUUCCUUAUGAUUUGAUCCGCACAAUAUUUGAAGAGAAAAGGCUCCUCCCAAUAAUAGGCAUGGAUCUUAGCAAAGAAAUGCCUCUUGUCUUGGGCACUCCACUCGCUUGGAACUUCCCCAGUAACCAAGUAAUUUGCAAUGUGAGAAUACCAAGGAGCUACAUCUAUUGACAUGAGAGACUCCUCAGGGAAGUCAUCAUUGAUAGGCAGACCAUGUGAGUCAUGUGCUAUCACAAGUCUUGACAAAUGGUCAGCUACCACAUUUUCUACUCCCUUUUUAUCCCGGAUUUGGAGAUUGAAUUCUUGGAGCAAAAGGAUCCAUCUUAUCAAUCUUGCCUUGGCAUCUUGCUUGGUUAGCAAGUACUUCAAAGCGGAAUGGUCAGUGAACACCACUAUAGAGGACCCUACUAAAUAGGCACGAAACUUAUCCAAGGCAAAAACUACUGCCAACAACUCCUUCUCAAUAGUUGUGUAGUUCCUUUGAGCCUCGUUCAAAGUUUUGCUCGCGUAAUAAAUCACAUAAGGCUUUCCAUCCUCUCUUUGCCCCAAAACAACCCCCAUAGCAAGAUCACUUGCAUCACACAUUACCUCAAAAGGUAAUUUCCAAUUUGGGGCUCUCACUAUUGGUGCAGUUGUGAGGAAUUGUUUCAAUUCCUCAAAACUCUUCUGACACUUCUCAUCCCACACAAACUUGGCAUCCUUUACCAAGAGUUCACAAAGAGGCUUUGAGAUUUUUGAGAAAUCCUUAAUGAACCUCCUAUAGAACCCGGCAUGUCCUAGGAAUUGCCUAAUUUCUUUAACAUUUGUGGGAGGUGGCAACUUAACAAUUAGCUCCACCUUUGCCUUGUCUACCUCAAUGCCAUUUUUGGAGAUUACAUGUCCUAAGACAAUGCCUUGUUGUACCAUAAAAUGGCACUUCUCCCAAUUUAGCACUAGGUCUUUCUCAAUACAUCUGUGGAGAACAGCUUCUAAGUGCAACAAACACUCCUCAAAAGAACUUCCAUAUAUAGUGAUGUCAUCCAUGAAGACUUCCAUGAUGCGUUCCACCAUAUCACUGAAGAUGCUUAGCAUACAUCUUUGGAAAGUUGCAGGAGCAUUACAUAAACCAAAGGCCAUUCUCCUAUACGCAAAAGUACCAAAGGGGCAUGUGAAGGUUGUUUUUUCUUGAUCUUCCAAAUCAAUCUCUAUUUGGAAGUACCCCGAGUAACCAUCUAGAAAACAGUAGAAAGGAUGUCCUGAGACUCUCUCAAGGACUUGGUCCAUGAAAGGCAAUGGGAAAUGGUCCUUCCUAGUCACUGAAUUCAACCUCCUGUAGUCUAUACACACCCUCCAUCCUGAGGUAGGACGUGUAGAGACUUCCUCCCCUUUCUCAUUCUGAAUCACAGUGAUUCCAGAUUUCUUUGGAACUACUUGGGUGGGGCUCACCCACAAGCUAUCUGAAAUGAUAUAUAUGAUCCUUGCUUGUAGUAGCUUCAGAACUUCACCCCUCACCACCUCUUGCAUGUGAGGAUUCAACCUCCUUUGGGGCUGCCUCACUAGUUUUGCAUCUUCCUCCAUGUAGAUAUGGUGGGUGCACACCAAAGGACUAAUCCCUUUCAGAUCAGCAAUUUGCCAUCCAAUGGCUUUCUUUCAUUUUCUGAGGACUCCCAAAAGACUAUCCUCUUGAUCACUUGUGAGAUUUGAAGAGACCACCACUGGACAUUUCUCAUCUUCCUCCAAGUAUGCAUACUUCAAAUUAACAGGAAGUGGCUUCAAAACAAGCUUUGGAGGGUCCUCCAUAGCUGCUCCUUGUGAGUCCUCCUUAUUGAACAGUGGUAAGAUCUCUUCCCGUCUCCUCCAAGGAGACAUGAUAGCUAGCACAUCAGAGGGUUCAGGUAACCCUUCUUCAAACACUUCAAGGCUUUCAUUCAAGCUCUCUUCUAAGCUCUUGUCACAAUGCUCUUCAACCAAGGUGUUGAUCAGGCACACCUCCUCCAAUCCUUCAUCCUCAUCUGGGUGAAGAUGCCUCUUGCAAAGAUGGAAUAUGUUUAAUUCCAAGGUCAUGUUUCCAAAUGUAAGUUGCAUCACCCCAUUUCUACAAUUGAUGAUGGCAUUGGAGGUAGCCAGGAAAGAUCUCCCAAGGAUGAUUGGCACGUAAUUGGCUUCCUUAACAGUGGGAUCAGUAUCAAGCACAACAAAAUCCACGGGAUAGUAGAAUUUGUCACUUGAACUAGAACAUCCUCUAUCACCCCCCUUGGGAUUUUGACAGACCUAUCAGCUAAGGAGAGAGUGAUGGCUGUGGGCUUCAAUCCUCCAAGUCCCAGUUGCUUGUACACAGAGUAUGGGAGCAAAUUCACACUUGCCCCCAAGUCUAGUAAAGCUUUCUCCACAAGUGUCCCUCCAAUGUUGACUGCAAUGGUGGGGCAACCCGGAUCUUUAUACUUAACUGGAGACUUACUCUGAAUGAUAGCACUUACUUGCUCAGUGAGGAAUGCAUUCUUUGUCACAUGUAGCCCUCUCUUAACCGUGCACAAGUCCUUUAGAAACUUUGCAUAUGUGGGGACUUGCUUGAUCAUAUCAAGUAAGGGUAUAUUCACCUUCACUUGUCUCAAGACUUCAAGAAUUUCUGAUGAAUUCUUGAUUUCCUUCUUUCCAUGUAAAGCUUGAGGAAAAAGGGGAGGCAUAUGUUUCUUCAUCAUAUCUUCUUUAAUCACUAUCCUCGGCUCUUCUUCAAUGCUUGAUUUGGAUGCACUUUUCUUCCCACUCUCCUCUUCUUGGUUAUUGCUCUCUUUAACCAAGGUUUUCUUUGACAAGAGUUCUUCAUCUUGCCUCACCUUAGGCAAGGGUUGAUCAACCUCCUUUCCACUCCUCAAGGUGAUCACAGCUUUGACCUCUCUCAACUUUGAAGAAUCCCCCUCUUGGGUUUCAACUUCAUGAACACCCUUAGGAUUUUGGCUUGGUUGAGAGGGGAACUUUCCUUUCUCAUUCACUGUGUUGAGGUUGGUAAGCCUAGAGAUGGAAUAUUGAAUAUUAUCUAUCUUCUGAUAUAGAUCCUUUUGCAUCCCAUCCAUUCUCUUAUUUAGAGAACUCUCAACAUUCUCAAUCUUUUGGUGCAAUUGGGAGUUGAUUGCCCUUUGUUCACCCACAAAGUCAUUCAUGACUUUACUUAGGUUCGCAAUGGCUUGCUCCACUGAAGAGGUUUGUUGAGGUGCUUGAGUUUGGGCUUGUGGUUGGUAUGGAGGUGGUCUUGGUUUCCAAGAAAAAUUUGGAUGGUUUCUCCAGCUUGAAUUAUAGGUGUUUCUGAUAACCCGACUCUUGGUAGCUUGGCAUGUAAGGGUAUCAACAAAAUUUAUACCUAAGGUCCUUACACUAAAGUAGCAAAGCUACUAUAGCAUAGUGGCUCUAGGAUCGAACACUGGGAAGGGUUUUUACUUUAACUGGUGAAGUUCGGAGGAUGGAGUGAACUUUUCUUAAUAAAAAUUAGGUUAAGAUGAAAACAUAAAAAGAUGAAGGUGUUGUAAACUAAACUAACAUGAAAAUAGGUUAAAAGAUGGAAAAAGAAGUUUCUCAAAGCUUUGGAUAGCCAUGCUUAACUCACUGUGUAAAAAUGGAGAUUUUGGAACUUUUCACCUCGAGUUGGGGAAGCAACUAAGGUGAUGCUUACUUCCCGAACCGGUAUGUGUUUAACAACUGAGUUUUAGUCCUUGAAAACUUACAAAAAGGGUAGCUGAACCUCAUAAAUGCUCUUUUAAUGAUAUAGGUCAUCUCCUCGACUUGCAAUACAAUGGCUCGUAGGAGAUAACUAAUGAACGUCAGUGGAUCUAACAAUAAGAAUCCACUGAGACCAAAAGGUUAUCAAGUAUUGGCCAUUCAAAGCAAGUCAAAGGGAUUAAAAGCUUUACUUUGAAUGAAAACAUUUAUGACGCUCAACUACUUACAUUCAUGGCUUGGAAAUCUCCAUCCUGACACGGGAGCUUCACAUGGCAUCCAUUACUUUAAGAAACUAAAAGGUUUUAGCCUCUCAUCCUUGGGGAUUUCAUCCUCCAAGGAUGUUUGGCUACUAAGAAAAUAGAAAAUAGUAGAGAGAAAAAGAAAGCAAAAGAUACUCUGUAUUUAGCUAAGUGUAAAAUUUACAUAAGUUCGUCUUUGGAGAAAGUUCCCCGACGUUUAUAAAAUGAAAAUUACAAAACAAUAUAUAACAGGUUGUUUACCCCUGUAUCCUUGCUUAAGAACUAAGGAAUCAUCUAAUUGGUGGAUUACAAGGAGAGAAUUGGGAUUUAGACAACAAAUAUCUGAGGCAAAAUAAAAAAAAACGUUGGUCGCAAAUAUCUGGAAGCACUCAGGAGAAUUUCGCAGGUGCACAAAAUGGCUGCGAAAUUUCGCAGACGAACAAGAUGGCUGCGAAAUCAUUUCGCAGCCGAAGGCUGAUUUCGCAGCCCUGCGAAAUUGGCCUUCAGCUUGGAGUGAUCUGCUUCCAUUGGCUCUAACUUCUUCAUUUCAACUCUGAUUUGCGAACCGUUUGAAGCAUUGGAUUUUUGACUUCCCGAUCUUCGAAACAACAUAAAGUAUGCAUAAAUUGGACUUCAGGAAGUACUCCAAAAGUGGCUGAAAUGACUGUCAUCAAGAAUGCUUCAAGGUAGAUUCUCUCUUUACUUCUCCUCCUUGCAUUCCGGAUUGGUUAUGGCAAAGGACUUUAAGGCUUCAAAGCUCUGAUUCUUCAUGUUCCUGAGCUUUCCAUUGCUUUACCAUGGAUUCCAAAUAACUCUCCUCCAUCUUGGAUUGCUUUGGUGAUCAAAUUACUAACAAAAACACCAAAACUUACACAAAGUGAUUAGAAGUGAUUGCAAAGGUCCUUAAUAUGUUAAUUGGGUUAAAGGGCAAUAAUUACUACUCAAAAGUGUUUAAAAGAGUUAAUUACAAGCUAUCAAAUAGCCCUUUUUGAGUAGUAAUCACUCCCCCCAACCGACAUAUUGCUAGUCCCUUAGCAAUUAAGGAGAGAAAAACUAAGCAAACAAAGUAAUAAACAUAAAAGAGGUCAUGCAAAUCAUUCCAAAAAAAUAAUUGAGUGGCAUGAACGAUAUCAAAACACAUCUCACAUGGUGAACUAAAGAUAUGAAGAUUCAAAAUGCAAUAGGAGCUGUCAAAGCUAAAACUUAAACAAAAAGUACAAAGAGUGGAGAUUAUGCAAUUAAGUAUCAAAAGAUCUCUACUCUCAAGGUUCCAAAUCAAACUCUUCCAUAAUGAGCUAAGUGUUAACGAGAUUAGGUUCCGGAUAUAGUAUAUACAACUAUCCUCACCCUCCAACCUAAGCUUUUCUCGAACAAAGGCAAAAUUAACCAACUCUUAAUAGGUUAGGAACGCACCUUCUUAUUCACAAUUCUUUUUACUCACUAAACUUUAACCAAUUCACCUAUGUAGCAAGCAGAGGAUCGAUGACUCCCAACCAAUCAAGGUUUAGGGCAUCGGGUUUUAAAGGCUUUCGCCACCCCUUCGAAUCAUGCUUAGGUUUCAAGGAAAGAAUAGAAGCUUAUUCUUUUUUUUUUUUUGAAAGACUCAUUGGCCUUUAUGAGGUGUCCCAACACUAUUAAAGAGAAGUUAAGUAAUGAACCAAGUCAAAAUUUUCCUAAGCUUAGAAGGUGAGAAAGUUUUACAUCAUAUAUCCGGGAUCUAAUGUGCACUGUGUGUGUAAAGCUUGAAAUGGAAGAAAUAAGUUCGAAAUCAAAGAGAGCUUUAAUAGAUUAUCAACUUUGAAAGCAUAAAACAAACUCAAAGACUUAAAUAAUUAAGUUAAAACUCGACUUAUCCUAUUUUAUUUUUGAGAAAUUAUCUUUAACAACCAUAGAGAAAAAUUUUAAAAUUAAACAAAAGUAACCUAAAUUACCAAAAUAUUUAGUAUUAACAAUAAUAAUAAUAAAAAACUUCCUUCCUCAACUGUCUCCCCCCAACCAAGCUGAGCAUUGUCCUCAAUGUGGUAUGAGCGAUUGAAAUUACAGGGAGGAAGUGGUGCCUCCUGAGUGGAUGUAAUUUGAGUAGAUAAGGAGAAACCACAUGUUUCAAAAAGAAAAUAGAUAUGAGUAGAGGAAUAAAAAUAAAAUAAUACCAAGAGUAUGCAAAAAAUGAUAGAGUUGUAUUACUUCAUGAAAGUACAUUAAAGAUGAUAACAAGUAAUACAACCAAUCCCAAUAUAUAUCAUAACAAAAGCAUGGGAUUGCAAGUGCUACUAUAAUAAGAAAAUGCAUAAAGAAAAUACAUAAAGUAAACUAUGGAAAUGAUCAAGUAGAUGGGUGUUGAUGAUGUGAAGAUAAUGACUCAGGUGGAUGUCUGUGUGUCUCCUGGAGUCGGCUCUGUGGGCUCUAAAGGGGCAGGCAUCUGGUGUUGAGGAGCUGAUGGAAUACCCAGAUGGCUCUGAAUCUGCCUCAGAAUGGCAGUAUGCUGAGUUUGAGUAGCAAUAAUUUGCUCUUGAUGAGCACGAAGAGUUGCCAUCUCCUGAGUAAGAGUGCUCUGUGAAGUGGUCAAUGUCUGCAAAGUGUGACAUAGAGCUCUCUACUCAGAAAUGGAUAUGGUAGUCCUCGGCUCUGCUGAAGAGGAGGGCUGUGAUGUGGCAGGAGAAGCAGGGGGAGGCCGUGGUGUGGCAGGAGAAGCAGAGGGUGCAACCUCAGGUAUGGGCUCUGUAGAGGGCACUGUAGGGGCAGGUGCUCUCGUGUCAGCUGGUGUCUCUAUGGGCUGUGGCUCCUAUGGCUGCUCUGCAUGUGGAAUCCCUGGAUGCUCUACUCCAGUUGGGGCCCCUGGCUCUGCACUAUAGGCUGUCAUAUUCGUCCAUUUGUCAAGAGUGAAUAUCUCUCGACAAAUCCGUUUGCGCUCAAAUUAAGGCUCAGUUGGGUAGCCCAAGUGUUCCAAAAUCUGACAUAACAAUCUGGGGAACAGUAGAGGAAUGGCAUCAGCUCUGAGCAGCUUCUUCUGAUGGACCUUCUCUUCAAAAUACAGAAGGGCGGCCAUAAUGAGAUGAUGAGGGCCAAAGAAAAAUCCCUCAGAUAUCCGAUAUAAUGCCUCCAGCAAAGCUCCUCGCCUCUACACCUAGUGCUGUAGUGGAAAGAUAUUGUGGCGGAGGAGAGCAUCUAUGAAAAACAUGCUAGGAGGGAGCUCCUUCCUCUGUAGAUAUUGGCCUGUGGAUGCCCCUCUGGACAGAAUACGAACUAUGUCGCUCGGGGAAGGAUUAGUCCAGACUCGAUAAUCCUCUGGCCUAGCUGGUUCGUAAGGAAUGCGCAAUGCCUCUGCUAUGUGCCUAGCUCCCAGAAUACCAUGACGUCCGUCUAUGGUGAAGUGGAUGACAAUAGGAUCUCGGACAUGGUGUGUGGUCAUGGAUUGAUAAAAAUCCAUUGCCACACGGGGAUAAAAGAAAUCCCUUGAAGUAAGCAAUUGUUCCAUAUGAUACCUCCGGAGUAGAUGGAAGGAGUCCCUGAGCUGGGGCUGAAGUCUGAAAGCGGCCACGUCAAAACAGAGCUCAGAGUGGAAAGGCCUAGCCCUGCAGUCUAAAUUACCCUCUAUGGGCGGCUGAGUGAGCAUGGGGCGCUUGAUAAUCAUCUCAGGAGUCAUGCCGGAAGGGAUCUAAGAAUCUGUAGGCAACGGCCGAGACGGCUGAGGCCCUGAAGCUGGCUGAGACGGCUGAGACAGCUGAGGCUCUGUAGCUGGCUCUUCUGGCUCUGAUAAAUCAAUUAACGCUGUCUCAGAUACCUUAGCUUUCUUCUUGGGUGGCUGGCUACUUGCCCGUGUAUGAUAGCGCCUGACCGGAGGGCUCCUCGGUGCUUCCUGAACUGGAGGUGGGGUGCGCAGUGGUCGCGGAGGCUCGGAUGUGGAGCCUUGGACAGGGGUCUUUGAUGAAACCCUCGUACGGCUUGACGGGGAGGAGGACUUAGCUCCUCGGGUUCUUGCCAUGGCGGGCCGGCGGAGAUGGGCGGAGGUGCGCGCGGUCGAGGUUCAGGCGAGAGGGAGAAGAUGGAAGGUUGUUCUGUUUUUGGGUCUUCUCUGGUACUAUUUAAAGUUCAAAUGACCGGUUAUAUUAGAAAUUUGGAAUUUAUACCGUUAAAAAUUGGAUACCAAGGGUCACUUUAAUUUUCGUAGCCGAGGGCGGAUUUCGCAGAGAAAGGGCAUUUUCGCAGAGGAGGGCCCUUUUCGCAGCCCAUUUCGCAGCUGCGAAAUUGGGUUACUGUGCUGCGAAAUGGCACACGAGUGCCAAAGGGGUGUUUCGCAGCUGUGAAACACCCUGCGAAAUGAGGCUAUUGCUGCGAAAAUUGAAGAUUUGACGCUUUGGGGAUUUCGCAGCCAUUUCGCAGCUGCGAAAUGGAGUUACUGUGCUGCGAAAUGGCACACGAGUGCCAAGAGGUGGUUUCGCAGCUGCGCAGAGGAGGGUGUUGGGCUGCGAAAUUUAUUUCGCAGCGGAAGGCCAUUUUCGCAGCCAAACCUCGAUUUCGCAGCGGACACCAAAGGGCUGCGAAAUAAUUUCGCAGCCGAUGGCCAUUUUCGCAGGGGGCUAUUUUGGGCUGCGAAAUUUCGCAGACCAUUGAAAUUUCUUGGUUUUGAGCUCCUUUUUGCUCCCUGGGACUUUCCUUCAUUUUCUUUGCAAUUCCUCCUACAAAAGAUCAUUCAAAUAGAUGAAGUUACAUAUAAUUAACAAAACUUUAAACCAAAAUUAAAAUCAAAAGAAUUAAUAAAGCUUUCAAAUUAAUAAACUUAAACAAAAAUAUGGACUUUGGUGAAACCAAGCCCAUCUAACCUUUUUCUGAUUAGGCUUUCUGUGGCUCAAGGAGGUUGAUUUCCUCUUUGUCUUGCUUGAAUGGUUCAAUGAAUGGCUUGAGACGAUGGCCAUUGACCUUGAAGGUCUUUGCACUAUUUGAGUUGAGUAACUCAAUUACUCCAUGUGAGUGUACUUGGUGGAUGACAAAAGGCCCUACCCACCUUGAUUUGAGCUUUCCCGGAAAUAGGUGAAGCUUAGAGUCAUAUAGCAAGACUCUUUGUCCCUUGAAAAAUUCUUUCUUGGUCACCAACUGAUCAUGCCAUCUCUUUAGCUUUUCCUUAGCUAUUUUUGAGUUGAGAUAGGCAUCAUUUCUCAAUUCCUCAAGCUCAUUCAAAUCCAAACUCCUCUUUAGCCCAGCCUUAGUUAAAUCCAUGUUGAGCUUUUUAAUGGCCCACCAUGCCUUGAACUCAAUCUCAACGGGAAGAUGGCAAGCUUUGCCAUAAACAAGACGGUACGGUGACAUCCCAAGGAUAGUCUAAUAAGUCGUCCUAUACGCCCAUAGGGAAUCAAGGAGCUUAACAGACCAAUCUUUCCUAUUGGUGUUCACCACCUUCAUCAAGAUAUUCUUUAUUCCCCGGUUGGCUAGCUCUACUUGGCCACUCGUCUGAGGAUGAUAAGGUGUAGCUACCUUAUACUUGACUCCGUACUUGGCCAAAAGAGCUUCAAAGGGCUUGUUGCAAAAGUGAGUGCCUCCAUCACUGAUGAUUGCUUUAGGCACUCCAAACCUCAAGAAGAUGUUUUCUUUUAGGAAUUUGAGAACCACUUUGUGAUCAUUGGUUCUACAGGAUAUAGCUUCAACCCACUUUGAAACAUAAUCAACUCCUACCAAGAUGUAGGAGUGGCCAAAAGACAUAGGGAAAGGUCUCAUGAAGUCUAUGCCCCAAACAUAAAAAAGAUCCACUAUCAAGAUGGGGUUCAAAGGCAUCAUGUUUCUCCUUGAAAGCUUGCCUAGUCUUUGGCACUUAUCACAUCCUUUACUUACCUCAUGGGCAUCCUUAAAAAGUGAGGGCCACCAAAAACCCGAUUGAAGAACUCUCAUUGUCGUCUUUUGAGAGGCAAAGUGGCCUCCACAUGCAUUCUCAUGGCAAUGAGAUAUGAUCCCAUGCUUCUCUUGUUCAGGCACACACUUCCUUAUAAUUUGGUCCGCACAAUACUUGAAGAGAAAAGGCUCCUCCCAAUAAUAUGCAUGGACCUUGGCAAAGAAAUUCUUCUUGUCCUGAGAGCUCCAUUCACUUGGUAUUUCUCCCGUGACCAAGUAAUUUGCAAUGUGUGCAAACUAUGGCACUUGCUCUACAAGCAUCAAGGAUUCCUCAGGGAAAUCAUCAUUUAUGGGAAGUCCAUGGGUGUCAUGAGCAAUGUUGAGCCUUGACAAGUGGUCAGCUACCACAUUCUCAACACCUUUCUUAUCUCUGAUCUGGAGGUUGAACUCUUGAAGCAAAAGUAUCCACCUAAUCAACCUAGCCUUGGCAUCUUGCUUGGUUAGCAAAUACUUCAAAGCUGAAUGAUCUGUGAAUACCACAAUGGAAGACCCUAUCAAAUAAGCUCUGAACUUAUCCAAAGCAUACACCACAGCAAGUAAUUCCUUCUCAGUAGUGGUGUAAUUCCUUUGAGCAUCAUUCAAAGACUUGCUUGCAUAGUAGAUCACAUAAGGUUUACCAUCUUCUCUUUGUCCCAAAACAGCCCCAAUGGCAUAAUCACUUGAGUCACACAUCACUUCAAAUGGCAACUCCCAAUUUGGUGCUCUCACAAUGGGUGCUGAUGUCAAGAAUUGCUUAAGAAGCUCAAAACUCCUUUGACAUUUAUCAUCCCACUCAAACUUGGCAUCCUUCACCAAUAAUUCACAAAGAGGUUUGGCAAUCUUGGAAAAAUCCUUUAUAAACCUCCUAUAGAACCCGGCAUGCCCAAGGAAUUGCCUUAUUCCUUUUACAUUGGUGGGAGGUGGCAACUUCACAAUUAGUUCCACCUUAGCUCUAUCUACCUCUAUACCCUUCUUUGAGAUUACGUGCCCAAGAACAAUACCUUGAUUUACCAUAAAAUGGCACUUCUCCCAAUUGAGUACGAGGUCUUUCUCUAUGCAUCUUUUCAAAACAUCUUCAAGAUGUGACAAACAAUCCUCAAAAGAAGUCUCAUACACAGUUAUGUCAUCCAUGAAGACUUCCAUGAUUCGUUCAACCAUGUCACUGAAGAUGCUAAGCAUGCAUCUUUGGAAGGUAGCAGGAGCGUUGCAUAAUCCAAAAGGCAUCCGCCUAUAAGCAUAGGUGCCGAAUGGACAAGUGAAGGUAGUCUUCUCCUGGUCCUCCACAUCAAUCUCUAUUUGAAAAUACUCGAAAUACCCAUCCAAGAAGCAAUAAAAAGGAUGCCCAGAUACUCUCUCAAGGACUUGAUCCAUGAAAGGUAAAGGGAAGUGAUCCUUUCUCAUUACUGCGUUCAGCUUCCUGUAGUCAAUGCACACCCUCCAACCAGUUGUGAGGCGUGUGGACACUUCAUCUCCAUUUUCCCCCUUGACUACGGUUAUCCCGGACUUCUUUGGAACAACUUGGGUUGGACUCACCCAAGCGCUAUCCGAAAUGAGGUAAAUGAUGCCCGCUUGAAGAAGCUUCAACACUUCAGCCCUUACUACCUCUUGCAUAUGAGGAUUCAAUCUUCUUUGUGGCUGACGAGUUGGCUUAGCUCCCUCCUCCAUAUAAAUAUGGUGCGUGCAAAUCAAUGGGCUUAUCCCCUUCAAAUCAGAAAUUUGCCGUCCGAUGGCCUUCUUGUUCUUUCUAAGGAUUCUAAGAAGAUUGUCCUCUUGUGAAACGGUUAAAGAAGAAGAAAUUACCACCGGGGCUUUAUUGCCUUCCUCCAAGUAAGCAUACUUCAACUCGGCAGGAAGGGUCUUCAAUUCAAGCUUAAGGAUUGCAUCCUUAGCUUCUUUCAUCUCUUCCUCAUCCUUGAACAAAGGGAGGAUCACUGGCUUUUGUCUCCAGUUUGACAUAACGACAUUCAUUCCCAUGGGUUCAGCUAACCCAUCAUCAAGAUCUUCAUGGCUUUCAUCUGGAUUCUCUUCAAACUGAUCAAGCAUACUCUGAUUACAAUGCUCCUCCACCAGGGUAUCUAUCAUACAAACUUCUUCUAGGCCCUCAUCUUCUUCAGGAUGGAUGUGCUUUUGACAUAGAUGGAAGAUGUUGAGUUCCAAUGUCAUAUUCCCAAAAGUGAGUUGCAUGACCCCAUUCCUACAAUUGAUGAUUGCAUUGGAUGUUGCAAGGAAUGGUCUUCCAAGGAUGAUUGGAACAUAGUUGAUCCCUUUGACAAUGGGAUCUGUAUCAAGCACCACAAAAUCUACUGGAUAGUAGAAUUUGUCAACUUGAACCAAUACAUCCUCUAUUACCCCCCUGGGGAUUUUCACUAAUCGGUCAGCUAAGGAUAGGGUGAUCGAUGUUGGCUUGAGUUUCUCCUCAACCCUCAGCUCCUUAUAUACAGAGUAUGGAAGCAAGUUAACACUUGCCCCCAAAUCAAGCAAUGCCUUCUCCACUUGGGUUCCUCCAAUAUUAACUGAGAUUGUAAGACACCCCAGAUCUUUGUAUUUGAUUGGAGACUUGCAUUGGAUUAUAGCACUCACUUGCUCGGUUAGGAAGGCUUGCUUUGUAACAUUGAGUCUUCUUUUCACAGUGCACAAGUCCUUCAAAAACUUUGCAUAUAUGGGUACUUGCUUGAUCAUAUCAAGUAAAGGAAUAUUCACCUUCACUUGUCUUAGCACAUCAAGAAUCUCAGAAGCAUUCUUGAUCGGUUUCUUCCCACGCAAGGCUUGAGGAAAUGGAGGAGGCAUGUGCUUCUUCAUCAUGCCUUCCUUUAAAAGAAUUUGAGGUUCCUCAUCCAUGCUAGGAAUGAUGCUUUCUUUCAUCUGAACUUCCUUUCCCUUUCGUUCAUUCUUCUUUUCUUCAUUUCUAUCAGCCUUGUCUUCUUUGGCUUUCCUCUGAUCAUGCUCUGGCUGAUGCACUUCCUUACCACUUCUCAAAGUGAUAAUAGCUUGCACGUCCCUCACCUUUGAAGAAUCCUCGUCUUUGGAUUCCACUUCAUGUAUCCCCUUAGGAUUUUGGUGAGGCUGAGAGGGAAACUUUCCUUUCUCAUUGACAGUGUUCAAAUUUGUGAGCCUUGAGAUGGAAUAUUGGAUGUUGUCAAUUUUCUGAGACAACUCAUUAUGCAUCCAAUCUAUCUUCUUGUUCAAUGUACUCUCUACGAUGUCAAUCUUCUGAUUUAGUUGAGAGUUGAUGGACUUUUGCUCACUCACAAAGUCACCCAUAACCUUGCUAAGGCUUAUGAGUGCUUGCUCAACUGAGGAUUGACCUUGACUCUAUUGGCUUGAUUGGGCUGGUGACUGAUAUGGGUUUGGCCUUGGCUUCCAUGCAAAGUUUGGGUGGUUCCUCCAGCUAGAGUUGUACGUGUUGCCAUAGGGAGCAUUUGAAUUUGGCUUCCAUUAGCCAAUCAGGUUAGCUUGUUCCCCAAACAUUUCUCUUGCUGCCGGAAUGGUGGGACAUUCUUCCACCAUAUGUUCAAAUGACUGACAUAUGGAGCAAGGAUUGGCUGGUUGUUGAGGUUCUGAAAUAGCUUGGACUUCGUGAACUUUUCUCAACUCCAUUUCCUCUAUUUUUCUAGCCAUAGCAGCUACCUUGGCUUUCAUCUCCAUGUCUUCACUCAGAUUGUACAUCCCUCCUUUUGACAUUUGCUGAACUGGCCUCUUCCCCAUUUCUCUGUUAGUGGGCUCAUCCCAUCCACGGGAAACCUCUGAGACAUAACUUAGGAAAUCCAUAGCCUCCUCAGGGUUCUUGCUCAUGAAAUCGCCCCCACACAUUGUCUCCAAUAUCUGCUUCAUUGAAGAUGACAUGCCAUCAUAAAAAUAGCUCACCAAAAGCCAUGUAUCAAAGCCGUGGUGAGGACAUGCAUUGAUGGCUUCCAUAUACCUCUCCCAGCAUUCAUAAAAUUUUUCAUUCUCACGUGCUGAGAAGUUGGAGAUUUGUCUCUUCAAUCCAUUUGUUCUGUGAGUAGGGAAAAACUUCUUCAAAAAAUCAGCUUGAAGUUUUGUCCAUGUUCUUAUGCUUCUCGGCCUCAAGGAAUUGAGCCAUAUCUUGGCUUUGUCCUUUAAUGUGAAUGGAAAGAGCUUCAACCUCAUAAGCUUAAUAGCUGUUCCCCCUUCUUGAAAAGUAUUGCACACAUCUUCGAAUUCCUUUAUGUGCGCAUAUGGAUUUUCACUUUCCAUCCCAUGGAAAGUAGGAAGCAGAGGCACGAUGUGUGGCCUGAUAAUCAAUUGCUCUAUAGGAGGAAUGAUGCAAGAUGGUGCACUCAUCCUCGGAGGGUGCAUCCUGUCCCUCAUGGACCUAUACAAGUUCGGAUCAUUCCCCUGCCCGUGUUGUGAAUGUUGAUCCUCUGGUUGAUUCUCCAUGACUUCCAAAAUAAUCUCUAAUUUAGUAGCUCGUGGAGUCUCUAUCCGUACUAACCUUCCCUCUUGGUCUCUAAUCCAAUAGGGCAUGCACGGAUUCAGCUGGAACAAAGUAAACAAACAAAACAAAGAAAAAAGAGAAAAAACAGAGCAUGCGGAAAGAAAAACAGAGUAUGAAUAAUAAACUAAAAAUGAAAGUUAAAAGCUAAAAGAAACUUAUCUAAACUAAGUUAAAAAUGUUCUAAAACUAAAAUAAAAGGUUAGUAAAAGAAAAAUGAGAUAAAAUUCACCUUACUCAUGAGAAGUCUCACAAGUUACCUCCGGCUGAUAUAUUCACAGUGAAGUAGCACCCUUCCCCGGCAACGGCGCCAUUUGAUAACCCGACUCUUGGUAGCUUGGCAUGUAAGGGUAUCAACAAAAUUUAUACCUAAGGUCCUUACACUAAAGUAGCAAAGCUACUAUAGCAUAGUGGCUCUAGGAUCGAACACUGGGAAGGGUUUUUACUUUAACUGGUGAAGUUCGGAGGAUGGAGUGAACUUUUCUUAAUAAAAAUUAGGUUAAGAUGAAAACAUAAAAAGAUGAAGGUGUUGUAAACUAAACUAACAUGAAAAUAGGUUAAAAGAUGGAAAAAGAAGUUUCUCAAAGCUUUGGAUAGCCAUGCUUAACUCACUGUGUAAAAAUGGAGAUUUUGGAACUUUUCACCUCGAGUUGGGGAAGCAACUAAGGUGAUGCUUACUUCCCGAACUGGUAUGUGUUUAACAACUGAGUUUUAGUCCUUGAAAACUUACAAAAAGGGUAGCUGAACCUCAUAAAUGCUCUUUUAAUGAUAUAGGUCAUCUCCUCGACUUGCAAUACAAUGGCUCGUAGGAGAUAACUAAUGAACGUCAGUGGAUCUAACAAUAAGAAUCCAAUGAGACCAAAAGGUUAUCAAGUAUUGGCCAUUCAAAGCAAGUCAGAGGGAUUAAAGCUUUACUUUGAAUGAAAACAUUUAUGACGCUCAACUACUUACAUUCAUGGCUUGGAAAUCUCCAUCCUGACACGGGAGCUUCACAUGGCAUCCAUUACUUCAAGAAACUAAAAGGUUUCAGCCUCUCAUCCUUGGGGAUUUCAUCCUCCAAGGAUGUUUGGCUACUAAGAAAAUAGAAAAUAGUAGAGAGAAAAAGAAAGCAAAAGAUACUCUGUAUUUAGCUAAGUGUAAAAUUUACAUAAGUUCGUCUUUGGAGAAAGUUCCCCGACGUUUAUAAAAUGAAAAUUACAAAACAAUAUAUAACAGGUUGUUUACCCCUGUAUCCUUGCUUAAGAACUAAGGAAUCAUCUAAUUGGUGGAUUACAAGGAGAGAAUUGGGAUUUAGACAACAAAUAUCUGAGGCAAAAUAACAAAAAACGUUGGUCGCAAAUAUCUGGAAGCACUCAGGAGAAUUUCGCAGGCGCACAAAAUGGUUGCGAAAUUUCACAGACGAACAAGAUGGCUGCGAAAUCAUUUCGCAGCCGAAGGCUGAUUUCGCAGCCAAAGGCUGAUUUCGCAGCCAAAGGCUGAUUUCGCAGCCAAAGGCUGAUUUCGCAGCCCUGCGAAAUUGGCCUUCAGCUUGGAGUGAUCUGCUUCCAUUGGCUCUAACUUCUUCAUUUCAACUCUGAUUUGUGAACUGUUUGAAGCAUUGGAUUUUUGACUUCCCGAUCUUCGAAACGACAUAAAGUAUGCAUAAAUUGGACUUCAGGAAGUACUCCAAAAGUGGCUGAAAUGACUGUCAUCAAGAAUGCUUCAAGGUAGAUUCUCUCUUUACUUCUCCUCCUUGCAUUCCGGAUUGGUUAUGGCAAAGGACUUUAAGGCUUCAAAGCUCUGAUUCUUCAUGUUCCUGAGCUUUCCAUUGCUUUACCAUGGAUUCCAAAUAACUCUCCUCCAUCUUGGAUUGCUUUGGUGAUCAAAUUACUAAUAAAAACACCAAAACUUACACAAAGUGAUUAGAAGUGAUUGCAAAGGUCCUUAAUAUGUUAAUUGGGUUAAAGGGCAAUAAUUACUACUCAAAAGUGUUUAAAAGAGUUAAUUACAAGCUAUCAAAUAGCCCUUUUUGAGUAGUAAUCAGUUUCCAUAAGGUGCAUUCUUGUUAGGCCUAAAUUGCCCCACAACAUUGGCUUGAUCACCUAACAUCUCCCUCACAGCUGGCAUGGUUGGGCACUCAUCUACCACAUGAUCACAUGAUUGGCAAAUGGUGCAUGGCAUGGCAUGGGCUUGAGUCUCGGAAAUGGCUUGGACUUCAUGCAUCUUUUUCAACUCAAGUUCUUCCAACCUCCUUGCUAUUGUUGCCACCUUAGCUUUCAUGUUCAUGUCUUCACUUAACAUGUACAUUCCACCCUUUGGAUUUACAGGAGCUUUCAUCCUUCCCAAUUCCUUUGAGUUAGGCUCAUCCCAUCCUCUUGUUACCUCAGAUACAUAACUUAAAAAAUCCAUGGCUUCUUCCAGAUUCUUACUCAUAAAAUCUCCCCCACACAUGGUUUCAAGAAUUUGCUUCAUGGAGGAAGACAUCCCAUCAUAGAAAUAGCUCACCAAGAGCCAUGUAUCAAAGCCAUGAUGAGGACAAGCAUUGAUGGCCUCCAUAUACCUUUCCCAACAUUCAUGGAACUUCUCAUUUUCUUUUGCAGAAAAGUUUGAGAUUUGUCUCUUCAACCCAUUGGUCCUAUGGGUGGGGAAAAUUUUUUUCAAAAACUCGGCCUGAAGAUCAACCCAAUUCCUUAUGCUCCUUGGCCUUAAAUAAUUAAGCCAUAUUUUUGCCUUGUCCUUCAAAGUGAAAGGGAAUAGCUUGAGUCUCAUCAAGUCUAUUGAGCUCUUCCCUCUCUAAAGGUAUUGCACACCUCUUCAAACUCCUUGAUGUGGGCAUAUGGAUUCUCACUCUCCAUUCCAUGGAAAUUUGGUAGAAGGGGCACAAUAUGGGGCCUUAUAAUCAGCUGCUCAAGAGGAGGUAUGAUGCAUGAGGGUGCACUCAUCCUUGGUGGGUGCAUUCUAUCCCUCAUGGAUAGAUAUGCAUUUGGAUUACCCCCUUGACCUUGUUGAAAAUUCUGAUCCUCUUGUGGAGGGUCCAUGAUGUUUACAUAGAUAUCCAACUCUGUGUCUUGAGGAUUCUCAAUUCUUACUAAUCUUCCUUCUUGGUCCCGAAUCCAAUAAGGCAUGCACAAAUCACUACUUGCCUGAAAACAAAACAAAGACAACAAAAACAAAAGAAAAUUAGAAGAAAGUUAAAGUUAGAAAGAAAACAAAACAAAUUCUACAAUAAAAAAAAAAAAGUUAGUGAAAAAGGAAUUCACCAAACUUGUAAUGAAAAUCACAAGUAGCCUCUAAAAGGUUGUAUCACUGUAUCGUGGCACCAUCCCCGGCAACGGCGCCAUUUUGAUUCGCGUAUGUAAAUCCAGUCGGGUCAUUUAAUAAAAAACAUUUAUAAAACCUAUGACCUCAUACUAGUGUAGCAAAGCUACUAUAGUAUAGUGGCUCUAGGGUCGAACUCUGGGAUGGGUUUUCAUUCUACCAGUGAUAUACUCAUGAUUAGGAAUUGAAUUUAAUGAUUUCCUUUAUAAAAAAUUUAGAGUUUAAAAGAAAAUAAAAUUUGUUUUGAAAGUGUUUGAAACUAAAUUAACAUAAACUAAUUAAAAAUGGAAGAAAGAAAGUCUCCCGGAGCUCAGGAUUGCUAGGAUCAAGUUUAGAAUGCAAAGUGGAAAAUUCCGGAUUUUUCUCCUCGCAUUGGGGAUUUAACCUAUAGUUAUUUCCCGAACCGGUAUCGGUUUAACAAUGAAGAUUUAAUCCAUAAAAAUCAAUAGAAAUGGUAGUCAAGGUCCAUUAAUGGCUUUAGACACUAUGGUUCUUCACCUUGAACCACUUUCCAAUGGCUCGUACAUGAUAACUAAUGGACUGAUAUGGAUCUAGCAAUAAGCAUCCACAGAGACUUGAAGCUUACCAUGUAUUGGCCAUUCAAAGUGAUUCUAAGGGAUUUAAAGCAAAACAUUGGAUUUAAAAGGCAUUUAUGAGCUUCAACUACCUGUAUUUAAGGCACGAGCGUUUUCCACCUUACAUCUGGACUUUUCACCUAGCUUCCAUCACUCCAAGAAACCAAAAGUUUAGCCUCUCAUCCUCUGAGAAAACACCCUCAGAGGUUGUUUGGCUUCCAAGAAAAAGAAAAUAGUAAAUAGAAAAGGGAAAACGAGAGAGCUCUGUAUAUUUUUCUAAGUGUAAAACAUAACACGCGUGAUACCUCCAAGAGGUGAUUUCCACCCCUUAUAUAGUUUUUACAAAAGCAAAGCUUGUGAUUGGCUUGUUACAAGGAGAAGAAAGGAAAUUACAUCAAAAAAUACAAAAGAAAAUAUCUAAAGUGGAGUCUGCAAAAACAGAGGAAAAUUCGCACCACACAUGGGGUGUGCGAAUUUUCGCACACCUGAGGGGGGUGUGCGAGUUUCGCACACCUGAGGGGGGUGUGCGAGUUUCGCACACCAUUCGCACACCUAGAGUAGUUGUCUUCCGAAGGCCAUAUCUUCCUCGUUUCAGAUCCAAAUCAUACACGGUUUGAAGUGUUGGAUUCUUGACUUCCUGAGCUUUGAAAUGGUAUAUAGCGUGUAAAAAAUGGACUUCAGGAAGUGCUCAAAAAGUGCCAAAGAAGACUGCAGCUUCUGUCCUCUGUUUUCCUCUUUGCUUCUCUUUGGUUUUCUUUGCUUUUCUCCUUUGGAUGGCUUGUCUUAAUGAUCUAAAAAGAUGUCAAAAACACUAAAACUAGCCACAAAUAUGAUUAGGAGUCAUUGAUAGGUCCUUAACAUGCCAAUUGGAAUAAAGAUGAAGAAUUACUACACAAAAGUGCUUAAAACAUAAUGACUUAAAGGUGUAAAAUAAUACUUUUUGGGUAGUAAUCAGUCAUGAACAUCAUCAGAACGGGAAACAAAUCUCGACAAAAAAUCAAAGGAAAGAGGUGGGUCCACAAAGUUGGACGCUCCCUCAACUAGGCCAACAAGGUCGUCAAACAAAACAUCAACAUCUAAAAUAUCCUCUACAAACUCCGGAACAGGGGCAGUCGGGAUCUCCUCAGCAGUUUCGAUGACGAACACCCUGAAAAGAUCAAACAAUGAAGCGAGCCAAGGCUGAAGUAUCUCAUCGAUUUGGCUCAAGCUCAUCACGAACAUCUCAUCAACGUACUCGUCAUGUUGAAUGGUUCCGUCCAUCAUGUCUCCGACCUCGGCAAAUGUCCCAUGCUCAUCGAUCUCAUCCAGGAAAUAGAGCGUCAUAAGGCUCAUACGAUCCUGGAAGAAAAGGGCGGUCAACACAGAUGUCGAAGUCUCAGGGGCUCCAUCACUCAAAUGUAGCUGGUGGAUGAGGCGUUGUAACUCGGCCUCCUGAGUAGUGUUGAGUCCUCCAAUGAUCACGUCCGAACGAGUCCGUGGCUCCGAUGCCCUCACGAAGUAAUCUGUCAGGCUGAUGGUGUACGAGCAAACAGGUUAACCGAACGGUGUAUGAGUCAGUCGAGCCCUCACUCGUUCCUUAUGCAAUCGCGCCAUAUAGCUAUAAUCGGCCUCAAUGGGAAUGAACCCGAGUCCGAACGGUACGUCAUGAUCAGGGAUAGUCAUGAACUCACUGGGCCUAUGCUGACGCCACCCUAAUCCCAUGCUGGGUAGAUAAGACACACUCCUCAUCAUAUCGAGCACCACCGUGCUACCGUGCUGGUCGAACGACAAGGCCACAAAGUCUCGACAGAAAUCCUCCAUUUCCAGGGCCUGCACCUCAUCAAAGGUGAAUCCAGUCAGAAGUAAUUCAUCAUCAUUGUGACUAAUUUGGAGCACUGGCUCAGUAGAAAUGAACAUAUCUCGCAUAGACUGCACUAUGACGACCUGGCCAUCGUGAAUGAACUUCACCUUCUGAUGAAUGAAAGAAUGAAUGGCCCCGGCUCUAUGGAUCCAAGGUCGGCCCAAAAGCAGGUUAAAAGAUGUAGGAAUCCUCAAAACCUGGAACAUGGUAACAAAUGUGGCUGGACCUAUCAGCGGCUUGAUCUCUAGAGUGUCCAUAAUCUCUCUUUGAGUGUUGUCAUAAGCUUGAAUUGUUUGCUUAGAGGGAUCGAAAUCAAAAGGUGUGUAGCCGAGGGUAAUGGCAGUGGCCAAAUGACAAACGUUCAGGGUCGAGCCAUUUUCCAAAAGGACAAAUGGAACUCGACGACCUAAACAACCAACGGAUAUAUAAAGUGGACGUGUAUGGUCUGAACCCUUUGGUGGCAAGUCAUCAUCAGAGAAUACUAUGCAUGUGGCUCUACCAACCGUCACCAUAUGAAUCAAUCUCUCCGGAGUGGUGGUAGUCUCGACUCUGAUUUGGCUCAGGACUCGAAUUAAUGCAUCUCGGUGAGUGAUAGAAGAUGUUAGUAAGCUCCAAAUAGAAAUGCGAGCCUGGGUGCUUUGUAACUGCCUCUGAAUCUCAUCAUCCUCUCUCCUGACCUCCUCUUGGGAAGACGUCCCCUCCAAGGGUCUAGCGGCCGUGGGGGGUUGUUGUCGUACCACCCUACCCCCGCGGAUAACAUACUGCACAUCUGAAGUAAGAACACCAUCGACAUAUGGAGUUUGAGAAACAUCAACAUACGAAGUCUGAACCUCAUCAACAUUCGAAAUCAAAACAAAAGGCAUCUGAACACUAUAAUAUGAGAAGGUCGAUGGCUCGACAGUGGUCGUUUGUACUGACAUCGACAUAUGGAGUCUGAGAAACAUCAACAUACAGAGUCUGAACCUCAUUAAAAGAAACCAAUACUAGGUCUAGUGUGAGAAAGAUAUAUGAGUUUUCCUACUAGUUUUGGUAUUUGUCUUCUUUAGCUCCUAGUUUAGUUGUUGAAUCCAUUAGAGUAUCAAUAGGAUUGCACUCGAGCAUCCUUGUUUCCUUUAGUAAAUCUAGAAAAUAUUUUCGUUGAGAAACAAAAAAAUACCUUUUCUUGAUUGAACAACUUCCAUAACAAGGAAGAAUUUGAGAUUGACCAAGUCUUUGAUUUCAAACUCUUUGGCUAGAAAGCCCUUAAGUUUGCUUAUUUCCUCCUCUUAGUCCCUUAUUACAAUGAUGUCAUCUAUAUACACGAUGAAGAUGGUUAUUUUUCCUUUAGGUGAGUGUUUGACACAUAAGGUGUGGCCUGUCUAACACUAAGAAUACCCAUAUCUCUUCAUUGCCUUUGUAAACCUGUUGAACUAAGCUCUUGGGGAUUGCUUGAGACCAUAUAAUGACUUUUUGAGCUUACACACUUUGUUGAUAGUUGUUUAUGUCUCAAAGCUAGGAGGAAUUUCCAUGUAGAAAUCUUCUUCUAGAUCUUCAUUAAGGAAAACAUUCUUGACAUUUAGUUGAUAAAGGGACCAAUUUAAAUUCAUUGUCAAUGAUAAGAGUACCUGGAUUGUGUCGAGUUUAGCUACUAGGGCAAAUGUCUCCUGGUAAUUAGUCAAUUCCAUAGGAUUGAGUGAACUCUUUAGCAACAAGCUAAGCCUUGAACCUAUCAAUCCGUUUACAUCCCAUGAGAUGUUUUUUGGUUGGUAAAUAUGAAAUUUCCCAAAUUCCAUUUAUCUUUAGUGCAAGAAUCUCUUCCCAAUGGUAGCUUUCCAUUCUGGUAAUGUUAGAGCUUCAUGGAUAGUGUUAGGAAUCUGUAUUUUGUUGAGAUUGGUUAGAAAGAAAUGAAAACUAGGUGAUAACCCUUAAUAAGAGACAAAAUUAUAGAUUGGGUGACUUGUACAUGAUCUCACACCUUUCCUCAAGGCAAUAGGACGAUUAAGAUCAUCAUUAGAAAUUUCAAUAUUGCCAGAUUUAGAAUUAGUGGUACUUGGUGAAAUUUCAAUAGAUUUUGAACUUGGAUCAGACUCUUGGAUUUGCUUAGGAGGUGUUUGUUGCUCUAUACCCAAUUCAAUCUUUUUUCUCCUUGAAUAGACAAUAAGCUCAUUGUUUUUUGCAUGUUGAGUGGACUUUGGAUGGUGUGAAGGACUUGAGGACUAGGACCAUUAUAUGGAUUUGAAGUACUGUGAGACAAGUUUGGAGCAUUGGUUUCAACGUUCUAAAGUUUAUAUUUCCAUGUGUAAUUCUCCCCUUGAAUAUCGGAUUUGGGAUGGUAAGGUUGUUGUUAAAAAAUUGUGAUAUCCAUGGAGUUAGAAUCUUUUUGUGAUUAGUGAAUGACACUUGUACCCCUUUUUGAUUUAGAGAGUACCCAAUGAACAUGCACUUGAUUGCUUUUGGGAUAAGUUUGCUCCAAUUUUGUUGAUUUAUGUUUUUUAAAUUUUUUUUUAUUUUGAUGAGAAACAACAAUAUAUUAUAUUGAAGUUAGUAAAAUAAGUACAAAGAAGGAUGAGAGAUCAUUUCCUUAUUUGUUUAUUUUAGUGAUGAAGAUCCUUUCUUUUUUGAUUUCUAGGGUAAGGGAGGGUGUCUUUUUUUAGGGGUUCCGAGUUAAGGAAAGGCAUGAUGUGGGUCUAGAGUUUUCCCAUUUGUUCUUUGCAAAUGAUAAUCUCAUUUUUUGUGAUGCAAGCAAGGAAAAUAUAGUGUAUUUGAGUUGAUUUUUUAUGUGGUUUGAGGCAUGCUCAGGUCUCAAGAUAAAUCUAGAGAAAAGUGAGUUGAUUCCUAUUGGGGAUGUCCAUAAUAGGGAGGAGUUUGUUGAGGUUUUAGGUUAUAAGGUGGGCACCCUUCCAACCACUUACUUAGGCCUCCCCUUGGGUGCUCCUUACAAGUUUAGUAGGGUCUAGGAAAGGGUGGAGGAAAGGUUCCAAAAAAGGCUUGCUUUGUGGAAGAGACGAUAUUUUUCGAAAAGUGGAAGACAGACGCUGAUUAAUAGCACAUUAUCUAACUUACCCAUUUACUUUAUGUCCCUUUUUUUUAUCCCUAAAAGAGUGACAAUUAGAUUGGAAAAGAUUCAAAGAGACUUUCUAUGGGGAGGAGGGGAUUUGGUGAAAAAACCUCAUUUGGUUAAGUGGUCGAUUGUUUGUAUGGAGAAACAAAAAUGGGAUUUGGGUUUUAGAAGUCUUUCUCUUUUCAAUAAGGCCCUAUUGGGGAAAUGGUCUUGGAGAUUUGUGAAGGAAAGGUGCCCUCUUUGGAAAUAUGUAAUUAUUGGUAAGUAUGGGUUACAGGAGGGGGCAUGGUGCACAAAGGAGAUGAGAGAGAGGUUUGGUGUAGGGCUUUGUAAAGCAAUUAGAAAUGGUUGGGAUGUCUUCAAAGAUAAAACAAGUCUUCAAGUUGGUUUGGGAAAUCAGGUGAAGUUUUGGAAUGAUAAGUGGUGUGGGGAAACGCCUUUUAAGGGAUGUGUUCCUGAGUCUUUAUGCUAUCGCUUCUUCUAAGGAUGCUUGUGUGGUAGAUGUUUGGGAUGAGGGUAGUUGGGGUUCGAGGUUUAUUAGAUAAUUCAAUGAUUAGGAGUUGGAGGAUGUUGAUGCCUUUUUUGGGAGGUUGCAUAACUACUUUGUUACUUUGGGUAUCAUUGAUGACAUGGUAUAGUUGGGGCUAAGAAUGGAGUUUUUUCAGUUUAGUUUUUUUACUUCUCUCUAGCAAGUAGGAGAGUGGAGCCUUUCCUGCACAAUAUAAUGUGGAACUCUUGGGCCUCUAUAAGAGCUAGCUUUUUUGUUUGGUAGGCAACUUGGGCUAAGAUAUUUACACAAGACCGGCUUAGAAGGAGGGGAUGGAGGAUGGCAAACAGAUGUUACAUGUGCAAGGCAAGAAAAGAAACAUGAUAUCAUAUUUUGUUGCACUGUCCGAAAGAAAGCUUAUAGUGGCAACUAGUCUUUACUUUAUUUCCUAUAUAAUGGGUGAUGCAUUCAUUUGUGAGAGGGGUGCUCUUAAAUUGGAAUAGCUUCUUGAUUGGCAAAAAGAGGAAAAAGGCUUGGAAAGUUGCCUCACUUUGCCUUUUUUGGUAUAUUUGGAAGGAAAAUAAUAAGAGUCUUUGAGGAUAGGAAAAGUUUUGAUUAGAUAUUUAAAAGUUCUUUUUUGUAUAUCUUUUAGGAUUAGGUUAUAGUGUAUAUGGGGAUAGUAUUGCUUUUUUGAUAGAUUUUAUGGAUUGGUUAGGCUCCCCAUAGAGUGCGGUCGUUUUUUAUACAUUCUUGCCCCUAUUGGUUUUUGUAUUUGUAUACAUCAUGUAUACCUUUUUUUUAAUACAAUACUUCUUUUACCUAUAUAUAUAUAUAUAUAUAUAUAUAUAUAUAUAUAUAUAUAUAUAUAAAAGAGAUCCUCCAAAAAGUACACAAAAAGAAAGCAAGAAUCUCCAAGUUUAAGAAUCUAUACAACUAUGAGAUUCCAUAACCUAAGUCCCAUGUGGAAUUAUACAAAAAUAAUCUAUCCUUGCUAGCCCACUCCCUUGGAAUUACACACUAACAUCCAAUAAAGUUGAAUCAAAUUAAGGGGAACAACCCUUAAAAGUUGUGGAGCAAGAUACACAAAAGGAGGCUACGAAAAAUAUUAUGUCCCAAAGACCCUUUGAGGAUCUCGCCUUAUCCUCAAAGAUCUUAACAUUUUUCUCCCACCACACUACCCACAUCAGAGCAAGACAAGCAAGCUUCCACAACACCUUUCCUCUACUCAUGUUUCCCAAUCCUUUAUAUGAAAUACUCAUCAUGUCGCAUAUACGCCUGGGAGGAACUAAUCCAUUUGAACCAAGCUGAAUAGUUUGUGUUAUAGGCCCAAACUUAAUGGGCAAUGUAAAAAGAUGUGAUCUACCAUUUCGCCACUGUCCACACACAAUAGACAAACAUUAGGACUAAGGGCUUUGUAAGAUCUUCUCAGUUGUAGCAUGUCAUUGAUGUUUACCUUCUUAAGUGCCACUAAUCAAGUAAAAGAUUUGAACUUAAAUAAGGCUUGUGAUUUCCAUACAAAAUCAAUAGGGAAUGAUUGAGUUGGAUCAAUAUGAUGGUUAAGACUUAAAAGAAUGACUUUAUUGUGAAUAAACCGGACUAGACUCUCGCAUCAUGACCAAAAGGAGAUAAAUUCAAGUGUGAGAGAGAGGACAUGAGUCUUUCAAGAUCUUCUAUCUCAAGAUCCAAAAGAUUGUGGUAGACAUUUAGAUUCCAAGAGAAAUGAUAAGUGGACCUAAGAUUCCAAGAGAUAUUAGGUUUUUAACAAUGAUAAUUUUGAAUAGACUUGGGAAUUGAGAGCACAAAGGUUGAUCCACCCACCACAAAUCUUCCCAAUACUGAAUUCUUAUCCCAUCUCCCACUACUAGCCAAGUGUAUCUUGAAAAAUCUAGAAAGACCUGUGCAAUGGCCUUCCAAUGACAAUGAUGUGACCACUUAACUAUAGUGUUAGCAUCCCACUUAUUAGUAUGUGUCCUAUAAAUGCUUAGGAAAACCUUAUGCCAAAGAGCAUAUGUGGAAAUCUGUUACAAUUGUGAAUGAUGAUUGGUAGGAUAAUAGGGAAAAAUUGAGGCCCCUAUUGUGGGUAAUUUAUGUUCUUCCAUGUUUGUAUUUUUUUUUUCCUUUUUAAUUGUUCUCUGUAUAGUUGUUAAAUAGGGAUACGUUUAUGUAAAAAAUAAGAGUUUUGAAUGAAUUUAGAAGAUCAUUUUCUUAGUUUCUUCAUGGUAUCAGAGCCUUAUUUGCUCUAAAACCCUAAUCUGUCAAUGGAUGCCCAAAGAGGAAGCAACCAUGAAAGAGUGUCGGAGAUACAAUCUUCGAUGGGUUCCGUCGGUGCAUUCGAAAACUCCUCACUCCACCUUACCAUUGAAAAACUGAAUGGUAAUAAUUACAGAGAGUGGGCUCAAGCAAUCAAACUCAUUAUUGACGAAAAGGGAAAGUUAGGAUUCCUUACCGAUGAGACUCGACAACCACCUCCUACCGAUGUAGCAGCAUCCCAGAAAUGGUAGUUCGAAAACUCCUUUACCACCUCAUGCUUGAUUAAUUCCAUGAAACCAUCCAUUGGAAAGACUUACAUGUUCUUCCUGACGGCAAAGAACGUGUGGGAUGCGAUACGGGAAACGUAUUCCGAUGUUGAGAAUGCUUCCCAGAUCUUUGAAAUCAAGACGCGGCUUUGGCAGAUGAAGCAAGGAGAUCGGGAAGUCAUGGAAUACUACACUGAGAUGUUGGGUCUAUGGCAAGAUCUCGAUUUUAGCUGCGAAGAAGAGUGGGAGGGCAUGAGGGACAAUGAGUGCUUUAAGAAGAAGAUGGAGAACGAAAGGGUCUUCGAGUUCCUAACAGUGCUGAACCGCGAGCUUGAUGACGUUAGGAGUAGGGUUCUCAGUCGCCGGCCGUUGCCCUCCAUCUGAGAGGUCUUCUCUGAGGUGUGGUAAAAGGAGAUCAGAAGGAGAGUGAUACUGGAUCACUCAGUUGGGCCUAAGGGCUCAACCCUUUUAACUCAUGGGCCUCAUGGGCCUUAUGUUUAUUGCUAGACGUGGGCCUUCUAUUGCUGGAUCUAGUGGGCCAAGCCCAAGACAGUCCAAGAGGAUUUAUUGUGAGCAUUGUAAGAAGUUGGGCCACACUAAAGACACUUGUUGGGCCUUACAUGGCAAGCCCCCAGAUUGGAAGCCCAGACAUCCCAUUAAAGCCCAUAGUCAUCAGGCCUCCACCGAAACCCAGGCAGACAAAACUCCCACAGAAGUUUGUCAGUCAAAUUCUAGUGUGGGGUUUAAUUCCGACCAGCUUGCGAAAUUAUAUGAACUUUUUUUCUAAUUUCCAAGCCUCUGGUCAGUCCUCUACCACUUUAUCCUCUACCACUUUAUCCUCUGGUUCUUUGGCAAAAAAAGGUACCUUUUUAGUAGUACUUAGCACCAUGUCUCAGACUACUCCUUGGAUUGUUGACUUUGGUGCAUCUGAUCAUAUGACUGAUGCUCAUCAUUUAUUUUCUACAUAUUCUCCCUGUACCGAUAAUUUAAAAGUAAAAAUUGCAGAUGGUACUUUAUCACCAGUUGCUGGAAAAGGGAGUAUUCGUAUUUCUGAGUCAAUUACUCUCAACCUUGUCCUACAUGUACCUGAUUUGUCUUGCAAUUUGCUGUCUAUUAGCUAGUUAACCAAAAUGUCUAAUUGCUCAACUAAAUUCCUACCAUUUCACUGUGUUUCUCAGGACCUAUCAUCGAAGAAGACGAUUGGUAGUGCUAAGGAACAUAUAUUACUUCGACGAAAUUGAUGUGCUUGGACAGAGUUCUCCUACUGUUUGUAAUUCUACAUCUUAUCUUAAGGACAGUGAACUUUUGUUAUGGCACAAAAGGAUGGGUCAUCCUACUUUUCAGUACUUAAAACAUUUAUUUCCCUCACUAUGUUCAAACAAAACUUAAUUGGAUUUUCAGUGUGAAGUGUGUGAACUUGCCAAACAUCAUCGGGUGCCUUUUCCUAAAUCUAAGUAUAAACCAUCCAUACAAUUUACUCUGAUUCACAAUGAUCUAUGGGGUCCCUCACGUACCCUUAAUAGGACCCAUAAAAAAUGGUUUGUUACUUUUAUUGAUGAUCAUACUCGUCUGUGUUGGGUAUAUUUGUUGACUAAUAAAAUUGAGGUUCGAUUAGUCUUCAUGAACUUUCACUCUAUGAUACAAACUCAAUUUCACACCAAAAUUCAAAUUCUUCGUAUUGAUAAUGGUACUGAGCAUUUUAAUCACUCCUUGAGCACUUACCUACAAGGAAAUGGUAUUAUUCAUCAAAGUUCUUGUGUUGACACCCCUCAACAAAAUGGGGUUGCAGAACGGAAAAAUAGACAUAUUCUUGAAGUUGCUCGUGCUUUGUUGUUUACAUCUCACAUGCCAACACAAUUUUGGGGUGACUCCAUUUUGACAGCCACAUAUCUUAUUAACCGAAUUCCUAGUCGGGUCCUAUCCUUUGUCACACCCCUUGAUUACUACUCAAAACAUGCUAUUUUGUAGCUUGUAAUUAGCUCUUUUAAACACCAUUGAGUAGUAAUUAUUACCUUUUAACCCAAUUAACAUGUUAGGGACCCUUGCAAUCGUUUCUAACAAUUGUGUUAAGUUUUGGUGCUUUUUGAUAGCUUUAUGCUCACCAAAGCAAUUUAAGAAUGAGGGAGAGCUAUUUAUAGUUCAUGGCAAAGCUUUUGAAAGCUUAAAUUUAUGAAGAAAUCAAGCUAUGGAGCCUCAUAAUCCUUUGCCUUAUUCGUUCAAAGUAUACAAGGAAGAAACAAUGGAGAAGAGGAAUCUUAGUUUAUUUUGUCUUAAUUCAAGUCAAUUUUGAUGAUAAAUUUCAGAAAAAAAUCAUGAAAGAUGGGGAGAACUCUUCAAAAGCAAGACAGGGGAGUAAAACCAAGGAAACAGAGCACCUGAUUUCAAGGUGCGAAAAUUUCGCACACCUGAUUCCAAGGUGCGAAAUCCUCGGUCCAAAGGGAGCCAUUUUUCGCACACCCCAAAACCAAGGUGCGAAAUUUUGUUCAAGGUGCGAAAAAUGAUUUCAAGGUGCGAAUUCCCUAAAAACCAAUUUCGCACACCACUGUGCAAGGUGCGAAAAUUUUCGCACUGUGCGAAAUCUCCUCUUGGCACACGAGUGCCAUUUUCACACACCUCAAGCCACUUUUCGCACCGUGCGAAACAAGGUACGAAAAUUUCGCACACCUGAUUUCAAGGUGUGAAAAUUUCGCACACCUCAUUUUAAGGUGCGAAAUCCUCAGCUAAAGGGGUGCCAUUUUCGCACACCUGAUUUCAAGGUGCGAAAAUUUCGCACACCUCAUUUUAAGGUGCAAAAUCCUCAGCUAAAGGGGUGCCAUUUUCGCACACCUAAUUUCAAGGUGCGAAAUUUGCAGACCAAGGUGCGAAAAUUUCGCACGGUAAAAUUUUAAGUUCCAAAAAUUUUAAAUGGACUUUUAAAUUAAAAUUUUACCCCCGAAAUUGUGCCUAACGUCCAAAAACGACUUUUCGGUUGCCUUGGAAAAUUUUAAAACAUCAAAAGCCCCCUAAACCUCAUUCCUAUAUAAUCCCUUGAAGUCCAGAAGCUCAAAGGACUCCCCCACGAACCAGCUGAGAAGCCUCUGGAAUCCCAAAUAGCCACCCACCUCCAUUUUGGCCAUGGCGAAGACCAGAGGAGGCCUUUCCGGCUCCCUAUCCUCACUGACACCUCGACCACAUCGAGCCGCCAUGGGAGCCGCAGCUUCGCCACCUGUUCAGGCCCCGACCAUUCCCCCAUCUGAGGGAGAAGCCCCUUCUCAGCGUCGUUACCCCACCAGGAGACCACCCACGGACCCUGUGCCACCCGCCGACCGAGCUCAGAGACCUGCUUCUCGGCCCCCUGCCAAGAGAACUAAGUUCUCGGGUCCUGGAGAGUCAUCCCUGCGCCUCAGGCAGAGCCGCCUACAGAGGAGCCUCGGAUUCCUGUAGAGAUUACCCCCGAGACCCUUAUCAGGCGUCCCAUGAUAGCCGGACCACCGAUAGAGGGCAACUUGGAUUGCAGAGAUCGAUCCUUCCACUCCGAGACCUACUUUGAUAUAGAGGCCCUCAGACAGCAGCCAGAGCUCAGAGAUUCAUUCCGACUGCUGCAGAGGUAUCACAUGGAGGAUCUUCUCACUCCUAGGCAAUUCUACUAUCCCAGAGUAGUUAUAGAUUUUUAUCAAUCUAUGACUACUCGAGGCCUCCGCAAUCCUAACGUCAUCCAAUUUGCCAUAAACGGAGGCCAGGGUGCCAUUGGAGCUCGCCACAUUGCUGAGGCCCUUCGUAUACCUUAUGAGCCUGUUAUUCAGGCAGAUUUCAGAGAGUGGUCCUCAUUCUCUUAGAGUGACAUGGUCCGCAUUUUGUCCAGGGGGACUUCUACAGCCUCAGUGUUGACUAGGAGAGAGCUUCCAUCUGGGAUGCUCCUUAUUGAUGUGCUCCUGCGUGCCAACCUUUUCCCCCUUCAGCACAAAGUUCAGAGGCGAGGAGCUAUACUUGAGGCGUUAUUUAGGAUUUCUGAGGGCUAUUUCUUCGGCCCUCAUCAUUUGAUUAUGACUUCUCUUCUUCAUUUUGAAGAGAAAGUCCAUCAGAAGAAGCUUCAAAGGGCAGAUGGCAUCCCAUUACUAUUUCCGAGGCUCCUCUGCCAGAUUUUAGAGCACCUGGGCUAUCCUGAACAGCCCCGUCUUGAGAGGCGCCGCCAUUGCCGAGAGGACUUCUCUCUCGACAAAUGGCAUCACUUGGUAGCCUACUUUGCACCCCAGGGAGCCCCAACUGUGCCUGCACCUCCAGAGCUACCCCAAGAUGAGCAGAUGCCUCAGGCCCAGCAGGAUGAGAUUCUCACAGAGACCACACCUCCUGCCCCUGCAGCACACCCCUCAGAGCAUAUUCCUGAGCCUAUACAUCCUAUUUCUCCUAUCACUUCGGGUGCUCCACCAGUCAUGCCAGCUACCCCAGCACCUCCUCCUUCAUCUGAGCCCACUGUCACCGUUUCUCUUACGGAAUUCAGAGGCUUAGAGCGUUCAUUGCGGACACUGAGCACUGCUCAGGAUUCUAUUAUCCACCAGAUGGCCACUAUUCGAGCACACCAGGAUCAGAUCAUUGCUAUUCAGGCCCAGCAUACCACGAUCCUUCAUCAGAUUCAGCAGCAUUUGAGUUUGCAGACACCUUUUGGGCAUGAUAGGUCUGCACCAUCCGAGCCUGUAGAGCCAGAUACGGAGAGCUUACCAGCUGAGCAGCCCAUACCAAAGGAGGAGAUCAGAGCAGAGCCAUCACAUGACACCCCUCAUAUUUGAUAUUUUUAUAUUUUACUUGUUUUUAUUUUAGACUUGUAAAUCCCAUCUUUUGCAUGUGUUAUAAACUGGGAUUGGAAGUAUUACUUGAAAUCAUACAUUGUAUAUUUCUUUUACAAGUAAUAUAUAUAUAUAUAUAUAUAUAUAUAUAUAUAUAUCCUUUUUGAAUAUAUUCCCUUUUCUCAUUACUCUUUUGUCCUUGGAACAUGUGGUUUAAGGUACUCCAUACCUCCUUUACACUCAGACUUUGUCUCACUCAGGAGGUACCACUUCCUCCCUUUAUUUUUAAUCGCUCUUGAAACAUUGAGGACAAUGUUCAACAUGGUUGGGGGGAGAGUUGAGAAAGGAAGUUUUGUUGUUAAUACUAAGUUAUUUUGGUAUUUUAGUUGAUUUUUGCUUAAAAUUUAAAAUUUUUAAAAGUUUUUUUAAUCAUUCUCUAUGGUUGUUAAAGAUAAUUUCUCAAAAAUAAAAUAGGAUAAGUCGAGUUUUAACUUAAUUAUUUAAGUCUUAGAGUUUGUUUUAUGCUUUCAAAGUUGAUAAUCUAUUGAAGCCUCUUUGAUUUAGAACUUUCUUCUUCCAUUUCAAGCUUUACACAUACUGUGCACAUUAGAUCCCGGAUAUAUGAUGUAAAACUUUCUCACCUUCUAAGCUUAGGAAAAUUUUGACUUGGAUCAUUACUUAACCUCUCUUUAAUAGUGUUGGGACACCUCAUAAAGACCAAUGAGUCUUUGAAAAAAAAAAAAAAAAGAAUAAGCUUCUAUUCUUUCCUUGAAACCUAAGCAUGAUCCAAAGGGGUGGCGAAAGCCUUUAAAACCCGAUGCCCUAAACCUUGAUUGGUUGGGAGUCAUUGAUCCUCUGCUUGCUACAUAGGUGAAUUGGUUAAGAUUAGUGAGUAAAAAGAAUUGUGAAUAAGAAGGUGCGUUCCUAACCUAUUAAGAGUUGAUUAAUUUUGCCAAUGUUCGAGAAAAGCUUAGGUUGGAGGGUGAGGAUAGUUGUAUAUACUAUAUCUGGAAGCUAAUCUCGUUAACACUUAGCUUAUUAUGGAAGAGUUUGAUUUGGAACCUUGAGAGUAGAGAUUCUUUUGAUAUUUAAUUGCAUAAUCUCCACUCUUUGUACUUUUUGUUUAAGUUUUAAGCUUUGAUAACUCCUAUUGCAUUUUGAAUCUUCAUAUCUUUAGUUAGCCAGGUGAGAUGAGUUUGGAUAGCAGUCAUGCCUCUCAAUUAUUUUUUGGAAAUGAAUUGCAUGACCUCUUUUAUGUAUAUUAUUACGUUUGCUUAGUUUUUUUCUCCUUAAUUGCUAAGGGACUAGCAAUAUGUCAGUUGGGGGGAGUGAUUACUACUCAAAACAUGCUAUUUUGUAGCUUGUAAUUAGCUCUUUUAAACACCCUUGAGUAGUAAUUAUUACCUUUUAACCCAAUUAACAUGUUAGGGACCCUUGCAAUCGUUUCUAACAAUUGCGUUAAGUUUUGGUGCUUUUUAAUAGCUUUAUGCUCACCAAAGCAAUUUAAGAAUGAGGGAGAGCUAUUUAUAGUUCAUGGCAAAGAUUUUGAAAGCUUAAAUUUAUGAAGAAAUCAAGCUAUGGAGCCUCAUAAUCCUUUGCCUUAUUCGUUCAAAGUAUACAAGGAAGAAACAAUGGAGAAGAGGAAAACAGGGGAUGAAAAUAGGGGACACAUCUGCAUUCUUUCAUCGCACUUCCCGAAGUUCAUUUUUUACAUUCUAUAUACCAUUUCAAAGCUCAGAAAGUCAAGAAUCCAACGGUUCAAACCAUAUACGAUUUGGAGCUGAAAUGAGAAAGAUAUGGCCUUCGGAAGACAACUGCAUCAAGCUGAGGGACAAUUUCGCACACCACUGUGCAAGGUGCGAAUUCCUCAGUCCACUGUGCGAAAAUUUCGCACACCUCAAAUCAAAGUGCGAAAUUGGAACUCCAGCGUGUGAAAAUUGGAUAUUUUUGCCGACUCUUUUUCUUCUGAUAUUUUUGUGUCUAAAUUUCCAUUUUCUCCUUGUAUUCAACCACUCAUGUAAUUCCUUAGCUAGGAAGUAUCCAAGGAAGGGUAAAAUUACCUUCCUAUAUAUAAAUUCUCUUGUAAUCAUGGAAAAUGAUCUUCGGAGCUUUCUCCAGGAGACCAACUGAUGUAAAUUUGAUACUUAGUGAAAUACAGAGAUCUCUUUUGCUUUUUUUUUUCUCUUUUCUAUUUUCUAUUUUCUUGCAAGCCAAACACCCUCUGAGGAUGUUUUCCCAGAGGAUGAGAGGCUAAACAUUUAGUUUCUUGGAGUAAAGGAAGCUAGGUGAAAAGUCCAGAUUAAAACAUGGAAAGUUUCCGUGCAUUAAAUUCAGGUAGUUGGAGUUCAUAAAUGGUUUAUAAAGCCAAGGUUUUGCCUUAAAUUCCUUUGAAUCACUUUGACUGGCCAAUACAUGGUAAGCUUAAGGUCUCUGUGGAUGCUUAUUGCUAGAUCCAUAUCAGUCCAUUAGUUAUCAUGUACGAGCCAUUGGAAAGUGAUUCAAGGUGAUAGCCCAUAGUGUCUUAAGCCAUUAAUGGACCUUGACUACCAUCUCUAGUGACUUUUUAUGGAUUAAAACUUCAUUGUCAAACCUAUACCGGUUCGGGAAAUAGCUAUAGGUUAAAUCCCUAAUGCGAGGAGAAAAAUCCGGAAUUUUCCACUUUGCAUCUGGCACUUGAACCUAGCAACCUUCAGCUCCGGGAGACUUUCUUUCUUCCACUUUUUACUUAGUUCUAUGUGAGUUUAGUUUAAAUCACCACUUUCAAAACAAUUUUAUUUUCUUUUAAAUUUCAAGUUUGUGCUAAAGGAAAUCAUCAGAAUCAAUUUCUAAUUUAGAGUCUGUCACUGAUAGAGUGAAAACCCAUCCCUGAGUUCGACCCUAGAACUGCUAUACUAUAGUAGCUUUGCUACGCCAGUAUAAGGUCAUAGGUUUUAUAAAUGUUUUUUAUUAAAAGACCCGGCUGGGCAUUGAAUCACCCCUCUAGAAAUUCCAUGAGUUUUUUCCUCAUUCGAGACUUGAUGCACACCUUCCACUUUGUGUCUUUUGGUCCACUGUGUUUGUCCACACUCAUGGACCUAAGCAGAACAAAUUUGAUCCCAGAGCACUUAAAUGUGUCUUUCUUGGCUACUCUUCCACACAAAAAGGCUACAAAUGCUAUGACCCAAUUUCACAUAAGCUAUAUGUUAGCCUAGAUGUCACAUUUUUUUAGCAUACUCCCUAUUACUCGCUUCAGGGGGAGUCCAUGAGUGAAACUAGACCUUCCUUAACCUUUGACUAUCUUGAUGUUGCUAUGUUUGAAUCCAUUCCGUGCCUUAUAUCUAACCCUUCACCUAAUACAGAAGAACACUUAGAUUCAGGGGGAGAUAUGGAAUUACAGACAAAUAGGGAAACACUUGUCUACCCAAGGAGGCCAAAAUCGAAGUUCAAUGAGACACUCAUCUCCGAAGCACUAAAAGAGUUAGAACCGCUGAUAGUUCCAACCCCUUGGGAGUAUGGCUGCAAUUCUGAUCAGGUAACAGAUGACUUACCCAUUGCUAUUAGAAAACAACCUUGUUCAUGUACUCUCCAUCCUAUCUCGAACUUUGUGUCUUAUAAUUCUCUUUCUACAAAGUGUUGUGCCUUUACAACUGACCUUGAUAGAAUCUAGCUUCCUAAAAACAUUCAAUAAGCCUUCAAAAUUCUAGAAUGGAAAGAAGCUAUGAUGGGAGAAAUAAGGGCAUUAGAAAAAAAAUGAGACUUGGGAAGUGAUGAAUUUACCAAGGGAGAAGAAACCAGUGGGCUGUAAAUGGAUAUUCAUAGUGAAAUAUAAGGCAGAUGGCACAGUAGAACGAUACAAAUCUCGCCUAGUUGCAAAGGGGUUCACUCAGACUUAUGGCAUCGACUGUACUGAGACAUUUGUACCAGUAGUAAAGCUGAACACUAUACGAGUUCUUUUAUCCUUGGCAGCAAACCUUGACUGGCCACUCCAUUAGUUUGAUAUCUGAUUACUACUAAAAAAGUGCUAUUUUUUAGCUUGUAAUUAACUCUUUUAAACACUCUUGAGUAGUAAUUAUUACCUUUUAACUCAAUUGGCAUGUUAAGGGCCCUUGCAAUCGUUUCUAAUCAAAUUGUGUUAAGUUUUGGUGUUUUUGAUAGCUUUUUGCUCACCAAAGCAAUUUAAGAAUGAGGGAGAGCUGUAUAUAGUUCAUGGCAAAGCUUUUGGAAGCUCAAAUUCAUGAAUAACCAAGCUUUGGAGCUCCAUAGCCUUUUCCAAAGUCGUUCAAAGUAUGCAAGGAAAGAACAAUGGAGAAGAGGAAAACAGAGUGAAGAAAACAGAGGACAGAAGCUGCAGUCUUCUUUCACACUUUUGGAGUACUUCCCGAAGUCCAUUUUCUACAUGCUAUAUACCAUUUCAAAUAUUAGGAAGUCAAGAAUCCAACGCUUCAAACCGUGUACGAUUUGGAGCUGAAAUGAGGAAGAUAUAGCCUUCGGAAGACAACUGCAUCAAGCUGAGGGACAAUUUCGCACCUUGCGAAAUUGGAACUCCAACGUGCGAAAUUUAAAGUGGAUGGCAGCUGUGCAUUUGCGGUGAAGUCCAACAUGCGAAAGUGAUUUUGCAACUUGCAAACUUGGAUCUCAACAUGCGAAAGUGGAUUCUAAGUUGCGAAAUCAACUUGCGAAAUUUUCGCAAGUCACCAUGCAACGUGCGAAACUGGGAUAUUUGUGCAUCGACUCUUUUAGAUAUUUUUGUAUAAAUUUCCAUUCUUCUCCUUGUAAUCCACCAACCAUAAGAUUUCUUAGCUAGGAAGGUUGGAAAAAAUUCUCUAUAUAUAUUCCCUUGCAUCCAUUGUAAACGAUAUCGAUCAAUAUAUAGAUAUUUAAAUAUAUAGACUAUACAGAGUCUUGCUCUGUUUUUCUCUCUUCUCCUGUUCUUCCCCAUUUCUAUUUUCUUAGUAGCCAAACAGCCUCUGAGGGCUUUUCCUCAAAGGAUGAUUGGCUAAAACUUUUAGUUUCUCAAAGUAUGGAUGUUAUGUGAUGACUUGGAUGCAAUCCCAUGGAAAUUUCUCGCACCUGGAAGGUAAGGUAGUCAUUUUUCAUUAAAGGUUCAUUAAUGCAAAGUUUGGUUUUUAUUUCCUUUGGACAACUUCCAACAGCCAAUACUUGAUAAGCUUUUGGAUUUCUAUUCAUUAGUUAUCUCCUACGAGCUAUUGGAAGGUGAUGUUUUCAAUUCCAAGUUUUGCAUUAAUCCGUUAGAACCAAUUUCAAUGGCCAUUGAAAGGUGAGUUUAUCACCUGGAAUGACUUUGAGUUGCCAAUAUUUGGUAAGCUUUUGGCUUUAGACCAUUAGUUAUCUCUUACGAGCCAUUCAAAGGAAGUCUAAGGUGAAUAACCAUUGAUGAAAUUCACUACCAUCUGUUUUGCCAUUUUAAAGUAUUAAAACUUGAUUUGCUAAAUCCAUACCGGUUCGGGAAGCAAGCAUCACCAUAGUUGCAACCCCAACGCGAGGAGCCUAUCCUGAGAUUUCCAAUUUGCAUAAGAGCCAGAGCAUAACUAUCCUAUCUUUGAGAAACUUGUUUUUACACCCUUUCAUUUUAGUCUUUAAUGUUAGCUUAGAUUAGUUUAAAUCUUUCUAAAACAUUUACAUCUUCUUUUAAAGCUAACAUCCAUAAGAAAAUCACCUAUUUUCCUAAUUUGAAUAUCAUUUGUGAAGUGAAAACCCAUCCCAAUGAACGAUCUUAGAGCCACUAUGCUAUAGUAGCUUUGUCUCUGCUACCCUAGUACAUGGUGUAAUAGGUUAUAAAUUUUGUUGAUUACUCCCUCAUUCAAGGAGCACCAGCUGGACAUGAAUCAGCUGAGACACCAAUUAGGCACGAAUCAAAUGGCGCCGUUUCCAGGGAUGGUGCCACUUUGCAGUGAUAUGAUCUUUUGAGAACACUUGUGAUCUUCAUCACAAUUUUGGUGAUUUUUCUUUUCUUUUACUAACUCUUUUUAAUUGUUCUUUUUCUUUAUUUAUGUUUUAGUUUACCUUUCAGCUAGUUUUAGUUAGUCUUAAUUUUUUUAGAAUUGUUUUUCUUUUGUUUUCUUUUGUUUUCUCUGUUUUUAAUUCACAAAUUGCUAGUUGUGCAUGCCAUAUUGAAUACGAGAUAGCAGAGGAAAUCCAUCAAUGCUCAUCUCAGUCAAAGAAUUGACAGUGUAGAGAGUUCAUUAAAUAUAAGGAUGGAUGAAGUGCAAAAUGAUCUAUCUCAAAAGAUAGAUAAUCUCCAAUACUCAAUCUCAAGGCUCACCAAUCUCAAGGCUCAAAAGGGAGAAUCUUCAAUGGUGAAGGAAGUUAAAACAAUUAUCACUUUGAGUAGUAAAGAGGUUGAUUUGGCCACAUCCAAACAAGAGCAUGAAACAAAGAAUGAAACAGAGAAAAAGAGAGGGAGGAAAUCAAAGGAAAGAGAAAGGGAAUUGUUUCCAUUGCCAUCAUACAAUGCAAAUCUCUAAUGAAGGAUGCUAACUUCAUAUGGGAUCUGGGCAAGCUGAAACAGGACAACAUUUUUUUUUAUGGAUUUAGUCUUUCUAAAGACUAGCUAGUCCAUAUCUUUUUGCUUUAUUACUUGUUUUAAUUUUGAUUUCAAUGCUUUAAUUUUAAUUAGUUUUGAUUUAACAUAAGUUUUUGGAUGAUCAUUGCAGGAGGGAUUGCAAAACAAUCGGGCACGGAAAAAAAAAUGAUGAAAGAAAAGGAAGAGAGGAGAGAAUUCUGGCCAUUGGUUUUAUUGCCACUUCAGGACAUAUUUGGAGCACUUAAUUGAGCCCAUUUUAUACAUACUAUAUACCUUUUCGAAGCUCGGGAAGUCAGGAGUUCAACGCUUCAAACGGUGUCCAAAUCGGAGUUGAAACAAAAAAGUUAUGUUUAUUGCAAGAAAACUGCGCUGAGCUGAAAGAAAAUUUCUCACCGUGUGAAUCAAGGUACAGAAAUUUCGCACUGUGCGAAUCAAGGUGCGAAAAUUUUCGCACCGUGAGAAACCACCUCCUGGCACACGAGUGCCAUUUCGCACACCUCAAGCCAAUUUUCACACCAUGCAAAACAAGGUGUGAAAAUUUCGCAAGGUGCGAAAUUGAGUGCGAAACUCGAUUCAAGGUGCGAAAUUCUCAUUUUAAGGUGCGAAAAUUUUGCUACUGUUGGACACAUUUUUGAAGCACUUCCUGGAGCUCAAAUUAUGCAUAUGAUAUGUCGUUUUGAAGCUUGAGAAGUCAGAAAUCUAGAACUUCAAACUGUGCAUGAUUUGGAUUUGAAACGAAGAAGUUAUGGCCAUUUGAAGACGACUAUGCAAAGCUAAAAGAAAAUGUUGCAGCCGCACCAAAUUUCGCUACUGUUAGACACAUUUUUUAAGCACUUCCUGGAGCUCAAAUUAUGCAUACCAUAUGUUUUUUUUAAGCUUAGGAAGUCAGGAAUCCAAUGAUUCAAACGGUGUGUGAUUUGGUUUUGAAACGAAGAAGUUAUGGCCAUUAGAAGACAGACUACGCAAAGCUGAGCGGGAAUUUCGCACCUUGAAAUCCAAAGUGCGAAAAAUCCUUUCCAAGGUGCGAAAUUUUUUUUAAAGUGCGAAAAUGCUCCAAGCUUCAAGAAUCGGCUGCGAAAUUCCCAUUUUGUUGCCAAAUGAUUUUCCAAACUUCAAAAUGGCUACAAAAUGAUUUCCAAGCUUCAAAAUGGGCUGCUAAAAUGUUUCUAUUUUUCCAUGGGCUGCAAAAAUGUUUUUCUUUUCCCUUUGACUGCAAGACAUGGCCUCCAAGCUACAAAAUGAUGUGCAAAAACACUUUGCAAAGCCAAGAAAAAUUGCAAAAAUGCCAACAGAGCCUCACAACCAUGCAUCUAAAGAAGAGAGCCCUCUCAUUGAGAUCAUACAUGAAGUCUCUCAUUCCAUUUCUUACCUCCUAAAACCAUCAAAGCUCAUAGCUCCAACCGAGAGCUCCAGUUGAGAAGACUAUGCCACCUAAGGAGACUACUAGAGCAGAGGUCAAUGUCUUGACCCAACCCACUCAGAAGGCCACCACAGAGCCAUUAUCUCCACAGGACCCUACCACUACUUGAUCAUCUCUUUAAUUUUUGUAUUUACUUAUUAUAUUAGUAUAGAUAAUUCCAUGUUUUGAUGUUUUAUAUUCUAGGAUUGGAUGUAUUGCAUGAUCAUAUAUUAUAUUCUAUUUUCUCAGAUUAAAUAUAGACAUCAUUUUUGUUUAAACUUGACAUUUUUCUAUUUCCUCUACUCACUGAAUCUUUUGUUUUUUUUAAACAUGUAGUUUCUCCUAUACGACUCAGACUCCAUGCCACUCAAGAGGUACCACUUCCUCUCUUUAUUUUUAUUUUUUUAUUGCUCUUGAAACAUUGAGGACAAUGUUCAGCUUGGUUGGGGGGAGAGUUGAGGAAGGAAGUUUUGUUAUUAAUACUAAGUUAUUUUGGUAAUUUAGUUGCUUUUUGCUUAAUUUUUAAAAUCUUUUAAAGUUUUUAAUCUACUCUCCAUGGUUAUUAAGGAAAAAUUUUCAAAAUGAAAUGGGAGAAAUUAAAUUUUUGUCUUUUUACUUGAAACUUAGAGUUUGUAUUAUGUUUAUUAAAGUUGAUGAAUUAUUGAACUCCUAUUGAUUUCAACCUUAUUUCUUCCACUUUAAGCUUAUCACACACCGUGCACACUAACUUCCGUUUAUAAGAUGAAAAACUAUUUUCCCCCUUGACUUAGGAAAAUUUAGACUUGGUACCUUUUACCUCAUUUUAAUAGUGUUGAGACACCUUAUAAAAGGCCAAUGAGCCUUUGGAAAAAGAAAGAAAAAGAAAAAUAUAUUACUUGCCUUGAAACCCGAGCAAGGUCUGAGGGGUAUAUGGUGAAAAUCUUUAAAACCUGGUGCCCUAAGCCUUCAAUGGUUGGGAGUCACCGACCUCAAUGCUCAUUACAUGGGUGAAUAGGUGGAGUUUAACAUUUUGUAGGUGCUUGGGUAUUAAAAAUUCAUUCUCAAAAGUCCGGGGUGAAAUCCGAGGAGUUAGUGGUUGAAAAAUCCUUAAAUCUUGAUGCCCUAAACCUUGAUUGGUUGGGAGUCAUCGAUGGACCCUCGUUACAUGGACAAUUUAGAAAAGAAUGCCUUUAAGCUUUGCACUCCUACAAGAAAAAAUUGUGAAAGAAAAGAGGUGCGUUCUUAGCCUAUUAGAGGUUGAUUAGUUUGCUAAGCUUUGAAAAGAACUAGGUUAAGGGGAGAGAUUAGUUUGACAUACUAUAUCCGGAAACUAAUAAAUAACACAUAGAUUUUUGUGGAAGAGUAAGGAUUGGACCUUUGGGAGUGGAAAUUAUUUUGAAGCUUAAAAUUGCAUAAUGCCUACUCUUUAUGAAUUGUGACUAGGCAAAUUAUUUGAUAGCUCCUAUUGAAGUUUGAGUUUUAUUUCUUUCAUGUUCCAUGUGAGAGUUUGAUCAGUCAUGCCACUUAAACAUUUUUUGGAGUGAUCAGCAUGAUUUUGUAAAUUUAUUAUUUUUAUUUUUAUUUUUUCUCUCCUUCAUUGCUAAGGGACUAGCAAUAUGUCGGUUGGGGGGAGUGAUUAAUACUCAAAAAGUGCUAUUUUGUAGCUUGUAAUUAACUCUUUUAAACACUCUUGAGUAGUAAUUAUUACCUUUUAACUCAAUUGGCAUGUUAAGGGCCCUUGCAAUCGUUUCUAAUCAAAUUGUGUUAAGUUUUGGUGUUUUUGAUAGCUUUUUGUUCACCAAAGCAAUUUAAGAAUGAGGGAGAGCUGUAUAUAGUUCAUGGCAAAGCUUUUGGAAGCUCAAAUUCAUGAAUAACCAAGCUUUGGAGCUCCAUAGCCUUUGCUAAAGUCAUUCAAAGUAUGCAAGGAAAGAACAAUGGAGAAGAGGAAAACAGAGUGAAGAAAACAGAGGACAGCAGCUACAGUCUUCUUUCACACUUUUGGAGCACUUCCCGAAGUCCAUUUUCUACAUGCUAUAUACCAUUUCAAAUAUUAGUAAGUCAAGAAUCCAACGCUUCAAACCGUGUAUGAUUUGGAGCUGAAAUGAGGAAGAUAUGGCCUUCGGAAGACAACUGCAUCAAGCUGAGGGACAAUUUCGCACCUUGCGAAAUUGGAACUCCAACGUGCGAAAUUUAAAGUGGAUGGCAGCUGUGCAUUUGCGGUGAAGUCCAACAUGCGAAAGUGAUUUUGCAACUUGCAAACUUGGAUCUCAACAUGCGAAAGUGGAUUCUAAGUUGCGAAAUCAACUUGCGAAAUUUUCGCAAGUCACCAUGCAACGUGCGAAACUGGGAUAUUUGUGCACCGACUCUUUUAGAUAUUUUUGUAUAAAUUUCCAUUCUUCUCCUUGUAAUCCACCAACCAUAAGAUUUCUUAGCUAGGAAGGUUGGAAAAAAUUCUCUAUAUAUAUUCCCUUGCAUCCAUUGUAAACGAUAUCGAUCAAUAUAUAGAUAUUUAAAUAUAUAGACUAUACAGAGCCUUGCUCUGUUUUUCUCUCUUCUCCUAUUCUUCCCCAUUUCUAUUUUCUUAGUAGCCAAACAGCCUCUGAGGGCUUUUCCUCAAAGGAUGAUUGGCUAAAACUUUUAGUUUCUCAAAGUAUGGAUGUUAUGUGAUGACUUGGAUGCAAUCCCAUGGAAAUUUCUCGCACCUGGAAGGUAAGGUAGUCGUUUUUCAUUAAAGGUUCAUUAAUGCAAAGUUUGGUUUUUAUUUCCUUUGGACAACUUCCAACAGCCAAUACUUGAUAAGCUUUUGGAUUUCUAUUCAUUAGUUAUCUCCUACGAGCUAUUGGAAGGUGAGGUUUUCAAUUCCAAGUUUUGCAUUAAUCCGUUAGAACCAAUUUCAAUGGCCAUUGAAAGGUGAGUUUAUCACCUGGAAUGACUUUGAGUUGCCAAUAUUUGGUAAGCUUUUGGCUUUAGACCAUUAGUUAUCUCUUACGAGCCAUUCAAAGGAAGUCUAAGGUGAAUAACCAUUGAUGAAAUUCACUACCAUCUGUUUUGCCAUUUUAAAGUAUUAAAACUUGAUUUGCUAAAUCCAUACCGGUUCGGGAAGCAAGCAUCACCAUAGUUGCAACCCCAAUGCGAGGAGCCUAUCCUGAGAUUUCCAAUUUGCAUAAGAGCCAGAGCAUAGCUAUCCUAUCUUUGAGAAACUUGUUUUUACACCCUUUCAUUUUAGUCUUUAAUGUUAGCUUAGAUUAGUUUAAAUCUUUCUAAAACAUUUACAUCUUCUUUUAAAGCUAACAUCCAUAAGAAAAUCACCUAUUUUCCUAAUUUGAAUAUCAUUUGUGAAGUGAAAACCCAUCCCAGUGAACGAUCCUAGAGCCACUAUGCUAUAGUAGCUUUGUCUCUGCUACCCUAGUACAUGGUGUAAUAGGUUAUAAAUUUUGUUGAUUACUCCCUCAUUCAAGGAGCACCAGCUAGACAUGAAUCAGUUGAGACACCAAUUAGGCACGAAUCAAUAUCAAGAAUGCCUUUCUGAAUGGUGAACUAGAAGAAGAAGUGUUUAUGAUGUUACCACCAGGGUUCUGUAAGGAAGAAGAAGAAACCAGGGUAUGCAAAUUGAAGAAAUCUCUUUAUGGUCUCAAACAAUCACCCAGAGCAUGGUUUGAUAGAUUUGCAAAGGUGAUUAAGAAUCAAGGAUACCAAUAGGGACAGUCAGAUCACACUAUGUCUUCAAAACAAUCCAAUGAUGGAAGGAUGACCAUUCUAAUCGUGUAUGUCGACGACAUCAUUCUCACUAGAGAUGACACAGGAAAAGUGGAAAGAUUGAAGAAGGUCUUAGCCACAGAAUUUGAGGUGAAAGUUCUAGGUCAAAUGCAGUAUUUCCUAGGAAUGGAGGUCGCCAGAUCAAGGGAAUUAGUAUUUCCUAAAGAAAGUAUGUACUUGACUUGUUGAUUGAGACUGGCAUGCUGGGAUGCAAGCCAAAUGAUACCCUUAUCAAGGCAAGAAACAAAAUGGAAAGUGAUGGAAAGCCCGUGGAUAGAGAGAAAUAUUAGCGACUAGUAAGUAGACUAAUCUACCUUUCUCACACUAGACCUGACAUUGUUGUCAACGUAAGAGAGAAAGCUUUUUAGCUUGAAGGCUUACAUGUUGAGAGAGAAACAAGAGAAAGAGAGGGGAGAGAAUGGGAGAUUUUUUUCAUUCCCAAAUUUUUUCAUGCUUACAAAUGAGGAUCAAGCCUCCUUAAUAGCUAAAAAAGAAUCUUAAAACAGUUUAAAGUAGUUGACAAAGUACUGUUUACUUUUGGCCAUCUGUUGUGAAUAGGGAACCCGUGCAUGAAUAGUCAAAGUGAACAGUAACAUUUUUUACUGUAGCACUUUAGACUUUUUAGCCAGAAAUCUUACUUUUGGCGGGAAUAAUGGAUGGCAGGUCGAAUCUUGAACUGUGGAUGCACAUGUUGGAAGACAAAAUUGCUUUCGGUGUUAUAAUUGCUGGAAGGAAUAUUCUUGCACGUUGAAAGUCAUGAAGCUGAUGGUCACUUGGAUUUUCUUAUUGGAGGAAGAAUAUCUUCAUAGUCAUCACCAUUAUCGUGAAGGUAGCUUGUUGAAUCAUCAAAUUCUGCAUAAGAGUUUUCUUGGGAAAAGCUUGAGCUUCCUUCAUCAAGGAUUUUUUGGAAUUCUUGAGGGGUUUUUGCUGCUGCGAGCAUGGCUUGGAGCUAUUGUUUCUUGAGAAGAAAUUGUGAUAUGUCAUCACCAGUUGAAGCUUGUGUGGGAUGCUUAAGGAAAUAUUGCUUACCUGCAUUAAGGGAUGCAUCAUUUUUCAAUGCGUCCCACCAUUUUGUCUUAAAAGUCUUUCCAAGAGUUGGAAAGGCAGCUGAUUCAUCAGCAACGAUGAUGUAGUCCCACUAGACAAUCCAUGCAAGACCAAAAUUGUUGAAAAAGAAUAGUAAAUGUGGAAAAGCUGAAAGUUCUCUAGGGAUAACAAAAGAACUAUUGAAUAGCUCAACGCCAUCCAAUAUGGGCUUAGGAAGAAUCUUAAUGGAUGGACCAAAAUAAGUUCACCAAUUGUGGAACCAAAAUGGGAAGGAGGAAAGUUGAUUCUUGGAUGGAAAGUAGAACAUCCAUGGAUGAUGGAAGUCCCUAUUUUGGAUCAGAAAAGCAUUGAACCAUGCUCUCUGAUAAUCCUAAUAGUUGAAAAACUUUGGUUUUGAAGGUUCAGAGAAUUCCCUUGAGAGAUUGGGAUUUCCACCCCAUUGCUUAACAGUAAGAAUCUUAUAGAUAUGGCAGGUGGAAAAUGUCAAAUCUAGAUUGUUGUACUUAUCAGCAUUAUGCGUAAUUUUAACAGAACCAGUUUCUAUGAGGAUUGCCUCAUAAAAAUCUCUUGUUUUUAAAAGGACUACAUCAUCAUUACUGAUGAAUUAGCUGUCUUUCCAACUCUUGGAAGGACUUUUAAGACAAAAUGGUGGGAUGCAUUGAAAAAUUAUGAUAUAUAUAUCUAAAGUUUACUUUACAUCCUUGAAAAUUAUUUUUAAAACUUUUAAAAUUUGAGACAAAUUUUUGUGUUCUAACUUCUUUUUAUUUAUUAAGUAUAUUAGUUUAUAUAUAAUUUUAUAUUUCAAAAUUAAAAAAAUAAUAAUAAAUAUGAAUUCCAAUAUCAGGAAUAGGCAUGGGAUGAUGAUAUAUUAGCACGGGAAACUUGUGCCCCUAAUGGGAAUUUCAUGUCCCCGACCCAUCUGGCUUGAGACUAGAAUGGGGCGGGGAUGGGGAAAAGUAAAAAAAUUGACUGGAAUAGAGAUGGGGAGUCCUACCAACCCUUGAGAGAGGGGAAAAAAAAAGUCAAAAACAAAGAAAAUAAGAACAAAGAGCUAUUCGUCAAACUUAAAAAAGUUUUCCCUUGACAAUGCUGAGAUGAAAAGUCCAAGAAAAGUCCAAGAAAGCCCAAAGAAAAGGAGCAGAAAUGAAUGUGAUGGACUGAAAAUCUGGCCUUAGAGGGAAUAAGAGGGAAAAUCUUGCUCACCCUUCUCUCAUCAGCUGGUCCCCACCCAAAAUCUGGCCACAAGCUGCUUUCCAAACAAAAGGCUGAAAAUUCUCCCCUACUUACCUGAAAUCAAUCUCAAGAGAUUGAUUGGUGAAAAGAGCGGACGCAGGAAAAGUAUGCCCAUACUUUCCAAGAAAUAUCCAUAAUUAGACUGCUAAGCUUAGAAGACCGGGCUCCAAAAGGAUGCUCUGAGAUAUCUGGUAGUUCACUGAUGACAUUGUCAACGUACUAUGAAGUUGAAGGCUGAAGGAUAAAUACUAAGCAUGAAAGCAUGGUCAUGUGAAACUUGGAAUGGUAGAAAUGGAAAGCAGCAUGUGCCUCAGCAGUGCAAUUUUAUCUCUGUGUUUGUCAUGUAUGUGGUUGGGAGUAGUGCCUUACAUUUCUAGUGCACAGACAGACACCAUCAAACCUGGGGAAGAGCUUCAAUUUUCGGAAAAAUUACUGGUUUCUGCAAAAGGGACUUUUACUCUAGGCUUCUUCAGCCUGGAAUCUGGCAGUUAUUUAGGAAUAUGGUUCACAAUUGAUGCUCAGAAGGAGAAAGUUUGGGUUGCUAACAGAGACAAGCCUAUAUCCGGUACAGAUGCAAACCUCACACUGGAUGCUGAUGGAAAAUUGAUGAUCAUGCAUAGUGGGGGUGAUCCAAUUGUCCUGAAUUCCAAUCAAGCAGCCAGAAACUCAACAGCUACUCUGCUUGAUUCUGGAAAUUUUGUUUUGGAAGAGUUCAAUUCGGAUAGAUCUGUGAAGGAGAAACUAUGGGAAAGUUCGAUAAUCCUACAGACACCCUCCUGGCUGGGAUGAAACUAGGCAUCAACUUGAAAACCGGACAAAACUGGUCACUUGCUUCAUGGAUAAACGAACAAGUGCCUGCUCCUGGGACUUUUACUCUGGAAUGGAAUGGCACACAAUUGGUAAUGAAACGCCGAGGGGGCACCUACUGGAGCAGUGGAACCUUGAAAAAUAGGAGCUUUGAGUUCAUUCCUUGGUUGAGCUUUGACACUUGCAAUAACAUCUACAGUUUUAACAGUGUUGCUAAUGAAAACGAGAUUUACUUUAGCUAUUCGGUUCCAGAUGGAGUUGUUUCAGAGUGGGCAUUGAACUCGAGAGGAGGACUUUCUGACACUAACAGACCUUUAUUUGUGACGGACGAUGUGUGUGAUGGGUUUGAGGAAUAUCCAGGGUGUGCAGUGCAAAACCCACCCACUUGCAGGACUAGAAAAGACGGAUUCAUGAAGCAAUCGGUUCAUAUAUCAGAAUCACCGUCAUCAAUAAAAGAAGAUUCGAGCUUGGGACCUAGUGAUUGUCAGGCCAUAUGCUGGAAUAAUUGUUCUUGUACUGCUUGUAAUACUAUAUACACUAACGGAACUGGAUGUCGGUUUUGGAGUACAAAAUUUACACAAACCUACGCGGGUGAUGCAAAUCGGGAGGCGCUCUAUGUUUUAUCCUCAUCACGAGUUACGGGUAAGUGUCUCUCUGUAUUUUCGUAUUCCUGAAAGUAACCAAGGCAAAGUAGUUGAUGAAUCCAACAUUUUUACUGAAUUUACAACCCUAAUAGGUGAUCAAAAAUUCAAAAUACCAUUAGAGGAGCUAUAUCAAGACCAUAAAAGACCCUUGAUCUUUCACUCAGUUCUGUUCUAAGCCACUAACCACAAAAUUUAUCUUGUAUCUACGCAGGGAACAGUUGGUGGAUAUGGGUCAUUAUUGCAGGAGUGGUACUUGUGGUCCUGUUACUUAUGGGCUUCUUAUACUAUUUAAGGAGAAAAUCCAAAGGUAGUAUUUUAUUUUAACUUUUACUGAUGAUAAUAAUGCCAUUUGUUAAUGGGUUGGAUAAUUGAACUUGUGACUUCUGGUAUAACAGGGGAGAGAAAAAUGGAGGAAGCUAUGCUGCAUGAAUUGGCAACUUCAAAUAGCUUUAGUGAUUCAAAAGAUGUUGACCAUGAUGGAAAGAGGGCUCAUGAUCUCAAACUGUUCAGUUUUGAUUCUAUUGUGGUUGCCUCGAAUAACUUUUCAUCUGAAAAUAAACUUGGAGAGGGCGGAUUUGGCCCAGUUUAUAAGGUAAUUAUAAUUUCAUUAAGCCAUAGCAUGUAAUAGGAAUAGGGCAUUCUUUGUUUAAGUACCCCAAUUAAAGCUUCCUUGUGGAUUAUUUUUGCAGGGGAAAUUACCUGAGGGGCAAGAAAUAGCAGUGAAGAGACUUUCAAGGGGCUCCGGACAAGGUUUGGUGGAAUUCAAGAAUGAGAUUAGACUGAUUGCCAGACUCCAACACAUGAAUCUUGUUAGACUUUUGGGUUGUUGCAGCAAGGGAGAAGAAAAGAUGUUAAUCUAUGAGUUCAUGCCCAACAAAAGCUUGGACUUCUUCCUCUUUGGUUUGAUUACUUCCCUUUUUUCUUCCUGUUAUCUGCUUAACUUUUCCUUAUGUUCUUUAUCCUUUUUUGCUUGAAACAAUUUACUAGUCGUGCUGUGUUCACCCAAAUUUUCAGAUCCUGCUAGAAGAAAGAUAUUAGAUUGGAAAAGAUGUCACAAUAUCAUUGAGGGGAUUGCACAAGGACUUCUUUACUUGCAUAAAUAUUCAAGACUAAGAAUUAUUCAUAGAGAUCUAAAAGCAAGUAACAUCCUACUUGAUCAUGACUUGAACCCCAAAAUUUCUGAUUUUGGCAUGGCCAGAACUUUUGGGCGAAAUGCAUCAGAAGCAAAUACAAAUAGGAUUGUUGGAACAUAGUAAGCAUGACUCUUCCUUAUCUACUGCUUUCUUUUCCAAUCUAGUGAAUUGAACCUUCUACUAUGGAUGCAGUGGCUACAUGCCCCCUGAGUAUGCCAUGGAAGGAAUUUUCUCAGUGAAAUCAGAUGUUUAUAGCUUUGGGGUGCUACUGUUGGAGAUUGUGAGCGGCCGGAAGAACAAGAGCUUUUAUCAUAAUGACGGUGCCCUUACCAUAAACCUGGCAGGAUACGUAAGUCUGCUAAAUCUCAUAUUUGUGUCUACAUUAUUAUCAACAACACCCGGUGUAUCCUUCCAAAAUUCUCAAACUAACCUUGUAAGUAAAUCAACCCUAAAAUGAACUGGAAUCAGGCUUGGGAGCUAUGGAAAGAAGGUACUAGCUUGCAGCUAGUGGAUCCAAUGCUGGAGGAUUUCCACUCAUCAACCCAAAUGUUGAGAUGCAUUCAUAUUGCUCUCUUGUGUGUACAGGAGAGCGCAGCAGAUAGGCCUACAAUGUCAACUGUUAUCUCCAUGCUCACCAACGAAACUGUGCCCCUACCAAACCCAAAUCUGCCCGCAUUUUCCAUUCAUCAUACAGUGUUAGAGCUAGAUUCACACAAAGGCGGGCCACAGAGCUGUUCUGGAAGUGUAAACAUUUCAGAGAUGGAAGGUCGGUAAAGAAGAGAAUUUCAAGGGGGGAAAGGGAACCUAGAUAGCAGCAGUUUUUGUCCUAACCUAUUAGCAAUUUGUCUAGAUUGAUUCGUAUUGCCAUCAUAUAUGUAUUAGAUAUAGAAUCAACUAGGUUCCCUCAAGGUAAUCUUUUUUAAAACCUUUUUGAAUUUAUCAUAGCACGAUAGAAGCUGGUUUGGUAUAAUUUGAAACAUAGUUUGAAUCUAUAUUCUGCGGCUCAUUUAUGUUCGGUUAUUCAUUCUCAUUAUUUGGAAGGCAUGGGAUGGACUACGCCAUAUGUUGGCAUCAAACAGAUGAUCAAAGCUUUGUGCUACGUCAUACGCAAAGAAGAGUACUCCAGGCUGACCACCGAAGUAGAAAGUAGAGAUGAUGUAUGAGUGAUCCUCAUUCAAUUUGCACAUACACCACUGGUUAACCAAACUUCAUCCUCCAUGCUUCAGGUAAUCCAUAGCCAAGUUCUUCUCCCACCCGUUGCAGGAGACAUAGGUCUUCAAAUCGAAAUGUCCACCUCCUAAAGCGCAAGAUUUUACUGAGAAUCGUCCCUUUCUGGAGGCCUCAUCUACGCCAACUCAGAAAUUCAGAAAUUCAAAUCAUGAAAGGCUGAAAGCCCAUGAUAUGGGUUCCAACAUCCCCCGCCGGCCCCGCCCCACUCCCCCCUCCCCCCUCCUACAAAAUUUGCACACAUACAUAAAAGCUUAUAUAUUCAAGCGACACCUAUCCCCACAUCACCAUGAUGCCAAAGUUAACUCUUUGCCCAUUUCCAGCCACUCCUUACGCUCUUCCAUAGCCCUCUCCUGCAUGGUUUGAAGUAUUUGCUAAGACUGGCACCGCUCAGCCAAGUCUUAUUUGCCUUGACCAUGGCCAUGAUCAAUCCAAGAUAAAAUUUGAGAAUUUUACAGUUGAUAAUGACUAGGUUUCAAGUCCAAUACCAACUACUUAAUUCAACUAACUCCAACUCACAACUCUACAAUAGGAGUAAACAAAAUUUGAGAAUCUCUGCAUCUCCAAAAGUGAACCCAUCUAAAUUACAAACAAAAAUCCGAUUACAUGAAAAAGGCAUCAAACCUAAGCUUUUUAGAGUAAGGGAGGCAAGAAUCACAAACACGAAUACAAAAGGCAAACAACAUAAAAGGAUAGAAAAGUCAUGCAUAUUAAUCACUCUUGCAAUUCUAGCAAGUUUACGAUGUUAUGAUCCUCAUGUGUGGAUCAAGCGAACAAAUGAGAAAAUGGUACAUCAAAGGCACAUAAAGGAUAUAUCCAUUUACUAAUCUAUUAAAUAUCAAUUUUAUCCUCACCCUCAUGUUUGAAUUUCAACCUCUUAUCAUCCCAAUGAAAUUGCCAUUUUGUGAACCUACAUUUUUUAUUUAUGUUUCUGGUCAAAUAACAAAAUUUGGACUCUAUGAAAAAUUUAUUAUGAAAACUAAUUUUUUAUUCUUUUUUGAGGCUGCCAUUAAUUUUAUUUAUUUUUUAAACAAUAAAGAAAACAAAUUUUAAAAAAUAAAAAUAAAAAUAAAAUCUUGUAUGACUCCAUAGAGGAAAAGCUAGUCUAGAAAUGAGAAUGGAUAUGGGAUCAAGUUAUUUACUAGUUAGGUAUGGGGGCACUCAUCUAAGCUCUUAUAUUAUUUGGUCUCUAUUAGUGAGCUAAGAUAUGGCCUAAAAUUUGAUUUAGUUUACAUAAUCUUGCAAAAUUAGUUAUGAAAUGUUUAUGAUUUUAUUACCAUUAAUACAAAAAAUUUAUCACAAGAUACACAAAUUAAUUUGAUUAAAAAAAUCAUUUUAUGGUUUUAGUAAUUAAUAUAAAAAAUUAGCAUAUAAACCAAAAAAUAUAAUUUAAUUUAUUUCUUAAAAAAUUAAUAAAUAAAGUAUUUUUUUAUUUUAUUAAUGUCAAUUUAUAAAGAAUUAAUAUAUAAAAAAUUUUGUGCCACAUAACCUUAAAAAAUUAAUUUAUAAAAUAUUUUUCUCGUUUUAUUAAUAUACAAAAAGAAAUAAAAAAAUUCUAAUUUAUUUCACACAAUCUCACCAAAUUAAUUUCCAAAGUGAUUUCUUGAUUUAUUUUAUUUUAUUUUAUUAACAUUAAUGUAGAAGGAAAAAUUUUAAUUUUAGAUCCAUUAGAAAGAAAACCCUAAAAAGUGACUCCAUAAUUUUUGGAAAAUGUGUCUUUGAAAAAUCGGAGUCUAGGUCUGGGGAUCAGAUUACUUAUUGGGAAGGUACCUUUAGGAGGUAGCACCCCUCUAAGCCCUGUAAAGGUCUCUAUUGACUAAGUUGAGGGAAAUGUGAUAAUUAAUUGGUUAAUUAUAGAUACCUAGGUAGGCUAGGCAAUUUCAAAAAAUAGCAUGUCAAACAAGAAAACCAAUCACAAUUGCAAAGGAAGGUUAGGAUGCGUAUCUGGACUGCUCUCAAGCGCUAUCAUAAGACAUCAAAGUUAGUAUAAAAAUAUAGUACACAACAUGCAUUUUAUCCAAGCAAAUCUAACAUACAUCUAAGUACCCAAGGAUGGAAUCAGACAUGGAUAUGGCUCACAACAACAUGCAUGCAUGUUCAUAAAAUUCAGAAAAGCAAGUGAUAGAGAGCGUACCUAGAUAGUAUGCAUAAUUGAUAAGAUUCCUCCAAAAAUGUUAGAAUGGUUAGGACACGUAUAAAUUAUAUAACAUCUUUAUUAUAUCUAAUAUACAGUAUCAAAGCCAAAAUUGAGCCAAGGUAAGUCAAAUGACUCCAAAAGUAAAUAACCAACUCAAGUAGUGUACAAGAUCAUCAACAUGCCAUUAGAAAAGGGAGCAUAAAAAACAAUGUCUAAAAAAUGGCUUAGAGUGGAAUUUAAUUAUGAAAAAUUUCAGAAAAUAACUCCUACACAUCUAGAUCAAUAUACUGAAGGCCAAACUCUCAUUCAAAGGACAGAUUAUGGCAAAGGCACCUAAAGGUUCUAUAAAGUCCAGAUUAGAUAAGGAAAAAUGAUAUGCAUAAACGAAUUUCUAAAAAUAAUAAAUGAUCAUAUAAAAUCAUAAAAAUAAAAUAAAAAAUCACACACAUAUUUCAAAGUAUUUGUAUCACAUAAAAAAAAAAUUCAGGGUCAGAUAGUAUUCAAAAAUAUUUUUAAAACACUCAAGUUAAUUAGAUGUCCAAAAUCCAGCAUGCGCAGUAGGUAUGACUUUGAAAAAUCAUAUCUCUCUCAAAAAGGCAUAUUUUUUUUAAUAUUUUAUGUGUCUAAUAUCAAUUUCAAGAAGCCUAGAAUUGAGGGAAAAUAUUGAAUCAAAUUUAAAAAAGUCGUCUGGUAUUUUAUUUUUGCAAAAAGGUCUCCGAUGUCCAAAACUGGGUGAAAACGAAGUCCCACUAAAGACUCAUUCAUAUCUUCUAUUCCAUAAUUGCUUUCUAACUCAUACAGAAUCUUAAAUUCAAGUUCAAGAAGUGAGGAAAAUCAUACAAGUUUUGGAAAUUUUUUUAAAAAAUAUUCUAAAGUUGUAAAAAGGAAUUUUAAAACUAAAGGGUCAAUGGUUGAGUGAAAACUAGAAGCAAUGAAGAGUUUCGGAAAAAUUUUCUUAUGUAGGGGUUCCAUCAAGUCCCCAUUCAAUUUCCAUAAGUUUUAGUUGUGUGUCCCCAUUAGUUUGGGAGCACAAGUCCAAACUUAUGUGAAUAAAAAACCAAAUGUUUUAAAAACCAACAAGAAGAAAUGCAACUUAAAUGAAAUGAGUUGCAUAAUUUUAAUAGAAACUGUAUUCUUUGCCUAAAGCUAGAAUGAAUGUUUUUCUAAAACCUUUUAUUGGAGAUUUAAAUGCUUUUGAAAAUGACUUUAAGGGAAGUAAAAAAAAUGACCCAAUGAUUUGUUAAAUCUUAAUCAAUAGACACAAAAUAAAUAUUUUUGAUUUGUAACUUAAGGGGGAUUUGAAAAUAAGAGAAAAGCUAAAUUGGAGCCCCCCUUUUUGGCUACCUUUCAUUUGGGAUCAAGGGGCCAAACUUAUAAUGGCAAAAUUCAUUUUUGAAAAAAGAAAAUUUGACCAAACUCAAAAUGUCAAUUUGAUAAAAAAAAAAAAAAAUGAAUAAAUAAAAACCCUUUUCUAAAAGAAAGUUCAAACUCAAAAAUUCCUUAAAGUGCCUAUAAAAUAAGUAUAAAAAAUAAAGAUAACUAACAAUUCAAUCAAAUAUCAGGAAGCCAAUAUCAACAAUUAUGUUUUAAACUUUGGAAAAUAAGGAAUUAAAUAAGAAUCAAUCAAACUAAAUAAAAUUAUCAACUUGAACAUGCAAGGAUUUAACUAAAACUGAAAUUCUAAACACUAAAUAAUUAGCAAGGUAAAUCAAACUAGCAACUUAAUAACUUAGAGCAGGUCUAGAUUUUAACUAAAACUAAAAUUCUAAAUAACUUAAUAAUUAUGGAUUUUUAGCUAAAAUUAAAAUUAUAGACAAACUUAACAAUUGGCAAGAAUCAAUCUAACUAAUAAAUUAAUCCUAAAUCUUUGAGACUAAACAUUAACAUGAAAUAUUGGAAAUAACAACAAAAGAUAUUGAGAUCGUGAACUUAAAAAAAAAAUAUCAACGAAAGCUUGCUCAAAAAAAAUAUUAAGGUCAUACAUUGUCAUGAAGAUUGAAAAUUAACAACAAGAAAUACUAAAAUUUGAGAUAUCAAAUCAAUGACUGACUCUAGAAUGUGAAAAACCUAUACUACCAUAAUUCUAACUUAGUGAAAAUAAAAUAAAUUAAAGAAUCCAAACAAAAAUUAAACAAAUAUCAAGUUUUAUACAACUAUAAUGAUGAACCAAAACCAAAACGGAAACAAAGUUUCAAGCUUCUCCAAUCUAAAUUAAAGAAUCAAACUAAAACAAAAACAAAAAUAAACAUUUUCGAACUAAUAUGAGAAUCAAAACUAAAUCGAAACAAAGAUCAUAACUUUUUUUUUGUCUAAAACGAUGAAUUGAAACUUAAUUAACAAAAUUCCAAAUUUUCAAUUUUUAAAACCAAAACUUAAAACCUUUACUUACCUUCUCUUCUUGAAUCAAUCAGUCGCAGUGUCACUCACCUUCCUUUGCAUUUCCUUCACACUUUCAGGCCAAUUAAGAUCAUCUAAAUCUUCAAGAAGACGAUCAGCAUAUGCAGUGAUCUUGAGAAUUCACUGUCGCAUUGGCUUUCUUAUUACUGGAUGACCACCACGUUCACUUACACCAUCUACAACCUCCUCAUUUGCCAAGACAGUACCAAGAGCAGGGCACCAGUUGACUGGCACUUCAGCUUGAUACACUAAUCCUCUUUUUAGAAGUUGAAGAAGAUCCAUUGCAUCCAUUUAUAGUAUUCUGGUUCUAUCGUGGAAAUUUCUCGUUCCUAGUCAUAUGUGAAGCCCAAUUAUUUAAGCUGUGAACGGAAACGUGCAAUGUUCCUCUACGCUAGUCCCAACAUAAUUAGAUUCUCAUGGAUUCAAUCCUCCAUUUGACAUUCCAAUUUCGACGUCGUUACCGUCGUGUAAGGUAGGGAUCGAUGCCGAUGGAUUUGACGGUGGAAAUUCGAAAUCUGGUUCGGUGUGUAUCGGAUUCAGCCUUUCAGAUCGUGAUGGAUUGGUAUCAGUGGGUCCGAUUGCCUUGUGAUUGAAAUCAGACGGCUGAGGAUGACGAUCUGCGAUGAUUGAAAGCAUUCGAAAGGAGAGAAUCCGGAUGUAGGGGUUUUCCGCGAUGAGAUUCGGUGCUGUCAAUUUUCUUUUCUAGAUGCGUGCUUCGUCAAAGCUCUUCUCCAGUGCAGGUGCCAAUCUUCUUUGUGAUUCCAAAAUGAAUCCAGCAAUCUCACGUUCUCAAGAUCCCCCAUUGCCUCUUCGUAUGGCUGCUGCCAGCAAAGACGAGUGGUAAGGUUAACCAUCUCUUUCCACUGCAUUUCUAGGUUUUCUUCAUGCUUAUAAACUGACUCUACUGCCCAAGCAAAGUAUCCUCCUACCCGAAGCAUUCUGUUUACAUCAAGCAGCAAGAUUCCAUCAUCACAGGUCCAGUUGAUUCGACAUCUUGAACAAUGUAUCAAGUCAAAAGCCUGACUGAGAUAUAACAAACGACGAGUCACCAAAGCUACCACCAUUGCAGGCAGAUCGCGCUCAAGAGCAAACUGAAUCUGGUUCUCAUGAGCAUCUUUGGGAGCUAUGGAUAGAGUGAUGACAUUCCGUGAUAACAAAUAGGUACCCAAAACUGGUCACCCCACAUCCAACAUCCAAAACAACUCGAGUAUGCUUGCCAAACUCCAUGUCAGGCACUAUAUUUUGAAAUUUGAUCUCAGUAUUCAUCUACUCCAUGUGCUCAGAAUCCUCCUUUUCCAAAGUCCCUUCCUUCCUCUUUCAAUCGUGCGGUUGCACAUUUUUUUCCCUUUUUUUUUUCAAUGGUGCGACUGUACCUUUCUCACCACCCGAAUCCCAAACUUUCCUCCAGUCUGAAUGGUGCGGCUGCACCUGCUCCCACUCCUAGAAUGAUAUGGCUGCCAAUCUACUUCUCCAGAUUCAACAAGGUAAGUUCAUACUCCUCCUCACCAUCGCGGGGUGAAUAGCCGGUGAAUCUCAACAAAUAGUCGCGUAUGUGGGUUCCUAAAAUAGCCGCCUCAAUCCACUCUGAAACAUGGACUAAUUCCUCCCAAAACAGCAACCCUAAAUGCCCUUUCAAAACACAAACUGAUUCCUCCUCAAACAACAGCCCCAAAUGCCAUUUCAAAACACGGACUAAUCCCCUCAAACAACAACACCAAAUGCCCUUUCAAAACACGGACUCAUUCCUCCUCAAAUAGCAACCCCAAAUGCCCUUUCAAAACAUGGACUGAUCUCUCCAAAUAGCAGCCCCAAAUUUCCUUUCAAAACAAGAACUAAUCCCCCCAAACAGCAACCCCCAUAUGUCAUUUCAAAACACGGACUGAUUUCUUCCAAACAGUAGCCUCAAAUGCCCCUUCAAAACAUGGACUAAUUCCUCAAAACAACAGCCUCAAAAUCCCCUCUUAAACAUGGAUUGAUUUUCUCCAAACAACAGCGUCAAAAUGCUCUUUCAAAACAUGGGUUGAUCUCUCAAAUAACAGCCCCAAAAUGCUCUUUCAAAACAUCGACUGAUUCCUCAAAACAGCAACCUCAAAAUCCCCUCUGAAACAUGGAUUGGUUUUCUCCAAACAGUAGCCUCAAAUGCCCCUUCAAAACACAGACUGAUUCCUUAAAACAGCAGCCUCAAAAUGUUCUUUCAAAACAUGGACCGAUAUCUCAAACAGCAACCCAAAAAUGCUCUUUCAAAACACCGACUGAUCUCCCAAACAGUAGCCCCAAAAUGCUCUUUCAAAACACCGACUGAUCUCUCAAACAAAAACCCCAAAAUACUCUUUCAAAACAUGAACUGAUCUCUUUCCCCAAACAACAACCUCAAUCCCUUCUGAAACAUGGACAUUUUUUCUCUAAACAGCAGCCUCAAAAUGCCCCUUUAAAACACGGACUGAUUCCUCCCUCUUAAAAAUGACAGCCUAAUUUCUCCAAAAUAAACCUUCUGACCUCCUUCAAUCAUGCGUCUUCCUUCCUUUUCUUUUCUUUUCUUUCUUAAUCUUUUCUCCAUCCCCUUGUCAGCUUCUCCGUAGCCACGGUGAUGGAAAAAAAAUGGCAGAAAAAGGUUUCCUUCUACUCUUUCAAUCACCCUCCAUCCCCUCAAAUUUUCCUUUUUUUUUUCCCUUUGUCUUUCCUUUUCUCUCUUCCUCUCUCUCCAAUCCACCGGCUGCCUUCAUCUUUCCUCUUACUGGCGUUUUCUUUUUCUUUUAUGGAGCACAUGGGAUCCAUGCAAAACAAAUAAUAAAAACAAAGGAAAAGGAAAAUAAAAAUACCAAUAAAAAAAAACUAAGGGUUAGAAUAAUAAUAAUAAAAAAAAGUGUAACUAAGGAUUAAAAAUCCAAAAUAUGCAAUUUUAAAUGAAAUUAAAAAUAUAGACAAAGCUAAAAUGAAUUAUCAACUCAAGCAACUUUUUAUCAAAAUAAAUUAAUAAAUAGAUAAAUAAAAACAAAAUGAAUAUGAUUAUUAAGCUCAUGCAACUUCCUAAAAAUGAAUAAAACUAAUAAAUAGAGAAAGAUAAAAAAAAAAAAAACAAAAACAAAAUCAAGCACAUGCAAGCCAUAUGAGCUAUGCAACCAUGCAAACCAUGCAUCCAUCCAAAAAAUGAUCUAAAUUGGCCUAAGGUGCCUAAGUGAGCAUAGGGUGCCUAAGUGGGCCUAAGGUGGUGCCUAAUAGGGCAAAUGGGCCUAAAUGAGCUUAGGGUGCCUAAGUGGGCCUAGGGUGGUACCUAAUGGGCCAAGUGUGCCUAAUGGGCCUAAGGUGUACUUAAAUGAACCUAGGGUGAUGCCUAAUGAGCCAAAUGUGUCUAAAUGGGCAUAGAGUGCCUAAGUGGGCCUAGAGUGCCUAAGUGGGCCUAGGGUGGUGCCUAAUGGGCCAGGUGUGUCUAAAUGGGUAUAGGAUGCCUAAGUGGGCCUAAGGUGGUGCUUAAUGGGCCAAGUGUGUCUAAAUGGGCCUAGUGUGCCUAAGUGGGCUUAGGGUGAUACUUAAUAGGCCAGGUGCGUCUAAAUGGGCCUAGGAUACCUAAGUUAGCCUAGGGUGGUGCCUAAUGGGCUAGGUGCAUCUAAAUGGGCAUAGGGUGCCUAAGUGGGCCUAGGAUGGUGCCUAAUAGGUCAGGUGUGUCUAAAUGAGCCUAGGGUGCCUAAGUGAGCCGAAGGUGGUGCUUAAUGGGCCAAGUGUGUCAAAAUGGGCCUAGGAUGGUGCCUAAUGGGCUAGGUGUGUCUAAAUGGGCCUAAAGUGGUGCCUAAUGGGCCUAAGGUUCCUAAGUGGGUCUAAGGUGCCUAAUGGGCCUAAGGUGUACUUAAAUGAACUUAGGGUACCUAAGUGAGCCUAAUGUCAUGGACUUAGUUUUUUCCUAAGCUCGUGCGGCACUUAGACAAGCCAAGACCCCUGAUCUUGCUAAGUCAACCUUACUCUCAAUGCUUAGCUUGCUAGGCUAAGACGCUCACAACUCGGAAGCUUUAGAAGGCGUAGUAGGCAACUCUUAAAGAAUGGAAGUUGCUAUUACUCAAGGAAGCCUUUACAAGUGCUUUUGGGAAUUCACUUGCUUGGUUAGGAAGUGAUUUGGGUGGUACCUUGGCCAAAUGAGGCCCUCGCCUAUUUAUAGGCACCAAUAGAACUCUUUGGAACCUUGGAGGGUUCCUUACAAAUUAGGAAGAUUCUAGAAUACCCUACACAAUUCUAUGUACAACCUUAUGUACAAGAGAUCUCUAGAAUUCUCUAGAAAGCCUUGGACUCCUCUCAUGCCUUCCACCAUAGUGUAGAGAUGUGUGGACAUCUCUAGGCAUCUCUAGAACCUUCCACACUCUUUCCUCCAAUGGCUUAGUGUAGAUGGCUCCAAGAGCUUCCAGAAGCUUCCUGGGCUCUAUAUAAACCCAUGAGGAGGCUCAUUUGAAGCAUCCUGUGACACUAAGGUGCCUAAGUGGGCCUAGAGUGGUGCCUAAUGGGCCAAGUGUAUCUAAAUGGGCCUAAAGUGGUGCCUAAUGGGCUUAAGGUGCCUAAGUGGGCCUAAGAUAUGCCUAAUGGGCCAAGUGUAUCUAAGUGAGCCUAAAGUGGUGCCUAAUGGGCUUAAGGUGUACUUAAAUGAACCUAGGGUGCCUAAGUGAGCCUAAGUCUAAAUUAGGGCUGCCAAGAGUCACAAUGGGGUUAGAUAAAUCCCUCAACCAAAGUCCCCAAGGUGGCUUAGAAAAGAUAGGUUACAAGAGUAGUAAUGAGCCACAAGGGAAUUGCUAUAAAGUACCGAACAAAUACCUAGUAUGACAUGUGCUAAGAGGACAAAAUGGAGGGUCUACAGGUGUAUUUUAAAGAGACACCUUCUAGAAUUUCAAAAAAUUGGAUUUAUAUUGAAAGUAUCUCUUGAAAAGACACUUUCCACAAUUCCACAAAAUCUAAUAUAUACUAAAGGUGUCCCUUCAAGAGACAUCUUCCACAAUUUCACAAAUUUUAAUUCAUACUACAAAUGUCUCUUGAAUUUGAUUUUAUAUUAAAAAAAUUGGAUUUAUACUAAAGAUGUCUCUUCAAGAGACACUUUCCACAAUUCCAUAAAAUUCAAUAUAUAUUAAAAGUAUCUCUUCAAGAAACACCUUUCACAAUUUCACAAGUUUUAAUUUAUACUACAAGUGUCUCUUGGAUUUGAUUUUAUAUUGAAAGAGACACGUUCUACAAUUCCAAAAAAUUUGGAUUUUUACUAAAGAUGUCUCUUAAAUAAACAUUUUCCACAAUUUCACAAAUUCCAAUACAUACUGAAAGUGUCUUGAAUUUUAAUUUUCAUCUUCAACAAUUUAAAAAAUUUUAAUUUAUACUACAAGUGUUUCUUAAAUUUGAUUUUAUAUAGAAGGUGUCCUUUGAAAAAAAUACCUUUAGUAUAUAUUGGAUUUUGUGGAAUUGUAUAAGGUGCCUCUUUAAGAGACACCUUUAGUUUAAAUUCAAUUUUUUUUUUUAGAAUUGUAGAAAGGGUUUACCUUCAAUAUAAAAUCAAAAUUAAGAGACACUUGUAGUAUAAAUUAAAAUUUGUGAAAUUAUGGAAGGCGUAGAGUUUAGUAUAUAUUGGAUUUGUUUUUUUUGAAUGGUGGAAAUUGUCUUUUCAAGAGAAACCUUUUACUAUAAAUCCAAUUUUCUGGAAUUGUAGAAAGUGUCUCUUGAAAAGACACCUUUAGUUUAAAUUCAAUUCUUUUAAUUAUAUAUCGUAGAUUUAAAAAUUGUAGAAGAUAUCUCUUGAAGAGACACCUUCAAUAUAACAUCAAAUUCAAGAGAUAUAGAAAUAGGUUGCAUCAAAAAAGUUAAAAUAGGAUAUAGUUUUUUUUCCACCCCUCUCCCAUAUGUCCAAAAAUGCCACAAAAUUGGAAUUAUUUUCCAAUCUACGAUAUUUUAGAAAAUAAUUUUUAAAGGAAAAGUUGUGUUUUGGGCUUCCCAUCCCAACAUAAUAGCAUUUUAGAAACCUAACGAUGGGAAAUAUGAGAAUCAACUUUUAAUAUGAAAAGUAUAAUCAUUUUUGUGCACUCUAGGUCGACUCCACCUUUUAUGCCCAAAUUACCCCUUCGUUUCUCUAGCUCAGCAUCAUCCUAACAACCCAAAGAUUCUCUCAUUUUAGUUCAGAAACCCAACUCCAAAAUUCCAAGGCAGUGUCAAAACGCUGUUUCGGCUCAUCUAGGAGCCAUGGGAGUAAAACAGAAUAUAUGAAAAACGAAAUGAAGCUUGGGUGGAGAGAGUAGGUACCCAAAAAUCAAAACCCUAACCUCCAAAUGCAUCCUAGACUCACAAAUUCAUGUCCAAGAUAGCUUUAUCAUCAAGAAAUAGCACCAAACAUCUCUCGUAGACUACUAAAUCGGCAAAACCCUUGAAGAACCAGAGGAAAUAGUGCAUAAAAUGAAACGUGGGAGACUCUUAAAGUAUUGGGUCCCGACGAACCGGUCAACCGGUCUUCGAACCAAUCACCAUUGGUAUUUUAGUGACUGUACCUUAGGUACUACCUUGAUAGACUUUAGAUACUAGCUUAAUCUACUUUAGGUACUACCUUAACCGACCUUAGGUACUACCUUAGUUAAACCUGCAUUCUACCUAUGUGAAGGCUUAAAACUUCAUUUGUGGAUAUUAAUUAUUUGUGACCCUUAGAGCAUGCCAUUAUGUGAUUAAUCAAUGUGGUCAAUUGGUUCACCUUUGGUAUUUUGGUUAUUGUACCUUAGGUACUACCUUAAUAGCCCUUAGGUACUAUCUUAAUCGUCCUUAGGUACGACCUUAGUAAAACUUGGGUACUACCUAUUUGAAGCCUCGAAACUUCAUUUGUGGAUAUUGCUUACUUCAUUUGUGACCCUUAAAGCAUGCCAUUAUGUGAUUAAUUAGUAUGAUUAAUUAGCAUACCAUCAUAACAUGCUUUAAGGGUCACAAAUGAAUUAAGUAAUAUCCACAAAUGAAGUUCCAAGGCUUGAAAUAGGUAGUACCCAAGUUUUACUAAGAUAGUACCUAAGGUCGGUUAAAGUAGUAGAUAAGGUAAAUUAAGGUAGUACCUAAGGACUAUUAAGGUAGUACCGAAGGUAUAGUUAUCAAAAUAUCAAUGGUGAACCAAUUGACCACACUAAUUAAUCACAUAAUGGCAUGCUUUAAGGGUCACAAAUGAAGUAAGUAAUAUCCACAAAUGAAGUUUUGAGGCUUUAGAUAGGUAUUACCCAAGUUUUACUAAGGUAGUACCUAAAGUCGGUUAAGAUAGUACCUAAGGUAUAUCAAACUUGCACCUAAGGGCUAUUAAGGUAGUACCUAAGGUACAAUCACCAAAAUAUCAUAGGUAAUCGGUCAAGGACUGGUCGACCAAUUCGUCGAGACCCAAUACUUUAAGAGUCUCUCGCACUUCAUUUUCUGCACUAUUUUCUUUGGUUUUUCAAGGGAUUCAUUGAUUCAAUGGUCUAGGAGAGAUGUUUGGUGUUAUUUAUUACUAAUAGAGCUAUAUUGGACACGAAUUUGUGAGUAUAGGACUGAUUCAAUGGUCUAGGUUAGGUGUAGACCCCUCUUGGACCAAGGGGUAUUGCUGGCCACCCGGUAAGUUGAGGAUUUUAUUUGAGGAGUGGGAGACGACUUCCAUGAAGAAGCUGCUGAGAUGUGUGGCAAAAGAUGUGACCACCUUGCCAUGAUGGUGGUUGAAGCAGGUAAGAAAAGAAAACAGAGGAGUACCAUAAAGCUGGGUGAUGGGAGACUUUUUGGGGAGUGGUAGCUGGAGGAAAGGAGAAGCAGAGGUUUUGAGAGAAUGUGAGGAAAGAAGGGCUGGGAGAGAAAAACGGAGGAAGUUUUUUAGAUAGAGGUUUGGAAGGGGGUAUGAGAAAGGAAAACAGAGCAAGAGAGGUGGAAAGCAAAAACAGAGAGUUGGACUGAGACAAGGGGAUGAGCCGAGAAAGGAGCGAUCCAUGGGUGUUUCGUUUUAGGGAGACUGAGAGAGAGUGAGCUAGGUAGAAAAACAGGGUUGCAAAAACGUGGGGUGAUUGAUUGGUUUUGGGGGAAAAGGAAUAGCUAGAAACCAACAUUCCACACGUCCGGAGAGAAGUCUUCCAAGUAUGGAUUUUUUUGUUUCUAUUGUUCAGUUUGUUGGCCAUACUGCCUUUCUUUCUCUCUUUCUAUCGUCCUCUCUUUCUUCCAUUGCUUGCAUGCCCUCUUAUUGUUGGAGACCCAAAGUUAGCUUGAUGGUGCUCCAACAAAUCCACAUUUGACUAUGAUAAAAAGACUUUAGUUGUGCCAUUGUUUUUCUAUGUUGAGGUCCAGACUUACCAUGGUUUGAUGUGUGAGAAUUUAUGAAACUGUCUUGGGAACACUAGAGGAUCAUGUUGUCAUCUUUCUUGUCCACAAUGGACCCACGUGUUUAGGUUUUAAUAUGAAUGACAUCUGUGGAGUGGAUUGGGUGUAUGGAGGUGGUGAUCAUGGUGAUCCAGAUUUAGCACAAGCCAUUUCCCACUUGAAAUAGACCACCAAAUUCUCCACCCCCCUGGUUGUAUUUGGCCACAUGUAUAAAGAGCUAGCACAUGGAAAUGCCCACAGAAAAAUGAUUGUUGUUGGGGAAGACGACACCACAUACCUUUGGUGGGCCAUUCUUGAAGCACAUGCCUUUAUCUUGUUGUUUUUUUAUUAUUUAUCCUCACGCGUCAAAGUUUGAUUUUCACAAAUUCUCUUUUAAAUGAUUUUCAAAAUUCCAGUUUUUCAAAUAAUCUUAUUUCCAUUCCAAUUUGCAAAUUUAAUUUAAAGAAAAAAAAUUCAUUCUCAAAUAAUUUUUUAAAAUUCCAAUUUCCAAAUUUAAUUUUCAAAACUUCCAUUCUCAAAUAAUUUUUCAAAAUUCCAGUUUUUAAAUUUAAUUUUCAAAACUUUAAUCUUUGAAUAAUUUUUCGAAAUUCCAAUUUCCAAAUUUAAAUUUUAAAACUUUCAUUUUCAAAUAAUUUUUCAAAAUUACAUUUUCAAAACUCCAAUUUUCAAAACUUCAAUUUUUAAAUUUAAUUAUCAAAACUUCACUUUCCAAAUAAUUUUCCAAAUUUCCAAUUUUCAAAAUUCCAAUUUUCAAAUUUAAUUUUCAAAACUCCAAUUUCAAUUAAUUUUUUAAAAAAACUCCAAUUUUCAAAACUUCAAUUUUCAAAAUUACUAUUUUCAAAUAAUUUUCAAAACUCUAGUUUUCUUUCAAUAAUUUUAAUUCCACUCCAAUUUUCAAAUAUUUUUAAUUCUACAACUUUUCAUCAUUUAUUAAGGUUUUGGGUAAAAAAAAAUCUCAUUUUUAAUAAACUUGCUACAUUUCCCUUCAGUUAAGCACUUUCACAAAUUUUCUUUGAUUUUCAAAUAAUCUUUUGUUUCUUUUGAUUUUAAAUAAGCAUGAAUAUGAUUUUCAUAAUUCCAAAACAAUGGAAUUUGUGGGAUUAAUUCAUGCAAAAUCAAUUGGGUUUUGGUGGGGGCCCUACAUAUGAGUUUUCUCUUCUGAUUGUCAAUUGUUAUGCUUAAUGAAUAUUAUUUGAUCUUUGUCUUGCUCUUUGAUAUGCAUGUGAUAAUUUUAUACUUGAGCUAACCUUGUUCCAUGAUAGCGCACUAUUACUUGUUGUUAAGGUACACUCUCACUCUCACUUUGUUUAUUUAUUCGUUAUCAUGACUUACUUCUAAUCUAUGAUCAUUUUGGCAUCCAUUGAUUUCCUAAUUAAGUUCCACACUUGCUUCGCCUUAUUUAGUAGAGACCCGUUUUUAGGGACUUAGAGGGGUGCUAUGGUCUUUUAUCGUACGUUCCCUAUAGGUAACUUUGGUUUUUCACAGACUUGUUUUUCCUUCAGGAGUCACACUUAAGGUUUUUCUUUCUCAUUUUGUUUUUCCCUUUAAAAAAUAAAAACAUAAAUAAGUGACGACUCCAAAUCUUUUCUAAAAAUCAUAAUUUUUCACAAAUAAAUGAAAAGUGAGUGUCGCUAUCGAGUGGGAAUGCAUCAUGUGAAAUGUGGGGUCCACAUUAGGGUUUUGAUUUUUUUGGUACCUACUCUCUCUACCCAAGCUCCAUUUCAUUUUUCUCAUAUUCUCUUGGACUCCCAUGGCUCCUAGACGAGCCAAAAGGCGUGUUUUGACACCUCCUUGGAGUUUUGGAUUUGGAUUUCUGAACUAAAAUUAGAGAAAUUUUGGGUGGGUGAAUGUGCCUACAAUGUCAUGGAUUAGGAUAAAUUUGGGUAGGCUAUGCUUGAUUCCCGGAAAGUUUAAGGAAAAAUACAAGGGAAAGAAAAUAGAAAGCAAAAGUAGAAGGAAAGAAAAAGUGAAAUAAAAUCAAUAAAUUAUUUUUAUAUCCUACCUCAAAUUCAAUCCACUUAUUUAUCUUCUUCAUAUAAAGAUUAAAUAAUUUAAAAAUAUAAAAAUUUCUUACUUAUUUUAAUUAUAUUUGACUUUCUUUAUUAUUUUCCAUACUAAAACCAAACAUAGAAAAAUUAUUUUUUUCUUUGCAUUUAUUUUCUUUUCUUAGUACUUCCCAGGAACCCAACAUAGCCUUAGUAUUAUGCAUAUAUUCUUACACAAACAACCGGCUGUUUGAGAUAACUUAUUUUAAAAAAUUUCUAAGAGAUGAAGUCAAAUCAAAAUUUUAAAGGAUUAUAAAAUUUUUAUUAAAUAUAAAGCUACUUCCAUGAAUAAAAAGAAAAAAAAUUAUGAGAAGUAGCUUCAAUUUCUUUCUUUUAUUUUUGUUUUGUUAAGCUUUUUUAAUUUUAAAGUUACCAAUAAAUACAAUGUUUAAUGUAGUGUGAAAAUAAUAACUUCAUGUAUUAAGGCCACUUUUAAUAUAUGAAAUUCUACAAUAGGAAUAGGAAUGUAAGUGUGAUUUACUAGUGGUCCUAAUCGUGUGUGUGCAGGGGCGGAGCCACCUUGUGCCCAGAAAGGGCUUUGGAAAGAAAGAACUUUACGAGUGCCUACAGCGAGGGUGGAGCUUGUCUUCAGCGAGGGUGGGGUAGGCGGUCAGCAUAAGAGCCGGCGCUUGCCUUCAAAAAUGUGGGUAGGCGGUCCAGUUAACAGCUGGAGCUUGUCUUCAAUAAGGGUGGGGUGGAUUCCGUCGAGGCUUUUGCAGAUGUAAAACUACAAGACCUUAAAACCUGUAUAACACUGAUCAAAGUAUUGAAGGCAAGCUUGUUUUGUGCCUAAGAAAAAGCAUGGCGUCCUCUCUGUCCUGUCCAGGCAACUCCUUGACCCAGUCAAAAACCCUCUAUGCAAAUCAAAAGGUUAUGUUCAUAUACAGAGAGAAAGAAAGGGAAACAAAAACGAAGCCUGUUGAACGUCCUUCCACCCGGUCACCUUAUACAAAGAACAUUGCCCACGUGGUCACAUGAGUAGGUGAACGAUGGAUCCAUACAAAGGCAUAUAGAAAAUGAAACUUGGAUUCAAACAAGUCUUUUGAGUUACAACUAAUAUAUGGAAAAGAAUUGAUUUAGUAUUUAUCAACUUUACAAUUAAUUUGUAAAACAAAUUAUGUCAUUAUCAAUAUGAAUUUAUAAAAGAUUAAUAUAUCAAAUAAAAAUAAAAUGAAUAAAUAAAAUUUCAAUUCAGUAUUUAAUAGUUUACAAUUAAAAUUCAAAGUGAACUAUUUAAAAUUCAAAUUCCUCUCUCAUUUUUAAAUUGAACUAUAAAUGUACAUUGAAAAGUUUAAAAAUUAAAAUUUAAAAUUAAAUAAAUAAAUAGAAGUAAAAUAAAAAUAAAAACAGAAAUAAAUAUACAUAUUUCGGCUAAGAGUGAGUGGACCUACUCUGUAUCCGAGGAAAAAUAAAUGGGCUUAAAAUUGGCUCAAAGUGAAUGGUCAAGAAUGAAUGUGCCUAUGAUGUCAUGGGUUAGGAUAAAUUUGGGUUCCAUAGAGUAUAUUUGCUUCCCCAAAGUUUGGGGGAAAAUGCGAGGCCAAAAAAUGAAAGAAGAAAAAUGAAAGAAAAAUAAAUAAAGUAAAAAAUAUAUAUUUAAAAUUAAUAAAUUAUUUUUAUAUCUUACCUCAAAUUCAAUUCAUUUAUAUGUCUUUUAUAUAAAUAUUAAAUAAUUUAAAAAUAUAGAAAUUUCUUACUAAUUUUUAUUACAUUUGACUUUUUUAUUAUUAACCAAGCAUUAAAAAAUAAGAAAAAAAUAUAAAAUCAUUUUUUUAAUAUUAUUUUUCUUUUCUUAGUGUUUUUGGAACCACACAUAGUUUUAGUAUAAUGCAUAUAUUCUUACAUAAACGGUUAUCUUAUUUUAAAAUUUUGUCAAUGUCAAAAUUUUAAAGGGCAAUAGCCUUUUACCAAGUUGAGCUGCAACACCCAACACCGGAGGGGGGGCAUUCUAAGUGUGAGGGGGUUACCUUACCGAGGUCGGCAUUGUAAGAUUCAGUACACUUGACGAGUCACCACUGCCGACACGAAAAGUCCACCCUCUGGUAAUGCUCAAUUUUUAGGAAACUCAGGUAAGUAAAUCUUAAAUCAUGUACUCAUCCUUUGGUGGUUUCUCCUCUUACUUGCGAAUGGGUCAGGGGUUGGGUUUUUUCUUCUUUAUCUUGUCAUGUGUCUGUUUGGGAGGGCCUUGCUUUUGUAGUGCACACACAGACAGCAUCAAACCUGGGGAAGGGCUUCAAUUCUCGAAGCUACUGGUUUCGGCACAAGGGACUUUCACACUGGGGUUCUUUAUCUUGGACACCCGCAGUUAUUUAGGAAUCUGGUACACAAGUGAUGUUAACAACAAGAAAGUUUGGGUUGCUAACAGAGACAACCCUAUAUCUGGCACCAAUGCAAAUCUCAUGCUGGAUGGCAAUGGAACAUUGAUGAUCAUUCACAGUGGGGGUGAUCCAAUUGUCUUGAAUUCCAAUCAAGCAUCCAGAAACUCCAUAGCUACCUUGCUUGAUUCUGGAAAUUUUGUUGUGUCAGCGUUAAAUUCAGAUGGAUCUGUGAAGCAGACACUAUGGGAAAGUUUCGAUGAUCCUACAGACACGCUCCUGCCUGGGAUGAAACUAGGCAUCAACUUGAAAACCGGGCAAAACUGGUCACUUGCUUCGUGGAUAAACGAACAAGUGCCUGAUCCUGGGACUUUCACUCUAGAAUGGAAUGGCACACAAUUGGUAAUAAAACGCCGAGGGGACAUCUACUGGAGCAGUGGAAUUCUGAAAGAUCGGAGUUUUGAGUUCAUUCAAACUCACCAUAACAUCUACUAUUUCAUCAGUGUUUGUAAUGACAACGAGAUCUACUUCAGCUAUUCAGUUCAAGACGGAGCUAUUUCAAAGUGGGUAUUGAACUGGAGAGGGGGAUUUUUUGACACUUACGGAACUCUAUUCGUGAAGGAAGAUAUGUGUGAUCCUUAUGACAAAUAUCCAGGGUGUGCAGUGCAAGAGCCACCCACUUGCAGGACUACAGACUUCCAAUUCAUGAAGCAAUCGGUUCUCAAUUCAGGAUAUCCAUCAUUAAUGAACAUAGAUACGAGCUUGGGCCUUAGUGAUUGUCAGGCUAUAUGCAGGAACAAUUGUUCUUGUACUGCUUGUAAUACUGUAUUCACCAAUGAAACUGGAUGUCAGUUUUGGAGGGAUAAAUUGCCACGAGCCCGAGUGGGGGAUGCAAAUCAGGAGGAGCUCUAUGUUUUGUCCUCAUCAAAAGACAUAGGUAAGAGGCUCUAUGUAUUGCAUUCCGAGAAGUAGCCAAAACAAAGUACUUGGUAAAUCUCACAUCUUCAUCAAAUUUACAAACCUACAAAAAAAGUCCUACUGUAUAAUCGUCUACCAUUAGAGGACCUAUAGCAAAACCAUUAAAGACCCUCUCUCUCUCUCUCUCUCGUUCUGCUCUAACAAUAAAAUUUAUUAACUUCUACCUAUGCAGGGAAGCCUUGGUGGAUAUGGAUUAUCAUUCUCGUUGUAGUAGUAUUUCUGUUCAUGUUAGCUGUCUUUUGUUGUUCACAGAGAAACUCCAGAGGUAGUAUUUUAACUUUUGUAGAUAAUAGCAAUGCCAUUUGUUAAUGGGUUGGAUAAUUGGACUUGUGGCUUCUGGUAUAACAGGGGAUGGAAAAAAGAGGGAAACUGCAAAAGAUAUUGACAAUGUCAAAGAGUUCAGUUUAGUUUCUGUUAUGGCUGCCACGAAUAACUUUUCAGAUGAAAAUAAAAUUGGAAAGGGUGGUUUUGGUUCUGUCUAUAAGGUAAUUAUAAUUUGUUGAAGUACCUCAUUUAAAGCUUCGUUAUGGAUUGUGGAUUAUUUUUGCAGGGGAUACUACCCGGGGGCCAAGAAAUAGCAGUAAAGAGACUUUCAGGGGUUUCCACAUGGGGAUUGGAUCAGUUCGUAAACGAAAGACUGAUUGUCAAUCAACAACACAGAAAUCUUAUCAGACUUUUGGGUUACUGCAGCGAGGGAGAAGAAAGGAUGUUAAUCUAUGAGCUGCUGCCCAACGGAAACUUGGAAGACUUGAUCUUUGGUUUUAAUACCUCCUUUUUUCCUUCCUGUUGUUUGCAUAACUUUUUCCUAUGUUUUUAUGUUUUUUUGCAUAAAACAAUUUACUAGUUGUGUUCACCCAAAAUUUCAGAUCCUGAUAGGAGAAAGGGGUUGGACUGGAAUACAUGGUGCAAUAUAAUUAAGGGGAUUGCGCAAGGACUUGAUUACUUGCACAACCAUUCAAGAUUAAACAUGGUUCAUGGAGAUCUAAAAGCAAGUAACAUCCUACUCGAUCAUGACAUGAACCCCAAAAUUUCUGAUUUUGGCACUGCCAGAAUUUUUGAGCGAAAUGAAUCAGAGCCACAAACCAGUAAACUUGUUGGAACAUUGUAAGUGCCUCGAAUCUUGUUUAUUUAUCUGCUUUCUUCUUCAGUCUAAUGGAUUGAACUUUCUAUUAUGGAUGCAGUGGUUACAUGCCACCUGAGUAUUUCAGUGAGGGAUGGUGUUCACCGAAAACAGAUGUUUAUAGCUUUGGGGUCCUGAUGUUGGAGAUUGUGAGCGGCCAGAGGAUUAUUCCCCCUGAUUGUAAGGAUGACAACUUAAGUCUUAUACGAAAUGUAAGUCCGUCAGAUCUCAUAUUAGUCUCGACAUACAUUAUUAUCAAUACCCAAUGCAUGCUUCCAAAAUUUUCAUACUAGCCUCAUAAGUAAAUGGUCCGUAAAAUGAACUGGGUUCAGGCUUGGAAGUUAUGGGGAGAAGGCAAUAGCUUGAAGCUAGUGGAUCCAGCGAUGGUGGGUCCCCACUCAACAACCCAAAUAGUGAGAUGGAUUCGUGUUGCUCUCUUGUGUAUACAGAAGCAUGAAGAGAGGCCUACAAUGUCAGAUGUUUGCUCCAUGCUUAACAGAAGGGACCCACCCGAGCCAAAUCCACCCGCAAUUUUUGCGCUCAGAUGAGCCAAGGAGUUGUUCUGAUCUGCAAGUGUAACUACUUGAGAGAUGGAAGGUGGAUCAAGAUGAGAUGAGAUGAGAAUUUGAUUCCCUCAUGGUAAGCUUUUCUUUAUUUACGUUUUGUUGAUUUAUAUAAGAUGACAACUGAACUGAAGCUGGUUUUAUGAUCAUUUGGAACAUAUUUGUACGCAUGUAUUCUGGAGCUCUAUUUGCCCUUUUUCUCUCCAAAACAUAUUAUGAUAUAUGUCUAUCUAUAUCUUCGUGUCUAUAUAUUUAUCUUAGCCAAAGUAGGCCAUGUAUAUGUUCUAUAAUUCAUUAUUUGCCAUUGAAUAAUGAUCAAAACACAAGGUGGCAACAGUGUGCAUGUUUAUGUCUUAGAGUCGAGAGGAAAUCUAUUCACAGUAAAAUUAUUCAAACAUGACUUAACAUCAACUAAGCAGACUAAAACAUAGAAUUUUGAUUUAUAACAUUUGUCACCCGUCACAGAAAGAUAAAUGUCUUCAUGAGGAUGCAUAAUAUAGAUAGCUUGAAGGUUGCUUUCCAAACUUCUAAUACCAAAUAGGGCAAAUCCAAGGUCUGUUACGCAGAACAUCCACAACAAUGAAUUUUUUUUUUCUUUUUUUUUUUCAAAGUGCAGAAUGGGCAAAUGAACAGUCAAAGCAUGCAUCUAAGCAACAAGCAGAAAAAUGAAAUCUGAAAAUGAGAACCUCGUAGGUAACAUCCUUCAACCAGUCAUACUAGGACCAUAGAACCAUAUCUUGAAGGUUUCUUUCCAAAGUUCUAAUCCCUUUCCCCUCCCUACCCAAGCUUUUGUUAUUUUGCUCCUUCCAAAAGCAACAUGCCAACUGAAAGAUGUUGUCGUCUUUACUCCUUUUCCGCUCAUUAACUUAAGACGCUAGCUAGCAUGCUCGCCUGCCUCAUUGCUCCUAGAAGCGCCCAAGUGAUGUUGGUUUAAGGGUAUGGAAACAAAUGACUAACCCAAAAGACACAAACAAAUAACAGAAUUAAUAAGAAGAAAAACUUAUUGAUUGAGGAGUGACAAACACUGUCCUUGAAAUAGAUCCACCCUCCUCGAAGACGAACUCGAUGCACUAGGGUACCAAUGGUCUACCUCCAGGAUUCAACACCCAGAUCUUACCUUGGGUGCACUUUGUAAGUGAGAUGUGUACAACUCGGGUUUUGAAGAAAUUCCUCCAGAUAGAUAUAUGAAAAUACUCUCUGAAAAAUUGGUAUUCAUAUAUAGAGAGUGAGGGGUGACCUGCUUUUAUAGGCCACUAACACAGUUCCAAUAGGACUCUACUUAUAAGCAUAAUAAGACUGAAAGUGGAGGAGGAUUCUACUUAUAAGUGGAAUGGGGCUCCACUAACACAAUCCCGAUAGGACUCUUCCCAAAAAUAUAAGACUAAUAGAAUAAAAUAAAAUAAAAUAAAAAUAAUUCUCAAUAGGAAUCUUCCCAAAAAUAUAGGACUAAUAGAAUAAAAUAAAAUAAAAUAAAAAUGAAAAUUAUUUACACUCUUCCUACAAUCCCCCACAGAGUGUAAACAUGAUUUUUUUAUUUUUAUUUUUUUGAGGAAAAAAAAAUCUAAUGCAUCAUUACUGGUGCCUAAAGGUUAUGAACCAGUCUUAGGACAAAUAAGUAUUGAAUCACAAAACACGGUGAAAAUAAAUUUCUAUAAACCAAUGUUUCUUGAUGUAACUCAAGGGACUUUUAUCCACAUUGGUUUCCUCAACUUCACUAUGAGCUGUACAAAACAGGUUGGCACAAAUAGGCCAUGCACCCUGCUUGGAUAUUCAUGAGAGCUUCAGAGAAUCUGCCUAAGUUCUCAUAGGAAGCAACCCCACCUCCACCUUCAUAUAGGUGAAUCCAUCGAGUAUGUUUUGCAUAAAACAUACCAUCCAUAAGGAAUAUGGUAUUCAUUAAGAGUAAACACUCAACCUUAGUCAAUGCAGAAUGCGCUCUAUCUGCAACAUAGGAAUACACUCUAAUACAAUUAGAGUUUAUAAAACACCUCGAGUCAACAAGUGAUUUGUUAUUACCCAUAUGAACCUACUUCAUGGAAUUUCCAUUCUAAUAGGUUGGGUUACCACCACUUUUGACUUCUGUAAUAGGCAUAAGUCGCAUCCCCCUCGAUGUUUCUUCCACUAGUUUCUUAGUUAGUGGUUUGGUCAAAGGAUCGGCCAAAUUCAACUCUGACCUCACAAAUUAUAGGGAUAUAACCCUUAUUUCAAGCAGUUGUCGCACAAUAUUGUGCCUUAGGCGUAUAUGUCUGUUCUUCCCAUUAAAUAUUUUACUCUUAGCCUUAGCAAUUGCAGCUUGGCUAUCACAACGCAUAGACAGAGACAGGGCUGGUCUCGUCCAUAAAGGGACAUUUGCUAAGAAGUUUCUAAGCCACUCAACCUCAAAACUUGCCUUUUCUAAGGCAAUAAACUCAACUUCCAUAGUAGAUCGAGUAAUGCAAGUUUUCUUGGUAGACUUCCAAGAAACUACACUUCCACCAAGGAUGAAAACAUAUCCACUAGUGGAUUUCAUCUUAUCUGAAUCUAAGAUCCAAUUUGCAUCACUAAAUCCUUCAAGGACACUUGGAAAUCCACUAAAGCACAAACCAUAGUCAAUGGUGCCUGUCAAGUACUUAAGGACUCUACGAACAACAGUCCAAUGGUCUUGAUUAGGACUUUGGGUGUACCAACUCAAUCUACCUACUGCAUAAGCAAUGUCAAGUCUGGUACAGUUCAUUAAGUACAUUAGUGAUACGUUCCCAAUUGGUGUCUCAGCUGAUUCAUGUCCUCUCAAUGGUCCCUGACAGUGGUACCAUUUGAUUCGUGUCCAACUGGUGUCCCUUGAUUGUGGUCCUCAAGGAGUAAUCAACAAAAUUUAUAACCUAUUACACCAUGUACUAGGAUAGCCUUAGCUAGCAUAGCAUAGUGGCACUAGGGUCGUUCACUGGGAUGGGUUUUCACUCCACAAUUGAUAUUAAUUCAAAGAUGAAUUGGUGCCUUUUCAUUUCAAGGUUAGCUUUAAAAGAAAACAUAAUCUUUGGUGGAAAAGGUUUGGUUUUAAGUUAACCAAAAAUAAUAACUGAUUUUAAUUACAAAGAAAAGUGUUUCUUGGAGUUUAGAUCACUAGGCUCAGGUUCUUUGUACAAAAAGGGAGUUUCGGUCACUUGUUUCUUUUCCUUGCAUUAGAGAAUUAACAUAUAGUUAAUUCUCUAACCGGUGUGGUAUAGAUGCUUCCCAUUAAUGGGUUCAAACACUAAAUCCCUCUCACUGAUGCACCUUGCAAUGGCUCAUGCCUCUCACCUAGCAUUUUCCAUUCAAGGUGAUCUUUAACCUUGGAUUACCCGUCAAAAGCUCGCAAGAGAUAACUAAUGGAUGUCUCCUUGGAGUCCAAAAGCUUACCAAGUGUUGGCUAUUCUAGAAAAUCCUACCUUCAAACCACCUUCCAAAGGCUCACAAGAGAUAAACUAGUGUAUCUCAAUGGACAGAGACCACUUGCCUUAUCAAGUGUUGGCCCAAGUGAUUUAAAGGCGUUUUAAGUUAACUAAAAAGAUAAAAACCAUUAAUGAGUCACACUUUCUCUUCAUUAAAAAUUGAAACAACAAAACUUUCAAUUUAUGCAUGAGGAAACUUACCCGGAUUUCUUCACUCCAAGAGACGAAGAGCCUAGCCUCUCAUCCUCUGAGGAAAAAUCCUUAGAGUUUGAUUGGCUAGAAAGAAAAAUAAUGAGAAAACAAAAAAUAUAUAUAUGAAAAGUAGAGCAAGUGCUUUGUAGAUAUAUUUCUUACUUAUACAAAAGGUUGUCUCUAAGAACAAGCUCCCGAGUCGAUUGAUGCCUGUGUAAAGGAAAUUACAAACUAUAUAUAAGAGGUUAUUCACCCUUUGUUCUUUUAAAGACUAAGGAAUCCUAUGAUAGGUGGGUUACAAAGAGAGUUUGGGGAUUUAGACAUCAAAUAUCUAAAGCAAAAAAUCUCAAAAUGUCGGUUGCAAAUAUCGGGAAGCUUUAGGAGAAAUUCCACAGCAAGAGGGCUGUGAAAUUUCGCAGCAAAAGGACAACAUUUUCGCAGCCCAAGGCUGAUUUCGCAGUCGUGCAAAAAUCUUCCUUCAACUUGGAGUGAUCGGCGUCCAAUGGAUGUAACUCCUUCAUUUCAACUCCGAAUCGUGCACCAUUUGAAGUAUUGGAUUAUUGACUUCCUAAGCUUCGAAACGACAUAUAGCAUGCAUAAAUUGAACUCUAAGAAGUGCUCCAAAAGUGGCUGACAUGACUGUCAUCAAGAAUGCUUCAUGUUAGAUUUCUCUUUGCUUCCCCUCCUUGCAUUCCGGAUUUGCUUAUGACAAAGGACUUUAAAGCUUCGGUUCUUCAUGUUUCUGAGAUUUCCAUUGCUUUGCCAUGGAUUCCAAAGAACUCUCCUCAAUCUUGGAUUGCUUUGGUGAUAAAAAAAAUAUCAAAACACCAAAACUUAACACAAUUUGAUUAGAAUUGAUUGCAAAGGUCCUUAAUAUGUUAAUUGGGUUAAAAGGUAAUAACUACUACUCAAAAGUGUUUAAAAGAGUUAAUUACAAGCUAUAAAAUAGCAAUUUUUGAGUAGUAAUCAAUUAGGCGCCCUAUGAUUUGAGCAUACUCUAUUUGGGCAACAAUAUGUUCUCUAUUUUUCUUCAGUUGUGAGAUGGGAUCAUAAGGAGUUGACACUGGUUUACAAUCAAAGUGUUCAAACUUCCUUAGGAUCUUUUCAACAUAGUGCUCUUGAGAAAGUUUAAGCUUAUUAGGUGUUCUAGUUAUUUUAAUUCCUAGAAUCACCUCUGCCUCUCCUAGGUCUUUCAUAUCAAACUUAGAACCUAGGAAUUUCUUGGUCUCACACACAACCUCUAAGCUAGUUACAAAGAUCAACAUGUCAUCAACAUAAAGAUAGAUGACUACACAUGUGUUAUCCUCAUACUUGUUGUAGAUACACUUAUCAACAUCAUUAAUGGAAUAUCCAUUAGUUACUAACACAUGAUCAAACUUGUUGUGCCACUGUUUGGGAGCUUGUUUUAACCCAUAUAGUGAUUUAACCAACUUACACACCUUUUUCUCCCUCUCUGGAACUACACAACCCUUAGGUUGUUCCAUAUAAAUUUCCUCUUCCAAAUCCCCAUUCAAGAAUGCAGUCUUGACAUCCAUUUGGUGUAUCACCAAAUUAUGAAUGGAAGCUAGAGCAAUCAAUACUCUAAUUGAUGCUAUUCUAGUCACAGGGGCAAAGGUGUCAAAGUAAUCUAUAUCCUUUCUUUGUUGAAAGCCUUUGGCAACUAACACUAUAAGAAAAAAGGGUAAUAAUGACGCUUUUUAGGCGUUAAUAAAUGUAUACGAUGACACUUCUCGAAAGCGUCCUUUUUGCCUCUGUCAAGGAAUGGGUGCAGGCAACCAUGUCGCUUCUAGACAGUGUCAUUGUUGAUUGGUUUAUAUUAACACAUUAAAAAAUGUCAUUAUUGAUCUACCUAUGUUAACACUUACACUAGCGCCAAGGAAUGGCCAAACUAUCAUUUGUCUAUUUCGACACUAAAAAAAGUGUCAUCUUAUGUGGAUAAUAAUAUUGAAAAUCCCCCUGUUGAAGUGAUAUAUUUUUGUAUGUCCUGUUAUAUAUAAUUUUGGCUACAUGAUUAUUUAUAAAGUACCAAACAAUAACUUCAAUAUUAAUAACUACAUCUUCCAAAAGAAAUUGAAUAAAUUUGGGAAUGAUAUAAUGAUAAAGAACUAAUGUCUACAUAGUUAAUUAAUACGCAAAUUUGUAAAUGUAUCAAAAUAUUUACAAGCAUAUUUUCCAACUUCAACAUAUAUAAAACAAGUAUACAUGUACCAAAAAACAAGGUCUCCAAAUUCCUUAUCAAAAAUAAUAUUACAAAAAGAAGAAGAAGAUGCCAAAAGUAUUUUUGUUGGUUGCAUAUCCACUCCUGAACUUGAAAUCUCUUACCUGUAUGCAUUUAAAAAAAAAAUUAAUAGAAGAAACAAAUUAUGUUUAGUUAAUAUACAUGCAAUAUUGAAAGUUAAAUCUAAAUCUAUAAAUGGUCCAUGAAAGAAGUGCAAAUGAGAAUAACUUGGUAUUUAAUGAGAUGUUAUGCUUCAAUGAAGAUGAAAAUUUUUUUAAUUUGAUACUUGUUUAUAAAAUAUUAAAAUACUUUUUUAGUUCAUUAUUAAGUUAGAGGAAACAAGUUAGGCUUUCAAUGGUAUAAAUUCUACAAUAUGGAAUGUAAUAUAAUAUUUUCUUAUCUAUGUCUAACAUAUCAAACUCAUUUCUCAUAAAUAAAUAUAUGAAUAUACCAAUAGGUAUGGUUUAUAAUUAGUUUCAAUCAUAAAUCAUCAUAUCUAGUAAUAUAAGACAUUUAAUAUUAACCAUUUGCAAAUGCCUUAAUUUCUUCUUACAACUUUCCUAUAUUACCAAAUUUAGUUAACUAAUAACAUUCCAUAAGGAAAAAAAGAGUAUUAAACUAAAAAUUAAAAGAGCAUAACCAAGGCAAUAGAAACCUACAAAUCAUUGGUUAAAUGUCAUGAUAACAACCAUUCUAAAACUUGCCUUUAUUUUCAAUUCCAAAAUUAUAACCCAAAUAUAAUAAUUAACCUUACACAAAAAAAAAGCUCUCUACCAUCCCUCCAUCCAACAACAACCUUUACAACAACAAUAACUUCUCCAUACAACAAUAACAAUUUCUCCAUACAACAAUAACAAUUUCUCCAUGUAACAACAACAACAACAAUAACAAUAACAAUAACAUUGAUGAUCGAUGGUGAUAAUUAUAUUAGUAAUAAUUUGAUUUGUUUAGUCCAAACAUAUAACAAUAACAACUUCUCUAUGCAACAACAACAAUAAUAAUGACAACAUUGAUGAUCAUGAUAUAAUAAUUUGAUUUAUUGAGUUCACAAAUUAUAUGCUUCUUCUCCAUACAACAAUAACAAAAAUAACUUCUCCAUGUAACAACAUUGGCGAUGAUGUAAUAAUUUGAUUUGUUAUAUUGAAAUAGAUUAUGUAUAAAACUAUUAUAUUCUAUCACUAUGGAGGAAAAAAUUACUUAUCAUGAGAUGAGAACUUAUGAGAAUCGUCAAAAUGUGAUCUACAACUCUUACUGGACUGAAAUGAGGGCAUCUGCAUACAUAAGAUGGUAAAUUAAAAAAAUUAGUCCAUUCAAGACUUCAUUAAUAAUGAAAAUCAAGCAUUAUAGAUGUUAAUUUAUACCUUCAGGCAUGGGUAAGAAUCAAUUGAGUUGCCAACAUAACCCACUCAGAUCGUACUUCAUUAAGCUCAACUUCACUAUACUAUUUUUUCCCUUUAAAGUAAUAAUUAAUUGUACAUACAUGAUGAUUAGUUAAGUUAACAAAAAAUUACUAAAGUAUAGAAACUAAUAAAAUUUAUUAAUGAGUAUAUACCUUUGUGGAUAGGAGGCUUGGAUCAACAAUUAUAUCUUUCAUGUAUCUCAUCACAUAAUAACCACACUCCACACUUCCUAGUUGUCUUGGGCACUAUAGGCACACAUAUGAAUUAUGGUACCAUAAAAACAUUAAUAUCAUGAUGUUUUAUGUCAUUAUUAUCUAAGUGACAAAACAUAAAACCAUAUUCAAAUUUUAGGGUUGAUAUAAGUGGUCAUAUGAUAUAUCUUACUCUAACCAAGUAACUUACCACUACUUUUACCCAUGUUGGCUCCCUCUUUGAUGAUCUUUGUUUCUUUGGUGGAUGAAUUCGUAGUGCCCUACAUGGAAAUGAAAAUUAACAUUUUAGAUACUAUGCACUAUAUUCAAGUAUGGAAAUGAAGACACUUACAUGUUAACAAUUUCCUUAAGAUCAUCACAUGGUUGCUUUUGCAUCGGAUCAAGGUAGUACGCAAUCAUUGUCCUCAUAUCCAAUGCCACCAAGACCCAGUGGAAACUACAAUAGUACAUUAGAUAUUAUUUAGUAAUUAGCAUUGAUUAAGCUAUUUAACAUUAAAAAAAAACUUAAUAUUUUUCAUAACUUACUCAGGGUUAUAUGGAAUAAAAAUGUAGUCAGCACGCUUUGCAUGCAUUAAAUGAUUUGCAAUCAACCUUGACCUAUUUUCCUUUGUUGUCUCACCCAUUCCAGCUUUAGAGACUAAAGCUGGAUUGAUAAAAGCAAAUCGUUCGGUGAGCCUUGCAUCACUUAGCUUUUUCUGUAGGUGCCUGUUUAAAUUCCACAUACCUUGAUAAGAAAUGACCAUUUUACUUUUAUAUAUAUAAAUUAACACACAUUAGCAAGUUAUAAAAUUAUUUACCAUAUAUAAUAUAUGACACAAUUAGCCGACACUUCCUUAAAUGAAAUUAUCAUAUCCAUGUCUUCUUUCAUAAGGAAGGUCUUAAAACUCUCGCCAAAUACAUCAUUUGGGACCUCCACACCUUGUGCUUUCCCCUCAUUUAGCAUGAGACCUACUAAUGCAUCAAAAUUGUUGAUAUCUUGAGGGUUUUCACCAAUUUUCAAGUCAUUUUCUGUUGUUUUUUGUCUUUUCCCUUUGUGAGAUCCCUAUAAAAGAAAGCACCAUGUUUUCAAAUGAUAUACAUAUCUUUAUAAACUAUUGUAAAUGAAAAUAACACACCUUAAUGAAUUUAGUACUCAAGUUGACUAAAUGGGUUGGCCAUAAAACUUGGUAGCCCACUGCCGCUCCAACUGUUGUAGCUUGUCCAGGAAUGGGAAUAGGAAGUGGUGUAUUUGACUCAUAGGGAGCAUCCAAAACAACUAGGUAGUUAGGACCACAAUCCAUUACAAUUGUUCCACCAGCCACUGUAUUUUCUCUGGUCCCUACUGCCAACUCACAUUUUCUUGCCUUCAAAAGUAAAUUAAAUUGUUAAUUUCAAUAUAAAAAAAUAAUCAAUAAAUGAAGUUUAAAGUGCAUUGACUAUGUUAGGGCUAUAUUUAAGACAUAAAGUUACAUAUUUUAUAAGUAAUAGUGGUAGUGGAAUAGAAUAUUACUAGUAGUAAUUAUACUGUAAUAGAAUCUACCUAAAAUGUAAGUAUUAAUCUAACAAAAAUAAAAGCAAUUGGAAGAAAUUAUUUAUGAAAAUUAUCUAGGAAUUUGUGACAAUUACGUCAUUGAACUAGGAAAUGUAAACUAAAAAUAACACACCUUCAUGUGUGGUUCUAUUUUCACAGGUAAGGUCUCCUCCUCAACUUUACGAAUUGGUUUCUCCACUACUUCGGGUAGAAGCAACAGUUUUGAUUUCAUGUUGGAACUACUCACAUCGGAUUGUGGUGUAGCAACUCCUAUCUGAGAUAGUCUCGCUAACACAUCAGCCUCAAACUUAACUUGACGUUCUUGAGGUUCUUUUAAAAUAUCCCUCACAACACGUUCUGACAUACUAUUGAAAUAUCGUCCAGGCGUGUAGUGCUUCCCUUUAGCUCGAACCCGACCAGUAUACUCAGGAGUACCUAGUGCUUGAGAAAGUAUGUCAUUGCUCCCACUAUAGCUUAUGCCACUAUCUUGAGACUCUUUCAUCAAUUCAUCCUAAAACAAAAGGAAGUUAUGAAGUUAACUUUCAAAUAAGUAAAACCAAAUAAGGUGCUUAAAGAUGUGAUUUUUGGGUACAAAAUGUCUACUUACUAUUUUUUCCACUACCGGUAGGACCACAUCAUCAUAGUUGCCAUCUUUUUUUUGCAUUGGCCUCUUCCAAAGUAAACUUCUAUCAAUGCUUUCUGUGGAGCCAACUUCAAUGAUCUAAUAGAAAUAGAAAAUUAAAGAUAGUUAUUAGAUGACACAUGUGGUUUUAUUUCUAUUUUUUUGUCAGAAAAGAAACAAUUAAGAAACCCAUAUAAAAUAUUCAUUCAUUACUUAUACAAUCAUAUAAAAUUAAACCACAAUAAGAAUUAACAAAAACUUACCAUCUCUUCUUCAAGUCCAACAUACCCUUUUCUACUUAGAUGAUGAUUAUAUAUAUGCUUCUUUCUUCUCUGUUUUUGUACUUCCCUAUAUUCCUACAAAUUAAAAUGGAUGCUUAGUAUAUAUAUGUGGAUGCAUGUAGUAUGUUUAAUGUUAAUUGUAUUUGUACCUGGAAUUUUUCAAACAACCUAUUUUUCACAAAAAUAUUCCAAUCUUCAUCAUCGAUAAAAUGAUAUUCAGCUGGUGGUUUCUUAAGAAGCUCUGGCUCAUCUUUGAAAGGAAGAAUAUGUUUCACAGUCAACGUGUUCUUAAAAGAUCGAAAACAUUUUCCCAAUGUAAGCAUACAAUUCCUUCUGCUUUUCUUGUCUAAUGUAAAAGCAAUCUACAAAUUAUAAAGUCAUUAGUUUCUCAAAAUUUGAAAGAAAUAUAGAGAUUGUAGAAAACUUAUUUAUGUUAAAAAAAAAAGUAACCUCAAUAGAGUCCCACAACUUAUCCUUCAAUUGUUCAGGGACAUCUCGCUAUGUGUUAUAUCUGAUUGGUACCAUCGUAUGUGCCAAUACACCUAAGUAGCUUGUUAGGUGCACAGAAGAUUCUCCUACAUAGAUACCAUCAGCAUUGUACUUUAUGACCAACUUUAUCCCUCUAUUCCUAUUCCUUAUAAUCAUGGAUUUCCUUGUUGUCCCUCUAUAUUUUUUUUGUGAAGGGGUUUUCUCUUCCUUUGAAUCCAUGCCUAUAACACAUCAAUGAGAAAUGAUAAGUAUACCCAUUAAUUGCAAGUAAAAUUGAAUUUUUUCUAACAUGAACUCAUAUUAGUAACAUGAACAUACUAGGGACAUUUUACAUGCUAGAUAACAAUAUUCACAUGUUGUCAUGAAAUAUUUAAAAAUAAUAAUAAUAAAAACUUACUAGAAGAUCCUCACCAAACUUUUUUCUUAUGGAACUAGAAAUCAUAAGCUUUGAACUGAGACAAAUUGAUAUCCUUGUAUUACCCUUUAGAUCACUUUGAGAUAUGUGUAUAAUAAUAAUCAUGAAAUAGGGAAUCAAUAAAUUUAGAGACAUGAUGAAUUUAAUCCACUUAGAAAAUAAAUAAACUAUUUACUGAAAUGCAGAAUUUCAAUAUUAACAAGUUAAUGGGAUAGUUACAACCUUCACAACAAAACAAUAAGGUCAUAAAUUUAGUUACAUAGAAGAUUUGUUAUCAAUCCAGAAUCCCUCACAGUCUCCUCGAAUGCAAAUGACAUCAGAGUCAUCCAUUGUAUCAAAUGAUUCAACUUGUGCCAAGGUGGUAAUGAGAGGAUGGUGUUCAAUAGAAUUAUCCAUGAAGUCAUCAGAAUCCUUUGCUGAAAAUGAGAAGUCCCUUUCAGGAGUUGACAAAACAACUGACCAUCUUGGAUCAAGCUGGUCUUGUACAUAGAAUACUUGCUUAGCUUGGGAGGCUAAAAUAAAUGGAUCUGAUUUAUGAGCCAUCUUAGUGAAGUCAACUAAUGUCAGCCCAAACUCAUCAACUUUGAUGCCGCUCUUAUUAUCAACCCAAUUGCAUUUGAAAACUGGAAUCCUAAACAUGGUAUAAUCAAGAUCCCAUAUCUCAGUAAUAAUACCAUAGAAACAUAGCUCACCAAAAACUGGAUUCUUAUCCUUGGCACUAGAAAUUUGCAUUGUUGUUGCUACAAUGCUAACUCCACUAUUCUGGGUAACUCGUAACUCAUCACGGUCUUUUGUAUUGUACUGACACCCAUUUAUAACAUAGCCAUGAUACUUGGCCACGUAGUGGGUAGGACCAUGUGCCAUCCAUCUUAAGGUUUCAGAUAUAGGUUCUUUGUCAGCAAUGGCAACUUCUACCUGUUUGAAUGGACAAUAGUUAUUAAUAUUUUUUAUGAUUAGUGCUAAGAAUGGUGCAAUUUUUAGAAUAAAUUCAAUACCUUUUUUCGUAACCAAUGAGUGAAUGUUCGCAUGUGUUAUUCUUGUAGCCACUUUUAUCUCUUAGAUUGACGAGGAUUGUUCAAUUUCAACCAUUUCAUGUGUUCUCUAUAAGAUAUGUAUAAGAAAGUAACAAUAAGUUUCCAAAAUUAGUUUAAGUAAUCUACACAUAAAAUCAAAAUAGUUGACCCUUACUCGAUAUAAGGUUGGAUGAUAGUUGUAUUUUCCAACACAUAAUGAUGUGCUUGCAACAACAAAUUACAAUCAACUUCGGUGAUAUGACCUCCACGAAUAGGUGCCCCAACUUUAUGGUCAACAUUAGUGCUACUAGGAACUCCAAUUGCAUCCACAUUUGAUAAGUACUCUGUACAAAAUUCAAUAGCUUCCUCUGCAAUGUAGCAUUCAACAAUGCAACCUUCAGGGUGGUUACGGUUUCGCACAUAACCCUUUAAUACUUUCAUGAACCUUUCAAAUGGGUACAUCCAUCUAAAAUAAACCGGUCCACAAAGUCUCACCUCUCUAACAAGAUGAACCGUUAAAUGAAUCAUGAUAUCAAAGAAGGAUGGCAGAAAGUACUUUUCAAGCAAGCACAAUGUCACAACAAGUUCAUUUUGUAACUGAUCCAAUGUAGACACAUCAACCACCUUCUUACAUAAAGCAUUGAAAAAAAGGCUCAAUCUAGCAAUAGCAUGUCGUACAUGCUUUGGCAAAAGUGAUCGCAAUGCCACUGGUAACAAUUGUUGCAUCAGUGUAUGAUAAUCAUGGGACUUCAGGCCAUAAAGCUUCAAAUCUUCCAUUGACACAAGAUUUCUAAAGUUUGAGCAAUACCCUUUAGGAACCUUUAACUCAGCCAAAGUUUGACAAAAUACUUUCUUCUCCUUUCUAGACAAUGUAUAACAUGCAGGUGGAAGGUAAGUUCGAUUCGAUUCAAACCUUGGUGCCAGUUCACACCUUAAGCCCAUGUCCAUAAGGUCUAGACGAGAAUUGAGUCCAUCUUUUGUCUUCCCUGGGAUGUUAAGUAAUGUACCAAUGAUGCUUUCACAAACAUUUUUCUCAAUGUGCAUUACAUCCAAAUUAUGACGAACAUGCAAAUAUCUCCAAUACUCAAGUUCAAAGAAUAUAGACUUUUUCUUCCAACAAUUGGUAUAAGUCACAUUGGAUUUUUCAUGUCUUCCCCUUUUUUUCCCCCAUGAAUUACAAAUGACAUUCAUUUUCAAUAGUAUUUCCUCUCCACUUAAUGGUUGUGGAGGUGAUCGAAACUUUUGCUCACCAUUGAAUGCCUUUCUAUGUUUUCUAAAAGGAUGAUUGCAUGGAAGAAAACGUCUGUGACCUGUAAAUGAGUUCUUUCUCCCAUGCUUCAACCUAUGUGAAUAGGUUUCCGGUCCACAUAUUGGACACGCAAAAUAUCCUUUGACUGUGCAACCAGAUAAGUUUCCAUAUGCAGGAAAGUCAUUUAUUGUCCAUAAUAGAACAACCCUUAAUGUAAAGACCUCUCUUUGAUAUGCAUCAUAAGCUUCUACCCCUAUCUCCCACAAGGUUUUAAGGUCCUCAAUCAAUGGUGCUAAAUAGAUAUCUAUGUCAUUUCCAGGUUGUUGUGGACCCGAUAUUAACAAAGAUAACAUCACAAAAUUUCUCUUCAUGCACAACCACGGUGGAAGGUUAUAAGUGAUCAUGACAACUGGCCAACAACUAUACCUGCUGCUCAAAGAACUAUGGGGAUUUAUGCCAUCUGCUGAAAUGGCAAGUUUAAGGUUUCUAGGUUUUGCAGCAAAAUCAGGUCAUCUAUGGUCAAUUACCUUCCAUGAUGGCGAGUCGGAUGGAUGACGCAUUUUUCCAUCAAAUUCUCCACCAUCUGCAUGCCAUAUGAGGUCUUUUGCAAUUUUUGAGGACUGAAACAUUCUUUUAAAUCGUGGGAUAGGUGGAAAAUACCACAUCACUUUAGCAGGAACUCCUUUACUCUUUUUGCUUCCUCUUCUAUUCACCUUCCACCUUGAAGCUCCACAUGUAGGACAUGAAGAUGCAUCUUUUAACUCAUUCCUAAAAAGUAUGCAAUCAUUGGGACAUGCAUGUAUUUUUUCAUAUUCCAUUCCCAAUGCAUUCAAUGUUUUUUUUGCUUCAUACAUAGACAAUGGCAACUCAUUGUUUACAGGCAACAUAUCACCAAGUAAGCUUAAUAGCUCGGAGAAGCUUUUAUCAGACCACCCAUAUCUUCCUUUCAGAUUGUAUAAUUUAACUAAAGCAGAUAAUUUGGUGAAGUUUUUGCAACCAGGAUACAAAGGUUUUUCAGCAUCUUCAAGCAACCUUUCAAAUAAUUUUGGAUUAGCCUUACAAUCAUCUUGUGCAGCUUCAACCAUUUCUACUGUAUGAUCCACAUUACCAAUAUGAAUUCUAUCAAAACAUUCAACCCUUGUAGUUGGGGGUCCACUACUUAGAGCUGCCUCCCCAUGCCAAAACCAAGUAUGGUAACUUUGGUCAAUUCCAUAAAAGAAUAGGUGUUCUCUAAUCUUUUGAGGAGUAUUGAAGAUCAAAUUUCCACACUGUAGAAAUGGGCAUUUGAUGGAGUUUUGAUUUGCAAAAUUUUGAACUGCAAAUGAAAUAAAAUUUUCAACCCCAUCCUCAUAGUCUUUUGAUCUUCUAUCUUUUGACAUCCAGGAACGAUUCAUUUGCCUAUAAUAGUUGAACUCAAUUCCUAUAUAGCAAACAUAAGCAAACAAUGGAAAUGGAAAAGACUUAGAAAAGUUACCUUUAGAAAACACUCAAAACUUUCAGUUUCUCAUUUGUGACAUCCAAAAUUUCUUUUAAACUUUCUAUGGACAAACAAUUAGGAUUCAAGUGUAAUAAAAAAUUUGAACCUCAUCCUCAAUAAAAAAAAAGGAUUAACAAUAUGACAAUAGAACCUUUUGAUGCAUGUUUUUAUGCCUUUUAACAUGUCUAUCAUCCAAAAUCAGGUAGUUGUUCCUAUCCCAUGUAGGAAUACAUAAUCCCUAUGUGUUAAUUGCCAAUAUACUCAAUUUCAUUUUAAAGAAAUUUUGGUAGCAUUUCCCCAUAGUUCUCCAAGUACACAAAAUGAACAAGGUAUAAUAUGUGACCUUGUUCAAAUAUGCACCCAGAGAACAAGAGGAAAUACUACCAAAAUUUCUAAAAAUUGAAUUAAGCACAAGCAAUUAACUUCAUAGAUAUUAUGUUUUCCUACACUGUCCAAUCGGACAAUUCAAACAUCAUUGCAAAAAAAAUAUCUUUAUCACAUUCUAGACAACUUGAAAGUGGCUUAGAUAAAACCUUUUUCACCUUUGAAAACUUAAAUGUCUUUAGUAUGUAAUAAGAGAAACUUUUAUCUUACAAUGAUAGUUGAAUGGGAACUCUAAGGUUUCAUGCAUGCAUGUUUGAUUAAAAUUAAAACACAAUUACUUAUUGAAUAAUCUAAUAAUUAUAAAACACCUAAAGUUGUUCCAUAAUUAUUGCUAUAUUUCAUCAUUAAACAAGAUUAUUAUAAGAAAGCAUACGUAUGGCCCAUGAUUUGCGAAUCAAGUCACACCAGUCUAUGUCAUAGCCUUGGGUCAAAAUUUGGGCCUUGGUAUCAAACUAAGCUGGGGAAUAACUCGUACAAUUCAGGUACUCAAUAAGAUUUAAACAAAAUUUAAAAUAACGCUUCCAUUAUAUUCUUCUAACCACCCAAAGUAAAAAUGGUAUUAUAAUUAAAAUAUGUUGGUUUGUAUAAGGAAAAAUAGUGUACCUUCCUCACUCUGUCUUUGUCUCGAGUCUUGCAUCACACACCUCUCGUAGUCCAAUGUAGGUCACUGUCUCUUAAAAUAUGUAUAUGCAAAACAAAUAAUAAAUAAAGAUAUAAAAUAAAUCCAUUAGUAGAUAUUAACAAAUAAAUACAAAAUAAAUUAAAAUAAGAAAUAAACUAAGAAGAAAAAACAUAUAAGUAAGAAAAAAAAGAUUUUCACAUGUGCAACAAUGGUUAGAUAUUUUUAAAAAUUUAUAAAAUUAUUAAAAUCAAACUAUUUUAGUUAUUAUUAUUUUUAAAUGGUAAUUAAUACUCAUAUAAAAUAAAAAUGAUACAAGUUUUGAAAUAUUCCAUUACCAUAUUUUGAGUAAUAUUUUUAAAGGGUUAAUUUAAUUCAUUUCCCCUCAAGAUUUGACUAAAUAUAAUGGCACCCGAUAAUAUGAAAUUUGAAGAAGUCCAUAAACUCUUCAAGUCUAUAAUUAGAAGUUCCUAGUAAGUUGUCACCCAUACUAAUGAAAUUUCUUGAGUCAACAUUAAUCUCGAACCUUUUUGCUACCUUCAUUACCUAUUUUGCCCCUUGACCACCUACUUAGUCCUCUUUACUUUGACCAUGUGUGUUUCUCUUACUUGCCCCUCUACUUUUAUGAAAAAAGCAUAUAGAAGAAGCCCAUUCAAGUUUUUAAUUUUCCUUUGUUUGGAUCAUUCCUUGAAACCUUCUAAAAUUUCCCUUGUACUUAGCCUCAACAUUAUAGGGUCCAAUAAAACUCUUAUAAAUAAAAUAAAAAGUGUAAUAAAUAUUAUAAAAUUAUUUUAUUAAAAAAAUUAAUAUAUAUAUAUAUAUAUAUUAUAAUUAUUAAAUUAUAUAAAAUCUUAUUCAAUAAUAAUAUUGUGAUAUUUAAUUAUAAUAUGUUUAAUUUUAAAAUAUAUUUAAUAUUAAAAUUAUGAUAUAUUUAAUUAAUAUAAUAAUGAUAUUAAAAACUUUUUACAAUUUAAUUAAAUAAAAAAAUUAUUUACAUAUAAAAUAAUUAUAAUUAAUUUAUUGUUUAAAGGAUUAUUUUAAUAUUUUGUGUAUAUAAAAACUUUUAAUAUAUAUAUAUAUAUAUAUAUAUAUAUAUAUAUAUAUAUAUAUAUAUAUAUAUAUAUAUAUAUAUAUAUAUAUAUAUAUAUAUAUAUAAUCAUAAGGGUUUUGAUUUCAACAAUGUAUAUUUUAUUAAGUAAAGAAAGAAGGGCAGCUUCCUUGAACUUUCAAUCCCAACUUGCAGAUUUUACACUUUCGGCAUCACAGGUAUAUUGAGGAGGACAAGGAAAAGUGCCAUCAAUGUAUCCUAAGAGGUCAUUGCUAAUUAAAACAGGGAGGAAUUUAUCUUUCCAGAGAAGAUAGUUGGUGGAAUCAAGUUUGAUUGGUAAUAUUCGGUGUAGCAAGUAGAGUGGAAGAAGGCAGUGAAUUCGAAAUAGAAAACUGAUAAGAAUGUGACAAAGAAGAAGGAAGAACAAAAGGAUAUGAUGGUGUAGAUAAAUAAGAAGAAGAAAAGAAUAGGGUGAAGGAAUUUAUUUGAGGAGAAUAGGAGAUGACAAAGUUGAUACCUGAGUCAAGAAGGGAGGAAGAACAGUGGUGGAGAUGACAGAUGGAGGUCCGGCAAGAGUGCUAGGAGGCAAGGACUUAAAAACCUGGGUCAACGACGAUGCCACUAAGGAUCCAGUGAGAAAUAGUUCUUUCCCCUUAGAAAUUUGACUCUCUCAAUACAAUCGCAUGUUUCCAUGAGAGAGGAGGAGCUGGUGUUUGGAACACCAUCAUCAAUAACCAGGUCUUUUAGUGCAUUCAUAUGUGCAGUGCUCCUUUCAAAUGGUGAGAAAACAGAAGAGAGUUCACCAUAGCUGUAGGGACAGCAGUGGAAGAUGGUGUCGCAGCCAUGGCAGAGGAGAUUGAGAGAGGAUGCAGCAGCUAGAACAAUGAUAGCGGCAGGUUUAGAAUCCUUUCAACGCACCAAAUUUAGAGUCAGACUUGACAGCCUUUCAAAGACGCGGAGGCAUAGAAUAUUCCUGAUUAAAAUAUGUGAGAUCAUAAGCACCAAGGAAAUCAACGACCCCACCACAGCUACUGCCACUCUCUGCCACCACAGCUACUGGCAUACUCCGCCACCACAGCUACUGCCACUCUCCGCCUCUUCUUCCACGACUGCAUGGUCAAAGGCUACGAUGCCUCAAUCCUCAUCUCCUCCAACUCCUUCAACACCGCCCAGCAUGACGCCGACAUCAACCUCUCCCUCCCAGGCACGAGUUUUGCCUCUCCAAUCAUCAGUCAUCAGUCAUGACUUUGUAGGAGGGAUGAGGUGGACCAAACAAGGCCUUCGGAAUGGCCCAAAUCCAGCCACAUCCAAGGUCCAAAUUCCUAUCCCCUAAAUUAAAAUUAAAAUUAUUAUUAUUAUUUACAUUCUGUAGAAGUUUCUUCUUUAAACCAAGCCCAUAUAUUUUGGACCUGGUGCCUCCCCCAAUCCUUGGUUGCCCAACAACUAAAACUCAAACCCAAGCCCACCAAAGAAAAUUUUAAAACACGUCAUGCCUUUGCCAGCUGUUCCCCUCUCAAUACCAUUUAAAAAUCCUCCAUUCUGUAGCUUUCUCAACUGCUGCAGCCGAACCUGUCUUCUCCUUGGUGUACGAACACGGCACGUCCAUACCUACAGGCGGUAGAGACUACACCUCAUUUCCCACGCCCUUGUGCUGGUGCGUGAGCCACCCACCACAUUACCCUCAACCUCCAUCCCGAUCACCAUGCUGGUUGCUACAUCUCCAUGGCAUUACAUUAGGCAAAAACAAGGCAGAACUUUCCACCACAACUAAAAGGAGAAGCUGGAACCAUACCUAUUACAACUUGCAGCGUACCAUACAACAAGAAGAAUAAAAAAUGCACUGUAUUUAUUUGGGAUACCAUUACUCUGAUUUUCUCCUCCCAAAAUAAUUUUCCCAUCUAUGAAACAAUAAUAUUAGAUUUUUGGAACAACGAAAACCCUUCCAUUUGUCUUCAUUUGUACUAAUCUAUUCAAGUUUGAGGAAAACAACAUUACUUGAGAAAGAGAUUUACCUGUAACUAUGAUGCUCUGUAGUAGAUUUUGACAAUGGUAACCUCCAAUGCAAGGAAGUUAGACAUGGCCAUUCCAACAGAUUAGGCCAUUUUAGUGGUGGACUUUGCAAGAGGAAUGGAUUUUGGCAAUUGAUGUGGAGUCAAAUGACUUUGCAAGGGGAAUGGAUUAGGGCAUUUUAGUUUCUUCAGUUCUGAAAUUGUGGAGGGAAUGUCUGGCGGGUGAGUGUAGAAAGGGAAAAACAUUUAAUUAAUAUAUAUUUAGAACAUAUAUAUCUAUAUAUAUAUAUACUAUUAUUUAAUGUCACCUAAUAUAAGCGCCAUCAAAUAUCACAACUAUGACACUGCUGAUUCCGUGCCCAAUUGGUGUCUCAGCUGAUUCGUGUCCAGCUGGUGCUCCUUGAUUGAGGGAGUAAUCAACAAAAUUUAUAACCUAUAACACCAUAUAAUAGGCUAGCAAAGACAAAGCUACUAUAGUAUAGCGGCUCUAGGAUCGUUCACUGGGAAGGAUUAACAAGCUAUCAAUGAUACCAAUUCCAAGUGAAUUGGUUUUGUUUCAUUUCAUGGUUAGCUUAAGAAGUAAAACACAAACUUUGAUUGGUAAAGGUUUAGACUUAAACUAACUAACAUAACAGAAGUUUGGAAUAAUUUAGAAAGAAAAGCAUUCCCUGGAGAGUUAGGUUCACUGGGGUGGUUCCUCAUGCAAAAGACACGGCUCUGGUCAGAUGGUUCAUUUCCUCGCGUUAGAGAUUCAACAUAUAGUCAAUUCUCUAACCGGUGUUGUACAGAGACUCCUUCAAUUAGAUUUCACUUUAAUUCUCUCACUGAUGCAACUUGCAAUGGUUUAAGCCUCUCACUAAGCCUCAACCAUUCAAGGUAAUCUUUAACAUUGGAUUACCCGUCAAAAGCUCGCAAGAGAUAACUAAUAGAUGUCUCCUUAGAGUCCAAAAGCUUACCAAGUGUUGGCUAUUCUAGAAAAUCCUACCCUAAAGUCACCUCCCAGAGGCUCGCAAGGGGUAAACUAGUGCAUUUCCAUGGUUGGAAAUCACUUGCCUUACCAAGUGUUGGCCCAGGUAACUCUAAGGUGUUUUAAGUUAACUAAAAAUAUAGAAAUCACUAAAGGAUUUCACUUCCUCUUCAUUACUAGUUAAAACCACAAAGCUUUACAUUCUUGCACUUGGAACCUUCCCCGGCAACCUUAGCUCCAAGGAACUAGAGGUUUAGUUACUCAUUCUCUAGGGAAAACUCCUCAGAGAAUUCAUAACUUAGAAAUAAAAUAAAAAUACAAAGUGAGAAGGUAAGGCAGUAGAAAGAACUGAACUUUACUUGCUUACCCAAACUUUUACAGAAGGAACUCCCUUCUUAGAACAGGCUCUCGAGAGGUAUAUAUAUGAACAUAAUAAAAAAACUAAUUAUUACAUAGAUAUUUACUCUUUUUACUAACUUAAAAGCUAAGGAAUCAUGUAAUUGGUGGCUUACAAGGAGUAUUUUGGGAUUUAGACAACAAAAAUCUGAUGUAAAAUAUCUUCCAAUGUCGGUAGCAAAUAUCGGGGUGCUUCAGGAACCAUUUCGCAAGAGAAAAUGGUGUCUGCGAGAUUUCGCAAACACUCAAGAGGGGCUGCGAAAUAUUUCGCAACAACAUGCUAUCUUCGCAGGGCUGCGAAGUUGGCUUCCACCUUGAGGUUCCAAGCUUCCCUCUCGCGGUAUAUGUCGGGCAUCUUCAGGAGGAAAUACACCCUACUGUACAAAAAGGAUGCGAAAUCAUUUCGCAACAAAAGGGUGAUUUCGCAGCACUUUGCAAAAUGCUUCCUUCAGCUCGGAGUGAUUGGCUUGCAAUGGCUGCAACUUCUUCGUUUCAACUUUGAAUUGCACACCGUUUGAAGCAGUGGAUUGUUGACUUCCUGAGAUUUGAAAUGGUAUAUAGCAUGCAUCAUUUGGACUUCAGAAAGUGCUCCAAAAGUGGCUGCUACGAUUGUCAUCAAGAAUAUGCUUCAUGGCAAAUUCUCUUUACUUUUUCUCCUUGCAAUCCGGAUUUACUCUUGGCAAAUGACUUCUAAGCUUUGCCCAAGAUUCCUCAUAGCUCUCCUCAGUCUUGACUUGCUUUGAUGAUUAAAUUACUAACAAAAACAUUAAAACUUACACAAAGUAAUCAAAAUUGCUUUCAAGGGUCCUUAACAUGUCAAUUGAGUUAAAAAGCCAAAACUACUACUCAAAAGUGUUUAAAAGGAUUAAUUAUAAGCUAUCAAAUAGCACUUUUUGAGUAGUAAUCACUCCCCCCAACCGACAUAUUGCUAGUCCCUUAGCAAAAUAGGAGAGAAAAAAUGAAAAUAAAAAGCAACCUAUACUAAAAUUUACAACAUCAUGCUGAUCAAAAUCAAUUCUCAAGUGGCAUGAUGAUAUAAUUCUCACAUGAAAAAUUAAAGAAAUACAAAUCCAAAUUUCAACAAGAGUCAUAAAAAACUAUGCUAAACACUGUCAAUCAAGGGAGUGCAUUAUGCAAACUGAAGUUUUAAAAUCAUUUCCACUUUCAAAGAACCAAACUUUAAUCUUCCACAAAAAUCUAUGUGUAUUGGUUCCUUAGCUUCCGAGAAUAAUAUGCUAAACUAAUCUCUCCCCCCAACCUAUCUCUUUUCAACACUUAGCAAACUGACCAAAAUCAAUAAGAAAAGAACACACUUUCAUUUUUUUUUUUUUUUUAAGGUAGCUUUAUGGGGUACUCUUUCUGACUUGUCCAUGUAAUGGGGGUCCAUCGAUGACUCCCAACCAAUUAAGGUUUAGGGCACCAAGCUUUAAGGAUCUUUCAACCACUAAUUCCUCGGAUUUUUCCCCAGACUUUUAAGAAUGAAUUUCUAAUACCCAAGCAUCUACCAUAUGUUAACUCUACCUAUUCACCCUUUUAACGAGCAUUAAGGUCGGUGACUCCCAACCAAUUAAGGCUUAGGGCACCAGGCUUUAAAGAUUUUCACCAUAUACCCCUCAGACCUUGCUCAGGUUUCAAGGCAAGCAAACAAUUUUCUUUAUUUCAAAGGCUCAUUGGCCUUUUGCAGGGUGUUUCAAUUUUUAUCAAAUGAGGUCAAAUGUACCAAGUCCCAAAAUUAUCCUAAGUCAAGAGGGAAAUAGUUUUUCAUCUUAUAAUCGGAAUCUAAUGUGCACAGUGUGUGAAUAGCUUAAAGUGGAAGAACUAAAUUCAAUUUCAAUAGAAGUUUAAACAAUUGAACCACUUUAGUGAGCAUAAUCCAUACUCUAAGUCAAGUGAAAAACAACAGUUCAAUUUCUCCUGUUUCAAUUUGAAAAUUUUUCCUCAAAAUUCAUGGAGAUUAGAGUAAAAAGAGUAAAAAGUAAAAAUUACAACUAAUUUACCAAAAUAAUUGCAUUACCAAAAAGACUUAUCAUACUUCCUUCCUCAUUCCCCCCAACCGAACUGAGCAUUGUCCUCAAUGUGAUAUGAGUGACUGUAAUUAAAGGGAGGAAGUGGUACCUCCUAAGUGAUAUCAAAUUCGAAUAUUGAUUGGAGAAACCACAUGUUUCAAAAAGAAUAAAAUAUGUGAGAAAAUGAAAUAAGAAUAAGUUAAUGCUAACUGUUAACAAGAAAUAUUAAACUUGUAUUACUUUAAAUUCAUUCGAGUACAAUGCAAAAGAAAAGUAAAACAAGCAAUCCCAAAUAUAGUACGAAAAUAAUGGGAUUUCUUUCCAACUAAAAAAUGAAAUACAUAAAACUAUUAGAUAUAUAUAAUAGUCUGAUGAGUGGGGUGGUGGGGCUAAGCAGAUGGGUCUGCCUCUUCAAUAGGUGCAUCAGCUGGGGCUUCAGGCUCUGGAGGAUGAGACUUUGAGGGAUGAGAGUGUGGCUCUGCUGGUGUAUCAGUGGAGGGCUCUACAGCUGGUGGCAGAUCGAAAUGAAGCUGGAGCUGCCUUAAGAUGGCAGCUUGUUGAGCCUGAGUGGCCAACAUCUGCUCUUGGCAUGCUCUAAUGGCUACCAUAUCUUGAGCAAGACUGCUUUGAGAAGCUGUGAGAGUCUCCAAUGCACGGCAUAACUCUCUAUAUUCAGAUAUAGGAAUAGCCAUCCUCGGUUCAGCUGAUGUGGAUGGCUGAGAUGAAGCUGGAGCAGCUGGUGGAGCUCUGGGAAUGGCAGGAGUAGCAACUGUUAUACCCUCAGGUAUAUGUCGUGGGGAUGCUCUCCUUGCAGCUGGCUGAGGCUGCUCAGGCUGAUCAACUUUGUAGGCUGUCAUGUUGUUCCAUUUAUCAAGAGUGAAUGGCUCACGGCAAAUGCGCUUUCUCUCCAGCUGAGGCUCAGAAGGAUAUCCCAAGUGCUCUAGAAUUUGGCAUAGCAGUCUUGGGAAGAGGAGGGGAAUGCAAUCAGCUCUCUGAAGCUUCUUUCUGUGAACCUUCUCUUCGAAAUAGAGAAGAACUGCUAGGAUCAGAUGAUGAGGCCCAAAGAAAAAUCCUUCUGACAUCUUGUAAAGAGCUUCUAAGAGGACUCCCCUUCUUUGGGUCCAAUGCUGCAAUGGGUAGAUAUUAUGACGCAAAAAUGCUUCAAUAAAAAACAUAAUUGGAGGAAGCUCCCCCCUCAACAGAUGUGAUCGAUUUGCAGCUCCUCUAGAAAGAGUGCGCACCAUCUCCAACUCAGUAGGAUUUGUCCAAGCUCUAAAAUUAUCGAAUUGGGUUGGCUCAUAGGGAAUUUGCAAGGCUUCAGCAAUAUGGUGUGCUCCUAAUAUGCCAUGUCUCCCAUCGAUAGUGAAAUGAAUCAAAGUUGGAUCCCUGACCUGGUUGGUUGUCAUCGAUUGAUAGAAAUCCGUGGCUACCCGGGGGUAGAAAAAGUCUCUCGAAGCUAGCAGUUGCUCCAUAUGGUACCUCCUCAGCAGCUGGAAUGAUUGGGCAAGCUCCGGCCUCACUCUGAAUGCCGGUAAGUCGAAGCAUAGCUCGGAAUGGAAUGGUCGAGCUCUACAAUCCAAGUUUCCCUCAAUUGGAGGCUGAGGUAGCAUUGGCUGCCUGAUUACUUCUUCCAGAGCUGUUUUGGAUGAAAUUUGGGGCUCGGGAAGUGGCGCUUGAGGCUCCUGAGAUUUUUCUUGCAGCGUCGGAGAUGGCACCGACGACGGAACUAGCACGGGACUCGGCGAGGGAACUGGAGUUGGAACCGGUGAUGGAAUUGGUGAAGGCUCUGGAGAUUGCUCAGUCAAAUCGAUGGGUUAUGAGCUCUGCACCCUGGGUCUCUUUUGCAGUGUACGACCUCUUGACCUGGUAAGGUAACGUUUCGCCGGAGGCUUUGGCGGCACUGGCUUCACCGGAGGAGGAAUUGCUUUCGGCUACGAAGGCUCUGGAGCAGAAUCUGGAACUGGCUCCUUUCGCAGACUCUUCUUGCGAUUCGAAGGAGAUGAAGAUUUAGCCCCUUGUGUUCGCGCCAUUUCGGGAUACCGAACUUUGGCCGACGUUGCUGAUCGGAGAAGAUGACCGGAUGCUUGGACGGUGUGGCUCACUAAAGAAGACGAACAACUUGCGAGAAUGGCGCUUUGAUUUUUGAAACCCUUUUCGCAACUCAAAUGACCGGUAUAAAUAGGAAAAACGGAAGCCUAAGGGUCAGUUUAAGUUUCGCAACAAAACGCCAAUUUCGCAGCAAAAUGCCAUUUUCGCAGCAAAAUGCUAUUUUCGCAGCAACUUCGCAAUGCGUUUCGCAGCUGCGAAAUGAGAGUUCCUGUGCUGCGAAGUGGCACUCGUGUGCCAAAAAUGCCUUCGCAGCUGCGAAAUACCCUCCGGAAUGGGACUUUUGGUGCGAAAUCUGGGCUUUACCACUUUGCAAUGCGUUUCGCAGCUGCCAAAUGAGAGCUCCUGUGCUGCGAAGUGGCACUCGUGUGCCAAAAACGCCUUCGCAGCUGCGAAAUACCCUCGCAGAGACUUCUACAGUGUUGCGGAAUGGUUUUGCAGCAUAGUGCUGAUUUCGCAGAGGCUGCGAAAUCUCGCAGAGCUCUGUUUUUUUGCUCUGGUUUUGCUCCGAUUUCGAUCCGAUUCUUUUCCUUUCAAUUUCCUUGCAAUUUCUUCCACCUGGGAUCAUUCAAAAAGAUUAAAAUACACAUAAAAAACAUGAUUUAAGAUCAAAAACUAAGAUCAAAAGUAUGGAAACAACUUGAAAAUUUACAAAAUUUACAAAAAUUUUGGACUGUGGUAAAACCACGUCCAGCAAACCCUUCUUUGCUUAGGCUUUUUGAGGCUCAAGGAGGUUGAUCUCCUAUUUUUCUAGUUUGAAUGGCUUCAUGAAUGGCUUGAGAUGAUAUCCAUUAACUUUGAAGGUGUCCUUGCCAUUGAAAUUCAAUAAUUCCACCACUCCAUUGGAAUAUACUCGGUGAAUUAUGAACGGGCCUAUCCAUCUUGACUUGAGCUUCCCAGGAAAGAUAUGGAGUCUUGUGUCAUACAGUAAAACUCUUUGCCCUUCUUGAAAUUCCUUGUUGGAAAUGAGUUGGUCAUGCCACUUCUUCAUCCUCUGUUUUGCAACUUUGGAAUUGAUAUAAGCAUUAUUUCUUAAUUCCUCCAUCUCAUUAAGGUUUAGAUAUCUCUUUUCGCCUGCCUUGAUCAAGUCCAUAUUCAGCUUCUUUAUUGCCCACCAAGCCUUGUAUUCAACUUCCACAAGGAGAUGGCAUGCUUUGCCAUAGACAAGACGAUAGGGAGACAUGCCAAGAAUAGUCUUAUAAGCUGUUCUAUAUGCCCACAAUGAAUCAUGAAGCCUAAUAGACCAAUCCUUUCUGUUGGAAUUCACCACUUUCAUCAAUAUGUUCUUUAUUUCCCUGUUAGCUAGCUCAACUUGCCCGGAAGUCUGAGGAUGAUAAGGUGUAGCCACCUUAUGCUUCACUCCAUACUUGGAUAACAAAGCUUCAAAAGGUUUGUUGCAAAAAUGAGCACCUCCAUCACUGAUUAUGGCUUUGGGCACCCCAAAUCUUGAGAAAAUGUUCUCUUUAAGAAACUUGAGAACCACCCUGUGAUCAUUUUGUUUACAGGGGAUUGCCUCAACCCAUUUAGAAACAUAAUCCACCCCCACCAAGAUGUAAGAAUUACCAAAAGACAUUGGGAAAGGUCCCAUGAAGUCAAUGCCCCAUACAUCAAAUAGCUCAACUAUUAGAAUGGGGUUCAUAGGCAUUUGAUUUCUUUUUGUUAGCUUUCCAAGCCUUUGGCAUCUAUCACAACUUCUACACAUGAUGUGGGCAUCUUUGAAAAGAGAUGGCCAAGUAAACCCUGAUUGCAAUACCUUCAUGGCUAUUUUCUGAGAGGCAAAGUGGCCUCCACAUGCAUUCUCAUGACAAUGAGAUAGAAUCCCUUGCUGCUCAUCUUCAGGGACACACUUCCUUAUUAUCUAAUCUGCACAAUACUUAAAAAGAAAGGGCUCUUCCCAAUAAUAAGCAUGAAUUUUGGCAAAGAAGUGCUUCAUGUCCUGUGCAUUCCACUCACUUGGAAUUUCUCCAGUUACUAAAUAAUUAGCAAUAUGAGCAUACCAAGGAGUUUUCACUAGGAACAUGAGUGAUUCUCCAGGAAAAUCAUCAUUAAUAGGCACGGGAUGGGAAUUAUGUGCUAUAAUUAACCUUUAAAGGUGGUCAGCUACUACAUUCUCCACUCCUUUCUUAUCUUUGAUUUGGAGAUCGAAUUCUAGUAACAAAAGAAUCCAUCUAAUCAACCUUGCUUUUGCAUCUUGCUUUGUCAAUAAAUACUUCAAGGCUGAAUGGUCAGUGAAGACAAUGAUGAAAGACCCCACUAAGUAAGCACGAAAUUUGUCCAAAGCAAAUACCACAGCUAACAAUUUUUUCUCUAUAGUUGUGUAGUUCCUUUAAGCUUCAUUUAGUGUUUUACUUGCAUAGUAAAUUACAUAGGGCUUCCCAUCUUCUCUUUGGCCAAGCACAGCUCCUAUAGCAAAGUCACUGGCAUCACACAUCAGUUCAAAAGGUAAUUGCCAGUUAGGGGCUCUCACUAUUGGAGUUGUUGUUAAAAAUUUUUUCAGUUGAUCAACGCUAUUUUGACACCUUUCAUCCCAUAUAAACUUAGCAUCCUUAGCUAACAGCUCACAAAGAGGUUUUGAAAGACUUGAAAAACCUUUUAUAAACCGCCUAUAGAACCCUGCAUGGCCAAGGAACUGUCUUACUCCUUUCACAGUUGUUGGGGAUGGUAAUUUGACAAUAAGCUCCACCUUUGCUUUAUCAACUUCAAUGCCUUUUUCAGAGAUGAUAUGGCCAAGGACAAUUCCUUGAUGUACCAUAAAAUGGCAUUUCUCCCAGUUGAGCACCAGGUCUUUUUCAAUGCAUCUGUGAAGAACUGCUUCCAAAUUAAACAAGCAUUCCUCAAAUGUACCUCCAUAUACGGUGAUGUCAUCCAUGAAAACCUCCAUAAUUCUCUCCACCAUAUCACUGAAAAUACUCAACAUACAUCUUUGAAAUGUAGCAGGUGCAUUGCAUAAACCAAAAGGCAUUCUCCUAUAAGCAUAUGUUCCAAAUGGACAUGUAAAAGUGGUCUUUUCCUGAUCUGCCAAAUUAAUUUCAAUCUGAAAAUACCCUGAAUACCCAUCCAAGAAACAAUAAAAUGGAUGUCUAGAGACUCUCUCCAGCACUUGAUCAAUAAAUGGCAAUGGAAAAUGAUCUUUCCUGGUUACAACAUUCAGCUUUCUAUAAUCAAUACACACCCUCCAGCCUGAAGUGAGGCGUGUAGUAAUUUCUUCCCCUUUUUCAUUUUGAACCACUGUGAUCCCUGACUUCUUUGGUACCACUUGAGUAGCAAGCCCAAUAGGAGAUUCAGACAAACCUUCUUCAAAAUUCACAAGACUUUCAUUCAACUUGUCUUGCAUAUUUUGAUUACAGUGCUCCUCCACCAAAGUAUCAAUAAUGCACAGCUCUUCUGGACCUUCUUCUUCUUCCAGAGUGAUUUGCUUUUUAGACAUAUAGAAAAUAUUGAGAUCCAGUGUCAUAUUACCAAAAGUGAGUUGCAUCAGCCCAUUCCUGUAGUUGAUGAUUGCAUUUGAAGUAGCAAGAAAUGGCCUUCCAAGGAUGAUAGGAACUAAAUUAGCUUCCUUUACAGUAGGAUCUGUAUCAAGAACAAUAAAAUCUAUUGGAUAGUAGAAAUUAUCCACUUGAACCAAUACGUCAUCAAUUACCCCUCUUGGAAUUUUCACUGAUCUAUUUGCCAGAGAUAGAGUGAUUGCUGUUGGCUUCAACUCUCCAAGUCCCAAUUGCUUGUAGACGGAAUAUGGAAGCAAAUUCACACUUGCUCCCAAAUCUAGCAAGGCUUUCUCCACUACCUUUCCUCCAAUCAUGACUGAAAUGGUAGGACUUCCCGGGUUUUUGUACUUCAAAGGAGACUUACAUUGUAAGAUUGCACUUACUUGCUCAGUCAAGAAGGCUUUCUUGUUUACAGUCAACCCUCUUUUGAUAGUACAUAAGUCCUUUAGGAAUUUUGCAUACGUUGGAACUUGUUUAAUCAUAUCCAACAGUGGAAUAUUGACUUUCACUUGUCUCAAUACUUCAAGGAUUUCAGCUGCAUUUCUAACCCCCUUUUUCCCAUGUAAUGCUUGAGGAAAAGGUGGAGAAAUUGAUUUCUUCAGCAUUUCUUCCUUCAUAAGUUCCUUAUCUAGAAUUGCAUUCAUUGUUGAAUCAGAGUCCUUCUUUUCUUCACUGAUCUCACUGUUUUUAUCUUUCAUUUCCUUCCCUUUCUUUAUCUCUUCUUCUUUCUCAACAUAUGGCUUGGGUGUUGGCUGCUCAAUUUUUUUACCACUCCUUAGAGUGAUCAAGGCUUUGACAUCUUUCAUCUGUGAUGAUUCUCCCUCUUGGCUUUCCACUUCAUGGACACCAUUGGGAUUUUGGUGAGGUUGAGAAGGAAAUCUUCCAUUUUCUUGCAGUGUAUUCAAAUUUGUAAGCCUUGAAAGUGAAUAUUGGAUGUUAUCAAACUUUUGGUUCAUAUCAUUUUGCAUUCCAUCCAUCCUUUUAUUCAACAUACUCUCCACUCUGUCAAUUCUUUGAUAGAUUUGAGCAUUGGUGGCUUCUUGCUUUCUAACAAAAUCUCCCAUUACCUUGCUGAGAUUAGCCAUUGCUUGUUCAAGACUUGAAGAUUGUUGAGAUGGUGGAUCGGGCUGUUGGUACUGAGUUGCUCUGGCUUUCCAUGAGAAAUUUGGAUGAUUCCUCCAACUUGAGUUGUAGGUAUUUCCAUAAGGCGCAUUGUUAUUGGACCUGAAUUGUCCAACAACAUUUGCUUGAUCUCUAAACAUCUCCCUUUCAACUGAAAUUGCAGGGCAUUCCUCCACCAAAUUUUCAUAUGAUUUACAAUUGGGACACAACUUCACUUGCACUGGUGCUUCAGCAACAGCUUGCACUUCAUGUAUUCUUUUCAGCUCCAGCUCCUCCAAUCUUCUUGUCAUAGCUGCCAACUUUUCUUUCAUAUCAUCAUCUUCUUUUAAGGUAUACAUCCCAGCCUUUGCAUUGUAAGCAUUCAACUGAGACUUCAUCUUUCCCACUUCUCCAUUGGUUGGUUCAUCCCAUCCCCUUGAAACAUCAGCUACAUAGCUCAAGAAAUCCAUAGCUUCCUCUGGAUUUUUGCUCAUGAAAUCUCCUCCACACAUUGUCUCGAGGAGUUGCUUCAUUGAGGAGGACAUACCAUCAUAAAAAUAGCUCACCAAUAGCCAAGUAUCAAAGCCAUGGUGAGGACAAGCAUUUAUAGCUUCCAUGUAUCUUUCCCAACACUCAUAGAAUUUCUCAUUCUCUUUAGCUGAGAAGUUUGAAAUUUGCCUUUUCAAGCCAUUUGUUCUAUGAGUGGGAAAAAAUUUCUUGAGGAAUUCAGCUUGUAAAUCAGUCCAAGAACGGAUACUCCUUGGCCUUAAAGAAUUAAGCCAAAUUUUGGCCUUAUCCUUUAAAGUAAAAGGAAAUAACUUAAGCCUCAUCAAAUCAAUUGAAGCUCCUCCCUCUUGGAAUGUAUUACAAACAUCUUCAAAUUCCUUGAUAUGUGCAUACGGAUUCUCACUUUCCAUUCCAUGGAAAGUUGGUAGAAGUGGAACAAGAUACAGUCUGAUCACUAGCUGCUCUGUAGGGGGCACUAUACAUGAUGGUGCACUCAUACGAGGCGGAUGCAUGCGGUCCCUCAUUGAUCUAAAUUCAUUGAGAUUGUCUUGACGACCUUGGUGACUAUGCUGAUCUUCAGGUAUAGAUUCCAUGAUAUUCAAGAUCACUUCGAAUUCUUUUCUCUGAGGUGUAUCACACUUAACAAGCCUUCCUCCACUGUCUCGUAUCCACUUUGGCAUACACAACUAGUAUCGAUCUGCAACUUAAAUAAAAACAGAGGACAACAAGAGAAACAGGGCUACAACAACAAAAUUAAACUAGGCUAAAUUUUAAAAGAUAAACUUAGAUUAUGAAUAAAUAAAGAAAGAAUGAGAAUUAGUAAAGUGAAAGAAACUUUACCAACUUGUGAUGAAAAUCACAAGUGCUAAAAAAAUGGUAUCAAUAUAAACUUGACAUCUUCCCCGCAGCGGCGCCAUUUGAUUCGUGCCCAAUUGGUGUCUCAGCUAAUUCGUGUCCAGCUGGUGCUCCUUGAUUGAGGGAGUAAUCAACAAAAUUUAUAACCUAUAACACCAUAUACUAGGGUAACAAAGACAAAGCUACUAUAGUAUAGCGGCUCUAGGAUCGUUCACUGGGAAGGAUUAACAAGCUAUCAAUGAUACCAAUUCCAAGUGAAUUGGUUUUGUUUCAUUUCAUGGUUAGCUUAAGAAGUAAAACACAAACUUUGAUUGGUAAAGGUUUAGACUUAAACUAACUAACAUAACAGAAGUUUGGACUAAUUUAGGAAGAAAAGCAUUCCCUGGAGAGUUAGGUUCACUGGGGUGGUUCCUCAUGCAAAAGACACGGCUCUGGUCAGAUGGUUCAUUUCCUCGCGUUAGAGAUUCAACAUAUAGUCAAUUCUCUAACCGGUGUUGUACAGAGACUCCUUCAAUUAGAUUUCACUUUAAUUCUCUCACUGAUGCAACUUGCAAUGGUUUAAGCCUCUCACUAAGCCUCAACCAUUCAAGGUGAUCUUUAACAUUGGAUUACCCGUCAAAAGCUCGCAAGAGAUAACUAAUGGAUGUCUCCUUGGAGUCCAAAAGCUUACCAAGUGUUGGCUAUUCUAGAAAAUCCUACCCUAAAGUCACCUUCCAGAGGCUCGCAAGGGGUAAACUAGUGCAUUUCCAUGGUUGGAAAUCACUUGCCUUACCAAGUGUUGGCCCAGGUGACUCUAAGGUGUUUUAAGUUAACUAAAAACAUAGAAAUCACUAAAGGAUUUCAUUUUCUCUUCAUUACUAGUUAAAACCACAAAGCUUUGCAUUCUUGCACUUGGAACCUUCCCCGACAACCUUAGCUCCAAGGAACUAGAGGUUUAGUUACUCAUUCUCUGGGGAAAACUCCUCAGAGAAUUCAUAACUUAGAAAUAAAAUAAAAAUACAAAGUGAGAAGGUAAGGCAGUAGAAAGAAUUGAACUUUACUUGCUUACCCAAACUUUUACAGAAGGAACUCUCUUCUUAGAAUAGGCUCUCGAGAGGUAUAUAUAUGAACAUAAUAAAAAAACUAAUUAUUACAUAGAUAUUUACUCUUUUUACUAACUUAAAAGCUAAGGAAUCAUGUAAUUGGUGGCUUACAAGGAGUAUUUUGGGAUUUAGACAACAAAAAUCUGAUGUAAAAUAUCUCCCAAUGUCGGUAGCAAAUAUCGGGGUGCUUCAGGAACCAUUUCGCAAGAGAAAAUGUUGUCUGCUAGAUUUCGCAGACACUCAAGAGGGGCUGCGAAAUAUUUCGCAACAACAUGCUAUCUUCGCAGGGCUGCGAAGUUGGCUUCCACCUUGAGGUUCCAAGCUUCCCUCUCGCGGUAUAUGUCAGGCAUCUUCAGGAGGAAAUACACCCUACUGUACAAAAAGGCUGCGGAAUCACUUCGCAACAAAAGGGUGAUUUCGCAGCACUUUGCAAAAUGCUUUCUUCAGCUCGGAGUGAUUGGCUUGCAAUGGCUGCAACUUCUUCGUUUCAACUCUGAAUUGCACACCGUUUGAAGCAGUGGAUUGUUGACUUCCUGAGAUUUGAAAUGGUAUAUAGCAUGCAUCAUUUAGACUUCAGAAAGUGCUCCAAAAGUGUCUGCUACGACUGUCAUCAAGAAUAUGCUUCAUGGCAGAUUCUCUUUACUUUUUCUCCUUGCAAUCCGGAUUUACUCUUGGCAAAUGACUUCUAAGCUUUGCCCAAGAUUCCUCAUAGCUCUCCUCAGUCUUGAAUUGCUUUGAUGAUCAAAUUAGUAACAAAAACACCAAAACUUACACAAAGUAAUCAAAAUUGCUUUCAAGGGUCCUUAACAUGCCAAUUGAGUUAAAAGGCCAAAACUACUACUCAAAAGUGUUUAAAAGGAUUAAUUAUAAGCUAUCAAAUAGCACUUUUUGAGUAGUAAUCAACUGCUAUAAAGUGUCAUGGAAUAACCAAUUAUUCUUAUAAGUGCCACAGCAAGCAAUGAUACUUUAAAUAAGCGCCAUGAAAUAAAAAAAAUAAUAUAAAAAAUGACCCUUUUGAAAAAACGCCAUUGUAUAUCCAAAUAUAAUGAUACUUUAUGAAAGCGCCAAGGAUUAAAGCGUCAUAAUUUUCUAUUUUUGUAGUAGUGUAUAACAAGCUUUAUAAUUCUCUAUGAACCCAUCUUGUUUUAACUUUCUUUUAAAGAUCCACUUAUAACCAAUAGUCUUUGCACCAGGAGGUAAAUCUACUAACUCCUAUGUAUGGUUAUACAUGAUUGAUUCGAUUUCACUGUUAAUGACCUCCUUCAAGAAUGGUGCAUCAGGAGAAGUUAUAGCUUCUUUUUAGGAUCUAGGGUCCUCAUCUAUUAGGAAGGUGUAGAAACUAUCUCUAAGGUUUGUUUCUUUCCUAUCUCUUUUACUCUUUUUAGGUUCAAAUUUAGAAGGUUCAAUAGACUUGUCUCUACUUGUUUUCUGAACUUGUUGUUCACCAUUUAGUUUCAUAGGAAAUAUGUUUUCAAAGAAAUCUGCAUUCUUUGUUUCUAUUAUAGUAUUGACAUCUACAAGACUAUUUUCUGAUUUAGUAACAAGAAACCUAUAUGUUGCACUAUUCUCAACAUAGCCAAUGAACAUUGCAUCAAAGGUUUUAGGACCUAGUUUUCGUUUUUUAGGUUCAGGGAGAAGAACUUUAGCUAAACACCCCCACACUUUCAGGUAUGCUAUAUUAGGUGCAUAACCCUUCCACAACUCAUAAGGAGUUUUACUAGUUUUCUUGUAAGAUAUUCUAUUUUGAAUAUGACAAGCGGAUAGGAUAGCUUCCCCUCACAAGUUCAAGGGUGCUCCUGAACUUACCAACAUUGCAUUCAUAAUUUCUUUUAAGGUCCUAUUUUUCAUUUCUGCUACUCCAUUAGACUCAAGGGAAUAAGGAAGAGUAGUUUCGUGAAUGAUCCCAUGAUCUUCACAAAAAGAAUUAAAUGGGUUGGACUCAUACUCUUCUCCCCUAUCGGUUCUAAGCCUUUUAAUUUUCUUACUUAGUUGAUUUUCCAUUUCAUUUUUAUACUUGAUGAAAGCAUCUCUUGCUUCAUCUUUUUUUCUCAAAAGAUAUACCCUUGUAUACCUUGAGUAGUCAUCUAUGAAAGUUAUGUAGAAUCGUUUACCACUUCUAGUCAUUGUAUUUUUUAGGUCUCCUAAGUCAUUGUGUAUUAAACUUAGUAGAUCUGAUUCUCUUUCAACUAAUUUGCAAGAUUUCUUUGUGAUUUUAGAUUCUACACAAGAUUCACAAUUUCCAUGGUUUUCUAAGGAUAGUUUAGGGAUUAAACUCAAUUCAACCAUUUUCUUCAUAUAUGAAAAGUUCACAUGUCCUAGUCUACCAUGCCAAAUAUCACAAGAAUCAACUAUGUAAGCAGAAGAAAAAGAUACAUUAUUAUUGAUAAUAUCAUAAACAUUCAACAUAAAUAAACCCUGAUUACAAUAGCCAUUCCCCACAAAUGCAUCAUUUGUAGUUAAAACUAUUUUAUCAUAGUCAAAUAAGAUCUUCACUCCUGUUUUUUUUUUUUUUUAAAUAGUUAGGUUUUGGACUUAUUGUUUUUAGGUUUGGGUUUUUCUUCUACUACAUUAGCUUUAGAAGACAAUUCCUUAGUUUUCUCAACAUUGUCCCUAUUUCGAUUUUGUUCCUCAAUCCUAAUAUGGAUUAUGACAUCCUCUAGGGACAUCUGUUUCCUUUUAUGUUUCAUGUUAUUUUUGUAGUCUUUCCAAGACUCUAGAAGAGUCUCUACUAAAUAACGAACCACAAAAGGUUCGGGUAAUUUAAUGUCUUCAAUAGCUAAGUCAUUAAUCAACAAGUGGUAGUCAUGGAUUUGAGAUGAUACAUCUUUAUUCUCAGUCAUUUGGAAAUUUCUAAAAUUCCCUAUGGCAUAUUUUUGAGUUUCUGCAUCUUCCGAAAUAUAUUUUUAUUCAUUGCAUCCCAAAUUUCUUUUGCAACUUUAAAUUGACAAUAAAUAUCAAAAAGUUCAUUAGAAAGGGUACUCAGAAUAGCAUGCCUAACUUGUUUAUUUCCAGUUUCCCAGGUUGGUAACAGAUGAGUACUAUCUUAUGGUUUUAGAUUAGUCAAAAUGUGUCCCAAGUUCACUACAUCAAUUGCAGAGAAAACCCUUUCCUACCAUCUCUUAAAGAAUGUACCCUUGAAGGGAUCAAUUUUAGAGGUGUCAAGACAGGUGUGAACUAGAGAAGCUUCCAUUUGGAUAUAUUUCAAAAUUAUUGGAUUAAGGGUAUGGAAACAAAUGACUAGCCCAAAAGACACAAACAAAGAACAUAAUUAAUAAGAAGAAAAACUUAUCGGCUAAGGCAUGACAAACACUGUCCUUGAAAUAGAUCCACCAUCCUCAAAGACGAACUCGGUGCACUAGGGUAUCAGUGAUCUACUUCUAGGAUUCAACAGCUAGAUCUCGCCUUGGGUGCACUCUGUAAGCGAGAUGUCUACAACUCGGGUUUUGAAAAAAUUCCUCCAGAUAGAUGUUUGAAAAUACUCUCUGAAAAAUUGGUAUCCAUAUAUAGAGAGUGAAGGGUGACCUGCUUUUAUAGGCCACUAACAUAGUCUUAACAGGACUCUACUUGUAAGCGGAAUAGGAUUGAAAGUGGAAGGGGAUUAUGCUUAUAAGUGGAAUGGGACUCCACUAGCACAAUCCCAAUAGUACUCUUCCUAAAAAUAUAAGACUAAUAGAAUAAAAUAAAAUAAAAUAGAAUAAAAAUAAUUCCCAAUAGGACUCUUCCCAAAAAUAUAUGACUAAUAGAAUAUAAUAAAAUAAAAUAAAAAUAAAAAUUAUUUACACUCUUCCUACAAGUGAUACCUAAUCAGGCAAGUAAAAGAACCCAAUUAAUCCUUUGACGACACAAAGAGGAGUGCUCAUAUAGAGAAAGUAGACAAUGAAAGCAAAGAUAAUUUAUGACUUGUUCAACUUGCACAUAUACAAACCAGUUAACCAAACUUCAUCCUCCAUGCUUCAAGUAAUCAUUUUUCUUUUUUUCUCUUAUGAGAAGCUUCAACUAAUCCACAACUAAGUUCUUCUCCCACACAUUUUAGGAGAUAUAGGUCUUCAAAUUUGUUGAUAGGAAAUUUCCAACAUAUGACUCAUGAAGCUCAAUAAAACAGAACCAAGAAACAUAAAUUGAUGGAUAAAUUCCAAUUUAAGAAAUAAAAUAAAUAAAUAAAUAAAUAAAUAAAACACUUAAAUAAGAUUUGGAGAUAAAUAUUACAUUAUAUUUGGUUCUCAGAAAGUACUAAGGAAAGAAAAAAAAUGUAAAUGAAAAUGAUUUUCUCAUAUUUGGUUUUACUAUAAAAAAAAAUGAAAAAAAUAUAAUUAAAAUUAGUAAGAAACUUGUAUAUUUUUAAAUUAUUUAAUCUUUGUAUAAAAAUGUUACAUAAGUUAAAUGAGUUUAAAGUAGGAUAUGAAAAUAAUUUAUUGACUUUAAAUUUAGUUUUUGUUUUUCUUCACUUUUUUUUUCUACUUUUUCUUUCUAUUUUCUUUCCGUUGCAUUUUCCCUCAAACUUUCUAAGAAUCAAACAUAGUCAUAAUGAAGAGUACAAAAACAAUAAACACAAAGCCCAAUACGACCCAAUCUCAGGAGAAUAAAACCCAUAAAAUUAAAUUAAUAGAUGAAUUAAAAUAAUUUUGAUUUAGGACCCAAAAAAAAGCCAAAAACCUAAAAUAAGAUAGCAAACUAUAAUUCUUACAUACACACCUUACUUGGAAAAAAAUCCCUUAAAGUAAAACUAAUAUAUCAAUUCAAUUUAAAUAAACAAAAUACAAAUUUAAAACAAUUGAAAAAAACUAGAGUAUCACUUUAUACCUUUGAUGAAAUGCAAAAUUUGUGUCCGUCUUAGUUUAUCAUAAAUUAGGCAUGCCAUUAAAGCAACUGAAUUGAACAUAAUUUGGUGAGACUAGUUCAGUGCAAAUAAAUGUUCAGGUCUGUAGAACGGAUGCCACUCAUGAUUCUGAUCAAUCCUCUUUACCUUGUUGUGCAAAGAAACUAGUUCCUUCACUCUGGUUCUCCAACAAAGAAGUCAUAACUAAGACACCACAAAGUCUCAACAAUAAAGUUGUCUCUCUCCCUAAAACUGCUAUAUCUUGUUCAAGGAUUCUUCAAAAAAACAAAACCAACAAGAACCCUAACAAAUAUCCAGGUGUCAAACCAAAAACAAAUUUUGGCAAUGAAUCCAAGUAGAGGUUGGGAUUUUUGAGCAUUAGCAACUACCAUAAACCAUUAAUCGCAACCCAAAAAAUAUUUAAAUUCUAAACAUUAGAAUUGAGAAUCAUAUAGGUCUACUUAAGGGAGACUAAAGAGGGGGGAAAAUUACCAUAGGUUAAACGAUGGGAGAAGUGGAAUAGAUUGGGAAAGAAGACACUUCUUUUCUUGGUCCAAAAUCAAGAACUGGUUAUUCCAAGUUUUGGUUUGGUUCAUCAAAGAUUUUGAAUGACUGGGAUUGGUUACAAAAAAGAUAGGUUCUUUCCACAGGACACCUAUGAACCACAGUAAUUGUUUAAACAACCUUAAUUGGAAAAUGGCUGAAAAUAAUGGCAAAAUGUUUUAAAAACACUUUUUAGGCUAAAUCUAACACCCUGGAUUUUAGACUUAUUAAUACUUAAUACAAAAUUAGUGCUCCCAAAACUAGGGGAGACAAAAAUUUAAAUGCUGAGUUUUUGGUUGAUUUUGUGCAAAUGAGGAUGUGGAAACCUGUUAUAGAGAAGUAUACACCCUGUGAUAAUCUUUAAAACUAUUAAUUAACAAAAUAUGAUCUGUUUCACAAAUGAAAACUUGUACCAUAUUACUUUGUACAUACUAAAGCCCCAUGGUUUAAUAAGGGUAUCCCACACUACAAGUGUAGAAAAACAAAUAUAAGUUACAUCACUUUUUCAAGAAAAUAAAAAAUGAUUUAGUCUUUCUAUGAUAUAAAGGCAAAAGCCUCGAAACACUUUCAACAUGAGCAAAACAACAUCCAAUCAACAAGAAAGUAAUGCUCAAGCACUAACCUCAGUAGAUGUCUUCUGACCUUCAUCUAAAAGUGGAAGGAAUAAGGUGAGUUCAUGACUCAGUAAGAAAGUUUAUAACCAUCUUAUGCAUAUCCUUGAAAACCUUGAAUUAAACAUAUAGCAGUAUGCAUGAUAAACACUUUACAUAACCAUUAACAAAUAUGCAAUAAUAUCAAACAUGUACACAUGUUGUUGAUGAUUUCAUCUCUGCUUUGUCUCAUUCAUCCUUUCACACCUGAUAAGCUACUAACCCCCACCAAUGUACAUAUCAACCAUCAAUGCUCACAAAGAUGCUCGACCAUAAAUAAUGACUAUUCUAGGACUAUCACCAAAGAAUAAGUCAUAUCUCGUGUCUUUUGGGACUACAACACAAAGGCAAGACCAACCUCGCAUCUUUAGGACUAAAACUCAGGGGCAGGACCAAUCCCAUACACCCACAUCAAAGUGUCUUUCUUAAGGGCUUUAGGGACUUUCACCCAAGGACCCACGGUCCCACAUAAAUAAUAUAUCGAAAGAUAGUGCCUAUAGCUUCUCAUAACCACUUCCCACAUAUCAAGUUAUUCUCUAGAUAUUAUCUGUCAUUGUUUCAUAUCAUUCUUGCAAUGUAACCAUACCAUGAACCAUUUUCUCAAUACUGAACUUGUGAAUCCUCAUACCAAUACAUAUCCAAAUAUCAUUGCAAGAUUUUAAAACAAUAAACUAAGAACACCAUUGCACAUUAAAGCACUUCAUGAAAUCAUAGUAAAGGUAUGAAAAUUUCCAUAAAUGCUUCAACAAAUGAAACAAAGAUACACAGUGGAAUGGUAUAAAAUUUCCUACUUUACACCAACUUCUCUUUUACAAUCCUUCUAUGUGGACACCAUCAACCAUUACAAGGAACUAAAAUGAAACAACAUAAUUUAGGUUUCCCAACCAUAAAAGUUAAACGAUUAAGACUUAUGACAUUUUCCUUAUUGCUAAUUUUAAUAAUUUAAUACUAAUAACUUUAAUUUCCAUAUUCUCUAAUCAUCAUGCCCACAGGUUUUCAAAUCAAAUUUAAGGUGAAUUAAACAAUCUGUGUUAUGCAUACUGAUAUUCCCCAAUUAAUUAGGAUACAUUAAUUAUUUUGAUUUUCCUUAAACCUAUUCCAUUAGCAAGCUCCAAGUGUUCAAAUAAACCUAAUUAGUCACAUGAUUCAUUAAUCUAUUUUUCAAUUAAAGCAAACUAAACAAACAAGCAUUUUGAUUAUUUCGUCAAAAGAUACUUAAAUUAAAAUACUUAAAACCCUAAUUAACUUUAAUUUAUAAUAAAAACAUGCUUAUAACUAAUUAAACUCAAUUUUUAAACAAACUAUACAGUUAGUUUGUUUUAAAAGAUCAUUUGGAACCCAAAUUUACUAAAAUCACUAACUUUAUCUUCUUCCUUACCUUGAUUUCUUCACUUUCUCUCUCUAGCUUCUCUCUCUAGACCUGCCAAAUUGCUGCAAAGAUAGGGUUGGAAAUGAGGGCUAGUAGCCCUUAUAAAGUGAUUCCUAAGCUAGCAUGCAUGAGGUGGCAAGCUCUAAGGUUUCCACUAACUACCAAUUCUCCAAAUUGCAACUUAGUCCCUUUACUUGUGAUAUUUUAUGUUUUGUUGUUGCCCAUUAGUCCCUUAAAUUUUCUUAAUUCUGAUUAACCCCCAAAAAGUUAAUACACAUGCUUAAAUUGUUAACUAAUCAUACUUAACCUUAAUCAAAGUUUAAUUCAUAAUUAUAUAAGAUUAGCGUUAAACUAGUUUUAGCCUCUAAUUAAACACGUUUAAGGUUAAGUACUAAGAUAAUCAUUAUUGCCUAUUUAAUUCAUUACUACUAAAUAUUGUAAUAAAAGUGUUUUUUAAAAACAAUGUUAAAAGUUAGAUAUGAAAAUAAUUAUGCACAAUUCAAGGGAUAUGAUACCUAUACUUAUGGGACUAAAACAAAAAAACCUUACCCAAUAAAAUGGUGCAUGUUUAAUAAUUUAUUUCAAUUUGGACCAUAAUUCUCAUUCGUACAAUAUAUUUAUGUAUAUUUGGAAUCAUGAAUUGUAGCAAUCUUGUUUCAUCUACAACAUAAAUAGACAAUGCCUAAACAUGGUGAUUGUGUUACAAUGCAAAAUUCACGAAUCCCAUAUGCAAGUAUCUUUAUUAGACAGUAUCACGAGAUGAAUGCUUAGAUGACUAAUGGCAUGAUAGGCAAAAAAAACAUACUUGAUUCGUUUAAUCCAGUCGGGUCAUUUAAUAAAAAAACAUUUAUAAAUCCUAUGACCUCAUACUAGCGUAGCAAAGCUACUAUCGUAUAGCGGCUUAGGGUCGAACUCUGGGAUGGGUUUUCAUUCUACCAGUGAUAGACUCAAGAUUAGAAAUUGAAUCUGAUGAUUUCCUUUGUCAAAAACUUAAAGUUUAAAAGAAAAUAAAAUUUGUUUUGAAAGGUGUUUGAAACUAAACUAACAUAAAACUAAGUAGAAAUGGAAGAAAGAAAGUCUCCUGGAGCUAAGGGUUGCUAGGGUCAAAUUCAGAAUGCAAAGUGGGAAAUUCCAGAUUUUUCUUCUCGCAUUGGGGACAAUAACAUAAAGGAUGGUUGUUUCCCGAACCAGUAUAGGUUUGACAAUGAAGAUUUAAUCCAUAAAAAGUCAAUAGAAAUGGUAGUCAGGUUCCAUUAAUGGCUUUAGACACUAUGGGUCUUCACCUUGAGCCACUUUCCAAUGGCUCGUACAUGAUAACUAAUGGUCUGAUGUGGAUCUAGCAAUAAGUAUCCACAAAGACCUGAAACUUACCAUGUAUUGGCCAUUCAAAGUGAUUCUAAGGGAUUGAAAGCAAAACUUUAGAUUUAAAAGCCAUUUAUGAACUCCAACUACCUGUAUUUAAUGCACGAGAGUUUUCCACUUUAGCAUCUGGACUUUUCACCUAGCUUCCUUCACUCCAAGAAACCAAAAGUUUAGCCUCUCAUCCUCUGAGAAAACAUCUUCAGAGGUUGUUUGGCUUCCAAGAAAAAUAAAAUAGUAGAGAGAAAAGGAAAGCAAAAAGAGCCCUGUAUUUUACUAAGUGUUAAAAUAUACAAUAUGUCCGUUGUUCGAGAGGUGAUUUCCACCCCUCUUAUAGUCUUUACAAAAGCAAAGCCUGUGAUUGGCUAAUUACAGGGAUAAGAAAGGAAUUUACAUCAAAAAUACAAAAGAAAAUAUCUCAUGUGGAGUCGGCAAAACAGAGGAGAUUUCGCACCAAAGACGCAUGGGUUGGUGCGAAUUUCGCACAAGGAGAAGGUGUUGUGCGAAUUUCGCAUAAGCUUGGAGCAGUUGUCUUCUGAAGGUCAUAUCUUCCUCAUUUCAGCUCCAAAUCGUACACGGUUUGAAGCGUUGGAUUCUUGACUUCCUGAGCUUUGAAAUGGUAUAUAUCAUGUAGAAAAUGGACUUCAGGAAGUGCUCCAAAAGUGCGAAGGAAUACUGCAGCUGCUGUCCUCUAUUUUCUUCAUUCUGUUUGUUUUUCCUCUUUGCUUCUCUCCUUUACUUGGCUUGUCUUAAUGAUCCAAAAAGCUGUCAAAACACUAAAACUAGCCACAAAUAUGAUUAGAAGUCAUUGCUAGGUCCUUAACAUGCCAAUUGGAAUAAAGAUGGAGAAAUACUACACAAAAGUGCUUAAAACAUAAUGAAUUAAAGGCGCAAAAUAGCACUUUUUGGGUAGUAAUCAAUACUAUCCGGAUGACUUCCUGUGGGGAUCCCACCCUGAUAAAAUGAGUAUGAAAUGAUAAUCAAAGUCAAAGUGGAGAUUGGAGAAAAUUUUAGUAAACCUAAAGUGGGGACGAGGUCCUACUCCCUUCCCCAACCAACUUGCCUUGAUUGUUUAUAUAAUAUACAUAAUUUUAUAUUUCAAAAACUUAUGAAAAUAAUUGAAUAUGAAUUCCAAGAUUCGGGAAUAAGCAUAGACCCAGGAUUCCCCUAGCGGGAAUUCCAUGCCCUCAAAUGGAAUAAGGAUGGGGAGCCCUACCCAACCCUAUAUUUCUUACAUCUCUAAUUAGAAAAAUUAACAAAUUAAAUCCAUAUAGAGAAAUAAAUAAAUAAAUAAUAAGAAGAGGGAGCAAUUCUUCAAACUUUUUUGAGUUUUUCCUUGACAAAGUUGUGAUGAAAAGUCCAAGAAAGCCCCCCUAAAAAAAAAAAGGAACAGAAAUGCUCACCCUUCUCUCAAGUCUCAUCAACUGGUCCCCACCCAAAAUCUAACACCAGCCUGCUUUCCAAAGAAGGCUGAAAAUUCUCCCUUACCUACUUGAAAUCAAUCUCAAGAGAUUCAUUUAUAAAAAAAUAAAAAAUAAAAAAUAAAUAAAAAAGUGGACAAAGGAGAAGUAUGUCCAUACUCUCCAAGCAAUAUCCAUAAUUAGACUAGUAAGCGUAAAAGACUAGGCUCCAAAAGGAUGUUGUGAGAUAUCUAGAAGUUCACCCAUGACGUCUUCAACGUACUGUGAAGUUGAAGGCUAAAAGAUAAACACAAAACAUGAAAGCAUAUACAUGCGAAACUUGGAAUAGCGGAAAUGGAAAGUAGCAUGUGCCUUAGCAAUGCAAUUUUGUCUCUGUGUUUGUCAUGUAUGUGGUUGGGAGUGCUACCUUACAUUUCUAGUGCACAAAUAGACACCAUCAAACCUAGGGAAGAGCUUCAAUUCUUAGAAAAAUUACUGGUUUAUACAAAAGAGAAUUUACUUUAGGAUUCUUCAGCCUAGAAUCUAGCGAUAAUUUAGGAAUAUGGUUCACUAUUGAUGCUCAAAAGGAGAAAGUUUGGGUUGCUUACAGAGACAAGCCUAUAUCCCGUACCGAUGCAAACCUUACACUGGAUGCAAAUGGAAAAUUGAUGAUCAUGCAUAGUGGGGGUGAUCAAAUUGUCCUAAAUUCCAAUCAAGCAACUAGAAACUCAACAACUACUCUACUUGGGGAAAGUUUCGAUAAUCCUACAAACACCCUCUUGUAUGGGAUGAAACUAGGCAUCAACUUGAAACCUGGGCGAAACUGGUCACUUUAUGGAUAAACGAACAAGUGCUUGCUCCUGGGACUUUUACUCUAGAAUGGAAUGGCACAUAAUUGGUGAUGAAACGCCGAGAGGGCACCUACUGAAGCAGUCGAACCUUGAAAGAUAGGAGCUUUUGAGUUCAUUCUUUGGUUGGGAUUUGACCCUCACAAUAACAUUUACAAUUUUAAUAGUGUUUUUGAAUGCAAACAUGUUGUAGUAUGUUGCUCAUAUUGAGUGAAAGACAUAUGGAGAAAAAGAGGCAAAUUCCAUCAUUCAACUCCGACAUUUGCCAUUCAAGCUUAUAUUUUUUAUUGUUAAGAGUGAACGAUAGUUGGGGGGUAUAGGGGGCAACUCCCCCCACGGUAUGGUUUAGGGGUAUUUUUGGAAUUUCAAUAUCUGAGGGUUAGUAUAAAUACCCUUUUAUGUAACCUUAAUUUUUGAUAUAGUGAAAGUCUUCCUUCCUAUUCGCAUGAACGUAGGCAAUCUACUGAACCACGUUAAAUCUAUGUGUUUUCUUUUGUUUUUCUCUAAUUUCUUCAUUAGGAAUCAUUACAAGAAAAUCAACAAUUGGCAUUAGAGGACCAGGUUAUGAUGUUUAGGAUUUCUUUUGUGAAGUUCGACAUAGUCAAGUUCGAUGGAUCUGGGAAUUUCGGUCUAUGGUAGAAGAGGGUUAAGGAUCUGUUAGUGCAACAAGGUAUGGUGAAGGCCUUAUACAGAAAACAACCAAAAUGAAUGAACAACAUAGAUUGGAAGGAUUUGAAAGCAAAGAUUGUGGCAACUAUCAGGCUUUGUUUGGAUGAUGAUGUGAUAUACCAUAUCAUGGAUGAGGAAUCAGUGACAACAAUUUGGUUGAAAUUGGAAAGUCGGUAUAUGUCUAAGUCAUUGACAAAAAAGUUGUUUCUUAAGUAGAAACUGUAUGGUCUUAAGAUGGCAGAAGGCUCAUAUCUAAGCCAGUAUAUCAACGUGUUCAAUUAAAUCAUCAGUGAUUUGAAGUGAGUUGAUGUGAAGUUUGAAGACGAAGACAAGACGUUGAUGUUACUGAAUUCCUUACCUAUUUUUUCUAUCUAUGAAAAUUUGGUUACAACUCUGAUGUGGGGGAAAAAACACUUGAUUUGAAGGAAAUCACAAGUGCUCUUUUAGGUUUUAAUCAGAGGAAAAAAACCAAUGAUGAGAGUUCCUAUGGUGAAGAGCUUAUGGCAAAGAGUAAUUAGGAACGUGGGAGAAACAAUUUUUGGAGCGAAUCAAGUAACAAUAAAUCUCAAUCUAAACCCAGGAAAAGAAAGAACAUACAAUGUUAUACGUGUGGAAAAAUGGGGCACAUGAAAUGAGAUUGCCUAGAGAAAAAGAAAGGGGGCUUGGUAUCGGAAAAUAAAUAGGGUUCAUCAAAGUCUGCAAAUGUAGUGGUAGAAAAAGACUUAGAGAGUGGUGAUGGUGAUAUGUUGUCAGUUUCAUCCAGUUCAAAUCAUCUGACAGAUUCUUGGAUUUUGGAUUCAACAUGCUCUUAUCAUAUGACACCCAAUCAAGAUUGGUUUAACACAUACAAGUUAGUAAAUUGUGCUUCUAUUCUAAUGGGUAAUGAUGCUUCAUGUAAAGUUGUUGGAAUAUGGAAUAUCAUAAUUAAAAUGUUUGAUGGUGUUGUUAGAAUGUUGUGUGAUGUUAGACAUGUACCUAAUUUAAGGAAGAAUCUAAUUUCUUUGGGGACUUUAGAUUGUAACGGGUUUAGUUACAAGUCUACAAAUAGAGUAAUGAAUGUGAGUAAAGGUGUUAUGAUAGUGAUGAAAGGAUAGAAGCUAGUAGGAAAUAUUUAUAAAUUGUUAGGUACCACAGUUGUGGAUGGAGUUGCAACCGCAAAGUCUAAGUUAGACAGUACAGUCUUGUAGCAUAUGCGGUUCAGGCAUAUGGUUGAGUGUGGGAUGAGAGAGCUUCAUAAAAGAAAUCUGUUAAAAGGCAUCAAAACACGUAAACUUGAUUUUUGCAAGUAUUGUGUUUUUGGGAAAUAGAAUAAAGUGUAGUUCAAGACAGCCACACACAAGACAGAGGGAUUUCUUGACUAUGUCUAUACAGAUGUUUGGGGACCAGUAAGGAUAGCAUCAUUAGGAGGAAAUAUGUAUUUUGUGAGUUUUAUUGAUGAUUACUCACGAAAGGUUUGGGUGUACUUCAUGCAGCACAAGUCAGAUAUGUUUGCCAAGUUUAAGCUGUGGAAAGUUGAAGUAGAAAACCAGACAGAGAGGAAGAUAAAAUGCCUUAGGUCAGAUAAUAGUACUGAGUAUACAGAUUCAAAGUUCACAGAAUUGUGUGAGUAACAUGGGAUUAAGAGACACUUCACAGUACGUAAGACACCAUAGCAAAAUGGUGUAGCAAAAAGGAUGAACAGAACAAUAGCUGAAAGAGCUUGGUGUCUCAUAUUGAAUGCAGGGCUUGAAAAGAAAUUAUGGGUAGAAGUAGUGAACAUGGCAUGUUACUUGAUCAAUAGGUCACCUAGGGCAACAUUAGGUGGGAAAGUAGUAAAUGAGGUAUGGACGGGCAGUGCAGUAGACUACUCUGAUUUGAGAGUGUUUUGGUGUCCAGCUUAUGUACACAUUCCUAAUGAGGAGAGAUCGAAGCUUGAUGUGAAGUCUGGACAAUGUAUUUUUCUAGGGUAUCAGAAAGGAGUGAAAGGCUUCAAGCUUUGGGAUCCAAGGCAAACAAGGUGGUGAUCAACAGAGAUGUGGUUUUUUAUGAGAAAGUCAUGUUACAGUGUACUCGGAAAGAAAAGAAACAGGAGCUAGAAAAUUGCAUCAAAAAUGAGCAAUUGAUACAAGUGGGGUUAGAGACCCAUGAUAUAGAGAAUUGUGCUUGGAAUGCAAGGAGGUCUAGUUUAGAAGAUCAGAAGCUCCACAAUAUAGCCAUAGACAGACACAGAUGCACUUUCAGGCCACCUACUAGGUAUGGUUUUGAGGAUUUGGUUUCUUAUGCACUAACUACUAGUAGUAGGGAUCCUACUAACUUCCAAGAGGCAAUACAUAGUCAAGAGAAAAGUAGAUGGAUGGGUGCUAUGAUGGAGGAGAUGCAGUCUUUGCAUAAGAACCAAACAUGGGAGUUGGUGGAGCUUCUAAAGGGGAAGAGAGAAAUGGAAUGUAAAUGGGUGUAUAAGAAUAAAGAAGUAGUUUUAGAAAAAUAUGGUGAAAAGCUCAAAGCUUGUAUAGUAGCAAAGGGUUACUCACAGAGGAAAAGGGUUGACUAUGAUGAUAUUUUCUUCCCUCGUGGUUAGACACACUUCCAUUAGGACAGUAUUGGGUUUGGUAGCACGUUUUGACAUGUAGUUGGAGCAAAUGGUUGUAAAGACAACUUUUCUUCAAGGUGAUUUGGAGGAGUUGGUCUAUAUGGUACAACCAUAAGGGUUUAUUCAACCUAAAUAGGAACACUUGGUUUGUAAAUUGAGGAAAUCACUUUAUGGGUUGAAGUAGUCCCCAAGGCAGUGUGGUAUAAGCAAUUUGACUCCUACAUGAUCAGGAUUGGCAAUAAGAGAUGUGAGUAUGAUUUUUAUGUUUAUGUAAAGAGCCUAGAUGAUGAUUCAUUUAUUUCUUCAUUACUCUAUGUGGAUGAUAUGCUAAUUGCUAUAAAGAAUAUGAUUUAGUUCAAUAAGUUGAAGUCUUUGUUGAGCAAGGAGUUUGACAUGAAGGAUUUAGGUGUGGCUAAGAAGAUUCUUAGGAUGGAGAUUAAUAGAGAUAGAGUUUUAGGGAGAUUAUGGUUAUCUCAACAUAGUUAUGUCAAGAGAGUGUUGGAGAAGUUCAACAUGGAUAAUGCAAAACCAAUAAGUACACCUUUGGCGAAUCAUUUUAAAUUGUCUACUAAUUAGUACCUAAAGACAGAUGAAGUGAAAGACAUGUCAAAGGUUCCAUAUGCAAGUCCAGUGGGAUGCUUGAUGAAUGCUAUGGUUUGUACAAGACCAGAUUUUGCACAUGUUGUUAGUGUGGUGAGUAAGUUUUUAUCAAAUCCGAGAAGAUUACAUUGGGUUGUAGUCAAAUGGAUUUUUAGAUACUUAAGGGGUACUGAUUACUACUCAAAAAAUACUAUUUCAUAGCUUGUAAUUAACUCUUUUAAACGCUUUUGAGUAGUAGUUAUCACCUUUUAACCCAAUUAACAUAUUAAGGACCCUUGCAAUCAAUUCUAAUCAAAUUAUGUUAAGUUUUGGUGUUUUGAUAGCUUUUUGAUCACCAAAGCAAUCUGGGCUUGAGGAGAGUUCUUUGGAAUCCAUAAGCAAAUCCAGAAUGCAAGGAGUAUAUCCGGACAGGGCGUUCGGAUACGCCAUCGAAGGGCAUCUGGAAAACAUAUCCGGAUAAGAUGCUAUCGUUUCAUCCGGACACUGAUUACUACUCAAAAAGUGCUAUUUGAUAGCCUAUAAUUAAUCCUUUUAAACACUUUUGAGUAGUAGUUUUGGCCUUUUAACUCAAUUGGCAUGUUAAGGACCCUUGAAAGCAAUUUUAAUCACUUUGUGUAAGUUUUGGUGUUUUUGUUAGUAAUUUGAUCACCAAACCAAUUCAAGAUUGAGGAGAAUUAUGAGGAAUCUUGGGCAAAGCUUGGAAGUCAUUUGCCAAGAGUGAAUCCGGAUUGCAAGGAGAAAAAUUAAAGAGAAUCUGUCAUGAAGCAUAUUCUUGAUGACAGUCGUGGAAGCCACUUUUGGAGCACUUUCUGAAGUCCAAUUGAUGCAUGAUAUAUACCAUUUCAAAGCUUAGGAAGUAAACAAUCCAAUGCUUCAAACAGUACACAAUUCGGAGUUGAAACGAAGAAGUUACAGCCACUGCAAGUCAAUCACUCUAAGUUGAAGGAAGCAUUUUGCAAAGUGUUGCGAAAUCACCCUUUUGUUGCGAAGUGAUUCCGCAACCUUUUUGUACAGUGUGGUGUAUUUCCUUCUAAAGUUGCCCGAUAUAUGCCGGAAGCUGGGAGCUGAGAACCUCAAGGUGGAAGCUAACUUCGCAGCCUUGCAAGAAUAGCAUGUUGUUGCGAAAUGAUUUCGCAGCCCUUCUUGAGUGCCUGCGAAAUCUCGCAGACACCAUUUUCUCUUGCGAAAUGGUUCCUGGAGCAUCCCGAUAUUUGCUACCGACAUUUGGAGAUAUUUUCUAUUAGAUUUUUGUUGUCUAAAUCCCAAAAUACUCCUUAUAAGCCACCAAUUACAAGAUUCCUUAGCUUUUAAGUUAGUAAAAAGAGAAAAUAUCUAUGUAAUAAUUAGUUUUAUAUUAUGUUCAUAUAAGUACCUCUCAGGAGCCUGUUCUCAGAGGGGAGAUCCUUUUGAAAAUUUUUGGGUAAGCAAGUAAAGUUUAGACCCUUUGUUUUGCCUUACCUUCUCACUUUGUAUUUUUAUUUUCUUACUAAGUUAUGAACUCUCUGAGGAGUUUUUCCCAGAGAAUGAGUAACUAAACCUCUAAUUCCUUGGAGCUAAGGUUGUCGGGGAAGGUUCCAAGUGCAAGAAUGCAAAGCUUUGUGGUUUCAGCCAGCAAUGAAGAGGAAGUGAAAUCCUUUAGUGAUUUCUAUGUUUUUAGUUAACUUAAAACACCUUAGAGUCACUUGGGCCAACACUUGGUAAGGCAAGUGAUUUCCAACCAUGGAGAUGCACUAGUUUACCCCUUGCGAGCCUCUGGGAGGUGACUUUAAGGUAGGAUUUUCUAGAAUUGCCAACACUUGGUAAGCUUUUGGACUCCAAGGAGACAUCCAUUAGUUAUCUCUUGCGAGCUUGAGAAGGGAAGUCCAAGGUUAAAGAUCACCUUGAAUGGUUAAGGCUUAGUAAGAGGCUUAAACCAUUGCAGUUGCAUCAGUGAGAGAAUUAAAGUUGAAAUCUAAUUAAAGGAUGUAUCUGUACAACGCCGGUUAGAGAAUUGACUAUAUGUUGAAUCUCUAACGUGAGGAAAUGAACCAUCUGACCGAAGCUAUGUCUUUUGCAUGAGGAACCACCCCAGUGAACCUGACUCUCCAAGGAAUGUUUUUCUUCCUAAGUUAUUCCCAUUACUUGUUUUGUUAGUUAGUUUAAAUCUAAAUUUUUACAAAUCAAAGUUUGUGUUUUAGUUCUUAAGCUAACCUUGAAAUGAAACAAAACCAAUUCACUUUGAAUUGGUAUCAUUGAUAGCUUGUUAAUCCUUCCCAGUGAACGAUCCUAGAGCCACUAUACUAUAGUAGCUUUGUCUUUGCUACCCUAGUAAAUGGUGUAAUAGGUUAUAAAUUUUGUUGAUUACUCCCUCAAUCAAGGAGUACCAGCUGGACACGAAUCAGCUGAGACACCAAUUGGGCACGAAUCAAAUGGCGCCAUUGCCGAGGAAGGUGUAAAUUUUGUAGUGAUACCAUUUUUGAGCACUUGUGAUUUUCAUCACAAGUUUGGUAACGUUUCUUUCACUUUAUUAAUUCUCAUUCUUUCUUUAUUUAUUCAUAAUCCAAGUUUAUCUUUUAAAAUUUAGCCUAGUUUAAUUUUGUUGUUGUAGCCCUGUUUUUGUUGUUGUCCUUUAUUUUCAUUUAAGUUGCAGAUAGAUACUAGUUGUGUAUGCCAAAGUGGAUACGAGAUAGUGGAGGAAGGCUUGUUAAGUGUGAUACACCUCAGAGAAAAGAAUUCGAAUUAAGCUUGAAUAUCAUGGAAACUACACCUGAAGAUCAGCAUAGUCACCAAGGUCGUCAAGACAAUCUCAAUGAAUUCAGAUCAAUGAGGGACCGUAUGCAUCCACCUCGUAUGAGUGCACCAUCAUGUAUAGUGCCCCGUAGCUAGUGAUCAGACCAUAUCUUGUUCCACUUCUACCAACUUUCCAUGGGAUGGAAAGUGAGAAUCCGUAUGCACACAUAAAGGAAUUUGAAGAUGUUUGUAAUACAUUCCAAGAGGGAGGAGCUUCAAUUGAUUUGAUGAGGCUUAAAUUAUUUCCUUUUAAUUUAAAGGAUAAGGCCAAAAUUUGGCUUAAUUCUUUAAGGCCAAGGAGUAUCCGUUCUUGGACUGACUUACAAGCUGAAUUCCUCAAGAAAUUUUUUCCCACUCAUAGAACAAAUGGCUUGAAAAGGCAAAUUUCAAAUUUCUCAGCUAAAGAGAAUGAGAAAUUCUAUGAGUGUUGGGAAAGAUACAUGGAAACUAUAAAUGCUUGCCCUCACCAUGGCUUUGAUACUUGGCUAUUGGUGAGCUAUUUUUAUGAUGGUAUGUCCUCUUCAAUGAAGCAACUCCUCGAGACAAUGUGUGGAGGAGAUUUCAUGAGCAAAAAUCCAGAGGAAGCUAUGGAUUUUUUGAGCUAUGUAGCUGAUGUUUCAAGGGGAUGGGAUGAACCAACCAAAGGAGAAGUGGGUAAGAUGAAGUCUCAACUGAAUGCUUUCAAUGCAAAGGCUGGGAUGUAUACCUUGAAAGAAGAUGAUGAUAUGAAAGCAAAUUUGGCAACUAUGACAAGAAGAUUGGAGGAGCUGGAGCUGAAAAGAAUUCAUGAAGUGCAAGCUGUGAAAGUGAAAGCUGUGCAAGUGAAGUUGUGUCCUAAUUGUCAAUCAUAUGAACAUUUGGGGGAGGAAUGCCCUGCAAUUUCAGCUGAAAGGGAAAUGUUUAGAGAUCAAGCAAAUGUUGUUGGACAAUUUAAGCCUAAUAACAAUGCGCCUUAUGGAAAUACCUACAACUCAAGUUGGAGGAAUCAUCCAAAUUUCUCAUGGAAGGCCAAAGCAACUCAAUACCAACAGCCGGAUCCACCAUCUCAACAAUCUUCAAGUCUUGAACAAGCAAUGGCUAAUCUCAGCAAGGUAGUGGGAGAUUUUGUUGGAAACCAAGAAGCCACCAAUGCUCAAAUCUAUCAAAGAAUUGACAGAGUGGAGAGUAUGUUGAAUAAAAGGAUGGAUGAAAUGCAAAAUGAUAUGAACCAAAAGUUUGAUAACAUCCAAUAUUCAAUUUCAAGGCUUACAAAUUUGAAUACUGCAAGAAAAGGGAAGAUUUCCUUCUCAAUCCCACCAGAACCCCAAAGGUGUCCAUGAAGUGGAAAGCCAAGAGGGAGAAUCAUUGCAGACGAAAGAUGUCAAAGCCUUGAUCACUCUAAGGAGUGGUAAAAAAAUUGAGAAGCCAACACCCGAGCCAUAUGUGGAGAAAGAAGAAGAGAUAAAGAAAGGGAAGGAAAUGGAAGAUAAAGAGAAUGAGAUCAGUGAAGAAACGAAGGACCCUGAUUCAACAAUGAAUGCAAUUCCAGGGAAGGAACUUAUGAAGGAAGAAAUGCUGAAGAAAUCAACUUCUCCACCUUUUCCUCAAGCAUUACAUGGGAAAAAAGGGAUUAGAAAUGCAGCUGAAAUCCUUGAAGUAUUGAGACAAGUGAAAGUCAAUAUUCCACUGCUGGAUAUGAUUAAACAAGUUACAACGUAUGCAAAAUUCCUAAAGGAUUUAUGUACUAUCAAAAGAGGGUUGACUGUAAACAACAAAGCCUUCUUGACUGAGCAAGUAAGUGCAAUCUUACAAUGUAAGUCUCCUUUGAAGUACAAAGACUUGGGAAGUCCUACCAUUUCAGUCAUGAUUGCAGGAAAGGUAGUGGAGAAAGCCUUGUUAGACUUGGGAGCAAGUGUGAAUUUGCUUCCAUAUUCCGUCUACAAGCAAUUGGGACUUGGGGAAUUGAAGCCAACAACAAUCACUCUAUCUCUAGCAGAUAGAUCAGUAAAAAUCCCAAGGGGGGUAAUUGAGGAUGUCUUAGUUCAAGUGGAUAAUUUCUACUAUCCAAUAGAUUUUAUUGUUCUUGAUACAGAUCCUACUGUAAAGGAAGCUAAUUUAGUUCCUAUCAUCCUUGGAAGGCCAUUUCUUGCUACCUCAAAUGCAAUCAUCAAUUGCAGGAAUGGGCUGAUGCAACUCACUUUUGGCAACAUGACACUGGAUCUCAAUAUUUUCUAUAUGUCUAAAAAGCAAAUCACUCCGAAAGAAGAAGAGGGUCCAGAAGAGCUGUGCAUUAUUGACACUCUAGUAGAGGAGCACUGUAAUCAAAAUAUGCAAGACAAGUUGAAUGAAAGUCUUGUGGAUUUUGAGGAAGGUUUGUCUAAAUCUCCUACUGUGCUUGCUACUCUACAAAGUUGGAGAAAGAUAGAAGAAAUUCUACCUUUGUUCAAUAAAGAAGAAGAGGCAACUGCUGAAAAAGAACCUCCAAAUCUCAAUCUGAAGCUUUUACCUGUGGAGGUGAAAUAUACAUAUCUUGAAGAAAAUAAUCAAUGUCCUGUUGUGAUAUCUUCAUCUCUGACCAAUCAUCAAGAGAAUUGUUUAAUGGAAGUUCUUAAGAGGUGUAAGAAGGCAAUAGGAUGGCAAAUAUCCGACUUGAAAGGCAUUAGUCCUUUAGUUUGUACUCAUCAUAUAUAUAUGGAGGAGGAGGCAAAGCCAAUUCGUCAACUUCAAAGAAGAUUGAAUCCUCAUCUACAAGAGGUGGUACGAGCUGAGGUGUUGAAGCUACUUCAAGCAGGAAUCAUUUACCCUAUAUCUGAUAGCCCUUGGGUGAGUCCUACUCAAGUGGUACCAAAGAAGUCAGGGAUCACAGUGGUUCAGAAUGAAAAAGGAGAAGAAAUUACUACACGCCUCACUUCAGGUUGGAGGGUGUGUAUUGAUUAUAGAAAGUUGAAUGCUGUAACCAAGAAAGAUCAUUUUCUAUUGCCAUUUAUUGACCAAGUGCUGGAGAGAGUCUCUGGACAUCCAUUCUAUUGCUUCUUGGAUGGGUAUUCAGGGUAUUUUCAGAUUGAAAUUGAUGUGGCAGAUCAGGAAAAGACCAGUUUUACAUGUCCAUUUGGAACAUAUGCUUACAGGAGAAUGUCUUUUGGUUUAUGCAAUGCACCUGCUACAUUUCAAAGAUAUAUGUUGAGUAUUUUCAGUGAUAUGGUGGAGCGAAUUAUGGAGGUUUUCAUGGAUGACAUCACCGUAUAUGGAGGUACAUAUGAGGAAUGCUUAGUCAAUUUGGAAGCGGUUCUUCACAGAUGCAUUGAAAAAGACCUAGUGCUCAACUGGGAGAAAUGCCAUUUUAUGGUACGUCAAGGAAUUGUCCUUGGCCAUAUCAUCUUUGAAAAAGGCAUUGAAGUUGUUAGCAACAAUUGUCAAAUUGCAAAGGUGGAUUGUAAAAGGAGUAAGGCAGUUCCUUGGCCAUGCAGGGUUCUAUAGGAGGUUUAUAAAAGGUUUUUCAAGUCUUUCAAAACCUCUUUGUGAGCUGUUAGCUAAGGAUGCUAAAUUUAUAUGGGAUGAAAGGUGUCAAAAUAGCUUUGAUCAACUGAAAAAUUUUUUAAUAACAAAUCCAAUAGUGAGAGCUCCUAACUGGCAAUUACCUUUUGAACUGAUGUGUGAUGCCAGUGACUUUGCUAUAGGAGCUGUGCUUGGCCAAAGGGAAGAUGGGAAGCCCUAUGUGAUUUACUAUGCAAGUAAAACACUGAAUGAAGCUCAAAGAAACUACACAACUAUAGAGAAAGAAGUGUUAGUUGUGGUAUUUGCUUUGGACAAAUUUCGUGCUUAUUUAGUGGGGUCUUUCAUCAUUGUCUUCACUGACCAAAGCAAGAUGCAAAAGCAAGGUUGAUUAGAUGGAUUCUUUUGUUACAAGAAUUCGAUCUCCAAAUCAAAGAUAAGAAAGGAGUGGAGAAUGUAGUAGCUGACCACCUUUCAAGGUUAGUUAUAGCACAUAAUUCCCAUCUCUUGCCUAUUAAUGAUGAUUUUCCUGAAGAAUCACUCAUGUUCCUAGUGAAAACUCCUUGGUAUGCUCAUAUUGCUAAUUAUUUAGUAACUGGUGAAAUUCCAAGUGAGUGGAAUGCACAGGACAGGAAGCACUUCUUUGCCAAAAUUCAUGCUUAUUAUUGGGAAGAGCCCUUUCUUUUUAAGUAUUGUGCAGAUCAGAUCAUAAGGAAAUGUGUCCCUGAAGAUGAGCAGCAAGGGAUUCUAUCUCAUUGUCAUGAGAAUGCAUGUGGAGACCACUUUGCCUCUCAAAAAACAGCUAUGAAGGUGUUGCAAUCAGGGUUUACCUGGCCAUCUCUUUUUAAAGAUGCCCACAUCAUGUGUAGGAGUUGUGAUAGAUGCCAACGGCUUGGAAAGUUAACAAAAAGAAAUCAAAUGCCUAUGAACCCUAUUCUAAUAGUUGAGUUAUUUGAUGUAUGGGGCAUUGACUUCAUGGGACCUUUCCCAAUGUCUUUUGGUAAUUCUUACGUCUUUGUGGGGGUGGAUUAUGUUUCUAAAUAGGUUGAGGCAACCCCCUGUAAACAAAAUGAUCAUAGGGUGGUUCUCAAGUUUCUUAAAGAGAACAUUUUCUCAAGAUUUGGGGUGCCCAAAGCUAUAAUCAGUGAUGGAGGUGCUCAUUUUUGCAACAAACCUUUUGAAGCUCUGUUAUCCAAGUAUGGAGUGAAGCAUAAGGUGGCUACACCUUAUCAUCCUCAGACUUCCGGGCAAGUUGAGCUAGCUAACAGGGAAAUAAAGAAUAUAUUGAUGAAAGUAGUGAACUCCAGCAGAAAGGAUUGGUCUAUUAAGCUUCAUGAUUCAUUGUGGGCAUAUAGAACAGCUUAUAAAGACUAUUCUUGGCAUGUCUCCCUAUCGUCUUGUCUAUGGAAAAGCAUGCCAUCUCCCUGUGGAAGUUGAAUACAAAGCUUGGCGGGCAAUAAAGAAGCUGAACAUGGACUUGAUCAGAGCCGGAGAAAAGAGAUAUCUAGACCUUAAUGAGAUGGAGGAAUUAAGAAAUAAUGCUUAUAUCAAUUCCAAAGUUGCAAAACAGAGGAUGAAGAAGUGGCAUGAUCAACUCAUCUCCAACAAGGAAUUUCAGGAAGGGCAAAGAGUUUUACUGUAUGACACAAGACUCCAUAUCUUUCUUGGGAAGCUCAAGUCAAGGUGGAUAGGCCCGUUCAUUAUUCACCGAGUAUAUUCCAAUGGAGUGGUGGAAUUAUUGAAUUCAAAUGGCAAGGACAACUUUAGAGUCAAUGGAUAUCGUCUCAAGCCAUUCAUGGAGCCAUUCAAACCAGAAAAGGAGGAAAUUAACCUCCUUGAGCCUCAAAAAGCCUAAGCAAAGAAGGGUUUGAUGGAUGUGGUUUUACCACAGUCCAAAAUUUUUGUAGAUUUUGUAAAUUUUCAAGUUUUUUCCAUACUUUUGAUCUUAGUUUUUGAUCGUAAAUCAUGUUUUUAUGUGUGUUUCAAUCUUUUUGAAUGAUCCCAGGUGGAAGAAAUUGCAAAGAAAUUGAAAAAAAAAAAAAUCGGAGCAAAAAUAGAGUGAAAACAAAGCAAAAACAGAGCUCUGCGAGAUUUCGCAGCCUAAAGAAAACUUCUGCGAAAUGAGCAUUUUGUUGUCAAACCAUUCAGCAACACUUUGGGAUUCUCUGCGAGAAUUUUCGCAGCUGCGAAGGCGAGUUUGGCACACGAGUGCCACUUCGCAGCAUAGGAGCCCCCAUUUCGCAGCUGCGAAACUGUUGCGAAGCGGUAAAACCUAGAUUUCGCAACAAAAGUCCCAUUCCGCAAGGUAUUUCGCAAUUGCGAAAGUGAUUUUGGCACACGUGUGCCAUUUCGCAGCAUAGUUACAUUCAUUUCGCAGCUGCGAAACGCAUUGCGAAGUGGCUGCGAAAAUGACAUUUUGCUGCGAAAUUGGCAUUUUUUCUGCGAAACUCAAUUUGACCCUUAGUCUUUCGUUAUUACUAUAUAUACCAGUCAUUUGAGCUGUGAAAAGGGUUUCAAAAUAUAGCACGCCAUUCUCGCAGACUGUUCAUCUCCUUCCUUGAGCCUCACCGCGCAAGCCUCCGGUCAUCUUCUCCGACCAUCCAUUCCGACCAAAUUUCGGCAACUCGAAAUGGCGUGAACCAGAGGGGCUAAGUCUUCCUCUCCUUCAAGCCGCAAGAAAAGCUUGCGAAAGGAGCCAGUUCCAGAUCCCGUUUCUAUGCCUCCGCGGCCAAGAGCAAUUUCUCCUCCGGUGAAGCCCGCGCCGCCAAAGCCUCCGGCGAGGCGUUACCUUACCAGGUCAGGGGGUCGGCCGCUGCAGAAGAGACCAAGGGUUGAAAGCUCAGAACCCAUUGACUUGACUGAGCAAUCUCCAGAGCCCUCGCCGGUUCCAACUCUAGUUUCCUCGCCAGUUCCAUCUCCGGUGCCAUCUCCGGCACCGCAAGCAAAACCACAGGAGCCUCAGCCGCCACUUCCCGAGCCCCAAAUUUCAACUGAAAUAGCUCCGGAAGAAGUAAUCAGGCGGCCAAUGCUAACUCAACCCCCAAUUGAGGGAAAUUUGGAUUGUAGAGCUCGGCCAUUCCACUCCAAGCUAUGCUUUGACAUAGCCACAUUUCGAUUGCAGCCGGAGCUUGCACAGUCAUUCAACCUGCUGAGGAGAUACCACAUGGAGCACCUACUGACUCCGAGAGACUUUUUCUACCCUAGGAUAGACAUGGAUUUCUAUCAAUCCAUGAUAACCAAACAGGUCAGGGAUCCAACUUUAAUUCAUUUCACUAUUGAUGGGAGGCAUGGCAUAUUGGGAGCACGCCAUAUAGCUGAAGCCUUGCAAAUUCCCUACGAGCCAAGCCAAUUCGAUAAUUUUAAAGCUUGGACCAGUCAUACUGAACUGGAGAUGGUGCACACCCUGUCCAGAGGAGCUUCCACACGAUCACAUCUAUUGAGGGGGGAGCUUCCUCCAAUCAUCUUUCUGAUUGAUGCAUUUUUGCGUCAUAACCUCUACCCAUUGCAGCAUUGGACUCAAAGAAGAGGAGUCCUCUUAGAAGCCCUGUACAAGAUGUCUGAGGGAUUUUUCUUUGGGCCUCAUCAUCUAAUUCUGGCAGCCCUUCUCUAUUUCGAAGAGAAGGUACACAAAAAGAAGCUUCAGAGGGCUGAUACCAUUCCCUUCCUCUUUCCAAGGCUGCUAUGCCAAAUUCUGGAGCACUUGGGGUAUCCUUCUGAGCCUCAGCUGGAGCGCUAACGCAUUUGCCGUGAGCUAUUUACUCUCGACAAAUGGAACAACAUGACAGCUUAUAGAGUUGACCAGCCUGAGCGCCCACAGCCAGCUGCUAGGAGAGCAUCCCCACGACACAUACCUGAGGGUAUAACAGUUGCUGCUCCUGCCAUUCCCAGAGCUCCACCAGCUGUUCCAGCUUCAUCUCAGCCAUCCACUUCAGCUGAACCGAGGAUGACCAUUCCCAUUUCUGAAUACAGAGAGUUGUGUCGUUCAUUGGAGACCCUCACAGCAUCUCAGAGCAGUCUUGCUCAAGAGAUGGUAGCCAUUAGAGCAUGCCAAGAGCAGAUGUUGGCCACUCAGGCUCAACACACUACCAUCUUAAGGCAGCUCCAGCUUCAUUUCGACCUACCACCAGCUGUUGAGCCCUCCACAUCUACCACAACAGUGCCACACUCUCCUCCAGUAGAGCCUCAGGCCCCAGCUGAAGCACCAACUGAAGAGGCAGACCCAUCUGCCUAGCCCCAGCACCACCCACUCAUUAGAAUAUAUAUAUAUAUAUAUAUAUAUAUAUAUAUAUAUAUAUAUAUAUAUAUAUAUAUAUAUAUAUAUUGCUUUUCUUUUAUGUAUUUCGUUUUUAGUUGGAAAGAAAUCCCAUUAUUUUGGUACUAUAUUUGGGAUUGCUUGUAUUCCUUUUCUUUUGCAUUGUACUCAAAUGGAUUCAAAGUAAUACAAGUCUAAUAUUUCUUGUUAACAGUUUGCAUUAAUUUAUCCUUAUUUCCUUUUCUCACAUAUUCUAUUCUUUUUUAAACAUGUGGUUUCUCCAAUCAAUAUGCGAAAUUGAUAUCACUCAGGAGGUACCACUUCCUCCCUUUAAUUACAAUCACUCAUAUCACAUUGAGGACAAUGCUCAGUUCAGUUGGGGGGGAAUGAGGAAGGAAGUUAUGCUAAAUUAAAGGAACUAUGCUAAGUCUUUUUGGUAAUGCAAUUAUUUUGGUAAAUUAGUUGUAGUUUUUGCUUUUUACUCUUUUUACUCUAUUCUACAUGAAGUUUGAGGAAAAAUUUUCAAAUUAAAACAGGAGAAAUUGAACUGUUGUUUUUCACUUGACUUAGAGUAUGGAUUAUGCUCACUAAAGUGGUUCAAUUGUUGAAGCUUCUAUUGAAAUUGAAUUUAGUUCUUCCACUUUAAGCUAUUCACACACUGUGCACAUUAGAUUCCGAUUAUAACAUGAAAAGCUAUUUCCCUCUUGACUUAGGAUAAUUUUAGGACUUGGUAUAUUUGACCUCAUUUGAUAAAAUUGAAACACCUUGCAAAAGGCCAAUGAGCCUUUGAAAUAAAGAAAGUUGUUUGCUUGCCUUAAAACCCGAGCAAGGUCUGAGAGGCAUAUGGUGAAAAUCUUUGAAGCCUGGUGCCCUAAGCCUUAAUUGGUUGGGAGUCACCGACCUCAAUGCUCGUUACAAGGGUGGAUAGGAGGAGUUAGCAUGUGGUAGGUGCUUGGGUAUUAGAAAUUCAUUCUCAAAAGUCCGGGGAAAAAUCUGAGGAGUUAGUGGUUGAAAGAUCCUUAAAGCUUGGUGCCCUAAACCUUAAUUGGUUGGGAGUCAUCAAUGGACCCCCAUUACAUGGAAAAUUCAGAAAGAGUACCCCAUUAAGCCUCUUCUAAAAAAAAAAAAAAAAAAGUGUGUUCUUUCUUUAUUGAUUUUGGUCAGUUUGCUAAGUUUUGAAAAGAGAUAGGUUGGGGGGAGAGAUUAGUUUAGCAUAUUAUUCUCGGAAGCUAAGGAACCAAUACACAUAGAUUUUUGAGGAAGAAUAAAGUUUGGUUCUUUGAAAGUGGAAAUGAUUUUAAAACUUAAGUUUGCAUAAUGCAUUCCCUUGAUUGACAGUGUUUAGCAUAGUUUGUUAUAACUCUUGUUGAAAUUUGGGUUUGUAUUUCUUUAAUGUUUCAUGAGAGAAUUAGAUCAUCAUGCCACUUGAGAAUUGUUUUUGAUCAGCAUGAUGUUGUAAAUUUUAGUAUAAGUUGCUUUUUAUUUUCAAUUUUUCUCUCCUAUAUUGCUAAGGGACUAGCAAUAUGUCGGUUGGGGGGAGUGAUUACUACUCAAAAAGUGCUAUUUGAUAGCCUAUAAUUAAUCCUUUUAAACACUUUUGAGUAGUAGUUUUGGCCUUUUAACUCAAUUGGCAUGUUAAGGACCCUUGAAAGCAAUUUUAAUCACUUUGUGUAAGUUUUGGUGUUUUUGUUAGUAAUUUGAUCACCAAACCAAUUCAAGAUUGAGGAGAAUUAUGAGGAAUCUUGGGCAAAGCUUGGAAGUCAUUUGCCAAGAGUGAAUCCGGAUUGCAAAGAGAAAAAGUAAAGAGAAUCUGCCAUGAAGCAUAUUCUUGAUGACAGUCGUGGCAGCCACUUUUGGAGCACUUUCUGAAGUCCAAUUGAUGCAUGAUAUAUACCAUUUCAAAGCUCAGGAAGUCAACAAUCCAAUUCUUCAAACGUUACGCAAUUCGAAGUUGAAACGAAGAAGUUACAGCCACUGCAAGUCAAUCACUCUAAGCUGAAGGAAGCAUUUUGCAAAGUGUUGCGAAAUCACCCUUUUGUUGCGAAGUGAUUCCGCAGCCUUUUUGUACAGUGUGGUGUAUUUCCUUCUGAAGUUGCCCGAUAUAUGCCGGAAGCUGGGAGCUGAGAACCUCAAGCUGGAAGCUAACUUCGCAGCCCUGCAAGAAUAGCAUGUUGUUGCGAAAUGAUUUCGCAACCCUUCUUGAGUGCCUGCGAAAUCUCGCAGACACCAUUUUCUCUUGCGAAAUGGUUCCUGGAGCAUCCCGAUAUUUGCUACCGACAUUUGGAGAUAUUUUCUAUUAGAUUUUUGUUGUCUAAAUCCCAAAAUACUCCUUAUAAGCCACCAAUUACAAGAUUCCUUAGCUUUUAAGUUAGUAAAAAGAGAAAAUAUCUAUGUAAUAAUUAGUUUUAUAUCAUGUUCAUAUAAGUACCUCUCGGGAGCCUGUUCUCAGAGGGGAGAUCCUUUUGAAAAGUUUUGGGUAAGUGAUUACUACCAAAAAGUGCUAUUUUGUAGACUUAAUUAUAAUGGUUUUAAGCACAUUUGAGUAGUAAUCAUAUUCAUUUAACCCAAUUAAUUCAUUAAGGUCCUUAGUAAUUGGUUUUAACCAUUUUGUGGCAAGUUUACAUGUUUUUAUCAGCUUAUGAAUCAAUUCAAGCAUGCCAAAUGAUGGAGGAGCUACUUGGACAAGUUUUGGCAAAGCUUUUGGAAGCUCAAAUUCAUGAAGAACCAAGCUUUGGAGCUCCAUAGCCCUUUGCCAAAGUCGUUCAAAGUAUGCAAGGAAAGAACAAUGGAGAAGAGGAAAACAGAGGACAACAGUUUCUUUUAUUUUUGUUUUAAUUUCAAUUUGUGCAUUCCUUGUUGGAUUCGAGACCAAGAGGGAACCCUGGUACAAGUUGAAGAAAAGAGCCUUAGUUGAAUAUCAUUUUUUUUAGAAAUGGAAAUUCCACAUGAAGAUCAAAGCUCUCAUUAUGAUCAUGAGAAGGACAAAUUUGCAUACCUAUCCAUGAGGGAUCGGAUUGAAUUGGGGAAAAGGCAAGUUCAACAAAGCCAAUGGGGUAGUAAGUAUGCUUUGAAUGGAGAUGAUUCAUAUGAGCAUACGAUAGGGGAGUGCUCUACCAUUCCAACUGUGAGAGACAUGUAUGGUUACCAAAGCUCCUACACCUCAAGUUGGAAUAACCAUCCCAACCUUACAACCCAACCUCAACCUCAACCUCAACCAUCAAUGAGUACAUCUUCAUUGGAGCAAGCCAUUUUGAAGAUAAGCAAAGUCAUGGAGGACUUUGUAGGUGAGCAACAAAAGAUCAACUCUCAUCUUAAUGAAAAGAUUGAUAAUAUGGAGAGUUCAAUGAAUGUAAGAAUGGAGGGGGUUUAUAAUGAUCUAUCACUAAGGAUAGAAAAAAUUCAAGACUCCAUUGAGAAGCUCACCAAUCUCGACAUAGCAAGGGGGAAAAGGAAGCUUCCUCCUCAACCCCACCAUAACCUUCAAGGAACCAAUGCAAAAAGAUCAAGGAAAGUGUUGAAGAUCGACACUUUGGUGGGGGAUUGCUAUGACAACUCUAUGGACCAACCUUCCAUUGAAAAUCAUAAGGUUCAAGAUGACAAAGGGUUACCUGAACCCUUUAAAGCAUCCACUUCUCCAGGGAAGAGAAGAGAAACGAAUUCCCUUGGACCAAAUGGGAAGGAUGCCAAUUUUGUUUGGGAUCCAGGGGGAAUUCAACAUGAAGUGGGUGUGUGAGUGAGGAUGAGCUAAAUAGUUCAUCUUCUUUUUGGGGUACAUGCUAUCAGCUUCAUUUAAAUUCUAUGCUUUCUUUAAAUUUAUGCAUGUUUUAGUUUGAAUUCUUAGCUUUAAUUUAGUUUUAAUAUGUUUUUAAGAUGAGUUUUGAAGUGUUCAUGCAGGUAUGAUGCUUGCAAAAAUCGAAGUUAAGGCAAGUGAUGAAGAGGAAGUGAAAUCAUUUAGUGAUUUCUAUGUUUUUAGUUAACUUAAAACACCUUAGAGUCACCUGGGCCAACACUUGGUAAGGCAAGUGAUUUCCAACCAUGGAGAUGCACUAGUUUACCCCUUGCGAGCCUCUGGGAGGUGACUUUAAGGUAGGAUUUUCUGGAAUUGCCAACACUUGGUAAGCUUUUGGACUCCAAGGAGACAUCCAUUAGUUAUCUCUUGUGAGCUUGAGAAGGGAAGUCCAAGGUUAAAGAUCACCUUGAAUGGUUAAGGCUUAGUGAGAGGCUUAAACCAUUGCAAGUUGCAUCAGUGAGAGAAUUAAAGUUGAAAUCUAAUUAAAGGAUGUAUCUGUACAACGCCGAUUAGAGAAUUGACUAUAUGUUGAAUCUCUAACGCGAGGAAAUGAACCAUCUGACCGAAGCUAUGUCUUUUGCAUGAGGAACCACCCCAGUGAACCUGACUCUCCAAGGAAUGUUUUUCUUCCUAAGUUAUUCCCAUUACUUGUUUUGUUAGUUAGUUUAAAUCUAAAUUUUUACAAAUCAAAGUUUGUGUUUUAGUUCUUAAGCUAACCUUGAAAUGAAACAAGACCAAUUCACCUUGAAUUGGUAUCAUUGAUAGCUUGUUAAUCCUUCCCAGUGAACGAUCCUAGAGCCACUAUACUAUAGUAGCUUUGUCUUUGCUACCCUAGUAAAUGGUGUAAUAGGUUAUAAAUUUUGUUAAUUACUCCCUCAAUCAAGGAGCACCAGCUGGACACGAAUCAGCUGAGACACCAAUUGGGCACGAAUCAAAUGGCGCCGUUGCCGAGGAAGGUGUAAAUUUUGUAGUGAUACCAUUUUUGAGCACUUGUGAUUUUCAUCACAAGUUUGGUAACGUUUCUUUCACUUUAUUAAUUCUCAUUCCACCCGGAUGGUUCACACCCGGAUAGUGGGAGCGCGCCGCCAUUAUACCCGGCUGCCGCCACUUUACGCCCGAAUGUGAUAUUCUGCUCCGCCGCCAUUACAUCCAAAAUUCUGCUGCCGCCCACAUUCCACCCCGGAUGUUCACAUCCGGAAUUUUGACGCCAGAUGGGAGAGGAGGCGUUUCAAAUUCCUCGGAUGGACAUAUCCGGAUUCUCUGAUAGCCCCCUACCCGGAUGGGAGAGCAGCCAUUUUGCACAAGUGCUGUGGUGUUCUCCUGAAGCUUCUUGAUAUUUGCCAUCAACAUUUUGGGAUAUUUUGAGAUAUUUUGCUUUAGAUAUUUGUUGUCUAAAUCCCUAAAAUCUCAUUGUAACCCACCAAUUAUAGGAUUCCUUAGUUAUUAAGUUAGGAAAAAGGAUGAAUAACCUUUUAUAUAUUAUUAUUGUAAUUUUCAUAUAAAUAUCUCUCGGGAGCUUGUUUUCGGGACGAUCGAUCCUUUGUACAGUUUUACAAGGAAGAAAAAUACAGAGCCUUUGCUCUACUUUACCUUCUCAUUUUUAAUUAUAUUUUCUUAUUAGCCAAACAAGCUCUGAGGAUGUUUUCCCAGAGGAUGAGAGGCUAAACCUUUGGUUUCUUGGAGUGAAGGAAGCUAGGUGAAAAAUCCAGAUGCAAAAGUGGAAAACUCUCGUGCUUUAAAUACAGGUAGUUGGAGUUCAUAAAUGGCUUUUAAAUCUAAAGUUUUGUUUUAAAUCCCUUAGAAUCACUUUGAAUGGCCAAUACAUGAUAAGAUUUUAGGUCUCUAUGGAUACUUAUUGCUAGAUCCACAUAAGACCAUUAGUUAUCAUGUACGAGCCAUUGGAAAGUGGCUCAAGGUGAAGAUCCAUAGUGUCUAAAGCCAUUAAUGGAACUUGACUACCAUUUCUAUUGACUUUUUAUGGAUUAAAUCUUCAUUGUUAAACCUAUACCAGUUCGGGAAACAACCAUCCUUUAUGUUGUUGUCCCCAGUGUGAGGAGAAGAAUUCGGAAUUUCCCACUUUGCAUUCUGAACUUGAUCCUAGCAACCUUUAGCUCCGGGAGACUUUCUUUCUUCCAUUUUUACAUAGUUCUAUGUUAGUUUAGUUUCAAACACCACUUUCAAAACAAUUUUUUUUUAAAAAAAAAAAACUUUAAAGUUUUUGACAAAAGAAAUCAUCAGAUUCAAUUUCUAAUCUUGAGUCUAUCACUGGUAGAGUGAAAACUCAUCCCAGAGUUCGACCUUAGAGCUGCUAUACUAUAGUAGCUUUGCUACACUAGUAUGAGGUCAUAGGAUUUAUAAAUAUUUUUUGAUUAAAAUACCCAACUGGGCACGAAUCAGGUACUAUAGACUAAGGCAUUAUGUUUUGCAGACAACAGAGUGAUAUUUCAGUUAAGGGAUAUGUUGAUGCAGACUAUGUAAGUGACUUGGAUGAUAGGAGGUCUACCACAGGUUAUGUAUUCACCCUUGGUGGGGGACUUAUUAGUUGAAAGUCAUGAUAUAGUCUUUAGUUGCACUAUCUACUAUUGAGUUAGAAUAUAUGGCAAUAGCUAAGGCUGCAAAGAAAUCAUUGUGGCUUAUAGGUUUGGCCAAGGAGUUGGGUAUUCAACAAGGUGGAGUUAAAUUAUAUUGUGACAAUCAGAGUGCCAUUUAUUUGGCAAAGAACCAUGUGUAUCAUGCAAGGACCAAACACAUAGGUGUGAGAUUUCACAAGAUCAGGGAAUUAGUUUCUUCUAGUGAAUUGUUACUUGAGAAGGUUCACACCUUUGAGAAUGCAGCAGACAUGUUGACAAAGCCUCUUACCACAAAAAGUUCAAGCAUUGCUUGAACUUGAUUAAUCUCUCCAGAUGUUAGAUAGAAGAUGCCCCAACCUAUUGUUCUAGGUGAAGUUAUAAGCUAUGUUUCUUGUUUUUUUAAGGGGAUGAAUAUUCACCAAGGUGGAGAUUGUUGUAGUAUGUGGCUCAAAUUGAGUGAAAGACAUAUAUGGAGAAAAAAGGGCAAAUGCAUGAGGUGAUUCAUGCCCAAUUGGUGUCUCAGCUGAUUCGUGUCCAGCUGGUGCUCCUUGAUUGAGGGAGCAAUCAACAAAAUUUAUAACCUAUUACACCAUAUACUAGGGUAGCAAAGAAAAAGCUACUAUAGUAUAGCGGCUCUAGGAUUGUUCACUGGGAACGGUUUCCAAAUUACAAAUGAUACCAAUUCAAAGUGAAUUGGUACUUUUUCAUUUCAAGGUUAGCUCAAGAAAUAAAACAAAAACUUUGAUUGGUAAAGAUUUAGAUUUAAAAUGACUACAAAGCAAGUGAUGGAAAUUACAUAAGAAGAAAAACAUUCCUUGGAGGGUCAGGUUCACUGGGGAGGUUCCUCAUGCAACAGACAUAGCUCCGGUCAGUUGGUUCAUUUCCUCGCGUUAGAGAAUCAACAUAUAGUCAAUUCUCUAACCGGUGUUGUACAGAUACAUCCUUUAAUUAGAUUUCAGCUUUAAUUUUCUUACUGAUGCAACUUGCAACGGUUCGAGCCUCUCACUAAGCCUUAACCAUUCAAGGGGAUCUUUAACCUUGGACUUCCCUUCUCAAGCUCGCAAGAGAUAACUAAUGGAUGUCUCCUUGGAGUCCAAAAGCUUACCAAGUGUUGGCAAUUCCAGAAAAUCCUACCUACAAGUCACCUCCCAGAGGCUCGCAAGGGGUAAACUAGUGCAUCUCCAUGGUUGGAGAUCACUUUCCUUACCAAGUGUUGGCCCAGGUGACUCUAAGGUGUUUUAAGUUAACUAAAAACAUAGAAAUCACUAAAGGAUUUCACUUCCUCUUCAUUCAUGGCUGAAACCACAAAGCUUUGCAUUCUUGCACUUGGAACCUUUCCCGGCAACCUUAGCUCCAAGGAAUUAAAGGUUUAGUUACUCAUUCUUUGGGGAAACUUCCUCAGAGAGUGCAUAACUUAGAAAAAAUGAAAAAUACAAAGUGAGAAGAUAAGGCAAAACAAAGGUCUUGAAUUUUACUUGCUUUCAAACUUUUACAAAAGGGUUCCUCCCCUUGAGAACAGGCUCUCGAGAGCUAUUUAUAUCAACAAAAAUAAAUACUAAUUAUUACAUGGUUAUCUACUCUUUUUACUAACUUAAAAGCUAAGGAAUCUUAUAAUUGGUGGCUUUCAAGGAGAAUUUUGGGAUUUAGACAACAAAAUUCUGAUGAAAAAUAUCUCCCAAUGUCGGUAGCAAAUAUCGGGAAGCACUAGGAAUCAAUUCGCAAGUGCAAACGAGGUCUGCGAGAUUUCGCAGAGGCACAAAAAGGGCUGCGAAAUCACUUCGCAGCAAACGGCUGAUUUCGCAACGCUACGAAGUGGUCUUUCAACUUGUGGUAUUCGGCUUCCAUCGUGACGGGAAACUUCAAGGGGGGGAACACAGCACUAUACAAAAAAGCUGCGAAAUCAUCUCGCAACAAAAGGGUGAUUUCGCAGCGCUGUGCAAAAUUCUUCCUUCAGCUUGGAGUGAUCGGCUUGCAAUGGCUGUAACUCCUUCAUUUCAACUCCAAAUUGUGCACCAUUUGAAGAAUUGGAUUUUUGACUUCCUGAGCUUCGAAACGACAUAUAGCAUGCAUAAAUUGGACUUCAGGAAGUGCUCCAUAAGUGGUUGACAUGACUGUCAUCAAGAAUAUGCUUCAUGACAGAUUUCUCUUUGCUUCUUCUCCUUACAUUCCGGAUUUACUCAUGGCAGCAAAGGACUUCACAGCUUUAGUUCUUCAUGUUUCUGAGCUUCAAAUUGCUUUGCCAAAGAUUCCACAUAACUCUCCUCAAUCUCGGAUUGCUUUGGUGAUCAAAAAGCUAUCAAAACACCAAAAGUUAACACAUAUUGAUUAGAAGUGCUUGCAAAGGUCCUUAAUAUGUUAAUUGGGUUAAAAGACAAUAACUACUACUCAAAAGUGUUUAAAAGAGUUAAUUACAAGCUAUGAAAUAGCACAUUUUGAGUAGUAAUCACUCCCCCCAACCAACAUAUUGCUAGUCCCUUAGCAAUGAAGGAGAGAAAAAAAAAUUAAAAAUUACUAUAAUUUACAACAUCAUGCUAAUUACUUCAAAAAAAUUUAAGUGGCAUGAUGAUCUAACUCUCACAUGAGACAUUAAAGAGAUAUAAACCCUAAUUUCAACAAGAGUUAUCAAAAACUUUGCUAAACACUAUUGAUCAAGGGAAUGCAUUAUGCAAAUUGAAGUUUUAAAAUCAUUUUCACUUCCAAAGAACCAAACUUUAUUCUUCUACAAAAAAUCUAAGUGUAUGAUUCCUUAGCUUUCGAAUAUAAUGUGCUAAACUAAUCUCUCCCCCCAACCUAUCUCUUUUCAACACUUAGCAAACUGACCAAAUUCAAUAGGCAGAGAACACACUUAUUUUUUUUUGUUUUUAGAAGGCACAAGGCUUAAGGGGUAUUCUUUCUGAAUUGUCCAUGUAACGGGGGUCCAUCGAUGACUCCCAACCAAUUAAGGUUUAGGGCAUCAAGCUUUGAGGAUCUUUCAACCACUAACUCCUCGGAUUUUACCCCGGACUUUUGAGAAUGAUUGUUUUAAUACCCAAGCACCUACCAUAUGCUAACUCCACCUAUCCACCCUUGUAACGAGCAUUGAGGUCGGUGACUCCCAACCAAUUAAGGCUUAGGGCACCAGGUUUUAAAGAUUUUCACCAUAUACCCCUCAGACCUUGCUCGGGUUUCAAGGCAAGCAAACAUUUUUCUUUCUUUAUUUCAAAGGCUCAUUGGCCUUUCAUAAGGUGUCUCAACUUUAUCAACUGAGGUCAAAGGUACCAAGUCCUAAAAUUUUCCUAAGUCAAGAGGGAAAUAGUUUUUCAUCUUAUACUCGAAACCUAUUGUGCACGGUGUGUGAAUAGCUUAAAGUGGAAGAACUAAACUCGAUUUCAAUAGAAGCUUCAACAAUUGAACCACUUUAGUAAGCAUAAUCCAUACUCUAAGUCAAGUGAAAAGCAACAGUUCAGCUUCUCCUGUUUUAAUUUGAAAAUUUUUCCUCAAAAUCCAUGGAGAUUAGAGUGGAUAGUAAAAGAUUACAACUAAUUUACUAACAUAAGUGCAUUACCAAAAUAACUUAGCAUACUUCCUUCCUCAUUUCUCCCCCCCCCCCCCCUAAUCGAAUUGAGCAUUGUCCUCAAUGUGAUAUGGGUGAUUGCAAUUAAAGGGAGGAAGUGGUACCUCCUGAGUGAUAUCAAUUUUCGAAUACUGAUUGGAAAAACCACAUGUUUCAAAAAGAAUAAAAGAUGUAAAAACAAACUCUCUUUGCUAGACCAUCCCAUUGGAGCUACGCAUUGCUAGCCAAUCUAGUUGCAACACAUUAAGGGGAAUGCCCUCAAAAACCAUGGAGCAAAAAGCCCAAAAAGAAGCUAGGAAGUGAAUGGUAUUCCAUAGAUUCUCUAAAUUCCUAGCUUUAUCCUUAAAUAUCCUAGCAUUUCUUUCUCGCCACACAACCCAAAUUAAAGCAAUACAUGUAGUUUGCCACAAAACUAUGCUUCUCUUGGAUUUUCCAAAACCCUUAUAAUUGAUGGUUAUCAAGUCAGAAAUGCUCCUUGGGGGGACCCAAUCCAUCUUAGCUAUCUGAAAUAAUCUGUGCCACAAUCCCAUCGUCAAAUAACAACGUAAGAAAAGAUGAUCUGCUGAUUCUCCGUGCUUCAUACACAACUUACAGAUGUNNNNNNNNNNNNNNNNNNNNNNNNNNNNNNNNNNNNNNNNNNNNNNNNNNNNNNNNNNNNNNNNNNNNNNNNNNNNNNNNNNNNNNNNNNNNNNNNNNNNAUUUCGUUUUCCCUUUUUUAAUUUAAAAAUUUUUCCCCAAAACCCAGGGGGUUUAGGGGGGUUGGUAAAAGUUUACAAUUAUUUUAUUAACAAAGGGCCUUUCCCAAAAAAAUUUGCCUUCUUCCUUUCCUCAUUUCCCCCCCCCCCCCCCCUAAUCGAAUUGAGCAUUGUCCUCAAUGUGAUAUGGGUGAUUGCAAUUAAAGGGAGGAAGUGGUACCUCCUGAGUGAUAUCAAUUUUCGAAUACUGAUUGGAAAAACCACAUGUUUCAAAAAGAAUAAAAGAUGUGAGAAAAAGAAAUAAGAAUAAAUUAAUGCUAAGAGUUAACAAAAAUGCUAGAUUUGUAUUACUUUAAAUUCAUUUGAGUACAAUGAAAAAGAAGGCAAUACAAGCAAUCCCAUAUAUGAUACCAAAUUAAUGGGAUUUCAUAAAAGACUAAGAAAAAGAAAAAAAAAAUGAAAUACAUAAAGGAAAUAUGUAGUAGAUAUAUAUGAUGAGAUGGGUAGAUGGUGCUUGAACUAAUGGCUUAGGCAAAUGGCUCUGCCUCUUCAGUAGUUUUUUCAGGAGGGGCCUGAGGCUCUGUGGCCUGCGAGUGUGGCACUGCAGUGGUGGGGGUGGAGUGCUCAGCAGCUGAUGGAAGAUCAAAAUGAUGCUGUAGCUGCCUCAGGAUGGCAGUGUGCUGAGCCUGGGUGGUCAACAUCUGCUCCUGGCAUGCUCGAAUAGCUGCCAUCUCCUGAGCAAGGCAGCUCUAAGAUGCAGUGAGAGUCUGCAGUGAGCGACAUAACUCCCUAUACUCAGAAAUGGGAAUGGUCAUCCUUGGCUCAACUAAAGAAGAUGGCUGUGAUGAGGCUGGAGUGACUGGAGGGGAUCUAGAUAUGGCAGGAGAGGCAAUGGGUAUACCCUCAGGUAUAUGACGUGGAGAUACUCUCCUGACAGCUGGUAUUGCAGUUGGUGUGGCUGCCCUGGCUGCUCAACUCUAUAUGCUAUCAUAUUGUUCCAUUUUUCGAGAGUAAAGACCUCUCGGAAAAUACGUUUGCGCUCCAACUGAGGAUCUGUUGGAUACCCCAGAUGCUUCAGAAUCUGGCAUAGCAGCCGUGGAAAGAGAAGUGGAAUGGCAUCAGCUCUCUGCAGCUUCUUCUUAUGCACCUUCUCUUCAAAAUUGAGAAGGGCAGCCAUAAUUAGGUGGUGAGGGCCAAAGAAGUAUCCCUCAGAAAUCUUGAACAGGGCCUCCAAAAGAACUCCUCUCCUCUAAAUCCAGUGCUGGAGUGGGUAGAUGUUAUGACGCAGAAAUGCAUCAAUAAGAAACAUGCUUGGAUGAAGUUCCCCCCUCAAUAGAUGUGGACGUGUGGAAGCUCCUCUGGACAAGAUAUGCACCAUCUCCAGCUCAGUGGGACUAGUCCAUACUCUGAAAUUCUCAAAAUGAGUUGGCUCGUAUGGUAUAUGCAGGGCCUCUGCUAUAUGGCGAGCUCCCAAAAUGCCAUGCCGACCAUCUAUAGUAAAAUGGAUUAAAGUAAGAUCUCCGACUUGCUUGGUAGUCAUGGACUGAUAAAAAUCCAUGGCUACCCUGGGGUAGAAGAAGUCUCUCAGGGCCAACAGAUGCUCCAUAUGAUAUCUACGCAAUAGGCGGAAAGAAUCCGCAAGCUCCAGCCUCAAUUGGAAGGUGGUUGUGUCAAAGCACAGCUCAGAGUGGAAUGGCCGAGCUCUGCAGUCCAAAUUCCCUUCUAUUGGCAGCUGAGUAAGCAUCGGACGCCUAAUUAUCACUUCAGGAGCUACCCCAGAUGGAAUUUGGGGUUCAGAAAGUGGUGGCUGGAGCUCCUGAGGCUGUGUUGGCGGCGCCGGAGACGGCACCGGAGAUGGCACUGGAAAGGGCUCUGGUGAGGGAACUGGGGACUGCUCUGUUAAGUCUAUGGGCUCUGAGCUUUCAACUCUAGCCCUCUUUUGCAGGGGACGACCCCCUGACCUAGUGAGAUAACGCCUCGUCGGAGGGUUUUUAGGCGCGGGCUUCGCCGGAGGGGAAACAGCUUCUGGCCGUGGAGGUUCAAAGGUGGGUCUUUGAACAGGUACCUCUUGCGAAACUCGUUUGCGGCUGGAAGGAGAGGAAGAUGUGGCUCCUCUUGUUCGCGCCAUAUCAGAAUGUCGAGAUUUGGCUGGAAGCGAGGACCGGAGAAGAUGACCGGAGGUUCGCGCGUCGUCGGGCUCGGGGAAGGAGAUGAACACACGGCUGCUAUGGCGUUCCCUCCUUUUGAAAUCCUUUUGAAACUCAACUAACCAGUAUAUAUAAAAAUAACGGAAUAUUAAAAGUCAUUUUGAGUUUCGCAGAAGAACGUCGAUUUCGCAACAAAAAGUCAUUCUCGCAGCCCACUUCGCAGCUUCGAAAUGGAUGUCACUGUGCUGCGAAAUGGCACUCGUGUGCCAAACUUGGUUUCGCAGCUACGAAAUACCCUGCGGAAUGGAGCUUUGACUGCGAAAACGGGUAUUUUCACGCUUUGUAGCUUCGCAGCCAAUUCGCAGCUUCGAAAUGGGGGCUCUUGUUCUGCGAAGUGGCACUCGUGUGCCAAACUUGGUUUUGCAGCUGCGAAAAUUUUCGCAAAGGAGUCAAAUGAGUUGUGAAAUGAUUUCGCAAGGGAUGGCCGCUUUCACAGAGACAUGUUGAUUUCGCAGUGGCUUCGUUUAAGUUGCGAAAUGGUUUCGCAUCGAAGUGCUAAUUUCGUAGAGGCUGCGAAAUCUCGUAGACCCCUGUUUUUUCUGUUUUCACUCUGUUUUUUGUCUGAUUUCGCUCCGAUUUCUUCCUUUCAAUCUCUUUGCAUUUUAUCUCACCUGAGAUCAUCCAAAAAGAUUAAAUUACAUAUAAAAACAUACUUUAAGAUCAAAAAUUGAAAUGAAAAGUAUGGAAAAAAAACUUUGAAAUUUACAAAAAUUUUGGACUAUGGUAAAACCAAGUCCAUCAAACCCUUAUUUGCUCAGACUUUUUGUGGCUCAAGGAGGUUGAUUUCCUCAUUUUCUGGUUUGAAUGGCUCCAUGAAUGGCUUGAGACGAUAUCCAUUGACUCUAAAGGUAUCUUUGCCAUUGGAAUUUAAUAAUUCCACCAUUCCAUUGACAUAUACUUGGUGAAUAAUGAACGACCCUAUCCACCUUGACUUGAGCUUUCCAGGAAAGAUAUGGAGUCUUGUGUCAUAAAGUUAAACUCUUUGUCCUUUCUAAAAUUCUUUGUUGGAGAUUAGUUGAUCAUGCCACUUCUUCAUUCUCUGUUUUGCAACUUUGGAAUUGAUAUAAACAUCAUUUCUUAAUUCCUCCAUCUCAUUAAGGUCUAGACACCUCUUUGCUCCGGCUCUGAUCAAGUCCAUAUUCAGCUUCUUUAUUGCCCACCAAGCUUUGUAUUCAACUUCCACAGGGAGAUGGCAUGCUUUGCCAUAGACAAGACGAUAGGGAAACAUGCCAAGAAUAGUCUUAUAAGCUGUUCUAUAUGCCCAUAAUGAAUCAUGAAGCCUAAUAGACCAAUCUUUUCUACUUGAAUUCACCACUUUCAUCAAUAUGUUCUUUAUUUCUCUGUUAGCUAGCUCAACUUGCCCGGAAGUCUGAGGAUGAUAAGGCGUAGCUACCUUAUGCUUCACUCCAUACUUGGAUAAUAGAGCUUCAAAAGGUUUGUUGCAAAAAUGAGCACCUCCAUCACUGAUUAUGGCUUUGGGCACCCCAAAUCUCGAGAAAAUGUUCUCUUUAAGAAACUUGAGAACCACCCUGUGAUCAUUUUGUUUACAGGGGAUGACCUCAACCCAUUUGGAAACAUAAUCCACCCCCACCAAAAUGUAAGAAUUACCAAAAGACAUUGGGAAAGGCCCCAUGAAGUCAAUGCCCCAUACAUCAAAAUAGCUCAACUAUUAGAAUGGGGUUCAUAGGCAUUUGAUUUCUUUUUGUUAACUUUCCAAGCCUUUGGCAUCUAUCACAACUUCUACACAUGAUGUGGGUGUAUUUGAAAAGAGAUGGCCAAGUAAACCCUGAUUGCAACACCUUCAUGGAUGUUUUCUGAGAGGCAAAGUGACCUCCACAUGCAUUCUCAUGACAAUGGUUUAGAAUCCCUUGCUACUCAUCUUCAGGGACACUUCCUUAUGAUCUGAUCUACACAAUACUUAAAAAGAAAGGGCUCUUCCCAAUAAUAAGCAUGAAUUUUUGAAAAGAAGUGCUUCCUGUCCUAUGCAUUCCACUCACUUGGAAUUUCACUCGUAACUAGAUAAUUAGCAAUAUGAGCAUACCAAGGAGUUUUUACUAGGAACAUGAGUGAUUCCUCAGGAAAGUCAUCAUUAAUAGGCAAUGAAUAGGAAUUAUGUGCUAUAACUAACUUUGAAAGAUGGUCGGCUACCACAUUCUCCACUCCUUUCUUAUAUUUGAUUUGGAGAUCGAAUUCUUGUAACAAAAGAAUCCAUCUAAUCAACCUUUUUUUUGCAUCUUUCUUUGUCAAUAAAUACUUCAAGACUGAAUGGUCAGUGAAAACAAUGAUGAAAGACCCUACUAAAUAAGCACGAAAUUUGUCCAAAGCGAAUACCACAGCUAACAAUUCUUUCUCUGUAGUUGUGUAGUUCCUUUGAGCUUCAUUCCGUGUUUUGCUUGCAUAGUAGAUCACAUAGGGCUUCCCAUCUUCUCUUUGGCCAAGCACAGCUCCUAUAGCAAAGUCAUUGGCAUCACACAUCAGUUCAAAGGGUAGUUGCCAGUUAGGGGCUCUCACUAUUGGAGUUGUUAAAAAUUUCUUUAGUUGAUCAAAGCUAUUUUGACAUCUUUCAUCCCAUAUAAACUUAGCAUCCUUAGCUAACAGCUCACAAAGAGGUUUUGAAAGACUUGAAAAACCUUUUAUAAACCUCCUAUAGAACCCUGCAUGGCCAAGGAACUGUCUUACUCCUUUCACAAUUGUUAGGGAUGGUAAUUUGACAAUAAGCUCCACCUUUGCUUUAUCAACUUCAAUGCCUUUUUCGGAGAUAAUAUGGCCAAGGACAAUUCCUUAACGUACCAUAAAAUGGCAUUUCUCCCAGUUGAGCACCAGGUCUUUUUCAAUGCAUCUGUGAAGAACUGCUUCCAAAUUGAUUAAGCAUUCCUCAAAUGUACCUCCAUAUACGGUGAUGUCAUCCAUGAAAACCUCCAUAAUUCGCUCCACCAUAUCACUAAAAAUACUCAACAUACAUUUUUGAAAUGUUGCAGGUGCAUUGCAUAAACCAAAAGGCAUUAUUUUGUAAGCAUAUGUUCCAAAUGGACAUGUAAAGGUGGUUUUUUCCUGAUCUUCCACAUCAAUUUCAAUCUGAAAAUACCCUGAAUACCCGUCCAAGAAGCAAUAGAACGGAUGACUAGAGACUCUCUCCAGUACUUGGUCAAUAAAUGGCAAUGGAAAAUGAUAUUUCCUGGUUACAGCAUUCAACUUUCUAUAGUCAAUACACACCCUCCAACCUGAAGUGAGGCGUGUAGUAAUUUAUUCCCCUUUUUCGUUCUAGACCACAGUAAUCCCUGACUUCUUUGGUACCACUUGAGUAGGACUCACCCAAGGGCUGUCAGAUAUAGGGUAAAUAAUGCUUGCUUGAAGUAGCUUCAGCACCUCAACUCGCACCACCUCUUGUAAAUGAGGAUUCAAUCUUCUUUGAAGUUGAUGAAUUGGCUUUGCUUCCUCCUCAAUAUAUAUAUGAUGCGUGUAAACUAAAGGACUAAUGCCUUUCAAGUCGGAUAUUUGCCAUCCUAUUGCCUUCUUAGACCUCUUGAGAACUUCCAUUAGUGACUUCUCUUGAUGACUGGUCAGAGAUGAAGAUAUUACGAUAGGACAUUGAUUAUUUUCUUCAAGGUAUGUAUAUUUCAGCUCCACGGGUAGAGGCUUCAGAUUGAGUUUUGGAGUCUCUUUUUCAGCAAUUGCCUCUUCUUCUUUAUUGAACAAAGGUAGAAUCUCUUCUAUCAUUCUCCAACUUUGUAGAGUAGCAAGCACAUUAGGGGGUUCAGACAAACCUUCCUCAAAAUCCACAAGACUUUCAUUCAGCUUGUCCUGCAUAUUCUGAUUACAGUGCUCCCAUACCAAAGUGUCAAUAAUGCACACCUCUUCUGGACCCUCUUCUCAUUCCGGAGUGGUUUGCUUUUUAGACAUAUAGAAGAUAUUGAGAUCAAGUGUCAUGUUGCCAAAAGUGAGUUGCAUAAGCCCAUUCCUACAGUUGAUGAUUGCAUUUGAGGUAGCAAGGAAUGGCCUUCCAAGGAUGAUAGGAACUAAAUUAGCUUCCUUUAUAGUAAGGUUUGUAUCAAGAACAAGAAAAUCUACCGGAUAGUAGAAAUUAUCAACUUGAACCAAGACAUCCUCAAUUACCCCCCUUGGAAUUUUUACUGAUCUAUCUACUAGAGAUAGAGUGAUUGUCGUUGGCUUCAACUCACCAAGUCCCAAUUGCUUGCAGACAGAGUAUGGAAGCAAAUUCACACUUGCUCCCAAGUCUAACAAAGCUUUCUCCACUACCUUUCCUCCAAUCAUGACUGAAAUGGUAGGACUUCCCGGAUCUUUGUACUUCAAUGGAGACUUACAUUGUAAGAUUGCACUUACUUGCUCAGUCAAGAAGGCUUUCUUAUUUACAGUCAACCCUCUUUUAAUAGUACAUAAGUCCUUUAGGAACUUUGCAUAUGUUGGAACUUGUUUAAUCAUAUCCAGCAAUGGGAUAUUGACUUUCACUUGUCUCAAUACUUCAAGAAUUUCAGAUGCAUUUCUAAUCCCCUUUUUCCCAUGCAAUGCUUGAGGAAAAUGAGGAGAAGUUGAUUUCUUCAGCAUUUCUUCUUUUUGAAGCUCCUUCUCUGGAAUUGCAUUCAUUGUUGAAUCAUAGUCCUUCUUCUUUUCACUGAUCUCACUCUCUUUGUCUUCCAUUUCCUCCCCUUUCUUUAUCUUUUCUUCUUUCUCAACAUGUGGCUUGGGUGUUGGCUUCUCAAUUUUUUUACCACUCCUUAGAGUGACCAAGGCUUUGACAUCUUUCAUCUGUGAUGAUUCUCCCUCAAGGCUUUCCACUUCAUGGACACCCUUGGGGUUUUGGUGGGGUUGAGAAGGAAAUCUUCCCUUUUCUUGCACUGUGUUCAAAUUUGUGAGCCUUGAAAUUGAGUAUUGGAGAUUAUCAAACUUUUGGGAUAUAUCAUUUUGCAUUCCAUCCAUCAUUUUAUUCAAAGUACUCUCCACUCUGUCAAUUCUUUGAUUGAUUUGAGCAUUGAUGGCUUCUUGGUUUCCAACAAAAUCUCCCACUACCUUGCUGAGAUUUGCUAUUGCUUGUUUAAGACUUGAAGAUUGUUGAGAUGGUUGAUCUGGCUGUUGGUACUGAGUUGCUCUGGCCUUCCAUGAGAAAUUUGGAUGAUUCCUCCAACUUGAGUUGUAAGUAUUUCCAUAAGGCACAUUGUUAUUGGACUUCAAUUGUCCAACAACAUUUGCUUGAUCUCUAAACAUUUCCCUUUCAACUGAAAUUGCAGGGCAUUCCUCCACCAAAUGUUCAUAUGAUUGACAAUUAGGACAAAGCUUUACUUGCACUGGUGCUUCAGCAACAGCUUGCACUUCAUGCACUUUUUUCAGUUCCAGCUCCUCCAAUCUUCUUGUCACAGCUGCCAAUUUUGCUUUCAUAUCAUCAUCUUCUUUCAAGGUAUACAUCUCAGCCUUAGUAUUAAAAGCACUCAGUUGAGACUUUAUCUUCCCCACUUCUCCUUUGGUUGGUUCAUCCCAUCCCCUUGAAACUUCAGCUACAUAGCUCAAGAAAUCCAUAGCUUCCUCUGAAUUUUUGCUCAUGAAAUCUCCUCCACACAUUGUCUUGAGGAGUUGCUUCAUUGAGGAAGACAUCCCAUCAUAAAAAUAGCUCACCAAUAGUCAAGUAUCAAAGCCAUGGUGAGGGCAAGCAUUUAUAGCUUGCAUGUAUCUUUCCCAACACUCAUAGAAUUUCUCAUUCUCUUUAGCUGAGAAAUUUGAAAUUUGCCUUUUCAAGCCAUUUGUUCUAUGAGUGGGAAAAAAAUUUCUUGAGGAAUUCAGCUUGUAAGUCAGUCCAAGUGCGGAUACUCCUUGGCCUUAAAGAAUUAAGCCAAAUUUUGGCCUUAUCCUUUAAAGUAAAAGGAAAUGCCAAAUUUUGGCCUUAUCCUUUAAAGUAAAAGGAAAUAACUUAAGCCUCAUCAAAUCAAUUGAAGUUCCUCCCUCUUGGAAUGUAUUACAAACAUCUUCAAAUUCCUUGAUGUGUGCAUACGGAUUCUCACUUUCCAUCCCAUGGAAAGUUGGUAGAAGUGGAACAAGAUACGGUCUGAUCGCUAGCUGCUCUGUAGGGGGCACUAUACAUGAUGGUGCACUCAUACGAGGUGGAUGCAUACGGUCCCUCAUUGAUCUGAAUUCAUUGAGAUUGUCUUGACGACCUUGGUGACUAUGCUGAUCUUCAGGUGGAGCUUCCAUGAUAUUCAAGCUCAAUUCCAAUUCCUUGUUAUGAGGUGUAUCACGUUUAACAAGCCUUCCUCCACUGUCUCGUAUCCAAUUUGGCAUGCACAACUAGUAUCUAUCUGUAACUAGAAUGAAAAUAAAGGACAACAAAAGGAAAUAGGGCUACGAAAAACAAAAUUAAACUAAGCUGAAUUUAAAAGAUAAAUUUGGAUUAUGAAUUAGUAAAGAAAGAAUGAGAAUUAGUAAAAUGAAAGAAACGUUACCAAACUUGUGAUGAAACUCACAAGUGCUCUGAAAUAGUAUCACUAUAAACUUGACACCUUCCCCGGCAACGACGCCAUCUGAUUCAUGCCCAAUUGGUGUCUCAGCUGAUUCGUGUCCAGCUGGUGCUCCUUGAUCGAGGGAGUAAUCAACAAAAUUUAUAACCUAUUACACCAUAUACUAGGGUAGCAAAGAAAAAGCUACUAUAGUAUAGCGGCUCUAGGAUUGUUCACUGGGAAGGGUUUCCAAAUUACAAAUGAUACCAAUUCGAAGUGAAUUGGUACUUUUUCAUUUCAAGGUUAGCUUAAGAAAUAAAACAAAAACUUUGAUUGGUAAAGAUUUAGAUUUAAAAUGACUACAAAGCAAGUGAUGGAAAUUACUUAGGAAGAAAAACAUUCCUUGGAGGGUCAGGUUCACUGGGGAGGUUCCUCAUGCAACAGACAUAGCUCCGGUCAGUUGGUUCAUUUCCUCGCGUUAGAGAAUCAACAUAUAGUCAAUUCUCUAACCGUUGUUGUACAGAUACAUCCUUUAAUUAGAUUUCAGCUUUAAUUCUCUCACUGAUGCAACUUGCAACGGUUCGAGCCUCUCACUAAGCCUUAACCAUUCAAGGGGAUCUUUAAUCUUGGACUUCCCUUCUCAAGCUCGCAAGAGAUAACUAAUGGAUGUCUCCUUGGAGUCCAAAAGCUUACCAAGUGUUGGAAAUUCCAGAAAAUCCUACCUACAAGUCACCUCCUAGAGGCUCGCAAGGGGUAAACUAGUGCAUCUCCAUGGUUGGAGAUCACUUGUCUUACCAAGUGUUGGCCCAUAUGACUCUAAGGUGUUUUAAGUUAACUAAAAACAUAGAAAUCACUAAAGGAUUUCACUUCCUCUUCAUUCAUGGCUGAAACCACAAAGCUUUGCAUUCUUGCACUUGGAACCUUUCCCGGCAACCUUAGCUCCAAGGAACUAAAGGUUUAGUUACUCAUUCUCUAGGGAAACUUCCUCAGAGAGUGCAUAACUUAGAAGAAAUGAAAAAUACAAAGUGAGAAGAUAAGAAAAAACAAAGGUCCUGAAUUUUACUUGCUUUCAAACUUUUCCAAAAGGGUUCCUCCCCUUGAGAACAGGCUCUCGAGAGCUAUUUAUAUCAACAAAAACAAAUACUAAUUAUUACAUGGCUAUUUACUCUUUUUACUAACUUAAAAGCUAAGGAAUCUUAUAAUUGGUGGCUUUCAAGGAGAAUUUUGGGAUGUAGACAACAAAAAUCUGAUGAAAAAUAUCUCCCAAUGUCGGUAGCAAAUAUCGGGAAGCAUUGGGGAUCAUUUCGCAAGUGCAAACGAGAUCUGCGAGAUUUCGUAGAGCCACAAAAAGGGCUGCGAAAUUACUUCGCAGCAAACGGCUGAUUUCGCAAUGCUGCGAAGUGGUCUUUCAACUUGUGGUAUUCGGCUUCCAUCAUGACGGGAAACUUCAGGGGGGGAAACACAAGACUGUACAAAAAGGCUGUGAAAUCAUCUCGCAACAAAAGGGUGAUUUCGUAGCGCUGUGCAAAAUUCUUCCUUCAGCUUGGAGUGAUCGGCUUGCAAUGGAUGUAACUCCUUCAUUUCAACUCCAAAUUGUGCACUGUUUGAAGCAUUGGAUUUUUGACUUCCUGAGCUUCGAAACGAAAUAUAGCAUGCAUAAAUUUGACUUCAAGAAGUACUCCAAAAGUGGUUGACAUGACUGUCAUCUUAUGCUUCAUGACAGAUUUCUCUUUGCUUCUUCUCCUUACAUUCUGGAUUUACUCAUGGCAGCAAAAGACUUCACAGCUUUAGUUCUUCACGUUUCUGAGCUUCAAAUUGCUUUGCCAAAUAUUCCACAUAACUCUCCUCAAUCUCGGAUUGCUUUGGUGAUCAAAAAGCUAUCAAAACACCAAAACUUAACACAUAUUGAUUAGAAGUGCUUGCAAAGGUCCUUAAUAUGUUAAUGGGUUAAAAGGAAAUAACUACUACUCAAAAGUGUUUAAAAGAGUUAAUUACAAGCUAUGAAAUAACACAUUUUGAGUAGUAAUCAUGAGGAGCGACAAAAUUUGCCAUUUAAGAUUGUAUUUUUAUUAUUAAGAGUGAACAAUAGGUUGGGCGGGUGUGAGGGGCAACAACCCCCCUCCCUCCACCCGCAGUAUGGUUUAGGGGUAUUUUUAUAAUUUCAAUACCUGAGGAUUAGUAUAAAUACCCUUUUAUGUAAUCGUAAUUUUUGACAUAGUGAAAGUCUUUCUCCCUAUUCCAGUGGACAUGGGCAAUUUGAUGAGCCACGUUAAAUCUGUGUAUUUUUUUUUGUUUUUCUCUAAUUUCUUCACUAGGAAUUGUUGCAAGAAAAUCAACAAAAUAAGAUUUACUUUAAGUGUUCAGUUCCAAAUGGAGUUGUUUCAGAGUUGGUAUUGAACUCAAGAGAAGGAUUUUCUAACACUAACAGACCUGUAUUUGUGAAGGAUGAUGUGUACGAUGGGUAUGAGAAAUAUCUAGGGUGUGCAAUGCAAAACCCACCCACUUGUAGGAAUAGAAAAGACCAAUUCAUGAAGCAAUCAGUUCACAUAUCAGGAUCACCAUCAUCAAUAAAAGAAAAUUCGAGCUUAGGCUUUAGUGAUUGUCAGGCUAUAUGCAGGUAUGACUAUUCUUGUACUACUUGCAAUACUAUAUACACCAACAGAAAUGGAUGUUGGUUUGGAGUACAAAAUUUACACAAGCUCACGUAAGUGAUGCAAAUCAGUAGGAACUCUAUGUUUAUCCUCAUCACAAGUUAUGGGUACAAGUCUCUCUUUAUUUCGUAUUCCUGAAAGUAACCAAAGCAAAGUAGUUGAUGAAUCCAACAUUUUUACCGAAUUUACAACCCUAAUAGGUGAUAAAAAAAAAAGUUCAAAAUACCAUUCGAGGAGCUAUAUCAAGACCAUAAAAGACCCUUGAUCUUUCUAUUUCUCUUUCACUAUGUUCUGCUCUAAGCCUCUAACCAAAAAAUUUAUCAACUUCUAUUUAUAUAGGGAACAAUUGGUGGAUAUGGGUCAUUAUUGCAGGAGUGGUCCUUAUGGUCUUUUUACUUAUGGGCUCCUUAUACUAUUUAAGGAGAAAAUAUAGAGGUACUAUUUUUUUUAAAACUUUUUUUAUGAUAGUAAUGCCAUUUGUUAGUGGGUUGGAUAAUUGAACUCGUGAUUUGUGGUAUAGCGAGGGAGAGAGAAAUGGAGGAAGCUAUGCUGCAUGAAUUGACAACUUCAAACAACUUUAGUGAUUCAAAAUAUGUUGAACAUGAUGGAAAGAGGAGGGCUCAUGAUCUCAAACCGUUCAAUUUUGAUUCUAUUGUGGCUACCACAAAUAACUUUUCGUCUUAAAAUAAACUUGGAAAUAGUGGUUUUGGUCCAGUUUAUAUGGUAAUUAUAAUUUCAUUAAGCCAUGGCAUGUAAUAGGAAUAGGGCAUUCUUUUUUUUAAGUGCCUCAAUUAAAGCUUCCUUGUGGAUUAUGGCUUAGUUUUUGCAUGGGAAAUUACCCGAGGAGCAAGAAAUAGCAGUGAAGAGAAUUUCAAGGGGCUCAAGACAAGGAUUGGUGGAGUUAAAAAAUGAGAUUAGACUGAUUGCCAAACUCCAACACAUGAAUCUUGUUAGACUUUUGGGUAGCUACAUCAAGGGAGAAGAAAGAUGUUAAUCUAUUGAUUCGUUAAAUCCAGUCGAGUGUUUUAAUAAAAAAAUAUUUGUAAAUCCUAUGACCUCAUACUAGCGUAGCAAAGCUACUAUAAUAUAGCAGCUCUAGAGUCGAACUCUGGGAUGGGUUUUCAUUCUACCAGUGAUAUACUCAAGAUUAGAAAUUAAGUUUGAUGAUUUCCUUUGUCAAAAACUUAAAGUUUAAAAGAAAAUAAAAUUUGUUUUGAAAGUGGUGUUUGAAACUAAAAUAAUAUAGAAAUAGAUAAAAAUGGAAGAAAAAAAGUUUCCCAGAGCUAAAAGUUGCUAGGAUCAAGUUCAAAAUGCAAAGUGGGAAAUUCCAGAUUUUUCUUCUCGUAUUGGGGACAACAACAUAAAGGAUGGUUGUUUCCUGAACCGGUAUAGGUUUAGCAAUGAAGAUUUAAUCCAUAAAAAGUCAAUAGAAAUGGUAGUCAAGUUCCAUUAAUGGCUUUAGACACUAUGAGUCUUCACCUUGAGCCACUUUCCAAUGGCUCAUACAUGAUAACUAAUGGACUGAUGUGGAUAUAGUAAUAAGUAUCCACAAAGACCUAAAGCUUAUCAUGUAUUGGCCAUUCAAAGUGAUUCUAAGGGAUUUAAAGCAAAACUUUAGAUUUAAAAGCCAUUUAUGAACUCCAACUACCUGUAUUUAAUGCACGAGAGUUUUCCACUUUUGCAUCUGGACUUUUCACCUAGCUUCCUUCACUCCAAGAAACCAAAAGUUUAGCCUCUCAUCCUCUGGGAAAACAUCCUCAGAGGUUGUUUGGCUUCCAAGAAAAAAUAAAAUAGUAGAGAGAAAAGGAAAGCAACAAGAGCCCUGUAUUUUACUAAGUGUAAAAUAUACAAUAUGUUAGUUUUCUCGAGAGAUAAUUUCCAUCCCUCUUAUAGUCUUUACAAAAGCAAAGCCUGUGAUUAGCUAAUUACAGGGAUAAGAAAGGAAUUUACAUCAAAAAAAUACAAAAGAAAAGAUCUCAUGUGGAGUCGGCAAAACAGAGGAGAUUUUGCACCAAAGACACAUGGGCUGGUGCGAAUUUCGCACAAGGAGAAGGUGUUGUGCGAAUUUCGCACAAGCUUGGAGCAGUUGUCUUCCGAAGGUCAUAUCUUCCUCAUUUCAGCUCCAAAUCAUACACGGUUUAAAGCGUUGGAUUCUUGACUUCCUGAUAUUUGAAAUGGUAUAUAGAAUGUAGAAAAUGGACUUCGGGAAGUGCUCCAAAAGUGCAAAGGAAGACUGCAGCUGCUGUCAUCUAUUCUCUUCACUCUGUUUUCCUCUUUGCUUCUCUCCUUUACUUGGCUUGUCUUAAUGAUCCAAAAAUCUGUCAAUACACUCAAACUAGCCACAAAUAUGAUUAGAAGUCAUUGCUAGGUCCUUAACAUUCCAAUUGGAAUAAAGAUGGAUAACUACUACACAAAAGUGCUUAAAACAUAAUGAAUUAAAGGCGCAAAAAAGCACUUUUUGGGUAGUAAUCAUCUAUGAGCUCAUGCCCAACAAAAUCUUGGACUUCUUCCUCUUUGGUUUGAAUAAUUACCUUUUUUUCUUCCUUUCAUGUGCAUAACUUUUUCUCAUGUUCUUAUCCUUUUCUGCUUGAAACAAUAUUCUAGUUGAGUUGUGUUCACCCAAAUUUUCAGAUAUUGUUAGAAGAACGAUAUUGGACUAGAAAAGACAUCACAAUAUCAUUGAGGGGAUUGCGCAAGGACUUUUUUACUUGCAUAAAUAUUAAAGACUAAGAAUUAUCCAUAGAGAUCUAAAAGUAAGUAACAUCCUACUUGAUCAUGACUUGAACCCUAAAAUUUAUGAUUUUGGCAUGGCUAGAAUUUUUGGGAAAAAUGCAUCAAAAGCAAAUACAAAUAAGAUUGUUGGAACAUAGUAAGCAUGACUCUUCUUUAUCUAUCUACUUUCUUUUUCAAUCUAAUGUUCUGAACCUUCUAUUGUGGAUGCAGUGGUUACAUGCCACUCGAGUAUACCAUGGAAGGAAUUUUCUCAGUGAGACCAUAUGUUUAUAGCUUUAGGGUCCUACUAUUGGUGUAACACCCCAAAAUUAACUUUAAGGGCAAAACAAUAAUUUACAAAUUAAUUAAUUAAACUCAUAAAGGGUAAAAGAGUCAUUUUACAAUCAAUAAUCUUAAGUAUAAAUUAAAUUUUCCUCUAGUCUUUUUUUAUUCAGAAAACCCUAUUAACCAAAAAUCAAAUAAUUGAAGAAUGUUGGGCUAAAGGUUUGAAGGUCUAGGGUUUGAAGUUCAAAAUUUUCUAGGUAAGAUUAUAACCCUAGAUUAAUAUAUUGAAUUCAUUACUUAGUUUUGAACACAUUAGAUAUUCUUUGAAAAAUUUUAAUUUAGAUUAGGGCUUGUUUAUUUUAAUUUUUUUUUAAGAUCAAAAUAUUGGAAACUUAAGAUUAUAGGUUGAUUUAUUGUUGGAAAUUGGGAAAUUUUAAGUUUUUAGAUGAAAAAGAGAGAGAGAGAAUCGUGACUUCUAAAGGAUGGAGGUGUGUUAUAAUUUAUACACAUAUAAAGGUUUUGAUGCACUGUAUGUUGGGGCGUCGAUUUGUAAGGGAAAAAAAAGAAUAAAUAAAUGAAAUGAAACUAUUUUGCAAGAAACUGGUUAAAGUGGAAUUGUUUGGCUGGAGUAAUAGUGUUGAAUUUUUGUAGUUGGUGGGUUACAGGGUAUUGAAAAGAAUAUAUAUGUAUGUUGAUAAUAAUAAUAAUAAUACGUUUGUAGUUCUUAUACUCAAUAAUGGCUAGAAAAUGUAGGGUUUACAGAUUUAUGGAAGUGUAAAAGAAAGUAACAGUAAAAAAUGAAUGCAUAGAAAAAAAAAAUUGAAAGUGCAAAUUGUGCAUGUACGUGUAGGUGUGUUAGGCUAAAGAAAUAAUAAUAAUAAUAAUAAUAAUAAUAAUAAAGUAGGACGCGUGUCCACUGGAUGGAUGGAAAAAAGGCAUUGGAAAUCAAGAUAAUAUAUAUAUCAAUGUAGAAAUUUUACUUAGGAUUGUCAAACCUAUAAUUACAAAUAUAUAGUAAUAGUUAUUUCUUUAUGUUAUGUUAGGUGAAGAGUAGAUUUUCCAGAAUUAUUUUUCCUCCAAGGUUUUUGAGGAAUUCUUUUGAGGUAAGAGAAAUUCAUGCAAAUUUUGUAAAAGAAAAUAAUUUUCUUUUUAUAUUGUAUUUUGAAAUGCGUAAAAAUAUUAUUUUUAUUUUUUUUCAUGCAUGGAUCAAAUAUAGGUUUUGCAUAAAAAAAAAUAUAUUUGAGCAAUUUCUUUGUUUAUGAAAAAUGAAAAUUGUGGAGAUAUGAUAUUUUGCUUUUGUAAGUUGAAUAAAUAAAACAAAGAAUUUGACUCUAGUUUCCUUGGCCCUUGUCAAUGGGAUAUAAUAGUUGACUUUUCAGGCUUUGUCAAUAGGAUAUAAUAGUUGACCUUUACAUCUUCGUGGUGGGGAAUGUGAUUGAUUUGGACCCCAACCUCUAGGGGUUUAGUUAGAGAUUACUAAUACUAGCAGUGUUUGGUUCUGUCCAUCUUAAAAGGAACAAUUGAGGUUAGCCACCCAUUUGUAAAGUCCCACUUAAUUGGGCACUAUUUGUUAUUUAAUAACCAAAGUUAAAAAAAUUGAAACAUAUUUGAUUUGAAAUGGAUAUGAAAUGAUUUUGAUAUAUAUGAAAAUGUUUGGUUGAACAGUUUAAAUGUAUUAGCAUGUUUAACUCAAAAGUUUUAUAAAAAUUAUAUAUGUUAUAUUUCCUGUUUGUAAGUAUAAUUGAAAAUAUUUGAUCCAUGAAACUGUGUUAAUGUUCCUUAUUAGGUUUUGACCUUACCCCCCUUUGUUGAUAAUUUUCUGCGUACCCUCAAUUCAGGCGAGAAGUGAUGGUUAGGAAGGAAAAUUGGCUUGUUAGAACAUUUGUUAAAACUCUCUUUAUUUUGGACACUGUUUAGAUGUUAAAAUUUAUUUCCUUUUUAAAUUAUUUGAGGUUGGAGUUAUUUGGACAAUAACACUUGGGUUGAUGUGUUAGUUUUUAUAAAUUGAUAUCUGGAGAUUUUACAAUUUAUUUAUCUUACUACUCUGAACAGCAAUUUGGUAAUUGAAAAUUUCUAGUUAUAAGAUGAAAGUUUGUGUCAAUUCCACUUUGAGCCUUCGAGUUUGAGGUGUGAAAUGAUCGUCAUGCCCUUUGAGUGGGUUUUGGGGUAUGACAAUUGGAGAUGGUGAUUGGCCGGAAGAACAAAAGCUUUUAUCAUAAUCACGGUGCCUUUACCAUAAAACCUGGUAGGAUAUGUAAGUCUGCUAUAUCUCAUAUUUGUCUCUACAUUAUUAUCAACAACACACGGUGUAACCUUCCAAAAUUUUCACACCAACCUUGUAAGUAAAUCAACCCUAAAAUGAACUGGAAACAGGCUUGGGGGUUAUGGAAAAAAGGUACUAGUUUGGAGCUAGUGAAUCAAAUGCUAGAAGAUUCCUACUCAACGAUCUAAAUGUUGAGAUGCAUUCAUAUUGUUGUCUUGUGUGUAUAGGAGAGUGCAACAAAUAGGCCUACAAUGUCAGUUGUUAUCUCCAUGCUCACCAACGAAACUGUGCCCCUACCAAACCCAAAUUUGAUCGUAUUUUCCACUCAUCAUAAAGUGUUAGAGCUAGAUUGACACAAAGACAGGCCAGAGAGUUGUUCUAGAAGUGUAACUAUUUCAAAUAUGGAAUUGGUCAAUAAAGAAGAGAAUUUUAGAGGGGAAAGGGAACCUAGAGAACAACAGUUUUUGUCUUAACCUAUCUACAAUUUGUCUAGAUUGAUUUGUUUUGACAUCAUAUAUUUUUUAGAUACAUAAUCAGCUAGGUUUCCUUUAAUCUAUUUUAAAAAGGUUUUUGGAAUUUAUCAGAGUACAACAGAAGCCGAUUUGGUAUAAUUUGAAACAUAGUUUGAACCUAUAGUCUGCAACUCUAUUUGCCUUUUUUUCCUCUAUAACAUAUUGCAAUAGAUUGUAUAUGUUUAUCUUAGCCAUGGUAGGUCAUUUAUGUUCAAUUAUUCAUUUUCAUUAUUUGGAAGGGCAUAGGAUGGACUAUGUCAUAUGUUGGCAUCAAACUGAUGAUCAAAGCUAUGUUCUAUGCCAUAAGCAAAGAAAAACACUUUAGACGACCAAAGUAGAAAGUAGGGGUUUUUUUAGCUUCUACUGCAACUUCAAAGAAUAAUUCUUAAAAAAUGGUAGUUGGAAAAAUAUUGAUAGAUUUACAACACUUUUUGCCACGUGGAAGGUGUCUUUUGAAAAGACACCUUUCACAAAUUUCAAAUUCUUGAUAUGCAUUUAAAAGAAUUGAAUUUAAACUAAAAGUGUCGCUUCAAGAGAAAUCUUCUACAAUUCCUGAAAAUUAGAUUUAUACUAAAGGUAUCUCUUGAAAAGACACUUUCCAUAAUUCCACAAAAUCUAAUAUAUAUUAAAGGUGUCUUUUCAAGAGACACCUUCCACAAUUUGACAAAUUUGAAUUUAUAGUACAAGUGUCUCUUAAAUUUGAUUUUACAUUGAAGGUGUCUCUUGAAGAGACACCUUCCACAAUUUGACAAAUUUGAAUUUAUACUACAAGUGUCUCUUGAAGAGACAUCUUCUAUAAUUCCAAAAAAAUUGGAUUUAUAGUAAAGGUGUGUUUUGAAGAAACACUUUCCACAAUUCCAAAAAUUCUAAUAUAUACUAAAUAUGUCUUUUCAAGAGACGCCUUCUACAAUUUAAAAAAUUUUAAUUUAUAUUACGUGUCUCUUAAAUUUGAUUUUAUAUUGAUGGUGUCUCUUCAAAACACACCUUCUACAAUUCCAAAAAAUUUGGAUUUUUACUAAAGGUUUGAAGAGACACAUUCCCCAAUUCCACAAAAUCCAAUAUAUGCUAACAUCUUCCAAAAUUUCACAAAUUUUAAUUUAUAUUGGUCUUUUGAAUUUGAUUUUAUAUUGAAGGUGUCUUUUCAAAGACACCUUCUACAAUUCCAAAAAAAUUGGAUUUAUACUAAAGGUUUGAAGAAAUACCUUCCCCAGUUCUACAAAAUCCAAUAUAUAUUAAAGGUGUCUUUUCAAGAGAUACUUUCCAAAAUUUCACAAAUUUUAAUUUAUACUUGUCUCUUGAAUAUUUUAUAUUGAAGGUUUAUCUUGAAGAGAUACCUUCUACAAUUCCCAAAAAUCUAUAUUUAUACUAAAUGUGUCUUUUCAAGAGAUACUUUCCAGAAUUUCACAAAUUUUAAUUUAUACUACAUGACUCUUAAAUUUGAUUUUAUAUUGAAGAUGUCUCUUGAAGAGACACCUUCUAAAAUUCCAAAUUUUUUUUAUUUAUACUGAAGGUAUCUCUUGAAGAGACACCUUCCACAAUUCCACAAAAUCCAAUAUAUACUAAAGGUGUCUCUUGAAGAGAUACCUUCCACAAUUUCACAAAAUUUAAUUGAUAUUGAUUUUAUAUUGAAGGUGUCUCUUGUCUUCCUUUAUAAUUCCAAAGAAAAUGGAUUUAUACCGAAGGUGAAUGUGUCUCUUCAAGAGACACCUUCCACAAUUUUCAUACAUAGUGAAAAUUUUUUAAUUUAUACUAAAGGUAUCUCUUGAAGAGACACCUUCGAAAAAAUAAAUUUUAUCUCUUAAUUAGUAUAACCCUAUAUAAAACCAUAUGUUUAAAUUUUGUCACUUGUAUACAUUAUAAUCAAUAUUUUGACAUUUCAAUCCAAAACCAAUCAAAACAAGUAAACCAAAUGUCAAUUAAAUCAACACAUUUCCUAAAUAGUAACAAAACUAUUUUGUGUAAAAUAAGUCCAAAAUAGGUAGAAUACUAUAGAACUUAUGUUUAUAAAAAGUUAGUCAAUCCAAAAUAUAACAAGUAUAAAUAUACAUCUUGAGUAUUUGUCCAAAAUAAUGAUAUGCAAACUACUAAUAGUAUAUACAAGUCAUGUUGUAGCAUCCUCAAUGUGUACCACACGAAGGAGCCUUCCUCUUCCGUUGUGGAUGUCCAUGAUAUGCAUGUUCCACUAUGGCUCAAUGGGGCUGACAUGUACCCCCUCCUCCAAUGAGCUUGACGACCAUGUCUCCUACCACGUCCUCAACCACGAUCAUUCUUUUGUCCUCGCUAAUCAUCAUUUGUUAUAUGAACUAACUCCUCAUCAACCAAUGUAGCCUCUAUCGGUUGUGGUGAUGAUGCAAAAAGUGGUACUAUAGUUAGGGUAGAUGGCAACUCCAUAGGUGUAAUAAGAGUCUUCUCAAUAGGCGGUAGGCUGAUGUUAGUCAAUGGUGCAUCUCUAAGAAUAGAUGUAUACCUAGUCCCUCUCCUAUGAGCCCCUCCCCCUUUAGUCUGUACUCAUCCCAAUCGAGCAAUGGAUGAUAUGAACUGCUGAUGAGGUGGUAUACUAGUGUCAGUUGAUGGUCGCGCUCGAACAACAACUGGUGUAUGCCUAAUCUCUCUCUUACGAGGCCCUUGUCCAAUGGGUCGUACAUCUCCUAAUUAAGGCUGGAGUUGUGUAGUAGCAUCAACACUAAAUAGAGCAUUUAAGUGAUCCAUCUCAUGUAUGGCCUCUAAUGUAGUAGAACACAGUUUGUGAAUGCACAAAUCAUCUGGGGAUGCAAUAUCAUAUAUCUGAUGGAUGCUGGUAGUCUGUAAGUCAAUUAGGAGAUAAAUUAAAUUCUUAUAAAAAUAAAAUAAAUUUUAAUAAAAAGAUAAGACAUGAGAAUUACCAGUAGCUCAUGGAAGGACCUGGUCCAAGUAAGAAACCAAAUAGUAAUGGAGAGAUACCACAUGAUGUCUGGAUCAUGAUACCCCAAUAAACCUAUAGUCAUCUCGCCUUUAGCAAUAUGCUUAUGCCUAGAGCUUCAACGUCGAAUGUAGUCUCCAUGUUGAGUAGUCCAAUCAACAUCAUGUUUAUCUCUCAAAUCACAUUUAUGUAAGAUUGACUCAUUAUCACAUGGUUAAGGAAUCCCUUGAUGAAAUCCAAAUUGCUGCAAUACUCGAUUAGGUCUAUGCCAUUCAACUAUGUGGAAACAUAUCAAAGGUGAGAUAGUGCACCAUAUAUCUUUCCUAACAAUACAAUAAUGAGGAAGACCAACAUUCAUGUCAACAAUAUAAGGUUGCAAUAUAAUUUGCACUAAAAAAAGGUUAGGUAUAAUCAAUGUCUGGAAUUUGUUUAAAGAAACAAGUAUAAGAAAUGAAUCCCACUUCUAUCACCUGAUAUGCUAUAAGUCAAUCAAGAUUGUGCCUAUAUUGAGCUAAGACGUGCAUGCUAAUCGACGUAGUACGAAACUCAUCUCCCCAACUAUAAAAAUAAAAUAACAAAGCAUAAAUAAAUAAAUAAUAUAAUAUAAUUUAAGUUUAUGCAUGUAUCCUCAUAAUAGUAAAAUUUGUGGUAAUAUUAUAAUAUAUACCGAAUGGCUAAUGGAGGUGGAGACAACUGGUCAUCAUACCCAUAACUAGAGCAAAAUCAGUGGGCUAAAUAUAUCAUGUGUAUAAAUCUAAGAGGCUUGACACAACUGUUGAUAAAACCAGGCUAAACAUGCAUUAACCCUUCCUACCAACAAUCUCAAAAUCCUCUAGAAGCUAGUCUUGUAUGACUCCAUAGAGGAAAAGCUAGUCUAGAAAUUGAGAAUGGAUAUGGGGAUCAAGUUAUUUACUAGUCAUGUAUAGGAGCGCUCCUCUAAGCUAUGGUGUUACUUGGUCUUUAUUAGUGAGCUAAGAUGUGAUCUAAAAUUUGAUUUAGUUUACAUAAUCUUGCAAAAUUAGUUAUAAAUUUGAUUACCAUUAAUACAAAGAAUCUAACACAAGUUACAAAAAUUUGACUCAAUUAAUUAAAAAAAAAAUCAUUUUCUGAUUUUAGUAAUUAAUAUAAAAAAUUAGCAUAUAAACCAAAAAAUAUAAUUUAAUUUAUUUCUUUAAAAAAUUAAUAAAUAAAGUAUUUUUUUGAUUUUAUUAAUGUCAAUUUACAAAGAAUUAAUAUAUAAAAAAAUUUGUGCCAUAUAACCUGAAAAAAUUAAUUUAUAAAAUAAUUUUCUCGUUUUAUUAAUAUACAAAAAGAAAUAAAAAAAAAUCUAAUUUAUUUCACAUAAUCUCACCAAAUUAAUUUUCAAAGUGAUUUUCUGAUUUAUUUUAUUUUAUUUUACUAACAUUAAUAUAGAAGGAAAAGUUCUAAUUUUAGAUCCAUUCAAUCUUACCUAAUAAAUUUAUAAAGUAAUUUUUUUUUCAAAUUUACUAACAUUAAUAUAUGGAAAAGAAUUGAUUUAGUAUUUAUCAACUUUACAAUUAAUUGGUAAAACAAAUUAUGUCAUUAUCAAUAUGAAUUUAUAAAAGAUUAAUAUAUCAAAUACAAAUAAAAUAAAUAAAUAAAUAUUUGAUUUAAUAUUUAAUAGUUUACAAUUAAAAUUCAAAGUGAAAUAUUUAAAAUUCAAAUUCCACUCUCAUUUUUAAAAUUGAACCGUCACAAUGGUCAAACGAGUUUUGAGUUCAUUUAAACUCACCAUAACAUCUACUAUUUCAACAGUGUCUGUAAUGAGAACGAGAUCUACUUCAGCCAUUCAGUUCAAGAUGGAGCUAUUUCAAAGUGGGUAUUGAACUCAAGAGGGGGAUUUUUUGACACUUACAACGAAACUCUAUUCGUGAAGGAAGGUAUGUGUGAUCGUUAUGACAAAUAUCCAGGGUGCGCAGUGCAAGAGCAACCUGCUUGCAGGACUAGAGACUACUAAUUCAUGAAGCAAUUGGUUCGCAAUUCAGGAUAUCAGUUGUGGUUUAGUGAUUGUCAGGCCAUAUGCCGGAACAAUUGUUCUUGUACUGCUUGUAAUACUGUAUUCACCAAUGGAAUUGGAUGUUAGUUGUGGAGGGAAAAAUUUCCACGAGCCCAAGUGGGUGAUGCAAAUCAGGAGGAGCUCUAUGUUUUGUCCUCAUCAAAAGAUAAAGGUAAGAGUCUCUAUGUAUUGUAUUCCUAAAAGUAGCCAAACCAAGUACUGAAUAAAUCUUCGAUCUUCAUUUACAAUCCAAACACGUGAUCGAAAAUUCGAAAAAAGUACAACUGUAUAGUUGAUAUUUCAACUCAUCCUCUACCAUUAGAGGAGCUAUAGCAAAAACCAUAAAAGCCCUCUCUCUCUCUCUCUUUCUCUCUCACUUUCACUUGAGUUCUGCUCUAACAACAAAAUUUAUUAACUUCUAUCUAUGCAGGGAACCAUUUGCGGAACGUGAGCAUUAUCUGUGGAGUGGUAGGUCUGGUCAUAUUACUUUUCUUAUGUUGUUUAUCGACAAACUUCAGAGUUGGCUUUUGUAUAACAGGGGAUAGAGAAAUGAGGGAAGUUCAGCGACAUGAAGGGGCUUCUGAUAUAACAAGGGAUAGAGAAGUUCAGCCAUGUGAUGUUGAGGUUUCUGGUGGUAAAAUAGGGGAUAAGGAAGUUCGGCCACGUCAUGGUUCUGGUGAAACAGGGGAUAGGAAGAAAGCUAAGGUGGUGUUUGUUUUUUUACUUAAUUCUAAAUAGAACCCUAAUACUUAAUAGUAUUAAAUAUUAGGUUGUUUGUUUUUGUAGUAUUUUAUUUCUAUUAAGUAUUAAAAAGUAAAAAAAACCAUUGUGUUAUUUUUUCUAUUUAGAAAAAGCCACAUAUUUUGGGUUUUUCUAUUUAGUAAAAAGUUUAUAAUAAGUCAUGAAAAAGUAAAAAAACAAACAACCUAAAUUCUAAAACUAAAUGGUUUUCAGCAAAAAGCCAAAAAAACAAACACCACCUAAGUCACUUGAACCUCAGGCUUCUGGUAUAACAGGGGAUAGAGAAAUGGAGGAACUUGAGCAGCUUGUACUUCCUGUCAAACAGGGGAUAGGAAGAAAGCUAUUUGCAUGUCCAAGAUAUCUAUAAGCAAACACCAUGCUUAAACAGAGAUGUGGAGCUUGAAAAGCCCAAAAUUUGAAGAAGGUUGAACUGAACUAGAUCCAAACAAACACCAUGUUGAAACAGAGAUGUGGACCUUAAUUCAAAUUCAACCAAGCUAAGCUUGAAAACUAACUUUUUGUAAUCGGGGGCUUUCUUUUAUGUUUCUCCAAUGUUUUCAGUCAGGAUUGCUAAAUUGACUGAUUGAAAUGAUAUGGUUAUGAGGCCUGGACCUAGGGUCAGUAUGAAUCCGCAUGAACUUGAUAAUGAGGCCCUAGCAUUUAAACCUUUAUUAGGUUCCAUGCUUGCAAGGAUUUACCACAACCCUCAAAACAAGGAGGCAAAUCAAACAAGAUUGAAGAAAAAAUUCUACGGUUCUGGGCUUCCAAGGAAGUUUAUGAUCAUGAUACAAUUUAUGGGCUUGAGGGUGAGAUGAUUGGUGGACCCCCAAGCAAUUCUUUCUCAGGCCCUGUUAAGGAGUUAUCUGCUGUUCCUGUGGAUUCUCUCAACUGUUCCAGGCGGUGCCAUCCUCUCCCCUAUAAAACCAACCUCACAUCUCUCUCAUUCACAUUUCAUUCACAACAUAUAGAAUAGUGGGUUGAGACUUGAUUAUCUGAUUGUUGGGUAUUUCAAAAGACACAUUUCCACAAAUUUUUUAUCAUACACAUUAAAAAAAUUGAAUUUUUACUCAAAGUGUCUCUUGAAAAGAGACUUUCCAUAAUUCUAUAAAAUUAAAUUCAUAUUAAAGGUGUUUCUUUGAAGAGACAACUUCAAAAAAAUAAAAUAAAAUCUAUCUAUUAAUUAGUUUUAUCCUGAAUACAAUUAAAUAUUUAAAUUUUAUCACAUGUAUACAUCAUAAUCAAUAUUUUGACCUUUCAAUAUGUGGACUUGUAUUUUUCACGAGGCAUCCUACUCAACUGGCGAGACUUGUUUUCUUUUAAUGAAAAAUUGUAUUUUAUAAAAUAUUGGAGUUGCCACUUACUUUUAUUUAUUUUUAAAGGGGAAAUUAAGUAAAAACAAAACCCCUAAAAUGACUCAAGAUUUUUGGAAAAGCUAUAUGUGAAAAACUCGAGUCUAGGUCUGUAGAUCAGGUUACCUAACGGAAAGGUACCUCCAAAGAGGUAGCACCCCUUUAAGCCCUAACAAGGUUUCUACUACCUAAGUUGAGGGAAAUAUGACAAUUAGUCAAUUUAUUAUGGAUACCUAGAUGGGCUAAGGUGAUUUCGAAUGUUUGUUAAUUCUAACAUGCCAAACAAGGGUUCUAAACACAUUUAUAAAGAAAGGAUAGUAUGCAUACCUGAACUGCAACUUAAGCGCUAUCACAAAACAUCAAUGGUUAGUUAAAAAAAACUCAGAACCUAUAUUUUACCCUAGUCUCUUAAUCAUACAUGGCAAGUCAACAAGCAAUCAAAAAGAUAUGAAAUAAAGAUGUGAAGGUAAGAAGCGUAGCUAAAUAACGUAGAUAACUUAUAAUGCGCUUCCACAAUACAUGGGAGGUUGAAUCAAAGUUAUAAUAAUAGAAAAUUAAAAAAAAGUAAUCCUAGUGGGCAUGGUGUCCGAAUAGCAUAACAAAAAUAACCAGAGUAUAAGGAAACACCAAUUAUCACACAAGUCAUGUAUACAACUCCAAAAAUCAAGGGUUAUGAUUAAAACAUGUAGCAAAAGGGGUAACACACAAUUAUCAAAAGGAAAAUUAUAAAUUAAUAUUUAGGAACAUCAUUUGAUCAUGAAAAAUUAAGACAACCUUUCUAUUAUGUCUAUAUCACAAUACAACAACCAACAACAAGUUAUGAGAUGUUAAAUGGUCUUGAAUUAAACAACAAUGCAAGCACGAUGCAAAACUUCUAGUCCAUAAUAAGAAUAAGGCAUCUUUAAGAAUAAAUCCUAAGAAAAUAAUAAAAAAUGGAAUUUGAUCACACCAAAUCACAAAAUACUUAUCGUUGAUGUCUAUAACAACAUGCCAAAUCUCAAGCAUUCAAUUAAACAACAUAUUUAAUUCAAAAUAUCCAAAAGUUCCAAAAGGUCUAGAAUUUGGCAGAAAACAUUAACCAGUGUAAACUAAAUUUAAAAACAAAAAUACCUAGAGGUCUUCUAAAUUCUUAAAAAACACUCACACAAGUAUUUAAGAUGUCUAGAUCAUCCAAAAAUUUAAUCCAAGGUCAGAAAGCAUUCAUAAGAAUUUUUAGAACACUAUAAUUUAUCAGUUGUCAAGAUUCAGUCAUGUACAGUAAGUGUGAAUUUUAAAAAUCAUAUCUCUUUCAAGAAGACAUAUUUUUUAAUAUUUUAUGUGUCAAAAUUUAAUUUUAGAAGUCAAGAAUUUGGGAAAAAUAUUAAUUUAAAUUUAAAAGAUCAAAAGGUAAUUUAAUUUUUCAAAAAAAAUACUGAGUGUCAAAAACAAGGUGAAAAUUGAACCUUUUAAAAUAUUGAUUUAUAUCUUAUAAUUAGAAAACUAUAUUUGAUCCAAGCAAGAUUCUAUAAUCAAGUUCAAGGAAUCUAGAAUGUCAUGGAAUAGUUAGAAAUUUUUUAAAGGGUCUUUAAGUUGUCAUAUUCCAAUUUACAAAUGCAGAAGUAUAGUGAACUAUCUACAAUUUCAAUGAAAAACUAUGUUUUGAAAAAAAAAACUUUGUAUGUGGGGAUCUAUUAAAUCCCAUUUUAAUUUUCAUGAAUUUAUCCAUAAAGACUCCAUUUAUUGCACUAUGAAAUUUAAUUCAUGUAUAUUCAAAACCAAAAUUCAUUUUAAAACUUUUUUUUAUAAUAUGCAUACCGAAUAAAAUUGGUUGCAUGAAUUUUGGAAAAUUGAAUUUUUAUAACCUAACAAUGUCUAAGAUGAAUUUGAAAAUUUGAGAAUUAACCUUUUUUAGAGAGCUAUAUUGAUAAGCAUUUUGAAAUCACUAAAAAAAAUACAAAUAAUCAUAUAAAAUCACACAGCCAAAAGAAGAAAAUUCCUAAGGAAACAAAGUAGUGUGUGCUGAAAAUGAGUGAAUCAUGCUGAGUUGUGUGUGAUGAGAGUGAAAGUGUAGCUGAUGUGUGUGUGUUCAUAGUGGCAACCUAGUGGUCUCCUUCUCUAUGCAGCUGUGUGUGCCUUCUUCAUCAGUUCGAUUAGUGUGUGUUCUUUGAAAUUCAGCUGGUGGUGUUGUUUUUCACAAGCUUAUGCAAAUUCUCGAAAUUCAACAAUCUGAUGCAUGCUUGUGCUAGAAAUCUAGUGGUUUCAAAAUAUGAUGGUGUGAUCAUGUGCUUAUUGUUUUUCUCCUCACCACCAUGCACUGUCAACUUACCUCUCCAUCAUUAACAGUCGUACACAAUCAACUUGCCUCCCCAAAGUUCUAAAGACUUCCCUCUAAAAAUUAUGAUAAUUCUUUUAUUCCCACCAAAAUUCAAAUUUGUACACUAAUAGCCACUUCUCUUAUACCUUCUCAUCCUCUUCAUUCAAGCCAAAACCAUGCACUAAAUCCAUGUGACUCUCUAGAAAAUCUUGCCACCUUCUUUUUUCCACAAUUUGUACACCAAACAACCUCUAUUCUAGAAAAAUCUAGUGCUCACACCAAUCCCCACCAUGUCCAUAAUCAGCUUAGGUGUUCCCCAUAUUCUGAUGCUCUUCACUUUACAAAUUCUGAUUUUUAUAUUUCAUUCAUCCACCAUGUCGAAUUUGGUAUCAUCCCAACCAAAAAAUUAUCUCACCAAAUACCCACACCUUUUCAUCCUAUCAUCAACUUCAUAUAUUUCCUUCAAAACGAUGCACUCAAUUUUUACCAUUAAAAAAAUGAAUUCACACAUUCAUUCUUCCACUAGAAAAAAUCACACGCCUCCUUCUUUCCAAUCCAUCAUUCCGGUGUUAUUUCUCAUACCCAUAUGCAUGCGUGCAUGGCUGGUUGUGGGUACAACCCAUGAAAAAAAAAAAAAAAACUAUGCAUGGAGCCCUUUGGUGUGCACAACUUUAAAAAUUUUUUGGGGGUCUCUCAAUAAAGUGGACCAUGUGUGUGUUGAAACAAUUUUUGAUGGAUGUAGUUGUGUUCCAGAUGACCUUCCAUACCACUCUCACGCUGAAGGGCAUGUGUUGUGUCUUUCUUUUUUUCAAAACCUUGUCCCUCCCUCAACAUUAAUAAGAAACCGAACAAUAGGCAGAAAAGAACAAAAACACAUAAAUGAUGUAGGUUAAAUAAAAAAAACAUAGAACCUAGCUCCAUUUCAGUGAUUCUCAAUGGGCUUUGAAUGGGUGAAACCAUUAGGAAGCUGAAGGUGCUCUCAAGGAACAAUUUUAAAAUAAUCCAUGCAUCAAAUAUUUACAGGAGAGGUUAAUGAAAAAAAGAAACACAGUAAAACCCAAAAUAGAGCAUGUGCAUACAUAAUCAUAUUCCACAAGAUAAACUUCAAGUAAUGCUAAUUACUACUCAAAAAGUGCUAUUUAAUAGCUUAUAAUUAAUCCUUUUAAACACUUUUGAGUAGUAGUUUUGGCCUUUUAACUCAAUUGGCAUGUUAAGGACCCUUGAAAGCAAUUUUAAUCACUUUGUGUAAGUUUUGGUGUUUUUGUUAGUAAUUUGAUCAGCAAAGCAAUUCAAGUUUGAGGAGAGUUUUGAGGAAUCUUGGUUAAAACUUAGAAGUCAUUUGCCAAGAGUAAAUCCGGAUUGCAAAGAGAAAAAGUAAAGAGAAUCUGCCAAGAAGCAUAUUCUUGAUGACAAUCAUAGCAGCCACUUUUGGAGCACUUUCUGAGGUCCAAUUGAUGCAUGCUAUAUACCAUUUCAAAGCUCAGGAAGUAAAAAAUCCAAUGCUUCAAACGGUACGCAAUUCGGAGUUGAAACGAAAAAUUUGCAUCCUUUGCAAGCCAAUCACUCCCAGCUGAAGGAAGCAUUUUUCAAAGUGUUGCGAAAUCACCCUUUUGCUGCGAAGUGAUUCCGCAGCCUUUUUGUACAGUAGGGUGUAUUUCCUUCUGAAGGUGCCCGAUAUAUGCCACAAGCUAGAAGCUGAGAACCUCAAGGUGGAAGCCAACUUCGCAGCCCUACGAGAAUAGCUUGUUGUUGCGAAGUGAUUUCGCAGCCCUUCUUGAGUGCCUACGAAAUCUCGCAGACACCAUUUUCUCUUGCGAAAUGGUUCCUGAAGCACCCCGAUAUUUGCUACUGACAUUGGGAGAUAUUUUACAUCAGAUUUUUGUUGUCUAAAUCCCAAAAUACUCCUUGUAAACCACCAAUUACAAAAUUCCUUAGCUUUUAAGUUAGUAAAAAGAGAAAAUAUCUAUGUAAUAAUUAGUUUUAUAUUAUGUUCAUAUAUAUACCUCUCGGGAGCCUGUUCUAAGAGAGGAGAUCCUUUUGUAAAGUUUUGGGUAAGCAAGUAAAGUUCAGUUCUUUGUAUUGCCUUACCUUCUCACUUUGUAUUUUUAUUUUCUUACUAAGUUAUGAACUCUCUGAGGAAUUUUCCCCAGAGAAUGAGUAACUAAACAUCUAGUUCCUUGGAGCUAAGGUUGUCGGGGAAGGUUCCAAGUGCAAGAAUGCAAAGCUUUGUGGUUUUAGCUAGUAAUGAAGAGGAAGUGAAAUCCUUUAGUGAUUUCUAUGUUUUUAGUUAACUUAAAACACCUUAGAGUCACCUGGGCCAACACUUGGUAAGGCAAGUGAUUUCCAAUCAUGGAAAUGCACUAGUUUACCCCUUGCGAGCCUCUGGAAGGUGACUUUAGGGUAGGAUUUUCUAGAAUAGCCAACACUUGGUAAGCUUUUGGACUCCAAGGAGACAUCCAUUAGUUAUCUCUUGCGAGCUUGAGACGGGUAAUCCAAGGUUAAAGAUCACCUUGAACGGUUAAGGCUUAGUGAGAGAAUUAAAGUGAAAUGUAAUUGAAGGAUGUAUCUGUACAACACCGGUUAGAGAAUUGACUAUAUGUUGAAUCUCUAAUGCAAGGAAAUGAACGAUCUGACCGGAGCCGUGUCUUUUGCAUGAGGAACCACCCUAGUGAACCUAACUCUCCAAGGAAUGUUUUUCUUCCUAAGUUAUUCCCAUUACUUAUUGUGUUAGUUAGUUUAAGUCUAAAUCUUCACUAAUCAAAGUUUGUGUUUUAUUUCUUAAGCUAACCUUGAAAUGAAACAAAACCAAUUCACUUUGAAUUGAUAUCAUUGAUAGGUUGUUAAUCCUUCCCAGUGAACGAUCCUAGAGCCGCUAUACUAUAGUAGCUUUGUCUUUGCUGCCCUAGUAUAUGGUGUUAUAGGUUAUAAAUUUUGUUGAUUACUCCCUCAUUCAAGGAGCACCAGCUGGACACGAAUCAGCUGGCACACCAAUUGGGCAUGAAUCAAAUGGCGCCGUUGCCGGGGAAGGUGUCAAAUUUAUAGUGAUACCAUUUUUGAGCACUUGUGAUUUUCAUCACAAGUUGGUAACGUUUCUUUCACUUUACUAAUUCUCAUUCUUUCUUUAUUUAUUCAUAAUCUAAGUUUAUAUUUUAAAAUUUAGCUUAGUUUAAUUUUGUUGUUGUAGCCCUGUUUCUGUUGUUGUUCUUUAUUUUCAUUUAAGUUGUAGAGAGAUACUAGUUGUGUAUGCCAAAGUGGAUAUGAGACUGUGGAGGAAGGCUUGUUAAGUGUGAUACACCUCAGAGAAGAGAAUUCGAAUUGAGCUUGAAUAUCAUGGAAACUACACCUGAAGAUUAGCAUAGUCACCAAGGUCGUCAAGACAAUAUCAAUGAAUUCAGAUCAAUGAGGGACCGCAUGCAUCCACCUCGUAUGAGUGCACCAUCAUGUAUAGUGCCCCCUACAGAGCAACUAGUGAUCAGACCGUAUCUUGUUCCACUUCUACCAACUUUCCAUGGGAUGGAAAGUGAGAAUCCGUAUGCAUACAUCAAGGAAUUUGAAGAUGUUUGCAAUACAUUCCAAGAGGGAGGAGCUUCAAUUGAUAUGAUGAGGCUUAAAUUAUUUCCUUUUACUUUAAAGGAUAAGGCCAAAAUUUGGCUUAAUUCUUUAAGGCCAAGGAGUAUCCGUUCUUGGACUGACUUACAAGCUGAAUUCCUUAAGAAAUUUUUUCCCACUCAUAGAACAAAUGGCUUGAAAAGGCAAAUUUCAAACUUCUCAGCUAAAGAGAAUGAAAAAUUCUAUGAGUGUUGGGAAAGAUAUAUGGAAGCUAUCAAUGCUUGCCCUCACCAUGGCUUUGAUACUUGGUUACUGGUGAGCUAUUUUUAUGAUGGUAUGUCCUUCUCAAUGAAGCAACUCCUCGAGACAAUGUGUGAAGGAGAUUUCAUGAGCAAAAAUCCGAAGGAAGCUAUGGAUUUCUUGAGCUAUGUAGCUGAUGUUUCAAGGGGAUGGGAUGAACCAACCAAAGGAGAAGUGGGUAAGAUGAAGUCUUAACUGAGUGCUUUCAAUGCAAAGGCUGGGAUGUAUACCUUGAAAGAAGAUGAUCAUAUGAAAGCAAAGUUGGCAGCUAUGACAAGAAGAUUGGAGGAGCUGGAGCUGAAAAGAAUUCAUGAAGUGCAAGCUGUUGCUGAAGCACCAGUGAUUACUACCAAAAAGUGCUAUUUUGUAGACCUAAUUAUAAUGGUUUUAAGCACCUUUGAGUAGUAAUCAUAUUCAUUUAACCCAAUUAAUUCAUUAAGGUCCUUAGUAAUUGGUUUUAACCAUUUUGUGGCAAGUUUACAUGUUUUUAUCAGCUUAUGAAUCAAUUCAAGCAUGCCAAAUGAUGGAGGAGCUACUUGGACAAGUUAUGGCAAAGCUUUUGGAAGCUCAAAUUCAUGAAGAACCAAGCUUUGGAGCUCCAUAGCCCUUUGCCAAAGUCGUUCAAAGUAUGCAAGGAAAGAACAAUGGAGAAGAGGGAAACAGAGUCNNNNNNNNNNNNNNNNNNNNNNNNNNNNNNNNNNNNNNNNNNNNNNNNNNNNNNNNNNNNNNNNNNNNNNNNNNNNNNNNNNNNNNNNNNNNNNNNNNNNAACUGAGUGCUUUCAAUGCAAAGGCUGGGAUGUAUACCUUGAAAGAAGAUGAUCAUAUGAAAGCAAAGUUGGCAGCUAUGACAAGAAGAUUGGAGGAGCUGGAGCUGAAAAGAAUUCAUGAAGUGCAAGCUGUUGCUGAAGCACCAGUGAUUACUACCAAAAAGUGCUAUUUUGUAGACCUAAUUAUAAUGGUUUUAAGCACCUUUGAGUAGUAAUCAUAUUCAUUUAACCCAAUUAAUUCAUUAAGGUCCUUAGUAAUUGGUUUUAACCAUUUUGUGGCAAGUUUACAUGUUUUUAUCAGCUUAUGAAUCAAUUCAAGCAUGCCAAAUGAUGGAGGAGCUACUUGGACAAGUUAUGGCAAAGCUUUUGGAAGCUCAAAUUCAUGAAGAACCAAGCUUUGGAGCUCCAUAGCCCUUUGCCAAAGUCGUUCAAAGUAUGCAAGGAAAGAACAAUGGAGAAGAGGAAAACAGAGUCCACCAAUCAUAAGAUUUCUUAGCUAGGAAGGUUGGAAAAACUUCUCUAUUUAUAUCCCCUUGCAUCCGUUGUAACAGAUAUUGAUAUAUAGAUAUAGAAAUAUAUAAAGUUCUUUUUUUUUCUCUUCUCCGGUUCUUCCCCAAUUCUAUUUUCUUAGUAGCCAAACAUCCUUGGUGGAUGAAAUCCCCAAGGAUGAGAGGCUAAAACCUUUUAAGUUUCUCAAAGUAUGGAUGUUAUGUGAUGGCUUGGAUGCAAUCCCAUGAAAAUUUCUCGCACCCGGAAGGUAAGGUAGUCAUUUUUCAUUAAUAGUUCAUUAAUGCAAAGUUUGGUUUUUAUUUCCUUUGGACAACUUCCAACGGCCAAUACUUGAUAAGCUUUUGGAUUUCUAUCCAUUAGUUAUCUCCUACGAGCUAUUGGAAGGUGAGGUUUUCAAUUCCAAGUUUUGCAUUAAUCCGUUAAAACCAAUUUCAAUGGCCAUUGAAAGGUGAGUUUAUCACCUGGAAUGACUUUGAGUUGCCAAUAUUUGGUAAGCUUUUGACUUUAGACCAUUAGUUAUCCCUUACGAGCCAUUCAAAGGAAGUCUAAGGUGAAUAACCAUUGAUGAAAUUCACUACCAUCUGUUUUGCCAUUUUAAAGGAUUAAAACUUGAUUUGCUAAAUCCAUACCGGUUCGGGAAGCAAGCAUCACCAUAGUUGCAACCCCAACGCGAGGAGCCUAUCUUGAGAUUUCCAAUUUGCAUAAGAGCCAGAGCAUAGCUAUCCUAUCUUUGAGAAACUUGUUUUUACACCCUUUCAUUUUAGUCUUUAAUGUUAGCUUAGAUUAGUUUAAAUCUUUCUAAAACAUUUACAUCUUCUUUUAAAGCUAACAUCCAUAAGAAAAUCACCUAUUUUCCUAAUUUGAAUAUCACUUGUGUUUGCGAAAACCCUUCCCAGUGAACGAUCCUAGAACCACUAUGCUAUAGUAGCUUGGCUACUUUAGUAAUAGUAUUCAAGGUAUAAAUUUUGUUGAUACGCCUUUAAAGCUAAGCUACCAUGAGUCGGAUCAACCAGUGCAAGUGAAGUUGUGUCCUAAUUGUCAAUCAUAUGAAAAUUUGGUGGAGGAAUGCCCUGCAAUUUCAGCUGAAAGGGAAAUGUUUAGAGAUCAAGCAAAUGUUGUUGGACAAUUCAGGCCUAAUAACAAUGCGCCUUAUGGAAAUACCUACAACUCAAGUUGGAGGAAUCAUCCAAAUUUCUCAUGGAAGGCCAGAGAAACUCAAUACCAACAGCUGGAUCCACCAUCUCAACAAUCUUCAAGUCUUGAACAAGCAAUGGCUAAUCUCAGCAAGGUAAUGGGAGAUUUUGUUGGAAAGCAAGAAGCAACCAAUGCUUAAAUCUAUCAAAGAAUUGAUAGAGUGGAGAGUAUGUUGAAUAAAAUGAUGGAUGGAAUGCAAAAUGAUAUGAACCAAAAGUUUGAUAACAUCCAAUAUUCAAUUUCAAGGCUUACAAAUUUGAAUACACUGUAAGAAAAGGGAAAAUUUCCUUCUCAACCCUACCAAAACCCCAAAGGUGUCCAUGAAGUGGAAAGCCAGGAGGGAGAAUCAUCACAGACGAAAGAUGUCAAAGCCUUGAUCACUCUAAGGAGUGGUAAAAAAAUUGAGCAGCCAACACCCAAGCCACAUGUUGAGAAAAAAGAAGAGAUAAAGAAAGGGAAGGAAAUGGAAGAUAAAGAGAGUGAGAUCAGUGAAGAAAAGGACUCUGAUUCAACAAUGAAUGCAAUUCUAGAGAAGAAACUUAUGAAGGAAGAAAUGCUGAAGAAAUCAACUUCUCCUCUUUUUCCUUAAGCAUUACAUGGGAAAAAGGGAAUUAGAAAUGAAGCUGAAAUCCUUGAAGUAUUGAGACAAGUGAAAGUCAAUAUUCCACUGCUGGAUAUGAUUAAACAAGUUCCAACGUAUGCAAAAUUCCUAAAGGACUUAUGUACUAUCAAAAGAGGGUUGACUGUAAACAAGAAAGCCUUCUUGACUGAGCAAGUAAGUGCAAUCUUACAAUGUAAGUCUCCUUUGAAGUACAAAGACCCGGGAAGUCCUACCAUUUCAGUCAUGAUUGGAGGAAAGGUAGUGGAGAAAGCCUUGUUAGACUUGGGAGCAAGUGUGAAUUUGCUUCCAUAUUCCGUCUACAAGCAAUUGGGACUUGGAGAGUUGAAGCCAACAAUAAUCACUUUAUCUCUAGCAGAUAGAUCAGUGAAAAUUCCAAGGGGGGUAAUUGAGGAUGUAUUGGUUCAAGUGGAUAAUUUCUACUAUCCAAUAGAUUUUAUUGUUCUUGAUACAGAUCCUACUGUAAAGGAAGCUAAUUUAGUUCCUAUCAUCCUUGGAAGGCCAUUUCUUGCUACCUCAAAUGCAAUCAUCAAUUGCAGGAAUGGGCUGAUGCAACUCACUUUUGGCAACAUGACACUGGAUCUCAAUAUUUUCUAUAUGUCUAAAAAGUAAAUCACUCCGAAAGAAGAAGAGGGUCCAGAAGAGCUGUGCAUUAUUGAUACUUUGGUGGAGGAGCACUGUAAUCAAAAUAUGCAAGACAAGUUGAAUGAAAGUCUUCUGGAUUUUGAGGAAGGUUUGUCUGAAUCCCCUACUGUGCUUGCUACUCUACAAAGUUGGAGAAAGAUAGAAGAAAUUCUACCUUUAUUCAAUAAAGAAGAAGAGGCAACUGCUGAAAAAGAACCUCCAAAACUCAAUUUGAAGCCUUUACUUGUGGAGCUGAAAUAUACAUAUCUUGAAGAAAAUAAUCAAUGUCCUGUUGUGAUAUCUUCAUCUCUGACCAGUCAUCAAGAGAAUUGUUUAAUGGAAGUUCUCAAGAGGUGUAAGAAGGCAAUAGGAUGGCAAAUAUCCGACUUGAAAGGCAUUAGUCCUUUAGUUUGUACUCAUCAUAUAUAUAUGGAGGAGGAAGCAAAGCCAAUUCGUCAACUUCAAAGAAGUUUGAAUCCUCAUUUACAAGAGGUGGUGCGAGCUGAGGUGCUGAAGCUACUUCAAGCAGGAAUCAUUUACCCUAUAUCUGAUAGCCCUUGGGUGAGUCCUACUCAAGUGGUACCAAAGAAGUCAGGGAUCACAAUGGUUCAGAAUGAAAAAGGAGAAGAAGUUACUACACGCCUCACUUCAAGUUGGAGGGUGUGUAUUGAUUAUAGAAAGUUGAAUGUUGUAACUAGGAAGGAUCAUUUUCCAUUGCCAUUUAUUGACCAAGUGCUGGAGAGAGUCUCUGGACAUCCAUUCUAUUGCUUCUUGGAUGGGUAUUCAGGGUAUUUUCAGAUUGAAAUUGAUGUGGCAGAUCAGGAAAAGACCACUUUUACAUGUCCAUUUGGAACAUAUGCUUACAGGAGAAUGCCUUUUGGUUUAUGCAAUGCACCUGCUACAUUUCAAAGAUGUAUGUUGAGUAUUUUCAGUGAUAUGGUGGAGCGAAUUAUGGAGGUUUUCAUGGAUGACAUUAUCGUAUAUGGAGGUACAUUUGAGGAAUGCUUAGUUAAUUUGGAAGCAGUUCUUCACAGAUGCAUUGAAAAAGACCUGGUGCUCAAUUGGGAGAAAUGUCAUUUUAUGGUAUGUCAAGGAAUUGUCCUUGGCCAUAUCAUCUCUGAAAACGGCAUUGAAGUUGAUAAAGCAAAGGUGGAGCUUAUUGUCAAAUUACCAUCCCCAACAACUGUAAAAGGAGUAAGGCAGCUCCUUGGCCAUGCAGGGUUCUACAGGAGAUUUAUAAAAGGUUUUUCAAGUCUUUCAAAACCUCUUUGUGAGCUAUUAGCUAAGGAUGCUAAAUUUAUAUGGGAUGAAAGGUGUCAAAAUAGCUUUGAUCAACUGAAGAAAUUUUUAACAACAACUCCAAUAGUGAGAGCCCCUAACUGGCAACUACCUUUUGAACUGAUGUGUGAUGCCAGUGACUUUGCUAUAGGAGCUGUGCUUGGCCAAAGGGAAGAUGGGAAGCCCUAUGUGAUUUACUAUGCAAGAAAAAACACUGAAUGAAGCUCAAAGGAACUACACAACUACAAAGAAAGAAUUGUUAGCUGUGGUAUUUGCUUUGGACAAAUUUCGUGCUUAUUAAGUGGGGUCUUUCAUCAUUGUUUUCACUGACCAUUCAGCCUUGAAGUAUUUAUUGACAAAGCAAGAUGCAAAAUCAAGGUUGAUUAGAUGGGUUCUUUUGUUACAAGAAUUCGAUCUCCAAAUCAAAGAUAAGAAAGGAGUGAAGAAUGUAGUAGCUGACCACCUUUCGAGGUUAGUUAUAGCACAUAAUUCCCAUCCCUUGCCUAUUAAUGAUGAUUUUCUUGAAGAAUCACUCAUGUUCCUAGUGAAAACUCCUUGGUAUGCUCAUAUUGCUAAUUAUUUAGUAACUAGAGAAAUUCCAAGUGAGUGGAAUGCACAGGAUAGGAAGCACUUCUUUGCCCAAAUUCAUGCUUAUUAUUGGGAAGAGCCCUUUCUUUUUAAGUAUUGUGCAGAUCAGAUCAUAAGGAAGUGUGUCCCUGAAGAUGAGCAGCAAGGGAUUCUAUGUCAUUGUCAUGAGAAUGCAUGUGGAGGCCACUUUGCCUUUUAGAAAACAGCCAUGAAGGUGUUGCAAUCAGGGUUUACUUGGCCAUCUCUUUUCAAAGAUGCCCACAUCAUGUGUAGAAGUUGUGACUGAUGCCAAAGGCUUGGAAAGUUGACAAAAAGAAAUCAAAUGCCUAUGAACCCCAUUCUAAUAGUUGAGCUAUUUGAUGUAUGGGGCAUUGACUUCAUGGGACCUUUCCCAAUGUCUUUUGGUAAUUCUUACAUCUUAGUGGGGGUGGAUUAUGUUUCUAAAUGGGUUGAGGCAAUCCCCUGUAAACAAAAUGAUCACAGGGUGGUUCUCAAGUUUCUUAAAGAGAACAUUUUCUCAAGAUUUGGGGUGCCCAAAGCAAUAAUUAGUGAUGGAGGUGCUCAUUUUUGCAACAAACCUUUUGAAGCUCUGUUAUCCAAGUAUGGAGUGAAGCAUAAGGUGGCUACACCUUAUCAUCCUCAAACUUCCGGGCAAGUUGAGCUAGCUAACAGGGAAAUAAAGAACAUAUUGAUGAAAGUGGUGAAUUCCAGCAGAAAAGAUUGGUCUAUUAAGCUUCAUGAUUCAUUGUGGGCAUAUAGAACAACUUAUAAGACUAUUCUUGGCAUGUCUCCCUAUCGUCUUGUCUAUGGCAAAGCAUGUCAUCUCCCUGUGGAAGUUGAAUACAAAGCUUGGUGGGCAAUAAAGAAGCUGAACAUAGACUUGAUCAGAGCCGGAGAAAAGAGAUAUCUAGACCUUAAUGAGAUGGAGGAAUUAAGAAAUAAUGCUUAUAUCAAUUCCAAAGCUGCAAAACAGAGGAUGAAGAAGUGGCAUGAUCAACUCAUCUCCAACAAGGAAUUUCAGGAAGGGCAAAGAGUUUUACUGUAUGGCACAAGACUCCAUAUCUUUCCUGGGAAGCUCAAGUCAAGGUGGAUAGGGUCGUUCAUUAUUCACCGAGUAUAUUCCAAUGGAGUGGUGGAAUUAUUGAAUUCAAAUGGCAAGGAUAGCUUCAAAGUCAAUGGAUAUCGUCUCAAGCCAUUCAUGGAGCCAUUCAAACCAGAAAAGAAGGAGAUCAACCUCCUUGAGCCUCAAAAAGCCUAAGCAAAGAAGGGUUUGCUGGACGUGGUUUACCACAGUCCAAAUUUUUUGUAAAUUUUGUAAAUUUUCAAGUUUUUUCCAUACAUUUGAUCUUAGUUUUUGAUCUUAAAUCAUGUUUUUAGGUGUGUUUUAAUCUUUUUGAAUGAUCUCAGGUGGAAGAAAUUUCAAGGAAAUUGAAAGGAAAAAAAUUGGAUCGAAAUCGGAGCAAAAACAGAGUGAAAACAGAGCAAAAACAGAGCUCUGUGAGAUUUCGCAGCCUAAAGAAAACUUCUGCGAAAUGAGCAUUUUGUUGCCAAAUCAUUCCGCAACACUUUGGGAUUCUCUACGAGAAUUUUCGCAACUGCGAAAGCGAGUUUGGCACAUGAGUGUCACUUCGCAGCACAAGAGCCCCCAUUUCGUAGCUGCGAAACGACUUGCGAAGUGGUAAAGCCCAGAUUUCGCAACAAAGUCCCAUUUCGCAGGGUAUUUCGCAAUUGCGAAAGCAAUUUUGGCACACGUGUGCCACUUCGCAGCAUAGUAACAUUAAUUUCGCAGCUGCGAAACGCAUUGCGAAGUGGUUGCAAAAAUGGCAUUUUGCUGCGAAACUCAAGCUGACCCUUAGUCUUCCGUUAUUCCUAUUUAUAGCGGUUAUUUGAGCUGCGAAAAGGGUUUCAAAAUCAAAGCGCAUCAUUCUCGCAGAUCGUCCAUCUCCUUCCUUGAGCCUCACCGCGCAAGCCUCCGGUCAUCUUCUCCGACCAUCCGUUCCGGCCAACUUUCGGCAACCCGAAAUGGUGCGAACCAGAGGGGCCAAGUCUUCCUCCCCUUCAAACCGCAAGAGAAGCUUGCGAAAAGAGCCAGUUCCGGAUCCCGUUUCUGAGCCUUCGCAGCCGAAAGCAAUUUCUCCUCCGGUGAAGCCAGCGCCGCCAAAGCCUCCGGCGAGGCGUUACCUUACCAGGUCAGGGGGUCGGCCGCUGCAAAAGAGGCCAAGGGUUGAAAUCUCAUAACCCAUUGACCUGACUGAGCAAUCUCCAGAGCCAUCGCCGGUUCCAACUCCAGUUCCCUCGCUGAUAUCCUCGCCAGUUCCAUCUCCGGCGCCGCAAGCAAAGCCAAAGGAGCCUCAGCCGCCACUUCCCGAGCCCCAAAUUCCGUCUGAAACAGCUCCGGAAGAAGUAAUCAGGCAACCAAUGCUAACUCAGCCCCAAAUUGAGGGAAAUUUGGAUUGCAGAGCUCGGCCAUUCCACUCCGAGCUAUGCUUUGACAUAGCCGCAUUCCGAUUGCAGCCGGAGCUUGCACAGACAUUCAACCUGCUGAAGAGAUACCACAUGGAGCACCUGCUGACUCCAAGAGACUUUUUCUACCCCAGGGUAGCCAUGGAUUUCUAUCAAUCCAUGACAACCAAACAGGUCAGGAAUCCAACUUUAAUUCAUUUCACUAUUGAUGGGAGGCAUGGCAUAUUGGGAGCACGCCAUAUAGCUGAAGCCUUGCAAAUUCCUUAUGAGCCAACCCAAUUCGAUAAUUUUAGAGCUUGGACCAAUCCUGCUGAGCUGGAGAUGGUGCACACCCUAUCCAGAGGAGCUUCCAUACAUUCGCAUCUGUUGAGAGGGGAGCUUCCUCCAAUCAUGUUUUUGAUUGAUGCAUUUUUGCGUCAUAACCUCUACCCAUUGCAGCAUUGGACUCAAAGGAAAGGAGUCCUGUUAGAAGCCCUGUACAAGAUGUUUGAGGGAUUUUUCUUCGGCCCUCAUCAUCUGAUUCUGGCAGCCCUUCUCUAUUUCGAAGAGAAGGUACACAAAAAGAAGCUUUAGAGAGCUGAUUGCAUUCCCCUCCUCUUUCCAAGGCUGCUAUGCCAAAUUCUGGAGCACUUGGGAUAUCCUUCUGAGCCUUAGUUGGAGCGAAAGCACAUUUUCCGCGAGCUAUUCACUCUUGACAAAUGGAACAACAUGACAGCUUAUCGAGUUGACCAGCCUGAGCGCCCACAGCCAGCUGCUAGGAGAACAUCCCCACGACACAUACCUGAGGGUAUAACAGUUGCUGCUCCUGCCAUUCCUAGAGCUCCACCAGCUGCUCCAGCUUCAUCUCAGCCAUCCACUUCAGUUGAGCCGAGGAUGGCCAUUCCUAUUUCUGAAUAUCGAGAGUUGUGUCGUUCAUUGGAGACCCUCACAGCAUAUCAGAGCAGUCUUGCUCAAGAGAUGACAGCCAUUAGAGCAUGCCAAGAGCAGAUGUUGGCCACUCAGGCUCAACACACUGCCAUCUUAAGGCAGCUCCAGCUUCAUUUCGACCUGCCACUAGCUGUUGAGCCCUCCACUUCUACUCCAGUAGAGCCACACCCUCAUCCCUCAGAGCCUCAAGCCCCAGCUGAAGCACCAACUGAAGAGGCAGACCCAUCUGCCUAGCCCCAGCACCACCCACUCAUCAGAUCAUUAUAUAUAUAUAUAUAUAUAUAUAUAUAUAUAUAUCUACUAUCUUUGUUUUAUGUAUUUCAUUUUUUAGUUUGAAAGAAAUCCCAUUAUUUUGGUAUUAUAUUUGAGAUUGCUUGUAUUGCUUUUCUUUUGCAUUGUACUCAAAUGGAUUCAAAGUAAUACAAGUCUAAUAUUUCUUGUUAACAGUUAGCAUUAACUUAUUCUUAUUUCCUUUUCUCACAUAUUCUAUUCUUUUUGAAACAUGUGGUUUCUCCAAUCAGUAUGCGAAAUUGAUAUCACUCAGGAGGUACCACUUCCUCCCUUUAAUUACAGUCACUCAUAUCACAUUGAGGACAAUGCUCAAUUCGGUUGGGGGGGAAUGAGGAAGGAAGUAUGAUAAGUCUUUUUGGUAAUGCAAUUAUUUUGGUAAAUUAGUUCUAGUUUUUGUUUUUUACUCUUUUUACUCUAUUCUCCAUGAAUUUUGAGGAAAAAACAGGAGAAAUUGAACUGUUGUUUUUCACUUGACUUAGAGUAUGGAUUAUGCUCACUAAAGUGGUUCAAUUGUUGAAGCUUCUAUUGAAAUUGAAUUGAGUUCUUCCACUUUAAGCUAUUCACACACUGUGCACAUUAGAUUCCGAUUAUAACAUGAAAAACUAUUUCCCUCUUGACUUAGGAUAAUUUUGGGACUUGGUAUAUUUGACCUCAUUUGAUAAAAAUUGAAACACCCUACAAAAGGCCAAUGAGCCUUUGAAAUAAAGAAAGUUGUUUGCUUGCCUUAAAACCCGAGCAAGGUCUGAGGGGUAUAUGGUGAAAAUCUUUGAAGCCUGGUGCCCUAAGCCUUAAUUGGUUGGGAGUCACCGACCUCAAUGCUCGUUACAAGGGUGGAUAGAUGGAGUUAGCAUGUGGUAGGUGCUUGGGUAUUAGAAAUUCAUUCUCAAAAGUCUGGGGAAAAAUUUGAGGAGUUAGUGGUUGAAAGAUCCUUAAAGCUUGGUGCCCUAAACCUUAAUUGGUUGGGAGUCAUCGAUGGACCCCCAUUACAUGGACAAUUCAGAAAGAGUACCCCAUAAAGCCUCUUUAAAAAAAAAUUUAAAAAAAAAAAAAAAAAAAAAGAGAAAGUGUGUUAUUUCUUUAUUGAUUUUGGUCAGUUUGCUAAGUGUUGAAAAGAGAUAGGUUGGGGGGAGAGAUUAGUUUAGCAUGUUAUUCUCGGAAGCUAAGGAACCAAUACACAUAGAUUUUUGAGGAAGAAUAAAGUUUGGUUCUUUGAAAGUGGAAAUGAUUUUAAAACUUCAGUUUGCAUAAUGCAUUCCCUUGUUUGACAGUGUUUAGAAUAGUUUGUUAUAACUCUUGUUGAAAUUUGCUUUUAUAUUUCUUUAAGGUUUCAUGAGAGAAUUAGAUCAUCAUGCCACUUGAGAAUUGUUUUUGAUCAGCAUGAUGUUGUAUAUUAUAGGUUAGUUUGCUUUUUAUUUUCAUUUUUCUCUCCUUUAUUGCUAAGGGACUAGCAAUAUGUCGGUUGGGGGGAGUGAUUACUACUCAAAAAGUGCUAUUUGAUAGCUUAUAAUUAAUCCUUUUAAACACUUUUGAGUAGUAGUUUUGACCUUUUAACUCAAUUGGCAUGUUAAGGACCCUUGAAAGCAAUUUUAAUCACUUUGUGUAAGUUUUGGUGUUUUUGUUAGUAAUUUGAUCACCAAAGCAAUUCAAGUUUGAGGAGAGUUUUGAGGAAUCUUGGGUAAAGCUUAGAAGUCAUUUGCCAAGAGUAAAUCCGGAUUGCAAGGAGAAAAAGUAAAGAGAAUCUGCCAAGAAGCAUAUUCUUGAUGACAUUCGUAGCAGCCACUUUUGGAGCACUUUCUGAGGUUCAAUUGAUGCAUGAUAUAUACCAUUUCAAAUCUCAGGAAGUCAACAAUCCAAUGAUUUAAACGGUGUGCAAUUCGGAGUUGAAACGAAGAAGUUGCAAUCUUUGCAAGCCAAUCACUCCCAACUGAAGGAAGCAUUUUCCAAAGUGUUGCGAAAUCACCCUUUUGCUGCGAAGUGAUUCCGCAGCCUUUUUGUACAGUAGGGUGUAUUUCCUUCUGAAGGUGCCCGAUAUAUGCCGCAAGCUGGAAGCUAAGAACCUCAAGUUGGAAGCCAACUUCGCAGCCCUACGAGAAUAGCUUGUUGUUGCGAAGUGAUUUCGUAGCCCUUCUUGAGUGCCUGCGAAAUCUCGCAGACACCAUUUUCUCUUGCGAAAUGGUUCCUGAAGCACCCCGAUAUUUGCUACCGACAUUGGGAGAUAUUUUACAUCAGAUUUUUGUUGUUUAAAUCCUAAAAUACUCCUUGUAAGCCACCAAUUACAAGAUUCCUUAGCUUUUAAGUUAGUAAAAAGAGAAAAUAUCUAUGUAAUAAUUAGUUUUAUAUUAUGUUCAUAUAUAUACCUCUCGGGAGCCUGUUAUAAGAGAGGAGAUCCUUUUGUAAAGUUUUGGGUAAGCAAGUAAAGUUCAGUUCUUUGUAUUGCCUUACCUUCUCACUUUGUAUUUUUAUUUUCUUACUAAGUUAUGAACUCUCUGAGGAAUUUUCCCCAGAGAAUGAGUAACUAAACAUCUAGUUCCUUGGAGCUAAGGUUGCCGGGGAAGGUUCCAAGUGCAAGAAUGCAAAGCUUUGUGGUUUUAGCUAGUAAUGAAGAGGAAGUGAAAUCCUUUAGUGAUUUCUAUGUUUUUAGUUAACUUAAAACACCUUAGAGUCACCUGGGCCAACACUUGGUAAGGCAAGUGAUUUCUAAUCAUGGAAAUGCACUAGUUUACCCCUUGCGAGCCUCUGGAAGGUGACUUUAGGGUAGGAUUUUCUAGAAUAGCCAACACUUGGUAAGCUUUUGGACUCCAAGGAGACAUCCAUUAGUUAUCUCUUGCGAGCUUGAGACGGGUAAUCUAAGGUUAAAGAUCACCUUGAACGGUUAAGGCUUAGUGAGAGGCUUAAACCAUUGCAAGUUGCAUCAGUGAGAGAAUUAAAGUGAAAUCUAAUUGAAGAAUGUAUCUGUACAACACCGGUUAGAGAAUUGACUAUAUGUUGAAUCUCUAACGCGAGGAAAUGAACCAUCUGACCGGAGCCGUGUCUUUUGCAUGAGGAACCACCCCAGUGAACCAAACUCUCCAAGGAAUGUUUUUCUUCCUAAGUUAUUCCCAUUACUUAUUGUGUUAGUUUAAGUCUAAAUCUUCACCAAUCAAAGUUUGUGUUUUAUUUCUUAAGCUAACCUUGAAAUGAAACAAAACCAAUUCACUUUGAAUUGAUAUCAUUGAUAGCUUGUUAAUCCUUCCCAGUGAACGAUCCUAGAGUCGCUAUACUAUAGUAGCUUUGUCUUUGCUACCCUAGUAUAUGGUGUUAUAGGUUAUAAAUUUUGUUGAUUACUCCCUCAUUCAAGGAGCACCAGCUGGACACGAAUCAACUGGCACACCAACUGGGAAUGAAUCAAAUGCCUAACAAAGCAAUGAACGUGUCAAUAGCAACACUCAUGCAAAUACACCAAAGAUCUGCAAAGCUCAACAUGCAUCCUCUACCCACAAACAAAUAGACAAAUAAUGUCUAAGUAACUAACAAAACAAUAGUAAUGAGGAAUAAUUAAUAAAAAAUAAAAUAAAAUUGCAAAGAAACCAUACUUGAAGGUGCUAUUCUAAUCUUCCCUCGGAUUGGUCAGUUUUCCUUGUUCAUCUCUUCUCUUUUAGAGAAUCUUUUCUGUUUCUCUCCACUCUUCCUAAAAAAUCAAAACCUCCAUUUUCCUUUCUUUCCUUCCUUAAUCUCAAGGAUUUUCCAUCUCCUUUUCCUUAUCAGAAUCCUUCUUCCUGAAGGUUUCUCUUUGUCCCCUCGAAAAUCACAACUUCUCUUCCCUAUGCAGAAACCCUUUGGAAAUCCUCUCUUUCCUUCCUCCCCAUCCUCUCUUGCUUCCAUCGUAAGUUUUCUCACCUUCAAAUUUUUAUUUUUUAUUUUGUUUUGUUUUAAAAUAAAUAAAUGAUAACAAUAAUAAUAUUAAUAAUAAAAUAGAUAAAUAACAUAUAUUAAGAGGUGAUAAUAAUAAUAAUAAUAAUAAUAGAAACAAUAAUAACAAAAACAAUUCUUAUGGUGAUGGUAACAAAAAUAAUAAAAAAAAAAUGAAUAAAUAAUUAAUUAUAAGUAUGUGGCACACAUUCACAAAGAAGAUCAUGCAAGCCAUGUAAGCCAUGCCAGCUACAUUAGCCAUGCAAAUAACUUAUGGGUGUUGGGGUAAGCCUAAGCAGACUAGGUGCACCUAGACGGACCGGGUGUGCCUAAUGGGCCUAAAUAUGUCUAACCAAGCUAUUAUAAAAGUAUACCUAGUAUCCAAAGUGGCUCAAAGAGGUAAGUUAUAUGAAUAUCGAUGGGCCACCAGGAACUACUUUGGAGUGUUGAAAGAACAUUUAAUCAAGGCAUGUGACAAGGGGAAAAAAUGGAGGGUCUACACAAUCCAAUAUCAAUCAAAAUGAGUAAACCAAAUGUCAACUAAGUUGACACUUUCUAAAAUAGUAGCAAUACUUUUGUGUCUAAAAUAAUUCUGAAAUAGGUACAAUACUAUAGAACUUAUGUUGUUAAUCAACAAUUACUAAAUCUAAAACAUAAUAAAUAUUAAAUAUACAUUAUUACUAUUUGUCCAGAAUAAUAACAUGCAAAGUAUUAACAAUAUCCAAAAUAGAAAUCAUAUAUAGUAACAUCCUUAAUGUGUACAACACGAAGGAGCUUUCCUUUUUCGUUGUGGACGUUAAUGAUAUGCAUGCUUCACUAUUGGUUGUAGGGGGUUGACAUGUGCUCUCCCAUGUCCUUGAUGACCACGUCCCUCACCAUGUCCUUGACCACGAUAAUCCUCUUGUCCUUGUUGAUCAUCAUUUGCUGUAUGAACUAACUCCUCAUCAACCAAUGUAGUCUCUAAUGGUUAUGGUGAUGAUGUAACAAGUGGUACUACAAGUGAGGUGGAUGACACCUCCAUAGGUGGUGGGCUGAUGACAAUCAAUGCUGCAUCUCUAAGAAUAGGUAUAUGCCUAGUCUCCCUCCCAUGAACCCAUUUUCCUCUAGUUUGUACACCUCUUGAUCGAUGCUAGAGUUGUGUAGCAACAACAACACUAAAUAAAGUCUAAUCUUACAAAGGUGGAGGAGUGGAUGAUAUCAACUGCUGGUGAGGUGGUAGACUGAUGUCAGUUGAUGGUGCACAUAUAACAACUAGUGUAUGUCUAGUCUUCCUUUUAAUAGGCCAUUGUCCUAGUUUGUACACCUCCUGAUCGAGGCUGGAGUUGUGUAGUAGCAUCAACACUAAAUAGAGCAUAUAAGCGAUCCAUCUCAUGUAUGCCCUUUAAUACAAUAGUACACAAUCUGUGAAUAUGCAUAUCAUUUAGAGGUACAAUAUCAUAUAUAUGAUGUAUGAUGGAAUUUGUAAGUCAAAUAUGAGAUAAGUUAAAUUCUUAUAAAAAUAAAAUAAAUUUCAAUAAAAAGUUAAGACAUGCAAAUUACUAGUAGCUCAUGGAAGGACUUAGUUCAAGUAAGAAACAAAAGAGUAAUGGAGAGGUACCACACCAUCUAUGGAUCAUAAUAUCCCAAUGGACCUAUAGCCAUCUUGCCCUUAGCAAUAUGUUUGCUCUUAAAGCCCCAACAUAGAAUAUUGUCUCGAUGUUGAACAAUUUAAUCAACAUCAUGUCUACCUCUCAAGUCACAUUUAUGUAAGAUUGACUCAUUAUGACAUGGCUGAGGAAUCCCUUGACAAAAUGCAAACUGUUGUAAUACUCAAUCAAGUCUAUGUUAUUCAACUAUGUGGAAACAUAUUAAAGGUGAGAUAAGGCAUCAUAUAUCUUUCUCAACUGUACAAUAAUCAAGAACUCCAACAUUCAUGUCAUCAACAUAAGGUUGUCAUAUAAUUUAUAGUCAAGAAAGGUUAGAUAUAAUCAAUGGUUUGAAAUUUGUUUAGAGAAAAAAGUUUAAGAAAUGAAUCAAACUUCUAUCACUUGAUCUACCGUAAGUCGAUCAAGCUAGUGCCUAUACUAAACUAAGACAUGCAUGGAUGUCGAAGAUACUUAUAUCUCCAACUAUAAAAAUAAAAAACAAAUAAAAGAAUAAAUGAAUAAACGUUAGAAUUUAAGUUGAUAUAUCCUCAUAAUAUUAAAUUGAUGGUAAUGAUGCAUAUGUAUUGUAUGGCUAAUGGAGAUAGAGGCAGUUGGUCAUCAUAUGGAGCUAUAUGUAAACAAUGAGGUGCAAUAAAAAGGAACCUAUCGCAUACCCACAACUGGAGUAAAAAUAGUAGACUAGAUAUAUCAUGUGUAUCAAUCUAAGAGGCUGGACACAAUUGUUGAUAAAGUCAAGCUAAAUAGACAUUACCCUAACUAUAACUACCAACAACCUCAAAAUCAUUUAGAAGAGGUUGAAACAUAAGAUACACCUUAUCUCUAGACUUUUCUGAAAAAGAAAACCUCUAAGGAGUUGUAAGAUAUAUGCCUCAGUAUAAUGCCAAAUAGACUACUCAUCAACAUCUAGUGUCAAAAUAAGGAAGCUUUGACCUAACCAUGUAACAUGAAGGCAUUGCCCAUCUAUGUAUGUGUCCUCAGUAAUAAGACUUAAUAAAGACGAUGCAUGUCUCCAAUCUAGACAUGUGCUACCAAUAACUACUAUUCCAUCUAAUAGUAGUUUAAGAACAAUGGUAAUGUCUUGUAGUGUAAUUGUGCACUCCCUCUUAGGUAAGUGGAAAUUAUGAGUCUCUAGUCGCCAUCUUUCAAUAUAUACAAUAAUAAGGUGCCAAUAUGAGGAAAUGAAUCCUAAGCGUGCAACUCUAUAAAAGCCUAGUAAUGGAAUAAUACGUCUAUAUGGUGCACUAGUGUGAUGGAAAAUUGCCUCGCAAUGUCGACAAUAGAGUUCCUUUAAGUCAACACUUGUCCAUGCUAGAGAAGACUAGUGUAUGUCCUAUCCAUUUAGAAUUGUAGGAUCCAACGGUCUUAAAUCUAUUAUGUGAUAAUGUUGGAAACCCUGGAUUGCUCCGUUCCCAUGCCCUAAAUCGCAUAGGGUGCAUGCAAAUCUAUCGCUAUGGAUAAACAGGUAUUAAAAAAAUGAUAAAUAAUGCAAUAGAAAACAUAGAUCUAAAGAGUAAAUUCACAUACCUUUGAUCCGAAUGUUAUCUGAUCGAUUCCAAUCGAUAUAAAUAACUUCAAAGUCAUAGUAGAUCUCAUAAACACCAUGAUCUUCCGCCCGAUGACUCUUCCUUAUGUUUAAGCACUGAAAUAUUGGAAAUCUCAAGGGUAGAGGUUAGGGUUUUCUCUCUAGACUGGAGGAGAGAAUGGUAAAAGAUUGAAACCCUAACCCCUAAAGGGGUAUUUAUAAACUUCUUAUUGGGCUUAAGUGACUUAAGCCCACCAUGGGCUUAGGUCACUUAAUCUAGCCCAAAAAGGUUGCUAAUUGAUUGAUUGACCAUAUAAUCAAUUGGCCUAGUCCAAAGAUGCCACUCACUUAUCCUCGUGCAACCUUGUGUAAUUACCAAAAUGUCUUUGUGCACAAAAGUGAACUAAAAACCCAUCCAACCCUCAUAAACCAUGCCAUCAAGGAAUAUGAGCUUAGAGCGGGGACCACUAAGACUCAUAGGAGUAUUGACUCCCUCAAAAUCAAAAUUUGAAAUUGACUCAACAUCCCACUACAGAGAGUUAAUAACACUCCAGUACCCUAUAUAAAUUAGAACGAGACACUAAGUGCUCAGGUUAGUGACCUACUAUCCAUUGUAUGUAGACUCCCCAUGAACUAGUGUCCGCAAUCUAAUGAGGUAGUGUUAUCACCUAUCAAGAUUACCUCUCAAAUCCUUGAGUUACAAAUCCCACUUAUUAUGUGAUCAACUGACAUACUCUAACUCCAAGGAGCAUAUGUCAAAUUCCACUGAAGGAAUUACUGUGGCCACAAAUUUCAUGAUUUGGAUCACUGAUUCGUUCCCAAUUGGUGUAUCAUGAGUUUGGUCCUCAAACGGGAGUAAUCAACAAAAUUUAUAACCUAUAUCACCAUACACUAGGAUAGCCUUAUGUCACAGACUUAGUCGUUCACUAAGCUCGUGCGGCACUUAGACAAGCCAAGACGCUUGAUCUUGCUAAGUCAGCCUUGCUCCCCAAUGCUUAGCUUGCUAGGCUAAGACACUUGCAACUCAAAAGCUUAAGAAGCUUGGUAGGCAACUCCUUAAAGAAUGGAAGCUUUAUUAUCUCAAGAAGCCUUUACAAGUGCUUGGAUGCUCACUUGCUUGGUGCCUUGGCCAAAUGAGGCCCUCACCUAUUUAUAGGCACCAAUGGAACUCUCUAGAACCUUGGAGGGUUCCUUACAAUUCAUGAAUAUUCUAGAAUGUCCUACACUAUUCUAGAAUAUUCAAGAGACUUCUAGAAUGUCCUACACUAUUCUAGAAUAUUCAAGAGACUUCUAGAAUGUCCUACACUAUUCUAGAAUAUUCAAGAGACUUCUAGAUUUCUCUAGAAAGCUUUGGACCCUUCUCAUGCCUUCUACCAUAGUGUAGAGUUGUGUGGACUUCUCUAGGCAUUUCUAGAACCUUCCACACUCUUCCCACUAGUGGCUAAGUGUGGAUGUCUCCAAGGGUCUCUAGAAGCUUCUCACCUCCUAUAUAAGCCAUGGGGAGGGUCAUUUGAAGCAUCUUGUGACACUUAGCUAAUAUAGCAUAAUGGCUCUAGGAUCGUUCACUAGGAAGGGUUUUCAACUUACAACUGAUACCAAUUCAAAGUUGAAUUGGUGCUUUUUCAUUUCAAGGUUAGCUUAAGAGGAAAACGUAAACUUUGGUUGAAAAAGGAUUUGUUUUAAGCUAACUAAAAAGAAAGUAAUGGGAAUUACUUAUGACGAAAAGCGUUCCUUAGAGUUUUAGGUUCACUGGGGUUAGGCUCCUUAUGCAAAAACAAAGCUCCGGUCACUUGAAUCUUUUCCUCGCAUUAGAGAAUUAACAUAUAGUUAAUUCUCUAACCAGUGUUGUACAAAUGUUUCCCUUUCAUGGAUUUCAGUACUAAUUUCCUCUCACUGAUGCAACUUGCAAUGGCUCGUGCCUCUCACCUAGUAUUUGCCAUUCAAGGUGAUCAUUAACCUUGGACUUCCCUUCUCAAGCUCGCAAGAGAUAACUAAUGGAUGUCUCCUUAGAGUCCAAAAUCUUACCAAGUGUUGACAAUUCUAGAAAAUCUUACCUUCAAGUCACCUCCCAAAGGCUCGCAAGAGAUAAACUAGUGCAUCUCCAUGGACGAAGAUCACUUGCCUUACCAAGUGUUGGCCUAGGUGAAUUGAAGGCAUUUUAAGUUAACUAAAAACAUAGAAAUCAUUAACGAGUCACACUUUCUCUUCAUUAACAGCUGAAACAACAAAACUACCAAUUCUUGCAUUCAGGGCCUUACCCGGCUACCUUAGCUCCAAGGAACUAAAAGCCUAGCCACUCAUUCUCUGAAGAAACAUCCUCAGAGCUUGUUUGGCUAGUAAUAAAAAAUAAAUACAAUACAAUCAAAUUUAGUAGGUAAGGCAGAGCAAAGCUCUGUACUUUACUUCUUUCCAAAACUAUACAAAAAGUUGUCUUUGAGAACAAGCUCCCCGAGAUAUCUCUGUGAUGAAAAUUACAAAACAAUAUAUAUGAGGUUAUUUACCCUUUUUUCUUACUUAAAGACUAAGGAAUCCUAUGAUAGGUGGAUUACAAGGAGAGAAAGGGGAUUUAGACAUCAAAUAUCUGAAGAAAAAAAUAAAAAAAUGUCGGUCGCAAAUAUCUGGAAGCACUUGGGAGAAUUUCGCAGGCGUGCAAGAUGGAUGUGAAAUUUCGCAACCUGAAGGACACCAUUUCGCAGCCAUCCUCUUGUGAUUUCGCAACCUGCGAAAUUGGCCUUCAGCUUGGUGUGAUUGGCCUCUAAUGGCUCUAACUUCUUCAUUUCAACUUCGAAUCACGCACCGUUUGAAGCGUUGGAUUUCUAACUUCCCAAGCUUUGAAACGACAUAUAGUAUGAAUAAAUUGAGCUCCAGAAAGUGCUCCAAAAGUGUCCAACAGUGGCUGUCCUCUUGAAUUCUUCAUGUUAGAUUUCUCUCUUUGCUUUCCCUCCUUGCAUUCAUGAUUUGCUUAUGACAAAGGACUAUAAAGCUUCAUAGCUUUGGUUCUUCAUGUUACUAAGCUUCCCAUUGCUUUGCCAUGGAUUCCAAAGAACUCUCCUCAAUCUUGGAUUGCUUUGGUGAUCAAAUUACUAUCAAAAGCACCAAAACUUACACAAUUUGAUUAGAAAUGAUUGCAAAGGUCCUUAAUAUGCUAAUUGAGUUAAAAGGUAUUAAAUGCUCCUCAAAAGUGUUUAAAAGAGUUAAUUAAAAGGUACAAAAUAGCACUUUUAGAGUAGUAAUCACUCCCCCUAACCGACAUAUUGCUAGUCCCUUAGCAAUAAAGAAGAGAAAAAGUAAACUAAAAAGUAAUAUACUUUACAAGAUCAUGCUGAUCACUUCAAAAAAUUUUAAGCGGCAUGAUGAUCAAACUCUCACAUGGACCAUUAAAGAAAUAUAAACUCAAAUUUCAACAAGAGUUAUCAAAUACCUUGCUAAUCACAAUUCAUAAAGAAAAGGCAUUAUGCAAAUUGAAGCUUUAAAAUCAUUUCCACUUCCAAAGGACCAAACCUUACUCUUCCACAAAAAUCUAAGUGUUAGUUGAUAGUUUCCGAAUAUAGUAUGUUGAACUAAUCUCUCCCCCAACCUAGUUCUUUUUCAACACUUAGCAAACUGACCAAAUUUAAUAGGCUAAGAAUGCACCCUUUUGUUUCACAAUUUUUUUUCAUUGUAGGAGUCAAGGCUUAAAGGUAUUCUUUUCUAAAUUGUUCAUGUUACGGGGGUCCAUCGAUGACUCCCAACCAAUUAAGGUUUAGGGCAUCAAGCUUUAAGGAUCUUGCAACCACUAACUCCUUGGAUUUUACCCUGGACUUUUGAGAAUGAAUUUUAAUACCCAAGCACCUACAGUAUGUUAAACUCCACCUAUUCACCCUUGUAACGAGCAUUGAGGUCGGUGACUCCCAACCAAUGAAGGCUUAGGGCACCAGGCUUUAAAGAUUUUCACCAUAUACCCCUCAGACCUUGCUCGGGUUUCAAGGUAAGAAAAACAUUUUUUCUUUCUUUUUUUUUUUUUUCAAAGGCUCAUUGGCCUUUUAUAAGGUGUCCCAACACUAUUAAAAUGAGGUCAAAGGUACCAAGUCUAAAUUUUCCUAAGUCAAGAGGGAAAUAGUUUUUCAUCUUAUAAUCGGAACCUAUUGUGUACAAUGUGUGAAUAGCUUAAAGUGGAAGAACUAAGCUUGAAUUCAAUAGAAGUUUCAACAAUUCACCAACUUUAGUAAGCAUAAUACAAACUCUAAGUCACGUGAAAACNNNNNNNNNNNNNNNNNNNNNNNNNNNNNNNNNNNNNNNNNNNNNNNNNNNNNNNNNNNNNNNNNNNNNNNNNNNNNNNNNNNNNNNNNNNNNNNNNNNNUCUAGUGCCAGAUGAGGAGAGCUUGCCAGCUGAGCAGCCUAUACCAGAGGAGGAGAUCAGAGCAGAGCCAUCACAUGACCCCACUCAUAUCUGAUCUUUUUAUGUUUUACUUGUUUUUAUUUUAGACUUGUAAAUCCCAUCUUUUGCAUGUGUUAUAAAUUGGGAUUGGAAGUAUUACUUGAAAUCAUACAUUGUAUAUUUCUUUUACAAGUAAUAUAUAUAUAUAUAUAUAUAUAUAUAUAUAUAUAUAUAUAUAUAUAUAUAUAUAUAUAUAUCCUUUUUGAUUAUAUUCCCUUUUCUCAUUACUCUUUUGUCCUUGGAACAUGUGGUUUAAGGUACUCCAUACCUCCUUUACACUCAGACUUUGUCUCACUCAGGAGGUACCACUUCCUCCCUUUAUUUUUAAUCACUUUUGAAACAUUGGGGACAAUGUUCAACUUGGUUGGGGGGGGGGGGGGGGGGGAAAAAAAAAAAAAAAAUUUUUUUGGCAAAAAAAAAAUUUUUUUGGGUUUUUUAUAAAUUUUUUUUUAAUUUUUAAUUUUUUUAAAAAUUUUUUUAAACCAUCCCCCCGGGUGUUGAAAAAAAUUUUCCCCAAAAAAAAAAANNNNNNNNNNNNNNNNNNNNNNNNNNNNNNNNNNNNNNNNNNNNNNNNNNNNNNNNNNNNNNNNNNNNNNNNNNNNNNNNNNNNNNNNNNNNNNNNNNNNUUCAAGGUAAGAAAAACAUUUUUUCUUUCUUUUUUUUUUUUUUCAAAGGCUCAUUGGCCUUUUAUAAGGUGUCCCAACACUAUUAAAAUGAGGUCAAAGGUACCAAGUCUAAAUUUUCCUAAGUCAAGAGGGAAAUAGUUUUUCAUCUUAUAAUCGGAACCUAUUGUGUACAAUGUGUGAAUAGCUUAAAGUGGAAGAACUAAGCUUGAAUUCAAUAGAAGUUUCAACAAUUCACCAACUUUAGUAAGCAUAAUACAAACUCUAAGUCACGUGAAAAGACAAAAAUUCAAUUUCUCCCAUUUCAAUUUGAAAAUUUUUCCUUAAAAACCAUGGAGAGUAGAAUAAAAAACUUUAAAUUUUUUUUAAAAUUAAACAAAAAUCAACUAAAUUACCAAAAUAACUUAGCAUUAAUAACAAAACUUCCUUCCUCAACUCUCCCCCCAACCAAGCUAAACAUUGUCCUCAAUGUGGCAUGAGCGAUUGAGAUUAUAAGGAGGAAGUGGUACCUCCUGAGUGAUAUGAAGUUCGAGUAGAAUAGGAGAAACCACAUGUUUCAAAAACAAUAAAAGAUAUGAAUAGAGGAAAUAAAAUAAAAUAAUGCUAAGAGUGCUAAAAAAUUGAUAGAUUUGUAUUACUUCAUUUCAUGAAAGUACAAAAAGAGAACAAGUAAUACAACUAAUCCCAAUAUAUAAUAUAUCAAAAGCAUGGGAUUACAAGUGCUAUUAUAGUAGGGAAAUACAUAAAGGAAAUAUAUAACGGAAACAUAUAAAGGAAACUAUGCAAAUGAUCAGAUAGUGGCUGGAGGAUGAUGUGAAGAUGAUGGCUCAGUUGCAAAGGCCUGAAUGCUCGGGGCGGAUGCCUUUGCCUCUCCUAUAGUGGGCUCCUUAGGAGGCAUAGUCUGAUGUACGAAAGAAGGGGCUUGUGAUGGCUCUGGUGGGAUAGGAAUGGGGUGCUCAGGAGUUGAUAGAAUACCCAGAUAGUGUUGAAUCUGCCUUAGGAUGGUAGUAUGCUGGGUUUGAGUGGCAAUAAUCUGCUCCUGAUGAGCACUAAGAGUUGUGAUCUGCUGAGUGAGGAUGCUUUGAGAAAUGGCCGAUGCCUGGAAAGUGUGGCAUAAGCCUCUAUACUCGAUAAUGGAUAUAGCAAUCCUAGGCUCAGAUGAAGGAGAUGACUCUAAUAUGGGUGGAAUAACAGGGGGAGUCCGUGGUGUGGCUUGAGGAGCAGAGGGUGCAACCUCUGGUAUAGGCUCUAUAGAGCCUACUGCAGGGGUAGGUGGUGUAAUGUCAGCUGGUAUCUCAACCAGUUGUGGCUCCUCUGGCUGCUUUGGAUGGUAUGGUCCAGUUGGGGCUCCCUGGUCUACACCAUAGGUUGUCAUACUCGUCCAUUUGUCGAGAGUGAAUAUCUCUCGACAAAUGUGUCUGCGCUCAAGCUGAGGCUCUGCUAGGUAUCCCAAAUGCUCCAAAUCUGGCAUAACAAUCUGGGGAAGAGAAGUGGAAUAGCAUCCACUCGGAGUAGCUUUUUCCUAUGGAUUUUCUCUUCUAAGUACAGAAGAGCAACCAUAAUGAGAUGAUGAGGGCCAAAGAAGAAUUCCUCAGAUAUCCUGAACAAUGCCUCCAACAAAACUCCUCUCCUCUACACCCAAUGCUAAAGUGGAAAGAUGUUAUGGUGCAGGAGUGCAUCAAUGAAGAACAUGUUGGGAGGGAACUCAUUCCUCAAAUGAUAUUGGCGUGAGGAUGUCCCUCUGGAUAAAACGUGGACUAUGUCGCUCUGUGCAGGAUGAGUCUAGACUCGAUAAUCCUCUGGACGUGCUAGCUCAUAGGGAAUACGGAGUGCCUCUGCUAUGUGUCUGGCUCCCAGAAUACCAUGGCGUCCGUCUAUGGUGAAGUGGAUGACUGUAGGAUCCCGGACCUGAUGUGUAGUCAUGGACUGAUAAAAGUCCAAUGCUAUACGGGGAUAGAAAAAAUCCCUAGGAGUCAGCAAGUGCUCCAUAUGAUACCUCUGUAGCAAAUGGAAAGAAUCCCUGAGCUUAGGCUGAAGUUUGAAAGUAGUUGUGUCAAAAUAGAGCUCGGAGUGGAAUGGCUUUGCCCUGCAAUCCAAAUUACCCUCAAUGGGUGGUUGAGUAACCAUAGGACGUCUGAUAACCACCUCAGGAGUCAUGCCUGAGGGAAUCUGAGACUCUUUGGCUGGUGGCUGAAACGAGUGAGGCUUUUUUACAGGUGGUUGAGAUGGACGAGGCUCUGAAGAGGGCUCUGUUAAAUCAAUUGGCUCUAAUACCUUGGCCUUCUUCUUUGGGGGACCACUACCUGACUUUUUAGCUCGGGAAGAGCUCGACUCGGCCAUAGUGAGUGACCUUUUUGUCUGAUAGCGCCUCGAAGGAGGACUCAUAGGUGCAUCCUCAACCGGAGGUGGGACGACCAGUGGCCGCGGAGACUCAGAUAUGGCAGCUUGGACAAAGGUCUCUCUUGGGACUCUUAGGCGAGUUGAUGGGGACGAGGACUUAGUUCCUCGGGUUUUGGACAUGUUCGUCUCAGAGACGGUGGCCGGAGGUGCGUGCGGCUUGGCUCAGGCGGAGGGGUUAGACGGAGAGUUGCUCUGGUUUGGCUCCUCUUUGGCACCUAUUUAAAGUUCAAAUGACCAGUUAAAAACAAAAUAUGGAAUUUAUAACGUUUAAAAAGGAUGCCAAGGGACGAUUUUUAUUUUCGCAGCAGAUGGUUGAUUUCGCAGCAAGGGGCGGAUUUCGCAGCGGAUGGGUAUUUUCGCAGCCCAUUUCGCAGUUGCAAAAUGAGGGUGGAAAGCUGCAAAAUGGCACUCAUGUGCCAAGGGGUGGUUUCGCAGCUAUGAAACCACUUAUGAAAUGAGGGUGCGGCUGCGAAAAUUGGAAUUUUUAGGCGUGGAGGAUUUCGCAAAGCAUUUCGCAGCUGUGAAAUGAGAGGGGGGGUCUGCAAAAUGGCACUCGUGUGCCAAAGGGGUGUUUCGUAGCUGCGAAAAUUUUCGUAGAGGGAGGUAUGAGGCUGCGAAAUCAUUUCGCAGACAAGGGGCAUUUUCGCAGCGGGGCCUUGGGGCUGCAAAAUCAUUUCGCAACCAAGGGCCAUUUUCGCAGGGGCCCUUUUUAGGCUGCGAAAUUUUGCAGACCAUGGAUUUUCCUUGCUUUUGAGCUUCUCUUGAUUCCCAUAGACCUUCUUUCAAUUUCUUUGCAAUUCCUCCUGAUUUUGAUCAUUCAAAAAGAUUAAGUUACAUAUAAAUAACACAAUUUAAGACCAAAAUUAAAAUCAAAACAAUUUAUAAAGCUUAUAAAUUAACACAAUUAAACAAAAAAUAUGGACUUUGGUGAAACCAAGUCCAUCUAACCCUUUUCUGAUUAGGCUUUCUAUGGCUCAAGGAGGUUGAUUUUCUCAUUUUCUUGUUUGAAUGGCUCAAUGAAUGGCUUGAGACGAUGACCAUUGACUUUAAAAGUGUCAAUGCUAUUGGAAUUCAGUAAUUCCACCACUCCAUUGAGAUGCACUUGGUGAAUAAUGAAAGGGCCUAUCCACCUUGACUUGAGCUUCCCAUGAAAGAUAUGGAGCCUUGAAUCAUAGAAUAAGACUCUUUGUCCUUUCUGGAAUUCUUUGUUGGAGAUUAAUUGGUCAUGCCACCUCUUCAUCCUCUGUUUUGCAACUUUGGAAUUGAUGUAAGCAUCAUUUCUUAAUUCCUCCAUCUCAUUAAGGUCUAAGCACCUCUUUGCCUCGCCUCUGAUCAAGUCCAUGUUUAACCUCUUGAUUGCCCAUCAAGCCUUAUAUUCAACUUCCAUAGGGAGAUGACAUGCUUAGCCAUAGACUAGACGAUAGGGAGACAUGCCAAGAAUAGUCUUGUAAGUUGUUCUAUAUGCCCAUAGUGAAUCAUGAAGCUUAAUAGACCAAUCACUUCUGCUUGUGAUCACCACCUUCAUCAAUAUGUUCUUGAUUUCCCUGUUUGCUAGCUCAACUUGCCCCGAAGUCUGAGGGUGAUAAGUGUAGCUACCUUAUGCUUCACUCCAUACUUCGCUAAUAGGGUUUCAAAAGGUCUGUUGCAAAAAUGAGUACCUCCAUCAUUGAUUAUGGCCUUGGGUACCCCAAAUCUUGAGAAGAUGUUCUCUUUAAGAAACUUGAGAACCACCUUGUGAUCAUUGUGUUUACAGGGGAUUGCCUCAACCCAUUUAGAAACAUAGUCCACCCCUACCAAGAUAUAAGAGUUACCAAAAGACAUUGGGAAAGGUCCCAUGAAGUCAAUGCCCCAAACAUCAAAGAGAUCAACUAUUAGAAUGGGGUUCAUAGGCAUUUGAUUUCUUCUUGUAAGCUUCCCAAGCCUUUGGCAUCUAUCACAGCUCCUACACAUGGUGUGGGCAUCUUUGAAAAGUGAUGGCCAAUAAAACCCUGAUUACAACACUUUCAUGGCUGUUUUUUGAGAGGCAAAGUGGCCUCCACAUGCAUUCUCAUGGCAAUGACUGAGGAUUCCUUGUUGCUUUUCUUCAGGGACACACUUCCUUAUUAUUUGAUCUGCAUAAUACUUGAAAAGAAAAGGCUCUUCCCAAUAAUAAGCAUGAAUCUUUGCAAAGAAGUGCUUCCUGUCUUGUGCUUUCCACUCACUUGGAACUUCACUAGUAACUAGAUAAUUAGCAAUAUGAGCAUACCAAGGAGUUUUCUCUAGCAACAUGAAUGAUUCCUCAGGAAAGUCAUCAUUAAUAGGUAAGACAUGGGAAUUGUGUGUUAUAUCCAACCUUGAAAUGUGGUCAGCUACCACAUUCUCCACUCCUUUCUUGUCUUUGAUUUGGAGAUCGAACUCUUGUAAUAAAAGAAUCCAUCUAAUCAACCUUGCUUUUGCAUCUUGCUUUGUCAAUAAAUACUUCAAGGCUGAAUGGUUAGUGAAAACAAUGAUGAAAGACCCUACUAGAUAAGCACGAAACUUGUCUAAGGCAAACACCAUAGCUAACAAUUCUUUCUCUGUAGUUGUGUAGUUCCUUUGAGCUUCGUUCAAUGUCUUGCUUGCAUAGUAGAUCACAUAGGGCUUCCCAUCUUCUCUUUAGCCAAGCACAGCUCCUAUAGCAAAGUCACUGGCAUCACACAUUACUUCAAAGGGUAGUUGCCAGUUGGGGGCCCUCACUCUUGGAGCAAUUGUCAAAAAUUGCUUCAAUUGAUCAAAAAUAUUUUGACAUCUUUCAUCCCAUAUAAACUUAGCAUCCUUAGCUAAGAGUUCACAAAGAGGCUUUGAAAGCUUAGAGAAGUCUUUUAUGGAUCUCCUGUAGAACCCUGCAUGGCCAAGGAAUUGCCUCACUCUUUUUACAGCUGUUGGGGAUGGCAAUUUGACAAUAAGUUCCACCUUUACUUUAUCAACUUCAAUGCCUUUCUCGGAGAUGAUAUGGCCAAGGACAAUUCCUUGAUGUACCAUAAAAUGGCAUUUCUCCCAGUUGAGCACCAAGUCCUUUUCAAUGCAUCUGUUAAGAACCGCUUCCAAGUUGACUAAGCAUUCUUCAAAUGUACCUCCAUAUAUGGUGAUAUCAUCCAUGAAAACCUCAAUAAUUCGCUCCACCAUAUCACUGAAAAUACUAAGCAUACAUCUUUGGAAUGUUGCAGGUGCAUUGCAUAAACCAAAAGGCAUUCUUCUAUAGGCGUAUGUUCCAAAUGGACAUGUGAAAGUGGUCUUCUCCUGAUCUUCAACAUCAAUUUCAAUUUGAAAAUACCUUGAGUACCCGUCCAAGAAACAAUAGAAAGGAUGGCCAGAGACUCUCUCCAACACUUGAUCAAUAAAUGGCAAUGGAAAAUGAUCUUUCCUUGUCACAACAUUCAAUUUCCUAUAAUCAAUACACACCCUCCAACCCGAAGUAAGGCGUGUAGCAAUUUCUUCUCCAUUUCGUUUUGAACCACAGUAAUCCCUGACUUCUUUGGUACCACUUGAGUAGGACUCACCCAAGGGCUGUCAGAUAUGGGGUAAAUAAUACUUGCUUGAAGUAGCUUCAGCACCUCAGCUCGCACCACCUCUUGUCAAUGAGGAUUCAAUCUUCUUUGAGGUUGACGAAUUGGUUUAGCUUCUUUCUCCAUGUAUAUAUGAUGUGUACAAACCAAAGGACUGAUGCCUUUCAAGUCAGAUAUUUGCCAUCCUAUUACUUUCUUACACCUCUUAAGAACUUCAAGUAGAGAAAUCUCCUUAUGAGUAGUAAGAGAUGAAGAUAUAACAACAGGGCAUUGUUUAUUUUCUUCCAGGUACGUGUAUUUCAACUCCACGGGCAGAGGCUUCAAAUUGAGCUUUGGGAUCUCUUCCUUAGCAGCUUCUUGUGCCUCCUCUUUAUUGAACAAAGGUAGAAUCUCUUCUCUCCUCCUCCAAUCUUGUAGAGUAGCAAGCACAUCAGCAAGUUCAGACAACCCUUCUUCAAGAUCCCUAAGACUUUCAUUCAACUUGUCUUGCAUAUUCUGAUUACAGUGCUCCUCUACUAGAGUGUUAAUAAUGCAUACCUCUUCUGGACCUUUUUCUUCUUCUGGAGCGAUUAGUUUUUUUAGACAUAUAAAAGAUAUUGAGCUCAAGUGUCAUGUUACCAAAAGUGAGUUGCAUGAGUCCAUUCCUACAAUUGAUGAUUGCAUUUGAGGUAGCAAGAAAUGGCCUUCCAAGGAUGAUAGGAACAUAAUUAGCUUCCUUUACAACGGGGUCCGUAUCAAGAACAACAAAAUCUACUAGAUAGUAGAAAUUAUCAACUUGAACUAAGACAUCUUCAAUUAUCCCCCUUGGAAUUUUCACUGAUCUAUCAGCUAGAGAUAGAGUGAUUGAUAUUGGCUUCAAUUCACCAAGUCCCAAUUGCUUGUAGACAGAGUAUGGUAGCAAAUUCACACUUGCUCCCAAGUCUAACAAAGCUUUUUCCACUACCUUUCCCCCAAUCAUGACUGAAAUGGUAGGACAUCUCGGAUCUUUGUACUUCAAAGGAGACUUGCAUUGUAUGAUGGCACUUACUUGCUUAGUCAAGAAGGCUUUCUUAUUCACAUUCAACCCUCUUUUGAUAGUACACAAGUCCUUUAGGAAUUGUGCAUAUGUUGGAACUUGUUUAAUUAUAUCCAACAAUGGAAUAUUGACUUUCACUUGUCUCAAUACUUCAAGGAUUUCUGAUGCAUUUCUAAUCCCCUUUUUCCCAUGUAAAGCUUGAGGAAAAGGUGGAUAGAUGUGUUUCUUCAUCAUUUCUUCUUUAAUAAGCUCUUUCUCCGGAUUUGCAUUCACUAUUGAAUCAUGGUCCUCUUUCCCUUCACUGAUAUCUUUCUUCUUUCCUUUGAUUUCCUCACUCUUCUUUGUCUCUUCUUCUUCUUCCUCUUCAACAUGUGGCUUGGGUGUUGGUGACUCAACCUUUUUUACCACUCCUUGAAAGUGAUCAAGGCUUUGACAUCUCUCACCUGUGAAGAUUCUCCCUCAUAAGUUUCCACUUCAUGGAUACCCUUGGGGUUUUGGUGAGGUUGAGAAGGAAAUCUACCCUUCUCUUGCACUGUGUUCAAGUUAAUGAGCCUUGAGAUUGAGUAUUGGAGAUUAUCUAUCUUCUGAGAUAAGUCAUUUUGCAUCCCAUCCAUCCUUUUAUUCAAUGUAUUCUCUACACUGUCAAUUCUUUGACUGAGUUGAGCAUUGAUAGAUUUUUGGUCUCCAACAAAAUCUCCCACAACCUUGUUGAAAUUCACUAUUGCUUGUUGAAGACUUGAAGCUUGUUGAGAUGGUUGAGGCUGUUGGUAUUGAGGUGCUCUUGGCUUCCAUGAAAAAUUUGGAUAGUUCCUCCAACUUGAGUUGUAAGUGUUUCCAUACGAAGCAUUGCUAUUGGGCUUGAAUUAUCCAAUGACAUUUGCUUGAUCUCCAAACAUUUCUCUAACAACUGGAAUUGUAGGGCACUCCUCCACCAAGUGUUCAUAAGAUUGACAAAUAGAACAUGACUUUACUUGCACUGGUGUUUUAGCAGCAACUUGCACUUCAUGCAUCUUUUUCAGUUCUAGCUCCUCCAAUCUUCUUGUCAUAGCUGCAAAUUUUGCUUUCAUAUUAACAUCUUCAUUCAAGGUGUACAUCCCAGCCUUAGCAUUGAAAGCAUUUGGUUGAGACUUCAUCUUCCCCACUUCUCCUUUGUUCGGUUCAUCCCAUCCCCUUGAAACUUCAGCUACAUAACUCAAGAAAUCCAUAUCUUCCUCCGGAUUCUUACUCAUGAAAUCUCCUCCACACAUUGUCUCAAGGAGUUGCUUCAUUGAGGAAGACAUCCCAUCAUAGAAAUAACUCACCAACAUCCAUGUAUCAAAACCAUGGUGAGGACAAGCAUUGAUGGCUUCCAUGUAUCUUUCCCAACACUCGUAGAAUUUCUUAUUCUCUUUAGCUAAGAAGUUUGAAAUUUGUCUUUUCAAGCCAUUUAUUCUGUGAGUAGGAAAAAACUUUUUGAGGAAUUCAGCUUGUAAAUCAGUCCAAGUAUGGAUACUCCUUGGCCUUAAAGAAUUAAGCCAAAUCUUGGCCUUAUCCUUUAAAGUAAAAGGAAAUAGCUUAAGCCUCAUCAAGUCGAUUGAAGCUCCCCCCUCUUGGAAUGUAUUACAAACAUCUUCAAAUUCCUUGAUAUGUGCAUAGGGAUUCUCACUUUCCAUCCCAUGGAAAGUUGGUAGAAGUGGAACAAUAUAUGGUCUGAUCACUAGCUGCUCUGUAGGGGGCACUAUACAUGAUGGUGCACUCAUACGAGGUGGAUGCAUACGAUCCCUCAUUAAUCUGAAUUCAUUGGGAUUGUCCUGGUGACCAUGGUGACUAUGUUGAUUUUCAGGUGUAACUUCCAUGGUAUUCAAGCCUAAUUCCAAUUCCUUGUUAUCAGGUGUUUCACGUUUAACAAGCCUUCCUCCACUAUCUUGUAUCCAAUUUGGCAUACACAACUAGUAUCAACUGCAACAAAAACAAAAACAAAAGAAAACAAAAGAAAAUAAAAAUAUAAAAAGACUUAGAUUAACUAAAACUAAAUUAAAAGAUAUGUUAGAAUAUGAACAAGUAAAAAAAAAAAUUAAAAGAGUUAGUAAAAUGAAAGAAAAAUCACCAAACUUGUAAUGAAAAUCACAAGUAAUAUGAAAUAAUAUCACUGUGAAGUUGGCACCUUCCCUUGCAGCGGCGCCAUUUGAUUCAUUCCCAAUUGGUGUAUCAUGAGUUUAAUCCUCAAACGGGAGUAAUCAACAAAAUUUAUAACCUAUAUCACCAUGCACUAGGAUAGCCUUAGCUAAUAUAGCAUAAUGGCUCUAAGAUCGUUCACUGGGAAGGGUUUUCAACUUACAACUGAUACCAAUUCAAAGUUGAAUUGGUACUUUUUCAUUUCAAGGUUAGCUUAAGAAGAAAACAUAAACUUUGGUUGAAAAAUGAUUUGUUUUAAGCUAACUAAAAAGAAAGUAAUGGGAAUUACUUAUGAAGAAGCGUUCCUUGGAGUUUUAGGUUCAUUGGGGUCAAGCUCCUUAUGCAAAAACAAAGCUCUGGUCACUUGAAUCUUUUCCUCACAUUAGAGAAUUAACAUAUAGUUAAUUCUCUAACCGGUGUUGUACAAAUGUUUCCCUUUAAUGGAUUUCAGCACUAAUUUCCUCUCACUGAUGCAACUUGCAAUGGCUCGUGCCUCUCACCUAGCAUUUGCCAUUCAAGGUGAUCAUUAACCUUGGACUUCCCUUCUCAAGCUCGCAAGAGAUAACUAAUGGAUGUCUCCUUAGAGUCCAAAAGCUUACCAAGUGUUGGCAAUUCUAAAAAAUCCUACCUUCAAGUCACCUCCCAAAGGCUCGCAAGAGAUAAACUAGUGCAUUUCCAUGGACGGAGAUCACUUGCCUUACCAAGUGUUAGCCCAGGUGAAUUGAAUGCGUUUUAAGUUAACUAAAAACAUAGAAAUCAUUAACGGGUCACACUUUCUCUUCAUUAACAGCUGAAACAACAAAACUACCAAUUCUUGCAUUCGGGGCCUUACCCGGCUACCUUAGCUCCAAGGAACUAAAAGCCUAGCCACUCAUUCUCUGAGGAAAUAUCCUCAAAGCUUGUUUAGCUAGUAAGAAAAAAUAAAUACAAUACAAUCAAAUUUAAUAGGUAAGGCAGAGCAAAGCUCUGUAUUUUACUUCCUUCCAAAACUAUACAAAAAGUUGUCUCUAAGAACAAGCUUCCCGAGAUAUCUCUGUGAUGAAAAUUAAAAAACAAUAUAUAUGAGGUUAUUUACCCUUUGUUCUUACUUAAAGACUAAGGAAUCCUAUGAUAGGUGGAUUACAAGAAGAGAAAUGGGAUUUAGACAUCAAAUAUCUGAAGCAAAAAAUAAAAAAAUGUCGGUCGCAAAUAUCUGGAAGCACUUGGGAGAAUUUCACAGGCGUGCAAGAUGGCUGUGAAAUUUCGCAACCUGAAGGACACCAUUUCGCAGCCAUCCUCUUGUGAUUUCGCAACCAAAGGCUGAUUUCGCAGCCUGCGAAAUUGGCCUUCAGCUUGGUGUGAUCGGCUUCCAAUGGCUCUAACUUCUUCAUUUCAACUCCGAAUCAUACACCGUUUGAAGCGUUGGAUUAAUGACUUCCCAAGCUUCAAAACGAAAUAUAGUAUGCAUAAAUUGAGCUCCAGGAAGUGCUCUAAAAGUGUGUAACAGCUGCUGUCCUCUUGAAUUCUUCAUGUUAGAUUUCUCUCUUUGCUUUCCCUCCUUGCAUUCAUGAUUUGCUUAUGGCAAAGGACUAUAAAGCUUCAAAGCUUUGGUUCUUCAUGUUACUGAGAUUCCCAUUGCUUUUCCAUGGAUUCCAAAGAACUCUCCUCAAUCUUGGAUUGCUUUGGUGAUCAAAUUACUAUCAAAAGCACCAAAACUUACACAAUUUGAUUAGAAAUGAUUGCAAAGGUCCUUAGUAUGCUAAUUGAGUUAAAAGGUAAUAACUACUACUCAAAAGUGUUUAAAAUAGUUAAUUACAAGGUACAAAAUAGCACUUUUUGAGUAGUAAUCAAUCACCCAAGGGGACAUAUUGUCUCAAUCCUAUGAGAUAUCAUGGUGCCUCUAUUGAGAACACCUAUUGCCACCAGCCUUCAUCAACAGUGACCCAAUCUAUAGGGAUAUAUGACCACUUUAGGGUCUUACCCAUAAGUUAAAUUCUCCUAUUGAUUUUGGCAUAUGCUCAAUAUCCUCUCAAGGUUGGGAAUCCAUGCAGUAUAGUAGCUUGGUGAAUCAUGACAAUUGAUAGCCUUGCGUCAUGAUACAUCGUUGGUCUUGUCCAGUGUGCCUCACAUACAUUAGUGCACUCAUCAUGGGAAAUCAAUCCCAACUACCAAGAUAAGUCAUCCCUCCAAUUAGGAGGUGGUGCAUUACAGUCUCUACUAGAUUGCCCAAAUCUAUGAUUCGACUAUGGAUAACUUAUCUACUUACAAGGAACUCAUGACUUGUAUUUUCUGUGCAACUCCUAAUGCACCCAAGCCAUGUACAAUGUAAGAGACAUAGGUUGAAUGCUCAAAUCAAUGUCAAUACAUCAAAAGGAUAGCAAGGGGAUAGUUAAGCCUAACUUUGUUACAUCAUGUCUUGCUUUUAGAGGCUCAAUCUCAACAAACUCUCACUAGCCCCAAAAGUAGAUUGGGUGCUGCAAAAAGAUUCUACUCCACAAUCAUAUCACCUCUUUAUACUAUCUUACGCUAAGGUAAUACUUCAUUUUUAUACAUUUCAUCUUUAUAUAUUUCAUUUUCUAAUGGUACUUUAGUUUUUUAGCCUAUGCCACAGUCCCACUAUUAUCACUUAAUAGUAUCUUAGAUGAUAUAACCAAAGGAACUACCCAUAAGACAAAAAGCUUCCUUUGUUGCUAUAAAAGCAACAAAAAACCACUUAGAGUGUACACAUACCUAGAGGUAGACUUGUGAGAGUCCUUAUCAGACUAAAAAUCUAAUUUCCUGGUACGAAAAGAGUACCAACUCAUCACAAAGACUCACAAACAUAUAAUUCAUCAUUCUCUAAAGAUACUCGAGUAUAUGUUUGACAUCUGUCCAAAGCUCUAAUCAAGAAAUGGAAUAAUAUCGAUUCAUUAUUCCUACACCAAAGCAAAUAUUUGGUCUAGCACAUAGCAUCGCAUACUUAAGGCUAUCCAUUACAGAGGCAUUGGAUACCGCCUUAAUGCGAUCUCUCUCCUUAGAUGUCCAAAGACAUUGUUCUUAAGAAAGACAACUCCUAAUCCAAAGAGUAACAAACCCUUCUUAGAGUUUUACAUCAUGUGCUUGACCAAAUGCUUAUUUAUGUAGGUGACAUGGUGCAAUUUUCCUAUUCUUGCAAUCUUAAAAAACCAUAACCCCAAGAAUAUAUUGCGCCUCUCUCUAGAUUUUCAUCUAGAACUAAGUAAACUACUAGAUCUUGAUUGAUGACAAUAUCUUUACAUGCUAUCCAAUUAGUAGAUUAUCAUCUACUUGCAAGAUCUUAGAGCAUCACCAUGCUUCCCUAUGCCUUCUUGUACACACAAGGCCCUUUGCUAUACUAAAGUUUGCAAAUGACACCAUUUUCUCCUCUAAAGUUUCUCCGAAACUUCUAUAAAACCUCAAGCUAAUCCUAUUGGUUUUUAGGCAAGUAUCGGGAUUGAAAAUCAAUCUAAAAAAAAGAACCCUAUUCGAUAUUAAUACAAGCCAGGAGUUGUUAUAUAGUUUGGCUUCAAUUCAUAAUUGUAAAGUGUCAGGGUGACCUUUGUCUUAUCUAGGUCUUCCCUUAAAAGGGAACCCAAAGACAAGAGGUUUAGGGAUUCAAUGGUUAAGAGAAUCUUGAGGAGGUUAGAUGGGUGGAAAAAUGCAUUUUUAUCAUUAGAGUGAAAGGUUUACCUUAAUUUAGUCAAGUGUGUUUCACAUUCCUAGCUAUUUCAUUUCCUUCUUCAAGAUCCCAGUAUCAAUAGCCUCAAAAAUUGAAAAAAUGCAAAGGGAUUUCCUCUAGUCAGCGGCGGGGGCAAGGGAGAAAGAUCAUCUUAUUAGGUGGGAUGUUGUUUGUAGGCCCAAAGAGUUGGGAGUUUUGGGAUUUGGGAAAACUUCCUUGAGAAAUCGUGCUCUUUUAGGGAAGUGGAUGUGGAGGUUCCCUAGGAAAAGGACUGGUUGAUUCGUGCCCACUUGGUGUAUUAGCUGAUUCAUGUCCAGCUGGUGCUCCUUGAUUGAGGGAGUAAUCAACAAAAUUUAUAACCUAUUAUACCAUGAACUAGGGUAGCAAAGACAAAGCUACUAUAGCAUAGUGGCUCUAGGAUCGUUCAUUAGGAAGGGUUUUCAAUUCAUAAAUGAUACCAAUUCAAAGCUGAAUUGGUGUCUUUUCAUUUCAAGGUUAGCUUUAAAAGAAAACAUAAUUUUUGGAAGAAAAAUUUUUAGUUUAAACUAACGGUAAAGAAAGUAAUAGAAAUUACUUAUGAAGAAAAACAUUCCUUAGAGGUUUAGGUUCACAGGGGAGGUUCCUUGUGCAAAAACAGAGCUCCGGUCACUUGGUUCAUUUCCUCGCAUUAGGGAAUUAACAUAUAGUCAAUUCUCUAAUCGAUGUUGUACAGAUGCUUCCCUUUAAUGGGUUCAAACAUUAAAUCCCUCUCACUGAUGCACCUUGCAAUGGCUCAUACCUCUCACCUAGAACUUGCCAUUCAAGGUGAUCUUUAACCUUGGAUUACCCAUCAAAAGCCCGUAAGAGAUAACUAAUGGAUGUCUCCUUAGAGUCCAAAAGCUUACCAAGUGUUGGCUAUUCUAGAAAAUCCUACCUUCAAACCACCUUCCAAAGGCUCGCAAGAGAUAAACUAGUGCAUCUCUAUGGAUGGAGAUCACUUGCCUUAUCAAGUGUUGGCCCAGGUGAUUUAAAGGCGUUUUAAGUUAACUAAAAACAUAGAAAUCAUUAACGGGUCACACUUUCUCUUCAUUAAUGGCUGAAACCACAAAGCUACUAAUUAUUGCACUUGGAACCUUUCCCGGCAACCUUAACUCCAAGGAACUAAAAGUCUAGUCACCCAUUCUCUGAGGAAACAUCCUCAGAGCUUGUUUGGCUAGUAAGAAAAUACAAUUAAAAUGAAAAGGUAAAUCAGAGCAAAGCUCUGUAUUUUACUUCUUUACAAAAUUGUACAAAUGAUCAAUCGACUUCUCUUUUCUCCUCUCUCUUCCUUGAGAACAGGCUCCCAAGAGAUAAAUAUAUGGAAAAUUACAAAAUAUCUAAAAAAGAUUAUUCACCCUUUUUCCAAACUUAAUAACUAAGGAAUCCUAUAAUUGGUGGAUUACAAGGAGAUUUUGGGAAUUUAGAUAACAAAUAUCUAAAGCAAAAUAUCUCAAAAUAUCCCAAAAUAUCGGUGGCAAAUAUCAGGAAGCUUUAAGAUAACACAGUAACAUUGUGCAGAAUGGCUGCUCUCCCAUCCGGCGUCAGAAUUCCGGACGUGAACUUUCGGGUGGAAAGUGCGCGGCAGCCGAGUACAAAAUGGCAGCGCGCAUCCGGGUACAAAUUGGCAGCAGCCAGGUACAAUUUGGCGGUAGCCGGGUACAAUUCCUACCGGGAUAUGUUUGUUCGGAUGCCCUCCGAUGGUGUAUCCGGACGCCCUAUCCGGGUAUACUCCUUGCAUGGAUUCCAAAGAACUCUCCUUAAUCUUGGAUUGCUUUGGUGAUCAAAAAGGCUAUCAAAACACCAAAACUUAACACAUGUUUUAUUAGAAUUGAUUGCAAGGGUCCUUAACAUGCCAAUUGAGUUAAAAGGUGAUAACUACUACUCAAAAGUGUUUAGAAGAGUUAAUUACAAGCUAUGAAAUAGCACUUUUUGAGUAGUAAUCACUCCCCCCCAACCGACAUAUUGCUAGUCCCUUAGCAAUGAAGGAGAGAAAAAUAAAAAGGAACAAUACUAUAAUUUACAAAAUCAUGUUGAUCAAAAAAACAAUUUUCAAGUGGCAUGAAGAUCUAACUCUCACAUGGAACAUUAAAGAAAUAGAACUCAAAAUUCAACAAGAGUUAUCAAAUAACUUAUCUAAUCACAAUUCUUAAAGAGAAGGCAUUAUGCAAAUUUAAGCAUUAAAAUCAUUUCCACUUCCAAAGGACCAAACCUUACUCGUCCACAAAAAUUUAAGUGUUAUUUAUUAGUUUCCGAAUAUAGUAUGUUGAAUUAAUCUCUCCCCUCAACCUAGUUCUUUUUCAAAGCUUAGCAAACUAGUCAACCUCCAAUAGGCUAACAACGCACCUCUUUUCACAUAAUUUUUUUUUUUCAUUGUAGGAGUACAAAGCUUAAGGGUAUUGUGGACCCCGUAUUUCGGCUCAAUGCGUUUCCCACUCGAUGGCGAGCUCGAUUUUUAUUUGAAAAAUUGAUUUUUAUUGAUUAUUUGAAAAUGACUUGGAGUCGCCACUUAUUUUUGUUUAUUUUUUAAAGGGUAAACAAAAUAAGAAAGAAAAACCCUAAGUGUGACUCCUUAUUUUGGAAAAGGUGGUCUGUGAAAAACCGGAUCGGGUUCGGGGGUCAGGUUACUUAUCGGGAAGGUACGGUAAAGACCGUAGCACCCCUCUAAGUCCCUAAAGUCGGGUCUCUACUAAUAGAAUGAAGCUGACAUGGCGAUGAUGAGGAAAUCAAUAAAUACUCAAAUCAAUCAUGCACAUAUGAGUAUCAAAACAUGCGUAUAGCAAGACCAGAAUAAGGACAGAUGCGUACCUAGGUAACGAUCUUCAAUGCGCUAUCAAGAAGUGAGAUUAGUGCACAAUUAAGGGAUAGUCACAUGCAUAUCAUAGAGCAGAAUAAAUCAUGUAUGGCAGUCAAAUCAAUCAAUCAGUCAAUCAAUCAUGAAGUCACAUAUGUCGGGCCCCCACCAAAGCCCGUUUAUUUUUGCAUGAAUCAAUUCCAUAAAUUCCAUCACUUGGAAUUACGGAAUUUAAUUCUUACUUAUUUUUGAAACAUUUUAAAAACAAAGAAAAUGAAAAAGUGGCUUGCCGGAAGGAAAAUGACAACCAAAUUUUAUUGAAAAUGGGAUUUCGGUAUCCAAAAAUUCUAAAGAUGGAAAAUGGGAAAAUUUGGAUUAUUUGAAAAUUAGAAUUUGGGAAAAAUAUUUACAAAAGGGGAUUUGAGAAAUCAUUUUCAAAAAAAAAAAAAGAAGAAAACCAAGAACGCCACAUGGCCCAAAGGUGGCCCAUACUAAAGAUGGCCAAUGCAUGGCCUGGUAGGGAUAGGGCCCAGUUGACUUGUGCAUGCUAGGGCUGCUGAUAGACACUGCCUAUAGGUCCCACUAUAUCAACAAUACUGACCAUUGUCUGGGAUGGUUGCAGAAGUGGAUGAAUAGUUGCUGUCACUGGCUGUGCAGGAUGAUAGAUACCGACAAUUGGGCCAUGCUCACCCUAUGCUGGGGUCAAAGCUACAUGUUGGCUCUGAGGGGGAGGGGGGGAGGUUGUAGAAAGAACUUGCUGGAAAGUCAGAAAUGUCCCGAUCUGGUGCAGCAAUCCAGACUGCUGAACCCUCACUCUGCUGACCAAUGAUGCAAACACUAUUUUCCAUGAACUGGGAUGCAACAAUUUCCUCAUUAGCAGUUGAGUUCCCAACUGCUGCAGCCGAACUAGGAUUAUAGCCAGUUGGAGAGGAACCAUAUGGUCCAUAGCCACCUGGCAUUCCCAUGUGUGCUGAGUUUCCAGUAUUAGUCCAUGGCUUGUAUUAUGGAAGUGAAUAUUUGACUCCUGCAGCAGUUGUAGUGGGUGAAGUUGGAUAUACACCACCAGGAGUCUCCGAACCAAGGGAGAGAGGGGUGACGUCCAACAACAGUAGGUCUUGGACCUUCUCAUUGCCCUCACCGCUUAAGAUUGUAGCCUGUAUAGUAGCUCCAUAGGCCACAACUUUUGACACUUGGAAAUUGGCAUGCUGGACCUUGAUUCCCGGUUCGCGAGUAAAAGAAUCCUUGAGAACCAGGACAGGCACUUGCAAGCUUGGAGAUUUUGGAGAACCAGCACUGGCACUUGCAAGCCUGGAGAUGGUGGAAAACCUUAAUGGUGUUAAGAAGAUGCUUCACAGCUUCUGCAUGAAAGGGUCCUCGGAAUAAUCUGGGAGGGAAAAUGGAGAGAAGUAUGAAGCCUCUGUUAUACUGAAGCGCGUCUGAACUCUAGGAUUCUGGGUCAUGGUGCACUAGUGGUUCUGGUUCAGUUUGGUGGAGGAACAACAGUCCAGUAUGCCAGCAGAAACAUGGUCGACACGAACUGUAGGUAAAGAAGAUGGGCGAAAUAUAGUUACUGGAUCAUGUAAUGAAUUGCUGAAGAGAUCAAUUGGGACACUUUCGCUCUCAGGAGCAGAGUCAGCCAUUCGUUGCUACUUAACUUUCCAGUUUUGUUGCAAUCUGAUGAGAGCAUCGUAGAAUCUUGCUUCCCGAGCAAUCUACUAUUCCAAAGCUUUGUCGGACUGCUUGAAAUAGUUACUAAGAUGCCUUCAUAAGAUGCAUGGAUGGAAGAGCUUUUACAUCAGGUAGCAACAAAGAAAGAAAUUUGGGUAUGGUUGGACUGGUGCUUUGAUGAUGGCGGAGGCGUUUCGCCGGCGGCGGCGGACAGCUUUGCUUGCUGUUUGAUGAUUAAGAAAAUAGGUAGGUGGUGACGAGCAUGUUAAUGGGUCAGCUUGUGUAGGGUCCAGAAUGCACAACCUGAAGCGUGUAAAAUUGGGCAGUUCUUGGCUACAGUUAUGAGUGCCGCAUUGGUCAUCUGCUGGUUGAAGUAUAGCAAGGAGGACAUAAGAACCAAUUCUGCCAGAAUAUGUCUUACUCCAUUCUCACUGCUAUAGAAGAAUUUCAAGGUCAAACACCAUGGCCGAAGUGGGGACCACUUUGAUAUAGCAUUAUGAAUAUACUCAACAGCUUUUGGUCCAUUUUCCACAUCAAAACUUAUAUCAAAAGCAAUACUGCCCCUGGUCUUUCCUUGAUGUUGCUUCUGGUAGGAAAUCUGCCACGGAUUUCUAGUUCCAGAAUCUUUAGUGUAUAAUCAUUGAUCACAUUCUCAUCUAAAACAAGGAUGCUAUGCUCUUCAAACAUGCCAUACAUUGAUGGGAACUUGUCAACAUCUGGAAGCUGCUAAAUAUCAUCAUACAGAAUGGAUAGAGACACCAUGUCAGCAGAUGAAAGGCUAAUUAGUUGCUGUCAUUGAGGGAAGUCCCAUAUGCCCCGGCAAUUCAGGCAGCAUGCCAGGGCAUUGCUAAUAUCCCAGUUCGAUAAGUUCAAGCAAUGUCAGUCACAGCUGGAUCCUCAUGCAGGCACUUUCAGGUUCAGACCCCAUAGCUAUCAAUCUCCUUUUCAUAUCAUCUUCAUUCUCCAUCAACCAACCUCCCCAGAUUCACAGCCUUAAAGCUUGAAAGUCACUUUCAAAGGAAAACAGAGGAACAGAGGAGUAGAAAUAGGAAUAGAACAGGGAACCUUUUAAUGAAUAUGCUAAACCCAUUUCAUUAUUUUAUCCAUGAGUCUAGCAAUCAGUAGGUAAAGGUGGAAGAUGUUUAUUAGGGUAAAACAUUAAAAUCCAGCAAGUUCUUCAAAUGUUAAACUAAUAAAUCAUCAAAAUGCAGCAAGUUCUUCAAAUGUUAAACUAAUAAAUCAUCAAAAUGCAGCAACCCAACAAGCAGAAAUGAAAUCAUAGAGAAUAAGACAGGACAAAUAUGAAAGAUGAGAGAAUAUACGGGAAAAACCACAAAUGGCCAUACCUGAAAAUACCUGUCCUGCUCUCUGUGACCUCCUUGCUUCUUCUCUCAAGCUCAAGAAAUCUCCCUGAAGCCCUCCAGAAAUCUCCUCUGUUUCUCUCUGCUCCCUUUGUCAAACUGCAAUAGUCUCAUUGUCAAAGCAUUCACUUGAUCAUAGAGUACAAAGAAUGGAUAUUAUGCAAGUUUAAGCAUCAAAAGAAUUUCCACUCUCAAAAGAUCCAAAUCAAAUUCUUCCACUAAAAUCUAAGUGUUAUUUAUUAGUUUCCGAAUAUAGUAUGUCAAACUAAUCUCUCCCCUCAACCUAGUUCUUUUCAAAGCUUAGCAAACUAAUCAACCUCCAAUAGGCUAAGAAAGCACCUCUUUUCUUUCACAAUUUUUUUCUUGUAGGAGUGCAAAGCUUAAAGGCAUUCUUUUCUAAAUUGUCCAUGUAACGGGGGUCCAUCGAUGACUCCCAACCAAUCAAGGUUUAGGGCAUCAAGCUUUAAGGAUUUUUCAACCACUAACUCCUCGGAUUUCACCCCGGAAUUUUGAGAAUGAUUUUUAAUACCCAAGCACCUACAACAUGUUAAAAUCCACCUAUCCACCCUUGUAACGAGCAUUGAGGUCGGUGACUCCCAACCAAUUAAGGCUUAGGGCAACAGGUUUUAAAGAUUUUCACCAUAUACCCCUCAGACCUUGCUCGGGUUUCAAGGCAAGCAAACAUUUUUUUUUCUUUCUUUAUUUUCUUCAAAGACUCAUUGGCCUUUUAUAAGGUGUCCCAACACUAUUAAAUGAGGUCAAAGGUCCAAGUCUAAAAUUUUCCUAAGUCAAGAGGGAAAUAGUUUUUCAUCUUAUAAUCAGAACCUAUUGUAUGUGUGUGUGAAUAGCUUAAGGUGGAAGAGAUAAGUUUGCAUGCAAUGGGAGUUUCAAAUAUUCAUCAACUUUUAGAAGAGCAUAAUACAAACUCUAAGACUCAUGUAAUCAAGUUGAAACUCGACUUCUCUCAUUUAAUUUUGAGAGUUAAUCCUUAAUAUCCAUGGAGUUUAAAGCAAAAAUUUUAAAAUUUAAACAAAAAGUAGCUAAUUUAACUAAGUAUGAUAAAAAUUUAAACUAAUACUUACUUCCUCAUCUCUCCCCCCAACCGAGAUGAACAUUGUCCUCAAUGUUUGAAUCGAAAAUAAGGAGGAAGGAAGUGGUACCUCAUGUGAUGUGGACUUGGAGUUGAGAAGGUUGAACCACCUGUUUCAAAAUUCAAAAAUUGAAUGAGAGAGGAAUUUAUACUAAAUAUUUACAAAAAUGAUGAGUGGGCCCCACUUUGAGCAGUUGAGAACAAGGCUCAAAGGGUCCAUGCCAUGAUGGUAUACUGAUAUAAGUUGCAAUGACAUUUGAAUGUAACUUGCAGGGGUGUUAAAAUUGGAGAUUUUUGGCUAAAACAGGGGAAGCUUAAAAAUUCGCACAAGGGGGUGUUGUGUGAAAAUUUCGCACAAGGGGGGGUGUUAUGCGAAUUUCGCAUAAGCACUAUUCACCCGCCCUUUUGCAAUUUUGGAUUCUUUCAAAUGGUCAUAACUUUUUCGUUUCAAAUCCAAAUCGCACACUGUUUGAAGCACUGGACUCCUGACUUCCUAAGCUUCAAAAAUAGAUAUGGUAUGAAUAAUUUGAGCUCCAGAAAGUACUCCAAAAACGUGUCCAACAGUAGCAAAAUGGGGUGCGGCUGCAACAUUCCCGUUCAGCUUUACACAGUCGUCUUCAAAUGGCCAUAACUUCUUCGUUUCAACUCCAAAUCGAGCACCGUUUGAAACUAUGGACUCCUGACUUCCUAAGCUUUGAAACAAGAUAUAGUAAACAUGAAAUUAACUUCGGGAAGUGAUCGAAAUGUUCCCAACAGUUGCCGAAAUGGGGUGGUGCGAAUUGCUCUGUUUUGGCUUUUCUCCCCUGUUUUCCCUUGUUUUCACCAUAACUUUGAUUUUUGCAAGCAUCAUACCUGUAUGAACACUUCAAAACUCAUCUUAAAAACAUAUUAAAACUAAAUUAAAGCUAAGAAUUCAAACUAAAACAUGCAUAAAUUUAAAGAAAGCAUAGAAUUUAAAUGAAGCUGAUAGCAUGUACCCCAAAAAGAAGAUGAACUAUUUAGCUCAUCCUCACUCACACACCCACUUCAUGCUGAACUCCCCCUGGAUCCCAAACAAAAUUGGCAUCCUUCCCAUUUGGUCCAAGGAAAUUCGUUUCUCUUCCCUUCCCCGGAGAAGUGGAUGCUUUAAAGGGUUCAAGUAACCCUUUAUCAUCUUGAACCUUAUGAUUUUCAAUGGAAGGUUGGUCCAUAAAGUUGUCAUAGCAAUCCCCCACCAAAGUGUCGAUCAUCAACACUUUCCUUGAUCUUUUUGCAUUGGUUCCUUGAAGGUUAUGGUGGGGUUGAGGAGGAAGCUUCCUUUUCCCCCUUGCUAUGUCGAGAUUGGUGAGCUUCUCAAUGGAUUCUUGAACUUUUUCUAUCCUUAGUGAUAGAUCAUUAUAAACCCCCUCCAUUCUUACAUUCAUUGAACUCUCCAAAUUAUCAAUCUUUUCAUUAAGAUGAGAGUUGAUCUUUUGUUGCUCACCUACAAAGUCCCCAUGACUUUGCUUAUCUUCAAAAUGGCUUGCUCCAAUGAAGAUGUACUCAUUGAUGGUUGAGGUUGAGGUUGGGUUGCAAGGUUGGGAUGGUUUAUAUACUCAAAUGAAGUUGGCAUGGCUUGUGGUUGUGCUUCAGUAUGCAUAUUCCUCAAUUCAAACUCCUCUAUCCUUCUAGCCAUAGAUGCUAGCUUUGCCUUCAUGCUUAUGUCUUCAUUCAAGGCAUACUUACUACCCCAUUGUCUUUGUUGAACUUGCCUUUUCCCUAACUCAAUCCGAUCCCUCAUGGAUAGGUAUGCAAAUUUGUCCUUCUCAUGAUCAUAAUGAGAGCUUUGAUCUUCAUGUGGAAUUUCCAUUUCUAAAAAAAAUGAUAUUCAACUAAGGCUCUUUUCUUCAACUUGUACCAAGGUUCCCUCUUGGUCUCGAAUCCAACAAGGAAUGCACAAAUUGAAAUUAAGACAAAAAUAAAAGAAAAGAGAAUAAAAAUUUAACUAAAUAAAAACUAAACUAAAAAAAAUUAUAAGAAAACUCACCAAACUUGUGAUGAAGAUCACAAGUUACCCUUAAUGGUUGCUUCACUGUGCUUGUGGCACCUUCCUCGGCAACGACGCCAUUUGAUUCGACUCAUCCCCGACAACGGCGCCAUUUGAUUCGACUCAUGGUAGCUUAGCUUUAAAGGCGUAUCAACAAAAUUUAUACCUUGAAUACUAUUACUAAAGUAGCCAAGCUACUAUAGUAUAGUGGUUCUAGGAUCGUUCACUGGGAAGGGUUUUCGCAAACACAAGUGAUAUUCAAAUUAGGAAAAUAGGUGAUUUUCUUAUGGAUGUUAGCUUUAAAAUAAGAUGUAAAUGUUUUAGAAAGAUUUAAACUAAUCUAAGCUAACAUUAAAGACUAAAAUGAAAGGAUGUAAAAACAAGUUUCUCAAAGAUAGGAUAGCUAUGCUCUGGCUCUUAUGCAAAUUGGAAAUCUUAGGAUAGGCUCCUCGCAUUGGGGUUGCAACUAUGGUGAUGCUUGCUUCCCGAACCGGUAUGGAUUUAGCAAAUUCAGUUUUAAUCCUUUAAAAUGGCAAAACAGAUGGUAGUGAAUUUCAUCAAUGGUUAUUCACCUUAGACUUCCUUUGAAUGGCUCGUAAGAGAUAACUAAUGGUCUAAAGCCAAAAUCUUACCAAAUAUUGGCAACUCAAAGUCAUUCCAAGUGAUAAACUCACCUUUCAAUGGCCAUUGAAAUUGGUUCUAACGGAUUAAUGCAAAACUUGGAAUUGAAAACCUCACCUUCCAAUAGCUCGUAGGAGAUAACUAAUGGAUAGAAAUCCAAAAGCUUAUCAAGUAUUGGCCGUUGGAAGUUGUCCAAAGGAAAUAAAAACCAAACUUUGCAUUAAUGAACCUUUAAUGAAAAACGACUACCUUACCUUCCGGGUGCGAGAAAUUUCCAUGGGAUUGCAUCCAAGCCAUCACAUAACAUCCAUACUUUGAGAAACUAAAAGUUUUAGCCAAUCAUCCUCUGAGGAAAAGCCCUUAGAGGCUGUUUGGCUACUAAGAAAAUAGAAACGGGAGAACUCUGUAAAAUAUUCUAAGUGUCAAACGUAAUAUAUAUUAUAUAUAUUCCAAGAGGUGAUUUCCACCCCUUAUAUAGUCUUUACAAAAGCAAAAGCUUGUGAUUGGUUAGUUACAAGGAUAAGAAAGGAAAUUACAUCACAAAAUACAAAGGAAAAUAUCUAAAGUGGAGUCGGCAAAAGCAGAGGAAAAUUCGCAACACGCAUGGGUUAUGCGAAUUUUGAAGGUGUUAUGCGAAAUUUUCGCAUAACCUGGAGCAGUUGGCUUCCGAAGGCCAUAUCUUCCUCAUUUCAGCUCCAAAUCGUACACGGUUUGCAGCGUUGGAUUCUUGACUUCCAGAGCUUUGAAAUGGUAUAUAGCAUGUAAAAAAUGGACUUCGGAAAGUGCUCCAAAAGUGCGAAAGAAGACUGCAGCUGCUGUCCUCUUUGCUUCUCUUCACUUUGCUUGCUUUUCCUCUUUGCUUCUCUUUGCUUCUUUCCUUGCAUACUUUGAACGACUUUGGCAAAGGGAUAUGGAGCUCCAAAGCUUGGUUCUUCAUGAAUUUGAGCUUCCAAAAGCUUUGCCAUUACUUGUCCAAGUAGCUCCUCCAUCAUUUGGCUUGCUUGAAUUGAUUCAUAAGCUGAUAAAAACAUGUAAACUUGCCACAAAAUGGUUAAAACCAAUUACUAAGGACCUUAAUGAAUUAAUUGGGUUAAAUGAAUAUUAUUACUACUCAAAGGUGCUUAAAACCAUUAUAAUUAGGUCUACAAAAUAGCACUUUUUGGUAGUAAUCACUCAUCAACCCUGCGGACCAUGAACUGAAAGUUUCCUCUUCUUGCUAUGUUCUUCCCUUCUCAAAAAAUAUCUUCAGCUCUCACCUCCAAGUAGCCAAAAUCUCUCCCUCUCAAAUUAUCUCUCCGACAGCCUAAGCUCAAGGAAUCCCCUCCAGAAAUCUCCUACUCUCCCUCUAGCUCUCUACCCCCUCUCCUCUGAUUUUUCUCUUCCUCCUCCUCUCACCCGGCUUCCUUUCACUAGCUCCAAGGAUCUCCCUCAAAUAUCUCUCUCUCACAGCUCCAAAAACAUCUCCUCCGCUCCCCUGGCAGCCAAAAGCCUCUCUCCCUCUCAAAAACUCAGUCUCAGACCAACAUCCCAAGCUCUCUCUCUCUCUCUCACCCAAAAAUAUCUCUAACCGUCCCCCCUGCCAAAAAUCACCUGCAGCUGCCUAAAAUCCCCCCUCCACUACCAUGCAAUUGGCAGCAAAAAAGCAUCCUCUCCUCAUACGCUCCUCCCAGCUUGCACUAACGGCCAGCAGAUUUUCUCAGAAUCACCUUUACAGGUGUCAACCCCUGAUUGCUCCUCCAACUCCACUAUUGUGAUUCUCUAGUAGCUAGUCAAAAUGUGACACGUGGCUUCCCCCAGAUGGUGACACUUGGCUAAAAGCAAGUUGCAGAAAAUGAGCCCCAAAUAGGGGUCUACAAGUAUUCUUUUCUAAAUUGUCCAUGUAACGAGGGUCUAUCGAUGACUCCCAACCAAUUAAGGUUUAGGGCAUCAAGUUUUAAGGAUUUUUCAACCACUAACUCCUCGGAUUUUACCCCGAACUUUUGAGAAUGAAUUUUAAUACCCAAACACCUACAGUAUGUUAAACUCCACCUAUUUACCCUUGUAACGAGCAUUGAGGUCGAUGACUCCCAACCAAUUAAGGCUUAGGGCACCAGGUUUUAAAGAUUUUCAUCAUAUACCCCUCAGACCUUGCUCAGGUUUCAAGGCAAGCAAACAUUUUUCUUCUUUUUUUCUUUUUUUUCAAAGACUCAUUGGCCUUUUACAAGGUGUCCCAACACUAUUAAAUGAGGUCAAAGGUACCAAGUCUAAAAUUUUCCUAAGUCAAGAGGGAAAUAGUUUUUCAUCAUAUAUUCGGAACCUAUUGUGCACAGUGUGUGAGUAGCUUAAAGUGGAAGAACUAAAGUUGAAUUCAAUAGAAAUUUCAACAAUUCAUCAACUUUAAUAAGCAUAAUACAAACUCUAAGUCAAGUAAAAAGGUAAAAAUUCAAUUUUUCCCAUUUCAUUUUGAAAAUGUUUCCUUAAUAACCAUGGAGAGUAGAAUAAAAACUUAAAAAUUUUAAAAUUAAGCAAAAAGCAACUAAAUUACCAAAAUAACUUAGCAUUAAUAACAAAAACUUCAUUUCUCAACUCUCCCCCCAACCAAGCUGAACAUUGUCCUCAAUGUGACAAAAACGAUUGUAAAAUAGGAAGGAAGUGGUACCUCCUGAGUGACAUGGAGUCUGAGUCGUAUAGGAGAAUCCACAUGUUUCAAAAAAACAAUAAAAGUUAGUGAGUAGAGGAAUUAAAAUAAUAUAAUGAUAAGUGUGCUCACACAUGAUAGAGAUUUGUAUUACUUGAUGGGAUUUCAAAAACAAGUGUGCUCACACAUGAUAGAGAAUCCACAGUAGAAUUUUAUAUCAAAAACAAGCAAUACAACUAAUCCCAGUAUAUAAUACUAAAAAGAUGGGAUUUCAAAAAGGAAAUAUAUAAAGUAUAGUAUGUAAAUGAUCAGAGAUGGGGAGGAUGAUGCGGGUAAGCUGAUGGCUCAAGAAGAUGUCUUUGCAUCUUCAGUGGUCGGCUCAGGAGGGGCAUGGGGCUCUGUAGUGGUAGGGGUGAGAUGCUCAAUAGCUGAUGGAAGACCCAGAUGGUGCUGAAGCUGCCUCAAGAUGGCAGUGUGCUGAGUCUGGGUGGCCAAAAUCUGCUCCUGGUGAGCACGAAUAGCUGACAUCUCCUGAGCAAGGCUGCUCUGAGUCGCGGUCAGUGUCUGCAAUGUGUGGCAUAGAUCUUUAUACUCUGAAAUGGGUAUGGCUAUUCUAAGCUUGGCUGAAGUAGAAGGCUCUGAUGCAGCUAGAAUAACUGGAGGGGUGCUGUGGGUGGCAGGAAAAGCAGAGGAUAUACCCUCUUGUAUGGGCUCUGUAGAUGCUCUCCUGGCAACUGGUAUCUCAACUGGCUAUGGGUCCUCUGACUGCUGUGGCUAUGGAAGCUCUGGAUGCUUUGCUCUAUAUGCUGUCAUAUUGGUCCACUUGUCGAGAGUGAAUACCUCUCGAUAUAUACGUUUGUGCUCCAGCUGAGGGUCUGAUGGAUACCCCAGAUGCUCCAAAAUUUGGCAUAGCAAUAUUGGGAAAAGAAGUGGAAUAGCAUCCGCUCGUAGUAGCUUCUUCCUAUGCACCUUCUCUUUAAAGUAGAAAAGGGCAACCAUAAUCAGAUGGUGAGGGCCAAAGAAAUAUCCCUCUGAUAUCCUGAACAGGGCCUCUAGCAGAACUCUUCUCCUCUACACCCAAUGCUGAAGUGGAUAAAUGUUGUGGCGCAGGAGUGCAUCAAUGAAGAACAUGCUCGGAGGAAGUUCCUUCCUCAAUAGAUAUGGAUUUUUGGAUGUUCCUCUGGAUGAUAUAUGAACCAUUUCAAGUUGGGGAGGAUUAAUCCAUACUCGGUAAUCCUCUAGACGGGCUGGCUCAUAUGGAAUAUGCAGGGCCUCUGCUAUGUGGCGAGCUCCUAAAAUACCAUGACAUCCGUCGAUGGUGAAGUGAAUAAGAGUAGGAUCUCUGACCUAAUUAGUAGCCAUGGACUGAUAGAAGUCUGUUGCUACUCGGGGAUAGAAAAAAUCCCUGGGGGUUAGUAAAUGCUCCAUGUGAUAUCUGUGCAGUAGAUGGAAUGAGUCUGCGAGCUCUGGCUGAAGCCUGAAGGUGGCUGUGUCAAAGCACAACUCAGAGUGAAAUGGUCGAGCUCGACAAUCCAAAUUUCCCUCAAUGGGCGGCUGAGGUUCUGCCGGAAGUUCUGAAGAUGGCUUCGGAGACGGCUCUGGAGACUGCUCUCUUAAGUCAAUGGGCUCUGUAUCUAUUACCCUGGCUUUCUUUUGCGGGGGACGGCCACCUGACUUGGUCUAAUAACGCCUCGCUGGAGGACUCAACGGCGCGGGUUCAAGCGGAGGCGGGACGGCUACUUGUCGCGGAGGCUCUAGUGCGGAGCCUUGAACAGGCGCCUCUCACGCGACUCUCUUGCGGCCGAACGGAAAUGAUGACUUUGCUCCUCUAGUUCGUGCCAUGGUGGACUGAAGAAAAUGGCCAGAGGUGAUGGCCGGUGGCUCGCACGGCUUCGCGUGAGAGAGCGAACAAAUGGUUGCUGAUUACUACUCAAAACAUGCUAUUUUGUAGCUUGUAAUUAGCUCUUUUAAACACCAUUGAGUAGUAAUUAUUACCUUUUAACCCAAUUAGUAUGUUAGGAGCCCUUGCAAUCGUUUCUAACAAUUGUGUUAAGUUUUGGUGCUUUUUGAUAGCUUUAUGCUCACCAAAGCAAUUUAAGAAUGAGGGAGAGCUAUUUAUAGUUCAGGGCAAAGCUUUUGAAAGCUUAAAUUUAUGAAGAAAUCAAGCUAUGGAGCCUCAUAAUCCUUUGCCUUAAUCGUUCAAAGUUUACAAGGGAGAAACAAUGGAGAAGAAGAAAACAGGGGAUGAAAACAGGGGACACAACUGCAGUCUUUUAGUGCACUUACCAAAGUCCAUUCUUUACAUUCUAUAUACCAUUUCGAAGCUCAGAAAGUCAAGAAUCUAAUGGUCCAAACCACGUAUGAUUUGGAGCUGAAAUGAGGAAGAUAUGGACUUCGGAAGACAACUGCAUCAAGCUGAGCGAAAAUUUCGCACACCUCAAAACCAAGGUGCGAAAUCCUCAGUCCACUGUGCGAGAAUUUCGCACACCUCAAACCAAUGUGCGAAAUUGGAACUCAGCGUGCGAAAAUUGGAUAUUUUUGCCGACUCUUUUUCUUCUGAUAUUUUUGUGUCUAAAUUUCCAUUUUCUCCUUGUAUUCAACCAACCAUGUAAUUCCUUAGCUAGGAAGUAGCCAAGGAAGGGUAAAACUACCUUCCUAUAUAAAUUCUCUUGUAAUCACUGAAAAGAAAUGAUCUUCGGAGCUUUUCUCCAGGAGACCAACUAAUGUAACCUUGAUACUUAGUGAAAUACAAGGAUCUCUUUUGCUUUCUUUUUCUCUCUUCUAUUUUCUAUUUUCUUGCAAGCCAAACACCCUCUGAGGAUGUUUUCCCAGAGGAUGAGAGGCUAAACAACAGUUUCUUGGAUUAAAGGAAGCUAGGUGAAAAGUCCAGAUUAAAAGGUGGAAAGUUUCCGUGCAUUAAAUUCAGGUAGUUGGAGUCCAUAAAUGGUUUUUAAAGCCAAGGUUUUGCCUUAAAUCCCUUUGAAUCACUUUGACUGGCCAAUACAUGGUAAGCUUAAGGUCUCUGUGGAUGCUUAUUGCUAGAUCCAUAUCAGUCCAUUAGUUAUCAUGUACGAGCCAUUGGAAAGUGAUUCAAGGUGAUAGCCCAUAGUGUCUUAAGCCAUUAAUGGAUCUUGACUACCAUCUCUAGUGACUUUUUAUGGAUUAAAACUUCAUUGUCAAACCUAUACCGGUUCGGGAAAUAACUAUAGGUUAAAUCCCCAAUGCGAGGAGAAAAAUCCGGAAUUUUCCACUUUGCAUCUGGAACUUGAACCUAGCAACCUUUAGCUCCGGGAGACUUUCUUUCUUACACUUUUUACUUAGUUCUAUGUGAGUUUAGUUUAAAUCACCACUUUCAAAACAAUUUUAUUUUCUUUUAAACUUCAAGUUUGUGCUAAAGGAAAUCAUCAGAAUCAAUUUCUAAUUUAGAGUCUGUCAUUGGUAGAGUGAAAACCCAUCCCUGAGUUCGACCCUAGAACUGCUAUACUAUAGUAGCUUUGCUACUCCAGUAUAAGGUCAUAGGUUUUAUAAAUAUUUUUGAUUAAAAGAUCCGGCUGGGAAGUCAAGCGAAGAAUCAAAUGGCGCCGUUGCCGGGGAUGGUGCCACAAUACAGUGAUACAACCUUUUAGAGGCUACUUGUGAUUUUUAUCACAAGUUAGGUGAAUUCCUUUUUCACUAAUUUCAUUUUCUUUCAUUUCCCUGUUGUUAAUUUUAUUUUCAUUUUCUUCCUAACUUUAACCUUUUUUCUAGAUUCCUUUUGUUUUUGUUGUUUUUGUCUUAUUUCAGGUAUUGUAACUUGUGUAUGCCCUAUUGGAUUAGGGACCAAGAGGGAAGAUUAGUAAGGAUUGAGAAUCCUCAAGACACAGAGUUGGAUAUCUGUGUAAAUAUCAUGGACCCUCCACCAGAGGAUCAGAAUUCUCAACAAGGUCAAGGGGGUAAUCCUAAUGCAUACCUAUCCAUGAGGGAUAGAAUGCAUCCCCCAAGGAUGAGUGCACCCUCAUGCAUCCUGCCCCCUCUUGAGCAGUUAGUUAUAAGACCCCAUAUUGUACCCCUCCUACCAACUUUCCAUGGAAUGGAGAGUGAGAAUCCAUAUGCUCACAUUAAGGAGUUUGAGGAGGUAUGUAAUACUUUUAGAGAGGGAGGAGCUUCAAUAGACUUGAUGAGACNNNNNNNNNNNNNNNNNNNNNNNNNNNNNNNNNNNNNNNNNNNNNNNNNNNNNNNNNNNNNNNNNNNNNNNNNNNNNNNNNNNNNNNNNNNNNNNNNNNNNNNNNNNNNNNNNNNNNNNNNNNNNNNNNNNNNNNNNNNNNNNNNNNNNNNNNNNNNNNNNNNNNNNNNNNNNNNNNNNNNNNNNNNNNNNNNNNNNNNNNNNNNNNNNNNNNNNNNNNNNNNNNNNNNNNNNNNNNNNNNNNNNNNNNNNNNNNNNNNNNNNNNNNNNNNNNNNNNNNNNNNNNNNNNNNNNNNNNNNNNNNNNNNNNNNNNNNNNNNNNNNNNNNNNNNNNNNNNNNNNNNNNNNNNNNNNNNNNNNNNNNNNNNNNNNNNNNNNNNNNNNNNNNNNNNNNNNNNNNNNNNNNNNNNNNNNNNNNNNNNNNNNNNNNNNNNNNNNNNNNNNNNNNNNNNNNNNNNNNNNNNNNNNNNNNNNNNNNNNNNNNNNNNNNNNNNNNNNNNNNNNNNNNNNNNNNNNNNNNNNNNNNNNNNNNNNNNNNNNNNNNNNNNNNNNNNNNNNNNNNNNNNNNNNNNNNNNNNNNNAAGAAGAGAAGAGUGGGAAGAAAAGUGCAUCCAAAUCAAGCAUUGAGGAAGAACCAAGGAUAGUGAUUAAGGAGGAUAUGAUGAAGAAACAUAUGCCUCCCCCUUUUCCUCAAACUUUACAUGGAAAGAAAGAAGUCAAGAAUUCAUCAGAAAUUCUUGAAGUGCUGAGACAAGUGAAGGUGAAUAUACCUUUACUUGAUAUGAUCAAGCAAGUCCCCACAUAUGCAAAGUUUCUAAAGGACUUGUGCACAGUCAAGAGAGGUUUACAGGUGACAAAGAAUGCAUUCCUCACUGAGCAAGUAAGUGCUAUCAUCCAGAGUAAGUCCCCAGUUAAGUAUAAAGAUCCGGGAUGUCCCACCAUAUCAGUCAACAUUGGAGGGACACAUGUGGAAAAAGCUUUAUUAGAUUUGGGAGCAAGUGUGAAUUUGCUCCCAUACUCUGUUUAUAAACAACUGGGACUGGGAGGAUUAAAGCCUACAACCAUGACUCUCUCUUUAGCUGAUAGGUCAGUCAAAAUCCCAAGGGGUGUGAUAGAGGAUGUUCUAGUUCAAGUGGACAAAUUCUACUAUCCUGUGGAUUUUGUGGUGCUUGAUACUGAUUCCUCUGUCAAAGAAGAAAAUUAUGUGCCAAUCAUCCUAGGGAGACCUUUUCUAGCUACCUCAAAUGCCAUCGUUAACUAUAGGAAUGGGGUGAUGCAGCUCACAUUUGGAAACAUGACUUUGGAAGUAAACAUAUUCCACUUAUGUAAGAGGCAUCUUUACCCUGAAGAGGAAGAAGGAUUUGAGGAAGUAUGCUUGAUCAACACUUUGGUUGAAGAGCACUGUGACAAGAGUUUAGAGGAGAGCUUGAAUGAAAACCUGGAAGUCCUUGAAGAUGGGUUCCCUGAACCCUCUGAUGUGCUAGCCAUUAUGUCUCCUUGGAGGAGACGGGAAGAGAUCUUACCACUGUUCAACCAUGAAGACUCUGAAGGAGUUGCUGUGGAGGACCCUCCAAAGCUUAUUUUAAAGCCACUUCCUGUGGAGUUGAAGUAUGCAUACUUGGAGGAUGAUGAAAAAUGUCCAGUAGUGGUUGCCUCAACCCUCACUAGUGAUCAAGAGGAUAGUCUUUUAGGAGUCCUCAGAAAAUGUAAGAAAGCCAUUGGAUGGCAAAUUUCUGAUCUGAAAGGGAUUAGCCCUUUGGUGUGCACCCAUCAUAUUUAUAUGGAGGAUGAUGCAAAACCAGUGAGGCAACCCCAAAGGAGACUGAAUCCUCACAUGCAAGAGGUGGUGAGGAGUGAAGUUUUGAAGCUACUUCAAGCUGGGAUCAUCUAUCCCAUUUCAGACAGCUUGUGGGUGAGUCCCACCCAAGUAGUCCCAAAGAAAUCUGGAAUCACUGUGAUCCAGAAUGAGAAAGGGGAAGAAGUCUCUACACGUCCUACUUCAGGAUGGAGGGUGUGUAUAGACUAUAGGAGGUUGAAUUCAGUAACUAGGAAGGACCAUUUUCCACUGCCUUUCAUGGACCAAGUCCUUGAGAGAGUCUCAGGACAUCCUUUCUAUUGUUUUCUAGAUGGUUAUUCAGGGUACUUCCAAAUAGAAAUUGAUUUGGAAGAUCAAGAGAAAACAACCUUCACUUGUCCCUUUGGUACUUUUGCAUAUAGGAGAAUGCCCUUUGGUCUAUGUAAUGCUCCUGCAACUUUCCAAAGAUGCAUGCUAAGCAUCUUCAGUGAUAUGGUAGAACGCAUCAUGGAAGUUUUCAUGGAUGACAUCACUGUAUAUGGAAGUUCUUAUGGGGAGUGUUUGAUGCAUUUAGAAGCUGUUCUCCAUAGAUGUAUUGAGAAAGACCUAGUGCUAAAUUGGGAGAAGUGCCAUUUUAUGGUACAAAAAGGAAUUGUCUUAGGACAUAUCAUCUCCAAAAAUGGCAUUGAGGUAGAUAAGGCAAAGGUGGAACUUAUUGUUAAGUUGCCACCUCCCACAAAUGUUAAAGGAAUUAGGCAAUUCCUUGGACAUGCAGGAUUCUACAGGAGGUUUAUUAAGGAUUUCUCAAAAAUCUCAAAACCUCUGUGUGAGCUUUUGGUAAAGGAUGCCAAGUUUGUGUGGGAUGAGAAGUGUCAGAGAAGUUUUGAGGAAUUGAAGCAAUUCCUCACAACUGCACCAAUAGUGAGAGCCCUAAAUUGGAAAUUACCUUUUGAGGUAAUGUGUGAUUCAAGUGAUCUUGCUAUGGGGGCUGUUUUAGGGCAAAGAGAAGAUGGAAAGCCCUAUGUGAUUUAUUAUGCAAGCAGAACUUUGAAUGAGGCUCAAAAGAACUACACAACUACUGAGAAGGAGUUGUUGGCUGUAGUUUUUGCCUUGGAUAAGUUUCGUGCUUAUUUGGUAGGGUCCUCUAUAGUAGUGUUCACUGACCAUUCUGCUUUGAAGUACUUGCUAACCAAGCAGGAUGCCAAGGCAAGAUUGAUAAGAUGGAUUCUUUUGCUCCAAGAAUUCAAUCUCCAAAUCAGGGAUAAAAAGGGGGUAGAAAAUGUGGUAGCUGACCACUUGUCCAGACUAGUGAUAUCACAUGACUCACAUGGUCUACCUAUCAAUGAUGACUUCCCUGAGGAGUCUCUCAUGUCAGUAGAUUUAGCUCCAUGGUAUUCUCACAUUGCAAACUUUUUGGUUACUGGAGAAGUACCAAGUGAGUGGAGUGCUCAAGACAAGAGGCAUUUCUUGGCUAAGAUCCAUGCCUAUUAUUGGGAGGAACCUUUUCUUUUCAAAUAUUGUGCAGAUCAAAUUAUAAGGAAAUGUGUUCCUGAGCAAGAGCAAUCGGGAAUUCUUUCCCAUUGCCAUGAUAAUGCAUGUGGAGGUCAUUUUGCCUCCCAGAAAACAGCUAUGAAAGUGAUCCAAUCAGGCUUCUGGUGGCCCUCUCUUUUCAAGGAUGCCCAUUCUAUGUGUAAGGCAUGUGAUCGGUGUCAAAGGCUUGGUAAGCUAACACGCCGAAAUAUGAUGCCCUUGAACCCCAUUUUAAUAGUGGAUAUCUUUGAUGUCUGGGGUAUAGACUUCAUGGGACCAUUUCCAAUGUCGUUUGGACAUUCCUACAUCUUGGUAGGAGUGGAUUAUGUCUCUAAGUGGGUAGAGGCAAUCCCAUGUAGGAGCAAUGAUCAUAAAGUGGUACUUAAAUUCCUCAAGGACAACAUCUUUGCAAGAUUUGGAGUGCCAAAGGCCAUUAUAAGUGACGGGGGAACCCACUUUUGCAAUAAAACUUUUGAGACUCUUCUAGCCAAGUAUGGGGUUAAGCAUAAGGUAGCUACACCUUAUCACCCUCAAACUAGUGGCCAAGUUGAGUUAGCCAACCGUGAGAUCAAGAAUAUAUUGAUGAAGGUGGUCAAUGUGAAUAGGAAGGAUUGGUCUAUCAAGCUCCUGGAUUCCUUAUGGGCUUAUAGGACCGCUUACAAGACCAUUCUAGGAAUGUCUCCCUAUCGCCUUGUUUAUGGCAAAGCGUGUCACCUUCCAGUGGAAAUUGAGUAUAAAGCAUGGUGGGCAAUCAAAAAUCUCAACAUGGAUUUGUCAAGAGCCGGGUUAAAGAGAUGUUUAGAUUUGAAUGAAUUAGAGGAAUUGAGGAAUGAUGCAUACCUCAAUUCAAAAAUUGCAAAAGCAAGAUUGAAAAAAUGGCAUGAUCAGUUGGUAAAUCAGAAGAAUUUUACCAAAGGACAAAAAGUUUUGCUUUAUGACUCUAAACUUCAUCUCUUUCCAGGAAAGUUGAAAUCCAGGUGGACGGGUCCUUUCAUAAUUCAUGAAGUGCAUCCCAACGGAGUGGUGGAAAUACUCAAUCCCACAGGCAAUCAAACCUUCAAAGUCAAUGGCCAUCGUCUCAAGCCAUUCUUAGAGCCUUACAGUACAGACAAGGAGGAGAUCCACCUCCUUGAACCACCACAACUUUGAGGAAAAACAGGGUAUCAUGGGCUAAAGAAGUCCAUGAAUUUUUUGUUAUAGUUUUAUAGUUAUAUUAGUAUUUUUAUUUCUUUAUAUUUUAAUUUUCUCCUAAUCUUAGUUUAUAUUGUCUUAAUUCAAGUUAAUUUUGAUGAUAAAUUUUAGAAAAAAAUCAUGAAAGAUGGGGAGAGCUCGUCAAAAGCAGCCAAGGGGAGAAAAACCAAGGAAACAGAGCACCUAAUUUCAAGGUGCCAAAUUUUCGCACACCUGAUUUCAAGGUGCGAAAAUUUCGCACACCCAAAACCAAGGUGCGAAAUCCUUGGGCCAAAAGAAGCCAUUUUCGCACACCCCUACCUCAAGGUGCGAAAUCCCUUUUCAAGGUGCGAAUUUCCUAAAAUCCAAUUUCGCACACCACUGUGGAAGGUGCGAAAAUUUUCGCACUGUGCGAAAUCCUCUCCUGGCACACGUGUGCCAAUUUCGCACACCUCAAGCUGAUUUUCGCACUGUGCGAAAUAGUGUGCGAAAAUUUCGCACACCACUAUUCAAGGUGCGAAAAUUUAGCACACCUCUUUUUAACGUGCGAAAUCAUCAGCCAAAGGGGUGCCAUUUUCGCACACUCAAUUCCAAGGUGCGAAAUUUACAGGCCAAGGUGCGAAAAUUUCGCACGGUAAAAUUUUAACUUCUAAAAAUUUAAAACCGACUUUUAAAUUAAAAUUUUACCCCCGAAAUUGUGCCUAACGUCCAAAAACGACUUUUCGGUUGCCUUGGAAAAUUUUAAAAGAUCAGAAACCCCUUAAACCUCAUUCCUAUAUAAACCCCUGAAGUCCAGAAGCUCAAAGGACUCUCCUAAGCACCAGUUGAAAAACCUCUGGAAUCCCGAAAACCCAUCUCCCUUCAUUUCGGCCAUGGCAAAGACCAGAGGAGGCCAUUCCGCCUCCCAGUCCUCACCGACACCUCGACCACAGCGAGCCACCAUGGGAGCCGUGCCUUCACCUCCUGUUCAGGCCCCGGCCAUUCCCCCAUCUGAGGGGGAAGUUCCUUCUCAGCGCCGGUACCCCACUCGGAGGCCACCCACGGAACCUGUGCCUCCACCCGAACAGGCCACGAGCCCUGUUUCUCGGCCCCCUGUGAAAAGGUCCAGGUUCUCUGGUCCUGGAGAGCCAUCCCACGCACCUCAGCCAGAGCCAGCUACAGAGGAACCUCGGAUUCCAGUGGACAUGCCUCCCGAGGCCAUUAUUAGGCGUCCCAUGAUAGCCGGACCACCGAUUGAGGGUAACUUGGAUUGCAGAGAUCAACCCUUCCAUUCCGAGACCUACUUUGAUAUAGAGGCCCUCAGACAGCAGCCAGAGCUCAGAGAUUCAUUCCGACUGCUGCAGAGGUAUCACAUGGAGUCCUUUCUCACUCCUAGGCAAUUCUACUAUCCCAGAGUAGUUAUUGAUUUUUAUCAAUCUAUGACUACUCGAGGUCUCCGCAAUCCUACCCUCAUCCAGUUUACUAUAGACGGACGUCAGGGUGCCAUUGGAGCUCGUCACAUUGCUGAGGCCCUCCAUAUACCUUAUGAGCCCGUAUUUCAGGCAGAUUUCAGGGAGUGGUCCUCAUUUUCUCAGAGCGACAUGGUCCGCAUUUUGUCCAGGGGGACUUCUACAGCCUCGGUAUUGACUAGGAGAGAGCUUCCAUCUGGGAUGCUCCUCAUUGAUGUGCUCCUGCGUGCCAACCUAUUCCCCCUUCAGCAUAAAGUUCAGAGGAGAUGAGCUAUACUUGAGGCAUUAUUCAGGAUUUCUGAGGGCUAUUUCUUCGGCCCUCAUCAUUUGAUUAUGACUUCUCUUCUUCAUUUUGAAGAAAAAGUCCAUCAGAAGAAGCUGCAGAGGGCAGAUGGCAUCCCAUUACUUUUUCCGAGGCUCCUCUGCCAGAUUUUAGAGCACUUGGGCUAUCCUGAAGAGCCCCGUCUUGAGAGGCGCCGCCAUUGCCGAGAGGACUUCUCUCUCGACAAAUGGCAUCACUUGGUAGCCUACUUUGCACCUCAGGGAGCCCCAGCUGUACAUGCACCUCCAGAGCUACCCCGAGAUGAGCAGAUACCUCAAGCCCCGCAGGAUGAGAUUCUCACAGAGACACCACCUCCUGCCCCUGCAGCACAUCCCUCAGAGCAUAUUCCUGAGCCUGUACAUCCUAUUUCUCCUAUCACUCAGGGUGCUCCACCAGUCGCGCCAGCUACCCCAGCACCUCCUCCUCCAUCUGAGCCCACUGUCACCAUUUCUCUUACGGAAUUCAGAGGCUUAGAGCGUUCAUUGCGGACACUGAGCACUGCUCAGGAUUCUAUUAUCCACCAGAUGGCCACUAUUCGGGCACACCAGGAUCAGAUCAUUGCUACUCAGGCCCAGCAUACCACGAUCCUUCAUCAGAUUCAGCAGCAUCUGAGUAUGCAGACCCCUCAUGGGUAUGAUAGGUCUGCACCAUCCGAGCCUCUAGUGCCAGAUGAGGAGAGCUUGCCAGCUGAGCAGCCUAUACCAGAGGAGGAGAUCAGAGCAGAGCCAUCACAUGACCCCACUCAUAUCUGAUCUUUUUAUGUUUUACUUGUUUUUAUUUUAGACUUGUAAAUCCCAUCUUUUGCAUGUGUUAUAAAUUGGGAUUGGAAGUAUUACUUGAAAUCAUACAUUGUAUAUUUCUUUUACAAGUAAUAUAUAUAUAUAUAUAUAUAUAUAUAUAUAUAUAUAUAUAUAUAUAUAUAUAUAUAUAUAUCCUUUUUGAUUAUAUUCCCUUUUCUCAUUACUCUUUUGUCCUUGGAACAUGUGGUUUAAGGUACUCCAUACCUCCUUUACACUCAGACUUUGUCUCACUCAGGAGGUACCACUUCCUCCCUUUAUUUUUAAUCACUUUUGAAACAUUGGGGACAAUGUUCAACUUGGUUGGGGGGGGGGGGGGGGGGAGAAUUAAGAAAGGAAGUUUUGUUGUCAAUAUUAAGUUAUUUUGGUAUUUUAGUUAAUUUUUGCUUAAAUUUUAAAUUUUUUAAAAGUUUUUUGAAUCAUUCUCUCUGGUUGUUAAAGAUAAUUUCUCAAAAAUAAAAUAGGAUAAGUCGAGUUUUAACUUAAUUAUUUAAGUCUUAGAGUUUGUUUUAUGCUUUCAAAGUUGAUAAUCUAUUGAAGCCUCUUUGAUUUUGAACUUUCUUCUUCCAUUUCGAGCUUUUACACACACUGUGCACAUUAGAUCCCGGAUAUAAGAUGUAAAACUUUCUCACUUUCUAAGCUUAGGAAAAUUUUGACUUGGUUUAUUACUUAACCUCUUUUUAAUAGUGUUGGGACACCUCAUAAAGACCAAUGAGUCUUAGAAAAAGACCAAUGAGUCUUAGAAAAAGACCAAUGAGUCUUAGAAGAAGAAAAAGAGAAUAAGCUUCUAUUCUUUCCUUGAAACCUAAGUAUGAUCCGAAGGGGUGGCGAAAGCCUUUAAAACCCGAUGCCCUAAACCUUGAUUGGUUGGGAGUCAUCGAUCCUCUGCUUGCUACAUAGGUGAAUUGGUUAAGUUUAGUAAGUAAAAAGAAUUGUGAAUAAGAAGGUGUGUUCUGAACCUAUUAAGAGUUGGUUAAUGUUGCCAAUAUCCGAGAAAAGCUUAGGUUGGAGGGUGAGGAUAGUUGUAUAUACUAUAUCCGGAAGCUAAUUUCAUUAACACUUAGCUUAUUAUGGAAGAGUUUGAUUUGAAACCUUGAGAGUAGAGAUUCUUUUGAUACUUAAUUGCAUAAUCUCCACUCUUUGUACUUUUUGUUUAAGUUUAAGCUUUGAUAACUCCUAUUGCAUUUUUAAUCUUCAUAUCUUUAGUUCACCAGGUGAGAUGUGUUUGGAUAUCAGUCAUGCCACUCAAUUAUUUUUUGGAAUGAAUUGCAUGACCUCUUUUAUAUAUUUUAUUACGUUUGCUUAGUUUUUCUCUCCUUAAUUGCUAAGGGACUAGCAAUAUGUCGGUUGGGGGGAGUGAUUACUACUCAAAACAUGCUAUUUUGUAGCUUGUAAUUAGCUCUUUUAAACACCAUUGAGUAGUAAUUAUUACCUUUUAACCCAAUUAGUAUGUUAGGAGCCCUUGCAAUCGUUUCUAACAAUUGUGUUAAGUUUUGGUGCUUUUUGAUAGCUUUAUGCUCACCAAAGCAAUUUAAGAAUGAGGGAGAGCUAUUUAUAGUUCAGGGCAAAGCUUUUGAAAGCUUAAAUUUAUGAAGAAAUCAAGCUAUGGAGCCUCAUAAUCCUUUGCCUUAAUCGUUCAAAGUUUACAAGGGAGAAACAAUGGAGAAGAAGAAAACAGGGGAUGAAAAUAGGGGACACAGCUGCAGUCUUUUAGUGCACUUUUGGAGCACUUACCAAAGUCCAUUCUUUACAUUCUAUAUACCAUUUCGAAGCUCAGAAAGUCAAGAAUCCAAUGGUCCAAACCACGUAUGAUUUGGAGCUGAAAUGAGGAAGAUAUGGACUUCGGAAGACAACUGCAUCAAGCUGAGCGAAAAUUUCGCACACCUCAAAACCAAGGUGCGAAAUCCUCAGUCCACUGUGCGAGAAUUUCGCACACCUCAAACCAAUGUGCAAAAUUGGAACUCAGCGUGCGAAAAUUGGAUAUUUUUGCCGACUCUUUUUCUUCUGAUAUUUUUGUGUCUAAAUUUCCAUUUUCUCCUUGUAUUCAACCAAUCAUGUAAUUCCUUAGCUAGGAAGUAGCCAAGGAAGGGUAAAACUACCUUCCUAUAUAAAUUCUCUUGUAAUCACUGAAAAGAAAUGAUCUUCGGAGCUUUUCUCCAGGAGACCAACUAAUGUAACCUUGAUACUUAGUGAAAUACAAGGAUCUCUUUUGCUUUCUUUUUCUCUCUUCUAUUUUCUAUUUUCUUGCAAGCCAAACACCCUCUGAGGAUGUUUUCCCAGAGGAUGAGAGGCUAAACAACAGUUUCUUGGAUUAAAGGAAGCUAGGUGAAAAGUCCAGAUUAAAAGGUGGAAAGUUUCCGUGCAUUAAAUUCAGGUAGUUAGAGUCCAUAAAUGGUUUUUAAAGCCAAGGUUUUGCCUUAAAUCCCUUUGAAUCACUUUGACUGGCCAAUACAUGGUAAGCUUAAGGUCUCUGUGGAUGCUUAUUGCUAGAUCCAUAUCAGUCCAUUAGUUAUCAUGUACGAGCCAUUGGAAAGUGAUUCAAGGUGAUAGCCCAUAGUGUCUUAAGCCAUUAAUGGAUCUUGACUACCAUCUCUAGUGACUUUUUAUGGAUUAGAACUUCAUUGUCAAACCUAUACCGGUUUGGGAAAUAACUAUAGGUUAAAUCCCCAAUGCGAGGAGAAAAAUCCGGAAUUUUCCACUUUGCAUCUGGAACUUGAACCUAGCAACCUUUAGCUCCGGGAGACUUUCUUUCUUACACUUUUUACUUAGUUCUAUGUGAGUUUAGUUUAAAUCACCACUUUCAAAACAAUUUUAUUUUCUUUUAAACUUCAAGUUUGUGCUAAAGGAAAUCAUCAGAAUCAAUUUCUAAUUUAGAGUCUGUCAUUGGUAGAGUGAAAACCCAUCCCUGAGUUCGACCCUAGAACUGCUAUACUAUAGUAGCUUUGCUACUCCAGUAUAAGGUCAUAGGUUUUAUAAAUAUUUUUGAUUAAAAGAUCCGGCUGGGAAGUCAAGCGAAGAAUCAGUUGCUCUAGUGUUCUUCCUUUCUGAACCCUUUUGGCAGCUUAAAUGACCAAUUUUUAUAUAAAAAAUAAAGUAAUAUCAAGGGUCGUUUUCGUAGCCCAUUUCGCAGCUGCAAAAUGGGGAGAACUGUGUUGCGAAAUGGCACUCGUGUGCCAAGAGGGUGCUUCACAGCUGUGAAAUUUUUCGUAGAGAGGGGUCUGAGGUUGCGAAAUGAUUUCGCAACAAAGUGGCGAUUUCGCAGAGGCUUCUUUUAGGUUGCGAAAUCUUGCAGACCUCUGCUUUUCCCCUGUUUUACACUCUUUAUUGCGCCAUACGACUUUCCUUUAAUUUUUUUUGCAAUUCCUCCUACAUAACAUCAUUCAAAAAGACUAAGUUACAUAUAAAUACACAACUUAAAAUCAAAAAUUAAAAUCAAAAGAAUUGAUAAAGCUUUGAAAUUAACAAAAUUAACAAAAACAAAACAAAAAAAAUUAUGGACUUUGGUGAAACCAAGCCCAUCUAACCCUUUUAUGAUUAGGCUUUCUAUGGCUCAAGGAGGUUGAUUUCCUCCUUUUCUGGUUUGAAUGGCUCAAUGAAUGGCUUGAGACGAUGACCAUUGACCUUGAAAAUGUCAGUGCUUUUGGAAUUCAGUAAUUCCACCACUCCAUUGGGUUGCACUUGGUGAAUAAUGAAAGGGUCUAUCCACCUUGACUUGAGCUUCCCUGGAAAGACAUGGAGUCUUGAAUCAUAAAGCAAGACUCUUUGUCCUUUAUGGAAUUCUUUGUUGGAGAUUAAUUGAUCAUGCCAUCUCUUCAUCCUCUGUUUUGCAACUUCGGAAUUGAUGUAAGCAUCAUUUCUUAAUUCCUCCAUCUCAUUAAGGUCUAAGCACCUUUUUGCCCCAGCUCUGAUCAAGUCCAUGUUCAACUUUUUGAUUGCCCACCAAGCUUUAUAUUCAACUUCCACAGGGAGAUGGCAUGCUUUGCCAUAGACUAGGCAAUAAGGAGACAUACCAAGAAUAGUCUUGUAAGCUGUUCUGUAUGCCCAUAGCGAAUCAUGAAGCUUAAUAGACCAAUCUUUUCUGCUCAUGAUCACCACCUUCAUCAAUAUAUUCUUGAUUUCCCUAUUUGCUAGCUCCACUUGCCCGGAAGUUUGAGGAUGAUAAGGCGUAGCUACCUUAUGCUUCACUCCAUACUUGGCUAAUAGGGUUUCAAAAGGUUUGUUGCAAAAAUGAGUACCUCCAUCACUGAUUAUGGCCUUGGGCACCCCAAAUAUUGAGAAGAUGUUCUCCUUAAGAAAUUUGAGAACCACCCUGUGAUCAUUAUGUUUACAAGGAAUUGCCUCGACCCAUUUAGAAACAUAGUCCACCCCCACCAAGAUAUAAAAGUUACCAAAAGACAUUGGGAAAGGUCCCAUGAAGUCAAUACCCCAAACAUCAAAUAGAUCAACUAUUAGAAUGGGGUUCAUAGGCAUUUGAUUACUUUUUGUAAACUUCCCAAGCCUUUGGCAUCUAUCACAACUCCUACACAUGAUGUGGGCAUCUUUGAAAAGCGAUGGCCAAGUAAACCCUGAUUGCAACACCUUCAUGGCUAUUUUCUGAGAGGCAAAGUGGCCUCCACCUGCAUUUUCAUGGCAAUGGCUGAGGAUCCCUUGUUGCUCUUCUUUAGGGACACACUUUCUUAUGAUCUGAUCUGCACAAUACUUGAAAAGGAAAGGCUUUUCCCAAUAAUAAGCAUGAAUUUUUGCAAAGAAGUGCUUCCUGUCUUGUGCAUUCCACUCACUUGGAACUUCACCAGUAACUAAAUAGUUAGCGAUAUGAGCAUACCAAGGAGCUUUCUCUAGCAACAUAAGUGAUUCCUCAGGAAAGUCAUCAUUAAUAGGUAAGACAUGAGAAUUAUGUGCUAUAACUAACCUUGACAGGUGGUCAGCUACCACAUUCUCCACCCCUUUCUUGUCUCUGAUUUGGAGAUCGAACUCUUGUAACAAAAGAAUCCAUCUAAUCAACCUUAAUUUUGCAUCUUGCUUUGUCAAUAAAUACUUCAAGGCUGAAUGGUCAGUGAAAACAAUGAUGAAAGACCCUACCAAAUAAGCACGAAAUUUGUCUAAGGCAAACACCACAGCUAACAAUUCUUUCUCUGUAGUUGUGUAGUUUCUUUGAGCCUCAUUCAAUGUUUUGCUUGCAUAGUAGAUCACAUAGGGCUUCCCAUCUUCUCUUUGGCCAAGUACAGCUCCUAUAGCAAAGUCACUGGCAUCACACAUUACUUCAAAGGGUAAUUGCCAGUUAGGAGCCCUCACUAUUGGAGCGGUUGUUAAGAAUUGCUUUAGUUGAUCAAAGCUCUUUUGACAUCUUUCAUCCCAUAUAAACUUAGCAUCCUUAGCCAAAAGCUCACAAAGAGGUUUUGAAAGAUUAGAGAAAUCUUUUAUAAAUCUCCUAUAGAACCCUGCAUGGCCAAGAAAUUGUCUUACUUUGUUCAUAGUUGUUGGGGAUGGCAAUUUGACAAUAAGCUUCACCUUUGCUUUAUCAACUUCAAUGCCUUUCUUGGAGAUGAUAUGGCCAAGGACAAUUCCUUGACGUACCAUAAAAUGGCAUUUCUUCCAGUUGAGCACCAAGUAUUUUUCAAUGCAUCUAUUAAGAACUGCUUCCAAAUUGACUAAGCAUUCCUCAUAUGUACCUCCAUAUAUGGUAAUGUCAUCCAUGAAAACCUCCAUAAUUCGCUCCACCAUAUCACUGAAAAUACUAAGCAUACAUCUUUGGAAUGUUGCAGGUGCAUUGCAUAAACCAAAAGACAUUCUUCUGUAAGCAAAUGUUCCAAAUGGACAUGUGAAAGUGGUCUUCUCCUGAUCUUCCACAACAAUUUCAAUUUGAAAAUAUCCGAAGUACCCGUCCAAGAAACAAUAAAAAGGAUGGCCAGAGACUCUCUCCAGCACCUAAUCAAUAAACGGCAAUGGAAAAUGAUAUUUCCUUGUCACAGCAUUCAACUUCCGAUAAUCAAUACACACCCUCCAACCUGAAGUGAGGCGUGUAGCAAUUUCUUCUCCUUUUUCAUUCUGAACCAUAGUAAUCCCUGACUUCUUUGGUACCACUUGAGUAGGGCUCACCCAAGGGCUGUCAGAUAUGGGAUAAAUAAUACCUGCUUGAAGUAGCUUCAGCACUUUAGCUCGCACCACCUCUUGCAAAUGAGGAUUCAAUCUUCUUUGAGGUUGACGAAUUGGUUUAGCUUCUUCCUCCAUAUAAAUGUGAUGUGUACAAACCAAAGGACUGAUUCCUUUCAAGUCAGAGAUUUGCCAUCCUAUUGCUUUCUUACACCUCUUGAGAACUUCAAGUAAACAGUUCUCCUGAUGAUUAGUAAGAGAUGAAGAUAUAACAAUAGGACAUUGAUUAUUUUCUUCAAGGUAUGUAUAUUUCAGCUCCAUGGGCAGAGACUUCAGAUUGAGCUUUGGGGUCUCUUCUUGAGCAGCUUCUCCUUCCUCUUUAUUGAACAAAGGUAGAAUCUCUUCUCUUCUCCUCCAACCUUGUAGAGUAGCAAGCACUUCAGGGGGUUCAGACAACCCUUCUUCAAGAUCCCCAAGACUUUCAUUCAGCUCGUCUUAUAUAUUCUGAUUACAAUGCUCCUCCACUAGAGCGUCAAUAAUGCAUACCUCUUCUGGACCUUCUUCUUCUUCCGAAGUGAUUUGCUUUUUAGACAUAUGAAAAAUGUUGAGUUCAAGUGUCAUGUUGCCAAAAGUGAGUUGCAUGAGUCCAUUCCUACAAUUGAUGAUUGCAUUCGAGGUAGCAAGAAAUGGUCUUCCAAGGAUGAUAGGAACUGAAUUAGCUUCCUUUACAGUAGGAUCCGUAUCAAGAACAACAAAAUCUAAUGGAUAGUAGAAAUUAUCAACUUGAACUAAGACAUCCUCAAUUACCCCCCUUAGAAUUUUUACUGAUCUAUCUACUAGAGAUAGAAUGAUUGAUGUUGGCUUCAAUUCACCAAGUCCCAAUUGCUUGUAGACAGAGUAUGGUAGCAAAUUCACACUUGCUCCCAAGUCUAACAAAGCUUUCUCCACUACCUUUCCUCCAAUCAUGAUUGAAAUGGUAGGACAUCCCGGAUCUUUGUACUUCAAAGGAGACUUGCAUUGUAUGAUUGCACUUACUUGCUCAGUCAAGAAGGCUUUCUUAUUCACAUUCAACCCUUUUUUGAUAGUACACAAGUCUUUUAGGAAUUUCGCAUAUGUUGGAACUUGCUUAAUCAUAUCUAGUAGUGGGAUAUUGACUUUCACUUGCCUCAAUACUUCAAGGAUUUCAGAUGCAUUUUUUAUCCCCUUUUUCCCAUGCAAAGCUUGAGGAAAAGGUGGAGAUGUGUGUUUCUUCAUCAAUUCUUCCUUAAUAAGGUCUUUCUCCGGAUUUAUAUUUAUUGUUGAAUCACGAUCCUCCUUCUCUUCACUGACAUUUUUCUUCUUUCCUUUCAUUUCCUCCCCCUUCUUUGUUUCUUCUUCAACAUCAACAUGUGGCUUGGGUGUUGGUGGCUCAACCUUCUUACCACUCCUUAGAGUGAUCAAGGCUUUAACAUCUUUCACCUAUGACGAUUCUCCAUCAUGGAUUUCCACUUCAUGGAUACCCUUGGGGUUUUGGUGAGGUUGAGAAGGAAAUCUACCCUUCUCUUGCACUGUGUUCAAGUUAGUGAGCCUUGAGAUUGAGUAUUGGAGAUUAUCUAUCUUCUGAGAUAAGUCAUUUUGCAUCCCAUCCAUCCUUUUAUUCAAUGUAUUCUCUACACUGUCAAUUCUUUGACUGAGUUGAGCAUUGAUAGAUUUUUGGUCUCCAACAAAAUCUCCCACAACCUUGUUGAAAUUCACUAUUGCUUGUUGAAGACUUGAAGCUUGUUGAGAUGGUUGAGGCUGUUGGUAUUGAGGUGCUCUUGGCUUCCAUGAAAAAUUUGGAUGGUUCCUCCAACUUNNNNNNNNNNNNNNNNNNNNNNNNNNNNNNNNNNNNNNNNNNNNNNNNNNNNNNNNNNNNNNNNNNNNNNNNNNNNNNNNNNNNNNNNNNNNNNNNNNNNNNNNNNNNNNNNNNNNNNNNNNNNNNNNNNNNNNNNNNNNNNNNNNNNNNNNNNNNNNNNNNNNNNNNNNNNNNNNNNNNNNNNNNNNNNNNNNNNNNNNNNNNNNNNNNNNNNNNNNNNNNNNNNNNNNNNNNNNNNNNNNNNNNNNNNNNNNNNNNNNNNNNNNNNNNNNNNNNNNNNNNNNNNNNNNNNNNNNNNNNNNNNAAUUCCAAUUCCUUGUUAUCAGGUGUUUCACGUUUAACAAGCCUUCCUCCACUAUCUUGUAUCCAAUUUGGCAUACACAACUAGUAUCAACUGCAACAAAAACAAAAACAAAAGAAAACAAAAGAAAAUAAAAAUAUAAAAAGACUUAGAUUAACUAAAACUAAAUUAAAAGAUAUGUUAGAAUAUGAACAAGUAAAAAAAAAAAUUAAAAGAGUUAGUAAAAUGAAAGAAAAAUCACCAAACUUGUAAUGAAAAUCACAAGUAAUAUGAAAUAAUAUCACUGUGAAGUUGGCACCUUCCCUUGCAGCGGCGCCAUUUGAUUCAUUCCCAAUUGGUGUAUCAUGAGUUUAAUCCUCAAACGGGAGUAAUCAACAAAAUUUAUAACCUAUAUCACCAUGCACUAGGAUAGCCUUAGCUAAUAUAGCAUAAUGGCUCUAAGAUCGUUCACUGGGAAGGGUUUUCAACUUACAACUGAUACCAAUUUAAAGUUGAAUUGGUACUUUUUCAUUUCAAGGUUAGCUUAAGAAGAAAACAUAAACUUUGGUUGAAAAAUGAUUUGUUUUAAGCUAACUAAAAAGAAAGUAAUGGGAAUUACUUAUGAAGAAGCGUUCCUUGGAGUUUUAGGUUCAUUGGGGUCAAGCUCCUUAUGCAAAAACAAAGCUCUGGUCACUUGAAUCUUUUCCUCACAUUAGAGAAUUAACAUAUAGUUAAUUCUCUAACCGGUGUUGUACAAAUGUUUCCCUUUAAUGGAUUUCAGCACUAAUUUCCUCUCACUGAUGCAACUUGCAAUGGCUCGUGCCUCUCACCUAGCAUUUGCCAUUCAAGGUGAUCAUUAACCUUGGACUUCCCUUCUCAAGCUCGCAAGAGAUAACUAAUGGAUGUCUCCUUAGAGUCCAAAAGCUUACCAAGUGUUGGCAAUUCUAAAAAAUCCUACCUUCAAGUCACCUCCCAAAGGCUCGCAAGAGAUAAACUAGUGCAUUUCCAUGGACGGAGAUCACUUGCCUUACCAAGUGUUAGCCCAGGUGAAUUGAAUGCGUUUUAAGUUAACUAAAAACAUAGAAAUCAUUAACGGGUCACACUUUCUCUUCAUUAACAGCUGAAACAACAAAACUACCAAUUCUUGCAUUCGGGUCGAUAGAAGCUCCUCCCUCUCGGAAUGUAUUACAAACAUCUUCAAAUUCCUUGAUAUGGGCAUAGGGAUUCUCACUUUCCAUUCCAUAAAAAGUUGGUAGAAGUGGCACAAUAUGGGGUCUGAUCACUAGUUGCUCUGUAGGGGGCACUAUACAUGAUGGUGCACUCAUACGAGGUGGAUGCAUGCGGUCCCUCAUUGAUCUGAAUUCAUUGGGAUUGUCCUGAUGACCAUGGUGACUAUGCUGAUCUUCAGGUGUAGCUUCCAUGAUAUUCAAGGUUAAUUCCAAUUCCUUGUUAUGAGGUGUAUCAAGUUUGACAAGCCUUCUUCCACUAUCUCGUAUCCACUUUGGCAUACACAACUAGUAUCAACUGUAACUAAAAUGAAAAUAAAAGAAAACAAAAGAAAACAGGGCUACCAAAAAAAAAACUAAAAUAGACUAAACUGAAUUUAAAAGAUAUAUUAGAUUAUGAACAAGUAAAGAUACAAUAAAAUAAAAUAAAAAAAUUAGUAAAAUGAAAGAAAAGUUACCAAACUUGGGAUGAAAAUCACAAGUACUCUGAAAUAAUAUCACUAUGAAGUUGACACCUUCCCCAGCAACGGCGCCAUUUGAUUCGUGCCCACUUGGUGUAUCAGCUCAUUCAUGUCCAGCUGGUGCUCCUUGAUUGAGGGAGUAAUCAACAAAAUUUAUAACCUAUUACACCAUGAACUAGGGUAGCAAAGACAAAGCUACUAUAGCAUAGUGGCUCUAGGAUCGUUCACUGGGAAGGGUUUUCAAUUCAUAAAUGAUACCAAUUCAAAGCUGAAUUGGUGCAUUUUCAUUUCAAGGUUAGCUUUAAAAGAAAACAUAAUUUUUGGAUGAAAAAGGUUUAGUUUAAACUAACGGUAAAGAAAGUAAUAGAAAUUACUUAUGAAGAAAAACAUUCCUUGGAGGUUUAGGUUCAUAGGAGAGGUUUCUCGUGCAAAAACAGACCUCCGGUCACUUGGUUCAUUUCCUCGCAUUAGGGAAUUAACAUAUAGUCAAUUCUCUAAUCGAUGUUGUACAGAUGCUUCCCUUUAAUGGGUUCAAACACUAAAUCCCUCUCACUGAUGCACCUUGCAAUGGCUCAUACCUCUCACCUAGCACUUGCCAUUCAAGGUGAUCUUUAACCUUGGAUUACCCAUCAAAAGCUCGCAAGAGAUAACUAAUGGAUGUCUCCUUAGAGUCCAAAAGCUUACCAAGUGUUGGCUAUUCUAGAAAAUCCUACCUUCAAACCACCUUCCAAAGGCUCACAAGAGAUAAAUUAGUGCAUCUCUAUGGAUGGAGACCACUUGCCUUAUCAAGUGUUGGCCCAAGUGAUUUAAAGGCGUUUUAAGUUAACUAAAAACAUAGAAAUCAUUAACGGGUCACACUUUCUCUUCAUUAAUGGCUGAAACCACAAAGCUACUAAUUAUUGCACUUGGAACCUUUCCCGACAACCUUAACUCUAAGGAACUAAAAGUCUAGCCACUCAUUCUCUGAGGAAACAUCCUCAAAGCUUCUUUGGCUAGUAAGAAAAUACAGUUAAAAUGAGAAGGUAAAGCAGAGCAAAGCUCUGUAUUUUACUUCUUUACAAAACUGUACAAAGGAUCGAUCAUCUUCUCUUUUCUUCUCUCUCCUCCUCGAGAACAGGCUCCCAAGAGAUAAAUAUAUGAAAAAUUACAGAAUAUCUAAAAAAGAUUAUUCACCCUUUUUCCAAACUUAAUAACUAAGGAAUCCUAUAAUUGGUGGAUUACAAGGAGAUUUUGGGAAUUUAGAUAACAAAUAUCUAAAGCAAAAUAUCUCAAAAUAUUGGUGGCAAAUAUCAAGAAGUUUCAGGAGAACACAACAGCACUGUGCAGAAUGGCUGCUCUCCCAUCCGGCGUCAGAAUUCCGGAAGUGAACUUUCGGGUGGAAAGUGCACGGCAGCCAGUGCAAAAUGGUGGCGCCUAUCCGAGUACAAAUUGGUGGCAGCUGGGUACAAAAUGGCGGCGCGCAUCCGGGUACAAUUUGGCGGCAUCCGGGUACAAUUCCUACCCGAAAAUGUUUGUCCAGAUGCCCUCCGAUGGUAUAUCCGGAUACCCUGUCCGGGUAUACUCCUUGCAUGGAUUCCAAAGAACUCUCCUUAAUCUUGGAUUGCUUUGGUGAUCAAAAAGGCUAUCAAAACACCAAAACUUAACACAUUUUUUAUUAGAAUUGAUUGCAAGGGUCCUUAACAUGCCAAUUGAGUUAAAAGGUGAUAACUACUACUCAAAAGUGUUUAGAAGAUUUAAUUACAAGCUAUGAAAUAGCACUUUUUGAGUAGUAAUCAGUGGUUGUUGGCAUCAAGUGAUUGUGAGUAUCUAUGGGACACAUCCUAAUGGAUGAGACGCUAACAUAGUGGUUAAAUAGUCACACAGAUGUCUUUGGAAGACUAUUGCACAAGUUUUUCAGGGUUCCUCCCCAUAUAUUCGUCUUGUGGUGGGGAAUGAGGAGAGAAUCCGUUUUUGGGAAGAUAUUUGGUGGGGUGACCAACCUUUGUGCUCACAUUUACCUAGUCUUUAUAAAAUUAUUUCUAUGGUAAACCCCACCAUUUCAAUUGUCUUUAGCAAUUCCUAUCCACUCUCUUAGAAUUUUAAACUUUUGUCGCAAUCUCAAUUAUGUAGAAAUUGAACUCCUUAAGAGACCGAUGUCCUCCCUUAGUUCAAUGCAUUUAUCCAUUUCUGUGGCAAAUUCAAAAGCUUGGUCUUUGUCCUCUCCAAGCUUGUUUACUGUUAAAUCUUUUUUCUUGGCUUUGUCCAAUUUCUCAAAUCUCGCCUUAUUCCUUCUAGUUGGAGAUCAAAAGCCCUUUCAAAGGUUAAGGCCCUUGCUUGCUUAGUAGCACAUAGGAAGGUAAACACCAAUGACAUGCUACAGUUGAGAAGACCCUACAAAUCCCUUUGUCCUCAAUGGUGCAUUUUAUGCAAAGGAAAUGGAAAAUUGAUUGACCACAUUUUUCUACAUUACCCAUUAAUUAUUGGGCUAUGGCACAAGCUCCUCAACCUAACAAGGUUGGAUUGGGUUCCACCAAGGAGUAUUGGAGACAUAAUGAUUAUUUCUUUUAAAGGUUUAGGGAAUUCAAUCAGAGAUAAGACAUUUUGGAAAAUUUCUUGCUUCACCUUAUUGUGGAUUAUGUGGUAAGAGAGAAAUGCUAGGAUUUUUUAGGAUAAGGGGAGACUAGAAGAAAUGUUAUAGGAUUUACUUCACUUCUAUUCCUCUCAAUGGGCCUCUUGUACUGUUACUUUUAGAGGAGUUCCUCCUAGUGUUAUACAAUUGAAUUGGCUCGCAAUUUGUGAUUCAAAAGUUUGAGAUAGUUAGGGGUUUUCUUUAUAUAUAGUUUUGUAUAAAGGGGUGUCUUCUUACUUUGAUCAGAUUUUUUAUUUUGAGAGUAGGAUCUUUCAUCCUUUUCUUAUACCUUUACUAUUAUUAAUAUAAUUUUAUUUCAUUUCUAAUAAAAAAAAUGAUACUUAUAUUGGUUAAGAAUCAAAUAGGUAAAUAUAUUUAUAUUCUUCAUUGUCUUACUAUUACCUUGUUUUUUGCCUUUUGACUUAUGCUAAAAGGAGUCCUAUUGUCGUGACAUUGCCUUUUGCUUUGAACAACACUAUCUUAGAUACAUCUUUUUGAGGUUAUCACAAAUGAUGGCAUUGAUAUACAAUGGAUUCAAGUAGUAGUUUGUCAACCUUCUCCCUCUACAGCAAAUAAUAAAUAACUAAAAUUAUUAUUUGCCUACACAACUGAGCCACAUUCAUAAAACAUUAAGGAUAAAUGAAGGUACGCAAUAGGUAAGAUCUAUUAAGAUAAUAGAAAUGAAUCGAUCAUACACAGGUGAAAUUUAACUUCCAAGUCUUAUAUGGUAAACUCUACAUUUCAUAAACAAAUGUCUUUUAUUUUUUUCCUGAUAGGUAGUUCAGUAAAUGAAGUUAUUAUAAGUAUGUCACGAGAAUGGUAAAGAGAGAUAAGAAAUCCAACAAAGAAAUAUAAGCAAACAAUAAGUAAAAUAUAAUCAUGAGAAUGGUAGAAAGAACUGAUAAUUCGACCAUCAACAUUACCACCUUUACAAAUGCAAGAGAUAGAACAAUGUUUACCAUCUUUUAAGUUUAAUUAAUGAAUGCUAAUAAAUCCUCCUUAAAACCUUUCCUAGAAAAUGGAGAAAAAAAACCAUAUAAAAAGUUACCUCUUGAGAAACAUCAGCUUUCUCCAUUUGAACAAAAACUUUAGAUCUCUACCUUUUCAAACUAAGCUUCUAGAAAGAUGACAUAGACUUCUUUUUUUCUAAAAGUUUUGUAAGAAAAAUAUAAGACUUCUUUCCUUUGGUUUCUUUUCAAUAAAAUCUUUCUUUAUGUUCUAAUCCAAAUCCUCAAAUCCAAUCCAUUUCUUUCCAUCUAAUUUUGUUUGGAACUCAAAAGCCCCUUUAAAGGUCAAGACCUUUGCUUGGUUGGUGGUACACAAGGUAAAAUAUGUGAGAAAAUCCUACAAAUCCCUUAAUCUGCAUUAGUGCAUUUUAUGCAAAGGAAGUGGAGAAUCGUUUGACCAUCUUUUUCUAUAUUGUCCAUUAACUUUGGGUCUUUGGCAUAAACUCUUCAAUUUAGCCAAUUUGACUUGGGUGUAACCGAGGAGUAUUGGAAAUAUGAUGUUUAUCUCUUUUAAAGAAUUGGGGUUUUCAUUGAGAGGUAUGACCCUUUGACAAAUUGCUUGCCUCACUAUUAUUUGCAUCGUGUGGCAAGAGAGAAACACUAGAAUUUUUUAACAUAAAUGGAGAAUGGAAGAGACGUUGUGGGAUAUACUUUAUUACUACUCCUCUCUUUGGGCCUCAUGUUCCAUCUCUUUUAGGGGAGUUCCACUUAAUUUUCAACCAAGUUGACUUUCAAUUUGUAAUUCAUAGUGGAACAGUAUACUCUUACUUUGAUUAGGUUUUGUAUUUUGAGAGAAUAACCCUUUUUCCUUCUCUCUUUCUUUUAAUCAAUAAAAAUUCAUCUUUAUUUCUGAUAAAAAAAAGGAAAAAAGAAAAAAAAAAUAGAGGACUUCUUUUAACACCAUUCCCUGAUCAUACAACUUGGUCUAAUAUAAUGUGUAACAAAAAGCACUACUAACCAUUAUAUAAACAUGAUGAUCAGGACGUCUCUCAUCCCAUUUGCACUAUCACUCAAAUCUCGCCAUUGCAUCCCAUCAGUCCCCAUAUGAUUCACUUUAAAAGAGUAUUGCACAAACUCAUAUAAACCCCAGUAUAGAGAAAAACCACGAUACAACUCCAUAACUAUUAUCCAACCAUUUGCAAUAAGAAAAAAAUAAUGUUUCAAAAUAAUUAUUGCAAAACAUCACAAAGCAAUGCCACCAAAAUAACCUAACAAAAUUGACAUCUUUAAAUAAUCGGUAAAAACAUUCAACUAAUGUUUUUUAGAUAACAUAAGAUGUUGGAAUAAUGGAAAACAACAAGAACAUAACAUACCAUGUUAUAUUAUCAAAUGAUUCAAGACACAGAAAGAGAUUUUGAAUUGUAUAAUAUAAAUACUAACAAGAGCAACAAAAAAUAACUUGCAUUGCAAUAGCUCAAAUCUAAGGUAAUAGUGGAAUGACCCUUAAAAAACAUUGAUCCUUAUGGACGGAAUAGAGUUGACACCCAGAGUCCACCAUAAUUUCUAUUUUCCUAAUUGUGUUGCAUAUUUAGUAAGGGUAUUUUGAAAAGUCAAAUAAAAGUUUUGGCACCUUUAUCAAAAGCAUCAAUGAGGAGAGAUCCCAUGAGAAGCUAAAAAUGGGUACUUUUUAUUAUUACUAUUUAUUUCCUUUUGAGGGGUGAGGUUGUUAACCCUUGUAGGUUUGUAGAGUUUUGAUGAAGAGCAAGAGAUUUUAGGCUUUGGCAAGUAUAAAGAGUUCAUAUUGUUGACAUGAGAGGUUUCAGACUUGGAAAUUCAAGCAUGACCACAUUGUCUCAAACAAAAUGGUGUCAUUUUUGUAGCUGUAAAGUCUAAAUGAACUCUCCCUGCAUCUCACAUCAGAGGUUCACUAUUGUGAUGAAACUUUUGUUCAUUGUAAGAAAGAUCCUACCCCCUGCAUUUCAAUGUAGGACAUGUCCCCACACCUAACUCUAAUUGCCACAUGCAUUUGCAUGCAGCCACAUGAAAGAAAUUCCAAAAGUAAUUUAUUGUUGACUCAGACAAGGACCUACCCUACCCAUACAUCUUUGUGUAGUCCCUACCACAUCCCACCAUAACUAGGAUUUGUUGAGGCAGAAUUAGGUGCAUGUUCUGAACCAGUUCUACAAACAAUUUGAAGUCAUUAAAAUCCUUUUCCUCAAGACUAAACCUGAUAUCAACAUAAUUCAUAGUAAUUUGACUAAGAUUAACAAUGAAAUUGAAAUCAAAUUAAAAAAUUUACCAAUAUUAAAACUAAAAUUGACAUAACUUGGAACCAAAAAAAUAAGUUUUAACCACAUAGAAGUAGAAUUGGCCCUUUAGAAGAAGUCAAUUAGAACACAAAUUUCUAUCAAGAAAUGAUAUGCUAAAAGAAACAUGAUCAAAGUACAUUCAGAAAGCCAUGAGAACUUAUUGUCAGACCUUAUUUUCAAAAUGUCUUCCACUUACUUGGGAAUGAUGUAUCUUGAACAAAGAACUAAAAAAGAAAGCUUCCUAAGAGCCCUAUUCCAAAGACGUAAAUAUAUCCAACUACUACAAUCAUCAAAUUUCCAUGAGAACAUUUGUUAGUUAAGCAAGUGUUUAGGGGAUAAAAAACAAGAUCUUGCCCACAACUAUAAAUGACAUCAAUUAGUCGUGGCCCAACCUGUGGUAGCCUUAAUGUUUGUAAAUGUUGGAACUACUAGAAAGGCCAGCGAAAUUUGCCAAUUUAUAAUAUAUAAAGUAAAACACAAGUUAGAUGUUGUAGUCAUUCAAAGUGAAGAAUUUAAAACCUGCAAAGAAGUCAAAUGCUUUGUAAACAAAAAAAACAAACAGGAAAAAAAGAGAGAGACUUUUAUCCAACCAUUUUAUUUUUCUUAUUGAAAGUGGUUUAUUCAUGUAAAAUGAAAAUUAUAUACAAAACAUUGAGAUCUACCACACAAUUUCUCCAGGAAACAUGGGAACAUGAAGUGGAGUUAAAUUCAUGUGCCUUAAAUUUCUUGAUAAUCUAUCAUACACAUAGUUCACUUUCAUUUACUAGAACUCUUUGUUUUCUUUGCGGGCCAAUGAAGUAACACUAGUCAAAAGGCUCAAAUUUGUUUGGGAAAUCACCAUACUUGUGUGGUAGUUGCACUGAACCAUGUUAUAAAUGUGGUUGUCAAUCUGGAUUAGAGAUAAACAACUCAAAUUAGGGAAAUUGUAUAAAUGUUUUCCAAGGAAAAACAGUUGAAAUCCAAAAGCAAAAAAGGCAAUGCACCAUCAUUAUGAGUUAAAGGCUACACUCAAUCCUGCCUUUCCAUUUUCCAUAGACCAUCAGCAAUUUUUGCAGCCACAUCUAAUAGUAUAGUCAUUCUAUUUGCCCCCAUAUCCUACAAACACUACCCAAAAAUCAAAUUAGGAAAGUUAUAUUGACAAAAAAUUCUUGAAAUUUUUGAAGACAUGCUUAGGACUAGUAAUGUGGUGUCAUAAAUUUUUUAGUUGUUUUGAAUGUUUCAAAGUUGUUGUUGCUAGCUUUUAGGUGUUGGUUGUUUUUCUAUUUUGCAUGUUUUGUUCAUGGCUUAAUCCUUUGUCCAUGUUUAUAGUGGGUAGUUGUCGAUUAAGUUUUUAUUAUAAUUUCUGAUUAUUAAUAAAUUAUUGUUGUUCUAGUUUCUUUUACUUCUACAAUAUCUUUGUAUUUUUCUUCAUCCUUGUUUUUUCUAUAAAAAAAAAAAAAAGUACAAUUGGUAUCAGUGUUUCUACUCUUAAGGGACCAGUGGUGUUUAGGUUGAGUUCUCAAAGAUGCCAUGGAAGCUAAAUCAAGCUUUUCUUCAAUCGCUUCUCCAGUCUUCGAUGGUGACAAUUAUCAAUUCUAGGUCAUUACGAUGGAGACAUACCUUGAUGCUAUGGACCUCUAUGAAGCUAUGGAAAAGGAUUAUGAAAUCAUUUCUCUUCCAAACAAAUCUGAUGAUGGCUCAGAUUAAGCAUCACAAGGAAAGCAAAACAAAGAAGUCUAAGGCAAAAGCCUACUUGUUUGUUGUCGUUUCUUCCACAAUCUUCACUCGCAUCAUGUCAUUAAGAUCAACAAAGGUGAUAUGGGAUUAUCUCAAGAUGGAAUACGAGGAAGAUGAAAGAAUAAGAGGAAUGCAAGUUUUGAAUCUAAUUCGGGACUUUGAGUUGCAGAAGAUGAAGGAGACUGGAUCCAUCAAAGAGUAUUCUGAUAGGUAGCUUAACAUUGCAAACUAAGUUAGAUUACUUGGUUCUUCCUUACCAGACUCAAGGACAGUUGAAAAAAAUCCUUGUGACAGUGCCUGAAAGAUUUGAGGCAUCCAUUACAACCUUAGAAAACACUAAGGACUUCUCAAUGAUCACACUCGCAGAGCUUUUAAAUGCACUACAAGCACAGGAGCAAAGAAGAGUUAUGAGUCAGGACGGUGCUAUCGAGGGAGCUUUACCAAUCAAGCAUCACGUGAAUGCAAGAAAUAACAAGAACAAAAAGGGGAAAACAUCAAGGCUCAAAUGGAGAAUAAACAACCAACAACAAUAAGAGCAAAGCUGGAAACAAAAAAGAACAGCAUCCUCUGUGUCAACAUUGUGGUGGAAAAUCUCAUCUGCAUUUCAAAUGCUGGAGAAGACCUAACACCAAGUGCACCAAAUGCAACCAGAUGGGGCAUGAAACUGUCAUCUGCAAAAACAAAAAUCAACAACAUGGUAAAGAGGCACAUGUUGCUGAUCAAGUGGAGGAUCAACUGUUCGUGGUUGCAUGUUUCUCUAGCAUGGAAUCAAAUGAGAGUUGGCUCAUUGACAGUGGUUAUACUAGGCUCUAAAUGGAAAAAGAAUGACUUUGGGUCAUAAAUGAAAAAUGACUCUUGGUCAUGAGUGAUUCGUGCCCAAUUGGUGUCUCAGCUGAUUCGUGUCCAGCUGGUGCUCCUUGAUUGAGGGAGUAAUCAACAAAAUUUAUAACCUAUUACACCAUGAACUAGGGUAGCAAAGACAAAGCUACUAUAGCAUAGUGGCUCUAGGAUCGUUCACUGGGAUGUGUUUUCACUUCACAAAUGAUAUUAAUUCAAAGCUGAAUUGGUGCCUUUUCAUUUCAAGGUUAUCUUUAAAAGAAAACAUAAAGAUGUUUGAAUGAAAAAGUUUGGUUUUAAACUAACCACAAAAAGUAACUGAUUUUACUUACAAAGAAAAAUGUUUCUUGGAGUUUCAGAUCACUAGGCUCAGAUUCCUCAUACAAAAAGGGAGUUCUGGUCACUUGUUUCUUUUCCUCGCAUUAGAGAAUUAACAUAUAGUUAAUUCUCUAAUCGGUAUUGUACAGAUGCUUCCCAUUAAUGGGUUCAAACACUAAAUCCCUCUCACUGAUGCAACUUGCAAUGGCUCAUGCCUCUUACCUAGCACUUGCCAUUCAAGAUGAUCUUUAACCUUGGAUUACCCGUCAAAAGCUCUCAAGAGAUAACUAAUGGAUGUCUCCUUGGAGUCCAAAAGCUUACCAAGUGUUGGCUAUUCUAGAAAAUCCUACCUUCAAGUCACCUCCCAAAAGCUCGCAAGAGAUAAACUAGUGCAUCUCCAUGGACGGAGAUCACUUGCCUUACCAAGUGUUGGCUCAGGUGAAUUAAAGGCGUUUUAAGUUAACUAAAAAGAUAAAAACCAUUAACGGGUCACACUUUCUCUUCAUUAAAAACUAAAACAACAAAACUUCCAAUUUAUGCAUGCGGAAACUUACCCGGAUUUCCUCACUCCAAGAGACGAAAAGCCUAGCCUCUCAUCCUCUGAGGAAAAAUCCUCAGAGUUUGGUUAACAAGAAAAUGAAAAUGAAAGAGAAGGAAAAACAGAGCAAGGCUUUGUAUAUUCUAUAUAUUUAUAUAUCUAUCUCCCGUCGGAUUACAUGAUGAUUUUGAGAAAAAGCUCCCGAGAGCUAUAUAUAAAGAAAAUUACAAAACAAAAUAUCUGAAGUUAUUCACCCCUUUUCCAAACUUAAUAACUAAGGAAUCCUAUAAUUGGUGGGUUACAAGGAGAAGAAUGGAAAUUUAUACAAAAAUAUCUGAAGAAAAAUAUCCAAAAGUGUCUGUCGCAACUAUCGGGAAGCUUCAGGUGAACACCCGUGCACUGUGCAAACUGGCUGCGAAAUUCUCGCAACAAAAGGCUGAUUUCGCAGCCGUGCAAAAAUCUUCCUUCAGCUUGGAGUGAUCUUCUUGCAAUGGCUGUAACUCCUUCUUUUCAACUCUGAAUCGCGCACCGUUUGAAGCAUUAGAUUUUUAACUUCCUGAGCUUUGAAAUGGUAUAUAGCAUGUAGAAAAUGGACUUCGGUAAGUGCUCCAAAAGUGGCUGACAUUACUGUCAUCAAGAAUACUUCAUGGCAGAUUUCUCUUUGCUUCCCCUCCUUGCAUUCCGGAUUUGCUUAUGGAAAAGGACUUCAAAGCUUUGGUUCUUCAUGUUUCUGAGCUUUCCAUUGCUUUGCCAUGGAUUCCAAAGAACUCUCCUCAAUCUUGGAUUGCUUUGGUGAUAAAAAAACUAUAAAAACACCAAAACUUAACACAAUUUGAUUAGAAUUGAUUGCAAGGGUCCUUAACAUGCCAAUUGAGUUAAAAGGUAAUAACUACUACUCAAAAGUGUUUAAAAGAGUUAAUUACAAGCUAUGAAAUAGCACUUUUUGAGUUGUAAUCAAUGAGCUCUAGGCUCUAAAUGGAAAAAAAUGACUCUAUGUCAUAAAUGAAAAAUGACUCUCGAUCUUGAGCUUUGUGCUCUAAAUGGAAAAAAAAAAUGAAUCUGGGUCGUAGAUGAAAAAUGAAUCUGGGUCAUGAGCUCUGGGCUCUAAAUGGAAAAAAAAACACAUGACAAGGAUCUAUUCAAGGAACUAAGAAACACAAACACAUCGAAGGUUCGAAUUGGAAAUGACUAGUACAUAACCGUGGAAGGAAAUGGAACUGUUGCAAUUUCAAGUUGUUCAAGUACAAAGCUCAUUUCUGAUGUGUUGUAUGUCCCUGAAAUAGAUCAAAAUUUGUUAGGCGAUGGACAACUAAUUGAAAAGGAUUAUAAAGUUGUGUUUGAAGACAAAAGUUGCUUGAUUAAAGAUGUGGUUGGCCAAGAUAUUUUCAAGGUAAAAAUGAGAGGGAAAAGUUUUACUCUAAAUCCAUUAGAGGAGGAGCAAACUGCUUUCCCAAUCAAAGAAAAUAUCAUAGAUGUGUGGCACAAAAGGCUUGGGCAUUAUCAUCAUUAGGGGCUAUUACAAAUGAAAUCUAAGAUGAUGGUGAAUGACCUUCCAGACCUUGAUGAUCACAUUCUAAAUUGCAAAGCAUGUCUGUUUGGAAAGCAAAAUAGAAAACCAUUCCCCAAGGCGGCAUAGAGAGCAUUAAAGAAGCUGCAAUUGAUUCAUUCAAACAUUGCAGACCCUUAAAGAACACCUUCUCUAAAAGACAGUCUUCAUUAUGUUGUAUUUAUUGAUGAUUUUACUCAAAUGUGUUGGAUUUUUUUUUAAAGCAUAAAUUGGAGGUAGCACAAGUCUUCUAGAAAUUUAAAGUCAAAGUUCAAAAUGAGAGUGGUUGUAGAAUUCAAACACUCAUAUCAAAUAAUGGCAAGGAAUACACAUCUGAAUCAUUCAAUCGAUUUUGCAAGCAGGCAAACAUUCAACAUCAAUUUACCACUCCAUAUACUCUACAACAAAAUUGAGUAAGUGAAAGACGGAACAGAUACAUUUUGGAGAUGACAAGAUGUAUGUUACAUAAGAAGAAUCUACUUAAGCAGUUUUGGGCAGAAGUAGCAUACACAAUUGUCUUCUUGCAAAACAGGCUUCCCACAAGAGCAGUGAAGGAUCAAACACCCUUUGAGGCGUGGUAUGGCUAUAAACCAUCCUUACACUUUUUUAAAAUAUUUGGUUGUUUGUGCUUCACUCACAUUCCACAAAUCAAGAGAGAUAAGUUGAAUAAAAGAGCACUUCUAGGCAUCUUCAUUAGUCACAGCUUAGUUAUAAAAGCUUAUAAUGUUUUUCAACCAUAAACUGGAAAUAUUGUUAUAAGCAAGGAUGUGCACUUUGUGGAAAAUGAAAAAUGGAACUGGGAAGAUGCAAAAUAGAAUAAUGGAGAUUAGCAGAAUGACAUGGUAUAUGAUGUUUCGGUUAGAGGCACGAGGUUGCUUUCUGAUGUAUAUCAAAGAUGCAAUAUUGUUGUAUGUGAACCUGUAGACUAUGAAAAAGCAAUGAAGAAUCAGAAUUGGAUGAUUGCAAUGAAGGAGGAGCUAUCAAUGAUGAAAAAAAAAAACAAAACAUGGAUUCUUGUUGAAAGGCCUAGAGAUAGGAAGGUGAUUGGAGUUAAAUGGGUGUAUAGAACUAAGCUUAAUGUUGAUGGUUCUAUUAAAAAAAAAAAAAAAAAAAAACAAGACUUGUUGUGAAAGGUUAUAAUCAAAUUUUUUGUGCGGACUACUUGGAUACCUUUGCUCCAGUUGCUUGAUUAGAUACCAUCAGGUUGCUGCUUGUUGUAGCUGCUUAAAAGGAUUGGAGAGUGUAUCAACUCAAUGUCAUGUACCUUCUUAAAUGAUUACUUGAGGAAAAAAUCUAUGUUGAGCAACUUGAGGGCUUUGUGAAGAAAGGAGAAGAAUACAAGGUUUAUCUUCUCAAGAAGGCUCUUUAUGGCCUGAAACAAGCUCCAAGAACUUGGUAUAGCAGAAUCGAUGAACAUUUGUUGAAUUUAGGAUUUGCUAAAAGCUUAUCUGAAUCAACAUUGUAUGUCAAGCACAACGGAGCUGGCAUUCUUAUCAUCUCACUGUACGUGGAUGAUCUGCUUGUGACUGGGAACCAAACUAGUCUUGUGGAGAAGUUUAAGCUAGAGAUGAUGGAAUUUUUUUAGAUGGUGGAUCUAGGUUUGAUGAAUUUUUUCCUUGGAAUGGAAAUCAAAUAGAGUGAACAUGAAGUUUUUAUUUGUCAAAAAAAAUACGCCAAAGAGAUACUUAAGAAGUUCAAAUUAGAUGAAUGCAAGGAGAUAAGAACUCCUAUAAAUCAAAAGGAGAAGCUCAGUAAAGAUGAUGGAACUGACAAGAUUGAUCAUGCAUAUUUUAGAAGCAUGAUUGGUUGCUUGAUGUAUUUCAUAGCAACAAGGCUUAACAUCUUGAAUGUUGUAAGCAUUUUGUCUCAUUUUAUACAUUGUGCAAGUGAAAUUCAUCUCAAGGUAGCAAAGAGGGUGAUUAGAUAUGUUAAAGGCACCUUUGACUUUGGCAUCAAAUUUACGAGAAGCAAAGAGUUCGAGUUGGUUGGUUUUUCAGAUAGUGAUUGAGGAGGCUCCAUUGAUGAUAUGAGGAGUACUUCAGGUUACUGUUUCACUUUUGGUUAUGGUUUUUUCUCUUGGUGCUUGAAAAAAACAAGAAAUUAUAGCCUAAUCUACAAUUGAAGCAGAGUUUAUUGUUGCCACAACUACAACAAAUCAAGCUAUUUGGCUAAGGAAGAUCUUAAAUGAUCUUAACAUGGAGCAAAAGGAAAGCACGAAGAUACUUAUUGAUAACCAAGCUAUCAUUGUUAUCUCUCAUAAUCCUGUGUUUCAUGGGAAAACUAAGCAUUUUAAUAUUAAGUUAUUCUUCUUAAGAGAAGUGCAGAAAGAUGGAGAUGUGAUUCUUCUCUAUUGCAAAACAAAAGAUCAGGUUGUGGAUGUUUUCACCAAGCCACUGCAAGUUAGCAAAUUUGAAUUUCUAAGGACAAAACUUGGUGUUUGCAAUUCUUGAAGCAAGGAGGAGGGUUGAAGAUGUGCUUAUGACAACUAAUGUGGUUUCAUAAAUUUUUUAGUUGUUUUGAAAGUUUAAAGUUAUUGUUGUUAGCUUUUAGGUGUUGAUUAUUUUCUGUUUUGCAUGUUUUGUUCAUGGUUUAAUCCUUUGUCCACGUUUAUAGUGGGUAGUUGUUGAUUAAGUUUUUAUUAUAAUUUCUGAUGAUUAAUGAAUUAUUGUUGUUAUGGUUUGUUUUACUUUUUCAAUAUCUUUCUAUUUUUCUUCAUCCCUAUUUAAAAAAAAAAAAAAAACUAUAGAAAUCAACAUAAAUCAUGUGGUUUGUUCAUCAUGCUAAUUAAAGAUUUUUUUAACAACAUAGAGCAACAAUCAACUUCACUAAAGCUACCUGCAUCAAGUGCUUUAUUCAACUAUAAAUAGGUUUCAAUAUGAAGAGAAUUUCCCUUAUCCAAUUUAUGUUGCAUGUUUAUUAUAUCGAGACAUCUUUGCAACAAAAUAGAUUAACAUUCAACUUACUUGAUAUGUGAUCAAAUCCAAAUUAACUGCCUACACAACCUGUCUUCAGAUUUUGCAAUUAAUAACAUAGGCUAGGAACCCAGCCAUGGGAUCUAACACUACAAACUACAACCAAUAAAAUAGAUAUAGGAAACAAUUAUUGUCAGAAUCAAAGGAUAAAUGAAUAAGGCUACAUUGUGGUGAGAAAGAAUAUGAACACAUGUUCCAUUGAGUCCAUUUCAUAUAAUGUUAGACAUGUCCUAAUGGAUUAAAUGUCAUUAGCAAAGACAUCAAAAGUAUGAUGAAAAAGAGGAAGUCCAGUAGUAAUCAUUAAUAUAAACUAGUCUAUGAUGCAAGUUAAUGUGGAAUAUUGUCUUGACCUUACAAAUUCUUCUAAAUUGGAUUUUUUUUUUAAAAGCACAAAUAAUGACAUUCAUUAUGGGAUCAUACUUAGCUACCACACAUGCUAGCUAGAGUUCAUGCAUGGACGAGUGGGAGUUAAUAGUAGGCAUCAAAUGGAACUUGUCCCUUAGAUGUCAUCUAGGAUCCUAAACUUGAAGUCUAAGAGUUCCCUUUUAGGUUUAACACCAUUGGUCAUAUAGCCUAAAGAAUUGGAAGACUAACAAAUUCAGAAAUGUAAUGAGAUAUAGUUGGCAUAUGAAAGUGAUAACCUUGAAGUCAAGAUCAUUCAAUCAACCAAACAAUGAUCUAAAGGCAUUUUAAGUAGGAGCCAAGGAGCACAGUGGCUCAGGAAGAGCCACGAAGAUGUCUUCUUUCGAUAAGGAAUAGUUAGAUCAACUUUACAAACUUUUCAAUCUAUACAAUUCUCAAACAACAUGUCUUCCUUUUAUUCUUUGACCUAAAAAGGUUACUACUAUCAAGUUAUUGAAUUUAAUGUAUUUGCUACUUCUAGUUGUCCAAGGAUCACAAAUUCUAAUGCAACUAAUCAUAAGACUAGGUGUGCUAAAUUAAUUUUCUCUCAUAGUUCGUGCAUAGGAAACCAGAAAAUCAAGACAAUUGAUGGUUCUCUUUUAGCAAUUGCUAGGAAAUGAUCAAUAGCUAUUUCAAAAUCUCUUAUUCUUCAUAAAUGUGAAAUAUUUGUUUCCAAAUUUUUCAAAAAUAAAAACCCAUCAGAAUAUGAAGUUGAAGUGUGAAUUUGGAGAUAAACAUGUAUCCCACACAAACAAUGAAACAUGUAAUCAUUCAAAAAGAGGGUAGUUAUGCAACACAUAGUCAUGCAAAAUAGAUAUAUACCAAUAGAAGCGAAUACAAACAAGAGCAGAUAUAUAUAUAUAUAUAUAUAUAUAUGAACAGAUAUAGACAAGCAUAAGCAGAUAUAAACAAACAUGAACAUAUAUAAACAUGAACAGAUACAUGCAAACACAAACAUAUAUAUAUAUAAGCAAAUACACACAAAUAUGAGCAGAUGUAUACAAGCAUUAGAAGAUAUAUAUAAAUAAGCACAAGCAGAUAUAUACGAGUAUGAGUAGAUAUAAGCAUGAAUAGAUGUAAAUACAAAUAGAAAUAAAUAUGAGUAGAUAGAUACAAGCAUAAACAAAUGUAAAAAGAUAUACACAUGUGUGAGUAAACAUAUAUAAGAUAAACAGAUAUAAACAAGCAUGAGUAGAUAUGCACCUAAACAAAUAUAUAAAAAUAAGAAUGAAGAAAUAAAUAAAUAAAUGGUGAGAUACAAUAAUACACAUAUACUAUAUAGAUACAAAAUAAUCAUGUCAGACUCUCACAUGCCCUAAAACACACAAGCAUACAACAAAGGCACAAUGAGAGGGUAUCCACUGAUCGACUAAUCAAAUAUCAUAUUUCCUUCAACUCAAGUUCAAGAUUGAUUUUCUAUGAAGCCAAAGAUUUUGGGUUCGAUCCCUAGUAGAUUCGCUAAUUUGUGGACUCACAUUUUUCAUGUGCACUCCCACUCAAUGGCGAGACUUGCUUUUUAUUGUGAGAAACUGAUUUUUAAGGGAAAAAAAUUAAAGUCGCCACUUAUUUUUAUUAUCUUUUUAAAGGAAAAUAAAAUAAAAAAAUAAAACCCUAAGAAAAAUGACUCUUCAAGUUUUGAAAAAGACUGUCUUUGAAAAACUUAUAUCUAAGUCUGGGGAUCAGGUUACCUAUUAGGAAGAUACAUUGAUUAAGCAAUAGCACUCCACUAAGCUCGUAUAUCUACGAUCUUUAUUAAGCGAAUGGAGGGAAUCAUGUCAAUUGAUUGAUUAAUUAAGGUUACCAAUAAUAGGACAACAAGAUACAUAUAAGUCAUGAGGUGGAAAAAGAGUACACAAGAAUGUACACAAUUAAUGAAUGUGAAAAGCACAAAAUAAAUUUUAAUUAUUGGUUAAAGUUGCAACAUUUCAAAGGAAUUUCAGAAGAAAUUUAUUUUUAUUGGUAAUAAUUCUCAAUUAAAGAUUUCAAACUUAUUUACUCACAAAGUUUCAAUUUAUUUACAAAAUAUUCGAUUUUUAUUCACAUCUAAAAUUAAUUAAAAAAAAUUCUUGAUUUUGAUUGAAUUCGAACUUAUUAAAGAGAAGAGUUUCAAUUUGAUUUUCUAUUUAUAAAGAAAUGAUUUUGGCUUACACUUUAUUAGAAAAGCAAGAUUUUGCAAUUAUAAAGAAACAUCAAUUCUAUUUUUGGAAAAAUGAUUUUUACAAGGAAAAGAGUUUAAUUAUUUGAAUUCUAAGAACAAAAUUUCAAUUUACUAAGAAAACAAAUUUUUACAACUUUUAUUAACGAAAAAUAUUUCCAAAUCAAAUUUAUCUGGAAAGAGAAAUUUUUACAACUUUUAUUUUCGUUAGAUUUUUAUUAAAACAAUUUUCAAGAUUUUUUUUUAUUAAAAAAAUUUUUGGAACUUGAUUCAAACCAUUUUGAAAUUCUUCAUUAAAAUAAAAUUUAGAAUUUUUAUUAAGCAAACUUUUGGAACAUUUUAUCAAACAUAAACUUAGAGAACUUUAAUUUAAGACAAUUUUUUUAAGAAACUUUAAUUUAAAACAAAUUUUAGAGACUUUGAUUAAAACACCAACUUUGAGAAAAUUUACUAAAACACUUUGUUAAUUUUUUAGACUAACUUUAAGGGUUUUUAUUAAACAAAUUUUAGAAUUUAUUUAAGACAAACUUUGAGAAUUUAUUAAGACAGUCAUUAAAACUUCUAAUACUUUUAUGGAAACAAACUUUAAGUAAAUUUAAAAGGCAUAACUUUGAGAACAAUUAUUAAAACAUUUAUUUUGAAAAUUUUAAUUAAACCAAAUUUGAGAACUUUCAUGAUUACGACUUUUAUGAAAACAAACUUUGAGGAUAUGUAUUUAAACACUUAUUUUGAGAAUUUGCAUUAAACAAACCUUAUUUUUUUUAAAAACAAUUUUUUAAAGAACAUUUAUUAAAACACAAUUUUCAAUUAACAAAGUUAUUAUAAAAUGACUUUCUAAAGAACAUUUAUUAAAACACAAUUUUAUGCAAACAAACUUAAUAAAAAAACGAUUUUCUAAGGGACAUUUAUUAAAACACAAUUUUUAGCUAACAAAUUUAUUUAAAACCAAUUUCUAAAGAACAUAUAUUAAAACACAAUUUUCAACUAACAAAUUUAUUAAAAACUGUUUUUUUAAAAGAAUAUUUAUUAAAACACAAUUCUCAAACUUAUUAUAGAAAAUGAUUUUCUAAAGAACAUUUAUUAAAACACUUUUUUCAUAAUUUUCAUUAAAUGGACUAUACAAAUUUUGAUGAUUUGUAUUAAAAAAACAAAUUUCUAGAUUUAUUAAAACACAAAUUUUUGGAUUAUUAAAUUUAAAUCCAUUUUCUAAAUAUAUUUUAAAAAAUCAAUUUCUUGAAUUAUUUUAUUAAAAAAGGAAUUUUAUGAAUUUAUUUAAAAAAUGAUUUUUUUAAUUAUUUAUAUUAAACUAAAUUACUGAAUUUAGUAUAAAAAAAAAACAGUUCUUCCAAAUUAUUUUAUUAAAACAAAUUUUCUACAAUUUAUUGAAUAAAAUAAAGAAAAACUCAAGCAAUAAAGAUAAGUUAAAACCCAAACAUGGCAAGAAAUGAAAUAUGAGACAAAAAAGACUAACAUAAAUAGAAUUAUAGAAAAUUUAAGAUAAAGUGAAAUAUGAGGUAACAAGAUUAACAUAAAUAAAAUUACAAAAAUUUAAAAUAGAAUGAAUUAUGAGACAACAAGACUAACAUAAACAGAAUUAUAAAAAAAUUAGGACAAAAUUUACACAAAUAUAGAAAACUUGAAACAAAAUACAAUACGUAUAAUAACACAUGUCAACACAUUUCAAUAGAAUAAUAAAUAAAAAUGACAAACAUAUAGAUGAGCUGAAAAGUUUAGGUAAAUGUGCAUACAUUCAAAAUGUAGAGUAUAAUGAACAGAUAACCCAACCAAGUAGAGAACUGAAUAAAAGAGAUGGACAAAAUAUUCAACUACCAAAAUGCUCACAAAUAUAAUAAAUAUAAAACAAUAUUAAUCUAAGAAAUCCUAAAAAGAACAUAAACAAAAUACAAAUAAAGAGAUGAGGAAGAAAUAACUUACCUAAAUGGAACCCUAAAUCAAUCAGGCCUCUCCAAACCUCCAAAAGCAACUCCAAGAUACAAUUACAGUAUAAAAAAAUAAAAAAUAAAUAAAAAUGGACAACCCCAAAGUAAAUACACAAUAAGGAAAAACUCUUUCUUAUUAACGAUAUACAAUAAAGAAAUAAAGAAUCUCCAAAAAAAAAAAAAAAAAAAGAACCAAAAAAAACAAAGUAAUGACACUUCUUCUCUCUUUAGCCGUCCUAUUUGCUUAGGGUUUGUUUGCCCUUUAAAUACAAUUUUUAAGACUUCCUCUCUAAGAAAUCCCAUGGGCCCACAACCUAAAAUUUAAAUACCUACAACCCAAUUAAAAUAAAAUAACCCAAACCCAUAACUUAAAAUCUAAAUAUUCACAAUCCAAUUAAAAUAAAAUAACUCGAACCCACAACUUAAAAUCUAAAUACCCACAACCCAAUUAAAAUAAAAUAAGCCAAGCCCAAUUAAAAUAAAGUAACCGAGGCCCACAACAUAAAAUCUAAAUACCCACAACCUAAAUAAAAUAAAAUAACCCAAGCCCAAUUAUAAGGAAAUUUGAAUAUCAAUUAUGCAAUUUUUGGAAAAAAUAAAUAAAUUCAACCUCAUGAAAUUUCUAACAAGUAAAUGAAUAGAUAAGUAAAUAUAAAAAAAAAAAUAGACAAAAUAAAUAAAUAAUAUAAAACAACAACAACAAUAAUAAUAUAGACACUAAACACUGCAAUCGAAAUUCAAAUGUUAACUUAGUGUAAUUAAUGAUAAAAAAGAAAUGUCGAAAUCCCACGAGUAAAUAUUAAAAAUUCAAUCCAAGCAAUCAUAAAAUGAAAACAAAAACAAAAAAAAAUCAAGCCCAAUACUCACUUAAACUCAUAAUCAUGUAAUCAAAACUCAAGAAACAAACCUAAGUGCACUAAGCCUAAAGAAUCUAAGUGAACCUAAGAGGGUUGGGUUGACUUACCUAAAAUGUACCCAAGUGAUCUAAAUGGAAAAAUCUAUAUGUGAACUAAGUGGAAUUUAACCUAAAAAGGUGUCUAAAUGGGUGUAGGUGAGCCUAGAUGAGCCUAAGUGGGCAUGGUGUCCUAGGAAAUGCCUAAUUAUGUUGUCUUAAAAAGGAAAGUGCACCUAAAAGGUCUAACUUAAAAGAAAAAGGAAAAAAAAAAACAACCUAGAUCUAAUUUGAGGUUGCCAAUGGUCACAAUGAGGGGCCACAUAAAUCCCUCAACUAAAGUCUAGAAGGUGGCUCAAAAAAGUAAGUUGUAUGAGUAGCAAUGGGCCACCAAGGAACUACUAUGGGCCAUUGGAAAAGCACUUAACAGAGCACAAGAGAAGCACAAGAAUAUACCUAGUAUCUUAUGUACUUGAAUGACAAAAUUGAGGGUUUACAAACAUGAACUCUAUUAGGCGUAGACACGAUCUACACUUGGGUAAACACUACUGGUUGAGAAACAUAUUUGAGCUAUUAGAGAGAUACUGGGCAUUAGGCGAUGAUUCAUGUACUCGCUAAAGUCAUCAAAUAAGUAUUCUGACAUGACCAUGUGUACCAUAGAAGGUUAGUGGAGACAUUGGGUUGAUGAAUCUAAGAAUCCUAUCAAAGAACUAAAUUCAUUAGGUGUACAAGUACUUUAUAGAAAAUCAUUGUCCAUUCGUCGAUACAAUCACAUCAGUUUAGCCAAAGUACUAAGCAAGAUUAACGAGAAAAAUGAUAGGAUGACUUACAAGAAAAAUAGGGUAAUUAUGCUACAAGUAGCACACAACAAGGCCAUUGCAAAUGUUGAGGAACUAAGUGCAGAAGACAAAAAUGAAAUUCUCUCUUUAUCGCAAUGCAAAUCGGACUUUGAAUAACCAAAUGGCUUCAAAAUAAUUGUCUAAUUUAUUUUCCUCCUCACAUUACAACAAGAUCUUAAUAGUGUAUGUGGAUGUCACAAUUUGUCAAUCUUACCACCAACGUUGAUAAGAUUCACAUAUUGCAUGUGUUAGGGAAUCAAAUAUAGUCGUUUUGAAAACCUUGCAGGAUAGUACAAUAGGAAGACAUAGAUUAGGUGAAGUAGACUUUGUUGUGAAAAAAAAUUGAAAUAAAUUUUACAAUUGACUGAAAGUGAUGGUUCGCUACAACACCAUUAUUCAUAUCAAAUCUAACUUCACAAUUACGAUUUUAUCAGUCCCACCUAUCUUAAUUCAAACCUAUAUAUGAUUUUGCUUUUUGUUGUAUUGCAAGUAGACCCUCAAGCCAAUCUUACAAGUAAGCCUUCCAACCAAUCUUCAAAGUCUAUAAAUGAUUUUAUCUUUAAACACCAUUGCUUGGUUCUAUGCACCAUAUAAACACCUUGAUUUACAACGUAGAUUAAGCAUAUUGUUGAGGAAUAUGUAUGUGAAUGAAAUGGCACUUGAUAUUUUUCAUUUAAAUAUGUCUAUCAAUGUUUUAAACAAAUAUGGAUCAAAUCCUACAUGCAUAGAUCUCCUUUGUUUUCAUCAUUAUUAACAAAUACAUGUAUAGUUGUGCUUACAAGAAGGCGUAAAUGGGAAACGAAGACAAGUUCUAUGUUGUUUUUGUUGGGAGGAGACAAAGCGUGUGCACAAUCUUGGCAUGAAUGCUAAGAGCAAGUUGUUCGUUACAAGGGUAUGCUUACAAAUCAUGCAAAACCCAUCAUGAGAUUGUAUUAGCUUGGGUUAUGUACAAACCUUGAUGGAAAAGACCUAAAACAUCAACUCAAUCAUCCUCAAUGAAGAUGUUAAGCAACUAAUUGGGUCACCAAAGGAUGACGAAGUAAUCAAGAGGACCAAAGAUCACAAAACAAAUUUCCUUGGUGCUUUUCUACUCGAAUGUUGUGUAACAUUCACAAUCAUGUUUAUCAUUCAAAAAUUGUUUUAGUUAUGUUCAAUAGUGAUAUGACUAUGCUAUGCUUUGCGUAUGUUGUUAUUUUUUAUAAAGAUUAGGAGCCAAAUAUUGUCAUUCAAAAGUUGUAUUACAUUUCUUCCAAUGAAUGGUACUAGUUUGUUAUGGAUUUCCAUCAUUUUGAUUUCACAAAAAAAAAAGUUGGAAGACUUAAAUAGCAUGGUUAAUUCUCCUUCAUAAGGUAUUGGAAUGAGCAAAGAAAGAAUAUUACUAAAACUAAAAAAAGAAGAUAUGCAGUUACAAAUUUUAGAUGAUGAAAUUUAAAAAUAAGAGUCAAAAGUGUUUUUCAAAAUCUCUUGAAAUCUUUCAAGAAAGGUAGCCUUAUACACCCCUUGUAUAAUUAGUAUAUCUGCAUUGUACACUUAGUGUAAAUACCUUACACAUUGGCACACUUCCAUAAAAUUAGUAGUGAAUGUGUGCAUAUGGGUGGGUUAACCAUGUUUCCAUUCUGAUGGCUCAAAGAAAAGAGAAAAAUUGAACCCAAAUUUUGUUUCCUAUUCAUCAUUUGUGGAGUAAGUAAUCAAAUGAACAAAUAUGAGGUCGAUAAAGUGCAUAGGAUGAGUGUCAAAUCAAGCAAUGCACAUGAGGAAUGUCCCUCAUCCUUGGCCAAGGGAAAUAAGUGAGCAAGUUUUUCAAAAGCCCUUGAAAUCCUUUAAGAAAUGUAGCCUUGUACACCCCUUAUACAAUUAGUACAUCUACCUUGUACACUUAGUGUGAAUAUCUUGUAUAGUGAUACAAAUUCUAUAGACCUAGUAGUGAAUGUGUGGAUGCGUUAACCAUGUUUCCAUUUUCAUGGCUUAAAAAAAAGGAAAAAAUUGAACCGAAAUUUUCUUUCUCAUUCAUCAUAGUUAGGUACAUAAUUGAAUGAACUUGUAUGAGUUCAAUAACAUGCAUGGAAUGAGUGUGUGAUCAACCAAUGCAUAUGAGGAAUAUCCUCUAUCCUUAACCACAGGAAAUGAGCAAGCAAGUUUUUCAAAAUCCCUUGAAAUCCUUCAACAAAGGUAGCUUUGUACACCCCUUAUACAGUAGUACAUUUGCCUUGUACAUUUAGUGUAAAUAUCUUUUAAAGUGGCACAAAUUCCAUACACUUAGUAGUGAAUGUGUGCAUAUCGGUGUGUUAACCAUGUUUCCAUUCUCAUGGCUCAAAAAAAUAGGAAAAUUGGACCUAAAUUUUGGUUCCCAUUCAUCAUUAGUUAGGUGUGUAAUCGAAUGAAUAUACAUGAGGUAGAUAAAGUGCAUGAGAUGAGUGUGUGAUCAAGCAAUGUGUGUGAAGAAUGUCCCCCAUCCUUGGCCAAGGAAAAUGAGCAAAUGAGUUUUUCAAAAUCCCUUGAAAUCUUUCAAGAAAUGUAGCAUUGUACACCUCUUGUAUAGAUAGUACAUUUGCCUUGUACUCUUAAUGUGAAUACCUUGUACAAUGUGGCACAAAUUCCAUAGACCUUGUACAGUGUGUACAAUGUGAAUACCUCAUACAACUUCUAGUAAAUGUCUACCCGUAAGUGGGUUAACCAUGUUUUCAAUGUUUUGGUUCAAAAUAAAGGAAGGAAAUUUUAAUCCAAAUUUUGUUUGAAAAUGAUCAUUGGUCAGAUCAGUAUUCAAAUAACAAUGUGAAAAUGUAACAAAGUGCAUGAGAUGAGUGUGUAAUCUAGGAGUGUGUGGCAUGAGAUUGUUAAGUCCUUAGGUUACAAGAAAAAAAGGGUGUCAUUCAUAAUCGAUUAAAAUACUACAAAAAAGGUAGCAUUGUAUACCCCUUGUAUAGUUAGUAGAUUGACCUUUCUUGGGAUAAGGGGCUUUUCAUGGAAUAAAUUUCGCUAAUUAUUUCUAAGCAUUUUUUAAAAAAAAAAAAUAAUCACUACACCACAUCUAAAAAAAAAAAUCCUAAGAUACUAGGAAUGCAUUUGAGUUUGUUUCUACUCGAAGUGCUUUCUUAGAAAAUAUUUUUAGGAGAAUCACCUAAAAUGUGUCUCCAAAAAACACAAAAAGUGACUUUUAACACUACAAGUGACUUUUCCUAGGAUUCUUUUGGUUGCCUUUAAGGAAAUAUCUAAGUUUACAUUCACAUCAUUUAACCACUUUGAUAGGCAAGCAAGAAGUAAAGUUCUGUAGAGUUGUGAUAAUUUAGUCAGAGUCUGAGUAAUCUAGAUAAAAUGGAAUACUCCAAUUAUUUUAGAACAUGUAUAAUACUGUUGAACUCAAGAGUGGCCAGUUUGGGAAGUCAAAAGGUGUGAUCCUAUUUUUAGACACAAUGGAUCCUUCUUCCUAAUGGAAGCUUAAAGCUUUAUUUUGAUAGAUGGACAGUUUGUACCCUAAGAUAAAUGGGUAUUGGAGAAUUAUUUGAGAUCACAGGAAGAACACUGGUGGGCCUUUUCUAGAUUAGAUAGGAUAAAGACAAAAAUUUAAGCCAAGAUCCUAACCUUACUUGAGCACAUUAGAAAGGCCCUUUCUUUGGGAAUUGGGAACCUGUAGGUGAAAGGAGACUCAGAAAUAGUCAUUGUACAGGCCAUAAGGGGGAAUAGAGGUACCUAGUGUUGUAAACAUUAGAUGAGAUGGUCCAAUCACAUUUUCUAGUCAGAAUUUAUUCAAAAGUAGUCGGGUUUCUUCAAGCCAAAAUUAUGUAGUAUUGGCAAUUCAGUGAACAUAAUGCUAGAGUUGUACUUGUGGUCAAACAUAAAGAAACUCUCACCCAAUCCUUGAACGCUAAAGAAUUUGAAGAGAGUAAGCUACACCAUGAGGUUUGAGAGGAGAACAUUUUUGAGAUAAAUUCCUCUUCAUUUGUUCCCAAAUCACAAUAUUCACUUUCAGAUGAAAACUUUGAUUUUGAACCAUUUUUUUAAAACCUUUAUUAGUUUAUAAACUUUUCUAGAGAUUAUACCAGUGCUUCUGACAAGCAGAACUAAUGAGGGCAAUGGCUCUCAUAGAUCCAUAUCAUGAAGGACUGCAGUUCAUGGAUUUAAAUUUUGAAGAACAGUAGUUUCAAGAACUCAUAUUUUGAAGAACAGUAGUUGGAUCAGGGAGUCAGAAAUCUGCUAGAAGGUGGUUUGGGGAGGUUUUUAUUUCUCAUGGAUUCUUAGAUUAGAUAUGAGAUUCAAGAAAAUAAAGUUGAUGUAUUGAAUAGAGGUUCAAUUAGGUAUCCUGAAUUUCAAUGUUUCUAUGUUAAUUACUGUCUCCUUAUUUUCCUUACUUUCAUGAUCAUUAUAUUUAUUUGAUUAGGUUAAUUAAAUUAUAGAUAUGAGAUUUGGUACAUCUUAGAUUAAAUUUACACCUUAAAACUAAGAAUUGAAGGAAGGCACACAUUUAUUUCACAAAUGAGAAUGUCUAUUUAUAGGCUUACAACCAAACGGAAAUUGUAAAAAAAUAUCAGCUAACUAUCAGAUUUUAUUGGCACUACUUCUACUAAGUGAAAACAGAAAAUUAUGGAGCAAGAAUAUGAUAUGAAACAAUAACAAAUACUAAAUCUAACUAAGACUUUUUCAAACUUCAGAAGCAAACUCUUAUGAGUUCUAACAUUCCUCCUUGAGAUUUGCCUUGGACAUGCCAAGCUUCAACCUUAGGAACUCCAGCCUUGAUUUAGGAAGUGCCUUAGUCAUUAUGUUAGCAAGUUGCACAUCAAUUGAGAAUAAUGCAACUUGACAAGUGAAUUCUUUUCAGCUUCCCUUAUAGAGUGAAAUUUUACAUUUAUGUGCUUGGUCCUGCCAUGUUGGAUAAGAUUUUGAGCAAUGGCAAUGGCUGACUUGUUGUCACAGUAAAGCUUUGUUGGUAAGCUUUGUUCCUGGCCUCGAUCAGCAAGCAAUUUCCUUAACCAUGUUCCUUGAUUUGUAGCAGCUGCUAAGGAGAUAUACUCAGCUUCUGCAAUUGAUUGUGCCACUACUUCUUACUUUCUUGAAUUCCAGCAAAUGACACAUGAACCGAUUGUAAAUACAUAACCUAAAGUGCUCUUCAUGUCAUCAACACUUCCUGCCUAAUCACUAUCAGCAUAGCCAUCUAGCUUAACUCCUCCUAUCUUUAAAUACCAGAUGCCAAGAUUUAUUGUACCUCUAACAUACUUCAACACCCUUUUUACAACUCCCAUGUGAACAUUGCUUGGUGAACUCAUGAAUCUUGAAAGCAAACCAACUAGAAACAUCAAGUCAGGUUUGGUUGCUGUCAAGUAUAGUAGGUUGCCUACCAACCUUCUAUAUGCAGAGGGUUCCUCAAGUUUCUCACCAUCAUUCUUCAAAAUUUUCUCAUUUUGUGCUAGCAGAGUUGCUACUUCUUUGCAUGAUUCUAGCUUGAAUUUCUUGAGAAUAUCAUCAACAUAUUUUCUCUAUGAAAUGAAGAUACCUGAGCUGCAUUGGUAUAUUUCCAUUCCAAGGAAGUAGUUCAUGAUGCCAAGGUCAGACAUCUCAAAUACAUCUUGCAUUUCCAUUUUGAACUCUAUCAGCAAUCAUACAUUGCUUCCAGUCACUAGCAUGUCAUCAACAUAAAGUGACACUACCAAUUGCAAACCAUCCUCAUUUUCUUUCAAAUACAAAGUAGCUUCAUUUUCACUCCUCCUAAACCCAAAUUGGAUUAGGUGAGAGUCAAUUAUGCUAUACCAGGCCCUUGGUGCUUGCUUCAAACCAUAGAGAGCCUUGUGCGGCUUGUACACUUUGUGUUCAUGCCUAGUAACCUCAAAGUCUUCUGGUUGUUGAACAUAAAUUUCUUCAAGAAGUAUACCAUUUAGAAAAGCUGACUUGACAUCUAAAUGGUACACUUUCCAUCCCAUUUGACCAACAAGUGCAAAUAGUAGCCUUAUAGUGUCAUGUUUGGCUACUAGUGCAAAUAUAUCACCAUAGUCCACUCCAGCAACUUGAGCAAAACCCUUCACAACCAAUCUAGCCUUGUGCUUGAAUAUUAAACCAUCUGAAUUGAAUUUGGUUCUGAAAACCCAUUUUACACCAAUUGCCUUCUUAGCUUCAGGUAAUUCUGUUAACUUCCAAGUUCCAUUUCUUUCAAUAACAUCAAUUUCAACUUUCAUAGCCUCAAUUCAUUCUGGAAAUCUUGCAACUUAUGUGUAACAUGUAGGCUCAACAUGUACAAGAUUGCACCUCUCAUACACAUAGAUCAUGGCCUUACCUUAAGCACUGGUGUGUCUGAAGUUGCUUCAAUAUCAAGUGGAUCUUCAAUACUUGUACUUUCUACUGUUGGUUCAAGAAUAGAUGGAGUGGUUUGAUCACAUUUAUGGGCUUUCUUCAAGUCCCAAUUCUAGUAGGAAUUUUCAUCAAAGUGCACAUCUUUACUUAUCAAUUUUCAUUAUACUCAAGCUAUAAAUUAUGUAACCUUUUGAUUCUACUGCAUACCCAACAAAAACACCUUUCUCAGCUCUUUCAUCAAGCUUGCCUCUCUUGAUAGAUGGCACAUGAAGGUAACAUAAUGAGCCAAACACUUUCAGGUGCUUGACAAAUGGUUUUACACUAGACCAUGCCUCUAUUGGUGUUUUGCUCUGAAUAGACUUAGUCGGUAGUAUGUUAAGAAAAUAUACUAAGGUGCUAAUUGUUUCAGCCCACAAAAGCUUUGGUAGCUUCUUCCCGAAUAGCAUGCACUUUGCCAUCUCCAUUACCGUUUUGUUCUUCCUCACAAAGACUCCAUUAUGCUACGGUGAGUAUCGAGCUGUCAGCCGGUGUACAAUUCUAGUUUCUUAACAAAAAACAUUGAACUCUUUUGAGGUGUAAUCAUCAAUAAAUAGUGCAAAAUAAACAUUGUUGCUCAAUGAGGUUGUGCACAUUGGUCCACAAAUAUCUUAAUGAACUAAUUCCAACUUGUGAGUAGCUUUCUUGGACAUAUUUUGAGGGAAUGAUUUGCGAUGUUGCUUCCCUAGAUCACAACUUUCACAAGUUUGAGCAUUAAUUGUGAUUUCAAGCAUGUCUUCAACCAUACCAGCUUCUUGCAUGAACUUCAAUGACUUCAAGUUGAAAUGACCAUAUCUUUUGUGCCAAACAACACUCUCAUCAAUCUUGGCACUAAAGACAUGAUCUUCAACUAAAUCAAGCUUCAAAUAAAAGUUAUUUCCAUUCAUUUGAAUUUUUGCUAUCUCUGUUCCAUGUACAUCAGUGAUAAAACAAACAUUUUCUUUAAAAGAUACUGCAUAUCCAUUUCUUAACAUUUGUGUAACACUAAGAAGAUUUUGAUCUAGUUCUGGAAUGUAAAAAACAUUAGUGACAAUUUUUGUACCUCUCUUGGUGCUAAUAGCAAUUGUCCAUUUUCCUUUGGCCUGCACAAUUUCACAAUUUCCUAACUUAACCUUUGGUUGAACUAAUCUAUCAAUGGAGGUAAAAAUUGAUAAAUGUUUGGUCAUGUGAUUGGUGCAGCCACUGUCAAUGAGUCAAGUAUUAAGUUUAUGAGAACUGAGUACUUGUGAUGCCAUAAAUAAAUGCUCAUCAUCAUCUUUGUCUUCUUAAAUCAUAUUUUCAUGUUGUUUGUGUUUGCUGUUGAGAUUGUUUUUUCUUGGCUCUGCAAUACUUCUCACUGUGGCCAAUUUUAUUAUAUAAAUUACAAUUAAAAUGAGGUUUACCUUUGUACCAACAAUCUUUCUCAACAUGGUUGGUUCUGCUGCAAUGAAAGCAACGCAAAAAGUUUUCUUUUUUGAAGAUCCUUCAAUUUUCCCUUUGUUGUUCUUAAAGAACUUAUUUCCUUAUAGGUUUCCAGAACUCUUUCCCUUAUGAUUUGCUUGAAAGCACCUUCAGUAGCUUCAUCACCUCUCAUUAAGACCCUUUGCUCCUAUGCAUGAUGAUUCAUGCCCAAUUGGUGUCUCAGCUGAUUCAUGUCCAGCUGGUGCUCCUUGUUUGAGGGAGUAAUCAACAAAAUUUAUAACCUAUUACACCAUUAACUAGGGUAGCAAAGAAAAAGCUACUAUAGUAUAGUGGCUCUAGGAUCGUUCACUCGGAAGGGUUUCCAAAUUACAAAUGAUACCAAUUCAAAGUGAAUUGGUACUUUUUCAUUUCAAGGUUAGCUCAAGAAAUAAAACAAAAACUUUGAUUGGUAAAGAUUUAGAUUUAAAAUGACUACAAAGCAAGUGAUGGAAAUUACUUAGGAAGAAAAACAUUCCUUGGAGGGUCAGGUUCACUGGGGAGGUUCCUCAUGCAAAAGACAUAGCUCAGGUUAGUUGGUUCAUUUCCUCGCGUGAGAGAAUCAACAUAUAGUCAAUUCUCUAACCGGUGUUGUACAUAUACAUCCUUUAAUUAGAUUUCAGCUUUAAUUCUCUCACUGAUGCAACUUGCAACAGUUCGAGCCUCUCACUAAGCCUUAACCAUUUAAGGUGAUCUUUAACCUUGGACUUCCUUUCUCAAGCUCGCAAGAGAUAACUAAUGGAUGUCUCCUUGGAGUCCAAAAGCUUACCAAGUGUUGGCAAUUCCAAAAAAUCCUACCUUCAAGUCACCUCUCAGAGGCUCGCAAGGGGUAAACUAGUGCAUCUCCAUGGUUGGAGAUCACUUGCCUUACCAAGUGUUGGCUCAGGUGACUCUAAGGUGUUUUAAGUUAACUAAAAACAUAGAAAUCACUAAAGGAUUUCACUUCCUCUUCAUUCAUGGCUGAAACCAUAAAGCUCUGCAUUCUUGCACUUGGAACCUUUCCCGGCAACCUUAGCUCCAAGGAACUAAAGGUUUAGUUACUCAUUCUCUGGAGAAACUUCCUCAGAGAGUGCAUAACUUAGAAAAAAAUGAAAAAUACAAAGUGAGAAGGUAAGGCAAAAAAAAGGUCCUCACUUUCCUCCUCGAGAACAGGCUCUCGAGAGAUAUUUAUAUCAACAAAAACAAAUACUAAUUAUUACAUGGAUAUUUACUCUUUUUACUAACUUAAAAGCUAAGGAAUCUUAUAAUUGGUGGCUUUCAAGGAGAAUUUUGGGAUUUAGAGAACAAAAAUCUGAUGAAAAAUAUCUCCCAAUGUCAGAAGCAAAUAUCAGGACGCACUAAGGAUCAUUUCACAAGUGAAAAUGAUGUCUGCGAGAUUUCAUAGAGGCACAAAAAGGGCUGCGAAAUCAUUUUGCAACAAACGGCUAAUCUCGCAGCGCUGCGAAGUUGGCUUUCAGCUUGCGGUGUUCGGCUUCCAACGUGUCACAUAUAUCGGGAAACUUCAGGAGGAAUUCCACAACACUGUGCAAAAAGGCUACGAAAUCAUUUCGCAACAAAAGGGUGAUUUCGCAACACUUUGCAAAAUUCUUCCUUCAACUUAGAGUGAUUAACUUGAAAUGGCUGUAACUUCUUCAUUUUAACUCCAAAUUGCGUACCGUUUGAAGCAUUGGAUUGUUAACUUCCUGAGCUUCGAAACAACAUAUAGUAUACAUGAAUUAGACUUCAGAAAGUUCUCCCAAAGUGGCUGACAUGACUGUCAUCAAGAAUAUGCUUCAUGACAUAUUUCUCUUUGCUUCUUCUCCUUACAUUCUGGAUUUACUCAUGGCAUCAAAGGACUUCAAAGCUUUAGUUCUUCACGUUUCUGAGCUUCAAAUUGCUUUUCCAAAGAUUCCACAUAACUCUCCUCAAUCUCGGAUUGCUUUGGUGAUCAAAAAGGCUAUCAAAACACCAAAACUUAACACAUAUUGAUUAGAAGUGCUUGCAAAGGUCCUUAAUAUGUUAAUUGGGUUAAAAGGCAAUAACUACUACUCAAAAGUGUUUAAAAGAGUUAAUUACAAGUUAUGAAAUAGCACAUUUUGAGUAGUAAUCACUCCCCCCAACCGACAUAUUGCUAGUCCCUUAGCAAUGAAGGAGAGAAAAAUAAAAAUAAAAAUUACUAUAAUUUACAACAUCAUGCUAAUUACUUCAAAAAAUUUUAAGUGGCAUGAUGAUCUAACUCCCACAUGGAACAUUGAAGAAAUAUAAACUCAAAUUCAACAAGAGUUAUCAAAAACUUUGCUAAACACUAUUAAUCAAGGGAAUGCAUUAUGCAAACUGAAGUUUUAAAAUCAUUUUCACUUUCAAAGAACCAAACUUUAUUCUUCCACAAAAAUCUAAGUGUAUGAUUCCUUAGCUUCCGAAUAUAGUAUGCUAAACUAAUCUCUCCCCCCAACCUAUCUCUUUUUAACACUUAGCAAACUGACCAAAUUCAAUAGGCAGAGAACACACUUUUAUUUUUUUUUUUUAAAGAGGCUUAAAGGGGAGUUCUUUCUGAAUUGUCCAUAUAACGGGGGUCCAUCUAUGACUCCCAACCAAUUAAGGUUUAGGGCAUCAAGUUUUAAGGAUCUUUCAACCACUAACUCCUCGAAUUUUACCCUGGACUUUUGAGAAUGAUUGAUUUUUUAAUACCCAAGCACCUAACAUAUGCUAACUCCACCUAUCCACCCUUGUAACGAGCAUUGAGUUCGGUGACUCCCAACCAAUUAAGGCUUAGGGCACCAGGUUUUAAAGAUUUUCACCAUAUACCCCUCAAACCUUGCUCGGGUUUCAAGACAAGCAAACAUUUUUCUUUCUUUAUUUCAAAGGCUCAUUGGCCUUUCAUAAGGUGUCUCAACUUUAUCAAAUGAGGUCAAAUGUACCAAGUCCCAAAAUUUUCCUAAGUCAAGAGGGAAAUAGUUUUUCAUCUUAUACUCGGAACCUAUUGUGCACAGUGUGUGAAUAGCUUAAAGUGGAAGAACUAAACUUGAUUUCAAGAGAAGCUUCAACAAUUGAACCACUUUAGUAAGCAUAAUCCAUACUCUAAGUCAAGUGAAAAGCAACAAUUCAAUUUCUUCUGAUUUAAUUUGAAAAUUUUUCCUCAAAAUCCAUGGAGAUUAGAGUGGACUGUAAAAGAUUACAACUAAUUUAUCAACAUAAUUGCAUUACCAAAAUAACUUAGCAUACUUCCUUCUUCAUUUCUCCCCCCCCCCCCCCCAACCGAACUGAGCAUUGUCCUCAAUGUGAUAUGGGUGAUUGCAAUUAAAGGGAGGAAGUGAUACCUCCUGAGUGAUGUCAAUUUCGAAUACUGAUUGGAGAAACCACAUGUUUCAAAAACAAUAAAAGAUAUGAGUAGAGGAAUUAGGAUAAAAUAAUGCUAAGAAUACUAAAAAAUUGAUAGAUUUGUAUUACUUCAUUUGAUGAAAAUACAAAAAGAGAACAAGUAAUACAAUUAAUCCCAGUAUAUAAUAUCAAAAGCAUGGGAUUUCUAAAGCUACUCCAGUAAGGAAAAUAUAAGGGAAAUACAUAAAGGACAUAUAUAAAGGAAACUAUGAAAAUGAUCAGAUGGUAGUUGGAGGAUGAUGUGAAGAUGAUGGCUCAGCUGCCUCUGCCUCUCCUAUAGUCGGCUCCUCAGGAGGCAUAGUCUGAUGUACAAAAGGAGGGGCCUGUGAUGGCUCUGGUGGGAUAGGAAUGGAGUGCUCAGCAGGUGAUAUAAUACCCAGAUGAUGCUGAAUCUGCCUCAAGAUGGCGGUGUGCUGGGUCUAAGUGACGAACAUCUGCUCUUGGCAUGCUCUAAUGGCUGCCAUCUCCUGAGCAAGGCUGCUGUGAGAUGCAGUGAGAGUCUGCAGUGAGCGACAUAACUCCCUAUACUCAGAAAUGGGAAUGGCCAUCCUGGGCUCAGCUGAAGAAGAUGGUUGUGAUGAGGCUGGAGUGACUGGAGGGGCUCUGGAUAUGACAGGAGAGGCAAUGGGUAUACCCUCAAGUAUCUCAGCUGGCUGUGGCCGCCCUGGCUGCUCAACUCUAUAUGCUGUCAUAUUGUUCCAUUUGUCGAGAGUGAAGACCUCUCGGCAAAUACAUUUGUGCUCCAAAUGAGGAUAUGAUGGAUACCCCAGAUGCUCUAGAAUCUGGCAUAGCAGCCGUGGAAAGAGAAGUGGAAUGGCAUCAGCUCUAUGCAGCUUCUUCUUAUGCAACUUCUCUUCCAAAUAGAGAAGGGCAACCAUAAUUAGGUGGUGAGGGCCAAAGAAAUAUCCCUCAGAAAUCUUGAAUAGGGCCUCCAAAAGUACUCCUCUCCUCUGAGUCCAAUGCUGGAGUGGGUAGAUGUUAUGACGUAGAAAUGCAUCAAUAAGAAACAUGUUUGGAGGAAGUUCCCCCCUCAACAAAUGUGGACGUGUGGAAGCUCCUCUGGACAAGGUAUGUACCAUCUCCAGCUCAGUGGGACUAGUCCACACUCUAAAAUCUUCAAAAUGAGUUGGCUCAUAUGGUAUAUGCAAGGCCUCUACUAUAUGGCGAGCUCCCAAAAUGCCAUGCCGACCAUCUAUAGUAAAAUAAAUUAAAGUAGGAUCUCUGACCUGCUUGGUAGUCAUGAACUGAUAAAAAUCCAUGGCUACCCUGGGGUAGAAGAAGUCUCUAGGGGCCAGCAGCUGCACCAUAUGAUAUCUACGCAAUAGGCGGAAAGAAUCCGCUAGCUCCGACCUCAAUUGGAAGGUUGCUGUGUUAAAGCACAGCUCAAAGUGGAAUGGCCACGCUCUGCAGUCCAAAUUCCCUUCUAUUAGCGGUUGAGUGAGCAUUGGACGCCUAAUUAUCACUUCAGGAGCUACCCCAGAUGGAAUUUGGGGUUCAGAAAGUGGCGGCUAGAGCUCCUGAGGCUGUGCUGGCGGCGCCGGAGAUGGCACCAGAGAUGGCGCUGGAGAGGGCUCUGGUGAGGGAACCGGGGACUGCUCUGUUAAGUCUAUAGGCUCUGAGCUUUCAACCCUGGCCCUCCUUUGCAGGGGUCGACCCCCUGACCUAGUAAGAUAACGCCUCGCCGAAGGCUUCUGCGGCACGGGCUUCGCCGGAGGGAAAACAACUUUUGGCCAUGGAGGUUCAGAGGUAGGAUCUGGAAUGGGCUCCUCUCGCGGAACUCAUUUGCGGCUGGAAGGAGAGGAGGACUUGGCUCCUCUGGUUCACACCAUUUCGGAUUACCGAAAUUUAGCUGGAAGUGAUGACCGGAGAAGAUGAUCGAAGGUUUGCACGACGUCGGGCUCGGGCAAGGAGAUGAACAGUCAGCAACUAUGGCGCGCUCUCUUUUUGAAAUCCUUUCGCAGCUCAAAUGACCGGUAUAUAUAAAAAUAACGGAAUAUUAAGGGUCAUUUUGAGUUUCGCAAAAAAAAAACCAAUUUCGCAGCAAAAAGCUAUUUUCGCAGCCUACUUCGUAGUCCGUUUCUCAGUUGCGAAAUGAGUGUCACUGUGCUGCGAAAUGGCACUCGUGUGCCAAAAUCAAUUUCGCAACUGCGAAAUACCCUGCGGAAUGGAACUUUGGAUGCGAAAUCAGGGAUUUUCAUGCUUUAUAGCUUCGCAGCCAUUUUGCAGCUGCGAAUUGGGGGCUCCUGUGCUACAAAGUGGCACUCGUGUGCCAAAAUCGGUUUCGCAGAAGAGUCAAAUGAGUUGCGAAAUGAUUUCGCAAAGGAUGGCCGCUUUCGCAGAGACAUGCUGAUUUCGCAGCAGCUUCGUUUAAGUUGCGAAAUGGUUUCGCAACGAAGUGCUAAUUUCGCAGAGGAUUUCCUUAGGCUGCGAAGUCUCGCAGAGCCUUGUUUUUGCUCUGUUUACACUCUGUUUUUGCUCUAUUUUUGGUCCGAUUUUGCUCCGGUUUCUUUCUUUCAAUUUCUUUGCAUUUUAUCCCACCUGAGAUCAUUCAAAAACAUUAAAUUACAUUAAAAAAAACAUACUUUAAGAUAAAAAAUUAAAAUGAAAAGUAUGGAAAAAAACUUUGAAAUUUACAAAAUUUACAAAAAUUUUGGACUUUGGUAAAACCAAGUCCAUCAAACCCUUAUUUGCUUAGGCUUUUUGUGGCUCAAGGAGGUUGAUUUCCUCAUUUUCUGGUUUGAAUGGCUCCAUGAACGACUUGAGACGAUAUCCAUUGACUCUAAAGGUAUCUUUGCCAUUGGAAUUCAAUAAUUCCACCACUCCAUUGACAUAUACUUGGUGAAUAAUGAACGGCCCUAUCCACCUUGACUUGAGCUUUCCAGGAAAGAUAUGGAGUCUUGUGUCAUAAAGUAAAAAUCUUUGUCCUUUCUGAAAUUCUUUGUUGGAGAUUAGUUGAUCAUGUCAUUUCUUCAUCCUCUGUUUUGCAACUUUGGAAUUGAUAUAAGCAUCAUUUCUUAAUUCCUCCAUCUCAUUAAGGUCUAGACACCUCUUUGCUCCGGCUCUGAUCAAGUCCAUGUUCAGCUUCUUUAUUGCCCACCAAGCUUUGUAUUCAACUUCCACAAGGAGAUGGCAUGCUUUGCCAUAGAAAAUACGAUAGGGAGACAUGUCGAGAAUAGUCUUAUAAGUUGUUCUAUACGCCCAUAAUGAAUCAUGAAGCCUAAUAGACCAAUCUUUUCUACUUGCAUUCACCACUUUCAUCAAUAUGUUCUUUAUUUCCCUGUUAGCUAGCUCAACUUGCCCCGAAGUCUGAGGAUGAUAAGGCGUAGCUACCUUAUGCUUCACUCCAUACUUGGAUAAUAGAGCUUCAAAAGGUUUGUUGCAAAAAUGAGCACCUUCAUCACUGAUUAUGGCUUUGGGCACCCCAAAUCUUGAGAAAAUGUUCUCUUUAAGGAAUUUGAGAACCACCCUAUGAUCAUUUUGUCUACAAGGGAUUGCCUCAACCCAUUUAGAAACAUAAUCCACCCCCACCAACAUGUAAGAAUUACCAAAAGACAUUGGGAAAGGCCCCAUGAAGUCAAUACCUCAUACAUCAAAUAGCUCAACUAUUAGAAUGGGGUUCAUAGGCAUUUGAUUCCUUUUUGUUAGCUUUCCAAGCCUUUGGCAUCUAUCACAACUUCUAUACAUGAUGUGGGCAUCUUUGAAAAGAGAUGGCCAAGUAAACCCUGAUUGCAACACCUUCAUGGUUGUUUUCUGAGAGGCAAAGUGACCUCCACAUGCAUUCUCAUGACAAUGGUUUAGAAUCCCUUGCUGCUCAUCUUCAGGGACACACUUCCUUAUGAUCUGAUCUGCACAAUACUUAAAAAGGAAAGGCUCUUCCCAAUAAUAAGCAUGAAUUUUUGAAAAGAAGUGCUUCCUGUCCUGUGCAUUCCACUCACUUGGAAUUUCACCAGUAACUAGAUAAUUAGCAAUAUGAGCAUACCAAGGAGUUUUUACUAGGAACAUAAGUGAUUCCUCAGGAAAGUCAUCAUUAAUAGGCAAGGAAUAGGAAUUAUGUGUUAUAACUAACCUUGAAAGAUGGUCAGCUACCACAUUCUCCACUCAUUUCUUAUCUUUGAUUUGGAGAUCGAAUUCUUGUAGCAAAAGAAUCCAUCUAAUCAACCUUGCUUUUGCAUCUUGCUUUGUCAAUAAAUACUUCAAGGCUGAAUGGUCAAUGAAAACAAUGAUGAAAGACCCCACUAAAUAAGCAUGAAAUUUGUCCAAGGCAAAUACCACAGCUAUCAAUUCUUUCUUUGUAGUUAUGUAGUUCCUUUGAGCUUCAUUCAGUGUUUUGCUUGCAUAGUAGAUCACAUAGGGCUUCCCAUCUUCUCUUUGGCCAAGCACAGCUCCUAUAGCAAAGUCACUGGUAUCACACAUCAGUUCAAAGGGUAGUUGCCAGUUAGGGGCUCUCACUAUUGGAGUUGUUGUUAAAAAUUUCUUCAGUUGAUCAAAGCUAUUUUGACAUCUUUCAUGCCAUAUAAACUUAGCAUCCUUAGCUAACAGCUCACAAAGAGGUUUUGAAAGACUUGAAAAACCUUUUAUAAACCUCCUAUAGAACCCUGCAUGGCCAAGGAACUGUCUUACUCCUUUCACAGUUGUUGGGGAUGGUAAUUUGACAAUAAGCUCCACCUUUGCUUUAUCAACUUCAAUGCCUUUUUCGGAGAUAAUAUGGCCAAGGACAAUUCCUUGACGUACCAUAAAAUGGCAUUUCUCCCAGUUGAGCACCAAGUCUUUUUCAAUUCAUCUGUGAAGAACCGCUUCCAAAUUGAUUAAGCAUUCCUCAAAUGUACCUCCAUAUACGGUGAUGUCAUCCAUGAAAACCUCCAUAAUUCGCUCCACCAUAUCACUGAAAAUACUCAACAUACAUCUUUGAAAUGUUGCAGGUGCAUUGCAUAAACCAAAUGGCAUCCUUCUGUAAGCAUAUGUUCCAAAUGGACAUGUAAAGGUGGUUUUUUCCUAAUCUUCCACAUCAAUUUCAAUCUGAAAAUACCCUGAAUACCUGUCCAAGAAACAAUAAAACGGAUGGCCAGAGACUUUCUCCAGCACUUGGUCAAUAAAUGGCAAUGGAAAAUGAUCUUUCCUGGUUACAGCAUUCAACUUUCUAUAAUCAAUACACACCCUCCAACCUGAAGUGAGGCGUGUAGUAAUUUCUUCCCCUUUUUCGUUCUGAACCACAGCAAUCCCUGCCUUCUUUGGUACCACUUGAGUAGGACUCACCCAAGGGCUAUCAGAUAUAGGGUAAAUAAUGCCUGCUUGAAGUAGCUUCAGCACCUCAGCUCGCACCACCUCUUGUAAAUGAGGAUUCAAUCUUCUUUGAAGUUGACGAAUUGGCUUUGCUUCCUCCUCCAUAUAUAUAUGAUGCGUGCAAACUAAAGGACUAAUGCCUUUCAAGUCGGAUAUUUGCCAUCCUAUUGCCUUCUUACACCUCUUGAGAACUUGCAGUAAAGACUUCUCUUGAUGACUGGUCAGAGAUGAAGAUAUUACAACAGGACAUUGAUUAUUUUCCUCAAGGUAUGUAUAUUUCAGCUCCACGGGUAGAGGCUUCAGAUUGAGUUUUGGAGUUUCUUUUUCAGCAACUGCCUCUUCUUCUUUAUUGAACAAAGGUAGAAUCUCUUCUAUCCUUCUCCAACAUUGUAGAGUAGCAAGCACAUUAGGAGGUUCAGACAAACCUUUCUCAAAAUCCACAAGACUUUCAUUCAGCUUGUCCUGCAUAUUCUGAUUACAGUGCUCCUCUACCAAAGUGUCAAUGAUGCACACCUCUUCUGGACCCUCUUCUUCUUCCGGAGUGGUUUGCUUUUUAGACAUAUAGAAGAUAUUGAGAUCAAGUGUCAUGUUGCCAAAAGUGAGUUGCAUAAGCCCAUUCCUACAGUUGAUGAUUGCAUUUGAGGUAGCAAGGAAUGACCUUCCAAGGAUGAUAGGAACUAAAUUAGCUUCCUUUACAGUAGGGUCUGUAUCAAGAACAAUAAAAUCUACCGGAUAGUAGAAAUUAUCAACUUGAACCAAGACAUCCUCAAUUACCCCCCUUGGAAUUUUUACUGAUCUAUCUGCUAGAGAUAGAGUGAUUGUCAUUGGCUUCAACUCACCAAGUCCCAAUUGCUUGUAGACAGAGUAUGGAAGCAAAUUCACACUUGCUCCCAAGUCUAACAAAGCUUUCUCCACUACCUUUUCUCCAAUCAUGACUGAAAUGGUAGGACUUCCCGGAUCUUUGUACUUCAAUGGAGACUUACAUUGUAAGAUUGCACUUACUUGCUCAGUCAAGAAGGCUUUCUUAUUUACAGUCAACCCAUUUUUAAUAGUACAUAAAUCCUUUAGGAACUUUGCAUAUGUUGGAACUUGUUUAAUCAUAUCCAGCAAUGGGAUAUUGACUUUCACUUGUCUCAAUACUUCAAGAAUUUCAAAUGCAUUUCUAAUCCCAUUUUUCCCAUGCAAUGCUUGAGGAAAAGGAGGAGAAGUUGAUUUUUUAAGCAUUUCUUCUUUUUGAAGCUCCUUCUCUGGAAUUGCAUUCAUUGUUGAAUCAUAGUCCUUCUUCUUUUCACUGAUCUCACUCUCUUUGUCUUCCAUUUCCUCCCCUUUCUUUAUCUCUUCUUCUUUCUCAACAUGUGGCUUGGGUGUUGGCUUCUCAAUUUUUUUACCACUCCUUAAAGUGAUCAAGGCUUUGACAUCUUUCAUCUGUGAUGAUUCUCCCUCAAGGCUUUCCACUUCAUGGACACCCUUGGGGUUUUGGUGGGGUUGAGAAGGAAAUCUUCUCUUUUCUUGUACUGUGUUCAAAUUUGUGAGCCUUGAAAUUGAGUAUUGGAGAUUAUCAAACUUUUGGGAUAUAUCAUUUUGCAUUUCAUCCAUCAUUUUAUUCAAAGUACUCUCCACUCUGUCAAUUCUUUGAUUGAGUUGAGCAUUGAUGGCUUCUUGGUUUCCAACAAAAUCUCCCACUACCUUGCUGAGAUUUGCUAUUGCUUGUUCAAGACUUGAAGAUUGUUGAGAUGGUUGAUCCAGCUGUUGGUACUGAGCUGCUCUAGCCUUCCAUGAGAAAUUUGGAUGAUUCCUCCAACUUGAGUUGUAAGUAUUUCCAUAAGGCGCAUUGUUAUUAAGCUUGAAUUGUCCAACAAGAUUUGCUUGAUCUCUAAACAUUUCCCUUUCAGCUGAAAUUGCAGGGCAUUCCUCCACCAAAUGUUCAUAUGAUUGACAAUUAGGACAAAGCUUCACUUGCACUAGUGCUUCAGCAACAGCUUGCACUUCAUGCACUUUCUUCAGUUCCAGCUCCUCCAAUCUUCUUGUCACAGCUGCCAAUUUUGCUUUCAUAUCAUCAUCUUCUUUCAAGGUAUACAUCCCAGCCUUAGCAUUAAAAGCACUCAGUUGAGACUUCAUCUUCCCCACUUCUCUUUUGAUUGGUUCAUCCCAUCCCCUUGAAACUUCAGCUACAUAGUUCAAGAAAUCCAUAGCUUCCUCCGGAUUUUUGCUCAUGAAAUCUCCUCCACACAUUGUCUUGAGGAGUUGCUUCAUUAAGGAAGACAUCCCAUCAUAAAAAUAGCUCACCAAUAGCCAAGUAUCAAAUCCAUGGUGAGGGCAAGCAUUUAUAGCUUCCAUGUAUCUUUCCCAACACUCAUAGAAUUUCUCAUUCUCUUUAGCUGAGAAAUUUGAAAUUUGCCUUUUCAAGCCAUUUGUUCUAUGAGUGGGAACAAAUUUCUUGAGGAAUUCAGCUUGUAAGUCAGUCCAAGUGCGGAUACUCCUUGGCCUUAAAGAAUUAAGCCAAAUUUUGGCCUUAUCCUUUAAAGUAAAAGGAAAUAACUUAAGCCUCAUCAAAUCAAUUGAAGCUCCUCCCUCUUGGAAUGUAUUACAAACAUUUUCAAAUUCCUUGAUGUGUGCAUAGGGAUUCUCACUUUCCAUCCCAUGGAAAGUUGGUAGAAGUGGAACAAGAUACGGUCUGAUCACUAGCUGCUCUGUAGGGGGCACUAUACAUGAUGGUGCACUCAUACGAGGUGGAUGCAUACGAUCCCUCAUUGAUCUGAAUUCAUUAAGAUUGUCUUGACGACCUUGGUGACUAUGUUGAUCUUCAGGUGUAGCUUCCAUGAUAUUCAAGCUCAAUUCCAAUUCCUUGUUAUGAGGUGUAUCACGUUUAACAAGCCUUCCUCCAUUGUCUCGUAUCCAAUUUGGCAUACACAACUAGUAUCUAUCUGUAACUAAAAUGAAAAUAAAGGACAACAAAAGGAAACAGGGCUACAACAACAAAAUUAAACUAAGCUGAAUUUAAAAGAUAAAUUUGGAUUAUGAAUUAGUAAAGAAAGAAUGAGAAUUAGUAAAAUGAAAGAAACGUUACCAAACUUGUGAUGAAAAUCACAAGUGCUCUGAAAUAGUAUCACUAUAAACUUGACACCUUCCCCGGCAACGGCGCUAUUUGAUUCAUGCCCAAUUGGUGUCUCAGUUGAUUCAUGUCCAGCUGGUGCUCCUUGUUUGAGGGAGUAAUCAACAAAAUUUAUAACCUAUUACACCAUAUACUAGGGUAGCAAAGAAAAAGCUACUAUAGUAUAGUGGCUCUAGGAUCGUUCACUCGGAAGGGUUUCCAAAUUACAAAUGAUACCAAUUCAAAGUGAAUUAGUACAUUUUCAUUUCAAGGUUAGCUCAAGAAAUAAAACAAAAACUUUGAUUGGUAAAGAUUUAGAUUUAAAAUGACUACAAAGCAAGUGAUGGAAAUUACUUAGGAAGAAAAACAUUCCUUGGAGGGUCAGGUUCACUGGGGAGGUUCCUCAUGCAAAAGACAUAGCUCAGGUCAGUUGGUUCAUUUCCUCGCAUGAGAGAAUCAACAUAUAGUCAAUUCUCUAACCGGUGUUGUACAGAUACAUCCUUUAAUUAGAUUUCAGCUUUAAUUCUCUCACUGAUGCAACUUGCAACGGUUCGAGCCUCUCACUAAGCCUUAACCAUUCAAGGUGAUCUUUAACCUUGGACUUCCCUUCUCAAGCUCGCAAGAGAUAACUAAUGGAUGUCUCCUUGGAGUCCAAAAGCUUACCAAGUGUUGGCAAUUCCAGAAAAUCCUACCUUCAAGUCACCUCCCAGAGGCUCGCAAGGGGUAAACUAGUGCAUCUCCAUGGUUGGAGAUCACUUGCCUUACCAAGUGUUGGCCCAGGUGACUCUAAGGUGUUUUAAGUUAACUAAAAACAUAGAAAUCACUAAAGGAUUUCACUUCCUCUUCAUUCAUGGUUGAAACCAUAAAGCUCUGCAUUCUUGCACUUGGAACCUUUCCCGGCAACCUUAGCUCCAAGGAACUAAAGGUUUAGUUACUCAUUCUCUGGAGAAACUUCAUCAGAGACUGCAUAACUUAGAAAAAAAAUGAAAAAUACAAAGUGAGAAGGUAAGGCAAAACAAAGGUCCUCACUUUUACUUGCUUUCAAACUUUUACAUAAGGGUUCCUCCCUGAGAACAGGCUCUCGAGAGCUAUUUAUAUAAACAAAAACAAAUACUAAUUAUGACAUGGAUAUUUACUCUUUUUACUAACUUAAAAGCUAAGGAAUCUUAUAAUUGGUGGCUUUCAAGGAGAAUUUUGGAAUUUAGACAACAAAAAUCUGAUGAAAAAUAUCUCCCAAUGUCGAUAGCAAAUAUCGGGAUGCACUAAGGAUCAUUUCGCAAGUGAAAAUGAUGUCUGCGAGAUUUCAUAGAGGCACAAAAAGGGUUGCGAAAUCAUUUCGCAACAAAAGACUAAUCUCGUAGCGCUGCGAAGUUGGCUUUCAGCUUGCAGUGUUCGACUUCCAACGUGUCACAUAUAUCGGGAAACUUCAGGAGGAAUUCCACAGCACUGUGGAAAAAGGCUGCAAAAUCAUUUCGCAACAAAAGGGUGAUUUCGCAACACUUUGCAAAAUUCUUCCUUCAGCUUACAGUGAUUAACUUGCAAUGGCUGUAACUUCUUCAUUUCAACUCCAAAUUGCACACUGUUUAAAGAAUUGGAUUGUUAACUUCCUGAGCUUCGAAACAACAUAUAGCAUGCAUAAAUUAGACUUCAGGAAGUGCUCCAAAAGUGGCUAACAUGACUGUCAUCAAGAAUAUGCUUCAUGACAUAUUUCUCUUUGCUUCUUCUCCUUACAUUCCGGAUUUACUAAUGGUAGCAAAGGACUUCAAAGCUUUAGUUCUUCACGUUUCUGAGCUUAAAAUUGCUUUGCCAAAGAUUCCACAUAACUCUCCUCAAUCUCGGAUUGCUUUGGUGAUCAAAAAGGCUAUCAAAACACCAAAACUUAACACAUAUUGAUUAGAAGUGCUUGCAAAGGUCCUUAAUAUGUUAAUUGGGUUAAAAGGCAAUAACUACUACUCAAAAGUGUUUAAAAGAGUUAAUUAUAAGCUAUGAAAUAGCACAUUUUGAGUAGUAAUCACAUGAAGCUUGCUGGUUAACUCUACAAUUGUGAGACUUUGAAAGUCACAAGGCUCUUCAAUUGCAAAGAUCUUAGCUUCAAACUUUUAAGGGACUGAAACCAUGAUCUUUUCUACCACCUUUUGAUCUAUAAAUUCCUCACCAAGAAGCCUAUUUGGUUUACAACAUCCAUUAACCUGCUAGAAUAAUCUUUCAUAGAUUCGUUGUCUUUCAUCUUCAUCAACUCAAACUCUCUCUUCAAUGUGAGGAGCCUGACAGUUUUAACUCUGUGACUGCCCUCAAAUUCAUCUUGAAGCUUGUCCCAUACCUAUUUAGUUGUUUCCAAGUCCAUGAUUUUGGUGAAGAUGUGGUCUGCAAGUCCUGAAUGUAGGCAGAUGAUGGCUUUGUCUUUUUUUAGUUUUUCCUCAUCAUGUGCUUUCAUCUGAGCAACUAUAAGAUUUGCUCCCAAUGGUGGUGGAUCAGCUUCAGACAUCACAACAUUCCACAAACCUUGAGACCUUAAGUAAAACAUCAUUUUGACAAUCCAAAUGUGAUAGUGUUCACCAUUAAACAUUGGAACUACAGAGGAAGUACUGUUGGAAGUAGACAUGUUUGCACCAUAGCUGCUUGAAAAAAAAAAUCACUCAACCUCACUGUGUUUAGCACUCAAAACACUGAAAGAAACUUUGUCUCACAGCCCAUAGGAACAGAGCUCUGAUACCACUAUCAGAAUCUGUAGAAAAAAUAAAGAAAUCAGGAACUAGAACUUGCAGAGAAAAAUAAAUAAUUUGAGAGUUAAGAAUUGAAGGAAGGCACACAUCUAUUUCACAAAUGAGAAUGCCUAUUUAUAGGCUUACAACCAAACGAAAAUUGCAAAAAAAUCUCAACUACUGGCACUACUUCUACUAACUGAAAAUAGAACAUUAUGGAGCAAGAAUCUGAUAUGAAACAAUAACAAAGACUAAGUCUAACUAAGACUUUUUCAAACUUCAAAGGCAAACUCUCAUGAGUUCUAACAGUUCUUUAUGAAUACAUUGCAAUACUUGCUAUUCACAACAAGGGAAUAAACAUAGCAGAAAGAAAUGAAGUAAAAGAUCAGGGGAAGUUCUGUAGAAACAAAAAACAGUUUGCAAAACAAACAUGAAUUUCAACAGAUAAUAAUUGCACAUACUGUAUAUAAGCAUCUAGGAACGUCAACAAAAUGCUCAAUGGUUCCAGAAACUGAAAAAUGAAAGCGAUGGUAAUCCUGCAACAAUUUGGAAUUCAAUAAUUGAACCAUAUGAUAUGAAAAGUCUUUAUCCUACAAAGCAAUAAAGACAAGUUCCAUGGUGCGAAACGGAAUAUCACCAAGGUUCCAUUAAUAAAAAAACUAAAUCAAAUUUCUUUUCCUAAAAGACCUUGAAUCGAAAACUUCUAACUCUAUAGAGAAAUAAAUAAUGAUCCUAGAAAAUAAGAGAUCACCCAAAAUAAAAAAUUUUAAAUAAAACUGUGAGAAGGAAAAAAAAUAAAAAAAUAAAAAUAAAAACACACCUAUGGAAGCAUCCCAAUACUAUAUAAUUAGAUAAUUACAUAAUAUUCAGAUUGUAUACUGCUUAACAAGAAGGAAUUAUCUAGAGUGGUUACAACUAGUGAGGAUGGUUUUAAAAGGCAAGGGAAAAAUAAGUCAUCUCAUUGGAACAUGCCUAAAACAUGAAGAUUUGCUAUUCAUUGUUUGGGACAAAGAAGAUUCUAUGAUUAUGUCAUAGUUAUGGAAUUCAAUGUUACUUGAAAUCAACAGAAGAUGCAAUUUGGGAAACCAUUUGGCAAAGGUACUAAAAAAUACAAGAUACUGCCUGAAUUUGUGAAUUGAAUAUUAAAAUCUCCAUUACAAAACAGGGUAGCUGAUCGAUUAUUGAGUAUUACAAUGUGAUGAAGAGUCUAUGGCAAGAGGUAGACUAUAAUCAAACAUUCAAAUGAAGUGUUUUCUAUCAUUCAUACUGAAGAAAGUUGAAAAGGGGUGAUGCUUGAUCCACCACCAGUGGAUGGAUCAACCAUGAUUGUAAAAAAACCAAGUGGAGGAGCCAAACUAAAUGGUACAAAUCAGAAUGCUAGCAUGGAGCAAGGAAGACAGGAGUCAAUGAAAAACUUAAUAAAGAAGAAACUAUGGUGCUCGUACAACAAGAAAGCAUGUCACACCAAAGAAAAAUGUGGGAAACUUCAUGGAAAACUACAAGGUCUCAAUCGGAGUGAUGGUAUGAGGAUCUCAUACUUCUUACAUCAUAACUAUUUUUUUCUCUUCAAUAGAAGUACAUCUUCUAACCAUUAGUUUCAUUUUACCUUGUCAAAAUUGAAAAAGUUGAGACUAAAACAACCUCUAAAAGAUGUGUAGCUCUUAGAUCGCAAAUAGUCAAAGCGAUAGAAAAUACCUUAAUUCAAAAUCUUAGAGAAUCUUUAACAGAUUUAAAUGGUGGUAGACGACUAUCUACAGCACAUACAGCAAUAUCAUCACGUUCCGUGAAGGCAAUUGUUCUAGCACCGGGUUUCAACUCUCUUAUAAGAAAUUCAUUGAAUGUCUGCAUAUAUAAGUUAAAAUUCAACUAUAGUAACUGUUCCAUUAUAGAAAUGAUACCAAGAUCCAAAAAUGGUAAUAACAAUAACCUCACCAUCAACUAAGAAGGUUAAAAACCAACAAAACCACAGGGGAAGUGAUAUUGCUCCAUCUCUGUGCAAAAAUCUACUUUCGUCUUUCAAUUCCAAGCUAAGCAAUAAAAAUUUAUAUGUUCCAUCUUGAGAGGGGAAUGUCCUUGUUAAUGAGGGUAUUAUUGAGUAUUAAAUUUAUUAUAAGUGUACAGUAUAUAUAGUUUAUUACUGCAGUUUAUUAUUUUUCUAAUCAAUAAAAACAAGAAGAACAAACACGUUCUCUUUUCCGAUUCUUGUUGUCUAACAAGAUACACAUAAGAUUUAACACAAACAUUAUAAAUUGAUUCGUCCCUCAUGCAGUCAUGCCAUUUGAUUCUGGCUUAAACGAGUGUUAUCAACAAAAUUUAUAAAACCUAAAUCACCGUACACUAGGGUUGCAUAGCUAACAUAGUAUAGUGGCUCUAGGAUCGUCCAUAGGGAUGGGUUUUCAUCGUACAACUGACUUUAGUGAAGGAAAUAAAAUGGUGUUUUUCCUUAUGAAAAUUAACUUUUGAAGAAAAUGGAAUUGUGGUUGCAAAUAUUGAUUUUAAGUUAAGCAAAAAUAAGAAGUGAAGUUAACUACAAAGAAAAGGUCUCUUGGAGCUUUAGGUCACUAGGAUCGGGUUCCUUAGGCAAAGGGGGAGAUUCCGGAUCUUCUCCUUACAUUGGGGACAAUAACAUAAAGGAUGGUUAUCUCCCAAACCAAUUUUGUAUUUAGCAGUUAAGACUUGAUCCAAAGGGUUCAUGAAAAAUGGUAAUUGCUUCCCAUUAAUGGCUUCAAACGCUAAAGACCCUCACCUUGAACCACCUUACAAUGGCUCGUAAAUGAUAAAUAAUAGACAUCCAUGGAUCUAGCAAUAAGCAUCCAUAGAAUCCGAAAAGCUUACCAAGUAUUGGCCAUUCAAGGUGAUUUUAAGGGAUUUAAAGCUAAACCUUGAAAUAAAAACAAUUAAUGGUUAACAACUACAUUCAUUUAAAGCAAGGACAACUCCCACCUUUGCAUUCAAGUCCUUCACCUAGUUUCUAUCACUCCAAGAAACGUAAAACCUAGCCACUCAUCCCCUGAGAAAUCAUCCUCAAAGGUUGUUUGGCUAGAAAGAAAAGUGAAAAACAAAAUGAGAAGGAAAGGCAGAGCAAAAACUCUGUAUAUUUCUUACUACGGGGAUUUUUUAAGUGUCAUCCUCUUCUUUUUUCGAGGUUAUACAAAGAGAGAUAUAUAGAGAGGGGUCUUUCUAACCAAGAAAUCCUAUCAUUGGUUGAUUACAAGGAUAAAAUAGGAAAUUACACAAAAUAUCUGGAGAUAAAAAUCUAACGGAGUCGGUGCACAGGAAGAUUUCACAUACCAUGCGAAAUUUCGCAUGGUGUGCAAAAUUGUCUUUCACUCAGUCCCGCUCUUAGUCCUGUAACUACUCCUCUUGAUUUCGCAUGUUGUGCGAAAUUUUCGCAUAGCCAUGCGAAACUGCUGGUUGUUGGAUUUCUUCCUCUGGUUUUCUUUCUUGCAUCUCUAAUUGGCUUGGCAAAAGGCUAUGAAGUGCUCCAAGAUUCUGAUUCUUCAUGUAUUUGAGCUUCAACUUGCAUUGCCAUGGAUUUCACAAAAUUCUCCCUCAUUCUUGGCUUGUUUCAAUGAUCAAAUAGCUACCAAAAACACUAAAACUUGCCAAAAACUUAUUAAUAACCCUUGCUAUGUUCCUUAAUGUGCCAAUUGAGUUAAAAGGUAUUAACUACUACUCAAAAGUGUUCAAAACAGUUAGUUUCAAGCUAUAAAAUAGUAAUUUUUGAGUAGUAAUCAUAAAUCCUUCAGUAAACAUAUCAAUCAGAAAAUUAUUAGCAUGAAGUUGAAAUGAAGGCAGUCUAAUGUGCCAUAGAAAAAUAGAGAUAAUAUAGUCAACAAUCAUUAAACAAGAUAGAAAUGAGAAUUCAUGUGUGCAUCAGGGAGGAAAAAGUAUCACCAAUCUAUUUCAGAGUCCCACACUACCUUAAAAUGUUCCAAAGGGUACUUGACUUCAUCCAACUUGAUUUGAUCCUACAAACCAUGCUGAAUUAAAUUAGAACUGAAGUAUGCUCUUCAAUACCUGUGAUCUCAGCAUUUAAAUGUUCAAAGGAAUGUAGUUUAAUAUACAUAUCUAUAAUUAGGCCACCAUGAAUAAUGAACCACAUAUAGGUAUACAUCUCUACUAGAGAAAAGGAAGGCAAACAUUCUCAAACAACAAACAGGAAGCAUACCACAUAUAUGCAGCACGGCUUCUACUUUAACAAAUAUUAUUUAUGAGAGAGAGAGUACUUUGCACAUAUUCUAUUGAUCAAUAUUUUGGCAAAUUGUAUUUAUUGAAAUAUCAAAUAGAUAAAAAGGGUCAUCAAAAAUGUAUUUGGUUAAUAAUUAAUGAUAGAGCUGAUUACGAAUUUAUGUGCUUCUAUAUAGAACUAAGUCUUACAACAUAAAUGACGUGGGCAUUUAAUACAAGUAAUAGAAUGCAAUCAAAAUAUAUGUUUUUGUGAGGAUUCCAUCAAUCUUUUUGAGUAAUUAUGUUGUAAGGAUCCAGUUGUGCUAAAGAAUUAUUUCAAACUCAGUUAUCAACCAUUUCAUAAGUAAUUGAAAUCAUUUCAUGGAAGUUAGAAAUCAUGGUAACAAGAUUAUAGUUCAUUCAUUAAGAGAGAUUGUCAUGUCUCAAAGAACUUAAUGAAUUUGGGUAUAUUUUUAGCAGAUUCAACUGAAUUCAUUCACUUUCCCUGCUUUUCAGAAAUGCUUUGCAAAUAGAGAAACAAUUUAAGUUGUGCAAGAAAUUAAAUAUUGAUUAUUCAUUGCAUAUAUUUUGUUUCCGAAUAGACAUUUAAAGUGCAUUCAAGGAAAUCUAUUUACAGUCAGAAGAAGAAAAAAACAGCAAAAAUGUGUAAAAGCAGUGAAGCCUCUACAUAACAAUGAACAGUUCCAUUAUGGUAUAUAAUAGUGUGAAUGACAAUUUUAAAACUUUAGUCAGAGUACAUGUUAUUGUUAACAAAAAGUCACUAAAAGGUUAGAAUGAAAUGUAUCUCUUUAAACAAAAUGGCACAAGAUCACCAGAAAGGCAGUUGAAACCAAUAAGGAAUGUAUGAUUGAUUACUACUCAAAACAUGCUAUUUUGUAGCUUGUAAUUAGCUCUUUUAAACACCCUUGAGUAGUAAUUAUUACCUUUUAACUCAAUUAGCAUGUUAGGGACCCUUGCAAUCUUUUCUAAUCAAAUUGUGUUAAGUUUUGGUGCUUUUUGAUAGCUUUAUGCUCACCAAAGCAAUUAAAGAAUGAGGGAGAGCUAUAUAUAGUUCAUGGAAAAGCUUUUGGAAGCUCAAAUUUAUAAAGAAACCAAGCUUUGGAGCCUCAUAGUGCUUUGCCUUAGUCGUUCAAAGUAUGCAAGGAAAGAACAAUGGAGAAGAGGAAAACAGGGUAAGGAAAACAGGGGACACAACUGCAGUCUUCCUUCGCACUUUUGGAGCACUUUCUGAAGUCCAUUUUCUACAUUCUAUAUACCCUUUCAAAUCUCAGGAAGUCAAGAAUCCAGCGCUUCAAACCGUGUACGAUUUGGAGCUAAAAUGAGGAAGAUAUGGCCUUCGGAAGACAACUGCAUCAAGCUGAGGGACAAUUUCGCACCUUGCGAAAUUGGAACUCCAACGUGCGAAAUUUAAAGUGGAUGGCAGCUGUGUAGUCGCGGUGAAGCCCAACAUGCGGAGUUGAUUUUGCAAAUUGUGGACUUGGAUCUCAACAUGCGAAAGUGAAUUCUAAGUUGUGAAAUCAACUUGCGAAAUUUUCGCAAGUCACCAUGCAACAUGCGAAACUGGGAUAUUUAUGCCGACUCUUUUUCUUCUGAUAUUUUUGUGUCUAAAUUUCCAUUUUCUCCUUGUAUUCAGACACUCAUGUAAUUCCUUAGCUAGGAAGUAUCCAAGGAAGGGUAAAAUUACCUUCCUAUAUAAACUCUCUUGUAAACACUGAAAAAGGAAUCUCGAGGAGCUUUCUCCAAGAGACCAACUUAUGUAAAUUUUACGCUUAGUGAAAUACAGAGAUCUCUUUUGCUUUCUUUUUCUCUCUACUAUUUUAUUUUUCUUGGAAGCCAAACAGCCUCUGAGGAUGUUUUCCCAGAGGAUGAGAGGCUAAACUUAUAGUUUCUUGGAGUUAAGGAAACUAGGUGAAAAGUCCAGAUGAAAAGGUGGAAAGCUUCCGUGAAUUAAAUUCAGGUAGUUGGAGUUCAUAAAUGGCUUCUAAAUCCAAAGUAUUACUUUAAAUCCCUUAGAAUCACUUUGAAUGGCCAAUACAUGGUAAGCUUCAGGUCUCUGUGGAUGCUUAUUGCUAGAUCCAUACCAGUCCAUUAGUUAUCAUGUACGAGCCAUUGGAAAGUGGUUCAAGGUGAAGACCCAUAGUGUCUAAAGCCAUUAAUGAACCUUGACUAUCAUUUCUAUUGACUUUUUAUGGAUUAAAUCUUCAUUGUUAAACAUAUACCGGUUCGGGAAAUAACUAUAGGUUAAAUCCCCAAUGUGAGGAGAAAAAUCCGGAAUUUUCCACUUUGCAUUCUGAACUUGAUCCUUGCAACACUUAGCUCCGGGAGACUUUCUUUCUUCCAUUUUUACUUAGUUAUAUGUUAGUUUAGUUUCAAUCACCACUUUCAAAACAAAUUUUAUUUUCUUUUAAACUUCAAUUUUAUGAUAAAGGAAAUCAUCAGACUCAAUUUCUAAUCUAGAGUCUGUCACUGAUAGAGUAAAAACCCAUCCCUGAGUUCGACCCUAGAGCUGCUAUACUAUAGUAGCUUUGCUACGCCAGUAUAAGGUCAUAGAAUUUAUAAAUAUUUUUUAUUAAAAGACCCGAUUGGGCUCGAAUCAAAUGGCGCCGUUGCCGGGGAUGGUGCCACUUUGCAAUGAUAUGAUCUUAUGAGAAGACUUGUGAUUUUCAUCACAAGUUUGGUGAAUUCCUUUUUCACUAACUUCAUUUCCUCUCUUUUAAUUGUAGAAUUUCUUUUGUUAAGUUUACUUUCAUUUUUUUUCUAACCUUAACUUUCAUCUAGCUUUCUUUUCUUUUUGUUAUCUUUGUUUUGUUUUUCAGAGAAGUUACAACUUGUGCAUGCCCUAUUGGAUUCGGGACCAAGAGGGAAGGCUAGUAAGGAUAGAGAAUCCUCAGGACACAGAGUUGGAUAUUUGUGUAAACAUCAUGGACCCUCCACAAGAGGAUCAGAAUUCUCAACAUGGUCAAAGGGGUAAUCCAAAUGCAUAUCUAUCCAUGAGGGAUAGAAUGCACCCACCAAGAAUGAGUGCACCCUCAUGCAUCGUACCUCCUCUUGAGCAGCUGAUUAUAAGGCCCCAUAUUGUGCCCCUCUUACCAAAUUUCCAUAGAAUGGGGAGUGAGAAUCCAUAUGCCCACAUCAAGGAGUUUGAGGAGGUGUGCAAUACCUUUAGAGAUGAAGGAGCUUCAAUAGACUUGAUGAGACUCAAGCUAUUCCCUUUUACUUUGAAGGACAAGGAAAAAAUAUGGCUUAAUUCUUUAAGGCCAAGGAGCAUAAGGAAUUGGGUUGAUCUUCAGGCCGAAUUUUGAAGAAAUUUUUCCCCACCCAUAGGACCAAUGGGUUGAAGAGACAAAUCUCAAACUUUUCUGCAAAAGAAAAUGAGAAGUUCCAUGAAUGUUGGGAGAGGUAUAUGGAAUCCAUAAAUGCUUGUCCUCAUCAUGGUUUUGAUACAUGGCUCUUGGUGAGCUAUUUUUAUGAUGGGAUGUCUUCCUCCAUGAAGCAAAUUCUUGAAACCAUGUGUGGGGGAGAUUUUAUGAGUAAGAAUCGGGAAGAAGCCAUGGACUUUUUAAAUUAUGUGUCUGAGGUGUCAAGAGGAUGGGAUGAGCCCAACUCAAGAGAGAAAGGAAAGUUUCCCUCUCAACAAACCCAAAAUCCAAAGGCUGGAAUGUACAUGUUAAGUGAAGACAUGGACAUGAAAGCUAAAGUGGCAACAAUAGCAAGGAGGUUGGAAGAACUUGAGUUGAAAAAGAUGCAUGAAGUCCAAGCCAUUUCCGAGACCCAAACCCAUGUCAUGCCAUGCACCAUUUUCCAAUCAUGUGAUCAUGUGGUAGAUGAGUGCCCAACCAUGCCAGCCGUGAGGGAGAUGUUAGGUGAUCAAGUCAAUGUCGUGGGGCAAUUUAGGCCCAAUAACAGUGCAUCUUAUGGAAACACCUAUAAUUCAAGCUGGAGAAACCAUCCAAAUUUUUCUUGGAAACCAAGGCCACCUCCAUACCAACCACAAGGCCAAACCCAAGCACCUCAACAAACCUCUUCAGUGGAGCAAGCCAUUGUGAACCUGAGUAAAGUCAUGGGUGACUUUGUGGGUGAACAAAAGGCAAUCAACUCCCAAUUGCAUCAAAAGAUUGAAAAUGUUGAGAGUUCUUAAAUUAAGAGAAUGGAGGGGAUGCAAAAUGAUCUAUCUCAGAAGAUAGAUAAUAUUCAGUACUCCAUCUCUAGGCUUACCAACCUCAACACAGUGAAUGAGAAGGGAAAGUUUCCCUCUUAACCAAGCCAAAAUCCCAAGGGUGUUCAUGAAGUUGAAACCCAAGAUGGUGAGUCUUCAAAUUUGAGAGAGGUCAAAGUUGUAAUCACUUUGAGGAGUGGGAAGGAGGUUGAUCAACCCUUGCCUAACGUGGGGCAUGAUGAAGAACUCAUGUCAAAGAGACCCUUGAUUAAAGAGAGCAAUAACCAAGAAGAGAAGAGUGGGAAGAAAAGUGCAUCCAAAACAAGCAUUGAAGAAGAACCAAGGAUAGUGAUUAAAGAGGAUAUGAUGAAGAAACAUAUGCCUCCUCCUUUUCCUCAAGCUUUACAUGGAAAGAAUGAAAUCAAGAAUUCAUCAUAAAUUCUUGAAGUUUUGAGACAAGUGAAGGUUAAUAUACCCUUACUUGAUAUGAUCAAGCAAGUCCCCACAUAUGCAAAGUUUCUAAAGGACUUGUGCACAGUCAAGAGAGGGUUACAGGUGACAAAGAAUGCAUUCCUCACUGAGCAAGUAAGUGCUAUCAUUCAGAGUAAGUCCCCAGUUAAGUAUAAAGAUCCAGGAUGCCCCACCAUUUCAGUCAACAUUGGAGGGACACAUGUGGAGAAGGCUUUACUAGACUUGGGGGCAAGUGUGAAUUUGCUUCCAUACUCUGUGUAUAAGCAACUGGGACUUGGAGGAUUGAAGCCCACAACCAUGACCCUCUCCUUAGUUGAUAGGUCAGUCAAAAUCCCAAGGGGGGUGAUAGAGGAUGUUCUAGUUCAAGUGGACAAAUUCUACUAUCCUGUGGAUUUUGUAGUGCUUGAUACUGAUUCCACUGUCAAGGAAGAAAAUUAUGUGCCAAUCAUCCUCGGGAGGCCUUUCCUAGCUACCUCCAAUGCCAUCAUUAAUUGUAGGAAUGGGGUGAUGCAGCUCACAUUUGGAAACAUGACCUUGGAAUUAAACAUAUUCCACCUAUGCAAAAGGCAUCUUCACCCCGAAGAGGAGGAAGGAUUUGAGGAGGUGUGCUUGAUCAACACUUUGGUUGAAGAGCACUGUGACAAGAAUUUAGAGAAGAGCUUGAAGAUGGGUUACCUGAACCCUCUGAUGUGCUAGCCAUCAUGUCUCCUUGGAAGAGACGGAAAGAGAUCUUACCAUUGUUCAAUAAGGAGGACUCACAAAGAGUAGCUGUGAAGGACCCUCCAAAGUUUGUUUUAAAGCCGCUUCCUGUUGAUUUGAAGUAUGCAUACUUGGAGGAAGAUGAGAAAUGUCCAGUGGUGGUUUCCUCAACUCUAACUAGUGAUCAAGAGGAUAGUCUUUUGGGAGUCCUCAGAAAAUGCAAGAAAGCCAUUGGAUGGCAAAUUUCUGAUCUGAAAGGGAUUAGCCCUUUGGUGUGCACCCACCAUAUCUAUAUGGAGGACGAUGCAAAACCAGUGAGGCAGCCCCAAAGGAGGUUGAAUCCUCACAUGCAAGAGGUGGUGAGGGGUGAAGUUCUGAAGCUACUUCAAGCUGGAAUCAUAUAUCCCAUUUCAGACAGCUUGUGGGUGAGCCCCACCCAAGUAGUCCCAAAGAAAUCUGGAAUUACUGUGAUCCAGAAUGAGAAAGGGGAGGAAGUCUCUACACGUCCUACCUCAGGAUGGAGGGUGUGUAUAGACUAUAGGAGGUUGAAUUCAGUGACUAGGAAGGACCAUUUCCCAUUGCCUUUCAUGGACCAAGUCCUUGAGAGAGUCUCAGGACAUCCUUUCUAUUGUUUUCUGGAUGGUUACUCAGGGUACUUCCAAAUAGAGAUUGAUUUAGAAGAUCAAGAAAAGACAACCUUCACUUACCCCUUUGGUACUUUUGCAUAUAGGAGGAUGCCUUUUGGUCUAUGUAAUGCUCCUGCGACUUUCCAAAGAUGUAUGCUAAGCAUCUUUAGUGAUAUGGUGGAACGCAUCAUGGAAGUCUUCAUGGAUGACAUCACUGUAUAUGGAAGUUCUUAUGAGGAGUGUUUGUUGCAUUUAGAAGCUGUUCUCCACAGAUGUAUUGAGAAAGACCUAGUGCUAAAUUGGGAGAAGUGCCAUUUUAUGGUACAACAAGGAAUUGUCUUAGGACAUAUCAUCUCCAAGAAUGGCAUUGAGGUAGAUAAGGCAAAGGUGGAGCUAAUUGUUAAGUUGCCACCUCCCACAAAUGUUAAAGGAAUUAGACAAUUCCUAGGACAUGCCGGGUUCUAUAGGAGGUUCAUUAAGGAUUUCUCAAAAAUCUCAAAGCCUCUUUGUGAACUCUUGGUAAAGGAUGCCAAGUUUGUGUGGGAUGAGAAGUGUCAGAAGAGUUUUGAGGAAUUGAAGCAAUUCCUCACAACUGCACCAAUAGUGAGAGCCCCAAAUUGGAAAUUACCUUUUGAGGUAAUGUGUGAUUCAAGUGAUCUUGCUAUGGGGGCUUUCUUGGGGCAAAGAGAGGUUGGAAAGCCCUAUGUGAUUUAUUAUGUAAGCAAAACUUUGAAUGAGGCUCAAAGGAACUACACAACUACUAAGAAGGAGUUGUUGGCAGUAGUUUUUGCCUUGGAUAAGUUUUGUGCUUAUUUGGUAGGGUCCUCUAUAGUGGUGUUCACUGACCAUUCCGCUUUGAAGUACUUGCUAACCAAGCAAGAUGCCAAGGCAAGAUUGAUAAGAUGGAUCCUUUUGCUCCAAGAAUUCAAUCUCCAAAUCCGGGAUAAAAAGGGGGUAGAAAAUGUGGUAGCUGACCACUUGUCAAGACUUGUGAUAGCACAUGACUCACAUGGUCUGCCUAUCAAUGAUGACUUCCCUGAGGAGUCUCUCGUGUCAAUAGAGGUAGCUCCAUGGUAUUCUCACAUUGAAAAUUUCUUGGUUACUAGAGAAGUUCCAAGUGAGUGGAGUGCCCAAGACAAGAGGCAUUUCUUUGCUAAGAUCCAUGCCUAUUAUUGGGAGGAGCCUUUUCUCUUCAAAUAUUGUGCGGAUCAAACCAUAAGGAAAUGUGUUCCUAAACAAGAGCAAUCAGGAAUUCUUUUCCAUUGCCAUGAUAAUGCAUGUGGAGGUCAUUUUGCCUCCCAGAAAAUAGCUAUGAAAGUGAUCCAAUCAGGUUUUUGGUGGCCCUCUCUUUUCAAGGAUGCCCACUCUAUGUGCAAGGGAUGUGAUUGGUGUCAAAGGCUUGGUAAGCUAACACGCCGAAAUAUGAUGCCCUUGAACCCCAUCUUAAUAGUGGAUGUCUUUGAUGUUUGGGGAAUAGACUUCAUGGGACCAUUUCCAAUGUCGUUUGGACAUUCCUACAUUUUGGUGGGAGUGGAUUAUGUCUCUAAGUGGGUAGAAGCAAUCCUCAAGGACAUUCCUACAUGUAGGCACAAUGAUCAUAAGGUGGUUCUUAAAUUCCUCAAGGACAACAUCUUUGCAAGAUUUGGAGUACCAAAGGCCAUUAUAAGUGAUGGAGGAACCCACUUUUGUAAUAAACCUUUUGAGACUUUUCUAGCCAAAUAUGGGGUUAAGCACAAGGUAGCUACACCUUAUCACCCUCAAACAAGUGGCCAAGUUGAGUUAGCCAACCGGGAGAUCAAGAAUAUAUUGAUGAAGGUGGUGAAUGUGAAUAGGAAGGAUUGGUCUAUUAAGCUCUUGGAUUCCUUAUAGGCUUAUAGGACCGCUUACAAGACCAUUCUUGGAAUGUCUCCUUAUCGCCUUAUUUAUGGCAAAGCGUGUCAUCUUCCAGUGGAGAUUGAAUAUAAAGCAUGGUGGGCAAUCAAGAAGCUCAACAUGGAUUUGACAAGAGCCGGGUUAAAGAGAUGUUUAGAUUUGAAUGAAUUGGAGGAAAUGAGGAAUGAUGCUUACCUCAAUUCAAAAAUUGCAAAAGCAAGGUUGAAAAAAUGGCAUGAUCAGUUGGUAAAUCUGAAGAAUUUUACCAAGGGCCAAAGAGUCUUGCUUUAUGAUUCUAAACUUCAUCUUUUUCCAGGAAAAUUGAAAUCCAGGUGGACGGGUCCUUUCAUAGUUCAUGAAGUGCAACCCAAUGGAGUGGUGGAAGUAUUCAAUUCCAAAGGCAAUCAAACCUUCAAAGUCAAUGGCCAUCGUCUCAAGCCAUUCAUAGAGCCUUACAAUGCAGACAAGGAGGAAAUCAACCUCCUUGAACCACAACAACUUUGAGGGAAAGCAGGGUUUCAUGGACUAUAUAAGUCCAUGAAUUUUUAUAGUUUUAUAGUUGAAUUUUUAUUAUUUCUAUUUCUUUUUAUUUUAAUUCUUGCUCAAACUUGGUUUAUUUUGUCUUAAUUCAAGUCAAUUUUGAUGUUAAAUUUUAGAAAAAAAUCAAGAAAAGUGUGGAGAAGCCUUCAAAAGCAAGACAGGGGAGCAAAACAAGGGAACAGAGCACUACAAUUCAAGGUGCGAAAUUUUCGCACGAUGGAUUCCAACAUGCGAAAAUUCAUUUCAAGGUACGAAUUUCUAAAACUUAAAUUUCGCACACCCCUGUUCAAGGUGCGAAAAUUUUCGCACCGUGCGAAACUCCCUCCUGGCACACGAGUGCCAUUUCGCACACCUCAAGCUACUUUUCGCACCGUGCGAAUCAAGGUGCGAAAAUUUCGCAUGAUGCAAUCCAAGGUACGAAAUUCACUCCAGUGUGCGAAAUAAGGUGCGAAUUCCCUGAAUGAAAAAUUCGCACACCCCUGUUCAAGGUGCGAAAAUUUUCGUACCGUGCGAAACUCUCUCCUAGCACACGAGUGCCAUUUCGCACACCUCGAGCUACUUUUCGCACCGUGAGAAACAAGGUGCGAAAUGCAAUUCAAGGUGUGAAUUUCUCAGUUCAAAGUGCGAAAUUUUCGCACGAUGCAAUCCAAGGUGCAAAAUUUUCAAUGUAAGCUUCAGGUCUCUGUGGAUGCUUAUUGCUAGAUCCAUACCAGUCCAUUAGUUAUCAUGUACGAGCCAUUGGAAAGUGGUUCAAGGUGAAGACCCAUAGUGUCUAAAGCCAUUAAUGAACCUUGACUAUCAUUUCUAUUGACUUUUUGUGGAUUAAAUCUUCAUUGUUAAACAUAUACCGGUUCGGGAAAUAACUAUAGGUUAAAUCCCCAAUGCGAGGAGAAAAAUCCGGAAUUUUCCACUUUGCAUUCUGAACUUGAUCCUAGCAACCCUUAGCUCCGGGAGACUUUCUUUCUUCCAUUUUUACUUAGUUAUAUGUUAGUUUAGUUUCAAUCACCACUUUCAAAACAAAUUUUAUUUUCUUUUAAACUUCAAGUUUAUGAUAAAGGAAAUCAUCAGACUCAAUUUCUAAUCUAGAGUCUGUCACUGAUAGAGUGAAAACCCAUCCCUGAGUUCAACCCUAGAGCUGCUAUACUAUAGUAGCUUUGCUACGCCAAUAUAAGGUCAUAGGAUUUAUAAAUAUUUUUUAUUAAAAGACCCGACUGGGCUCGAAUCAAUGAUUGCUUUACAUGGCAUGACCAUAAACACUAACCAAUGUCUUACUAAUUUUUUAUCUUUGAGACAUUAAACCUGUCGUUCUGAGCAUAAUGUUUUUAGACAAAGAUGAUUAAAUUAGUCACCCUUUAAAUGUAUCUGUCUAUUACAGAGAAGUUAUGAUCCUUGCAGGCUCUAAUUGCAUUCCAAAGGAUUAUGAUCCAAGAGAAAAACAAGUAGUUAUAAUUAACAUAAGUUUUUAGAACAACUAGUCAAUAAAUCAGAGUUACAGGGAACACCCCAAGGCAACAAGAUGUUAAUAUGAGAAUAUGGGAGGCUCAAUUCAAAGCUCAGAACUAUUAUUAUGAAAAAAUUUUAAAAAGGAAACAAGAAUUUCAUUGUAGGAAAAUUAUGGUUGUUGAUGCACAUUCUCUUGAUAACAAUCUUGUUAGGUUGGAUGUAUCGUAUGCCAUGACGUACAACAUUAAAAAUCUUCACCACAAUGUACUUGCAACAAUGCUUUCCAUCCACAGGAAUCUUUCUAGUUUUGCUAGACAAGUCUCUUGACUUGUAGCAAUAUUCCAGCCACAACAUUUUUUCUUGAAUACAUGUCGAACACAUAUCCAUGGCAUGUUAACAUGUGUGUGUAUAUACCUAUCCUUCUAUUUGUCCAUCUAUAUAUAAGGGAAACAAGAAAAAUCAUUUAUUAAAAAAGUGAGAGUGACUACAUGAAACAGUGAGUAUCCUUCAAGAGAGCUGUCUGAAAAAGAAAAGAAAAAACAAAACAUUUAUACAUCCCCAAAAGACCUAACAGAAGAACCAAACAAAAGAACCCACAUUGUGAAUGCUUUAGAAUGAAGAGGAGGUCUCCAAUAGAAAACUUAACUACUAUAGCUCCUUCCAAAGCCCAGUGAUUCACUAACUGGUUAACCAACUGAGGAUUCCAACUAAAGAAAUAAUAUAAACGUCUAAAGAGCUCAACAAUUUUGCGACUUCAAGCAUGAAAAUUCCUUCUCAGUCCUUGGGUCACUUAAGAAAGGCAAUAGCCAAAGGCCCCUGGACCAAAAUAUUUUUAAAAAAAAACUCAAUAGUAAUUAAAGAUUCACUAAUCCUGCUAGGCAAGUAAGUAUUCCCUCCACAAUGGCAAAAUUGAACCUGCUAGCUUAGAGAAAGCUAUCAACACCUAUGCCUCUAUAAUCUAGGAGAACUCCCUCAAUUCCUAUUUGCACUAGGUUACCUAGAGAACAACAAUCAACAAUAAGUUUGAGGCAACCAAGGAAUGGAACUACCCCUAAUUCAUUUUGGCAAUGUCAUAGAAACAAACAUCUCUUUGAUCCCGCAAAAUCAAACUAAUAGGAUGCAAGAGAAUUCUUUAGUUAUAGAAGCUCAAAUAAAGGAGAGAUGGUAUACAUUGUUGACAAUUACAAUCAAAUUAACCAUUAUAAAAUGUUAGUGUAUUAGAUUAGAUUUGUUAGAGAAUUUAAAUUAGUCAAGUUAUUUGAAUUCACUUCUACUUUUGUCAUUUCAGAUUAUGUCGGAUUAGGAUUUUUAUGUUUUUUUAAAAUUCAAAUAAGGGCACAUUGUUAUCUAUAACAAUUCUGUCGUGAUCCUAGGAGUGUAAUUUCAAGGUUUGGUUGAUAACCCUAAUUUAAGGUGGUGUUUGUUUUUUUGGCUUUUUGCUGAAAAUAAUUUAUUUUCAGAAUUUAGAUUGUUUAUUUUUCUACUUUUUCAUAACUUAUUAUAAACUUUUUACUGAAUAUAAAAAGUCAAAAUAUAUAGCUUUUUCUAAAUAGAAAAAAUAAUAUAUUGAUUUUUCUUUACUUUUUAAUAUUUAAUAUAAAUAAAAUACUAUAAAAAAACAAACAACUUAAUAUUUAACACUAUUAAGCAUUAAGGUUCUAUUUAGAAUUAAGUAAAAAAACAAACACCACAAAUGUAUUGCCCUAAAAUAAUAAGAUGAUGAUGCAAAUUAGUUUUAGAUAUGCUUUUAUGGUAUCAGAGCCUUGAACUUUGAAAAAUACCUAUGGCAAAAACAACCAUGACAGGGUCCUCACGUCGAGAUGACUCCACAUCUACGACAUCUAAUCAAUCCCACGCCAAUUAGUCUGUCACGACAUUUUCUAGCGAGGACAACAACUGUAACAACCCGCACCCAACCAUAUAGAUAUUGUCCGCUUUAGGCCUAAGGGGCCCUCACGGCUUUAAAACGCGUCUACUUGGUUAAGAGGAGCCUCUACAUAUAUAGCGCCAGGAACUUGCUCCCCUAUCCCUGUCACGCCCCAAGACCCACUCCAAGGGCGUGACGAUCAUUUCACACUUCAAACCCGAAGGCUUAUAGUGUAACCUGAUCCAAACAAUUAUCUUGUAAACCGAAGUUACCAAUUACCAAAUACCUGUUCAGAGUAGCGGAACAAAAUCUAAAAUCCUCAAAAUUCAAUUUCAAAACUAAAACAUCCACUAUCCAAAAUUCAUUGUCCAAAAAUUUGCAAACUUAAACAAUUCAAGUACUAGAGCAAAUUUCAAAAUCUCCAAAACUCAACCUUGAUCUAACAUAAAAGUUGAAGGAUCAAUAUCCAAAUAACUUCCAAAUACUAAAAUGUCCAAAUGAACACAACUAACAGUUAAACAAAAUCCAACAUAAAAUCCUAAGUCAAAUCUUAAUGAUGACCAUUUCUCAGCCUAGCCAUCACUCCUCACCCGAACUAAGGGUACCUGAAAAGUAGUCAACAAAUGGGAAUGAGCUCACAACCCAAUAAGGAACAUUAAUGCAGUCCAUGGAUCAAACAUUUCAAACUCACUUGCAAAAUAGGAGAUAUUGUAAUCAAUCAUUUUCAUAAAGUUGUGAGUAAAUUUUUUUUUUUUUUUUUUUUUUUGCCAAUACAUUCAAAAUUUCUAACUGUAUGCAUUUAUUUAUGAUUCAAACAAUUUCAUAUCAAUUCAAUCAAAAUAUUCCAAUAAUUUAUUUUCUCUGGUCGUCAAACAUCAAAGGGUGUCCAGUUAGGUAGGACUUUUCAAAUGAGUGGCUAGCCUCAAAUUGUUCCUUUAAGGUGGACGGAACCAAACACUACUAGUACUAGUAACCUCUAACCAAAACCCCUAGAGGUUGGGGUUCAAAUCAAUUACAUUUCCCACCAAGAAAUGUAAAGGUCAACUAUUAUAUCCCAUUGACAAGGGCCAAAAGUCAACUAUUAUAUCCCGUUGACAAGGGCCAAACAAACGAGAGUCAAAUAUUUAUUUCAUUUAUUCAAAUUUACAACAUAUAAUAUCUCCACAUUUAUUUGUCAAAAACAUAAUAUAAAAUAAUAACAUACUUUUCAUGCAAAACAGAUUUGAUCCAUGCAUAAAACGGAAUAUAACUCAAACGUUUUCAAAUAAUGUAUAUAUAUAUAAUUGUUUCAAAAAAAGAAUUUAACAACUACAUUAAUUUCCCUUACCUCAAAAGAAGUCCUCAAAAACUUUGGAGAGAAAAUAAUCCUGAAAAUCUACUCUUCACCUAACAAAAUAUAAGGGGAAUAACUAUUACUAUUUAUCUAAAAUUAUAGGUUUGACAAUCCUAAAAUUUUAGGUAUUCAAAUUAAUAUAUAUAUAUAUAUAUAUAUAUAUAUAUAUAUAUAUAUAUAUAUAUAUAUAUAUUAUUUAUGAAAGAUAAUUUAAUCUAUUCAUAUUUUAAAAAUUAAUAAAUUUCUAAUUCAUAUAAAACUAAAUUUAUUUAUUUAUUUAUUUCUUGGGACGCAACUUAAUUAAACUAUAAUUUAUUUUAAUAAUUAAUUUCUAUGUUAUUUAUUAACUUACGCUCAUAAUUACAAUAUCAAAAAAAAAAAAAUUACUUCCUUUUUAUUUAAAACUUCUAUUCUCUCAUUUUAUUUUUUAAACAUAAACUUUAUUCCCAAUAAUACUCCAUUAUUGCCAACAAAAAUAAUAGACAUAUAUAUAUAUAUACUAACAACACUUUUCAUCCGUACACACACCCACACCCCAUAUAUAUAUAUAUUAUUUUUUUUUUUUCAUUCUCCAAUUCCAGUGUGCACACGCGUCCUCCAUUUUUAUUUUUAUUUUAUCCUUAAGCCAUUCUCCAAUUCCACAGUGUGCACACACGUCUUCCAGGUUUUUUUUUUCCCUAAAAACUUAAGAAUUUCCAAUUUCCAACAAUAAAUCAAAAUCUUAAAUUUUCAUUAUUUUGACAUUAAAACGAAUUAAAAAAAAAAAAAAACUAACCCUAAUCUAGAUUUGGGGUUUUCCAAAAAAAAAUAUAUCUAAUGUGCUUGAAAUUAACUAAUGAAUCUAAAAUAAUAAUCUAAGGGUUAGAAUUUUACCUAUAGAGGUUUGUUCUUCAAAUCUUGAAAUCUGACCUCAACUUCACGUUCUUUGGAAACUCUCUGCGAAUAGGAAUACGAUUCAGAAAAAAACAGGAAGAAGAGAAUUUUCUAUUUAUACCUAAGGCAUUAUUCGUAAAAUUACCUUUUCACCCCUCUUCCAUUUUAUUAAAUUAAUUAAUUAAUUAAUUUAAUAUAAUUAUUAUGAAUUUCCUAAAUUAACCUUUUAAGAAAAAACUUUGGGCGUUACAUCCUCCCCUCCUUAACAAAAGUUUAGUCCUCUAAACUUGACAUACCUGAGUCUUGAAAUAAUUGAGGAUGCUUUUCUCUCAUCUCUUCUUCUAACACCCAAGUGGCCUCUCGGAUACUAUGAUUGCUCCACUGGACCUUUACCAACUUGACAACAGCAUGUCGUAGUACCUUAUCCAUCACAUCCACAAUUCGAACGGGUACCUCUUCAUAGGUCAAGUCCUCAGAAAUUUGAAUAGGCUCCAACUCCACAACAUGAGAGGGAUCAUAAAUAUAUUUCCUCAAGGUUGAAACAUGGAAUACAUUAUGAAUCUUAGAUAGACUUAGGGGCAAGGCCACUUUAUAAGCCAAAGUGCCUACUUUUUCUAAUACCUCAAAUGGUCCCACAAAACGAGGACUGAGUUUUCCUUUUCUUCCAAAUCUCAUUAUAGACUUCAUAGGUGAAACUUUCAAGAAAACAUGAUCACCCACCUCAAACUCCAAAUCUCGUAUGUGAUUAUCAACAUAACUCUUCUGUCUACUUUGUGCUGCUUUCAAUCUUUCCUUAAUUAAAUAGACCUUUUCAACAAUCAACUGCACAAGUUCAGGCCCCAAAAGUUUCUUCUCUCCAACAUCAUCCCAACAAACAGGAGAUUGACAUCUUCUACCAUACAAUGCCUCAAAAGGUGCCAUCCCAAUGCUAGCUUGAAAGCUAUUAUCAUAGGUAAACUCCACUAGGGGCAAAUAAUCAUCCCAAUUACCUUUUAGGUCCAAAGCACAAGCUCUCAACAAAUCUUCCAAGACCUGAAUUACCCUCUCUGAUUGACCAUCAAUCUGCGGAUGAAAAGCAGUACUAAAACUCAACUUAGUACCUAAUGCUUUCUGUAAACUAUGCCAAAAUCUGGAAGUGAAACGAUGAUCUCUGUCAGAUACUAUAGAAACAGGUACACCAUGCAUUCUCACAAUCUCCUUAAUAUAAAGAGAAGCCAAACGAUCCGUAGAAAAAUUAACUUUCAUAGGUAGAAAAUGAGUAGACUUUGUCAAUCGAUCAACAAUCACCCAAAUUGCAUUAUUACCCCCUAAGGUCCUUGGUAACCCAGUCACAAAAUCCAUAGUAAUAUGUUCCCAUUUCCACUCGGGAAUAGAAAAUGGUUGCAAAAACCCUGCUGGUCGUUGAUGCUCAGCUUUCACUUGUUGACACACCAAACACUGAGCCACAAAUUGCGCAAUAUCUUGCUUCAUUCCUGACCACCAAUAAUUCUGUCUCAAAUCUUUGUACAUCUUUGUCCCUCCUGGGUGGAUCACAAGCCUAGAACAAUGAGCUUCCUCCAAAAGCUCUCUCCUUAAGUCUCCAUCAUUUGGGACACAAAGUCUAGUCCUAAACCUCAAAACCCCAUCAUCUGAUAAAACAAAGUCAGGCUUACUACCCUUUUUAACAUCUUCCAUAAGUUGCACUAAAUUCAAAUCAUUCUUUUGUAAGGCCUUAAUUCUCCCAACUAAGUCUGGCUGCACUCUAAAGUUCGCCAUAAGAGCUCCCGAGUCUAAAACUCUGAUAUGAACUUGUAAACUCCUCAAAUCUCCCAAUAAUUGCCUCUAACAACCUCUAAUAACUGCUAAGGAACUAAGAGAUUUCUUGCUUAAGGCGUCAGCCACAACAUUUGCUUUCCCUGUGUGAUAUUGAAUAAUGCAGUCAUAGUCUUUAAGUAGUUCAAUCCACCUCAUCUAUCUCAUGUUCAACUCCUUUUGGGAAAAUAAAUACUUCAAGCUCUUAUGAUCUGUGAAUAUCUCACAAGUUUCACUAAAAAGAAAAUGUCUCCAUGUCUUAAGUGCAAAAACCACUACAACUAACUCCAAAUCAUGAGUAGGAUAAUUUCGUUCAUAAGGCUUCAAUUGCCUAGAAGCAUAAGCUACAACUUUCCCAUGUUGCAUAAGAACACAACCCAAACCCUGAUGAGAUGCAUCACUAUACACCACAAACCCUCCUAAACCGAAAGGGAUAGUCAAAAUAGGAGUUGUCACCAAUUUGUUCUUUAACUCUUGGAAACUACAUUCACAAUCAUCAGACCACUCAAACUUAACCCCUUUCUGAGUCAAACUAGUUAGAGGUAGGGCAAUCUUAGAGAACCCCUCAAUAAACCGCCUAUAAUAACCAAUCAAUCCCAAGAAACUUCAAAUCUCAAUCACAGUAGUAGGUCUCCUCCAAUUUGACACAGUAUCUACCUUUCCAGGAUCAACUGAGAUGCCAUCCUUGGUCACCACAUGCCCAAGGAAAGAAACUCUGUCUAACCAAAACUCACACUUCUUGAGUUUAGAAUACAAUCGCUUAUCUCUGAGAGUCUGUAAUACAAUACUCAAAUGACGCUCAUGCUCUUCCCUACUCUUUGAGUACACCAAAAUAUCAUCUAUAAAAACUACCACAAAUUGAUCUAGAUAGGGCUUGAAUACCCUAUUCAUUAAGUUCAUAAAAGCAGCAGGUGCAUUAGUCAAACCAAAAGGCAUAACCAAAAACUCAUAAUGCCCAUAGCUAGUUCGAAAAGCAGUCUUAGGUAUAUCUUCCCCUCUAACCCUUAACUGAUGAUAACCAGACCGAAGAUCAAUCUUAGAGAAUACACAGCACCUUGAAGCUGAUCAAACAAAUCAUCAAUCCGAGGAAGGGGAUACCUNNNNNNNNNNNNNNNNNNNNNNNNNNNNNNNNNNNNNNNNNNNNNNNNNNNNNNNNNNNNNNNNNNNNNNNNNNNNNNNNNNNNNNNNNNNNNNNNNNNNUCACCGUCACUUUAUUCAAUUCUCUAUAAUCAAUGCAAAGUCUCAUAGAUCCAUCAUUUUUCUUUACAAAUAAAACAAGACCUCCCCAAGGUGAAACACUAGGCCUAAUGAAGCCCUUAUCUAACAACUCUUGGAGUUGAAUCUUCAACUCCUUAAGCUCCAUAGGUGCUGAUUACUACUCAAAACAUGCUAUUUUGUAGCUUGUAAUUAGCUCUUUUAAACACCCUUGAGUAGUAAUUAUUACCUUUUAACCCAAUUAACAUGUUAGGGACCCUUGCAAUCAUUUCUAACAAUUGUGUUAAGUUUUGGUGCUUUUUGAUAGCUUUAUGCUCACCAAAGCAAUUUAAGAAUGAGGGAGAGCUAUUUAUAGUUCAUGGAAAAGCUUUUGAAAGCUUAAAUUUAUGAAGAAAUCAAGCUAUGGAGCCUCAUAAUCCUUUGCCUUAGUCGUUCAAAGUAUACAAGGAAGAAACAAUGGAGAAGAGGAAAACAGGGGAUGAAAACAGGGGACACAGCUGCAGUCCUUCAUUGCACUUUUGGAGCACUUUCCGAAGUCCAUAUUUUACAUUCUACAUACCAUUUCAAAGCUCCGAAAGUCAAGAAUCCAACGGUUCAAACCAUGUACGAUUUGGAGCUGAAAUGAGAAAGAUAUGGCCUUUGGAAGACAACUGCAUCAAGCUGAGGGAUAAUUUCGCACGAUGGAAAUCAAGGUGCGAAUUCCUCAGUCCACUGUGCGAAAAUUUCGCACACCUCAAAUCAAAGUGCGAAAUUGGAACUCCAGCGUGCGAAAAUUGGAUAUUUUUGCCGACUCUUUUUCUUCUGAUAUUUUUGUGUCUAAAUUUCCAUUUUCUCCUUGUAUUCAACCACUCAUGUAAUUCCUUAGCUAGAAAGUAUCCAAGGAAGGGUAAAAUUACCUUCCUAUAUAAAUUCUCUUGUAAUCACUGAAAAUUGAUCUUUUCGGGGAGCUUUAUCCAGGAGAUCAACUGAUGUAAAUUUGAUACUUAGUGAAAUACAGAGAUCUCUUUUGCUUUCUUUUUCUCUCUUCUAUUUUCUAUUUUCUUGCAAGCCAAACACCCUCUGAAGAUGUUUUCCCAGAGGAUGAGAGGCUAAACAUUUAGUUUCUUGGAGUAAAGGAAGCUAGGUGAAAAGUCCAGAUUAAAACAUGGAAAGUUUCCGUGCAUUAAAUUCAGGUAGUUGGAGUCCAUAAAUGGUUUUUAAAGCCAAGGUUUUGCCUUAAAUCCCUUAGAAUCACUUUGACUGGCCAAUACAUGGUAAGCUUAAGGUCUCUGUGGAUGCUUAUUGCUAGAUCCAUAUCAGUCCAUUAGUUAUCAUGUACGAGCCAUAGGAAAGUGAUUCAAGGUGAUAGCCCAUAGUGUCUUAAGCCAUUAAUGGACCUUGACUACCAUCUUUAGUGACUUUUUAUGGAUUAAAACUUCAUUGUCAAACCUAUACCGGUUCGGGAAAUAACUAUAGGUUAAAUCCCCAAUGCGAGGAGAAAAAUCCGGAAUUUUCCACUUUGCAUCUGGAACUUGAACCUAGCAACCUUUAGCUCCGGGAGACUUUCUUUCUUCCACUUUUUACUUAGUUCUAUGUGAGUUUGGUUUAAAUCACCACUUUCAAAACAAUUUUAUUUUCUUUUAAAUUUCAAGUUUGUGCUAAAGGAAAUCAUCAGAAUCAAUUCCUAAUUUAGAGUCCGUCACUGAUAGAGUGAAAACCCAUCCCUGAGUUCGACCCUAGAACUGCUAUACUAUAGUAGCUUUGCUACGCCAGUAUAAGGUCAUAGGUUUUAUAAAUGUUUUUGAUUAAAAGACCCGGCUGGGCAUCGAAUCAGGUGCCAUCCUAUAAGGGGCCUUAGAGAUAGGAGUUGUCCCUGGUGCCAAAUCAAUGGUGAACUCUACCUCCCUCUCUGGUGGCAAGCCAGGUAGAUCCUCUGGAAAAACAUCAGGAUAGUCCCUUACAAUGGGUAUGUAUUCCAACUUUAAAUCAUUUUCCUCAUUCACAACAUAAGUUAAAAAGCCUUGACAGUCUUUCCUGAGCAAAGAACUAGCUUGUAAGGCUGAGAUCACACGUAGUGGUUUGUCCACAUGCUUCCCCUCAAAACUAAAAUUAGGCUAAUUAGGAAUGCUAAAAGUCACUAUUUUCCCAAAACAAUCAAUAGAAGCAUGAUAAGAAGCUAACCAAUCCAUCCCCAAAAUCACAUCAAAAUCUUGAAGGUCUAGAAGUACUAAGUCAACUGUCAUCUCUCUAUACCCAACCAUCACACAACAAUCUCUAAUUAUUUUAUUAAGCACAACAAAAUCUCCCAAAGGAGUAGCAACAAAUAAAUCAAAUUCCAUAUUAUCAAUCGGCAUACCCAACAAACCAACAAAAGAUACGGAAACAAAAGAGUGUGUUGAUCCAGGAUCAAUUAAGGCUCUAGCAAAUAAGGUGUGAAUUUGAAGAGUACCUGUCACUACAUCAGACGUAACCUGAGCAUCUCUAUGAGUCAUAGCAAAUACCCACCCUUGAUCCCUGGGCUUUUGUCUAUCAUCUUUAUUCUCCUCCUUAGGCUUCCCAAAUACAAACUUCCUACUCUUUGGACAAUCCCGAACCAUAUGUCCCUAUUUUCCACAACCAAAGCAAGCUCCUGUCUCUCUAUAGCAUGGCCUACCCCCAUGCUUCUUGCCACAAGUAGGACAAAUCCCAUCUAAAUUUUGUGUUGUUUUUCCUUUAUUCUGAUGUCUACUUGGAGCAGACCUUUUAUGUGCUUGGUUACCAUGAGCACCAUCAUUUUUAUUCCUCUUCCUUUGUUGUUCCCUAUACUGGUGAAGCUCUUCAUUAUCCUUCUCUGCAAUAAGGGCUCUGUCUACCACCUCUGAAUAAACACUAAGUUUCAUAAUUGAUAUCUUAUUCUUCAGAUAAGGCUUCAGUCCAUCCUGAAACUUUAAUGUUUUUUCCUCCUCUGUGAUUACUACUCAAAAUGUGUUAUUUCAUAGCUUGUAAUUAACUCUUUUAAACACUUUUGAGUAGUAGUUAUUGCCUUUUAACCCAAUUAACAUAUUAAGGACCUUUGCAAGCACUUCUAAUCAAUAUGUGUUAAGUUUUGGUAUUUUGAUAGCCUUUUUGAUCACCAAAGCAAUCCGAGAUUGAGGAGAGUUAUGAGGAAUCUUGGGCAAAGCAAUUGGAAGCUCAGAAACAUGAAGAACUAAAGCUUGGAAGUCCUUUUCCAUAAGUAAAUCCAGAAUGCAAGGAGAAGAAGCAAAGAGAAUCUGCCAUAAAGCAUAUUCUUGAUGAUAGUAAUAUCAGCCACUUUUGGAGCACUUUAUGAAGGCCAAUUGAUGCAUGCUAUAUACCAUUUUAAAUCUCAGGAAUUUAACAAUCCAAUGCUUCAAACGGUACACAAUUCGGAGUUAAAACGAAGAAGUUACAGCCAUUACAAGUCAAUCACUCUAAGCUGAAAUAAGCAUUUUUUCAAAGUGUUGCGAAAUCACCCUUUUGUUGCGAAAUCACCCUUUUGUUGCGAAAUGAUUUCGCAACCUUUUUGAACAGUGUUGUGGAUUUCCUCCUGAAGUUGCCCGAUAUAUGCCGCACGUUGGAAGCUGAGAGCCUCAAGGUGAAAGCCAACUUCGCAGAGCUGCGAGAUUAGCCUUUUGCUGCGAAGUGAUUUUGCAGCCCUUUUUGUGUGUCUGCGAAAUCUCGCAGACAUCAUUUUCUCUUGCGAAAUGGUCCUUAGUGCUUCCCGAUAUUUGCUACCAACAUUGGGAGAUAUUUUCCAUCAGAUUUUUGUUGUCUAAAUCCCAAAAUUCUCCUUGUAAGCCACCAAUUACAAGAUUCCUUAGCUUUUAAGUUAGGAAAAAGAGUAAAUAUCCAUGUAAUAAUUAGUUUUGUAUUAUGUUUAUAUAAGUACCUCUCGAGAGCCUGUUCUCAGAGAGGAGAAACCUUUUUGUAAAAGUUUGAAAGCAAGUAAAGUUCAGGCCCUUUGUUUUGCCUUACCUUCUCACUUUGUUUUUUUCAUCUUUUUCUAAGUUAUGAACUCUCUGAGGAAUUUUCCCCAGAGAAUGAGUAACUAAACCUUUAGUUCCUUGGAGCUAAGGUUGCCGGGGAAGGUUCCAAGUGCAAGAAUGCAAAGCUUUGUGGUUUCAACCAUUAAUGAAGAGGAAGUGAAAUCCUUUAGUGAUUUCUAUGUUUUUAGUUAACUUAAAACACCUUAGAGUCACCUAGGCCAACACUUGGUAAGGCAAGUGAUCUCCAACCAAGGAGAUGCACUAGUUUACCCCUUGCGAGCCUCUGGGAGGUGACUUUAAGGUAGGAUUUUUUGGAAUUACCAACACUUGGUAAGCUUUUGGACUCUAAGGAGACAUCCAUUAGUUAUCUCUUGCGAGCUUGAGAAGGGAAUUCCAAGGUUAAAGAUCACCUUGAAUGGUUAAGGCUUAGUGAGAGGCUUGAACCAUUGCAAGUUGUAUCAGUGAGAGAAUUAAAGUUGAAAUCUAAUUAAAGGAUGUAUCUGUACACCACCGGUUAGAGAAUUGACUAUAUGUUGAAUCUUUAACGCGAGGAAAUGAACCAUCUGACCAGAGCUAUGUCUUUUGCAUGAGGAACCACCCCAAUGAACCUGACCCUCCAAGGAAUGUUUUUCCUCCUAAGUUAUUCCCAUUACUUGUUUUAUAGUUAGUUUAAAUCUAAAUCUUUGCCAAUCAAAGUUUGUAUUUUAUUUCUUAAGCUAGCCUUGAAAUGAAACAAGACCAAUUCACUUUGAAUUGGUAUCAUUGAUAACUUGCUAAUCCUUCCCAGUGAACGAUCCUAGAGCCACUAUGCUAUAAUAGUUUUUUCUUUGCUACCCUAGUAUAUGGUGUAAUAGGUUAUAAAUUUUGUUGAUUACUCCCUCAAUCAAGGAGCACCAGCUGGACAUAAAUCAGCUGAGACACCAAUUGGGCACGAAUCAAAUGGCGUCGUUGCCAGGGAAGUGUGUCAAACCAGUGAUACCAUUUUAGAGCACUUGUGAUUUUUCAUCACAAGUUUGGUAACGUUUCUUUCACUUUACUAAUUCUCAUUCUUUCUUUAUUUAUUCAUAAUCCAAGUUUAUCUUUUAAAUUUAGCUUAGUUUAAUUUUGUUGUUGUAGCUCUGUUUCCUUUUGUUGUCCUUUAUUUUCAUUUAAGUUACAGAUAGAUGCUAGUUGUGUAUGCCAAAGUGGAUACGAGACAGUGGAGGAAGGCUUGUUAAGUGUGAUACACUUCAUAACAAAGAAUUCGAAUUGAGCUUGAAUAUCAUGGAAGCUACACCUGAAGAUCAGCAUAGUCACCAAGGUCGUCAAGAUAAUCUCAAUGAAUUCAGAUCAAUGAGGGACCGCAUGCAUCCACCUCGUAUGAGUGCACCAUCAUGUAUAGUGCUCCCUACAGACCAGCUAGUGAUCAGACCGUAUCUUGUUCCACUUCUACCAACUUUCCAUGGGAUGGAAAGUGAGAAUCCCUAUGCACACAUCAAGGAAUUUGAAGAUGUUUGUAAUACAUUCCAAGAGGGAGGAGCUUCAAUUGAUUUGAUGAGGCUUAAGUUAUUUCCUUUUACUUUAAAGGAUAAGGCCAAAAUUUGGCUUAAUUCUUUAAGGCCAAGGAGUAUCCGCACUUGGACUAACUUACAAGCUGAAUUCCUCAAGAAAUUUUUUCCCACUCAUAGAACAAAUGGCUUGAAAAGGCAAAUUUCAAAUUUCUCAGCUAAAAAGAAUGGGAAAUUCUAUGAGUGUUGGGAAAGAUAUAUGGAAGCUAUAAAUGCUUGCCCUCACCAUGGCUUUGAUACUUGGUUAUUGGUGAGCUAUUUUUAUGAUGGGAUGUCCUCCUCAAUGAAGCAACUCCUUGAGACAAUGUGUGGAGGAGAUUUCAUGAGCAAAAAUCUAGAGGAAGCUAUGGAUUUCUUGAGCUAUGUAGCUGAAGUUUCAAGGGGAUGGGAUGAACCAACCAAAGGAGAAGUGGGUAAGAUGAAGUCUCAACUGAGUGCUUUCAAUGCUAAAGCUGGAAUGUAUACCUUGAAAGAAGAUGAUGACAUGAAAGCAAAGUUGGCAGCUAUGACAAGAAGAUUGGAGGAGCUGGAGCUGAAAAGAAUACAUGAAGUGCAAGUUGUUGCUGAAGCACCAUUGCAAGUGAAGUUGUGUCCCAAUUUUCAAUCAUAUGAACAUUUGGUGGAGGAAUGUCUUGCAAUUUCAGCUGAAAGGGAAAUGUUCAGAGAUGAAGCAAAUUUUGUUGGACAAUUCAAGCCCAAUAACAAUGCGUCUUAUGGAAAUACUUACAACUCAAGUUGGAGGAAUCAUCCAAAUUUCUCAUGGAAGGCCAGAGCAACUCAGUACCAACAGCCGGAUCCACCAUAUCAACAAUCUUCGAGUCUUGAACAAGCAAUAACGAAUCUCAGCAAGGUAGUGGGAGAUUUUGUUGGAAACUAAGAAGCCACCAAUGCUCAAAUCAAUCAAAGAAUUGACAGAGUGGAGAGUACUUUGAAUAAAAGGAUGGAUGGAAUGCAAAAUGAUAUAUCUCAAAACUUUGAUAAUAUCCAAUACUCAAUUUCAAGGCUCACAAAUUUGAACACAGUGCAAGAAAAUGGAAGAUUUCCUUCUCAACCCCACCAAAACCCCAAGGGUGUCCAUGAAGUGGAAAGCCAAGAGGGAGAAUCAUCACAGAUGAAAGAUGUCAAAGCCUUAAUCACUCUAAGGAGUGGUAAAAAAAUUGAGAAGCCAACACUCAAUAUGUUGAGAAAGAAUAAGAAAACAUAAAGAAAGGGGAAGAAAUGGAAGAAAAAGAAAGUGAGAUCAGUGAAAAGAAAAAGGACUAUGAUUCAACAAUGAAUGUAAUUCAAGAGAAGGAACUUCUGAAUGAAGAAAUGCUGAAGAAGUCAACUUCUCCUCCUUUUCCUCAAGCAUUGCAUAGGAAAAAGGGGAUUAGAAAUGCAGCUGAAAUCCUUGAGGUAUUGAGACAAGUGAAAGUCAAUAUCCCACUGCUGGAUAUGAUUAAACAAGUUCCAACAUAUGCAAAAUUCCUAAAGGACUUAUGUACUAUCAAAAGAGGGUUGACUGUAAACAAGAAAGCCUUCUUAACUGAGCAAGUAAGUGCAAUCUUACAAUGUAAGUCUCCUUUGAAGUACAAAGAUCCGGGAAGUCCUACCAUUUCAGUCAUGAUUGGAGGGAAGGUAGUGGAGAAAGCUUUGUUAGACUUGGGAGCAAGUGUGAAUUUGCUUCCAUAUUCCGUCUACAAGCAAUUAGGACUUGGUGAGUUGAAGCCAACGACAAUCACUCUAUCUCUAGUAGAUAGAUCAGUAAAAAUUCCAAGGGGGGUAAUUGAGGAUGUCUUGGUUCAAGUUGAUAAUUUCUACUAUCCAGUAGAUUUUAUUGUUCUUGAUACAGAUCCUAUUGUAAAGGAAGCUAAUUUAGUUCCUAUCAUCCUUGGAAGGCCAUUUCUUGCUACCUCAAAUGCAAUCAUCAACUGCAGGAAUGGGCUGAUGCAACUCACUUUUGGCAACAUGACACUUGAUCUCAAUAUCUUCUAUAUGUCUAAAAAGUAAACCACUCUGGAAGAAGAAGAGGGUCCAGAAGAGGUGUGCAUUAUUGACACUCUGGUGGAGGAGCACUGUAAUCAGAAUAUGCAAGACAAGCUGAAUGAAAGUCUUAUGGAUUCUGAGGAAGGUUUGUCUGAACCCCCUAAUGUGCUUGCUACUCUACAAAGUUGGAGAAGGAUAGAAGAGAUUCUACAUUUGUUCAAUAAAGAAGAAGAGACAAUUGCUGAAAAAGAAACUCCAAAACUCAAUCUGAAGCCUCUACCUGUGGAGCUGAAAUAUACAUAUCUUGAGGAAGAUAAUCAAUGUCCUGUUGUAAUAUCUUCAUCUCUAACCAGUCAUCAAGAGAAUUGUUUAAUGGAAGUUCUCAAGAGGUGUAAGAAGACAAUAGGAUGGCAAAUAUCUGACUUGAAAGGCAUUAGUCCUUUAGUUUGCACUCAUCAUAUAUAUAUGGAGGAGGAAGCAAAGCCAAUUCGUCAACUUCAAAGAAGAUUGAAUCCUCAUUUACAAGAGGUGAUACGAGCUGAGGUGCUGAAGCUACUUCAAGCAGGUAUUAUCUAUCCUAUAUCCGAUAGCCCUUGGGUGAGUCCUAUUCAAGUGGUACCAAAGAAGUCAGGGAUUACUGUGGUUCAGAACGAGAAAGGGGAAGAAAUUACUACACGCCUCACUUCAGGUUGGAGGGUGUGUAUUGAUUAUAGAAAGUUGAAUGUUGUAACCAGGAAAGAUCAUUUUCCAUUGCCAUUUAUUGACCAAGUGCUACAGAAAGUCUCUGGACAUCCGUUCUAUUGCUUCUUGGACGGGUAUUCAGGGUAUUUUCAUAUUGAAAUUGAUGUGGAAGAUCAGGAAAAGACCACUUUUACAUGUCCAUUUGGAACAUAUGCUUACAGAAGAAUGCCUUUUGGUUUAUGCAAUGCACCUGCUACAUUUCAAAGAUGUAUGUUGAGUAUUUUCAGUGAUAUGGUGGAGCGAAUUAUGGAAGUUUUCAUGGAUGAAAUCACCGUAUAUGGAGGUACAUUUGAGGAAUGCUUAAUUAAUUUGGAAGCAGUUCUUCACAGAUGCAUUGAAAAAGACCUGGUGCUUAAUUGGGAGAAAUGUCAUUUUAUGGUACGUCAAGGAAUUGUCCUUGGCCAUAUCAUCUCCGAAAAAGGCAUUGAAGUUGAUAAAGCAAAGGUGGAGCUUAUUGUCAAAUUACCAUCACCAACAACUGUAAAAGGAGUAAGGCAGUUCCUUGGCCAUGCAGGGUUCUAUAGGAGGUUUAUAAAAGGUUUUUCAAGUCUUUUAAAACCUCUUUGUGAGCUGUUAGCUAAGGAUGCUAAGUUUAUAUGGGAUGAAAGAUGUCAAAAUAGUUUUGAUCAACUGAAGAAAUUUUUAACAACAACUCCAAUAGUGAGGUCCCUUAACUGGCAAUGACCCUUUGAACUGAUGUGUGAUGCCAGUGACUUUGCUAUAGGAGUUGUGCUUGGCCAAAGAGAAGAUGGGAAGCCCUAUGUGAUCUACUAUGCAAGCAAAACACUGAAUGAAGCUCAAAGGAACUACACAACUACAGAGAAAGAAUUGUUAGUUGUGGUAUUUGCUUUGGACAAAUUUCAUGCUUAUUUAGUGGGGUCUUUCAUCAUUGUCUUUACUGAUCAUUCAGCCUUGAAGUAUUUAUUGACAAAGCAAGAUACAAAAGCAAGGUUGAUUAGAUGGAUUCUUUUGCUACAAGAAUUCGAUCUCCAAAUCAAAUAUAAGAAAGGAGUGGAGAAUGUGGUAGCUGACCACCUUUCAAGGUUAGUUAUAGCACAUAAUUCCCAUCCCUUUCUUAUUAAUGAUGAUUUUCCUAAAGAAUCACUCAUGUUCCUAGUGAAAACUCCUUGGUAUGCUCAUAUUGCUAAUUAUUUAGUUACUGGUGAAAUUCCAAGUGAGUGGAAUGCAUAGGACAGGAAGCACUUCUUUGCAAAAAUUCAUGCUUAUUAUUGGGAAGAGCCCUUUAUUUUUAAGUAUUGUGCAGAUCAGAUCAUAAGGAAGUGUGUCCCUGAAGAUGAGCAACAAGGGAUUCUAAACCAUUGUCAUGAGAAUGCAUGUGGAGGCCACUUCGCCUCUCAGAAAACUGCCAUGAAGGUGUUGCAAUCAGGGUUUACUUGGCUAUCUCUUUUCAAAGAUGCCCACAUCAUGGGUAGAAGUUGUGAUAGAUGCCAAAGGCUUGGAAAGCUAACAAAAAGAAAUCAAAUGCCUAUGAACCCCAUUCUAAUAGUUGAGCUAUUUGAUGUAUGGGGUAUUGACUUCAUGGGGCCAUUCCCAAUGUCUUUUGGUAAUUCUUACAUCUUGGUGGGGGUGGAUUAUGUUUCUAAAUGGGUUGAGGCAAUCCCCUGUAAACAAAAUGACCACAGAGUGGUUCUCAAGUUUCUUAAAGAGAACAUUUUCUCGAGAUUUGGGGUACCCAAAGCCAUAAUCAGUGAUGAAGGUGCUCCUUUUUGCAACAAACCUUUUGAAGCUCUAUUAUCCAAGUAUGGAGUGAAGCAUAAGGUAGCUACACCUUAUCAUCCUCAGACUUCCGGGCAAGUUGAGCUAGCUAACAGGGAAAUAAAGAACAUAUUGAUGAAAGUGGUGAAUUCAAGCAGAAAAGAUUGGUCUAUUAGGCUUCAUGAUUCAUUGUGGGCAUAUAGAACAGCUUAUAAGACUAUUCUUGGCAUGUCUCCCUAUCGUCUUGUCUAUGGCAAAGCAUGCCAUCUCCCUGUGGAAGUUGAAUACAAAGCUUGGUGGGCAAUAAAGAAGCUAAACAUGGACUUGAUUAGAGCCGGAGCAAAGAGAUGUCUAGACCUUAAUGAGAUGGAGGAAUUAAGAAAUGAUACUUAUAUCAAUUCCAGAGUUGCAAAACAGAGGAUGAAGAAGUGGCAUGAUCAACUAAUCUCCAACAAGGAAUUUCAGAAAGGACAAAGAGUUUUACUGUAUGACACAAGACUUCAUAUCUUUCCUGGGAAGCUCAAGUCAAGGUGGAUAGGCCUGUUCAUUAUUCACCAAGUAUAUGUCAAUGGAGUGGUGGAAUUAUUGAAUUCCAAUGGCAAAGACACCUUUAGAGUCAAUGGAUAUCGUCUCAAGCCAUUCAUGGAGCCAUUCAAACCAGAAAAGGAGGAAAUCAACCUCCUUGAGCCAUAAAAAUCCUAAGUAAAAAAGGGUUUGGUGGACGUGGUUUUACCACAGUCCAAAAUUUUUGUAAAGUUUGUAAAUUUCAAAGUUUUUUCCAUACUUUUGAUCUUAGUUUUUUAUCUUAAAAUUAUGUUUUUAUAUGUGUUUUAAACUUUUUGAAUGAUCUUAGGUGGAAGAGAUUAUAAAGAAAUUGAAAGGAAGAAAUCGGAGCGAAAUCGGAGCAAAAACAGAGAAAAAAUAGAGCAAAAACAAGGCUCUGCGAGACUUCGCAGCCUAAGGAAAUCUUUUGCGAAAUAAGCACUUUGCUGCCAAACCAUUCCGCAACUCAUUGGAAUUCUCUGCGAAAAUUUUCGCAGCUGCGAAGUCGAGUUUGGCACAUGAGUGCCACUUUGCAGCACAGGAGCCCCCAUUUCGCAGCUGCGAAACGGUUGCAAAGCUCUAAAGCGUGAAAAUCCUUGAUUUCGCAACCAAAGUUCCAUUCCGCAGGGUAUUUCGCAAUUGUGAAAGAAAUUUUGGCACACGUGUGCCACUUCGCAGCACAGUGACACUCAAUUCGCAACUGCGAAACGCAUUGCGAAGUUGGCUGCGAAAAUGACUUUUUGCUGCGAAAUUAGCAUUUUUCUGCGAAACUCAAAAUGACCCUUAAUAUUCCGUUAUUUUUAUAUGUAUCGGUCAUUUGAGCUGCAAAAGUGUUUCAAAAAGAGAACGCGCCAUAGUUGCUGACUGUUCAUCUCCUUGCCUGAGCCCGACGUCGUGCGAACCUCUGAUCAUCUUCUCCGGUCAUCACUUCCGACCAAAUUUUUGGCAAUCCGAAAUGGCGCGAACCAGAGGAGCCAAAUCUUCCUCUCUUUCAAGCCGCAAGAGAGUCCCGCGAGGGAAGCCCGUUCCAGAACCCACCUCUGAACCUCCGCAGCAAAAAGUUGUUUCCCCUUCGACGAAGCCCGCACCGCAGAAGCCUCCGGCGAGGUGUUAUCUCACCAGGUCAGGGGGUCGGCCCCUGCAAAAGAGAGCCAGGGUUGAAAGCUCAGAGCCCAUUGACUUAACGGAGCAGUCCCCAAAACCUUCACUAGUUCCAUCUCCAGUGCCAUCUCCGGUUCCAUCUCCAGCGCCGCCAACAGAGCCUCAAGAGCCUCAGCCGCCACUUCCCGAACCCCAAAUUACAUCUGAAAUAGCUCCUGAAGCAAUAAUCAGGCGGUCGAUGCUGACGCAGCCGCCAAUUGAAGGGAACUUGGAUUGUAGAGCUCGACCAUUCCACUCUGAGUUGUGCUUUGAAACAGCCACCUUCCAAUUAAGGUCGGAGCUUGCGGAUUCUUUCCGCCUAUUGCGUAGAUAUCAUAUGGAGCAGCUGCUGGCCCCUAGAGACUUCUUCUACCCCAGGGUAGCCAUGGAUUUUUAUCAGUCCGUGAAUACCAAGCAGGUCAAAGAUCCUACUUUAAUCCAUUUUACUAUAGAUGGUCGGCAUGGCAUUUUGGGAGCUCGCCAUAUAGCAGAGGCCCUCCAUAUACCAUAUGAGCCAACUCAUUUUGAGGAUUUCAGAGUGUGGACUAGUCCCACUGAGCUGGAGAUGGUACAUACCUUGUUUAGAGGAGCUUCCACGCGUCCACAUCUGUUGAGGGGAGAACUUCCUCCAAGCAUGUUUCUUAUUAAUGCAUUUCUCUGUCAUAACAUCUACCCACUCCAGCAUUGGACUCAGAGGAGAGGAAUUCUUUUGGAGGCUCUAUUCAAAAUUUCUGAGGGAUAUUUCUUUGGCCCUCACCACCUGAUUAUGGCUGCCCUUCUCUAUUUCGAAGAGAAGAUCCAUAAGAAGAAGUUGCAGAGAGCUGAUGCCAUUCCUCUUCUCUUUCCAAGGCUGCUGUGCCAGAUUUUGGAGCACCUAGGGUAUCCAACAGAGCCUUAGUUGGAGCGCAAGCGCAUUUGCUAAGAGGUAUUUACUCUCGACAAAUGGAACAACAUGACAACCUAUAGAGUUGAGCAGCCAGAGCGCCCACAGCCAGCUGCUAGGAGAGCAUCCCCACGACACAUAAAUGAGGGUAUACCUAUUGCUUCUCCUACCAUCACCAGAGCCCCUCCAGUCACUCCAGCCUCAUCACAGCCAUCUUCUUUAGCUGAGCCGAGGAUGGCCAUUCCUAUUUCUGAGUAUAGGGAGUUAUGCCACUCACUGCAGAUCCUCACCGCUUCUCAGAGCAUCCUCACUCAGCAAAUCAUAGCUCUUAGUGCUCAUCAAGAGCAUAUUAUCGCCACUCAAACCCAACACAUUGCCAUCCUGAGGCAAAUUCAGCAUCAUCUGGGUAUUAUAUCACCUCCUGAGCACUCCAUUCCUAUCCCACCAGAGCCAUCAUAGGCCCCUCCUAUUGUACAUCAGACUAUGCCUUCUGAGGAGCCGACUACAGGAGAGGCAGAGGCAGCUGAGCCAUCAUCUCCACAUCAUCCUCCAGCCACCAUCUGAUCAUUUUCAUAGUUUCCUUUAUAUAUGUCCUUUAUGCAUUUCCUUUAUGUAUUUCCCUUAUAUUUUCCUUACUGGAGUAGCUCUAGAAAUCCCAUGCUUUUGAUAUUAUAUACUGGGAUUAAUUGUAUUACUUGUUCUCUUUAUGUAUUUUCAUCAAAUGAAGUAAUACAAAUCUAUCAAUUUUUUAGUACUCUUAGCAUUAUUUUAUCCUAAUUCCUCUACUCAUAUCUUUUAUUGUUUUUGAAACAUGUGUUUUCUCCAAUCAGUUUUCGAUAUCACUCAGGAGGUACCACUUCCUCCCUUUAAUUGCAAACACCUAUAUCACAUUGAGGACAAUGCUCAGUUCGGUUGGGGGGGGGGAGAGAGAGAGAGAGAGAAAUGAGGAAGGAAGUAUGCUAAAUCUUUUUGGUAAUGCAAUUAUAUUAAUAAAUCAGUUAUAGUUUUUGCUUUUUAUUCUAAUCUCCAUGGAUUUUGAGGAAAAAUUUUCAAAAUGAAACAGGAGAAAUUGAACUGUUGCUUUUUCACUUGACUUAGAGUAUGGAUUAUGCUUACUAAAGUGGUUCAAUUGUUGAAGCUUCUAUUGAAAUUGAGUUUAGUUCUUCCACUUUAAGCUAUCCACACACUGUGCACAAUAGAUUCCGAUUAUAAGAUGAAAAACUAUUUCCCUCUUGACUUAGAAAAAAUUUUGGAACUUGGUACCUUUGACCUCAUUUGAUAAAGUUGAGACACCUUAUGAAAGGCCAAUGAGCCUUUGAAAUAAAGAAAGAAAAAUGUUUGCUUGCCUUGAAACCCGAGCAAGGUUUGAGGGGUAUAUGAUGAAAAUCUUUAAAACCUAGUGCCCUAAGCCUUAAUUGGUUGGGAGUCACCGACCUCAAUGCUCGUUACAAGGGUGGAUAGGUGGAGUUAGCAUAUGGUAGGUGCUUAGGUAUUAAAAAUUCAUUCUCAAAAGUCCGGGGUAAAAUCCGAGGAGUUAGUGGUUGAAAGAUCCUUAAAGCUUGAUGCCCUAAACCUUAAUUGGUUGGGAGUCAUCAAUGGACCCCGGUUACAUGGACAAUUCAGAAAAGAAUACCCCUUAAGCCUUGUAAAAAAAAAAAGUGUGUUCUCUGCCUAUUGAAUUUGGUCAGUUUGCUAAGUGUUGAAAAGAGAUAGGUUGGGGGGAGAGAUUAGUUUAGCAUACUAUAUUCGGAAGCUAAGGAAUCACACACUUAGAUUUUUGUGGAAGAAUAAAGUUUGGUUCUUUGGAAGUGAAAAUGAUUUUAAAACUUCAGUUUGCAUAAUGCAUUCCCUUGAUUAAUAGUGUUUAGCAUAGUAUGUGAUAACUCUUGUUGAAAUUUGGGUUUAUAUUUCUUCAAUGUUCCAUGUGGGAGUUAGAUCAUCAUGCCACUUAAAUUUUUUUGAAGUAAUCAGCAUGAUGUUGUAAAUUAUAGUAAUUUUUAUUUUUAUUUUUAUCUCCUUCAUUGCUAAGGGACUAGCAAUAUGUCGAUUGGGGGGAGUGAUUACUACUCAAAAUGUGCUAUUUCAUAGCUUGUAAUUAACUCUUUUAAACACUUUUGAGUAGUAGUUAUUGCCUUUUAACCCAAUUAACAUAUUAAGGACCUUUGCAGGCACUUCUAAUCAAUAUGUGUUAAGUUUUGGUAUUUUGAUAGCCUUUUUUAUCACCAAAGCAAUCCGAGAUUGAGGAGAGUUAUGAGGAAUCUUGGGCAAAGCAAUUGGAAGCUCAGAAACAUGAAGAACCAAAGCUUGGAAGUCCUUUGCCAUAAGUAAAUCCAGAAUGCAAGGAGAAAAAGCAAAGAGAAUCUGCCAUAAAGCAUAUUCUUGAUGACAGUCAUAUCAGCCACUUUUGGAGCACUUUAUGAAGGCCAAUUGAUGCAUGCUAUAUACUAUUUUAAAGCUCAGGAAGUCAAAAAUCCAAUUCUUCAAACGGUGCAUAAUUCGGAGUUGAAACGAAGAAGUUACAACCACUACAACUCAAUCACUCUAAGCUGAAAGAAGCAUUUUUUCAAAGUGUUGCGAAAUCACCCUUUUGUUGCGAAAUGAUUUCGCAACCUUUUUGAACAGUGUUGUGGAUUUCCUCCUGAAGUUGCCCGAUAUAUGCCGCACGUUGGAAGCUGAGAGCCUCAAGGUGAAAGCCAACUUCGCAGAGCUGCGAGAUUAGCCUUUUGCUGCGAAGUGAUUUCGCAGCCCUUUUUGUGUGUCUGCGAAAUCUCGCAGACAUCAUUUUCUCUUGCGAAAUGGUCCUUAGUGCUUCCCGAUAUUUGCUACCAACAUUGGGAGAUAUUUUCCAUCAGAUUUUUGUUGUCUAAAUCCCAAAAUUCUCCUUGUAAGCCACCAAUUACAAGAUUCCUUAGCUUUUAAUUAGGAAAAAUAGUAAAUAUCCAUGUAAUAAUUAGUUUUGUAUUAUGUUUAUAUAAAUACCUCUCGAGAGCCUGUUCUCAGAGAGGAGAAACCUUUUUGUAAAAGUUUGAAAGCAAGUAAAGUUCAAGCCCUUUGUUUUGCCUUACCUUCUCACUUUGUUUUUUUUCAUAUUUUUCUAAGUUAUGAACUCUCUGAGGAAUUUUCCCCAGAGAAUGAGUAACUAAACCUUUAGUUCCUUGGAGCUAAGGUUGCCGGGGAAGGUUCCAAGUGCAAGAAUGCAAAGCUUUGUGGUUUCAGCCAUUAAUGAAGAGGAAGUGAAAUCCUUUAGUGAUUUCUAUGUUUUUAGUUAACUUAAAACACCUUAAAGUCACCUAGGCCAACACUUGGUAAGGCAAGUGAUCUUCAACCAAGGAGAUGCACUAGUUUACCCCUUGCGAGCCUCUGGGAGGUGACUUUAAGGUAGGAUUUUCUGGAAUUACCAACACUUGGUAAGCUUUUGGACUCCAAGGAGACAUCCAUUAGUUAUCUCUUGCGAGCUUGAGAAGGGAAGUCCAAGGUUAAAGAUCACCUUGAAUGGUUAAGGCUUAGUGAGAGGCUUGAACCAUUGCAAGUUGUAUCAGUGAGAGAAUUAAAGUUGAAAUCUAAUUAAAGGAUGUAUCUAUACAUCACCGGUUAGAGAAUUGACUAUACGUUGAAUCUCUAACGCGAGGAAAUGAACCAUCUGACCAGAGCUAUGUCUUUUUCAUGAGGGACCACCCCAAUGAACCUGACCCUCCAAGGAAUGUUUUUCCUCCUAAGUUAUUCCCAUUACUUGUUUUAUAGUUAGUUUAAAUCUAAAUCUUUUCCAAUCAAAGUUUGUAUUUUAUUUCUUAAGCUAGCCUUGAAAUGAAACAAGACCAAUUCACUUUGAAUUGGUAUCAUUGAUAACUUGCUAAUCCUUCCCAGUGAACGAUCCUAGAGCUGCUAUGCUAUAGUAGCUUUUUCUUUGCUACCCUAGUAUAUGGUGUAAUAGGUUAUAAAUUUUGUUGAUUACUCUCUCAAUCAAGGAGCACCAGCUGGACAUAAAUCAGUUGAAACACCAAUUGGGCAUGAAUCACUCUGUAGCAAUCAACUGUGGGGCAAAACGUGAUAGUUCAGUAAACUUAGCCUCAUAUUGGGCCACAUUCAAAUCCCCCUGUUCCAAACGGACAAACUCUCCCACCUUUUGUCGUCGAACAUUGUUAGGAAAGUACUUCUUAUAAAAAGCCUCCCUAAACUGACUCCAAAUAAUAGGCCCCUAACCCUCCAAAAGCCUCUUAGUCAUGUGCCACCAAUGGUCUGCCUUUUUGUCUAGCAUAAAUGCUGCAUAUGAGGCUUUUUGCUCCUCAAAACAAUCAAUGACAUCAAAGAAUUUCUCUAUCUUCAUAAUCCAAGCCUCUGCCUCUGUUGGAUCUAAAGUACCAGAAAAGUAAGGGGGACCCAACUUCUUAAAGUCGUUAAAGGAGCUAUCCCUAGUAGAUGAGGAUUGUCCUUGACCAUUAUUUCUAGUAGCUCUAGCCUAACGCUCAACCAAGCCAGCCAAAGUCCCUAAAUAUCUAUAAAGCCCUUCAAUACUCAUAGGGGGCAAAGCCUCAGGUGGAGGAGGUAUAUCAUCAUUAGCCUGAUUGUUUUGGGAAGAUAUAGGUCUCCUUGGUGGCAUGGUGUCCUAUAAAGCAACAGGUAUAACUAAAUUAGUCACUAAGAAGUCAAAUAAGCAAAUCAGAAUUGUAAGGAAUAAAAGGAAUCAGACUAGAUGAAGUUGAAACUUAAACUAAUGCGUCACUCAUCUAUUCUCAAAGGUAAACUAAACAAGUUCCCAUCAAGAUCACAACCUGGCUCUAAUACCACUCAUAACAACCCGCACCCAACCAUGUAGAUAUUGUCCGCUUUGGGUUCAAGGGACCCUCAUGGAUUUAAAACGCGUCUACUUGGUUAAGAGGAGCCUAUACAUAUAUAGCGCUAGGAACUUGCUCCUCUAUCCGAUGUGGGACAUCACAUCCUUGGCUUUCUUAAGAAAUAGAUAUUGGUGGCUAAUCUUAGGUUCCAUCGAGUUAAUUAACCAGACAUGCACUAUGGAAUUUUCGGCAAACCAAAUUUUAUAUGCUAGAUUAGUUGCUACUGGAGCUUUGACUUUACCAGUGAGGUACUCAAAUUUGCCUCUACCACAUAUAACAAUCUUCACGGAUUGGGACCAUUGAAGGUAAUUUUUGCCAUUCAGCUUAUACACUGUAAUCUCGAGUGAGUUGUUGUAACGACCCGCAUCCAACCAUGUAGAUAUUGUCCGCUUUGGGCCCAAGGGGCCCUCACGGCUUUAAAACGCGUCUACUUGGUUAAGAGGAGCCUCUACAUAUAUAGCACCAGGAACUUGCUCCCCUAUCCGAUGUGGGACAUCACAAAUACCCUCCUCAUGCAGACACAACGUCCUCGUUGUGUCCCAUGGGAUUGAGAGGCCAAAAUAGGCAAACACCCCUUAUGGGGACAAACAAACCCCCACACCGGGGUCGGGGAUCGACUCUGAUACCAUUUGUAACGACCCACAACCAACCAUGUAGAUAUUGUUUGCUUUGGGCCCAAGGGGCCCUCACGACUUUAAAACGCGUCUACUUGGUUAAGAGAAGCCUCUACAUAUAUAGCGCCAGGAACUUGCUCCCCUAUCCGAUGUGGGACAUCACAAAGGAUGUGUGGCAUAUUGCCCAACGAAUGUACUCCGAUCUUGGCAACGUGUCACAGGUGUUUGAAAUUUGGUCAAAAUUAAAGGAGAUGAAGCAAACCGCCUAGUCGGUUACUCAGUAUUUCACUGACUUGGAGGAUAAGUGGCAAGAAUUGGAUUUUCUUCUUGAUGAAAACUCAGUGUGUGCAACCUGUAGUGUGAAGCAAUAACAAAAUCUUGAGAAAGAAUGGGUGUAUGAUUUUCUUGUUGGAUUAAACCGAGAUCUUGAUGAAGUCCGAGGAUGUGUUUUGAGUCAAGUUCCUUUCCCAACAAUUGAUGAAGCCUUUGCUAAAGUACAUAGAGAAGAAAAUCUUCGAAAAGUUAUGCUGUCUGAAGGACUGCCGAGUGCAUCACCAAUAGAUCGAAAGCUCGGCCUUGAUGACCAAAAACAACUUGCAACCAAGAAAGAACAACAACAAUUCAAGAACAUCAUGCCGAGGAGAACGAAUGUGGUGUGAUCAAUGUAGUCGCCAUGGACACACCAAGGAUAUAUGCUGGAAGAUUCAUAGAAAACCUGCAAAUUGGGUUCUCAGGAGAUAGACUGAAAACCGAGACUUUCAAGCUCAAUCAAACCAAGACAAGCAAGGAAUAGAUUCUUCAACACAACAUCAAUCUACAAAUUCAUCAAUUCCGUUCAACAAGGAACAACUUGUGCAAUUCUACCGUCUUCUCAAUCCAUCACCAGCCCCAUCUUUGUCAACUCCUGAUCUAGGGCCAUGUUCUAUAGCAAAAUUUAGUAACCACUCAGCCCUAACAUAUUUGGUUCACUCUAAGGAACCUUGGAUCAUUGAUUUCGGUGCCUCAACCGUAUGACAGGUGGUUCUCAUUUUUUCCUCUCUUAUAAUUCAUGUCCUAGUUCUAUUAAAAUAAAAAUUGCAUAUGGAUCUUUAUCUUCAAUUGCUGGAAUAGGUUCAAUAAGAGUCUUCAAGCAUUUAAUUCUUCACUCAAUCCUUCAUGUUCCUACCUUAAAAUGCAAUUUUUUAUCCAUUAGUAAAAUCACUCGUGAUAAUAAUUGUGUUGCUAACUUUCAUUCUUCAAUGUGUCAAUUUCAGGACCUAUCAUCAAGGAGGAUGAUUGGCAAUUCUAGAAUUCAUGAAGGGCUUUAUCUUGAGAACACAAAGUAUGAGGGUCGACAAGAUUUUGCAUUAGGGGUUACAUCAGUUUCUGUUUUUAGUGAUAGGGAAAUAAUGUUGUGGCAUCAUCGACUUGAUCACCCUAAUUUGGUGUACUUAAAAACAUUUGUUACCUUCGUUGUUUAAACAUGAAGAUUCUAUUUCUUUCAUUUAUGAUAUAUGUCAAUUUGCAAAAAAUACUCGAGUACCAUUUUCUCCAAAACCCUAUACACCCUUAAUGCAUUUUACCUUAAUUCACAGCGAUAUCCGAGGUCCAUCCAAAGUUACCACAAUGCAUGGAAAAUGGUGAUUUGUGACAUUUAUUGAUGAUCAUACAAGAUUCACUUGGAUAUAUCUCCUUUGAGAUAAAUUAGAGACAAUGAUCAUACAAAAUUUCUACAAUAUGGUCCAAACCCAAUUUCAGAAAAAUAUUUGUCUUACGAAGUGACAAUGGGAGAGAAUAUUUUUAAUCUAUCUUGGGAGAUUAUUUAUUGCAUAAGUGAAUUGUUCACCAAAGCUCGUGUGUUGACACCCCGCAACAGAAUGGUGUCUUAGAAAGAAAUAAUAGACAUUUAUUAGGCGUGGCUCGUGCUCUUAUGUUUACAAUGAAUGUUCCCAAAUAUUUGUGGGGGGAUGUCAUUUUAACCAUUGCAUUUCUCAUUAACCAUCUACCUAGUCGCACCUUGACCUUUAAAUCCCCACUAUCCAUGGUUUCACACAUGUUCCCACAUCUCAAUAUGCUUACAAAUACCCUUCCACUCAAAACAUCUGGUUGCAUUGCAUUUGUCCACAUUCAUUCUCAACACCAAACCAAACUUGAUCCUCGAGCCAUCAAAACAAUCUUUCUUGGUUAUUCUCCAACCUAAAAAGGGUAUCAGUGUUACUAUCCCCAAACCAAGAAAAUGUUUGUCACCCAAGAUGUCUUAUUUUUUUUUAAGAAAUCUCGUAUUAUUCACAUACUUCGCUUUAAGGGGAGAAUCGAGACAGAGAAGCUCCUAUGUGGGAUUAGGAUACCAUUGUUUUACUCAUAUUUGAGAUCCCAUUGCAACUUGCAAUAUUACCCGAGACUGUGGCUACUCCAUCCAUCAUACCCGAGCUUACCUCAUCUAAAACCUCACCACCAACUAAAACAUUGUCAGAGUAUUCACCUGCAGUACCAAUCCCAGCAGCAAAGGUAAAUCCAACCAUACCAAAUUAGCAAAAGUUAUAGGUUUACUCUUGGAAAAAGAGUUCUCAAGGGAAUAAGCCACUCGCGAGCAUUGUGCACUGUUCGAAAUCUAAACCUAUGUUAGGAAGUGGGUCUUCAUCCUUAGGUAAUCUUGAAACCAUUUCUGAUAGACUAAAUGAACCUAUUGCACUUAGAAAAGGUGUUAGGUCAUGUACACAACAUCCUAAUUCUAAAUUUGUGUAAUAUGAUAAUCUAUCUCAUUCAUUUCAUGCCUUUACCGCAAAAUCUUUUUAGAAUUGAUGUUCUUAGGACAAUAGAAGAUGUUUUAGUUGUUCCCAAAUGGAAAAAUGUUGUUCUUAAGGAGAUGUGAGCCCUUGAAAAGAAUGAUACAUGGAGUUUGGUGGAAUUACCACAAGACAAGAGUGUGGUUGGAUGCAAAUGGGUGUUCCCUAUUAAGGUGAGACUAGAUGGCUCAAUUGAGAGAUACGAAGCACGAUUGGUUGCAAAAGGUUUCACACAAACAUAUAGUAUCUAUACUGAGACAUUUUCUCCCAUUACAAAGCUCAACACAAUUCGUGUCUUAUUAUCACUAACAGCAAAUUUGGACUCACCAUUGUAUUAACUCGAUGUGAAGAAUGCAUUAUUAAAUGGAUAAUUGGAGGAAGAAGUGUAUAUAAGCCUACCACCCGACUUUGAAGAAGAUAAAAAGGGCAAAAUGGUAUGCAAACCGAAGAAGUCUCUAUAUGGUCUCAAGCAAUCUUUGCGUGCAUGGUUUGAAAGAUUCUCAAAAGUGAUCAAGAGUCAUGAAUAUUAACAAGGGCAAACUGAUCAUACUUUGUUUGACAAACACUCAUCCAACAAAAGGGUUACAAUCCUGAUAGUAUAUGUUGAUGGCAUAAUACUUAUAGGAGAUGGCUUCAAUGAAAUGGAGGAGAUCAAAAUAUUAAUGGCAAUGGAGUUCGAGAUUAAAGAUAUUGGAACUAUGAAAUGAAAUGAAAUUAUUCAAGGAGGACAAUGGAAUGAAAUUACUCAAGGAGGACAAUGGGAAUUAAAAGAUUUAUCAAAUCCAAAACCAAUAAAACCUUUGACAAAUCCUUAAAAAAUUAUACAACAUACAAAUGGUACUAUUCAAAUAGAAUUUAGUCCAGCUUCAAAAUAUUCAUUUACUCAAGAAUUUUUUUUGUACAAGACUUUCUACUUCAAGUACAAAUUUGAAAAGCGUUAAUUUUGCUCCAAAUAUUCCUAUUCCUAUUUAUCAAUAACAAGAAUCUCCUCCUAUGUCUCCUACUCAUUGUGUUAUGCGUCAUUCUCAAGUCAAUAUUAUUCAUAAGAAAAAUUAUAAGAGAACUCUUUUUAAGCCAAACAUUGAAUGGAUAAAAUUAGAUUAUUUCUCUCCUUACAAUAACCCUAGAAGAACAUAUUUUCAAACACUUCUUCCUCAAGCUAGAAAUGCUUUAAGAAAACACAAUGAAAAUUAUAUGAAUAAAAAGAAAAUAACAAUUCCUUUUUUCCAUUGGUUUUUCAAACUUAGAAAGAAACAAAAGCAAAUUAUAACUUUAAGAUAUGAAGAAGGAUAUCAACUAGCAUUGAAACAUAGAGAAUAAUUCAAAAAAGAAUUUCAACAAUAACCUCAGAAUUAGGUUCUCAACCACCCCUAAAUAAUCAUUAAUUGAAUUCUGAUUAUAAUUCUAUUUCUGUUUCACCCUUUAAAAUCCCAAGAACAAAAUAUGAAUAAAGUUUCAUAAUUUACAAAGAUAUUAGACAAGCUCAAUAACAAUUAAAUUAUAUAAAUAAUUAUCUUCAACAUCUGAAUCAAUAAACUAAAAAAAAAAAAAAAUUCUCAAAUUUUGUUUUCUUCAACCCCAGGAGGGAGGAUAGGAGAAGCAUCAAAAUCGUCAAUUUUUCCUCAACUCUAUCAUUAUCAUCAUCAUCAUCAUCUUCUGUUAAGUUUUUAGACCAAGCUUUCAUUAUUCCUAUAAAUGCUACUAAGUAAAAAAUACAACUCUCUACUCCAACAAAAACAAUGUUAAAAGAAAUACAACUUAGAUUAGAUAAACUUAGUAUUAAUGGUAUCAAUCAAAAUAUGAAUCAAAUUCAAACCAUAACUAAAGAUAAAUCAAAAUGACUCCAAAUUCACACCUCCUUUAAUAGUUGAUACAAUAUCUAAUAAUUUGGUAAGUAGAAAAAAUUAUUAUUCAAAGCCUAUUUUUCCUUAUGUACAAUUAAAAGAAAGAAAUUAUUAAUUAGCUGCAAGUUAUAAUGGUAGUAGUUUUUAUUAAUGAAAUAUAGAUGGUAUGAGUGAACAUCAAAUAAUUAACCUACUUCAUGAAAUAAUGAUGGUUGUUAUGCUUAUAGAACCAAGACUAAUAAUUAUGAUUUUCAUGUUGUGGGUGGCUUAUUAAUAGGGUUCAUUAAUUUACUUAAAGGAUGAUGGGAUCAUUAUUUGAGUCAAAAUGAUAGAGAAUUGAUUACUACUCAAAAAGUGCUAUUUGAUAGCUUGUAAUUAACUCUUUUAAACACUUUUGAAUAGUAAUUAUUGCCUUUUAACCCAAUUGACAUAUUAAGGACCUUUGCAAUCACUUCUAAUCACUUUGUCUAAGUUUUGGUGUUUUUGUUAGUAAUUUGAUCACCAAAGCAAUGCAAGAUGGAGGAGAGUUAUUUGGAAUCCAUGGCAAAGCAAUGGAAAGCUCAGAAACAUGAAGAAUCAGAGCUUUGAAGCCUUAAAGUCCUUUGCCAUAACCAAUCCGGAAUGCAAGGAGGAGAAGUAAAGAGAGAAUCUACCUUGAAGCAUUCUUGAUGACAGUAAUUUCAGCCACUUUUGGAGUACUUCCUGAAGUCCAAUUUAUGCAUGCUUUAUGUCGUUUCGAAGAUCGGGAAGUCAACAAUCCAAUGCUUCAAACGGUUUGCAAAUCAGAGUUGAAAUGAAGAAGUUAGAGCCAAUGGAAGCAGAUCACUCCAAGCUGAAGGCCAAUUUCGCAGGGCUGCGAAAUCAGCCUUUGGCUGCGAAAUCAGCCUUGGCUGCGAAAUGAUUUCGCAGCCAUCUUGUUCGUCUGCGAAAUUUCGCAGCCAUUUUGUGCGCCUGCGAAAUUCUCCUAAGUGCUUCCAGAUAUUUGCGACUAACGUUUUUUGUUAUUUUGCCUCAGAUAUUUGUUGUCUAAAUCCCAAUUCUCUCCUUGUAAUCCACCAAUUAGAUGAUUCCUUAGUUGUUAAGCAAGGAUACAGGGGUAAACAACCUGAUAUGUAUUAUUUUGUAAUUUUCAUUUUAAGGACAUCGGGGAACUUUCCCCAGGAGACCAACUUAUGUAAAUUUUACACUUAGCUAAAUACGAAGUAUCUUUUGCUUUCUUUUUCUCUCUACUAUUUUCUAUUUUCUUAGUAGCCAAACAUCCUUGGAGGAUGAAAUCCCCAAGGAUGAGAGGCUAAAACCUUUUAGUUUCUUGAAGUAAUGGAUGCCAUGUGAAGCUCCCGUGUCAGGAUGGAGAUUUCCAAGCCAUGAAUGUAAGUAGCUGAGCGUCAUAAAUGUUUUCAUUCAAAGUAAAGCUUUUAAUCCCUCUGACUUGCUUUGAAUGACCAAUACUUGAUAACCUUUUGGUCUCAGUGGAUUCUUAUUGUUAGAUCCACUGACGUUCAUUAGUUAUCUCCUACGAGCCAUUGUAUUGCAAGUCGAGGAGAUGACCUAUUCAUUAAAAGAGCAUUUAUGAGGUUCAACUACCCUUUUUGUAAGUUUUCAAGGACUAAAACUUAGUUGUUAAACACAUACCGGUUCGGGAAGUAAGCAUCACCUGAGUUGCUUCCCCAACUCGAGGUGAAAAGUUCCAAAAUCUCCAUUUUUACACGGUGAGUUAAGCAUGGCUAUCCAAAGCUUUGAGAAACUUCUUUUUCCAUCUUUUAACCUAUUUGCAUGUUAGUUUAGUUUACAACACCUUCAUCUUUUUAUGUUUUCAUCUUAACCUAAUCUUUAUUAAGAAAAGUUCACUCCAUCCUCCGAACUUCACCAGUUAAAGUAAAAACCCUUCCCAGUGUUCGAUCCUAGAGCCACUAUGCUAUAGUAGCUUUGCUACUUUAGUGUAAGGACGUUAGGUAUAAAUUUUGUUGAUACCCUUACAUGCCAAGCUACCAAGAGUCGGGUUGUCAAGAAUAUAUAUUAAAUGUGAAAAAGAUAAUAAUUAAAGAAGAAGGAACAUUAGUCCAAACUUAUGAGGAAGAUGUUGUCAAUACUUUAAUAUUUGCAAUAACAAAAUAUUUUAUAGGGGAUUCAGUAUAUUUUCAAGAAAUAACAUUUGAAAUUCUCAAUAAUCUUAGAUGUCCAAAACUUCAAGAUUUCAAGUAGUAUAAAGAUAUGUUUUUAGUCAAAGUCGUGGCUAAAACUAAUUGUGGAAGCAUUAUUGGAAAGAAAAAUUUAUAUUAGGGUUACCCACUUUAUUUUCUGAAAAAGUUAGACAAAGAACUAGAAAUGUAUAUAAUGAAAGAAUUCCUUAUGAGUCAUUAACAUAUAUAUGGAGAAUUAAUUACCUUUAUCAAUAAUGAAGUUUUAUCUUUCUAUACUGAUCUCAAACUAAAGAGUCAAAUGAAAAAAGAGAAACAAGAUAGUAAGAAAGAGUUAGGAAAAUUUUGCUCAUAUUAUGGAUACGACACUAUAGUAGCCCAUUCAAAAAGGAAAAAUAAACAAAAUAACAUAGAAGGCAAUAAAUCAUCAACUAAGUCAAAAUUCCAAAAGAAAUUUCUAAAAAAUACUAAUAGAUCAAAAUCUUCUAAUAAAACAACUUUAAAAAAGAAGACACCAACAUGUUAUAAAUAUGGAAAAGUAGGUCAUUAUUCAAAAGAUUGUCAAUUAGAAAAUAAAAUUAAUUAAUUAGAAAUAAGUGAUAAACUAAAAAAAUUAAUUAUAGGAUUAAUGAUCAAUGAAGAAGAAGACUAUUCAAUUGAAUACUAUGAAGCAGAAGAAGAAAAUCAAAUGUUAAUAAUUCAAGAAAUGUCAAUUGAAGAGUCCAAUCAAGAUGAAUCAGAAAAUGAAAAGGAAUGUGAUGAUAUUUUUGUAUGCUCUUAUAAAUCAAUAAAUUUGAUUUCAAAAAAUUCAAAAACUUCCUUGAACAUUUUUAUUCAUAAUCAUGUCACUCAUAAAUUCGAUAUAUUUUCAAUUUUGGUAUAUUAAAGAUAGGCUGUUUAGAUAUCUUAAUUAUAUGUCAAAAAAUAUACUAACAUUUAAAUUUUUCUUAUAGAUGGAGCAAGAACGGAUAAGUGCUACAGUCAACAAGGAAUUGCAUUAUGUUUUAAACCUUUGUUUCACUUAGGUUUAGAUAUUCCUGUGUGUGUUUGCUUGAGAGACGCUAGGGCAAUAAAAUUUACUGAUUCUAUCUUUAGUAUGAUUGAUUUAAACCUUGCAAAUGGUCCUAUUUAUUUUAACUGUUAUCCAAAUUUUUCCAUGAACAUAAAUGAUUCAAGUAUUUUAUCAAGACAAACUUACAUUCUUGUCUUUCUAAUGGAAUUUCCCUAUACAAGGGAUCAAGUUUUGGAUACUUACUUUUUGUGUUGCCAUAAUGAGAAGUUAAUUUUACUACACAAUAAAAGGUAAGUCAUAACUUUUAAGUUAACAACUUAACAACAAUAUAAGUUAAGGUCCAGUUAAGUUAUUAAGUCAUAACUAUUAAGUUUUAUCAAACACCCAAUUCUAUGUUGUAAUUUAAAAAAAUGACAAGAUAAUAAAAACUUAGAUGGACAUUGAAUGCUUUUCUUCUUAUUUUUUUAAAUUAAUUUUAUUUUAAAAAAUGUAAAAUAUAAAGAUUCUUUAAUAAUGCUUUUAAUUUUUGUAAGCAAUAAAUAUGUUUAUAGUUUUAAUCCUAUAUUUGAGUUUUGAAAACAAAAUAUUAAAAUGUGUGUUGAUAAAGAUGUAAUAAUAUGUAGAAAAUCAAGGGAUAAUUUUCAAUUAUUUCUUCGUAAUUUUUAUUGAUGGUUUUAUCCAUAUAUAGUAACCUUUUAUAAAAUAACACUCUUAAGAGGAAAAUUAUUAUCCUAAUAGGGUGAUUGAUUUAUUAACAAAUAAAAAUUUAUUAAUUUAAAGAUCAUCUUUCUUAUGUAUGGUAUAAUUGUAGAAGAUAGAAAGAUUUCUAAACAAAGAAAUAUGGUGUAAAAACUUAAUAUCCUAAAAAAUAAAAAAGAUUUCAAGUAUGUUAUUUAUCAAAUCACUUCGGAUUCAAUCCUACUUCAAUUUUGUGGACAACUUGAGGAGGAAGUUGUUUAAAAUAAUUUCAUUUUGUUGUAUUAUAAGGAGAAAAAUAAUUAUUUAAAUAAUUAAUUAUAAACUCAAAUCUAUUUUUAAAAUAAGUUACUCUUAAAAGUGUUUGAUAAAACUUAAUACUUAUUACUUAAUGACUUAAAUUGAUUUUAGGUUAAAUUAUACUUAAUUUGUUAACUUAAAAUUUAUUACUUAAUUCUUAUUUAAUUAAAUUUAUUUGAUAAAAUUAACUUAAAACAUGUUUUAAACCAUCAAAUUGAUAUAUUUAUCAUCAUAAAUUAUAUCUAAAGUAAAAGAAUUUGAGUAACAGUGGAGGUUAUAAAGUAGCAAAAGAGAUCAUUAAGGUAAUUAGGGUAAAUGAGGGUAAAAUUGUUAAAAAAAAAAAUUUAUAAAUAAAUUAAUUAUUUUUACAUAUUACUUAAAGUUGUUUUUAAUUUUAAGUAAUAAAUAUACUUAAUAUAUUUAAAUUAGUAAGUCAUUUUAAGUUAUUAAAUUGGUUUACCAAACAUUCACUUAAUUCUGGUAAUUGAAUUGAAAAUUUCUUAGAAGCAUCCAAUAAUCUCAUGGGAUGGUGUAGACCCCCAUUUUGGGAGCACUUUCUUUUUGAAUUUGUUGUAGCUUAUUUGGCCAGAUGGAGCAUUUCUAGGAGGCCACGUGUCAAUCCCUGAUUGGCUAUCAUGGAAUCAAAACAGUGUUUUUGAAAGCCAAUCAGAGAUUGACACCUGGCAAGGAGGAAUCUGCAAAAGCUGUAGGUUGUUGAGGAGCAGGCCAGCUGGAGAGGAGCGUUUCUUUUGGCAGGGGGGAGGCUUUUGUUUAGGUUUUUAGGAGGGGAGGAAUGAUUCGAAGGGGAAGCCAGCUGCAUCUGAAGGGGGGCAGAAAGUAAAGCUUGGAAGGCAAGCUGUUCACAGGGACUAGUGAGAGGAGGAUACUUGGUGAGAGGAGGAUACUUGGUGAGAGAUAUUUUUGGAGAGGAUUCUGGGGACUCGAAGGAGUUCUGCAGAGGGAGGGGAGCUUCCAUUGCCAUUGUAGAGAUUUUCUUGGGGAAGGCGUCCAAGGAAAAGAAGCCAGAGCAAGGGAAGCAGCACGGGUAUGGUUUCUAUCAACUGGAUCCCUUUGUUUUCAUGCCGUUUUAUUACGUUUUCCAGGAUUACUGAAAUUUUUAUCUGGGUGAUUGGAUGAGAGCAUUGGGGCUCUGUUAUGCUUUUGCGAAGUCUGAGUUUGUUCACCCUCUUCUUUGAGCUUAAUUUCUAACUCAUUUUUUUUUAUCUCUGUUUUAAAAUCUCCCGUGAAGCAUUUGCAGUCACACUUUGGUUUCUCUUUGCAAACUAUUUGAAACCCAUUUUGACUCACCCCUGUAUCUAAGCACGUUGACAGAAACAUGAAACGUAGCUUUUACAAAAUCCAGUGUGUUCCUAUUCUUCAUGCUCUGUUUUUGUUACCUUCCUCUGUUCCUGGUACUUGGCCAUGGUGUGCAUCAGAUUUUUGAGGAGUAAGGAAAGGUAAGAGAUAUAUUUCCAGCCAGUAUGUAUGAGAAGCAACAGCAUGCUUGUCCAGUUGUGAAAACUCUAAAAACGGCUCAUGGAUGCUGAAGAUUCAGCCGUUCAGUGGUCCUCCAGUCAGUAUGUAGCGACAACAUGAUCUCAAGUUUCAUCACUAGCCAGGUUUUGAGGUUACUAGACUUUCUGAAACUGAGGGUGACCUGCACACCAAGGGUGGUGCUGAUAAUCACACCUGAAAUGGGAUGGAUAUGGGUAAUCGAGCGCACCUUUUCGGCAUGGAAGGUUGACGAAAGAAUUGAGAAAGGAAUAAAGCAAACAAAGCUGCCUGUUCCAUGCCCCUUCUGCCCAUUCAAUUAUUCUCCAUGUCUUUCAUGCCCAUAGACCCCUUUCUCUCUCUAACCAUUGUACCCACUUCUCGUGCACACCCUCACCUCUCAUGCACCCAUGUUUAUUACCUUUCAUCAUCCCCAUGCUCAUAUCCUCAUCCUUCAUGUUCCUCCAUACCCACAUUAUACCCAUGUCCCCGUCCAUCACCUCAUCAUACCUCUACCAUUCAUUUCCCUUCCACCCUACUCAUGCAUGCGGCUAUGGCUACUCUCCAUACUUCCCACACCCAUAAUACCCACGUUUCCUGCACUUCAUUCCCGCCACCCUUUGAGUCACCCCAGUUUCACAUUUGGUGCGCCAGACCUCCAUCACAGUUGUAGAGACCCUUCAAGCCAUUGAAAGUGACCAAGUGAGUAAAGAAGGUUGGCAUUGCUGGGAAAUAUGGCACUCAUUAUGGGGAUAGUUGGCAUAAUCAGAUUGAGAAGAUGAAAGUCAGUCGACGUAGCAAAUGCUUAUGUGAAUUUUGAGGAAAGUAUGCAGUGAAGAUAAAAACUGUAGGGAUUUGGGACUGUAAGGUUUGUGGCAAAGAUAAAGCAAGCCAAGCUAUUCUUGAAUGACCCACGCCAUGUCAUUCUCCGCCAUGCUCCUCCGCCACUGCAUCAUUUCACUCUCCGCUCAAUCAGCGGAGCAAGUCCAUGUCAGGUGUCGAAACUGUAAAGCUGCUGCUCCAAAAUCCCAAGAGUGGCUGUGAUAGCCAAAUGUGACCCACGCCAUGUCAGGUACGUGACCUGCUGCCUGAUGUACCGAGGUGAUGUGAUGCCCAAGGGCGUGAAUGUAGUUGUAGCCACCAUCAAGACAAGGCGCAUUACCCAGUUUGUUGAUUGGUGCCCCGCUGGAUUCAAGAGCAGCAUCAACUACCAGCCACCAACUGUUGUUCCAGGGGUGAACCUUCCCUUGCAUGCGAAAAAUGCAUUAAGUGGCCAAGAAUCCUUACAAAUGCAGUACCUUAGGUGCCCCAACAGCGUUCUGGGUUUACCAAACAGCAACUAUAUGUUCUUAAGGCUCAAAUACUCGCAUUUCAGCGCUUAAAGAAAAGAGAAGGUACUUUUCCUCAAGAGCGUCUUCGAUCUAUUGCUCUAUCACCGCUGGAAUCACAGUUAUGGCAGGCAUUUCUUCCUACCACAGCAAUUAAUCAAGAUAAAUCUGUUGUGAAGAAAAUUAUUGAAAUUAAUCCCUACAUGCUUGGCAUAGUGGCUGGAAGAGAUGCUGAUUUCCAGUUUUGGCAUAGAAAUUUGGGCAUUAAGUGCCGAUUGCAUGAACUUACCAAUGAGCGAGGGAUUUCAGCUACAGGGGUUUCAAAGCAAGCUGGAAGUGAAUAGUCUGGACGUUUAUAAGAAUGAUAAAUCCUUGAAGCACCGCUCUCCUCUCCUGUAUCUACAGCCACGAGAACCGCGUUGUUUGAGACGUCGGGAUCGACGUGGCUAGGCGGCUGCUGGUGUUUGAGGUUGUAUCUUCCAGUUCCUUCUUCUCCUCCUUGAUUGCUCAAGGCUUGAAGCUCGCCAUCAAUCUCCUCAAUAGUAAGGAUGUGGACGAGGCCUUUAGGGCUCAUAUCAAUCUCAAAGCCCUGAGGUUUGGGAUGUUGAGAUCCACCAUGGGAUAGGUGCUCGGGUGCUUUUCUUGGAGGUUUUCUUUGAUAACAAAGAUGAGGGACCGGGUGCGAAGACUAUAGAGUAUCCUGCAGAACACUCUAAGGCAUAUACGGGUUAUGCAUCAAACAUGGGGAUAAUUGGAAAAUCUGAUUAUGACCGAAUCCGCAGGGUGCUUCCGGUGCGUGAAGUAGCAAUGAGGCUUUGUGGCACCUUUGAGACCCUUUCUGUCUUUCCCGCUCGGCAUGCAUGGCCACCUUUGGUGGGCCACUGCUUAAGCCCACGUGCCACACCCCUGUAUUCCCAUGCAUUUGUUUUCAAAAAUUGAUUCUAAUCAUUUUCCACUAAUCAUGCAUCUUUUACUUUAUUUUUUUUACUUUUAUUCAUAUUUUCAUUUUUAUUUUUUUUAAAUACUUUCCUAAACUCUAGUUUGUAAAUUUUUUAUUUUUUAUUUUUUUUAUUUUUUAUUUUUUUCAAAUUCAUUUUCUUUUUCUUUUUUAAUAAUUUCAUCUCUUUUAAUUUCUCAUCCUUAGUUUUUUUUGUUUAGGUUCCAAGAAUCCGCUUUUCAAUAAAAUUUGGCCGCCACUUUCGAAUUUUUCAUGAUUUUAAAACGUUUUAAAAUAAACAUGAAUUUAUUCUCGUAAUUCCUAGCGAUGGAAUUUAUGAAAUCAAUUCAUGCAAAAAUAAACGGGCUUUGGUGGGGGCCCAACAUAUGUGAUUGAUUGAUUAAUUGAUUGAUUUGAUUGCCAUGCAUGAAUGAUUUAUUCUGCUCUAUGAUAUGCAUGUGACUAUUCCUUAAUUGUGCACUAAUCUCACUUCUUGAUAGCGCAUUGAAGAUCGUUGCCCAGGUACACAUCUAUUCUUAUUCCGAUCUUGCUAUAUGCAUGUUUUGAUACUCAUAUGUGCAUGAUUGAUUUGAGUAUUUAUUGAUUUCCUCAUCAUUGCCACACCAGCUUCAUUCUAUUAGUAGAGACCCGACAUUAGGGACUUAGAGGGGUGCUAUGGUCUUUACCGUACCUUCCCGAUAAGUAACCUGACCCCCGAAUCCGAUCCGGUUUUCACAGACCACCUUUUCCAAAAAUCAGGAGUCACACUUAGGGUUUUCUUUCUUAUUUUGUUUACCCUUUAAAAAUAAAAACAAAAAUAAGUGGCGACUCCAAGUCAUUUUCUUAAUCAAUAAAAAUCAAUUUUUCAAAUAAAAAUCGAGCUCGCCAUUCGAGUGGGAAACGCAUCGAGAACGAAAUGCGGGGUCCACAGAUGGUUAUUUCAUUUAUUUAUAGUUAUUUUUAAUUUAGAUUUUUUUUUAUACUAGCAUAAUUUAUUAAUCUUAAAUUUAUUUUUUUAUUUUUCCUUUAUUUUUUAUUCAUUUAUUUUUUCAUGUAAGGAUUUUCCCUCACAUUCUUAGGAGGCGAACAUAACCUUGGAGUGUGAUGACCUUCAUAAAUGUAUAAGAGGGCAAAAAGUAACAGGUAAAAAAGUAAAAAAGGGGAGAGAAAAAACAAGUAAAGAGAGGAAAGAGAGAAUGGGAACAGAAGCUGCAAAUUAACUCACCACCAAGACUCGUCUUCGUCUCGCGUUGCCUGAUUCUGGCGUAAAAUUCACCAUCGCAGUCACCGCCAUGCCUCCUCUUCUCAGAACAAAUCUGUGGCUGGGUCUGGGGAUCAUUUGAAUGCUACAGCAUCACAACCUGCUGGAAGCGGCCUAACUAGAGAAGAGUUUGCAAACUUACAACAACAACUUUAUCAAUUAUGUGCCAGAUUAGAGAAAGCUGGUAUUUUUUGGUGCUCUAAAUUCCACCAUUCGAGGCCAAACAAGGCAGAAUUUUUGAACUUACUAGUGGAGGAAUGUGAAAAAUUAGCCUACUAUGGUGGACUUCUAGCAAACUGUAGGGGACUUUUCAGAUGAAGAAGGUGGAGUUUUACCUUUGGAAGGGUAACCAACGUUUCAUUGUACUACAAAUCAGGAUCAAAAUCUAAACAUUAAGGUAGACAUUCCAUACUUUACUGGAGAGAUGCAACCAGAGGAGGUCUUAGGUUGGUUGAAUGAAGUUGAAAGGGUUUUUGAGUUUCUAAAUCUUCCAGAAAAUAAAAAAGUGAAGUUGGUGGCUAUAAAAUUGAAGGUGUAUGCUUCCUCUUGAUGGCAGCAAGUGUAGAUGAAAAGAGUCCAAUCUGGAAAGGAGAAAAUCUAGAGUUGGACUAAAAUGUAGUAGCAAAUCUGAAGUCAAUUCCUUCCAUUAAACUACAAAGGAAUUCUUUUUCAGCAAUACCAAGCACUGCAGCAAGGCCAACGUUCUGUGCGAGAAUAAACUAAUGAGUUUUACAAAAUACAGACUAGAGUACAACUAACUAAAAUGGAAGUGCAAGUCAUUCAUUGUUAUUUGAUGGGAUUGAGGCCAAAUGUUAGAAAUUUGGUGGAGCUAUAACCUUGUUGGACGCCAUCUGAUGCUGUUCGGUUGGCAAUGAAUGUUGAAAAUCAACAAAGAUGGUCCAACAACCACUCGAUUAAAAGUGCAUGGGGGCCUAAUCAAUUGGAGGAUAAUAGGUGGCAAGGAGAUGUCAAGCAGAAAUCAGUGGCAGUGAUCGAUGAUUUGCCGAAUUCUAGAUCAAACACUCACUUCCAAGCUCGCAACCAAGCCCAAGGGCAUGCAACAAUGAAAAAUCAUGUUCUUGGAAAUAGUAGUAACUCAUUGCAGUCUGCAGGACGCAGAAUAAUAUGUUAUAAAUAUGGAAAUGAGGGUCACAAAUCUUUUGAUUGCUGAAAACAAGCCAACAAUCUACUGAUCAAUGAAAAUGAAGGAGAGAAUAAUGAUAAUGAGGUAGGAAUGGAACCUUAAGGCGUUGGAGGGCUGCUGGAAUUCAUAGAAGAUGAAGUCAUAUAUGAAGACGAUGAUCUUCCAAAAGCAUCAAAAAGUGAUUGGCGGAGAAAUAAUAUUUUUAUAAGUAGAUGUUCUUCACAUGGGAGGCUUUGCAAUGUUAUUAUUGAUGCGGGAAGUUGUGAGAAUCUUGUUUCUAAAGAAAUGGUGAAGAAGCUCAACUUGGAAGUGCUACCACACCCAAAGCCGUAUUGAAUUGCUUGGUUCAAGAAAGGGGGUGAAGUAGAGUGUGGCAGUGUUUUCUUCCCUUCUCAAUUGGGAAAAACUAUUUAAAUCAAGUUUUAUGUGAUGUGGUGGAAAUGGAAGUCUGUCAUUUGUUACUUGGAAAUCCAUGGGAAUUUGACAAUAAAACUAUCCACCAUGGAGAGAAGAAUGUUUAUGCUUUCUACAAAAAUGGGCUUAAGGUAGUACUUGCCUUGAUGAAAGAAGAAGUGUUUGUUAAGUCUAAGGUCAAACAGAACAAUCUUGUGUAACUGUUCAAUGCUUUUUAAAUGAGUUUGAUGCUAAUGGAGUUUCCUUUUUGCUGUUGGCAAAAGAAGUCUUAGAAGACCAUCAAAAUGUUCCUAAUGAAACAAAGACAUUGCUAGAAAGUUUUGCAGAGGUAUUUUCUAUAGAGCUGCCAAGUGGAUUGCCUUCAAAAAUAAGCAUCCAGCACUACAUUGAUCUAGUACUAAGAGCCAGCCUACCAAACCUGCCACAUUAUAGAAUGCCUCUAAAAGAACAUGAAGAACUUCCAAGACAAGUGGAAGAGUUGCUGCAGAAGGGAUAUAUAAAGGAAUCAAAUAUAGCAAAUCUUUACUUAAGAGAGGUUGUGCGAUUGUGUGGAGUUCCAAAAUCAAUCACCUUAGAUCGAGACUCCAAGUUGCUCUCUCAUUUUUGGAGAACUUUAUGGAAAAAGUUUGGAACUAGGUUGCGGUAUAGUACUUUCUAUCAUCCUCAAAAUGGUGGACAAAGUGAGGUUGUCAAUAGAAGUUUGGGUGAUUUAUUGAGGUGGCUAUUUGGAGAAAAUCUUAAGUAAUGGGAAGUUGUGGUUGCACCAGUAGAAUUUGCCUAUAACUAUUCCAAGAAUCGAACUACAGGCAAAAUUCUUUUUGAAGUUGUUUAUGGGAAGCAACCAAUGCAUCCUUAUGAUUUAGCUCCUUUACUAGAAAUGGGAAGAAAUAGCUUAAAGCGUGAAAACAUGGUUGACUUAAUGAAAAAACUGCAUGAAGAAAUCAGAUUGAAGAUUGAGGAGUCGAAUGCGAAGUAUAAGAAAUAUGCAAAUCAAAAGAGGCAUAUAACCAAAGCUUUUCAGAAGGUGAUAUGGUGAUGGUGUACUUACAUAAGGAAGGAUUUCCAGCUAGCUCUUAUUUGAAGCUAAGUAAAAGAAAGAUGGGACCCUACAAAAUCAUCAAGAAGAUUGGGUAAAAUGCUUAUGUGGUUGAUUUUCCAAAACAUAUGGGAAUAGAUCCAAUAUUCAAUAAUUUAGAUUUAUAUUCUUACAUUGGUGAAAAUGUAAAAGGGGUUUCUAGCAGCACCAAACUCAAGGACGAGCUUCUUCUAAGGAGGGGAGAAUUAUGCAGUCAAUACUAGUCAAUUUAUGGUAGUUUGAAAACAUCAAAGGUUUGCAUGGGAAAAGUUUGUUAUUAAAUUAGAAGUCAAAAGGUUAGUUUUUUGUUAUUAAAAGCUAUUAAUGGUGUCUUGGAAACCUUCAGAAAGUAGUUGAGGGUUGUCAUUAUAAAAUGGAAGAACUUGCUUAUUGUAAGGACUCUUGAUGAUUAUCAAGAAAAAAUAUAUGAAGUGAUUAACCAGAUGUUCUUGGUUUGAGCUUUUUGCCAAGGGUUUUUCUUAAAUUUUUCCUUAAGAAAUCAUGGCUUCGAUGGUGGUUAGAGUAACUUGGUUGAAGUUUACUUGGAUAGCAGUUAUAAUAACUUUUUAGUUUUCAUCACAAACUCAUUGGCCAAUAAUUUCCUCAGCUUGUCCAUUUCAUUUGUAUGAUUUCUAGUCAAGAUAAUAUCAUCAAUAUAGACAAUAAAAAUAGUAAUCUUCCCAUUUAAAGAAUGUUUGUUGAAUAGAGUAUGAUCUGUUUGACCUUGUAUGUACCUAUGUUUCUUAACAACAUUAGUAAACCUAUCAAACCAUACUCUGGGAGAUUGUUUUAAGUCCAUUUGAGGAUUUCUAAAGUUUACAAACCUUACCAACAUUAGUUUUAUUCUCAAAUCUUGGAGGGAUUUUCAUAUAGACUUCAUUUUUUAGAUCUCUAUUGAGGAAAACAUUCUUGACAUCCAAUUGUUGAAGAAUCCAAUCUAGAUUGACUGUUAAUGUCAACAAUACUCUCGCGAUAUUAAUUUUGGCAACAAGGGUAAAUGUCUCUUGGUAGUCUAUGCUAUAGGUUUGAGUGAAUCCCUUGGCCACAAGUCUUGCCUUAUAUCGUUCUACACUUCCAUCUUACUUGUACUUAACGGUGAAGAUCCACUUAUAUCCAAUUGGUUGCUUCCUUUUUGGCAAGUCUGAUAAUUCCCAAGUCUCAUUCUUUUUCAAUGCCCUAAUUUCAUCAUCUAUAUCCUACCUCCAUUCAAGUUUUUCUAGAGUUUCAUGGAUACUCCUUGGAAUUUCUAUAUUUGACAUAUUAGUAACAAAUGCAUUAUAUUUUGAUGAUAAUUUUUCAUAGGAAAUAAAAUUAGAGAUUGAAUGUUGGGUGCGGAUCAGGUACGUAUCCCUCUUUUGCACUUUGGGGGGUUACAACAGGCCUGUCUGGAACUUCUUCUCCUUCUUCUACUAGGUCAGGGGAUUUUGUGUGGGAUUCCUAGAUGAGUGAGAUGGAAGGGGUGCUUAAUGACCCAAUGAAGUUUGAGACAAUGAAUGAGUUGUUGUGUAUGAUUCUUAAAGAUGAAGGUCUAUUGCUUUUCCUAAUCAUGAAGGGUUUUUCCUUUUGAAGAGAAGGGCAAAAUGAGGAGACCUUAAGAAAGUGAGGUGUAGAAAAUUUUCGCUUACAUGAUGAUAAGGAAAUCUUAGAAGAGGAAUUGCUUCCUCUUGAGUCACUGCAGUAGGAGAAGUGGGUGUGGAGAGAUCCCCUUAGGUGAAUAAAAAAUUCCUUUGGUUUUGUAAGUUUGUGGGGGUUUCAGUGGAAGGGUUUGAAGAGGGCAUUUAGAGAAUUCUUGUGGAAAUUGAGAGUAGGAGGUGCACUGCUAGUUCAUUGAAGGCUAGUAAAAGGGGUACUAUGUCCAUUUCAAGGAAGGAAAGAGAAUUAAAGGAUCUCAUUAGCACCAUUAAUUAUGACGGUGUUGCAAGAAGGAAAAUAGAGAUCGGGAAUGUGGGUAGGCAAAUUUUUGUAUUUCCUAAAUGAAGUUUAGGAUUUUGUCUUGGAAUGUUAGAGGCUUGCACUAUUCAGAUAAGAGGAAGGUAAUUGGGUCUAUGGUUAGGAAACUCAAACCGAAUUUGGUUUGUUUUUAGGAAACAAAGAUGAGGGAGAUGUCUAAUAGGUUUGUCAGAAGUUUGGGGGUUGGUAGGAACUUGGUUUGGGCAUCUUUAAAUGCAGGGGCACGACAGGAGGGGUUUUGUUAAUGUGGAAUAUGAGUAAGUUGGAAGGGUUGGAUGUUGAAGUGGGAUCUUUUUCUAUUUCUUAUCAGUUUAAAGACUAUGAGGAGGGCUUCAUUUGGGUGUUCUCUGGCUUAUAUGGACCUUUAAAAGGAAAUAAGAGAAGGGAGAAGUGGGAGGAGUUAGCCGCCGUAAGAGGGCUUUGGGAUCAGCUGUGAUACUUAGUAGGUGACUUUAAUGUGGUUUGAUUUCUAGUCAAAAGGAGUAAUUGUAGGUAGAUGACAUCCGCUAUGAGAGAAUUCUCCAACUUUAUUGAUGAGUUUAAACUUGUAGAUCUGCCUCAGGGGGGUGGGCGCGUGAGUGUUGGGGGUGUGGUUACACUUGGUAGUGGAGGGUAGAGUGGCUCACUCAAGGCUCAAUUGGACCGUUUCUUAUUCUUUGGUGGCUGGGAAGAUCUUGUAUUUUGGCUGAUGCGACAUUUGUAGCCAAGACCAAUCUCUGAUCAUUGCCCCAUGUUCUUAGAUUGUAGAGGUGAGAAAAGACAAAAACCCGUUUGGAUUUGAAAACAUGUGGCUAAGGUUGAAGGCUUUGUGAAUAAAAUUAAAGAGUGGUGGUAGACUUAAAUUUUAGGGGCAGUCACAGAUUUGUGCUUGCCAAGAAAUUACAAGCUUUGAAAAUCAACCCGAAGAAGUGGAAUAAAGAGGUACUUGGAAAUGUUUCAGCUAGGAAGGAUGAUGCUUUAGAGCAAAUAAACUAGUGGGAUAAUGUACAAAGGCUAAGACCCCUCGCUGAAGAGGAUAGGAGAAGUCAAAUGACAACUAAAGAUGAAUAUAAUCAUUUAGCCAUCCUAGAAGAGACCUUUUAGAGGUAGAAAUCAAGGGCCCUUUGGCUCAAGAAAGGAGAUAAUGACACCAGGUUUUUUCAUCACAUAGCUAAUGCAAUGAGAUGAGGAAAUUAUAGCAGCAGCCUUACUGUUAGGGGCAUUUGCCUAGAAAAAGAGCUUGAAGUGGGAAUUGGUUCCUACUUCAAAGCUAUGUUUGAAGAACCUCAAGUGCAAAGACCUGAUAUGGCUUCAGAGUUAUUUAUGAGAAUUGAUUCCAUGAAUAAUGGGGGAUGGGAGGGUCUGUUUUUAGAGGAGGAGGUAACCAAAUCAAUGUUAGAAUUAGGGGGUAAUAAGGCUCCUGGGUCGGAUGGGUUCUUGUUGGCCUUUGAGAAGUUUUGUUGACUUAUAGUAGAUGGAGAAGUUAUGCAGCUUUUUCUCUGGACAUUAAGGUGUACUCUAGGAGGAAGAAUAGAGGUCCAUAGGCGUUUGAAUCCAGGUGGAUUUGGUUUGGAGGGUUAGGGCUUGUGUGUUUUUCCAUGAAAAUCAUCAGUUGGAAUGUUAGGGGUUUGGGUUCAAGUAAUAAGCGAAGGGUGAUUAAAGAUUUCCUUAGGUUAGAGAAGCCGGAUGUUGUGAUGAUUCAGGAAACAAAAAAGGAGAAGUGCGACAGAAGGCUAGUGGGCAGUGUCUGGACGGUCAGAAAUAAGGAUUGGGUUAUUCUCCCGGCGUGUGGGGCUUCAGGUGGGAUUUUGUUCAUUUGGGACUCAAAAAAGUUGUGCAUGGAGGAGGUGGUAUUAGGCUCGUUCUCGAUAUCGGUCAAGUUCACCUUGGAGGGCUGUGGAUAUCUUUGGAUUUCUGCAGUUUAUGGUCCUAAUAGUCCCUCACUUAGGAAGGAUUUUUGGGUGGAACUUUAUGACAUUUAUGGUCUAACUUUUCCGUUGUGGUGUGUGGGCGGGGAUUUUAAUGUCAUAAGGAGAAGUUCAGAAAAAUUGGGGGGCUCUAGGCUAACUUCAAGCAUGAGGGACUUUGAUAGUUUUAUUAGUGAAAGUGAAUUACUUGAUCCACCUCUUCGGAACGCGUCAUUCACUUGGUCAAAUAUGCAAGAGUCUCCCGUGUGUAAGAGAUUAGACCGUUUUCUUUACUCAAAUGAGUGGGGGCAGCUAUUUCCCCAAAGGCAUUCAAGAAACCCUUAUCAGAAGGACCUCGGAUCAUUGGCCAAUUGCUUUGGAUACCAAUUCGUUCAUGUGGGGCCCAACUCCUUUUAGAUUUGAGAACAUGUGGCUGCAACAUCCUAGUUUCAAGGAGAACUUUAGAAAUUGGUGGAGGGGUUUUCAAGGAAAUGGAUGGGAAGGCCACAAGUUCAUGAGGAGAUUACAAUUUGUUAAAGCCAAAGCGAAGGAAUGGAAUAAGCUUUCUUUUGGAGUGCUUAAUGAAAAGAAAAAAAGUAUCCUCAAAGGAUUUAGCUAACUUAGACGCCAUCAAGCAGGAUGGGGGUCUCACCUCUGAAUUGUUAGUUCAAAGAGCCUUAAGAAAAGGGGAGCUAGAGGAAUUAAUUUUGAGGGAGGAAAUCCAUUGGAGACAAAAAGUUAGGGUGAAAUGGGUUAAGGAAGGGGAUUGCAACUCUAAGUUUUUUCAUAAAGUGGCUAAUGGCAGGCGAAAUAGGAAGUAUAUCAAGUCAUUGGAAAAUGAAAGGGGCUUAGUGUUGAAUAAUGCAGUGAGCAUCACAGAGGAGAUCUUACUCUACUUUGAAAAGCUCUACGCGAAUCCUAUAGGAGAGUCUUGGAGUAUUGAAGGUUUAGAUUGGUCCCCUAUUUCGGAAGAAAGUGCAAUAAGUUUGGUUGCCCCUUUUACUGAAGAAGAGAUUUCUAAGGCCAUAUUUCAGAUGGAUAGGGACAAGGCUCCGGGGCCUGAUGGCUUUACUAUUGCAGUAUUCCAAGACUGUUGGGAUGUGAUUAAGGAGGAUUUAGUGAGAGUGUUCGCAGAGUUUCAUAGGAGCGAAGUUAUCAAUCAAAGCACUAAUGCCUCUUUCAUUGUUCUUUUGCCCAAAAAGAGUACGACAAAGAAAAUCUCAGACUUUAGACCCAUUAGUUUGAUCACUAGUCUCUAUAAGAUAAUAGCCAAAGUGCUCUCAGGGCAUCUAAGAGGGGUCUUACAUGAAACCAUCCAUACUACUCAAGGCGCUUUUGUUCAAGGGAGACAAAUAAUGGAUGCAGUCCUCAUAGCAAAUGAGAUAGUGGAUGAGAGAAGACGAUCAGGGGAGGAAGGUGUCGUCUUUAAAAUUGAUUUUGAAAAGGCUUACGAUCACGUAAGGUGGGAUUUUUUAGAUCAAGUGUUAGAGAAGAAGGGGUUCAGUCCUAAAUGGAGGAAAUGGAUGAAUGGAUGUUUGUCCUCGGUAUCUUAUGCAGUAUUGGUGAAUGGUAACGCUAAAGGUUGGGUUAAGGCCUCGAGAGGAUUAAGACAAGGAGACCCUUUAUCCCCCUUUUUGUUUACUUUAGUAGCAGAUGUAUUGAGUAGGAUGCUUUUGAGAGCAGAGGAGAGAAAUAUGUUGGAGGGUUUUAGGGUGGGUAGAAACAGAACUAGGGUAUCUCAUUUGCAAUUUGCCGAUGACACCAUCUUCUUUUCUAACACUAGGGAGGAAGACUUGCAGACUCUAAAGAGUCUUUUGUUAGCAUUUGGGCAUAUUUCUGGACUUAAGGUCAAUUUAGACAAGAGUAAUAUUUAUGGCAUCAAUUUGGAUCAAGCUCAUAUUUCAAGAUUGGCUGAAACACUUGAAUGCAAGGCUUCUGGCUGGCCUAUACUAUAUCUGGGUUUUCCUUUGGGCGGGAACCCCCGGGCAGGAGGUUUUUGGGAUCCUGUGAUUGAGAGAAUUUCAAGAAGAUUAGAUGGUUGGCAAAAGGCAUACCUAUCCUUAGGAGGAAGGAUAACUCUCAUCCAAUCUUGCCUUACCCAUAUGCCCUGUUACUAUUUUUCUUUAUUUAAGUUACCCGCUUCAGUUGCUGCAAAAAUCGAGAGGUUGCAGAGGGAUUUUUUAUGGUCAGGGAUUGGGGAAGGCAAAAAGGAUCAUUUAGUCAGGUGGGAUGUCGUGUGUAAACCGAAGGAAAUAGGGGGUUUGGGUUUUGGGAAUAUUUCUCUGAGAAAUCUCGCUCUUUUAGGGAAAUGGUUGUGGAGGUACCCUAGAGAGGGUUCAGCUCUUUGGCAUCAGGUCAUACUAAGCAUCUAUGGUUCACACUCCAAUGGUUGGGAUGCCAACACAAUAGUUAGAUGGUCACAUCGCUGUCCUUGGAAGGCUAUUUCUCAAGUCUUUCAGGAGUUUUCCUCGUUUACUCGAUUUGUGGUAGGAAAUGGGGAAAAAAUUCGUUUCUGGGAAGAUUUGUGGUGGGGGGACCAACCUUUGGAAUCCCAAUAUCCAAGUCUAUUUAGAGUAGUCUUGGAUAAAAACAUACCUAUUUCUUCAGUUCUCGGUCCUACUCGUCCUUUCUCUUGGAAUUUAAAUUUCCGUCGUAACUUGUCAGAUUCUGAGAUUGAGGACUUAGAAGGCCUCAUGCGAUCUCUUGAUGGAGUGCAUUUAUCACUUUCGGUUCCAGAUGCCAGAUUGUGGCCCUUGUCUUCUUCAGGGCUUUUUUCAGUUAAAUAUUUCUUUCUAGCUUUAUCCCAAUUUUUUGGAUCUCCUUAGGUUUUUCCUUCUAAAUUCGUUUGGAAUUCUCAAAUUCCUUUCAAAGUGCAGUCCUUCAUCUGGUUAGUGGCACACAAGAAGGUGAAUACUAAUGACAUGCUACAAGUGAGAAGACCCUACAAAGCCCUUAGUCCGGAUAUUUGUAUUCUAUGCAUGAAGCAUGGGGAAUCAGCUGAUCAUAUUUUUCUUCAUUGCUCCUUGACAAUUGGGUUAUGGCACAGGUUAUUUCAGUUAGGUAAGAUGGAUUGGGUUCCCCCGAGAAGCAUCCUUGACAUGAUGUACAUCAAAUUCAAUGGAUUUGGUUCGUCUAAGAGGGGGAUAGCCUUGUGGCAAGCUGCAAACAUCGCUCUUAUUCGGAUUGUGUGGAUGGAAAGAAAUGCGAGGAUUUUUGAGGAUAAAGCAAGGAAUUCAGAGUCUCUAUGGGACUCUAUUGUUUUCCUUGCUUCUCUUUGGGCCUAUUGUUCCAAGGUUUUUAAGGGGACUCCCCUUAAUGCGAUACUUCUUGAUUGGAUAGCUGUGUGUACUCCAUAAGGAGUGGUUUUUUUAGAGUGUUUGCUUGUUUUUCAGUGUAUUUUACUAUAGUUUAGCUGUCUUUAGCAGGAGGAUUCCUCAUCCUUCUUUUGUACUUUUUAUCUAUCAAUAAAUCUUUGUGUCGUUUCCAAUAAAAAAAAAAAGUUAUGCAACUUUUUGAGGAAUUCCAUUCACAAAAUUUCGUAGCUCGCAGCCUGAACAUAACUUUUUUUAGCUUUAAUCUCGAAGAAGGAAGGGGUAGGUGACCUAUAGAACUUCAGGCCAAUUAGUCUUAUGGGGGAGUCUUUACAAAAUUCUUAAUAAAGUCGUAGCUAAUAGACUGAAAAUGGUGAUUGGAAAAGAGGUGUCGAAUAAGCCAGAAUGCAUUUUUGGGGGGUAGACAAAUUCUAAAUGUAGCCUUGGUAGUAAAUGCGGUGAUCGACUUAUGGAAAUGAAGUUCCAAUGCGGGGUUGGUUUGCAAGCUGGACAUAGAAAAUGCUUGUGACAAAGUAAAUUGGAAGUUCCUUCUUUCGGUUUUAGAGAAGAUGGGUUUCAGCCCCAAAUGGAGACGGUGGAUCCUCUUCUGUUUUCCUACUAUAAAACUAGUUGUUUUAGUUAGUGGCAAUCCCACAAACUUCUUCUCGACAUAUUGGGGGUUGAGGCAGGGGGACCCAUUUUCACCUUACCUAUUUGUUUUGAUUAUGGAAGCAUUCAACAGAUUAAUUGCUAAGGUUGAGGAGGGAGUUUUUAUUAAGGGUGUUAAGAUAGAAGGUAGAGGAGGAGAAGGGGUUCAAGUUUCUCACUUGUUAUUCGCUGAUGAUACUCUCCUCUUUUAUGAGGAUGAUGAAGAUCAAUUGAAAUAUUGGAAGUGGAUUGUCACUUGCUUCAAGUUGGUUUCAGGAUAAAAAAUAAAUUUGCAAAAAAGUGAAAUCAUUCCAGUAUGGGGCAUGGAGGAUGUGGACAAAGUUGUUGUCCUGUUCGGGUGCACUAUUGCCCUUGGACCCUCUCAUAGAUCAAUUGGUGUUUAGAGAAGCCUCAAUGUGAUUCAAGGGAAUGAUGAGUCAUGGAUAUGAGACUUAUUUUUCAAACUAGUUGCACAAGCGAUGGGAAAGUUUGUAAUGUGAUAAUCGAUAGUGGAAGUUGUACAAAUGUGGUGGCCAAAGAGAUGGUGACUAAGCUAAACUUGACAAUCAAACCUCUCCUUCAACCAUACAAAAUUCAGCUGUUCCAAAGGGGCAACGGUUUAAAAGUUACAAAGAGAUGUUUGGUUUCUUUCUCUAUUGGUAAGAACUACAAAGAUGAAGUUUGGUGUGAUGCUAUGCCAAUGGAUGCAUGCCAUUUGUUACUUAGAAGACCUUGGCAAUAUGAUCAAAAUGUGUCACAUUAUAGGUUUAAAAAUACUCACUCAUUUGUCAAGGAUGGUGGUCGGAUUGUUUUAACUCCCUUAAAGCCUAAAGUGAAAGAUUCCAAGGUGGUAGGAAAUUAUUUUCUAACAGGUUCACAACUAAAGAAAGUUUUGACUAAGCAAGAUGAAAUCUAUGCUCUCUUGGUUAUGGAUGCUUAUGCCACUCAACAAGCACCAUGUCAUGAGCUUUUGUUGCCUUUGUUGGAGGAGUUUAAGGACAUGAUACCUGAUGAGAUUCUUAUUGGUUUACCACCAAUGAGGAACAUUCAACACUGUAUUGAUCUUGUUCCAAGAGCUACCUUACCUAAUAAAGCAGUGUAUCGAAUGAAUUCAUUUCAACAAGCUGAAUUACAAAAGCUAGUGGAUCAUUUAAUAGCUAAGGGGCUGAUUCGAGAGAGUAUGAAUCCUUGUACUAUUCCGACUCUUUUAGUCUUAAAGAAGGGUGGUUCAUGGCGUAUGUGUAUUGACAAUAGAGCUAUCAACAAGAUCACUAUCAAGUACCAGUUUCCUAUUCCAAGAUUGGACGAUUUACUUGAUCAACUCUACAGUGCUAAGGUGUUCUCUAAGAUUGAUCUCUGAAGUGGUUAUCAUCAAUUCAAAACAAGGGAAGGAGAUGAAUGGAAAAUGGCAUUCAAAACUGGAAAUGGACUUUAUGAAUGGCUUAUGAUGCCAUUUGGGCUUUCAAAUGCACCAAGUACCUUCAUGAGGCUCAUAACACAUGUUCUUACACCUUACUUGGAAAGUUUGUGGUUGUAUACUUUGAUGACAUUCUCAUUUAUAACAAAUCUUUGCAGGACCAUAUGGAGCAUGUAAUAAGUGUUUUUCAAACCUUGAGGGAGUAAAGAAUUUUUGCUAACUUGCAAAAAUGUCAUUUCACCACAGAUAGCCUUAUUUUCUUGAGUUAUGUGGUGUCUGGUGCAAGAAUCAAGAUGGAUCCUAGCAAGGUGAAAGCAAUAGAAAGUUGGCUAGUUCCUAAAACUAUUCAUGAUGUACGGAGCUUCCAUGGGAUGGUCUCUUUCUAUAGGAGGUUUAUAAAGCAUUCCAGCACACUUGUAGUUGCUAUCACCGAAUGCCUUAAAGGAGGAGAUUUCAAGUGGACUAAGGAAGCCGAUGAAAGCUUUGAUCUUGUCAAGAGGAAGAUAACCACAGUUCCGGUUUUGAUAAAUUUGGAUUUCCAUAAAGUGUUUGAAGUAGAUUGUGAUGCAUCUAAUGUGGGAAUUGGUGUUGUAAUUAACUAAGAAGGUAAGCCCAUUGCUUUCUUUAGUGAAAAAUUGAACAAAGCCAUGACAAAGAGUUCUAUGUAAUAAUCCGAGCUCUUAGUCAUUGGAGUCACUACUUGCUGCCCAAAGAGUUUGUGCUCUAUUCAGACCAUGAGGCAUCGAAGUAUUUAAGCACCCAACACAAGCUAAGUGCACGACAUGCAAAAUGGGCAGAAUUUCUUCAAGUUUUUCAAUUUGUUCUCAAACAUAAAUUUGGACAAUUGAAUACAGUGGUUGAUGCACUAAGUCGAAGACAUGUUCUAUUAAACACUAUGCAAUCUAUGGUGAUUGGGUUUUGGAUUAUUAAAACUCUGUAUGAAGAUGAUUCUGACUUUGGCAAUCUUUGGAAAGCUUGUCUAAGUGGACCAAAGAACCAAUUCUUUAUUCAUGAUGGUAUUCUUUUUAGGGGUAAACAACCGUGUACCAAAAUGCUCACUUAGGGAAGCCAUAAUUCGUGAGGCUCAUGGUGGAGGACUUGCUGGACAAUUUGACCAAGACAAAACCUUAAUCAUGGUGCAAGAAAACUUCUAUUGGCCUAAGCUUAUGCAAGAUAUUCAGAAGAUUGUGGAGGGAUGUGUUGCUUGUCACAAAGCGAAGAUGCAUGGGAGCAAUGCCAGAUUAUAUACUCCUUCUCCAAUUCCAACAACACCUUAGGAGGAUGUGAGUAUGGAUUUCAUUGUGGGACUGCCUGGAACUCAAAAGAGGUAAAGAUUCAAUUGUGGUGGUAGUAGAAAGAUUUUCUAAAAUGACUCAUUUUGUUCCAUGCAACAAAACUUUGGAUGUCACUCAUGUUGCUGACCUUUAUUUCAAAGAAAUUGUUAAGCUUCAUGGCAUUCUUAAAACCAUCAUUUCUGACUGAGAUUCAAAAUUUUUGAGUCAUUUUUAGAGAACUAUUUGGAAAAAGUUGGGAACUAAGCUUCAAUUUAGUUCCUCUCAUCAUCCACAAACGGAUGGACAAACUUGAAUUGUUAAUACGUCUUUCGAAGUUGUGAUUAAGAGCUUGGUGAAAAUGAAUGUUAAGAGAAUGGGAGAGCUUGUUGCCUCAUGCCGAAUUUGGUUACAAUUGUUCAACAAGUCAAACUGCUAGUUCACCUUUUGAAGCAGUUUAUUGGAUGAAUCCUAUUGCCCCCUUGGAUUUAUCUCCCAAUUCAUAUUGACAACCAUUUUAGUGGGGAAGCUAAUGAAAUAGGUAAGUUCAUUAAGAAAAUUCAUGAGCAGGCGAGAAGCACGAUCUUGAAGCAAACUGAUAAAUACAAAAGGCAAGUUAAUAAGCAUAGCAAGAGAGUUGUGUUUCAAGAGGGAGCUUUGGUAUGGAUUCAUUUAAGAAAAGAAAGAUUUCCUAACAGGAAGUAUGCUAAACUUCAACCAAGAGCUGAUGGUCCAUUUAAAAUUGUUAAAGAAGAUUAAUGACAAUGCUUACAAGGUGGAGCUUCCUAGUGAUUAUGGAGUUUCAGCAACUUUCAAUGUCUCAGAUUUAUCUCCAUAUCAUGAAUAUGAGCCCCUAGACUCGAGGACAAGUUUUUUUCAACCAAUGGAGAAUGAUGUAGGUAAGCAGCCCAACCUGAGUGAUACAGGUAAGCAACCCAACAUGUGCCCACUUGAAGAUGCAAACGAGCCCAAUGUGAAUUCUCUUACAAAAGAGACAACCCAAUUUGGUUUAAUGGUCCAAGAAGUAAUUAAAGCCCAAAAGUUCAUAAUGGCGCCCGCUAUUUGGUUUAAUUAUUCAAUCAGUUGGUUUGUUAAUUAGUUAAUUAAUCUAGUCAUUGAUAGUUUCUUCAUUUCCUAUGCUUGGAGGAUUGUUCCAAGAUUAAAUAAAGUCUUUUCCUAUUCUUGGAUGGUUGUUCCAAGAUUAAAUAUGCUCAGUUUCAAAAUUGAAAGGACUUUUCAGAUUGUUAAGGAAAAAAAAAAACUAGGUGUUUGAUUUUUCUAUCAAAGUUCUUAUCUCUAAGGUGGAUUCCUUUGAGUGGUGAGCUUAAUUGUGAGUUCUUAUCUUUAAGGUGGUGAAUUUCUUAUCCUUAAGAGUGGUGAACUUGUGUUGUUAGCUUAUCAUUUUAUUUGCUUAAAACGGUAUCAUAAGGCAUCCUAAUAUACCUCACCAUGGUAAAACAAACCUCUCUUCACUCCCAGAUGGUCAAGUUGAUGGGAGUAUGAGAGAAAGUGCAAACACCUGAAAAGAUGAGAGCAGGUGUUGUCUCAGAUAUAACCAAUGGUGCUCUUCCUGUUCUAAAAGAUCCUAGUAUUACUUUCAAACCAAAUCACCCAAAGAAUGAAUUGUAUAAACCUCCUUUUACAACAAUCUUCUCCUGAGUUCCGCUCCUAGACUGUAGCAACCAAUAUAUUUGUAAGAUCUCUAGGUAGAGGGCAAGAAAUUCUGACCAAAACAAAAGGAACGCUCCUUACUGUAACCUAAGGCAAUGAGCCAAUGAAGGAAAAUUAGUCAAUAAUAUCUCUGCUCUCUAAUCACCAGUUACAUUUUUUAGGAAUGAUGUCUUUCUAGGACUUCCUAAGUUGUGGUGUGUGUAAAACCCCAACUCUGGUUGAUUGGGACUCUCUUAACUAGGGCGAUGGCCAAGGAUUUGCUCUUGAAGGGAAUGAUUAGAUUCACCCACUUGUUGCCAAAAGAUGGAGUUUUCUUUGUGAUCCUAGGGAGAUGAAGUCUCAAUUACAUAGGGUUGACCUUAUCACUCUUGAGGAUAAGUCCUUGAUUGAUAUCGAGGAAGGUGGUGGAGAUGUAUUAUAGGCCUCCCAAGUUGGUAUAUUUUUCACUAAGGUCAUGAUUCUGGAAGGUAACGAAGUUAUUGAUGGCCUUAGUUGUGGCUUACAGAACUAUCUCUCUUCCUGUGGUUCUCGCGUUGUUGAUUUCUUGAUAUAUGCUACCCUCAAACUUGUCCUUAAGUUGACUAAUUGAGUUGGUGAGUCCAAUUUGUUGUGAUUUGGCUUAUGAAAUGUCAUCAGCAUGAAUGAAUGGCUAGCAGUCAGAUAGAGAAGUGGCAGCAUGGUAGACACUACUCUAAAAUGCGUAACAGCUGGUUGACCAUUUCAAAUUCAAAUUCCUUUAGGCAUCUUGAAAAUAGGUUUUCCUUGCUAGUUGAGGAUGAGUUAGUGGUAAUGGUCUUAAUCCCCUCUUCAAGACAACGAUGUCUAUUUGGGUCGAUGCCCUUUAAGCUAUAAUGAAGUCUUUUAAAAGGCCCAAAGCCCCUGCCUUAACAGAUUAGCUUCAAUAUGCUUGUUGGUUCUUUAGUUUAGCCUAAGGGCCAAGGAUCUGAGGACUCCGUUCAACCCCAAAAUUCUAGUAUUGUGGCUUUUGGGCAAAGAAGAUAAUACACUACUUCUUUCUGCACAAUACAAUUGAGAUGUCAACUGCUACAUUUUGUGGUUACAUUUUCUAAAAGGUUGAUGUUUGUGUCUUUUGUUUUUUUCAUAGGAGUGUGUUGGUGUGUGAGAGUGCAAAGUUUAUUAGGUUUCCCAUUUUUUGAAAUAUUGUCAAAACAUCUACAAGUCAGGUUCCUAAGUGAUUCGAGCCUGCACAGGGUAGGGCUCUCUGGUUUAAGACAGAAUUUGGAAAUAGUUUUAAUAAUGAAGUUUUACAAAAACAAAACUUAAACGAGAUUAAUCGUUGAAACUCUCAGCUUGUGAACCAAAAAUAAAAAGAACUAAUAGUUGUAUAAUGGUUAGGUCGUUUCCAUAGGGAAUCUUUAAAUCAAUCAUACUAAAGGUAAGAGUUUUCAAGGGUGACCAGAAACUCAAAAGACAACAAACUCCAAGAGCAAAAAUUUACUAAAAUUCUCUCUUGCCUAACUCACCAACAACAUUCUGACCCUGUGCUUGUGGCUUUGGGAUCAAGCCAAGGGUUUCUACCAACUGGAGGGCUUUGGUUGACAUGAGCAUCAACCGCCUCAAUGAAAGAUUAACUCAGUUUGAUUGUUCCUUUUAGGUCCUUGCAAUAGGCCUGUGUUUGGUUUAUGGGUCCACCAGUGAUUAUUCCUUACAGUCCUCAUAUACUUUAACCCUAGUCAAUAGAGGCUCUUUGCAGUGCUCAUAACCACUAACCUAAGAAAGGUCCCUUUCAACCAUUCAUAGUUAAAUCAACAGUGAACUGAACUAAGAUAUGGAGAGCUUAACUCCCUUCACCCUUGAAAUGGAAAACACAAAAAAACCAAAACAUACAAUUGAAAAGACGCAAACACAAACAAACGCUCAAACUUAAAACUAAAAAAGAAAGAUUUACUAAAACAAGGAAAAGUUACAGAAAGGAAAAGAAACAGAGAACAACUAAAACAACCUAACUUAUUUCCCUAUUAAUCCCCUCUCCCCUUUGUUUAUUUACAGUUCCUGUAUUUAUAAGCAAUAGCCCACUUUUAAAUGGGGUGCACUUUAUGAUUUCUAUACAUGAUGGGGUGUGUGAUGUGCUUCCGUCUCAACGUGCUUGGGAAGUGCGCAAUUGUUGAAGCACCUAAGGGAAGUGUGCUAUUCAUCUAGGUAUCCUUUAGGAGUGCGCAAUCUAAGCAAAGUCCUUUAAGUGCGCUUCUUUGAAGUGCGCAAUCCAGGCCAUCACUUAAAAGCGUGCAAUCUAAACGCACUUUUUUAAGUGUGUAAUUUGGAUUAAUGCUCUUAGGGUGCACCAUCUACAAGGGGUUCUCCCUAGUGCGCUAUUGGAGGUCUUGCUCAGAUUGAAGUGCACUAUUAGUGAUAGUGUACCCCACUUAGGUACUCUUUCUCCAUGAAGUUUUGGAAAUGCACCAAACCUACCUUAAUUUUGCAAAAUCUCACAAAACAUAUCAAAUGGAUUUCUUUAAGGCAUUAACAUCAAAUUGAAGAACUAGGCUUGUUAUGAGUACCUCAAACACAUGACAUUUUUAAAGCCAUCCAAGUAUUUAAUUUGAGUUCUUGUCACUAACCGCAAGAAUCAUGAUUGAAAUAUAGUUUGGAAGGGAUUUGAGUGUUGUUUUUCAUAGGGAAAGUGAGUUGUUUUUUACAGUUUGGAAUACUACUAUCAACUCUUGAGAAAGAAGAGUGAAAAUGUGGUGUUGUGAAGAAAAUCAAAGGGGAAAAUUCUCUAAAUUUUAGUGAUGAAAAUGAGCAAUUAAUUGCUUGAAAAUUAACCGAAGGGAAAAUUAGGGAAUGAGAGAGUACCGCCUUCAUUACCUUGUCUCCUUGCAAUACAAUUAUUGUGAUCCAUGUCUAGGACCGACCCUACUUGAGGGUUUUUCAUCCCUUUGGUUAAUCCAAACAAUUCUAAGGGAGACUUGGGUAUAGCUACCUAAAGGCUCAUUACAUCGGAUAUCACUCUGCCAUCUACCAUCCACUCAAGACAUUCUCAAGUAGUGGUAGCAUGUGUUGACAAUAAUGAAGCAAUUUUCCUCUCCUUAACUAACCUAAAAUCAUGGCUUUGUAUUUCAGAUUCAGUGAAGAAGAAAAAUCAGUCACCUUGUUUACUCUACUUACAGCAAACUCAAGGGAAGAAGAAUUUUCUACUAGAAGUGUAGUAAACGUGAAGAAGAAAAACAUAUGCAUUUGCCGAAAAUUUUAAAUCCAAAUGCUCCUAGCAUCAAUUGAAAAUGAAAAGGUCUUUGCAUUGAAUAGGAAAAAGAAACUUAAAAUAAGAUAGUUCAAUUUUUUACAUAAAAGAACUAAGUGGUCAUCUUAGUCAAUGAGAUGGUUGUGCCUUAUUGCUCAUGAAAAUAUCCUAACUAAGCUUCCUUGCUUUCUCUUCUCUACUCCCUGUCUAUGUGUGUUGCUGUUGUCAUGCUUGUUAUUUAUAGAAGAAAGGGUUAAAGUGUAAAGACUUUCAACUAUAGUUGAAUUUCUGAAUAAGUUGAAUUUUAACUUUUAUACGCAGACAUUCAAUGAAUUUUUAUCAGAGAGUUGAAACCCAGUGCUAGACCAAUUGCCUGCACGGAACAUGAUGACGUUGCUGUAUGUGCUGCAGAUAGUCGUCUAACAGGAUUUAAAUCUUUUGAAGUUUCUCUAAGAUUUUGGAUUAAGGUAUUACCAUCACCCCGGUUGAGACCUUGUGGUUUUCCAUGAAAUUUCCCACAUUUUUCUUUGGUGUGACAUGCUUUCUUGCUGUACGAGCACCAUAGUUUCUUCUUUGUUAAGUUCUUCAUCAACUAUUGUUUUCCUUGCUCCAUGUUAACAUUAUGAUUCGUACCAUUUGGUUUGGCUCCUCCACUUGGUUUCUUUACAAUCAUGGUUGAUCCAUCCACUAGCGGUGUAUCAAGCAUCACCCCUUUUCAGCUUUCUUCAGCAUGGAUGAUAGAAAACACUUCAUUUGAAUGUUUGAUUAUAGUCUACCUCUUGCCAUAGACUCUUCAUCAUAUUGUAAUACUCGAUAAUCGAUCAGCUACCCUGUUUUGUAAUGGAGAUUUUAAUAUUCAAUUCAGGCAGCAUCCUGUAUUUUUUAGUUCCUUUGCCAAACGGUUUCCCAAAUUGCAUGUUCUAUUGAUUUCAGGUAACAUUGAAUUCCAUAACUAUGACAUAAUCAUAGAAUCUUCUUUGUCCCAAACAAUAAAUUGCAGAUCUUCAGGUUUUGGGCCUGUUCCAGUGAGAUGACUCAGUUUUCCCCUACCCUUUAAAAACGUCCUCACUAGUUGUGACCACUAUAGAUAAUUCCUUCUUGAUAAGCGGUAUACAAUCUGAAUAUUGUGAUAUUCUCUAGUCAUAUGGUUUUGGGAUGCUUCCACGGGUGACUAUGUAAUAUUGGUUAAUGGGGCUGGUAUGAUUUCUGACAUAUCCAAUAUUUGAAAGAUCCAAAAACGGAUUGAUUAGAUUCUGAAAAAAAUAAGAGAGUCGAAAAAAGCAAAAGACAACAAAGUACAUUUAUGGUGAUUAAGGCCGAAGAAUGAAUUUAGACAGGUUAUCAAUGACAAUGGAUCCCAGAGAGCAAAUUGCUUUGAUACCAUGAUGUGAGAAAUUCUAAACUGUCUUACUAAUAGUACAUAUUUAUGUGGUUACAUAAUCCUAUUCAUAAAAUUCAAAAUAUCAUUGGAAAUUAACUCUAACCAUCCCUGUAAAUUAGAAACACUCCUAAUAUAUAGAAAGUUUGACUUAUCAUAGUUGUACCAUAAUUUACCAAAUUUAAGGAUCUGAUGUUCUUCAACAUUUUAGUCUAUCCUUCUUUACCCUUUUAUCAUCCUUUCAAGGAUCAGCACACAUGGCAGAGAAGAGGUGACCUUGUACUGGCUGUCCAAAAGGUGACAUGGAACAAAAAUAAAAGCGGUCGAGGAUAUUUGACAUGAGAGACCCAUUUGAAAUCUGCUAUCAUGAACACCCUACACCCUUUUUUCUUAUUUAAGAAAAAGAAAAAGACUGAAAUAGGAGGAGCACACAUGGUAGAAAAGAUGUGGCCCCUUGACUGUUUCUCCAUUUAACUUAAAGGUUACACUGAACAAAAAUAAGAAGUUUAGGAUAUCAAACACUAGCUACCCAUUUGGAAAAAAAUGACUGUUUCAAGUCUAAAGAAAAAUAAAUAGACACAUUUGGCAGCCAUUGCGGGACUAAAACAAUAAGAUGGUACAUGUUUCAAUUUGGGCCAUAAUUCUCAUUCCUACAACCUAAACAUGGUGAUGGUGUUACAAUGCAAAAUUCACCAAUCCUUCUUCAAACUCUUUUGAGUUUUCCCUUGACAAUGUUCUGGUGAAAAGUCCAAGAAAGCCCAAAGAAAAGGAACAGAAAUGCUCACGCUUCUCUCAAGUCUCAUCUGCUGGUCCCCACCCAAAAUCUGGCCCCAAGCUUCUUUCCAAACAAAGGCUGAAAAUUCUCCCCUGCCUACCUGAAGUCAAUCUCAAAAGAUUGGUUGAUAAAAGAAGUGGACAAAGGAAAAAGUAUGCCCAUACUUUCUAACCAAUAUCCAUCAUUAGACUGGUAGCGAAGAAGACUGGAUUCCAAAAGGAUGCUGUGAGAUAUUCUGAAAGAUCACCCAUGACAUUUUCAACAUACUGUGAAGUUGAAGACCGAAAGAUAAACACAAAGCAUGAAAGCAUGGACAUGAGAAACUUGGAAUAGCAGAAAUGGAAAGCAGCAUAUGCCUUAGCAGUGCAAUUUUGUCUCUGUGUUUGUCAUGUAUGUGGUUGGGAGUGGUGCCUUCCAUUUCUAGUGCACAGACAGACACCAUCAAACCUGGGGAAGAGCUUCAAUUCUCGGAAAAAUUACUGGUUUCUGCAAAAGGGACUUUUACUCUAGGCUUCUUCAGCCUGGAAUUUGGCAGUUAUUUAGGAAUAUGGUACACAACUGAUGAUUUGUAUUGCCACCAUAUAUUUAUUAGAUAUAGAGUCAACUAGGUUUCCCUCAAGGUAAUCUUUUUCAAAGCACAACAGAAGCUGAUUUGGUACCAUUUGAAACAUAGUUUUAACCUAUAGCCUGUGGCCCUAUUUGCCUUCUUUUUUUUUUCUGGGAAAUUUAUCUAACCAUACACCAAAUACCAAAAUUUUGCCUUUUAGAAACUUUGUUUUUUACUUUUGAAAUUUAGUGGAUUUUGGGGGAAAUAAAUGUCUUUCCAUACACUGUAAUAAUAAUGUUGGGAUCCUUCCAAAAAUGCCCUCAUGCACUUUGACAGCUCUCUUAGUUGGAUCACCCACUUGGAAAAUUCACGUAAGCAAGGUCCAAGUUAGCUACCUAUAGCAGUUGAUGACAAGGCUCAUGUACAUGUCAUCAUCCAACUAGACACUUCACAUGGAUUGAUUUUUUAAAACAUAUUUACCCCCAAAUGUCUUCUUCUCUCUUCAACCAACCCUAACACCAAAAACACAUGUUUUUUCUUCUUCAUUCAUAGGCACAACCCAUCACAAGGCGAAACGAUCCAUAAAAAAAUCUGGUGGCUUCUCAAUUUGCCAUAACCCAUUAACCCCAAACAAACCUCCAAACAAGAUCCCUUAUUUUAUUUCUCCUCCAUCACCAUAAGAAAGACAACAUCAUCAUUUUCCCACCAAACAUCAAUUCGAAAACAAAAGUCCAAGUGUGAAACCCCUAACAAAGCCUAGGUAGACAAAGAGCCCCUUUCCUUUUUCUCAUUUCAACAUCGACAAAGUCAUUUCUUCCCUUCUUGUACUUCCUCUUUUGCUUUUGCGUUGAAAAAUGAGAAAGAAAGCAAUUGAGAGAAAAAGGGAACAAAGCAAUUCAAUAUUGUAGUUGCAUUUAACUUUUAAAGUAAGGGUUUUUCCAGAUGAUAUAUGUAUUUUAUUAAAUUUUGUAAUAACUAUUUAUUUUGAUUUGUCAUUUUGAUUCUUUGAGAUUUGAAUACUGUCAUAGUUAUGUGAUUUGUGGAAUUUUGUGAUUUAAACUUAAUUACAUUGCAUAUUUGUACAUGUUGAAUGUUCAUUAAUAUUGUAUUCAAUUUUAUAUUUUAAUUUAUUUAGGGUUUAUUUGAAAUGAAAUAUGGUUUGAAAUUUGAUAAAUGAUAGGAAAAUGAGAUGGUGGUAAGUUAUAUUGAUUUUGUUUUAUUUUCUGAAUUGUUGUGUCUGUGUUGUACAUGGUUGUUGGGAAGAAUAUAGAAAAGAGAAGAAAAAUAUGACUAUUGAAUGAGAAGGGAAUACAAUUUGUAUAUGGGAUUCAAGAUGUUUUGUUGUUUAAUGUUGUUUAUAUGGGAUUCCAAAAUGAGUAGGUUGAGUUUUUUUUUAUAGUUGUUAAUUGAUGAAUUUAAUGCAUAGGAAAAGAAUUCAUGUUUAGUCAUAAGUAAAAUGAGUAUAAAUUUUAAAAAUGAUUGGGAGUACAGUUUGAAUAAAUUUCUUCAUAAAAGUUUUGAAUUUGUAAUGAAUGAGGGUUGAAUUGAAAAAGAAAAUAAAACAAAUGUAGUAAAGCAGACAUGAAUUUAUGUUGGAAUUAGGAAAAAUAGUAGUGGAGCCUUAGAUGGAAAUCUGAUGCUCACUGUCAUAAAUAUGAAAUUUGUUUUGUUUAUAUGUGUGUAAUGGUCAUAGUAGGUGUUUACCCUUGGAUGAAGAGGUUGACUGUAAUUAAGGUAAUGACAUUUGGAUGAAAUAAUUGUUUUUGUAAGAGGUUGCAGUAAGUAAUUAGUGGUUGACCCAUUUGUUUGGAGGUAGGCCCUUAAUUGUAAACAUUGUUGUGGUCUAAUCUAGGCAAUAAGCAAAAUAAAGGAAGACCCAUUGUUUUAGGGGUUGGCCCGAUAAUAGGGCCAUUAGCAUAAUUUAGCUUGAAAAAUUACAAAAACAAUGGUUGGCCUAUGAAUUGAGAGGUUCACUUCCCAACUUAUAUAACAUAACAAAUUACUACCAAAUGAAAUAGAAUAAUUGCAUUAUUUAAUGUUAAGUAUACGCUAUGCAUGUUCAUAUUUACAACAUUAAUUGAAGACCAUGAAAUGUAAAUGAAGCUCACUUGUAAAGUUCCAAAGAUAAACGAUGUAUUAGUAAUUUGGUCAUAAGUGUGAUAAUCAGUUUUGUUAUAAGUAAUUUGGUUUAAGCAGUGUUAUUAAAAAAUUAGUUAAUUGUUUCAGCUUGACUAAAGGUUCAUGUUUCUAAGACAUGAUCGAGUAUCAUUUAAAUGGAUCCAAGUAAUACAAUUUAUUAUUAUCUGCACAUUGAAAGAGAGCUAGUAAGGGGUGAACAUGGCAGUAUGGAAUAUAUGGGUGGGAGACGAGAGAGUAUAAGUUCAGAACGAUCAAUGACAUAUAAUGAUUUUGUUUCAAGGAUUUGUGGGAAAAUGAACAUUGAUAUAGUGGGACCAACAUUUUCAUACACUCUUCCAUUUGAUCUAUAUGCACUUCAACCAUUGAAAAAUGAUGAAGACUUGACAAACAUGUUUCAAUUUAGUGACUAAUUCACACGUGUAUAUAUAUGUUUAGCAUCAACAGUUGAAGGCGAUGAAACGGUUGACAAUGGAGGACAAAUGUAAGUUUAUCAAAAGAAUAUCUAAUCUUAAAUGAUUUCGUGUAUUUAUUUAUUUAUUAAUAUUUAUGUUUAUUCAUUAGAUGAUAAGUUGAUAAAUAAACAUAUUUAUAAUGCAGAUUGAACGAAACAAUGGUAAGGUCAAACUCACUGGUCCCAUAUUCAACAUGGGAUGUUGAUAUUAAUUAUAAUGCAAUCACGAGGAUUUUAUCAAAGAUGUGUUGAAUCACAUGUUGGUCCACUAGAGUCGAGUUAUUUUGAGAGUGCAAUAUUGGGUAGUGGGCAUACCUUUUCAACUGCAAAUGACUUUUGAGAUGCAAUAUAUCUCAUGUCAAUAGGAAACCAUUUUAGAUAUAAGUUUAGGAGGAAUUGCCUUAAGCAUAUGACUGUAAUAUGUGUUAUUGAAGGAUGACCUUGGAAAGUAACUACUUGUGUUGUUGGGAGAACAAAAAUAAUUCAGGUGCAUACAUUUAUAAAUGAACUUAACCACUCUUUAGAAGAUGUGUCAGUUUCUAAACCAAUAGUUCGUUGUAAUCGAGCCACAACUAUGAUUGAUAAUGUUAUUCGUUCAAAUCCAAAUUACUUGUCUCGUCAAAUAUGUAAAGACUUUCAUCGACAAUACAAAAUGCAAUUGAAUUAUUGUCAAGCAUGGAACUUGAAAGAGAAGGCUAAAGAACAAAAUCAUGAUGUGCCCCAAUGUUCAUAUAAGUUGUUGCCUUGGUUGUGUACAAGGCUUAUUGAAACAAAUCCAGGGACGAUUGCUGAAUAUAAAUGUUCGGAUGAUGGUCAUUUCAUGCAAUUGUUUGUUGCCCUUUCAGUGUCAUUACAUGGGUUUAAAAUGGGGUGUCGCCCUAUUAUAUCAACAGAUUCAUCCCACAUGAGUGAGUCAUACAAGGGUGCUUUAUUUUUAGCUUCUUCGUAUGAUGCUAACAAUGUCAUGUUUCCACUUGAUUAUUGCUUAUUUAGCUCCGAGAAUUACGAGGAUUGGCUUUGGUUCUUAGAGAAAUUGAAGAUGGUCAUAGGUGAAACAAAGGUUAUAAUAAUAUCUAAUAGGCACGAUGGAAUUAUCUGUAGUGUUUUAGAUGUAUUCAGCAGUGAAAAUCAUGCACAUUGCUAUCAUCACAUUAAAGAAAACUUUAGUAGCUUACUAACAAAGUUGAACACUAAAUGGAGGAAAAUAAAGGAAAAUGCUUUGCAAAUGCUCGAUUCUAUCACCUAUUCUAGGUUAGAUUGUGAUUAUGAGGUUACAAUGGAUACUUUAAGGACAUUUAAUCAUGAUUUGGCAAAGUGGGUUGAAAAAAAUAACCCUCAACAUUGGGCAAUCUCUAAAUUUAAGACGCGUUGGGAUAAGAUGACAAAUAAUCUAGCUAAGUCUUUCAAUUCUUGGUUAAGACAUGAAUGACACCAUAACAUUUGUGUUUUCUUCAUUGAGCAUAUGGAUAAGUUAGGAUCUCUUUUAUUCGAGCACAAAAAUGGACUUGCAAAAUGGAAUGGGUGCAUUAGUCCUAAAAUAGAAUAAAAUAUUGCAUUGAACAUUGCAAAAGGUGAAAAUUAUAUCACCUAUUUACACUUGGGUAGUUCGAUGAAAGUAUCCAAUGGAAAAGUAUUCUUGGAAAUGGACUUAAUGAAGUGAACUUGCACAUACAAAGCAUGGCAAAUGUCUGGAAUCCCAUGUGAUCACGAUUGUGUAACAAUACGAAGAAUGGGGUUCGAUGUAUCUGAUUAUGUUGAUGACUGGUAUAAGUACAAUUUGCAAGAGAAUAUAUACUCUGGAAGCAUGUGUACUUUGGUAACGCAUGACAUGCCAAUGAUUGAUGAAGAUGGAACCGUUCGUGAUGCCUUGGGUCAUACUUAUCCUUUUCUUAAUCUUUCAACCACAAAGCAAUCUCCUGGAAGACCUAAGAAACAUCAAAUUAAGUCUCAAUUCAUGUAAAAAAAAAAAAAAAAAACGGUUCAUUGUUCUCGUUGUAAUGAGCCUGGGCAUAAUUGUGCUACAUGCAACAACCCAUUGUCGUAACUAUUUAAUUAAACUUCAUAAUGUAACAUCGACUUUAUAUUAGUGUGUAAUAAUUUGGUAAUCUUCAUCGUUGUUUCUCUGAUUAUAAGCAAUGACUAAUUUAUUGGAUUUGUAGUGUUUGGUGUACACAUAUUGUGAUUAUAUCUUGUUCUUCAAUAUUAUGGGAUAUGUUACAUGAUAAUAUAAUUGCAAUAACAAAAUGUGUACCUUGGUGAUGAUUGUUCAAAGAUGUCAUUAAGUCACAUAGAUUCACAUGGAAAAACAAAUUGUUAACUAGUGGGCAUAAUCGUGGAUGACCUUUACAUGUAUGGGUUGUCGUUUUUUGGCUGAUGACCCUUAAUCAUAUUAUUUAGUUUUGUGGGAAGUGGUCAGUAACCAAAAUAAGGGCCAACCUAUUAGGUCAUAAGCAGUCUUAUCGUUUUUCUUAUUUAAAAUUGGUUUUGUGUUAUGUGAGGAGUCGGUAAAAGGGAGGUUGACCCAUUGACACCAUGGGAAGGCAUUCGAACGUUUACACUAUACAGUUAGAAUUAAUGGAAUUUCUUUUAUACAAUAACAUUAGUUUGGUAUGUUAUGUGCAGAAGUUGAUCUAAGGGCGCACCCUCCAUUUCAAAGGCAUGCCUAUGUGUGAAUGACAUUAUAUUACCAUGUUAUAUACAGAAGGCAAAGUAGGGGCACACCCUUCGUUGCAUAGGCAUGGGCAUGGGUAUGAUAACAUUAUUUUGGUAUGUUAUUUGUUAUACACAAACUAGGAGCACACCAUUGAUUUUAGAGGCAUGCCUAUUUGUGAAACCAUUAUAUUGGUAGGCUAUGUGCAGUAGUCAACCUAAGGGCACAACCUUCAUGGAAGACGCAUGAAUGUGGGUGAAAAACUUGAUUUUUUUAAGCUAUGUGCAGUAGGAAAAAUAUAGGCAUGACUCUAUCGGAGGCAUGCCUUCAAGAUGACUAGAUUUAAGGUGUGUGUUGGGCAGUAAGGCAAAUAGAGGCAUGUCGAUAGCUUGAAAGGUUGACCCUUUACGUUCAUAUGAAAUAAGCGACCACCAAAGGAAUAAAUGAACAAAAGUUAUGCAUUAUCAAAUGUUUGGUAAAGACCAUAUGUUCUAAAGUUUAGCAUAGUAAUGUCAUACCAUCUAGUGUUAAUGAAGUUUAGUUGUAUUUUUUAUAAUCUAAGCAAGACAUUAAUCAUAAUGACAAUAGGUGUGAAUGUGACAAUUGUUAUAGUUAAUUAAUUUUGGCAUGGUUAGUUACAAAUACUAUUAUAAGCAAUUAAAUACCUAAUGGGGUCCAAGAAAGGGAUUAAAAUAAUUUAUGCUUAUUUUAUGAAUGAUGUAAUUCUUUUUGUAAGAAAUAUAUGUAUUAUUGCACAUAUUAACGUACACACACGCGCGUGCGCGCGCGCACACACACACACACACACACACACACAUAUAUAUAUAUAUAUAUAUAUAUAUAUAGAUGUAUUAAAGUAAGAAGGCAUGAGGUCUCAGAUUGAUGUUAAAAAAAUGUACAAUACUUUAUUAAAGUUAAUAAAGAACAGAUUGAUCUUAAAGAUAUAUGAAACAUUGUGGAUGAUAUUACGAUGGUUUGAAACUCUGUUAAAUGGUGGUGAACGACUUCCCAUCAGUUCCUAUGGGUUCUCGGUAGCAUGAGGCCUUGAAAUACCAAAAUUUCUUACAAAUGUACCAAAUUUUAUAAAAUAAAAUAAAAAAUGUACCAAAAGUUGUAAAUGAUGUAGCAAAAUUUGUCAAGGAUGUACCAAGGGUUUAAAAGUCUGUUCAAGAGUAGUGAACGACCUUUCAUCAAUUAACAUAGAUCCUUAAAUGAAAUAAUGGAUCAUAGGUGAUAAGAUGGGUGUUUCAAUGGCAAUAGGAUUAAAUGUACCAAAUUUUAUAAGGGGUCUCGACAACAAUAGGAUCGGAUGUACCAAAUUUUAUGAAGAAUGUAUCAAAUUUUGUGAAGGAUGUACCAAGGGUUCCAACGUGCAUUCAGAUAUGAGGAACAACCCCCAAGCACUUCCUUAUAGGUUCUCAAAUGAAAUUAUGGACCUUAAGUGAUAAGAUGGGGGUCCUAGAAGUAAUAGGAUGGGAUAUACCCAUAUUUUAUAAAAGAUGUACCAAAUUUUAUGAAGAAUGUACCAAGGGUUCCAAAGUGCACUCAGAGGUGGGGAUCGACCCCCAAUCACAUCUUUAUGGAUUCCCAAAUGAAAUUAUGAACCAUCUAUGUCCAAAUGGGAGUCUUGAAAGCAAUAGGAUUGGAUGUACCAAAUUUUGUGAACCAUGUACCAAGGGUUCCAAAGUGCAUUUCGAGGUGGGGAUCGACCACCAAUCACUUCCUUAUGGGUUCCGAAAUGAAAUUAUAGACCCUAGGUGAUAAGAUGGGGGUCCUGGAAGAAAUAGGAUGAGAUGUACCAAAUUUUGUGAAAAAUGUAUCAAAUUUUGUGAAUAAUGUAUCAAGGGUUCCAAAGUGCGUUCUGAGGUGGGGAUCGACUCCCAAUCACUUUCUUAUUGGUUCCAAAAUGAAAUUAUGAACCAUGAGUUAUAAAAUGGGAGUCUCGACAACAAUAGGAUCGGAUGUACCAAAUUUUGUGAAGAAUGUACCAAAUUUUCCAAAGCAUGUUUCAAGGUGGGGACCAGCCACGAAUCACUUCCUUAUGGGUUUCCAAAUGAAAUUAUGGACCCUAGGUGAUAAGAUGGGGGUCCCGAAAGCAAUAGGAUGGGAUAUACCAAAUUUUACAAAGGAUGUACCAAAUUUUAUGAAGAAUGUACCAAGGGUUCCAAAGUGCACUCAGAGGUGGGGAUCGACCCCCAAUCACAUCUUUAUGGAUUCCCAAAUGAAAUUAUGAACCAUCUAUGUCCAAAUGGGAGUCUUGAAAGUAAUAGGAUUGGAUGUACCAAAUUUUGUGAAGCAUGUACCAGAUUUUAUGAAAGAUGUACCAAGGGUUCCAAAGUGCAUUUCGAGGUGGGGAUCGACCACCAAUCACUUCCUUAUGGGUUCCGAAAUGAAAUUAUAGACCCUAGGUGAUAAGAUGGGGGUCCUGGAAGAAAUAGGAUGAGAUGUACCAAAUUUUGUGAAAAAUGUAUCAAAUUUUGUGAAUAAUGUAUCAAGGGUUCCAAAGUGCGUUCUGAGGUGGGGAUCGACUCCCAAUCACUUUCUUAUUGGUUCCAAAAUGAAAUUAUGGACCAUGAGUUAUAAAAUGGGAGUCUCGACAACAAUAGGAUCGGAUGUACCAAAUUUUGUGAAGAAUGUACCAAAUUUUCCAAAGCAUGUUUCGAGGUGGGGAUCAGCCACGAAUCACUUCCUUAUGGGUUUCCAAAUGAAAUUAUGGACCCUAGGUGAUAAGAUGGGGGUCCCGAAAGCAAUAGGAUGGGAUAUACCAAAUUUUACAAAGGAUGUACCAAAUUUUUUUUAAGGAUGUACCAAGGGUUCCAAGGUGCUUUCUUAGGUGGGGAUUGACCCCCAAUCACUUUCUUAUGGGUUUCAAAAUGAAAUUAUGGACCAUAAGUGAUAAGAUGGGGGUCCCAACAAUAAUAAGAUCGAAUGUACCUUAGAUUUUUUUAACCGUGUUUCUUAGUAACUUGAUGAAAGUUAUGUACAUUUUUUAAAGUUAAUCCGAGACCUCAUGGCCUCUUACUUUAAUCUAUCUAUUCUUUUGAGAAAUUGACAUACAUCUAUUGUUUUACACACACACACACACACACACAUAUUCCUUACAAAAAGAUGCACUUCAUUCAUAUAAUAAGCAUAAAUUAUUUUAAUCCCUUAUGUCGACCUCAUUAGGUAUUUAAUUGCUUACAUAAAUAUUCGUAAUUAACCCUACCAAAACUAAUUACCUAUAACAAUAGUCUUAUUCACACCUAUAACCAUCAGAUAUUAAUGCCUCAUGUAAAUUAUGAACAAUUCAACUCAACUUCAAUAACACUUCAUGUUAUGACAUUAAUGUGCUAAAUAUUAGAACAUAUGGUCUCUACCAAACAUCAGAUAAUGCAUUACUUUUAUUUAUUUAUUUAUAUGGUGGCCACUUAUUUGAUAUGAUCGUCAAGGGCCAACCUUUCUAGCUUUGGGCAUGUCUCCAUUUGUCUUACUGCCCAACCCACAUAUCAAAUAUAAUCACUUUAAAGGCAUGCCAUAGACAUAAGAGGCAUGCUUAUCUUUUCUACUGCACAUAGCAUAACAAAUUUAAGUUUUCACCCACAUUCAUGCAUCUUGCAUGAGGAGUGCACCCCUAGUUUGACUAUUGCACAUAGCCUACCAAUAUAAUGUCUUCACCAAUAAGCAUGCCUCUUAAAUAAAUGGUGCACCCCUAGUUUGUGUAUUGUAUAUAGCAUACCAAAAUAAUGUUAUCAUACCCAUGGCAUGCCUUUGCAACAAAGGGUGUGCCCCUGGUUUGCCUUUUGCAUAUAGCAUACUAGUAUAAUGCCUUCGCACAUAGGCAUGCCUUUGAAAUGAAGGGUGUGCCCUUAGAUUGACUUCUAAAUAUACCAUAGUAAACUAAUGUUAUUAUUAUUUUUAAAACAAAUUCCAUUGCUUCUAAGGGUACAAUGUCCACAUUCGAAUGCCUUCCUAUUAAACAAUAAGUCAACCUUCCUUUUACCAACUACCCACAUAACACAAAACUAAAGGGUCGACCCUUAUUUUUGCUACUAACCACUUCAAACAAAACUAAUAAUAUGAUCAAGGGUUAUCAACCAUAAAACAGCAACCCCGCAUGUAUAGGUUAGUCACUAUUAUGCCCACUGGUUAACAAUCUUUUGUCUUUUAUUUUUAUUUUUUCCGAAAAGCUCUUGGGUGAAGUUUUUCACUUGAUUCCAACUAUUGUGCUAGUGCAUUUGUUUUCUAAAGAUCCCAAGUGUAGCAACCAGUGCUUCAUUGGUCACUUCUCUUAAGCUCUUCAAUUAGCUUACUCUUUUCCUUUAUAGUAGCCUUAAGUGCUUCAAGGCUAACACCCUCGAUUUCAUGGACAUAGUUUGCCUCCACCUUUGCAGUUCAUUUACUUAAAAACGUCAUAACAAUGAACCUCUUGUUGAAUCCUUCAACAUCAAUGGUUGUGAUAAUGGACACUUGUAUAUAAAUGAAUCCAUUGUUUUGGAAGAAGGCGUGAGUUGCAUGAUUAAGGGCAUUGCGGGUUCGCAUAAUGAAUGCCACCUGCAAGUUUUAAAGUAGAAAUUAAAACAAAAUGACCUAAUUAAUUUGUAGUCAAAGCAUUUAUCAUGGAUUUAGAUAAGAAGCUGGAUGGAACAAAAAGAUUAAUUAUGGUUGUUGCUUAUGGCUAUGUCAUUGACAAUUAAGAAGGUAUGCCCACUACCCAAUAUUGCACUUUCAAAAUGACUCGACUCUAGUAGACCAACAUCUGAUUCAACACAUCUUUGAUAAAAUUCUUGUGAUUGCAAUCUAAUAUCAUCAUCCUUUGUUAAAUAUGAGACUAUUAAGUUAGACCAAACAAUUGUUUUGUUCAAUUUGCAUUAUAAAUAUGUUUAUUUAUCAACUUAUCAUAUAAUGAAUGAACUUUUUUUCCUCAAUGAUUUUCAAUUCUAAAGAGCUUCCAUUUUUGUUAUAAAAAAAUUACUAAUUUAACAUUUCCUAAAAAUGAUCCAUUUCCAUAUUGAAAACAGUUUUUCAAUCAGGUUUCCCAACCCCCUAACCAAAUAUAUUUUCAGUGUCAUUUCCAUUUAUUUUCUUAAACAACCCUUUGCCAAACACCCCUAUAAUUUUGGAUCCUAUAAGCACAAAGCCCUACAAAUCAAAACCCACCAAGGUCACACUCUCUAAUACAAUUCCUCAUUUCAUCAAGUGAAAAAUCAACCCAAUUCAAUACCCACCAUCUAGAUCAACCCAAUUAACACUUCAAAAACAUUAAAAAAAAAUCAAGCCAAACCCAAAAAAUGCUCAUUAAUCACACCACAACCCAAACAAUCAAAUAAAACCCUCAUCAAAUCCUAUACUAACUUUGCACCAAGAAAACAAAACCACACGAAACACAAAACCCUAGUACAAGAUUAACUAAUUCAAUCAAAUUCACAUCCAACAGUUCACAAACAUGGCCAAAAACUAAAAUUCACAAGCCAAAUAAUUGCGAGUCAGACCUGAAAAUCAAGAACUGUACUUGUAACUUGACUUGUCUGAAAAUCCCAACUUUGAAGCCACCCAAAGUGCGCGAGAUAAGCAAAAUGGGUGCACAGGAUUAUAAAAGUAGACUCCCUUUAUGGGUUUUUUGAGUUAAGGUUUAAUUGAAGAGAGAAAAAGGCUAAAUCUCACUAUCUGUUUUGUUAUUUUUUGGCAAAUAUAUUUUUUUUUAAAUCAUUCCACGUGGAUUGUCUAGUUGGAUGGUGGCAUGGACAUGAGCCAUAUCAUUAGCUUAAGUGGGCAACUUACUUUGACUGUGCUCACAUGGCUUUUCCAAGUAGUUGAUCCAAUUGGAAGAGGUGUUAAAGUGUAGGAGGGCAUUUUUUAAAGGAUCUCAACAUCACUAUUACAGUGUAUGGAAAGGUAUUUAUUUUCCCUAAAAUCCACUAACCUUCAAAAGUAAAAAGUAAAAUUCCCAAAAAGCAAAUUUUUGCCCCCUAAUGUAUGGCUACAUAAAUUUCUUUUUUUUUUUCCUCCAUAACAUAUUAUAAUAGAUUGUACAUGUUUAUCUUAGCCAUGGUAUGAUAAAAAAUAUGUUAUAUGCUAUACGUAGAGAAAAACACUCCAAACGACCAAAGUAGAAAGUGGAGAUAGUUUAUGACUGAUCCUCGCUCAAUUUGCACAUAACACCACUAGUUAACCAAACUUCAUCCUCCAUGCUUCAAGUAAUCCAUAGCCAAGUUCUUCUCAAGAGACAUAGGUCAUUUAUGGAGACAUAGGUCUUCAAAUCUGAUGAUGGGAAAUGUCUACCUCCUCCUAAAGUGCAAGAUUUUACCAUGGUUUUAAAAACCAAACCAGACAGGUCGGUCCAACCGCCAACCAGUCAUGGUUCCAAUUCGGUCUGGUCAAUUGGGUCGAAAAGUGGUCGGAUCGAAAUUGGACCGAUUAAACCAGUGGUCCGAUCGGUAAUCGUUCGGUUCAAUUUUAUUUUUCCACUGUCAUCAUUUCCCAUCAACGGGACCCCCACCCUCCUUGCAAAGCCAUCCCCACGCUAGAAAAGCUCUUAUUGCCCAUUGGAACACCCCCCACCCCUAGAAACCACCCCCUUCCUCCUCGUUGGAACCCCUUUUUGUUUAUCGAAAUCCCUCCCACCCGACACUGGAAACUCUAUCCCCCAAAACCCCAUUGGAACCCUUUUUUGCCCACUCAUCUCCUCUCUUUUUCCAGAUUUUUUUAUUAGUAUUAUUUUUUACUUCAUCUCAUUAUUAUUAUUUUUCUUUUGUAUUAAUUAUUUUUUUAUUUCAUGAUGUUUAAAACUUAUGAUUUUAAUUUAAAUUAAUGAAAACAUUACAAUUUUAAAUAAAUUCCUAAUUUUAAAAUAAGUUUUUUAUUUAAAAAUGAAUUUUAAAUUUCUAAUUUGAAACUAAUUUUUUGAUUUUCAAAUAAAAUUUUAAUUUUUAAAUAAUAUAUUGUGGACCCUACAUUUCGGCUUAAUGCGUUUCCCACUCGAUGGUGAGCUCGAUUUUUUAUUUGAAAAUUUGAUUCUUAUUUGAUUAAGAAAACCGACUUGGAGUCGUCACUUAUUUUUUGUUUUAUUUUAAAAGGGUAAACAAAAUAAGAAAGAAAACCCUAAGUGUGACUCCUUGUUUUGGAAAAGGUGGUAUAUGAAAAACCGGAUUGGGCUCGGAGGUCAGAUUGCUUAUUGGGAAGGUACAGUACAGACCGUAGCACCCCUCUAAGUCCCUAUAGUCGGGUCUCUACUAAUAGAAUGAAGCUGACGUGGCAAUCAAUGAGAAAAUCAAGGGAUACUCACCUAAAUCAUGCACAAUAUGAAAAUCAAAACACGCAAUAGAGAUUGACUAGAAUGGGAGUGGAUGCGUACCUCGGCCACGAGCCACAAUGCGCUAUCAAGAAAUGGAAUUAGUGCACAAUUAAUGAAUACAAAAUAUAGCUCAUGCAUAUCGGAGUGCAAACGAAACUCAAGCGAAAUACAUUAAGCACAACAAUUUACAAUCAAAAGGAAUCAAACAUAGGGCCCCCACCAAAGCCCAAUUUUUCAUUCAUGAGCUAGUCUCACAAAUCCCGUGUUUUAGAAUUAUGAAGAAUUCAUUAUUGCUUACGUAAAAUCAAGAAGAUCAUAAGAUUAUUCAGGAACCGAAAUGGGAUUAAAACUAUUCGACUGAAGACUGGAUUCUUGGAGUUUAUUUGAAAAUUGGAGUAUUUGGAAUUAAAUUUAAAAGAUUAGAGCUCCUGUAAUUAAAUUGAAAUUUGUUAAAUAAGAUGAGAAAUGAACUUUAGGAAAUUGAUCUGCGAGAAUAUGGAUUUUGAAAGUUGAAUUUGUAAUAAUAGUAAUAAUAAGAAAUGAACUUUAAGAAAUUGGACUGCGAGAAUAUAGAUUUUGAAAGUUGAAUUAAUAAUAAUAAUAAUGAUAAGAAAUGAACUUUAAGAAAUUAAACUAUGAAAAUAUAUAUUUUGAAAGUUGAAUUAAUAAUAAUAGUAAUAAUAAUAAUAAUGAUAAUAAUACUGAUAAUAAUAAUGAUAAUAAUAGUAAUAAUAAUAAUAAUAAUAAUAAUAAUAAGAUUUUGAAAGUUGAAUUAAUAAUAAUAAUGAUAAUAAGAAUAAUAAUAAUAAUAAUAAUAAGAUUUUAAAAGUUGAAUUAAUAAUAAUAAUAAUAAUAAUAAUAAUAAUAAGAUUUUGAAAGUUAAAUUAAUAAUAAUAAUAAUAAUAAUAAUAAUAAUAAUAAUAAUAAUAAGAUUUGGAAAGUUGAAUUAAUAAUAAUAAUGAUAAUAAUAAGAUUUUGAAAGUGCUUUGGGUUCCAUCCUCAUCAUAAGCCCAAGUCUAUGAGCCCAAGUCCAUUCAUUAAAAGAGCUUUGGGCUCCAUCUCCAUCAAGCCCAUGUCCAUUCAUUAAAAGAAGCCCAUGUCCAUUCAUUAAAAGAGCCUUGGGCUCCAUCUCUAUCAAGCCCAUGUCCAUUCAUUAAAAGAAGCCCAUGUCCAUUCAUUAAAAGAGCCUUGGGCUCCAUCUCCAUCAAGCCCAUGUCCAUUCAUUAAAAGAGCCUUGAGCUCCAUCUCCAUUAAGCCCACGUCCAUUCAUUAAAAGAAGCCCAUGUCCGUUCAUUAAAAGAGCCUUGGGCUCCAUCUCCAUCAAGCCCACGUCCAUUCAUUAAAAGAACCUUGGGCUCCAUCUCCAUCAAGCCCAAGUCAUUAAACUAAAAGGAGCCUAGGUCCAUUCAUUAAAAGAAGCCCAUGUCCAUUCAUUAAAAAAGCCUUAGGCUCCAUCUCCAUCAAGCCCAAGUCAUUAAACUAAAAGGAGCCCAAGUCCAUAAGCUCAUUAAAUUAAAAGAAGCCUAGUCUGCCUCCAUCUCCAUCAUUCAUUAAAUUAAAAAGAGAGCCCAGGUCCAUAAGCCCAAACGACCCAAGCCUGCCUUCAAUCUCCCGCAAAGCUGGUUUUCCACUUGGGUGUCAUCUUCAGCCAAGGAGCCUCCACCACUGGCGACGCGAUGGAGAGGGAUGCGACGGCGACAAUGGCGGAGUAGACAACAUUUUGGGUGAGGGCGCUAGUGGCAGUCAGGAUGAUGGUGCAAAUGGUGGACUCGGUGCUUGGAGAGAAAUAAUGGGAAAUAAAAGUGUAAAGAGAGAAAAUAAAUAUCAUGAAUAAUGGGCUUGGCAGGCAAGGUGGGAUAAUAGAUGUGGUGGUGUGAUCAAACAAAAUGGGUUAAAGGAGUUUAGUGGGUAUGAAGACAAGGAUCAUGAAUGGUGGGAUGAUGAGCAAAAGCUAGUGAGAGAAUAUGGGUAUAGGAGGGGUGGAUUGGUUUGCAUGCAUUUUUCCAGCAACCUUUGGGCUUGGCAGCUGCUUUAGGUUUAGGCUCGGAAGCUUUGGGCUUAAAAUUCUGGCACAAGCAUAACAAGCUCCAAACCAAAGAGUAAACUAACAAUAACUGAUUGGAAAGAUGAACCUAAAUUCACAAUCACACAACAUGCAUCAUUACAAAGCAGAAACCAGAGACUAAUAAAAAAAGUUGUAUCAAUAUUAACCUUCUAAUGGAAUAAUAAACAACUUACAAGCUGUUUGGGAAGCAAGAAUUAUUGGGUCCUCAUGUCCAGGAAACUGCUUUUUUUUUUUUUUUUUUUUUGUUGACUAAAAGCAGCCCCCAUUUGUAGAAAAAGGAGAAACGCAUGACCCCUCGGUGCCCUUUUUUCCUGCCUCAGACAACAACCCCUUUUUCAUCAAAAACCCCCCCUCCACAAGUCAUGGACCUGCUCCUCUCUUCUCUGCCACCCUUGCUGCCACCAACAACCUCACCUCAAUUCUUUCCCAUCUCACCCACUCUCAUAAAAAAAUAAAAAUCCAUACUUUGCCUUGGGGUGCUUAACCAACCGGGGGGGGUCUACAAAUAUGCCCCUCUUCGGUAGAGUUCACGAGUGUAAGGAAUAUGAGCAUUAGAGUGAAAAGAAAGUGUGAAUAGUGAGUGGAAUGAAGUGAACUCUACCGAAGAACAAAGGAGACCCCCAAAAGGACACUAACGAGACAAAAACUCACUCAAACCAACAGAUGAGCAAAAGGGGUUUAACCCUAAGAGAAAAGCAGAUUUCUCAAAAUGCCUCUAAAGCCAAACAGAGGACUCAGGCUCCCUCUAAGACGUCUCCAAAAGUGACUCGAAAGACCAUAUCAAAGAUGAGUAACGGUCGAACCCCUCUGAAGUACAAAAAAGACUACCCCCAAAUGAGACUGCCUUAUGCGAACUUCAUGAGAAUGACUAGUGUAGGGUGUCCAACAACAUGACCGAAGUAAGUGUCGUGAACUCAAAGGUCACCGUGUCAUGAGCAAUGAAAAGGGGAAUCUGGAAGAGUGAUGACAAGUAGGCGAUAAGCACAGGGUAACAUGGUGAGGAAAAUGAGAAUAAAUGCAAACCCAUGAAAGCAAGAUGUGCAAUGCCAAUGAACAUGAAUGCCAGGGACUCUAACUCUGAAUGAUACGAAUGAGGAGAAAUGACUUUGAACGUCAAAACACAAGAAAGAUAAGGACUCAAGGUGCCCGAACGAAUAUGUACAAUGGCUAUGAACGCCAAACUAAAGAGAGAUGGUGGCAUCGAAUGCCUGAACGAGUGCGAAAGAUGGCUCUGAACGCCAACACUAAGAAAGAUUGACUUUGAGCGUCGAACUGAAAGUGUGACUCGAAACGCCAAACUGAGAUCAUGGCUCCGAGCGCUGAACGGAAGAAAUAUAUGAUAGUUCGGAGUGCCGAACUAGAAACAAACAAAAGCUCUGAAUGCUAAACUGAAGAUGUACAAAGGCUUUGAGUGCCUGAAAUGUGGCUCUGAAUGCCGGACUAAAAAUGCUGAUGGCUCAGAAUGCUGGGACUGAAGACGAUGAUGGCUCUGAACGCCGAAACUGAAGAUGAUGAUGGCUCUGAACGAAGAACUGAGAACAAUGAUGGCUCUGAACGCCAAAACUGAAAAUGGUGAUGGCUCUGAAUGCCGAAGCUGAGAAACGGUGAUGGCUCUGAACGCCAAGUCGUGAAUGGUAAUGACUUUGAAUGCCGAAGCUGAGAAACGGUGAUGACUCUAAGCGCCAAAACUGAGAAGAGAUAGUGGCUCUAAACGCCAAACUGUGAAUGUUGAUGGCUCUGAACACCAAUUUGAGAAGAAAUAAUGGCUCUGAAUGCCAAAUAGAAAAUGCUAAUUACUCUAAACACCGAACUGAGAAGAAAUAAUGGCUCUGAACGCUAAAUGAAAAAUGUUGAUAACUCUGAAUGCCGAGACUAAGAAGAAAUAGUGGCUCUGAACGCUGAUUACUACUCACUAAGUGCUAUUUCAUAGCUUGUAAUUAACUCUUUUAAACACUUUUGAGUAGUAGUUAUCACCUUUUAACCCGAUUAACAUAUUAAGGACCCUUGCAAUCAAUUCUAAUCAAAUUGUGUUAAGUUUUGGUGUUUUGAUAGCUUUUUGAAUACCAAAGCAAUCCAAGAUUGAGGAGAGUUCUUUGGAAUCCAUGGCAAAAGAUGUCCGGACAGGGCGUCCGGACACACCAUCGGAGGGCAGCGGAACGUGGGCUGUGGCAGGCUGUCGGAAUGACGUAGCAAGGCUUGUGCCCUUUAGCCAAUGAUCCAGACAACAUAUCUGGAUAGGAUAUGCUAUCGUCUAAGGUGUGAUGAACAUGAGUGCCAUGUGCUUCUCCUUGAGGGAGUCCGGAUAGGGGAGCACGUCGUGUGUCCUCUUGAAGAAUCCGGAUGGAGUUGCUCCGGAUAGCGAUGCGCGCUCCGUGUCAUCAGGGGGAGGGGUCCCUACACCUUGCACACACAGACAGCCCCCUUAUGACGUGUGGCAUCGCACAUUCCACCCGGAUGUCUCACAUCCGGAAUUCUUCAGUGAAGGGGAGGAGGACCAUGGUUCAACAGUGAAUGCAAAUCCGGAAAAAUAGCUUAUUAAGGAAGAAUUGAUGAAGAAACGCACAUCUCCACCUUUUCCUCAAGCUUUGCAUGGGAAAAAGGGGAUUAGAAAUGCAUCUAAAAUUCUUGAAGUAUUGAGACAAGUGAAAGUUAAUAUCCCACUGCUGGAUAUGAUUAAACAAGUUCCAAUGUAUGCAAAAUUCCUAAAGGACUUAUGUACUAUCAAAAGAGGCUUGAAUGUGAAUAAGAAAGCCUUUUUGACUGAGCAAGUGAGUGCCAUCAUACAAUGCAAAUCUCCUUUGAAGUACAAAGAUCCGGGAUGUCCUACCAUUUCAGUUAUGAUUGGAGGAAAGGUAGUGGAAAAAGCUUUGUUAGAUUUGGGAGCAAGUGUGAAUUUGUUGCCAUACUCUGUUUAUAAGCAAUUGGGACUUGGUGAGUUGAAGCCAACAUCAAUCACCCUAUCUCUAGCAGAUAGAUCAGUAAAAAUUCCAAGGGGGGUAAUUGAGGAUGUCUUAGUUCAAGUUGAUAAUUUCUACUAUUCGAUAGAUUUUGUUGUUCUUGAUAUGGAUCCUACUGUAAAGGAAGCUAAUUCAGUUCCUAUCAUCCUUGGAAGGCCAUUCCUUGCUACCUCAAAUGCAAUCAUCAAUUGUAGGAAUGGACUCAUGCAACUCACUUUUGGCAACAUGACACUUGAGCUCAACAUUUUUUAUAUGUCUAAAAAGCAAAUCACUCCGGAAGAAGAAGAAGGUCCAGAAGAGGUAUGCAUUAUCGACACUCUAGUGGAGGAGCACUGUAAUCAGAAUAUGCAAACAAGCUCUGAGGAUGUUUCCUCAGAGAAUGAGUGGCUAGACUUUUUGUUCCUUGGAGUUAAGGUUGUCGGGAAAGGUUCCAAGUGCAAGAAUUAAUAGCUUUGUGGUUUCAGCCAUUAAUGAAGAGAAAGUGCGAUCCUUUAAUGAUUUCUAUGUUUUUAGUUAACUUAAAACACCUUCAAUUCACUUGAGCCAACACUUGGUAAGGCAAGUGAUCUUCGUCCAUGGAGAGGCACUAGUUUACCUCUUGCGAGCUUUUGGGAAGUGACUUGAAGGUAGGAUUUUCUAAAAUUGCCAACACUUGGUAAGCUUUUGGACUCCAAGGAGACAUCCAUUAGUUAUCUCUUGCGAGCUUGAGAAGGGAAGUCCAAAGUUAAAGAUCACCUUGAAUGGCAAAUGCUAGGUGAGAGGCACGAGCCAUUGCAAGUUGCAUCAGUGAGAGGGAAUUAGAUCUGAAAUCCAUUUAAAGGAUACAUCUGUACAACACCGAUCAGAGAAUUGACUAUAUGUUAAUUCUCUAAUGCGAGGAAAUGAACCAAAUGACCAGAGCUCUGCCUUUGCAUGAGGAACCUCCCCUGUGAACCUAAACCUCCAAGGAAUGUUUUUCUUCAUAAGUAACUUCCAUUACUUCCUUUUCCGUUAGUUUAAACCUAAACCUUUUUCAACCAAAGUUUGUGUUUUAUUUCUUAAGCUAACCUUGAAAUGAAAGGGCAUCAAUUCACUUUGAAUUGGUAUCAUUUAUGAAUUGAAAACCCUUCCUAGUGAACGAUCCUAGAGCCACUAUGCUAUAGUAGCUUUGUCUUUGCUACCCUAGUUCAUGGUGUAAUAGGUUAUAAAUUUUGUUGAUUACUCCCUCAAUCAAGGAGCACCAGCUGGACAUGAAUCAGCUGAUACACCAAUUGGGCACGAAUCAAACGCCAAAUGGAAAAUGCUGAUGGCUCUGAACGCCGAACUGUGAAGAGAUAAUGGCUUUGAAUGCCAAAUGGGAAAUGUAUCAGGCUCUAAACACCGAGACUGAGAAGAAAUAGUGGCUCUGAACGCCAAAUGGAAAAUGUUGAUGGCUCUGAACGUCAAGACUGAGAAGAAAUAGUGGCUCUGAAUGCCAAAUGGAACAUGCUGAUGGCCCUGAACGCCGAGACUGAGAAGAAAUAGUGGCUCUGAAUGCUAAGUGAAAAAUGCUGAUGGCUCUGAAUGCCAAGACUGAGAAGAAAUAGUGGAUCUAAAUGCCAAAUGGAAAAUGUUGAUGGCCCUGAACGCCAAGACUGAGAAGAGAUAGUGGCUCUGAACGCCAAAUGGGAAAUGCUGAUGGCUCUGAACACCGAUCUAAGAAGAAAUAAUGGCUCUGAACGCCAAAUGGAAAAUACUGAUGGCUCUGAACGUCGAGACUGAGAAGAAAUAGUGGCUCUGAACGCCAAAUGGAACAUGCUGAUGGCCCUGAACGCUGAGACUGAGAAGAAAUAGUGGCUCUGAACGCCAAAUGGAACAUGUUGAUGGCCCUGAACACCAAGACUGAGAAGAAAUAGUGGCUCUGAAUGCCAAGUGAAAAAUUCUGAUGGCUUUGAAUGCCAAGACUGAGAAGAAAUAAUGGCUCUGAACGCCAAAUGGAAAAUGUUGAUGGCUAUGAAUGCCGAACUGAGAAGAAAUAGUGGCUCUGAAUGCCAAGUGAAAAAUGCUGGAGGGAAAUAUGCCCCAGUGUAGCGUGUCACCAAAACUCUCGAUCCAUCGGAAGGGUCUAGAAGAGACUCCAUAAGUCUCGAAAGAUGCUCGGCUAGUGAAUCGGGACGUUUAAAUCGCAUGAUCCACUAGGGAAUCUCUAGAAAAGUGAUAUGAUAAGGUAACUCCCGUGAUCUCAAUACAACCAUCUACGGAAGAAUCAUGGAUAGUAAGGCAAUCACAACCCGAACGUCCUGCCCCACUGAAAGCUCACCUCGAUGAAAAUCAAAGGAGUAGCGACCAGAUGUGGAGCUUGAAAAGCCCAAAAUUUGAAGAAGGUUGAACUGAACUAGAUCCAAAUGAACACCAUGUUGAAACAGGGAUGUGGGCCUUAAUUCAAAUUCAACCAAGCUAAGCUUGAAAACUAACUUUUUGUAACCGGGGGCUUUCUUUUAUGCUUCUCCAAUGUUUUCAGUCAGGAUUGCUAAAUUGACUGAUUGAAAUGAUAUGGUUAUGAGGCCUGGACCUAGGGCCAGUAUGAAUCCGCAUGAACUUGAUAAUGAGGCCCUAGCACUUAAACCUGUCUUUUGGUUCCAUGCUUGCAAGGAUUUACCACAACCCUCAAAACAAUGAGGCAAAUCAAACAAGAUUGCAGAAAAUUCUACGGUUUUGGGCUUCGAAGGAAGUUUAUGAUCAUGAUACAAUUUAUGGGCUUGAGGGUGAGAUGAUUGGUGGACCCCCAAGCAAUUCUUUCUCAGGCAUUGUUAAGGAGUUAUCUGCUAUUCCUGUGGAUUCUCUCAGCUGUUCCAGGCAGUGCCAUCCUCCCCCUUAUAAAACCAACCUCACAUCUCUCUCAUUCACAUUUCAUUCACAACAUAUAGAAUAGUGGGUUGAGACCUGAUUAUCUGAUUGUUGGGUAUUUCAAAAGACACAUUUCCACAAAUUUUUUUAUCAUACACAAUAAAAAAAUUGAAUUUUUACUCAAGGUGUCUCUUGAAGAGACACUUUCCAUAAUUCUAUAAAAUUAAAUUCAUAUUAAAGGUGUUUCUUUGAAGAGACAACUUCAAAAAAAUAAAAUAAAAUCUAUCUAUUAAUUAGUUUUAUCCUGAAUACAACUAAAUAUUUAAAUUUUAUCACAUGUAUACAUCAUAAUCAAUAUUUUGACCUUUCAAUAUGUGGACUUGUAUUUUUCACGAUGCAUCCAACUCAACUGGCGAGACUUGUUUUCUUUUAAUGAAAAAUUGUAUUUUAUAAAAUAUUGGAGUUGCCACUUACUUUUAUUUAUUUUUAAAGGGGAAAUUAAGUAAAAACAAAACCCCUAAAAUGACUCAUGAUUUUUGGAAAAGCUAUAUGCGAAAAACUCGAGUUUAGGUCUGUGGAUCAGGUUACCUAAUGAGAAGGUACCUCCAAAGAGGUAGCACCCCUCUAAGCCCUAACGAGGUCUCUACUACCUAAGUUGAGGGAAAUAUGACAAUUAGUCAAUUUAUUAUGGAUACCUAGAUGGGCUAAGGUGAUUUCGAAUGUUUGUUAAUUCUAACAUGCCAAACAAGGGUUCUAAACACAUUUAUAAAGAAAGGAUAGUAUGCAUACUUGAAUUGCAACUUAAGCGCUAUCACAAAACAUCAAUGGUUAGUUAAAAAAAACUCAAAACCUAUAUUUCACCCUAGUCUCUUAAUCAUACAUGGCAAGUCAACAAGCAAUAAAAAAGAUAUGAAAUGAAGAUGUGAAGGUAAGAAGCGUACCUAAAUAACGUAGAUAACUUACAAUGCGCUUCCACAAUACAUGGGAGGUUGAAUCAAAGUUAUAAUAACAGACAAUUAAAAAAAAGUAAUCCUAGUGUGUAUGGUGUCUGAAUAGCAUAACAGAAAUAACCAGAGUAUAAGGAAACACCAAUUAUAAAAAAAGUCAUGUAUACAACUCCAAAAAUCAAGGGUUAUGAUUAAAACAUGUAGCAAAAUGGGUAACGCACUAUUAUCAAAAGGAAAAUUAUAAAUUAAUAUUUAGGAACAUCAUUUGAUCAUGAAAAAUUAAGACAACCUUUCUAUUAUCUCUAUAUCACAAUACAAAAACCAACAACAAAUUAUGAGAUGUUAAAUGGUCUUGAAUUAAACAACAAUGCAGGCACGAUGCAAAACUUCUAGUCUAUAAUUAGAAUAAGGCAUCUUUAAGAAUAAAUCCUAAGAAAAAAAAAUAAAAUGGAAUUUGAUCAUACCAAAUCACAAAAGACUCUCGUCAAUGUCUAUAAAAACAUACCAAAGUUCAAGCAUUCAAUUAAAUAACAUAUUCAAUUCAAAAUAUCCAAAAGUUCCAAAAGGUCUAGAAUUUGGCAGAAAAUAGUAACCAAUGUAAACUAAAUUUUAAAAAUACCUAGAAGCCUUUUAAAUUCAUAAAAAAAACUCACACAAGUCAUUUAAGAUGUCUAGAUAGUCCAAAAAUUUAAUCCAAGGUCAGAAAGCAUUCAUAAGAAUUUUUAGAAUACUAUAAUAUAUCAGUUGUCAAGAUUCAGUCAUGUAAAGUGUGACUUUGAAAAAUCAUAUCUCCGUCAAGAAGACAUAUUUUUUUUUAAUAAUUUAUGUGUUAAAAUUCAAUUUCAAGAAUUCAAUAAUCUGGGAAAAAUAUUAAUUUAAAUUGAAAAGAUCAAAAGGUAAUUUAAUUUUUCAAAACAAGAUUGAGUGUCAAAAAUAAGGGGGAAAUUGAACCUUCUGAAAAAUUGAUUUAUAUCUUAUAAUUAGAAAACCAUAUUUGAUCUAAGCAAGAUUAUAUAAUCAAGUUCAAAGAGUCUAGAAUGUCAUGGAAUAGUUAGAAAAAUUGUAAAAGGGUAUUUAAGUUAUCAGAUUCCAAUUUAUGAAUACAGAAGUAAAGUGAACUAUCCACAAUUUCAAUGAAAAACUAUGUUUUGAAAAAAAAAAAAAAAACUUUGUAUGUAGGGAUCUAUUAAAUCCCAUUUUAAUUUCCAUUAAUUUAUCCAUAAAGACUCCAUUUAUUGCACUAUGAAACUUAAUUCAUGUAUACUCAAAACCAAAAUUCAUUUUAAAACUUUUUUUCAAAUAUGCAUACCGAAUAAAAUUGGUUGCAUGAAUUUUGGAAAAUUGAAUUUUCAUAACCUAACAAUGUUUAAGAUGAAUUUGAAAAUUUGAGAAUUAACUUUUUUUAGAAAGCUAGAUUGAAAAGCAUUUUGAAAACACUAACAAAUACAAAUAAUCACAUAAAAUCACACAACUAAAAGAAGAAAAUUCCUAAGGAAACAAAGUGGUGUGUGCUGAAAGUGAGUGAAUCAUGCUGAGUUGUGUGUGAUGAGAGUGGAAGUGUGGUUGAUGUGUGUGUGUUCAUAGUGGCAACUUGGUGGUCUCCUUCUCUAUACAGCUGUGUGUGCCUUCUUCAUCAGUUCGACUAGUGUGUGUUCUUCGAAAUUCAGUUGGUGGUGUUCUUUUUCACAAGCUUAUGCAAAUUCUCAAAAUUUAGCAAUCUGAUGCGUGCUUGUGCUAGCAACCUAGUGGUUUCAAAAUCUGAUGGUGUGAUAAUGUGUUUAUUGUUUUUCUCCUCACCACCAUGCACUAUCAACUCACCUCUCCACCAUUAACAGUCGUACACAAUCAGCUUGCCUCCCCAAAGUUCUAAAGAUUUCCCUCUAAAAAUUCCAAUAAUUCUUUUAUUCCCACCAAAAUUCAAAUUUGUCCACUAACAGCCACUUCUCUAAUACCUUCUCAUCCUCUUCCCUUCAAGCCAAAACCAUGCACUAAAUCCAUGUGACUCUAGAACAUUCUGUCGCCUUCUUUUUUCCAUACAUCGUGCACAAAACAACCUCCAUUCUAGAAAAAUCUAGUGCUCACACCAAUCCCCACCGUGUUCAUAAUCAGCUUAGGUGUUCCCCACACUCUAAUGCUCUCCACUUUAAAAAUUCUGAUUUUCAUAUUUCAUUCCUCCACCAAGCCAAAUCUGGUAUCAUCUCACCAAAUACCCAUACCUUUUCAUCCAAUCAUCAACUUCAUAUCGUUCUUUCAAACCAAUGCACUCAAUUUUAACCAUUUAAAAAAUGAAUUCACGCAUUCAUUCUUCCACCAGAAAAAAUCCCCUCAUUUCCAAUCCAUCAUUCCGGUGAUAUUUCUCAUACCCAUAUGCGUGUGUGCAUGGCUAUUUGUGGGUACAACCCAUGAAAACAAAUUGUGCAUGGAGCCCUUUGGUGUGCACAACUUUAAAAAAAUUUUGGGGGUCUCUCAAGAAAAUGGACUGUGCGUGUGUUGAAACAAUUUUCAAUGGAUGCAGUUGUGUUCCAAAUGACCUUCCAUAACACUCUCAUUCUAAAGGGGGCAUGUUGUGUCUUUCUUUUUUUCAAAACCCCGUCCUCUCCCUCAACAUUAACAAGAAACCAAACAAUAGGCAGAAAAGAACAAAAACACAUAAAUGACGUAGGUUAAAGAAAAAAAACAUAGAACCUAGCUCCAUUUCAUUGAUUCUCAAUGGGCUUUAAAUGGGUGAAACCAUUAGGAAGCUGAAGAAGCUCUCAAGGAACAAUUUUAAAACAAUCCAUGCAUCAAAUAUUUAUAGGAGAGGUUAAUGAAAGAAAAGAAACACAGUAAAACCCAAAACAGAGCAUGUGCGCAUACAUAAUCAUAUUCCACAAGAUAAACUUCAAGUAAUGCCUAACAAAGCAAUGAACAUGUCAAUAGCAAUACGCAUGCAGACACACCAAAUAUUUGCAAAGCUCAAUAUGCAUCCUCUAUUACCCACAAACAAAUAGACAAAUAAUGUCUAAGUAACAAACAGAACAAUAGUAAUGAGGAAUAAUCAAUUAAAAAAAAUGCAAAGAAACCAUACCUGAAGGUGCUCUUCUAAUCCUCCCUCGGAUUGGUCAGUUUUCCUUGUUCCCCUCUCCCCCUUCAGAGAAUCUUUUCUUGUCUCUUUUCUGUUUCUCUCCGCUCUUCCUAAAAAGUCAGAACCUCCACUUUCCUCUCUUUCAUUCCUUCCUCUCAAGGCUUUUCCAUCUCAUUUUCCUUAUCAAAAUCCUUCUUCUUGAAGGUUUCUCUAUGUCCCGUCGAAAAUCACCUCUCUUCCCCAUGUAAAAACCCUUUGGAAAUCCCCUCUUUCCUCCUUCCCCAUCAUCUCUUGCUUCCAUCGUAAGUUUUCUCACCUUCAAAUUUUUAUUUUUUUAUUUUAUUUUUAAAUAAAUAAAUAAAUGAUAACAAUAAUAAUAUCAAUAAUAAAAAUAGAUAAGUAACACAUAUUAAAAUGUGAUAAUAAUAAUAAUAAUAACCGUAGUAAUAAUAGUAAUAAUAAUAGAAACAAUAAUAACAAAAAUAAUUCUUACAAUGAUGAUAACAAAAAUAAACAAUGACUAAAAAAAUGAACAAAUAAUUAAAUAUAAGUAUGUGACACACAUUCACAAAGAAGAUCAUGCAACCUAUGCAAGCUACAUCAACCAUGCAAAUAACUUAUGGGUGUUGGAGUAAGCCUAAGUGGACUAGGUGCACCUAGACGGACCGGGUAUGCCUAAUGGGCUUAGGUAAACCUAAUGGGCCUAAAUAUGUCUAACCAAGCUAUUAUAAAAGUGUACCUAGUAUCCAAAGUGGCUCAAAGAGGUAAGUUAUAUGAGUAUCGAUGGGCCACCAGGAACUACUUCGGAGUGUUGAAAGAACAUUUAAUCAGGGCAUGUGACAAGGGGACAAAAUGGAGGGUUUACACAAUCCAAUAUCAAUCAAAAUGAGUAAACCAAAUGUCAAUUAAGUCGACACUUUCUAAAAUAGUAGCAAUACUAUUUUGUCUAAAAUAAUUCCAAAAUAGGUACAAUACUAUAGAUCUUAUGUUGUUAAUCAACAAUUACUAAAUCUAAAAUAGAGUAAGUAAUAAAUAUACAUUGUUACUAUUUGUCCAAAAUAAUAACAUGCAAAGUAUUAACAAUAUCCAAAAUAGAAAUCAUAUAUAGUAACAUCCUUAAUGUGUACAACACGAAUGAGCUUUCCUUUUUCGUUGUGGACGUCAAUGAUGUGCAUGUUUCACUAUUGGUUGUAGGGGGUUGACAUGUGCUCUCCCAUGUCCUUGAUGACCACGUUCCUCACCAUGUCCUCAACCACGAUAAUCCUCUUGUCCUUGUUGAUCAUCAUUUGUUGUAUGAACUAACUCCUCAUCAACCAAUGUAGUCUUUAAUGGUUAUGGUGAUGAUGCAACAAGUGGUACUACAAGUGAGGUGGAUGACACCUCCACAAGUGUAAUAGGAGUCUCCUCCAUAGGUGGUGGGUCAAUGACAAUCAAUGGUGCAUAUCUAAGAAUAGGUAUAUGCCUAGUCUCCCUCCCAUGAGCCCAUUUUCCUCUAGUUCAUACACCUCUUGAUCGAUGCUAGAGAUGUGUAGCAACAACAACACUAAAUCAAGUCUAAUCUUACAAAGGUGGAGGAGUGGAUGAUAUCAACUAUUGAUGAGGUGGUAGACUGAUGUCAGUUGAUGGUGCACAUAUAACAACUAGUGUAUGCCUAGUCUCCCUUUUAAUAGGCCCUUGUCCUAGUUUGUACGCCUCCUAAUCUAGGUUGGAGUUGUGUAGUAGCAUCAACACUAAAUAGAGCAUCUAAGUGAUCCAUCUCAUGUAUGCCCUCUAAUACAAUAGUACACAAUCUGUGAAUAUGCAUAUCAUUUGGAGGUGCAAUAUCAUAUAUAUGAUGUAUGAUGAAAUUUGUAAGUCAAAUAUGAGAUAAGUUAAAUUCUUAUAAAAAUAAAAUAAAUUUCAAUAAAAAGUGAAGACAUGCAAAUUACCAACAGCUCAUGGAAGGACCUAGUCUGAAUAAGAAAUAAAACAGUAAUGGAGAAGUACCACACCAUCUAUGGAUCAUAAUAUCCCAAUGGACCUAUAGCCAUCUUGCCCCUAGCAAUAUGUUUGCUCCUAGAGCCCCAACAUAGAAUAUUGUCUCGAUGUUGAAUAAUCCAAUCAACAUCAAGUCUACCUCUCAAAUCACAUUUAUGUAAGAUUGACUCAUUAUCACAUGGCUGAGAAAUCCCUUGACAAAAUCCAAACUGUCGUAAUACUCAGUCAAGUCUAUGUCAUUCAACUAUGUGGAAACAUAUUAAAGGUGAGAUAAUGCACCAUAUAUCUUUCUCAACUAUACAAUAGUCAAGAACUUCAACAUUCAUGUCAUCAACAUAAGGUUUUCAUUUAAUUUAUAGUAAAAAAAGGUUAGAUAUAAUCAAUGGUUUGAAAUUUCUUUAGAGAAAAAAGUUUAAGAAAUGAAUCAAACUUCUAUCACCUGAUCUACGGUAAGUCGAUCAAGCUAGUGCCUAUACCGAACUAAGACAUGCAUCGAUGUCGAAGUAGUACAAAACUCAUAUCUCCAACUAUAAAAAUAAAAAACAAAGAAUAAAAAAAAAUAAAUGUUAGAAUUUAAGUUUAUGUAUCCUCAUAAUAGUAAAUUGAUGGUAAUGAUGCAUAUGUACUGUAUGGUUGAUGGAGAUAAAGGCAGUUGGUCAUCAUAUGAAGCUAUAUGUAAACAAUGAGAUGCAAUAAAAGGGAACCUAUCCCAUACCCACAACUGGAGUAAAAACAGUAGACUAGAUAUAUCAUGUAUAUCACUUUAAGAUACUUGACACAAUUGUUGAUAAAGUCAAGCUAAAUAGACGUUACCCUAACUAUAGCUAUCAACAACCUCAAAAUCCUCUGGAAGAGGUUGAAACAUAAGAUACACCUUAUCUCUAGAGUUUUCUAAAAAAGAAAACCUCUAAUGAGUUGUAAGAUAUAUGCCUCAAUAUAAUGCCAAAUAGACUACUCAUCAACAUCUAGUGUCAAAAUAGGGAAGCUUUGACUUAACCAUGUAACAUGAAUAUGAUCGAUUGAUUUUGUCGAUUUAUCGUAUCAAAACACAAUUUAUAACCUAAUUCACUAUUCUAGAGUAGCUUGUACCCGAACAAAAAUGGUUUUAGUACAAACUAUCGUAGUAUAGUGGUUUUUAGGUGUCGUUCACUAGGAUGGAUUAUUCUCGGUAAUUAAGGAUUGAAUGAGAGGAUAAGAAAUGAUUGUGAUAAAGUGAAAUUUAUUUGAAAAUUCAUGGUCAAAAAUCAGUUUAACAAUGGUCUCAAAUUAAGAAAAACAAUGAAAUCUAAAAUAGAAGAAAAUUAAUAGGAACUGAAAUUCUCGGAGUUAGAAUUUUCUAGAAAACAAAUUCCACGGUGAAUAGAUGUUGAGAUCUAAUUUCCAUCAAGUUUUAUUGAAAACCUAAAUUUUCAUCUAAACCAAUUUUUUAUUUAACUUUAGGUCCAGAUCUAAUUUCUCUUCAAAUUAGGUCAUUCAAUCCAAGAGAUCAAUUCAAAUCAUAUAUUCAAUUCAUCUUAAAUUAUCUUCCAAUGAUUCAAAUAAUGCAACUAUUCAAUCUCAUCAAAUCUAGCUUUAAGAAUUUAAUGAGUUUACCUAGUUUGCAUUGUAGUAGUCAUCCAAGACAAUUUGAAGAGAAAAAUCCCCAAAAUUCAAUUAAUCAAUCAAUUGGAUCAAAUUACCUUUGUAAUUCAAGCUCAUUUAUCUAAUUCACCAUGAAUCUUGCUUUUAGAUCCUCAUUUCUCCGAGAAAAAUGAGAUUUAGCCACUCAUGCUUAGAGAUUUGGUCUCACAAGGCAUGUUAGCUAGUGAGAAAAUGAGAGAAAAUAAAGGAAAAUAGACAAUUCUAUUGAGAGAGAAAAUCUAGAAAAUUCUACAAUUAGAAGUGUCCAAAAAGCUUCUCACAUGAGAAAUUCAAGUUUCUAUUUAUAGGCCAAGGUCAAGUGGACACUUGGCAACCUCUCAUUGGUCUUCUAGAACCUUCCAAAUUUAAAGAAAUCUGGAAGUUUAACAUUUCGCAUGAAAUUCGGACAUUUCGCAUAAGAUAUUCACAUUUCGCACGAUCGUGCGAAAUUCUAAGGUGAGUGGUUACCGCAUGUUGAAACACUUUCUAGACCAUUUCGCAUGAUCAUGCGAAAUCAACUUACACAUCUUCCUUAGCUUGAAACCAAUUUUCCUUCUCUAGUUCAUUUCGUACAAUCAUGUGAAAUUUUUACAUGAUCAUGCGAAUCUGCAACAUUUGGUUUUUGAGCUUCUCUUUGUCAUUUAUUCCAUUUCCUUCUUUUGAUUCCACCUUAACUACUUCCAAUUAGCUCAAAUCCCGGUCCAAACCAAUUUCUUUACUUAUUUCAUUAUGCAUUUGGAUCACCAUCAACAUUAUUUGUUCUCUUCAAUUUGAGUCAUCUCUUGUCACCAAUUUAUCAAAAUCAUUCCUUGAAAUGACUCCAAAACUUCAUAAAACUUGUUAGUAACUCUUUCAAGGGAAACAACAUGUUAAUUGAGUGUUUUAGGCAUAAUUACUACUCAAAAUAUGUGAAACUCAUGAGAAUUAUUAUCUAAAAUAUGCUCUUUUUUAUGAUGAUGACAAUGUCCAAAGAAAACAUGAUUUCAAUGAUAAGUCAAUGAUUCACAUGGAGUUUUAAAAAUUUCACACAAGUGUGCAAACUAGACAAGAAGGUGAAGUGUGUUGCAACUACUCUCUUCUUUUAAAAGAAUUUGGCACAAUCAUGCAAAAAUUCGCAUGUACAUGCGAAUAAGUCAAGAGAGCUCUAUCUUAUUGUAGUCUUCAACAUAAUUUUUGCAUGGUCAUGCAAAUUGGUCCAGAGGCUUAAAACUGUUGCAGUCAUCCACAUCAGUUUCGCACAUUCAUACAAAAAUUUCACUUGAUCAUGCGAAAUGAGAUAAAGACUCAUUUUUUAGCAUUUUCAAAACUAUGAAAAUUCUCAUGUUUUUGGCAUGAAUUCCCCUAUUUUUUGCAUGAAUGUGCAAACCGGUGAUGGGCCAUUAAAACUCAUUUUUCCUUACUUCAUGCAUUCCAUCCAUCUAAAAAGUCCUUCAAAACACAAAUCAAAAAGUUGAAGUGGAUUUAUUUAAUGGAAACUAAAAAAAAAAAAAUCAAUCAAUCAAAAUUCAAAGGAAAGUGGAGAAAUGAGAAACCAUUGGGCUACUAGCCAUUGACAUGACUAAGCCCAUUAACCUUUACAUCAAUACUCGAUUUGGAUAUGGCUUGCAAACAAUGAAUUGAAUAACUCCUUGGUACUUAAGCUUUCCCGAAAAAAGAUGUGGCUUGAAAUAACCUUCUUUGAACUUGUUCUUUUGAAUAAGUUGGUCAUGCCAUUCCUUGAACUUCUUUUUCAUGGUCUUUGAAUUAUUGUGCAUACCAUGCUUCAUGGUUUUCACUUUCUUCAAGAUGAAAGACCAUUUCAUUAACUUCAAAGGUUGAAUUUCUUCAUUGAUCUUCCAAACUUCAAUCCGUUCAUUAGAAAUUGUUUCACCAAGUUUUGAAAAAUUAUCUUCAACCUUUUCUUUCACUAGCUCUUCCAUAGGCAAUUCAAUCAAAUAAGCCUCCAUAAGUUCCUCCUCUUUGGUACCAUGCUUCUUACGUGAAUGAAAAAUGUUCAUUUCAAUUGUCAUGUUACCAAAGGUAAGUUGCAUCAUCCCACUUCGACAAUUAAUCAAUGCAUUUUUUGUGGCAAGGAAAGGUCGACCAAGUAUAAUAGGAACAUGGUUGAGUCCACUAGUUUCUUGUUCUGUAUCAAGCACCACAAAAUCAACAAAAUAAUAGAAGUUAUUGAUUUGAAUCAACACAUCUUGAAUAAUUCAUUUUGGAAAUUUAAUCGAUCUAUCUACCAAUGAAAGUGUGAUGGAAGUAGACUUUAGUUGGACAUCCUGAAUCCUUAUACUUGAUUGGGGUCUUACAUUGAAUGAUUACACUAAUUUGUUCAAUCAAGAAAGCUUUUUUUUCAAAUGCAUUCCUCUCUUUAUGGUACACAAAUCCUUAAGAAACUUGGCAUAGGCUGGAACUUGUCUAAUCAUGUCAAGGAGUGGUAUAUUAACUUUUACUUGCUUUAAAACUUCAAAAAUUUCUAGAGCAUUAUUUACCACUUUCUUAGAUUGAAGAGCCAUGGGAAAAGGUGGAGCUAAGAGCAUAUCCUUGUUCAUUUUAGCUUCACUCUUCUUCUCUUUCAAAACUUUCAGCUUUUGUUCUUUUACUCUUCUCAUCAUCUUCAUUCUUCUCGUUCUUCUCUUUUGGUUUUGGCAUAGGUUGAUCAACUUGCUUACCACCUCUUAAGGUAAUGGUUGCUUUGAUUUCAUCCUCUUUAGUAGAACUUUCACUUGUCUCUCCAAUUUCAUGUACUCCACUUGGAUUUUGUUGGGGUUGUGAAUAAAAUUUUCCUUUUUCUUGCACCGUAUGCAUGCUUGUGAGUUUAGAAAUAGAAAAUUGCAUAUUAUCAAUCUUUUGUGUGAGAUUGGUUUACAAGCUAUCAAAUUUAUGAUUGAAAGAUGUCUUGACAUGAUCUAUCCUUUGAUUUACUUGAGUAUUGAUAUUCUUUUUAUCACUAAUAAAAUCUCCCAAAAUUUUACUCAAGUUUACAAUAGCUUGCUCAACCAAAGAAACUUGUUGUGGAGAGUCUUCCAUGAAUUAUUGGCUUUGUGAGUAUUAGCUUGAAGAAAAUUGCUCUUGUCCACAAUUCCAUGACAUGUUCAAAUGAUUCUCAACGAGUCUUUCCCCCAUAGCUGGUAUUGUAAGACAAUCACUCACUUCAUGUUCUAUAGAUUGACAACUAGAACAUUGCCCCAUGUAAAUUUGAUUGUCAUAUAUUGCAUUCACCUCAUGAAAUCCCUUACCUUCAAGUUCCUCUAGCCUUCUUGUCAAAGCUAUCAUUUUAGCUUGUAGAUCAACAUUUUCAUUCAACAUAUACAUUCCUCCAUUUCAAUUGCUUUGAGACUUGGACUUGUGUAAAUCCCUUUCAUGUGGCUCAUCCCAUGACCCUGAUAUUUCAACCACAUAAUUCAAAAAUUUAAAGGCAUCAUCAAGACUUUUGCUCAUAAAGUCACCUCCACAAAUGGUUUCUAGCAAUUGCUUCACAGUUGGCAACAUGCCCUCAUAGAAGUAACUCACCAACAUCCAUGUGUUAAAACCAUGAUGAGGACAAACAUUGACUACUUCCAUAUAUCUUUCCCAACAAGCAUAAAAAAUUUUAUUGUUCAAUGCCACAAAGUUGAUAAUUUGCCUUUUCAAGCCACUAGUGCGAUGUGUGGGAAAAAUUUUCUUCAAGAAGAUUGUUUAUAGUUCCAAACAUAACCUUAUGCUUUGGGGCCUGAAUGAGUUGAACCACAACUUAGCCUUAUCCUUCAAUGUGAAUAGAAAAAUCUUCAAUCUCAUAAGCUCUAUGGAUGCAGUCCCUUCUUGAAAAGUAUGACAUACUUCUUCAAAAUCCUUUAUAUGAGUUUAAGGAUUCUCAUUCCCCAUUCCAUGAAAUUGAGGGAGAAGUAGUACCAAGUGAGUUUUUAUCACAAUAGGCUCAUUAGGAAGAAUUAUACAAGAUACCACGCCUAUCCUUUGAGGAUGCAUAUAUUCUCUCAUUGAUCUAGACAUGUGAGAAUUAUCAUUGUUUGGUCUAUGAUGACUUUGUUGGUCUUUCCCUUGAUUUUCCAUUUCUUCAACAAUUGAAUCACAAACCAAAGAUGGUUAGCAAUGCAAGUCCUUUGCAAUCUCUCCCUCAAAAUUUAUUCUCAAUGUAGCAUGCAAUGGAGAGCCUACAAAACAAGCCAAAAACAAAAAAAAAACAAACCAAGAAGAACAAAAAGAGAAAUAAACGAUAAAAAUUGAAUAAAAAAUAAUAAGAAAAAUGAAGAAUUGGUAAAGAGAACUUCACCAAUCUUGUGAUGUGGAUCACAAGGGUUAAUCCUCACCAAAAAAAAAAAAUUGUCUCAAUCACCUUGGCACCAUCCCAAGCAACGACGUCAUUUUUUAUCAAUUGAUUUUUUCGAUUUAUUGCAUCAAAACACAAUUUAUAACCUAAUUCCCUAUUCUAGAGUAGCUUGUACCUGAACAAAAAUGGUUUUAGUACAAACUACCGUAGUAUAGUGGUUUUUAGGUGUCGUCCACUAGGAUGGAUUAUUCUUAGUAAUUAAGGAUUGAAUGAGAGGAUAAGAAAUGAUUGUGAUCGAGUGAAAUUUAUUUGAAAAUAUAUGGUGAAAAAUCAAUUUAACAAUAGUAUCAAAUUAAGAAGAAUAGUAAAAUGUAAAAUAGAAUAAAAUUAAUAGGAAAUGAAAUUCUCGGAGUUAGAAUAUUCUAGAAAACAAAUUCCAUGGUGAAUAGAUGUUGAGAUCUAAUUUUCAUCAAUUUAGAUUGAAAACCUAAAUUUUCAUCUAAACCGAUUUUUGAUUUAGUUUUAGGUCUAGAUCUAAUUUAUCUUCAAAUUAGGUCAUUUAAUCCAAGAGAUCAAUUCAAAUCAUAUAUUCAAUUUAUCUUAAAUUAUCUUCCAAUGAUUCACACAAUGUAACUAUUCAAUCUCAUUAAAUCUAGCUUUAAGAAUUUAAUGAAUCUACCUAGUUUGCAUUGUAGUAGUCCUCCAAGACAAUUUGAAGAGAAAAAUCCCCAAAAUUCAAUUAUUCAAUCAAUUGGAUCAAAUUACCUUUGUAAUUCAAGCUCACUUCUUUAAUUCACCAUGGAUCUUGCUUCUAAAUCAUCAUUUCUUCGAGAAAAAGGAGAUUUAGCCACUCAUGCUUGGAGAUUUGGUCUCACAAGGCAUGUUUGGCUAGUGAGAAAAUGAGAGAAAAUAAAGGAAAAUAUAGAAUUCUAUUGAGAGAGAAAAUCUGGAAAAUUCUACAAUUAAAAGUGUCCAAAAAGCUUCUCACGUGAGAAAUUCAAGUUUCUAUUUAUAGGCCAAGGUCAAGUAGACACUUAGUAACCUCUCAUUGGUCUUCUAGAACCUUCCAAAUUUAAAUAAAUCUGGAAGUUUAACAUUUCGCAUGAAAUCCGGACAUUUCGCAUAAGAUAUUCACAUUUCGCAUGAGUGUGCAAAAUUUUCACAUGAUCAUGCGAAAUUUUCGCAUGAUUAUGCGAAAUGAACUUACACAUCUUCCUUAGCUUGCAACCAAUUUUCCUCCUUUGGUUCUUUUCACAUGAUCAUGCGAAUAUGCAACAUUUGGUUUUUGAGCUUCCUUUUGUCAUUUCUUCCAUUCCUUCUUUUGAUUCCACUACCUCCAAUUAGCUCAAAUCCCAGUCCUAACCAAUUGCAUUACUUCUUUCAUUAUGCAUUUGGAUCAUCAUUAACAUUAUUUGUUCUCUUCAAUUUGAUUCAUCUCUUUUGUCACUAAUUUAUCAAAAUCAUACCUUGAAAUGACUCCAAAAUUUCAUAAAACUUGUUGUAACUCUUGCAAGGGAAACAACAUGUUAAUUGAGUGUUUUAGGCAUAAUUACUACUAAAAAAUGUGAAACUCAUGAGAAUUAUUAUAUAAAAUAUGCUCUUUUUUAGUAGUAAUCAGAAGGCAUUGCCCCUCUAUGUAUGUGUCCUCAGUAAUAAGACUUAAUAAAGAUGACACAUGUCUAUUAUUUGGACAUGUGCUACCAAUAACUACUACUCCAUCUACUGGUAGUUCAAGAAGAAUGGUAAUGUCUUGUAGUGUAAUUGUGCACUCCCCCUGAGGUAAGUGGAAAUUAUGAGUCUCUAGUUGCCAUAUUUCAAUAAAUACAGUAAUAAGGUGUCAAUCUAAGGAAAUGAAUCCUAAGCGUGCAACACCAUAGAAGCAUGUUUGCUAUAGUAAUGGAAUAAUACGUCCAUAUGGUGCACUGGUGUAAUGGAAAAUUACCUUACAAUGUCGACAAUAGAGUUCCUUUAAGUCAACACUUGUCCAUGCUAGAGAAGACCAGUGUGUGUCCUGUCCAUGUAGAAUUGUAAGAUCAAUGGUCCUAAAUCCAUUAUGCGAUACUGUUGGGAACCCUGGAUUGCUCCGUUCCCAUGCCCUGAAUCGCAUAAGGUGCAUGCAAACCUAUCAUAGGCUCUCUAAAUCUAUCGCAACGGAUAAACAUGUAUUAAAAAUGAUAAGAAUACAAUAGAAAACAUAGAUCUAAAGAGUAAAGUCACAUACCUUUGAUUUGAAUGUUCUUAGAUAGAUUCCAAUUGAUGUAGAUAACUCCAAAGUCGUAGUAGAUCUUGUGAACACCAUGAUCUUCCACCCGAUGACUCUUCUUUAUGUCUAAGCACUGAGAUGGUGGAGAUCUCAAGGGUAGAGGCUAGGGUUCUCUCUCUAGACUGGAGGGGAGAAUGGUAAGAGAUUGAAACCCUAACCUUUAAAGGGGUAUUUAUAGGCUUCUUAUUAGGCUUAAGUUACUUAAAACCACCAUGGGCUUGGGUCACUUAAUCUAGUCCAAAAAGGUUGCUAAUUGAUUGAUUAACCAUAUAGGGCCCUAAUUAAUCAAUUAGCCUAGUCCAAAGAUGCCACUCACUUAUCCCUGUGCAACCUUGUGUAAUUACCAAAAUGCCUUUGUACACAAAAGUGAACUAAAAACCCAUCCAACCCUCAUAAACCGUGUUAUCAAGGAAUAUGAGCUCAGAGCGGGGACCACUAUGACCCAUAGGAGUAUUGGCUCCCUCAUAAUCAAAUUCUGAAAUUGACUCAACAUCCCACUAUAGAGAGUCAACUACACUCUAGUACCUUAUGUAAAUUACAACGAGACACUAAGUGCUCAGGUUAGUGACCUACUAUCCACUAUAUGCAAACUCCCCAUGAAUUGGUGUCCAUAAUCUAUUGAAGUAGUGUUAUCACCUCUCAAAUCCUUGAGUUAUAGAUCCCACUUAUUAUGUGAUCAACUUACUCUAACUCUAAGGAGCAUAUGUCAAAUUCCACUAAAGGAAUUACUAUGGCCACAUAUUUCAUGAUCAUAUGUUCUUUAGAUCACCAAGGGGACACACUGUCUCAAUCCCAUGAGAUAUCAUGGUGUUUCUUUUGAGAAUACCUAUUGCCACCAGCCUCCAUCAAUAGUGACCCAAUCCAUAGGAAUAUAUAACCACUUUAAGGUCUCACCCAUUGUAGACCCUCAAUUUUGUUCCUUUAGCACAUGCCUUUAAGUUCAUUUCCAGUGUUCCACAAUAGUUCCUUGGUGGCCCGUAGCUACUCACACUACUUACCUUUCUUGAGCCACCUCGGAGACUCUAGUUAAGGGAUUGUCUAACCCCUUAUUGUGACCCUUGGCAGUUUUUAUUAGACUUAAGCUUUUCAUUCCUUUUUAGGAUAGUGCAUAGGCAUGUUUAGGUCACUUAGACAAUAUCCCGAUCACUUUAGGACACUUAGUUCAUUAGGCACCCACUUAGGCCCGUUUAAACACUUCAUCGGGCUUAACUUUUAUAUAUAUAUAUAACUUUUAUUAUUAUUAUUAUUAUUAUUGCAUGCAUUCGAUGAUUAUAUUUAUUUUGUUUAUUCAUUUUUAUUUUUACUCUUUAUUUGUUUAUUAUUAUUAUUGUCAUUAUUAUUAUUAUUACUAUUUUUAUUUUUAUUUUUAUUUUAUUUAUUUCACUUAUUGUCAUUAUUAUAACUUUUAUUAUUAUUAUUAUUAUUGUAAUAACUUUAAUACUCUAUAAUACCCUCAUUAACAAGGGCAUUCCCCCCUCAAGAUGGAACAUAUAAAUUUUCAUUGGUUAGCUUGGAAUUUUUAUCAGAGAGUUGAAACCCGGUGCUAGACCAAUUGCCUGCACGGAACAUGAUGACGUUGUUGUAUGUGCUGCAGAUGAUCGUCUAACAGCAUUUAAAUCUUUUGAAGUUUCUCUAAGAUUUUGGAUUACUGAAUUAUCUAUCGCUUUGAAUAUUUGUGAUCUAAGAGCUACACAUCUUUUAGAGGUUGUUUUGGUCUCAGCUUUUGCUAUUUUGAUUAGGUAAAAUGAAACUAAUGGUCAGAAGUACUUUCUGUUGAAGAGUAAAAAGUAGUUAUGAUGCAAGAAGUGUGAGCUCCUCGUACCAUCACCCCGGUUGAGACCUUGUGGUUUUCCAUGAAAUUUCCCACAUUUUUCUUUGGUGUGACAUGCUUUCUUGCUGUACGAGCACCAUAGUUUCUUCUUUGUUUAGUUCUUCAUCAACUCCUAUCUUCCUUGCUUCAUGUUAACAUUAUGAUUCGUACCAUUUGGUUUGGCUCCUCCACUUGGUUUCUUUACAAUCAUGGUUGAUCCAUCCACUAGUGGUGUAUCAAGCAUCACUUGUAGACCUCAAAAUUUGUCCUAAUUUUAUUUUUUACAUUAAUUUUUUAGCCCAAUUUUAAAUCUCGAUUACAUGUGUUAUUUUAGGCCUACUCGCCUUUUAAUUUUUAGUUUUCAUUAUUUUGUAAAUUAUUAUUAUUAUUAUUUUUAUUUUUAUUUUUAUUUUUACUUAUUAAUUUUAUUUGUUGUUAUUAUUAUUAUUAUUAUUAUUAUUAUAUUAUAUUAUAUUAUAUUAUAUUUUUAUUUUAUUUAUUUAUUAUUAUUAUUAUUUUUUUCUUUUUCCUCUCUCUUCCUUUUUCUCCUCCACCUACCCUCACCCACCCACUUCUUCUAUCUCCUCCCAUACUCCUCACCACCGGCCACUUUUCAUUUUUUCCCCCCUUUUCUUCCCUAACUUNNNNNNNNNNNNNNNNNNNNNNNNNNNNNNNNNNNNNNNNNNNNNNNNNNNNNNNNNNNNNNNNNNNNNNNNNNNNNNNNNNNNNNNNNNNNNNNNNNNNCCCUUUUUUUUCCAAAAUUUUCUAACACUUUUCCCUUUUCCCCCUUUCGGGACAAACCCAAACCCCCCCCCCCCCCCCCCCCUCCCCUCCCCUCCCCUCCCCUCCCUCAUCUCCCAUUAGAGGGUUUUUUUUUUUUUUCUUUCUUUCUUUCUUUGGCUACUACUCUUUCUGAAGACAGAGGGAACAGACCAAUUUUUAUUUUUAUUUUCAUUUUCUUUUCUUCCUUCAUUCCUCUUCUUCUUCCCCCCAUUUUUUCUUCUCUUCCUCCUCCAUUUUUUUUUUCCUUUUUUAUUUUUUCUCUUCCCGUUUUCCCAAGAGGGCCAACCCCCAUAUUUAUUUUUUAUCGACAAGAUCAUCGGUCGGGCGCCUUCAGCGAGCCCCAGUCAGCCGGCAACCUCCUCCAUUUUCUCCCAUUCUCUCACUUCCCGUAUCACUCAUUUUCCAUUAUUAUUAUUAUUAUCAUCAUCAUUGUUAUUGUUAUUAUUAUUAUUGUUAUUGUUAUUGUUAUUAUUAUUAUUGUUAUUGUUACUGAUGUUAUUUUAUUUUAUUUUAAUAGUAAUUGUUGUUUGUGAAAUUUGGAUUGUUGAAUUAAUUUGAAAUUUGUUAAUUUGGGUUUGUGGGUAUAUUGUAUUUGGUGAUUAAUUUGAGGAUAUUUGGAUUAUAUCUAUUGCAUAUUGUUUAUUUGAACUUGGGCUUAUUGUUAAGUUGUUAUUUGUUUAAGCUUAUUGGAUUGGGCUUGAAAUAUUAUUUCUCUUGACCAUAUUUUUUUUUUAUGUGGGCUUAUUAAUUGAUGUGAAUUUUGGGACCCAUAAUGUGGGUGGGAUUUGUUGAAUUAUUUGAAUAUUUGAUAUGGGCUUGGCCAAUUUGAAUUGUUUAAUUUGGACAUGGGACAAUUAUGGUGUAUAUUAAACUAGACUUAGAUUAUGAAAUAUUAAAUUUAGGUCUAGUAGAAUUUAUUUUAAUUUAUCCAAUUUUAGGUUUGGUUGACUGUGUUUGUAUUUUUUGUUAUUAAUUUGGAUGUUCUGGGUUAAGACCUAUAGUAAUUUGGACUCAUUUUAAUUGAAAAAAUUUAUGGGACUAAUUUGAAAUUGGAAUUUGGGUUUGAAUAUUUGUUUGGGAUUUUAUAUAUCUCUGGAUAUUUACAUUUGUGCUAUUUUUGUUUUUGCAUUGACCCAUUCUGUAAUCUUGUUGGCUGAGUACGAAUUGAUGACGUGUGGAGCUUGUUGUAAGUUUAUUUGGGUACAUAUUUUAUUUCCCACUUUUAUUUGGUUUUAUUUUAAUUAGUUCUUGUAAAUAUUUGUUCAUAUAUAUUUAUUGAAUGUGUACAGAAUUGAACAUCGAACAAAUUAUAAAUUUUGUUUAAAUGAGAGGAAGAAUUCAGUAAAUAUGUUCUAAUAAAAUACUAAUUUUAAAAUAUUCUUUUUAAUAAAAAAAAGUUUUUUUUUUCAUUAUUUAUAAAAAUUCAGAAAAAUACAUUUAGAAAAAUCCAAAAAAAUUUGUUUUUAAUAGAAUUCGAAAAAUUGUUUUUAAUGACAUUGUUAAAAAUUUCUUUGUUUAAUAAAAAUUGUCCAAAAAUUGUUUUGUAAAUAAAGUUGUUCCAAAAAUUAAUUUUUAAUAAAAUUGUCUAAAAAUAUUUUUUCAAAUGAAUUUUUUUUCCUUAAUUAAAAUGGGAUUAAAAGUGUUUCAAAAAUAGAGAAUUUAAAUCUUUGUUUUUCUUUCUAAUUAAAAUUUCUUUUGCAAAUAAAGUUAUGUCAUAUUAAAUAAUUUAUAAAAAUCACUCUUUUAAAUGAAAAUGAAUCUAAAUACUUUUGUAAAUAAAAUUGUAAAAAUUCAUUAUUUUCUAGUAAAAGCAAGUAAAAAUAAUUUUUGUACCCAAAUUGAAAUUUUGUAAUAAAUUCUUUUGAUACAAUAAGUGUAAAUAGCUUUUUUAAAAAUUGAAUACAACUGAAAUUGAGAAAAUAAAUUGAUUAUUUUUUAUAAGUAAAAAAAUUGAAAUCAUUAAUUCAAAAUCAUUUUUAAUAAAAUCCUUUGAAAUUUAUUUAAAACUUUUUUUAAUAUCUUUUAUUUAUUUAAUUCAAUAAAUCAUUUUGCAUAAUUCUCUUAUUAUUUAUUUUGUGUAUUUUGUAAUUAGAUUCCAUCAUUGUUUUUGUGCAUAUUAAUUUUCACCAUGACUUGUAUAUUGAUUAUUUUUCUUGAUAUCCAUAAUUAAUUAAUCAAUUGCCACAAUUUCCUCAAUUCAUUUAGUAGAGGUCGUAUGUAUACGGGCUUAGAGGGGUGCUAUGGCUCACCAUCGUACCUUCCCAAUGAGUAACCUGACCCCCAAACCUAGACUCGGUUUUUAAUAGACCCGGUUUUUCCUUUAGGAGUCACACUUAGGGUUUUUCUUUCUUAUUUUGUUUUUCCCUUUAAAAAUAAAACAAAAAUAAGCGGCGACUCCAAGUCUUUUUCUAAAAAUCAAAUUUUCACCCAACAAAAUAAAAAAAACGAGUUUUCGCCAUCAAGUGGGAACGCAUUGAGCAAAAUGUGGGGUCCAUAAAAUGGCGACUCCACUGGGGAAUCAUUUUAGAGGGUCAAACUUGAACUCGAGUUGAGGGAAAUGUGACAUUUGAUUGGUCGAUCAAUGGAUACCCCUAUUUAUGUGUUUUUGUAUGAUUGAGUGUUGAUUACACGUUGAGAACUUUGAUAUGUUUAUUCGUGAGGCAUGUUUAGUUAUUAUUGUUCAUUGGAGAUGUUCACAUAUUGAUUACAUCGAUUGAUUCUCUUACCUACUUUAGCAUAGUUACUCUUCUUGUUGUAUGAUUGUCUUAUUUUCCUUGACAUGCUAUUCUCAUUUUUGUAUAUCUUAUUCAUAUUGGCAUGAUUGAUUCUCUUUAUUGUAUAUUAUUUUGUUUAUCUCGACAUAUUGUUUAUUCUUGUUAUAUACUUAUCUUGCUUAUCAUAUUCUUGCCUAACUUGUGUGUAGAUAUGAGUGAUAUACCUGUUAUUUGCAUGACUGCUUGGUGCAUAACUGCUAUUCUUCUAUGUGAUGCAUGUAUUGCUUGUCUAUGCGAGACACACAUCUAUUCCCUUACCUCCAACUCCCUAGUCUCGGUUGACCUUGUUUCACUUGAUCUUGUAUUUGAUAUGAGACUUGUCACUUUGUUUGCUCUUCGAUCGAGCUAGCGGUUAGGAGUAGGGUUUAGUAACGGGCUAUAUCAAUGUUUGGAAGCAUUUUGGAGGAGGCCAACACGUUGAUGCUGAUGGGAGUCCAAUCUUUGAAGACUUGUAUAGCCCAGAGCUAGGUUUCAUGGAUAUUUGUGUGAUCAGUGUGUUUCUUUUUUCUACUUUAGCUUCAUAGGAUUUUCGAAUGCACCCACACCGUCAUUGCGCACUCUAGCGGACCAUUGAGAGUUGAGAGUUUUGAGAGGUUUCACCAUAAAAAAAACCCCUGGGAUGUCGAGGUAGUGCAUGUGUGGAGGUGAUGACCACCUUGCAUGGAAGUGUCCUGUCUCUUCGGAGGCGUGCAAAGGGUUGCGUACCAUCGGAGGGUAUGAUCGCUUCUGCUAGGGAUCUUUUAAAGUCCACCCAUAUCCAUUUAGAGCCACCUUGACCUCGUAGGUUGAACCGUAGAUCCUCCGAUUAGGACUCCCUUCAUACACGUGGGUGCAUCUGAGGGCCUUCAGAGCCUCUUUGAUCAUAGGUAGGAUUCAAUAUUCCUUCUUUUAGUCUCCAGUUAAGAGUGUACAAAGAUCAGUAUGGGUUUGAGUUACAGUCGGACAACCCUUCUACACUUUGAUGCCUUGCUCAUUCUAGUUCAGACUAGCAUUUCUUCCAUGUUUUCCAUGUGCAUAUCAUAUCUCGUGCUUCAUGCUCUUCAAGAUUGGUUCUUCAUUCUCGGUGUGGAUUUACCAUCUUGGGUUAGAGUAGAGGGGAGCUUAGUUCGAUUUUUCAAGAGAUCAGGCAUAGAUCAGCAGACUAUCAUAGUUGAUUAGUUCACGAAUGCCAUGGAUUCUAUUUAGGUAUCUUGUGUUUCAUGCUCUUCAGGAUUGGUUCUUCAUUCUUAGUGUGGAUUUGUCAUCUUGGGUCAGAGUAGAAGGAAGAUUAGUUUGCUUUUCCGAGAGAUCAAACAUGGAUCAGCGGGUUGUCACAAUUGAUCAGUUCAUGACUGCCAUGGCUUCUAUUUAGGAGGUCUUGGCUAGUCUCAGGCGGGAGAUAGACAGUCAACAGAUUAGAUAGCCCAUAGUUCAGAAUGAGAUGCCUUAUGACAACCACCUUCACUACUACCACCUGUUUCGACAAUAUCAUAGGCUCCACCCUAUAUAUUACAUGGUCAUUCUGAGGUUGCCCCGGUUGUAGUAGUCCAGACCACAGUCCUUGAGGAUACUUAUGCAUGUAUGGAUCAUAUUGAAUAGUGUAUCAGGCAGUUGAGAGUAUUUGACAGUUCAUCGACUUGGGAUGAUCUUGAUAGUAUACCAGUGGCCAGUCUACCGGCCAAGUUCAAGAUGCUUGACAUUAAGAGGUACAUGGGCAUUGGUUGUCCAUGUAUUCAUCUUCGACUCUAUAGUACUGUGAAGAGGGCCCAUGGGUUAGACGAGUCAUAGAUGAUCACCAUGUUUCCUUUAUCUCUGAGUAGCGCAGCCCAGCAUUAGUUCGCAUCUUUGGAGUCCUCACGACGCAAGUCAUGGGAUGACCUAGCUUAGGAGUUUCUUUGACAGUUUUCAUUUAGUACUGUCGUAGAUGUGUCGAGGAGAGAGCUUGAGGGUUUCAGACAAAGAUUAGAUGAGUUCAUUUCUUCCUUCAUCUCCCGCUGGUGGGGGAAGAUAGUAGAGAUUGUUGAUUGACCAUUAUAGAGAGGUGACUUUAGUCUUGAGGGUCAUAAGAGGAUUGAUUAAAGAUCCUAUAGGGAAGUUCAGACCCAACUGGAGCGGACCUUAUUUCAUCAGGAACUUGACCCUAGAGGGCACUACAUGGUUGAUGGAUUUAGAUGGAAACCAAUUCUUGGAGCCGACCAAUGUGGAUCAGCUAAAGAGGUACUAUGUUUGAGACCAUGGUCGUAGGAUGGGUGAUCAUCAUUUCGGUAAGCCAUAUACCUUGUUAUUCCCUUUUGAUAUAUAGUCCGUUGCUAGCCCAUUGAGUCUCGCAUGCAUAUUACAGUCUUUCUUUCUUAUCGCCUUGCUCACAUUUUUCACACUAGGAUAAGGGCCCUUUAGUGUAUGCAUUCAUUGUUUGGGAGUUCCAUGAGCCUUAGACCUAGGGGCGCAUACUUCUCAUUAUCUUUCCUUAUCACUGCAUCACUGCAUUCCAUUGUAUCUCAUUGGUUGUGUUCUUCAUCUAUUCUUUUUUUAUUCUAUCUACUACUUGUUUUGAUUCAUAUUCUUUCCACCCUGAGUGGUGAUCCUCCUCAGUUCAUUACACGGAGGGUAGUCACAUCAUUACCACUGUCUAUCCCACGGACACUAGUUCAGAGAUUCUUAGUUUGAGAAGGUCAUCUUGUCAGAGAGAGUUUUUGUUACCUUAGCGCUCGAGAGUGUGUCUAUCCAUUAUUGAUAUCAUCUUUGGGGCUUAUUUUGUUCAUAUUCAAGGUGUGUACAUUUGUAUAUAUGUAAAAAAAAAUGAAAAGAAAAAAAAUGAUGAAAAAAAAUGAAAUGAAAAAAAAUGAUGAAAAAAUUGAAAAAAAAAAUGAAUGAAAAAAAUGAAAAAAAAAAACUGCAUGUGUGUAUUAUUUUCUAUCAUUGAGUGUGUAUAUUGAUGUUCGAGGGUCACUUAAUUGAGUAUGUUUGUUGAUGGGAGUUCGUGUGUGAGCUUUCCGAGACCCUCCAUGCUUUGUAUUCAUUUUUAUUGUAUAUUUUGAGAAGGAGAUGAGUGACCUUCUCUUAGAAGCUCUAGGUCAUUGUCAUUGCAUCAUUACGUUCAUUGUUGAUGUGAGUUCACUCCAUGUCUGAUUUGAGUUGAUCACUACUCCUCUUUGUGUUAUUUGUUUCAUCAUCAUCCUCGUUUUUGCUUCUCAUUCAUCAUUUUCACUUCACGUCUUAUUCUUUUCUUACAACAACCCAUCUCGGGUUUGACACUCUCUUCGCAUCAUCAUUACACAUAUCAAUAUCAGUUCCUUUUGCUUCUUUUGUCUCCUCAUCAACAUCAUAUUCACAUUAGGCAUUCUCAGGUCUAUGGCUCAUAGGAUUCACUAUACAUGUUGCAUUUCAUAUAUGAGGGCAUGGGUUUUUUAUCAUUGGGUAUUUGAGCCUAGUUUUCCUUCAUUUCUAUCACCCUAUCACCUUGGCCUACAUUACGUUCCGUGUCUUAAGACCGCCCUGAGGCCAUGGGAUCAAAUGUCAUCUUCAACAGCCUCUACUUGGACAAGUGUUUGAGAUCUGGUUGAUAUUUGGAUGUCGUCAUGCUUCUUCUUCUGGGAGUCGCAUCUUUGAUGUUUAGAUCUGAUUCAGUUGUGUUUAGAUUACCGGGAUCAUGCAUUUGAUGAUGGAUGAUUUGAUGUCACCUAAUUUUCUAACUAUCACAUAUUCGAUGUCAUACAGGGGCAUAUUCCGUCUCGGGCGAGAUUUACAGAUCUUCACAGAGUUGCAUGCUCAUCUCCACUUGCAAGAUGUACGCUGAGAUGAUGGUCUAUUUGCUAUUUUUAUGAUGAUCCCUUAGUGGAGCCUAUGUGGAGCCAUUCAUCCAGACCCACAUUUCUCGAUAUUUGGUUGUUGUCAUGCUUUUUAUUCCAAGAAACGUUCCCUAGAUGUUUGGAUUUGAUUUGGAUCAUGGAGAUCGCAUGUUCGAUGAUGGAUGAUUCCAUGUCACCUGAUUUCUGACCUAUCGUACAUUCGAUGCCAUACUAUGGCAUAUUUUCGUCAUGGAUGAGAGUUAUAUAUCUUCAUGGAGCUGUGUGAUCACUCCCACUUACGGGAUAAUCAUCGAGACGAUGACCUGUUCACUAUUUUUAAGAUGAUUCCUCAGUGAAGCCUCCUUAGAGACAUCCAGCUAGGCCUGCACUUCUCGGCACUUAGAUGCCAUCAUGCUUCUCCAUCUGAGAAGUACAUCUUAGAUCUGUGGCUAUGAUUCAGUUAUGGGGUUUGGAUGACCAGGAUUGCAUAGUUGAUGAUUGAUGAUUUCAUGUCAUUUGAUUUUUCUGACCUGUCACACAUUCGAUGCCAUACUGGGGCAUAUUCGCCCUGUCGGUCGAGAUUUGUAGAUCCCCACUUAUUCGUAUGAUCAUCCCUAGUUAUGAUAUAUGCGCCAGGUUGAUGAUUCCAUUUCAUUUUAUCGUGAUUCUCUAUUGGAGCCUUUAUUGAGUCUUUCAGUCAGGCUCAUAUUUUCCGAUAUUGUCGUGAUUCUUGGGUGAAGUUACUCCAGGCGCAUAGGUUCCCACAACACCAUUUCAGUGGAGUACAUGUCAGAUCUUUUAUGCAUCCCCAUGGAGUUAUUCUUGAGUUAUCAGGACAGAUCAGGUACAUCUAAUGCCAUGCUGGGGCAUAUUCCUUCCUUUAGCUAUGGAGAUGAUCCUUCUCUCACGGAUCUAUUAUAGUUUUCAUCACUCGGCCGAGAGAUACUGUAUUUGCUUUACUGGUCACUAUUCUUGUGAUUUUCAUCGAAAUGAGCUUUCGAUGGAGCAUGACAUUCAGGUUGUGAUUGUCCCGCUAUCCAUGACUCCGCAGUAGAUUGUUUUGAUGAGAUCAUGGUAGUUACCCUAGCGGAUUAUUCUCUUAAGACUCCCUAGUGGAUUACCCAUUUGAGAUGACGAUGGAUUCCUCCAGCAGAGCAUUUCAAGAUAGAGACGUCUGACUCAUUGUGACAUCUCGUUAAGCCUCGUGAUCCAGACGGAUGGGUUGCACGACUAUGUUUAUAGUCGAUUUGAUCAUUCCAACUCGCUAGCAAAGCAUCUCUUGAGGCUCAUGGAGUCUCUUUUAUACCUUGUCAGAGGAUGGAGAGUUGUGGCGGCAUGCUACACUAGGGCAUAUUCCCUCCCCCCCCCCCCUCCUCAUCGUUUCCUUGUCGUUUGGAGUUCAGAGUUGCCAUCCAUUCUCGGAUACGAUGUACAGAGUCGUCCAUUUUCAACUUGGCGUUCAGAGCCACCAUGUCUUCUCAGUCACGACGUUUAAAGUCGUCUUUCUCAGCCUGACAUUCCUAGUUAUUAGUCUAGUUGGGCAUUCAAAUCCGUUGUUUCUGCUUGGCAUUCAUAGCUAUUAUUUUUAGUUUGGUGUUCAAAGCCACCACCUCUUUUCAAUUUGGCCUUCAGAGUCGUAUUUUCAUUUUGGCAUUUAAUGACACCAUCUUUCUUUAUUUUGGCAUUCAGAGUCGCAUAUUUAGUUUGGCGUUCAAAGCCGCAUUUUCAUUUCGGCAUUCAGAGCCACAUAUUUAUUUUGGCGUUCAGAUUCGUAUCUUCAGUUUGGUGUUCAGAGUCGUAUUUUCAUUUCGACGUCAAAGCUACCACCUUUUUCGUUUGGUGUUUAGAGUUGUUGUUCAUUUUCCAUUUGGCGUUGAGAGCCACAUUUUCAUUUUGACAUUCAGAUGCUUGUUGUUUUGUUCGACGUUCAGAGCCACAUCUUUAUUUCGGCGUUCAGGAGCCGCAUCUUAGUAUCGGCGUUCAGAGUCGCAUUCUCAAUAUCGGCGUUCAAAGUUGCAUUCUCAGUUUUGGCAUUUAGAGCCAUCAUCGAUUUUCAGUUUGAUGUUCAGAGUCGUAUUUUUAGUUUCGGCGUUCAGAGACAUCACUUCUUGGUAUCGGCGUUCAGAGCCAUCUUCAUCGCAUUUUCAGUUUCAGCGUUCAGAGCCAUCAUUGUCGUUUCUCAGUUUCGGCAUUUAGAGCCCUCAUUGUCGCUUCUCAGUUUCGGCAUUCAAAACCAUCAUCACUUCUUAUUUUAACGUUUAGAGUCACAUUCUCAAUUUCGACGUUCAGAGCCAUCAUCACUUCCCAGUUUGACGUUUAGAGUCACAUUCUCAGUUUUGGCGUUCAGAGCCAUCAUCGGUUUUUAGUUUGAUGUUCAGAGUUGUAUUUUCAAUUUCAGCGUUCAAAGCCAUCACCGUUUCUUAGUUUCGGCACUCAAAUCCAUCCUCGUCGCAUUUUCAGUUUCGGCGUUCAGAGCCAUCAUUGUCGCUUCUCAGUUUUGGCGUUCAAAGCCAUCAUUGCUUCUCAGUUUGACAUUCAGAGUCGUAUUCUCAGUUCCGGCGUUCAGAGCCAUCAUCACUUCCCAGUUUGACGUUCAAAGUCGCAUUCUCAGUUUUGGCAUUCAGAGCCAUCAUCAGUUUUCAGCUUGAUGUUCAGAGUCGUAUUUUCAGUUUCGGGGUUCAGAGUCAUCAUCAUUCCUUCUCAAUUUCACAUUCAGGGAUGUCAGUUCUCAAUUUAGUGUUCAAAGCCAUGCUUUCAGUUUGGUGUUUAGAGCCUCAUCUCUGGUUUGGCGUUUAGAGCCAUCAUCCUAUCAUGAUCGGGCAUUCAUUGCCACAUUUUCCACGUUUAGAGCUACGUUCCUAGCAUUCAGGACUGUCAGUUAAGUUUGGACAUUUAGAGCUUCGUCUUUAGUAUUUAGUGUUAUUAGUUUUUUUAGUUUGGCAUUCAGAGCCAUGUCUUCAGUUUGGUAUUCAGAGUUAUCAUGUCUUUCUUCAGUUAGGCGUUCAAAUCCACCAUAUCUCUUUCAAUUCGGUGUUUAGAGUUGCAUUUUCAUUUUGGCAUUCAGAGUCGUUGUUUGUUUCAGUUUCACAUUUAAAGUUGUGCUUGUAGUUUGACAUUCAGAGCCAUUAUUUAGCUUGGAAUUCAGAGCUGUCAUAAGAGCCAUCGUAUGUUUAGUUUGGCGUUCAGAGCUAUCAUUCACAAUUUUGCAUUCAGAGCCAUUGUUCACACUCAGCGUUCAGAGCCACCACAUCUCCACAGUUUGGAGUCUAAAAGUCAUCAUUCAUAGUCAGGCAUUCUGAGCCGUUGGUCAGCUUGGCAUUCAGAACCAUUAUAUCUUCAGCUCGACAUUUAGAGCCAUUAGUUAGCUUGGCAUUCAGAGCCAUCAUAUUUUUAGUUCAGCAUUUAGAGCCAUUGGUCAGCUUGGCAUUUAUAUGCCACCAUAUUUCUUCAGUUUGGCAUUUAGAGCCACCAUUUUCCUUUAGUUCAGCGUUCGGAGCCGCAUUCCUAGCAUUUAAAGUUGUCAUUCUCUUUUAGUUUGGUGCUCAAAGCCACAUUGCUAGCAUUUAGGGUUGUCAUUUUCUUUUAGUUUAGCAUUCACAGUCAUUUUCUUCACUUUAGAUGUUUAAAGCCCUGAGCUUGCAACCUAGAGUCGUUCUUUCAAUUUAGAGCCCUGAGCUCACGACCUAAAGUCGUUCAUUUCAUCUAUGACCCAGAGUGAUUCUUAGCAUUUAAAGCCCUGAGCUCACGACCCAGAGUCGUUCUUCUUAUUCAUGACCCAGAGUCAUUCUUUCCAUUUGGAGCCCUGAGCUCAUGACCUAGAGUCGUUCUUCUUAUUCAUGACCCAGAGUCAUUCUUUCCAUUUGGAGCCCUGAGCUCAUGACCUAGAGUCAUUUUUCUCAUUUAAGACCUAGAGUCUUUCCAAUCUUGAGCUGAGCCUUCAUCAUUUGGUCACCCAUGAGUGGCAUGACUUGGAGUUUGUGUAUCGCAUUCUCUUUCUAGUUGAUCAGUCAUAGAGCCUGGAGCUCAUAGCCCUAAGCUAUUCACCUAGCCCUGAGCCAUUCAUUGUAACCCUGAGCUACUCAUUACGUCAUGACCCAGAGUCAUUCAUGGCAUUUUGAGCCAUGACCUCACGACCCAGAGUCAUUCCUAUUCUUCACAUCCCUGAGAUGUUUCAUUUUCAUCAUUCUAGCCACCUAUGAGUGGCCUCGACCCGGCACCACGAGCAAGAAAGCAUCUUGAUUGGCCAUCCAUUUAAAGCCUUGAGCUCACGACCCAAAGUCGUUCUUCUCAUUUAUGACCCAGAGUCAUUCUUAGCAUUCAGAGCCCUUAGCUCAUGACCUAAAGUCAUUCUUCUUAUUUAUGAUCCAGAGUCAUUCUUAGCAUUUAGGGUCUGUUCACAAUUCAGAUCCAUUUUCACCAUUUAGGCAUUCAAAAUCACCAUUUUUCUUCAUAGGCGUUCAAAGUUGUCUUUUCCAGUUUUAGGCGUUCAAAGUUGUAUUUAUUAGCUUAAGGCAUUUAGAGCCGUAUUUUCCAGUUUUAGGAGUUCAAAGCCAUCUCUUUUGGUUUUAGGCGUUCAGAGCCAUGUCUUCAGUAUAGGCGUUCAAGGUCAUUUCUCCUAGUUUUAGGCAUUUGGAGCCACUUUCAUCAGUUUUAGGCAUUCUGAGCCAUCUCUAUCAGUUUUAGGCGUUUAGAGCCAUGUCUUCAAUUUGACAUUUAGAGUCAUUAUCUUCUUCAUUUUGACAUUUUAGAUCCAUCAUCUUCUUUAGUUUAGCAUUCAGAGUCAUGUCUUCAUUUUGGCAUUCAGAGCCAUUGUCCAUUUAAGCGUUCAAAGCCAUCAUGUUCCUUUAGUUUUGGCGUUCGGAGCCGUUAGGCAUACUCAUUUAGACAUUUAGAGACUCUUUGUUCUUGUUUUGGUUUAAGAGAGCCCAUGUCAUACUGGAACAAAUUUGGAGGUCUUUCUUAUUCUUCAGCAAAGUUCACUUCGUUUCGUUCGUGUAUAUACUCACUUUAUUCAUGAACUCUACCAAAGAGGGGCAUAUUUGUAGACCCCAAAAUUUGUCUCAAUUUUGUUUUUACAUUAAUUUUGAGCUCAAUUUUAAAUCCCGAUUACAUUUGUUAUUUUAGGCCCACUCACCCUUUAAUUUUUUGUUUUCAUUAUUUUGUAAAAAAAAUUUUAUCUUAUUUUAUUUUUAUUUUAUUUUUUUUACUUAUUAUUUUUAUUUGUUAUUAUUAUUAUUAUUAUAUUACAUUAUAUUAUAUUAUUUUUUUAUUUUUUUUAUUUUUUAUUUUAUUUUUUUCUCUCUCCUCUCUCUUCGUUUUUCUCCUCCACCUACCCUUACCCACCCACUUCUUCUCUCUCCUCCCAUACUCCUCACCACCAACCACUUUUCAUUUUUCCCUCAAUUUUUUUCCCUCUCACUUUUCUCUCUCUUCCCUGAAACUCCCUUUCCCCCCCCCCCAUCCCACCAUUUUUCUUUUCCCUCAAAUUUUUCCCUCCUUUUCUUCCCCAACUUCUCUACUACUCUUCCUCUCUUCCCCAUUUUUUCUUCUCUUCCUCCUCCAUUCUCUUUUUUUUUUCUUUUUUAGUUUUUCUCCUCCCGUUUUCUCAAGAGGGUCGGACCCCCAUUUUUAUUUUUUAUCGAGAAGAUCAUCGGUCGGGCACUGUCGGCGAGCCCCAGUCGGCUGACGACCUCCUCCCUUUUCUCUCAUUCUCUCACUUCCCGUAUCACUCAUUUUCCAUUAUUAUUAUUAUUAUUAUUAUUAUUAUUAUUAUUAUUAUUAUUAUUAUCAUCAUUAUUAUUGUUAUUAUUAUUGUUAUUAUUAUUAUUUUUAUUGUUAUUGUUGUUAUUUUAUUUUAUUUUAAUAGUAAUUGUUGUUUGUGAAAUUUGGAUUGUUGAAUUAAUAUGAAAUUUGGGGUUAAUUUGUUGUGGGUAGAUUAAUACGUAAUUUGAUUUUAUUUAUUGUUAGUGAAUUAAUUUGAAAUUUGUUAAUUUGGGUUUGUGGGUAUAUUGUAAUUGGUGAUUAAUUUGGGGAUAUUUGGAUUAUAUCGAUUGCAUAUUGUUUAUUUGAACUUGGGUCUAUUGUUAAGUUGUUAUUUGUUUAGGCUUAUUGGAUUGGGCUUGAAAUAUUGUUUCUCUUGACCAUGUAUUUUGUUUUAUGUGGGCUUGUUAAUUGAUGUGAAUUUUAGGACCCAUAAUGUUGGUGGGAUUUAUUGGAUUAUUUGAAUAUUUGAUAUGGGCUUGGCCAAUUUGAAUUGUUUAAUUUGGACAUGGGACAAUUGUGAUGUAUAUUAAACUAAGCUUAAAUUAUGAAAUAUUAUAUUUAGGUCUAGUAGAAUUUAUUUUAAUUUAUCUCAUUUUAGGUUUGGUUGAUUGUGUUUGUAUUUUUUGUUAUUAAUUUAGAUGUUCUGGGUUAAGACCUAUGGUAAUUUGGACUCAUUUUAAUUGACGAAAUUUAUGGGACUAAUUUGAAAUUAGAAUUUGGGUUUGAAUAUUUGUUUAGGAUUUUAUACAUCUCUGGAUAUUUACAUUUGUGUUAUUUUUUGUUUUUGCAUAGACCCAUUCUACAAUCUUGUUGGCUGAGUACAAAUUGAUGACACGUGGAGCUUGUCGUAAGUUUAUUUGGGUACAUAUUUUAUUUCCCACUUUUAUUUGGUUUUAUUUUAAUUAAUUCUUGUAAAUAUUUGUUCGUAUAUAUUUAUUGAGUGUGUACAAAAUUGAACAGCGAACAAAUUAGAAAUUUUGUUUAAAUGAGAGAAAGAAUUCAGUAAAUAUGUUCUAAUAAAAUACUAAUUUUAAAAUGUUCUUUUUAAUAAAAGAAAGUUUUUUUUUCAUUAUUUAUAAAAAUUCAGAAAAAUGCAUUUAGAAAAAUCCAAAAAAUUGUUUUUAAUAGAAUUCGAAAAAUUGUUUUUAAUGACAUUGUUCAAAAAUUUCUUUGUUUAAUAAAAAUUGUCCAAAAAUUGUUUUGUAAAUAAAGUUGUUCCAAAAAUUAAUUUUUAAUAAAAUUGUCUAAAAAUAUUUUUUCAAAUGAAUUUUUUUUCCUUAAUUAAAAUGGGAUUAAAAGCGUUUCAGAAAUAGAGAAUUUAAAUCUUUGUUUUUCUUUUUAAUUAAAAUUUCUUUUGCAAUUAAAGUUAUGUUAUUUUAAAUAAUUUAUAAAAAUCAAUCUUUUAAAUGAAAAUGAAUCUAAAUACUUUUGUAAAUAAAAUUGUAAAAAUUCAUUAUUUUCUAGUAAAAGCAAGUAAAAAUAAUUUUUGUACGCAAAUUGAAAUUUUGUAAUAAAUUCUUUUGAUACAAUAAGUGUAAAUAGCUUUUUUUAAAAUUGAAUACAAUUGAAAUUGAGAAAAUAAAUUGAUUCUUUUUUAUAAGUAAAUAAAUGGAAAUCAUUAAUUUAAAAUCAUUUUUAAUAAAAUCCUUUGAAAUUUCUUUACAACUUUUUUUAAUAUCUUUUAUUUAUUUAAUUCAAUAAAUCAUUUUGCAUAAUUCUCUUAUUAUUUAUUUUGUGUAUUUUUGUAAUUAGAUUCCAUCAUUGUUUUUGUGCAUAUUAAUUUUCACCAUGACUUGUAUAUUGAUUAUUUUUUUGGUAUCCAUAAUUAAUUAAUUAAUUGUCACAAUUUCCUCAAUUCGUUUAGUAGAGGUCGUACGUAUAUGGGCUUAAAGGGGUGCUAUGACUCACCACCGUACCUUCCCAAUGAGUAACUUGACCCCCAGACCCAGACUCGGUUUUUCUAUGAUAUGUUUUUUCCUUCAGGAGUCACACUUAGGGUUUUUCUUUCUUAUUUUGUUUUUCUCUUUAAAAAUAAAAGAAAAAUAAGUGGCGACUCCAAGUCUUUUUCUAAAAAUCAAAUUUUUACCAAACAAAAUAAAAAAGCGAGUUUUCGCCAUCGAGUGGGAACGCAUCGAGCAAAAUGUGGGGUCCACACACCCCUUUUCAACUUUUUUCAGCAUGGAUGAUGGAAAACACUUCAUUUGAAUGUUUGAUUAUAGUCUACCUCUUGCCAUAGACUCGUCAUCAUAUUGUAACACUCGAUAAUCGAUCAGCUACCCUGUUUUGUAAUGGAGAUUUUAAUAUUCAAUUCACAAAUUCAGGCAGCAUCCCGUAUUUUUUAGUUCCUUUGCCAAACGGUUUCCCAAAUUGCAUGUUCUAUUGAUUUCAGGUAACAUUGAAUUCCAUAACUAUGACAUAAUCAUAGAAUCUUCUUUGUCCCAAACAAUAAAUUGUAGAUCUUCAGGUUUUGGGCCUGUUCCAGUGAGAUGACUCAGUUUUCCCCUACCCUUUAAAAACAUCCUCACUAGUUGUGACCACUGUAGAUAAUUCCUUCUUGUUUAGCGGUAUGCAAUCUGAAUAUUAUGAAGUUCUCUAGUCAUAUGGUUUUGGGAUGCUUCCAUGGGUGACUCUGUAAUAUUGAUUAAUGGGGCUGGUAUGAUUUCUGACAUAUCCAAUAUUGAAAAAUCCAAAAACAGAUUGAUUAGAUUCUGAAAAAAUAAGAGAGCCGAAAAAGCAAAAGACAAUAGAGUACAUUUAUGGUGAUUAAGGCCCAAGAAUGAAUUUAGACAGGUUAUCAAUGACAAUGAAUCCCAGAGAGCAAAUUGCUUUGAUACCAUGAUGUGAGAAAUUCUAAUUCAAGAAUAAAACAAAUAGUACAUAUUUAUGUGGUAACAUAAUCCUAUUCAUAAAAUUCAAAAUAUGAUUGGAAACUGACUAGGUGUUUGUUUUUUGGCUGAAUAGAAAAAGCCAAAUAUUUUGGCUUUUUCUAUUAAGCCAAAUAUUUUGGCUUUUUCUAUUAAGCCAAAAAACAAACACAACCUAAUUCUUAUCAUUGGAAACUAACUCUAACCAUCCCUGUAAAUUAGAAGCACUCCUAAUAUAUAGAAAGUUUGACUUAUGAUAGUUGUACCAUAAUUUCCUAAAUUUAAGGACCUGAUGUUCUUCAACACUUUAUCAUCCUUUCAAGGAUCAGCACACAUGGCAGAGAAGAGGUGACCUUGUACUGGCUGUCCAAAAGGUGGCAUGGAACAAAAAUAAAAGCGGUCAAGAUGACAUGAGAGACCCAUUUGAAAUCUGCUAUCAUGAACACCCUACACCCUCUUUUUUCUUAUUUAAGAAAAAGAAAAACACUGAAAUAGAAGUAGGAGCGUGCGUGUGAGUGUCAGCUCACAUGGUAGAAAAGAUGUGGCCCUUUUACUGUUUCUCCAUUUAACUUAAAGGUUACACUGAACAAAAAUAAGAAGUUUAGGAUAUCAAACACUAGCUACCCAUUUGGAAAAAAAUGACUGUUUCAAGUCCAUUUGGCAGCCAUUGCGGGACUAAAACAAAAAAAUUAUCUUACCCAAUAAAAUGGUACAUGUUUAAUAAUUUAUUUCAAUUUGCACUACAAGGAAAAAGAUAUAUGGUGACAUUUAUAAUAAGUCACUAUAAACAUAGGGUGUCACUACAACAUAGCGUCACCUUAUCCACUGACACCAUAGAGGGUAUCAAUUGGUGACGUAUUUGGAAGUGACACCAAAGCAGAUAAAUGGUGACACAUUCAAAAGAGACACCAUAUAUUUUUAGUGAUGCUUAAUUUGAUAUAGAGUUGUAUGAGAUAUAUAAGAUGUCAUAUUAAAUGCAUCAUCUUUGAGUUAUGGUGUCACAUUAAAUGUAUCACCUUUAAUUUAUGGUGUCACAUCAUUGUAAAUGAUUAUGGAAGAUAUGGUUGUUUUUUGUUGAUUAGUUUGUAGAUUUUUGUAAUGCUUAUUAAUAAAUAAGACUAACCUAUGUAAAUUGUCCAUAAAUAUAAUAAUCAUAUUACAUUUAACUUAUAUUUUCAUAAUGCUUAUGAAUUAAUUUGUAACAUAUUACAUCAUCCAAUAAUAUUUGUAUAUCAAAUGUUCACAAAAUGAUAGUACAUCAAACACAUCAAACCCACCAAAACUAAAAAAGAAAAGUGAAUACACAUUAAAACAUGAUUUAGAAAUGUUAAGCUUCCCAACAUUCAUGUAUACUUGCAUUUCAUAUGCAUAAAACCGGCUAACCAUAAAAUGACACAAGAGUUGCAUCCAAAAACCCAAAAUUCUCAAUUCCAAAUAAAGUAACAUUUAUGUCCUAUAAUGUAUGACAUAAGAGUCAUAUCUAAAAACCUAAAUCUUGUUGCCUCUUUCUCCUUUCUUUUUAUUCUUCAUAUUGUCCUCCCAAGAGUGUAUACCUGCAUUUCAUUGUUUAAUGAGUUUUAGAGUACUUAUUGAAAAUAAAAAUGUGAUGUUAUAAACAAUAAACAAAUCUAAGUACUAAUGUUUUCUUUUUCUUUUUUCUUUUUCUCAUUUUGGUAUAAAAAUAAUUCGUAAAGAAUAAGUAAUGUUAUACAAUAUCAAUGGAAAAUUCAAUCAUAUAACAACUAAGGGACUUACCAUGAAUGAUCACGAUACAUCAAUAUGAUUCAUGAUUAGUUAUAACACAAAAGUAAUCUAUUUUUCUCUAAUUUCAUCAAAUUCUACUUGAGAAUAUGUUUUAUUUGUCAUCAAACUGAAAUCAAAUGAGAAUAACAUUAAUAUCACUAUAAUUGAAAGUAUGAAAUUAUGUACAAUUCAUUAAACGAGUAAAAUCUUUGAUGCAAUAACUAUAAAAUCAACAAUUAUUUCUUUAAUGAAUCUCAUAACAAAGUAGUCAUAUUUGAACUCAGUAUUAUUUUUUUACUAUUAAAUUAUUUUUAAACAAAAUAACAAUUAUUAAUAUAUUGGUUCAUUUUUAAAUACUUUCAUAAGAAUAUAUUUUAACUACAAGUUAUUUUAAUUUAUCAAAAGAUUUUUAGGAAAUGAGCUAUUAUCCAUUUAUUAUUUUCUUAUUUUUCAAAAAAUAUUUUCAGUCAUUUUAUACACGUUUUCAACUACUAAAAUUAUUGUUUUUAUAGAAUAAACAAAGAAGCAUACACUUCUUCUCCACUCACUAAGUCAACUAUUACAAUCACCAUAAUAUUUUAUUCACCUACCAAUAUCUCAUUCCAUUUAGAUAACUCUCUCAACAAAAUCAUUUCUACAAUACUUUUUACUCUCCUAUGAUAUUGAAUAUUUUAUUCCAUUUAGGUGACUCUCAACACAAAGAAAAGUAGGAAUGUCUUCUUAGGUUAACUAAACAAAGACUUUUUUUUUUACUUUACAAUAUGUAUAAAAAAAAACAAUUAUUUAUUACAAGAAAUGUGGUAGAAAGGUCAUUUCAUUUUUAAAGAAUUUUUUAGAAUUUCUUAAACAUUUACAAAAAAUAGAAUCUAACAGUUUUAUUUCUAAAAAAAUUGAUCAAUUCAAAAAAGAAAGAAGAAUGUUAUUUUUUAAGAAAAGUUAAUAAACCACUUUAUUCUUGAAUUAUCUAAACAAAACUUACUAAAAAAUAUUUUAUCCCAAAUUUAUUUUCAAAACUUUCUUAUUGAAAACUAUCUCAUAUAUAAAUUAUUUUAUUAUAUAGAGAAAUUCUUAUUUUAUUCUUUUUUUUAGAGAAAAAUUCACUUGUUUAUUAAAUAUCAAAGAAGUCUAUUUUUAUGUCUAUUAUAUAUAUAUAUAAAUUCUCUUAUUUUCAUACAAGAAAUUUCCAUUUAUGCCUAAAAUACUUUUAGAAAAAUCAUUGCCAACAAAAUUUUAUUUUUAAAAUUAUUUUCAACAUUCUUAUUUAAAAAAAUUAUCAUUGGAUUAUUUUCAAAAAGGACAGUCCUAAAAAAAUUAACCAUUUAUAACCCAAUUUAAACUCAAAAAUUAUCCCCAAUAUUAUUUUAUAUUCCUAAAUUAUUUUCAAACAAAAUAACAAUUAUUUAUAUUUUGAUUCAUUUUUAAAUACUUUCACAAAAAUAUAUUUUAACCACAUAUUAUUUUAAUUUAUCAAAAUAUUUUUAGGAAAUGAGUUAUUUUCCAUUUAUUACUAUCCUAUUUUUCAAAACAUAUUUUCAGGCAUUUCAUUCACAUUUUAAAAUUUCAAAUACUAAAAUUAUUGUUUUUAUAAAACAACAAAGCAUGUAAAUUUCAACUACUAAAAUUAUUGUUUUUAUAGAAUAAACAAAGCAACAUACACUUAUCUUCCAUUUACUAAUUCAACUAUUACAAUCACCCCAAUAUUUUGUUCACCUACCAAUAAUUCAUCCCAUGUAGUGACUCUAAAAAAAAGUCAUAUUUAUAUACCUUUUACGANNNNNNNNNNNNNNNNNNNNNNNNNNNNNNNNNNNNNNNNNNNNNNNNNNNNNNNNNNNNNNNNNNNNNNNNNNNNNNNNNNNNNNNNNNNNNNNNNNNNUUUUUCAAAACAUAUUUUCAGGCAUUUCAUUCACAUUUUAAAAUUUCAAAUACUAAAAUUAUUGUUUUUUAUAAAACAACAAAGCAUGUAAAUUUCAACUACUAAAAUUAUUGUUUUUAUAGAAUAAACAAAGCAACAUACACUUAUCUUCCAUUUACUAAUUCAACUAUUACAAUCACCCCAAUAUUUUGUUCACCUACCAAUAAUUCAUUCCAUGUAGGUGACUCUAAAAAAAAAAAGUCAUAUUUAUAAUACCCUUUACGACUCUGAUACCCAAUAUUCUAUUCUAUUUAGGUGACUCAAUACAAAGAAAGUGGGAAUGUUUUCUUAGGUUAACCGAAGAAAACCCUAAAUAACUUAAGUGCUUUUGGAUUAAUUGAGUAUCAUCUUGUAGUAGAUGUCAAUCUCUAUUGUUAGACUUCACCAAAAAGCUCCUAGCACGGUGGAAAAAAGUAUCAAAUAUAGUCAAGUCUUCAAUAAAAUACUAUUUUAUGCGAAAAAUUACUACAAACUAGUGUAUCUCUCAUUCUCAAUUAGACAAAAUUUUUAAAAAUAAUUCAUUUUUCUUGUUUUCAUUUGUUUUGGGGCUUAUUAGCAAUGAAACAAAAAAUAUGUUAGAAAGUUAAACCUAGUUUUUACUUCCCUGGAACUCGAUAAAAAACACCAUUUACAAAACCCACAUCAUAGAUAUACUAAAUCAAGAGAUAUAAAACAAUUAUACUAACAAAGGUUUUUGCAUUAAUAAAAAAAAUGAAGAUGGUAGAUAAGAGAUUUUGACUUACCCGAGAUUUUACGAAGCAAAGAAUAUCAAUUAUGGGUGUGCCGACCAUGGGUGUGAGAAGAAGGAGAAGAAAACGAUGGUUAGGGUUAAGCAAUAAGAUCUUUUAUAUUAGUUAAUGUAUAUAUGGAAACAAUGGACUUUUCAUAAAUUGUUCCUACUCACUAUUUUUAAAAAGGGCCCAUUAAGUAAUAAAAUUUAAAACUUUUUAUUUCAUAUGGUGUCACUUCCAAAAAAUGACACCAUAAAUAUGAAAUUAGCAUCAUCUAACUAUCCUAAUUGAAGAUUUUUUAUAUGAUGUGUCACCUUUAUAAAUUUUAAGUUCAAUGGUGUCAUUAUUUUAAAUGCGACACCAUAAAUAGUGACAUCAUAUAUUAUUUUUGUAGUAGUGUUGGACCAUAAUUCUCAUUCCUACUAUAUAUUUAUUUAUAUUUGGAAUCAUCAGUUGUAGCNNNNNNNNNNNNNNNNNNNNNNNNNNNNNNNNNNNNNNNNNNNNNNNNNNNNNNNNNNNNNNNNNNNNNNNNNNNNNNNNNNNNNNNNNNNNNNNNNNNNCCGAGAUUUUACGAAGCAAAGAAUAUCAAUUAUGGGUGUGCCGACCAUGGGUGUGAGAAGAAGGAGAAGAAAACGAUGGUUAGGGUUAAGCAAUAAGAUCUUUUAUAUUAGUUAAUGUAUAUAUGGAAACAAUGGACUUUUCAUAAAUUGUUCCUACUCACUAUUUUUAAAAAGGGCCCAUUAAGUAAUAAAAUUUAAAACUUUUUAUUUCAUAUGGUGUCACUUCCAAAAAAUGACACCAUAAAUAUGAAAUUAGCAUCAUCUAACUAUCCUAAUUGAAGAUUUUUUAUAUGAUGUGUCACCUUUAUAAAUUUUAAGUUCAAUGGUGUCAUUAUUUUAAAUGCGACACCAUAAAUAGUGACAUCAUAUAUUAUUUUUGUAGUAGUGUUGGACCAUAAUUCUCAUUCCUACUAUAUAUUUAUUUAUAUUUGGAAUCAUCAGUUGUAGCAGCCUUGCUUCAUCUACAACCUAAACAUGGUGAUGGUGUUACAAUGCAAAAUUCACCAAUCCUUCUUCAAACUUUUUUGAGUUUUCCCUUGACAAUGCUGUGAUGAAAAGUCCAAGAAAGCCCAAUGAAAAGGAACAGAAAUGCUCACCCUUCUCUCAACUCUCAACUGCUGGUCCCCACCCAAAAUCUAUGCCCAUACUUUCCAAGCAAUAUCCUUAAUUAGUCUGGUAGGCGAAGAAGACUGGGCUCCAAAAGGAUGCUGUGAGAUAUCUGGAAGAUCACCCAUGACAUUUUCAACGUACUGUGCGGUUGAAGGCCGAAAGAUAAACACAAAGCAAGAAAGCAUGGACAUGAGAAACUUGGAAUAGGAGAAAUGGAAAGCAGCAUGUGCCUUAGCAGUGCAAUUUUGUCUCUGUGUUUGUCAUGUAUGUGGUUGGGAGUAGUGCCUUCCAUUUCUGGUGCACAGACAGACACCAUCAAACCUGGGGAAGAGCUUCAAUUCUCGAAAAAAUUACUGGUUUCUGCAAAAGGGACUUUUACUCUAGGCUUCUUCAGCCUGGAAUCUGGCAGUUAUUUAGGAAUAUGGUACACAACUGAUGAUUAUCACAAGAAAGUUUGGGUUGCUAACAGAGACAAGGCUAUAUCCGGCACCGAUGCAAAUCUCACGCUGGAUGCUGAUGGCAAAUUGAUGAUCACGCAUAGUGGGGGUGAUCCAAUUGUCCUGAAUUCCAAUCAAGCAGCCAGAAACUCAACAGCUACUCUGCUUGAUUCUGGAAAUUUUGUUUUGGAAGAGUUCAAUUCGGAUGGAUCUCUGAAGGAGAAACUAUGGGCGAGUUUCGAUAAUCCUACAGACACCCUCCUGCCUGGGAUGAAACUAGGCAUCAACUUGAAAACCAGGCGAAACUGGUCACUUGCUUCAUGGAUAAGCGAACAAGUGCCUGCUCCUGGGACUUUUACCCUGGAAUGGAAUGGCACACAAUUGGUGAUGAAACGCCGAGGGGGCACCUAUGAACCUUGAAAGAUAGGAGCUUUGAGUUCAUUCCUUGGUUGAUGAGCUCUGAUACUUUCAAUAACAUCUACAGUUUUAACAGUGUUUCGAAUGCAAACGAG
rnacentral:lncRNA from 1 species